AGUCAUUCUAUGUAUAUCUCUUUAUUGAGAAUCAAAUGGAAGAAAAGGUGGACUAUACAACAAAGAGAGCAUCUUACACAUACAAGGGAAACAUUCUUGACUACAAGUCUGGAAUUGAUUUAUCAUGUAAUAGAUUAACAGGUGAAAUCCCCACAAAGAUUGGAAAUUUGAGUGAAAUUCGAUCACUAAACGUGUCACACAAUAAUUUGACUGGACAAAUACCGUCAAUGUUCUCAAAGCUUAAGCAAAUUGAGAGUCUGGACCUUUCUCACAACAACCUAAUCGGAAGAAUCCCUACUCAAUUGACAGAGUGGUACAACUUGUCAGGGAGUAUUUCGUCUCCGAAAGCUCAAUUUGGAACCUUCGAUGAAAGCAGUUAUGUGGAGAAUCCUUUUCUCUUCGGGCCUCCCCUGCAUAAAAAUUGCAGCGACCUUGAUUCACCCCCGACAGCAGCACCAAAUACCUCAAACAACGAAGAAAAAAGUGGUUUGAUGGACAAGUAUGUUUUUUGGGUGACCUUUUUUGUUUCUUAUGUAAUUGUAUUACUGGUUAUUGUAGUAUGUUUUUUGGGUGACCUUUUUUGUUUCUUAUGUAAUUGUAUUACUGGUUAUUGUUCUCGUCCUGUAUAUAAAUAUCCUUAUUGGCGACAAGCAUGGUUUUUUUUUUUUGUUGAACACUGCAUCAAGACCUACCAGUAUUUUAUCGAGGACAAUCUUCUACGAUUUCCCAUCUUCAAAAGAAGCGGGUAGCCUUGUGCUUUGGUGGUUUACAUUUGUAUGUAAUUGCUUUUCAAAGUUUGUUUGGGUUAUUUGCUUUAAAGUUUUUAAAGGUAGAACGUAAUAUCUUUGUUAUGUAAUAAUUGAUAGUGUAUUAUGAGAAAACUAUAUAAAAUGUUAUGCAUUACCGAUUAAAACAUUUAAUAAUGCUUUACAAUUUUCAGCAUUCUGAUAAACAUUUUGUAGCAUAUAUAUAUAUAAUUUAUAUCUAUCUAUAUUUUUGUAGUCAAACAAGCUAUUGAUGUUGUGGUAAAAAUUUCAUAUUGUUUCAAACCUUAGUGUAAGGAAAGAGAGAAAAGAUUAUAUGAAACUGUGAUUUCACAUCCCUAUCCCUUUCAAAUAGGAGAAUAAUAAAUUAAAUUUUUCCUCCUGAUUUUUAGCACUUUAGUUGGAUUUGAAUUUUUUCAAGAGAAAAAAAUUGGAAAUCAGGAGGAAAAAUCCGAUUUAUCUCGUAUUGAAAAGGGAUAAAGAUGAUGUGAAAUCACAAUUUCAUACAAUUCCUUGUCAAAGAAAAAUCUUCUGCCACUAAAUCAUAAGCUCAAACUUAUAUAUAUAAAUAAGGCCAAACUUCAUAUUAACUACUAAAUAUGAAUGACAAAAAUAGUCUUUAAAUUUUUAAAUGAUAUAAAUAUUUUUUAAAUUAAUAAAGUUAUCAUAAAUAAAUAUGUAGUUGCAUUAUUUUAUUUAAACUCAAAUUAAUAAAUAUUUAAAAAUUUAGUUCACACGAUAUUUAUCUAAUUUGAAAUUAAUAAAUUUGAGUAACAAUAAAAUUGAAAGCCUCCAAUCUCCCCAUAGUAUGUGUUGAUAUGUUUUAGAAGAGCUUAAUUUGGAUUCCAACUCCUUCACAACAACUUAUUGGCACAGUUUAGUGGGUUUUUCAAUCUAAAGUCAUUGAGAAUAAGGAAUAACCAAUUUAAAAGAUCAAUAAAUAUUAAAGGUGAAAUUACUUAAUAUAUUUAAUCUUCCUUUAAACGAAACAAAUUAAUUGUUGAGUUAUUGCAUUUAUUCUGUGUGAUUUAAUUUUAAAUUUUAUUUGUCGAUCUUCACAGAAUUAUUAAAUACUUUGAGCAACUUAGAGGAGCUAAACAUGAGUCGGAAUGAGGUGAAAGAAUUUGUGCCAAUAAAGAAUAAAGGUAUAUGUAUCAACUAGGGAAGUCUUACUAAUUGUUUGCCAUUAAAUAUCUAGUGAAUGAUGCCAACCACUAAUUUGACUCUCAAAAAAUGGAAGUUUGGGAAAGCUAAAGGUUGCUAUGUUAGACUAUGUGUUCACCGGUGGAACUACUUCUCUAAUACAGCUUCUGUAGACAUUCUUAUCUAUUAAGACCUUAUAUUUGAGAGGCAAUUACUUCAACAACACAUUUUCUACUCAAGGUAUAAGAUGUAUGUGCGUGAAUAUAUAGUUUUACAAUUUGGUUCCAUUUAAAAAUAUUAUUGUAACACCCCAAAAUUUGGGGUUAAAUUAGGAGAUUAUUAUUAUAAUUAGUCUCAAAUGGUGUAGAAAAAUAGAAAGCUCAAGCCAAGUCCGGCAAAGUUCAAGACAAUACAUGAGAUAGAAGCUUGAAGAGGCUUUAUUUGACUUAGAAAUAAUAUCUAGAAAUUUUGUUAAAAUGCUUUGGUAUGAAUGAAAAACCAAAACCUGUUAGUACUUUCUUUGCUUUUCAUUUCAAAUUUAAUGUUACUAUGUUGCCAAAAAAUAAUGUAGAACGAGAAUACAUAUUAAAGAUAUCAUAUGCAAAUGUUGUUGCUAACUUAAUGUAUGCUAUGGUACGUACAAGAUUUAACAUUUCACAAACAAUUAGAGUUGUGAGCAGAUAAAUGCAUGGUUCAGGAAAGGAUCAUCGGCAAGCUAUGAAAUGGAUUUUGCGAUAUAUCCUUAAUACAAUGGAUAUUUGAUUGAUUUUUUAGUAGGACGAUAAUCAAGGUGAAUGGAUAUUUGAUUGAUUUUUUAGUAGGACGAUAAUCAGGGUGAAUGGAUAUUGUGAUUCAAGCUAUGCUAGCGAUCUAGACAAACGAUGAUCGACUACUGGUUAUGUGUUUACUCUGGCAAAGGAGCCAGUUAGUUGGAAGUCUACUUUACAGUCAACAGUUGUCUUAUCUACUACAGAAGCGGAGUAUAUGGCAAUCACAUAGGCUGUAAAAGAGACAAUUUGGUUUCAAGGGUGCUUGGUUAAUUGGAAAUUAAGCAGAAGUACGUCAAAGUACAUUGUGAUAGUCAGAGUGCUAUUCAGUUAGCAAAGAAUCAAGUUUAUCAUGCAAGAACGAAACACAUUGACAUCUGAUAUCAUUUUGUACGAGAGAUUUUAGAAAAAGUAGAAUAAAGACCCAAAAAAUUUCUACCACUAAGAAUCCUAUUGAUAUGAUGACUAAGAUUGUGAUUGUGGUUAAGUUCCAACUAUGUUUGGACCUAAUCAUUGUUAAAACUUGAAGGUUGAAAUUUGAAGAUACUAUCAAAUAUUGUUUGACAAUGUGAAGAUUUAUUGAAGUAGUACAAUCCCACAUCUCAAAAAUACAAGGUUAUGGAGAGUUUAUAUUACUAUAAAUAGGGGUUGUUUUCCACCGUUAUUAUCAUUUUCUAACAAUUAAAUUUUCUAGUACAAAAAUUUACUUUCUUACUCUAUUCACACAUCACCUUCAUAAAAUUUUGCUUUCCAUAUGAAAAGUGACUACAAACAUUUACUAUCUAUAAGGAUGAUUUUUUAAGUUGAAUUUACAUGAGGGUUAAAUUAGGAGAUUAUUAUAACUGAAAUUAGUCUCAAAUGGUGUUGAAAAAUGGAAAGCUCAAGUUCAUUAUGAUAAAAGUAGAACAUCAAUAAGAGAAAUAAAAUAAAAUUAUUGUUAGAAACUGUCAAUUAAUUCUUACUCACCACCAUGCAUACUUUGGGUAUUAAAUACCCUUUUACCUCAUUUUAUUGAUGAAUCAUGGCCUCUCUAUUAAUUGUUUAAAACAUAUAUUAAAAAAGAAAUAUCAAAAUUAUAUACGAAAAUGAUUUGCAACAAAUAAUUUAUUUCUAUGAGAAAAAAAAAAUGGCUAUUUAUAUUUAUUUUUUGUAAAAAAAAAGGAACUUGUGGAAGUGUUUAACCUAAGUAUCUUUACAAGAGUAUAAACCUUAUCUUUGCUUUAUAUAUACACUGCUUUGAAUCUGAUCCAGACUCAGCUUCUUGCCUCCUGCUUUUAAUUGGUUUAUGAGCGUUUAUUAGACAGAUUCAAGAUUAUGGGCUAGUAUACCAAAAUUUACUGUAAAUACACUAGGCCUUAGCUCUCUCUAGGGGGGGACAAAACUUUCAUACCGAGCUUGCGACCGCUGGAUCGACUAGUUGGAUUUAUUGGUUCGAUUAUCGGAUUAGCAAUUCUGAAGUUGGUUGUUUUCUAUUGUGCUCGGCCAACUACAACCAACAGACCAUCCCAGAACGCCCAGGAUUAGAUCGAGCCUCGAACACGCAUUAACCUGAAACAAAACCGAGCCAUUCCUUGUGUCAGUAUGUAGUUCAUUUCAUGUCAUUCUAAAGCGUUAUUGGAUUAGCAAAGUGGGUCUGAACACAGUACCAAAAUUUCAAGGUUGGCUUCGACAUGCAAUAACAUGACUGCCAUUCCCCUUCCUCUAUCAAUCUCAGCCUGAAACGGAAGAAAGUAAAGAUGUUACAGAACUAUCAAACUAUUAACAUAAUCGGCGUUGUAUUUAAACCAACUCACCACACAGGCGCAUAUUGUGAUGCCUACAGCUGCCAAUGCUGUUGUGACCUCAGCCAUCAUUCCUAAAAUCAUAUGUGCAAUUAGCAAAAAUAAAAUGAUUAAGAAAGUCUGAUGCAACCUAUAAUGGCUGAAAAAUGAAAGCAUAUUGACCUUAAAUGCCUGGUUGGAUCUCGAUAAACAAGGUUCCAAGACUAUAUGUUAUUCGAAUUCAAGUGUGAGACUGUGAGUGCAGGUAUGUUCAAGUCUUUGUAAAUUUUCAAUGUAUGUGGAGCAUCCUUGGAGGAUCAUAUCCCCAUAUACCCAUAUCCAAAUAUGUGCUUGACAUGGGUAUAGGAAAAUGAAGAGUCGGAGCAGUAUGGACUAAGACAAAUGUCUAUGGGAACAGCUUGGUAGGAUGAUCCACGUUUCCUUUGAAGUCCAAAGAAAAAGGAAACAAGUUAACUAAAGGGCUGUAAGUCAACAGUCUCAUUGGAUCCGUAGCUAUUUCAUAGCAAAAUGUGUCUACUUUAGUCAUUCAAAUUUCUAAGUCACUAGCAUCAAUAUGCCACCAAAUAAGUGUAAAAUAACCUGAACACAAUAGCCAAAAGAUUUACCUCGUCGGUCUAUACAAACGACAGAAAACCACUGGAUAGAAUGUCCUUCAAGAUUGUGCCACGAGGCGAUUUUACUGGCUUGCCAACUUUCCAAACCAGGCAAGACCUCCUUGUGAGGUGGAUUGUUUGCAGGUAUCAUUUUUGCAGCACCAUUGCCCAGUGAAAACAAGUAGCCAUUGGCCUUUGAACCCACAUCCUGUACUUGUUUGUUAUGUUUCCCAUUGACCUUAGGGACCCAAAUACUUCCAUUUUUUGCCGUCAAGGCAUCUUCAGAACUUCUUCCUGGGGUUGAAAAAUCCACAAUGUUCUUCAGGAUCUUCUCCCAUAGAGGUCUGCUCUGUCUGGAACUAUGUGAGAGGUCUUCCAUUUCACUAUCCUCUUCAGAAUAAGCAAUGAAGUCGUUUACUCUAUCUGUUGUUAUUUCCACAGCAGAAAGUGCAGCUUGCUCCCUCAAGAACUAAUUAUUAGAAAUUUAGACAGUCAGUGCCUCAACGGUUAAAGAGAAAAUAAAAAAUAUAUAUAAUUCACAGUUUCAUACUCCAUGCAAUUCAACCUACUUUCAUGAUUUUGUGCCUGGCACUACGUGUUUUAGCAUGUUGCAACCACUGUUUAUGCCUUUGAAAAGCUGAUUUGCUUGAGAGUGCCUGGAACAAGAGGCAAAGAUGUACAUUACGAAAGAACCAGGGUAAUUGCUUGUGCACAAAUGAACUAUAACAUCAAUAUGUUAACGUGGUCAAUUUAGGAUAGCGGGCAACCGAGAAGGCAGAUAAGAAUAUUUGACAGCAAUGGAAGUGGUUCAAUCUGUAACCAAGUCUUCUUCUCUGUCAUAACUGACAAAAUAGUAAAUAUCUCUUCAAUAUUAGGUCCAAUGACCUAUAACCGUACUCUGAAUUCGGUGCACUAACUGCUAGUUUCAAAUUUUUGAAAGAAAAAGAAACACAAAUUUAUAUCAUCGAGCAUAUGAAAUACGAGUUGUCCCACAAUCUAAAUAUUAUCAUGGAAGCAUGUUCUAUUAUAAGCUCAGCAAAAUGGACAUUGAACCACGUUCAAUAUAUACUAACAUUAUAGGUGAUAAUCUCCACAACUUCUGCAUUGGCAAGCACAUGCGUGGGAGAAACAAGAUUACCAUUGACCUGCAAUGAGAAAGCCAAGCAUUGAAUUGGUGCAAUUUGUUGUAGGCUGACACUAGAAUUAGAAAUUAGCAACAUGCAAUACAAAAGUACCUUCGCCGCCACCAUUUUGUUUCCAAUGUCGGUGUGUAUCAUGUAGGCAUAAUCAAUAACAGUAGCCCCUCUAGGCAAAUUUUUAAUCUUCCCAUCACAAGAAAUUUUUAUAAGAGCACUAGUUCCCACAAAAUUAUGGUAAUAUUUUAGCAGAAAUAAAAGCACAAAUUAUGGUUUAUGAAUUAUCAUACCUCUCCCCUUGGGGUAAAGACAAAGAUACGACUGCAUAAGAGAUCUCUGGUUAUGGUAUCUACAAAUUCUCUAGAGCUCAUGUUGCCAACGAACUCCUCUUGCCAUUCUCUGAUUGCAUUGAGCCAACCAACCUGGAGAAAAGAGAAAGCUUCAUCCAUAAAAUUAGCAUUCCUGUCAGGGGCUUUAAAAGGUCUGAAGGAAGUCCUUUAAAGACUAUUCCUAAUGACAACUUGUCAAGGAAACUAGGUAUACCCUGAGUGCUAUGUUUGCAUUGUUAAGGCAAACUAGUUUCCCUCUUGAAUUUCUACCAUUUGGCACAGCAUGCCCAACUAGACCAGUAACAAAGACUCUCCCACUAUAAUGAGCAGCAAUGCCUCUCUCAGCUAUCAAAUCCAUCUCUUCCGUUCUAAUCUGCCAGAAACCAACAAAAGUAAUUUAAUAAAAUAUGUUGCAAAUUUCAAAAAAGAAACAGACUAAAUUACAAUAAGCAUUAUUUGGACUUUCAUUUUUUGAUAAAUUACUAACAUAAAUGAUUCAUCCAGGAUUCAAAAUUGUUUUGAAAGAACUUAAGGAUAUCCUCACAUUAAGAACUUUAUUCCAAAUAAUUUAACUUAGCAAAAAGUUGUUCUAGAAAUAGCUGAAAGGAAUAUUGAGAAUGUAAGAACCUGAACUUCCAGGCGAAACAUGCUUUCAUACAAAAAUGGAAUUACGUUUGUAUGAAGACUUUGAUAGCCAUUAGGUUUUGGUGUUGCUAUGUAGUCUUUCAUCUGUUCAAAAGACAGACCAAUAUUUCACAAAUUAUCAAUAACCUAACAUCAAAAGUACACCAAAAUAGAGGAGAAAGAAGGAUACAUACAGCUCUAGGAACAGGAGUCCAAAUACCAUGGACCAAACCAAGAACAUGGUAGCAAAUCUGCAUGAAGUAAAUGCAUUUGUUACCGAACUACAUAUGCAUUCUUAGACAACUACGUACUUUUUUAUUGGCAAAAAAUGUCACCUGUGAACUGCACAAAGGCCCAACUCCAACCGAUGGCUUUGGUUUUAUGAUUACACGAAGCUGUUUAUAACCAAGAGGAACAAUGUGUCAAUAAGCAAAAAUAAACCAUAAGAAAGUUUCGUGUUAGAUGUCAAGAUGGUUCAAGGAAAUAUCAAAACAGACCUGGGCUAUUUGGUUAACCUCACUGAUUGAACCCUUAGAUUUGAGCACAGAUUUGUACAUACUGUGAUCCAAGAAGAAAAAUUGCAUGUAAGGAAAUUAUCAUUCAAACAUCUGCCUUCAAAGCCAUCAUAAAAAAGCAGGCCACAGGGGAGUGGAAAAUUAGCUACAAGUAUUCAAAGGAACACCACAUUCAAUAUAGAAAUCGAAACCGAUAUCUUAAAUCACACUCAACCUAAUUGUUUUCACGUCUAAUGCGCACUUCACCCAUUGUCACCCACAAAAAUUUCUUAAAACCGUGUCAUAGGUCUUUUCUACUGCAUUAGUGCAUGGUCCCCACUUAAUCAGCUAAGGCAAAUAUUAAUGAAAGUACAGCAAGAAACAUUGCAUAAUGACAAACCUAAUAAACCCAUUCGCUCUUGAUGAUAAGCAUAAAAUGCAGCUUAAAAUAAUUCCCAAAACUUCUAGACAUGUGUAUCAUUAGGACGAAAACUAAAUAAAUAACAACCAAAAACACAGGAAAAAGUGCUUCACCUGUAAGGUUCCUUGCACACUGCACAAAUUUCAGUUUUAAGAGUCAUAAGUUCCAGGAAUUGAUCAUUCUCAAUCUUUUUCAUCAAAAUUUUGUUUGCCUAGUACCCAAAAAAGAAAAAGAAAGAUAAUCAUAACCAAAUAGAUUUGGUAUCAGUUGAAGAACCUUAAAACUUGACACCUCAUAAAAUGGACUUUCAACAUUUAAUUACUAUUUCAAUUAUCAAUCGAUAAUGUUUUUAGAGCUCUUUCUAAAUAAUUUUUGUGAAAAGAGGACAAUGUUUACCUCCAUGAGCUCUUUUUCAUGUUCUUUGUAGAGGUCUGCAAUUCUUCUCUUCACUUUGGCAUAAUCUUCAGGAUUUGUGUACAUGAAGGAUAAAUUUUCAAGUUCAGACUACAAAAUACAAUCAGAUGUGUUAAAACCAAAUAUAAUCUUGAAUUCAUGAGAAUAAAAUAGAAAUUGUAAUUUUUUUAAAAAGGAGCAUAAGGAUGUACCUUAAUUUUAUACAUCCCCAACAAUUUUGCCAAAGGUGCAAAGACCUGCAAUGUCUCCAUUGCAAUGCUGGACUGAAAUAAUACAAUAGAGUCAAAACGAAUAACUAAAUGGUCUAUUUCUAGCUAAGGUUCAUCUUUACCACCAACCUGUUUAUGUGGAGGCAUAUGUGAAAGAGUGCGCAUAUUAUGUAAUCUGUCAGCUAAUUUGACAAUGAUGACGCGAACCUAAAAGGAAACCAUUUGUUUAGCACAUUACAUUCCAUAAAAACAUCAUCAAAUAAAAAAAAUUCACCUCCUCUGUCAUGGCUAGAAACAUCUGCUGCAGAUCAUCAGCUUUCACAUCUUGUACUGAAUCAUUUUCAUUCUUAUACUUCAACUUUCCCAAUUUGGACACCUGAUUAGGAAAAAAAGAUAAAAAAAGAUGCCAAAAUGAGCUAAAACUAUCUAGUGUUUUGUCUGACAUGGCAUUGAGCUAAAGGAUAAUGACUUAUGUUCAUAAAAGUAUAAACAAAGAACCUUGGUCUCUCCUUCUACAAUGCGACGUACAGUAGGACCAAACUCCUCCUCUAUUCUCUGAAAUGUAACAAUAUUUGUAUCUUCCACAGUGUCAUGAAGCAAUCCAGCUGCAAUAGACUCCCAAUCCAAUUCCUAGAACAAUAGUUGAGGUAAGUUAAGACUUCAGAUCCCCAUGCAGAAUCAAUUUUUCAAUGAGAACAAACUUCAAAUUAACUCACAAGUUCUCCAAGAAUACGUGCAACUUCAACUGGAUGAAUGAUGAAAGGUUCUCCACUCCGUCUCUUUUGACCAUCAUGUGCCUCAAAAGCUAGCUGUAUCAAACAAAAAACAACUUAUAGAUAUACGUCAAAGAGAUAAUCCCGGAAAGAACAUGGUAAAACAUUUUGCAAACUGAAGGCCUUACCUUAAGAGCAUUAUGGACCAACUCCAGCUCAUUAGGUGAAAGGUAUGAUAUAGCAGGCUUCAGACCCUAAUGCGAUUAUAAAAAUAAUCAGUAUAAGUUUGAAGAUACUAUAGUAACAGCCUUGCUUGCAGAAUAAUCAAUAUUGUUAUAGACAGGAGGUUUGGUAACAGCAAUUUUACCUCCCACAAACUUUCAGGAGAAAUAUCAUUAGAGGUAUCUGAAGAGAAAGAUGAUGAACUACACAACUGCCACCUUUUACAACCAACAUGAAGCACACUUGAUCUGUAGAGUUUCCCAAGCAGUAUAAACUCAGAAACAUCCGUUGAACACCAUCCUCCUACAUCAAGAGCCUGGCAAAAACACAAGAUUCGACCAUCCCAAAAUUAGGAACAACCAAUGCCUUUGUAUAAAAGUCAUACAUAAGGCAUUGCAAUUCGAUUAAAAGAUAAUAUUUCACCUAAAGGAGUUGGAAAAAAUUGCAUGUCUAUUUCUUUGUACAUAUAUUCUACACCUUAAUCUAAAACAGUCCAGUUUCAAAAUUCAUAUACCAGCAAGGAACUUUUGAACAAUUCCACGCACUCAAGAAAUACAGCAACUUGCAGUAUCUAAACUCAGCAAAUCAUUUCGUUUUUGUCAACCUAACGUUAACUACCCUUCCUAUAUACCAGUUCGCAAUCUGAUUAGAAAGCAGAUAACAAAAAUCAAAAGCAAUACUAUGAAACCAAAACAUCAAUUAUAAUUAAAUCAAGUCAGCUAAAAAAUGCACUAAAUACAAUAAACUCAAUCAAAUAUCACAGCCAAUGUAAGAUAUAUCUUGAAAAACUGAGAAAUUCUAGGAAUCCAAUAAACACUAAGAGGGAAAAACAGAAAUAAACUCACUGGUUUGAUCCGAUUUCUUCUCCCAUGGCGAGCGUAACCAAAAGGGGAAGAAUGAGAAGGAUUAGCCGUGCUUGCAAGGAAUCCAGUUAAGACUCUUGGAGCUUUCCAAGCACACGAAAGCAUGCUACAGUCAUACCUUCCACUUCCUUCCCCUUUCGUAAACUUACAUAUAUUCACACAUUCCACAGAAACUGCAAUCAAACGAAACAAAGGCAAAAAAAAAAAAAAAAAAAAGGAAAGAAAGAAAUCAGUGAACACACAAAUAAAAUCGGAGUUAAAAAAGAUGUAGACUUAAUUUCAUCACACAGUUUCUUCGGUAGCUUCAAAUUUGAACAAAUUCGAAAUUUAACGAAGAAACGAACAGUCGAAAUUCAAACAUAUUUAAACAGCCGAGAACUAAAAUUUCUUUAAAUUUUCCAAAAUUUCUUAUAGAAACAAAGUUCAUCGGAGAAAAUUAGAAAAUCAAAAACAUAAAAAUAAAUGAAAAAAUUAAGGAAGUGAAAAGGUACCGGAUAAAGAAGGAGCAAAGGCCAUGUCUACAACAGCAGAGUAAUCUCAUUGAAUCGAACUAAGCAUUAAAACAGUAACUCAAUCAACAAUCCAUCACAAAAAGAAAAAAGAAUCAAAGAUAAAGGGAAAGAGAAAGGAAUUUCGAGGAAUUUAUCAUUCGAAAUUUGGAAUUGGAGAUGGAAAAUUGGAGCAAUAAGCGAUGGAUUUGAAGCGAGGAGGAGAAUACAAGAGAUAAUCUAGAGAGAGAUAUUGAAGCCACACAAAUAUACCCUUCUCUUUCAGAUAUUUCCUUCUUUUCCUUUUUGGUUAAAUUAUUAAAAUAGACCGUAACUUUUAUAAUUUUACUUAAUUCAACUUUUAUAUUUUUAUUAUAACUAAUUAAGCCCUUUUCAAGUGUCCUAUCAGUAAAUUCCACUUCAAUUCAGAUUUAUUUUGGUUUAAUUAUACUAUUUGUGCUUAUUUAAAUUUGUAUAUAUAUUUUUAAGUAUUUUUUGGAUCGUUAUAAUUAUUUAAAUAUAAUAUUUAUGAUUACAGUUAAAAGAAUAUAGUUUUUUUCAAAAAUAUAUAUAGUUUAAAAUCUUUCUACUAUUUAUUAUUUUAAACUUGUCUUAUUAAAUUUUUAAGUGGAAAUUUCUUGAAUUAAGUAUUUUAAUUUUUUUUCCAAUUAUUAAUUGUGUUUUUAGGUUUUUUUAUCACUCGUGUCCGUUUUACUGUUCAUGUUCAGAAUUUUUGACUGCCCCUCCCAACAAUAUUAUCUUUGAGAUUUGAACAUGUGUCUCUCCUUUAGAAUACCAUGUGCCUUACCAUUGCACCUAGAGGUGUUCAUGGCCCAACAAAAAUUUUUGGCCGGUUUGCUAAGCCUCAAGUCCAACCCGCCAGUAUUAAUUUUUAAUAUAAUUUUUUAAAAAAUAUAUAAUACAUCAAAAUAAAAACAUUAAAAUAAAUGUUUUCCAACAAAUUGAAAAUAAAAUAAAAAAAAUAUGUAUACUUAAAUAACAUUAAGAUAAAUAUAACUUAACAAGUAAAUGUGAAAAAUAGUAACAAAAUUCACAAUAAAACAAGAGUUAUACAAUAUCCAAAUAAUAACAACAAAAUAGUAGCAACAUAAUUAUAAAAUAGUAGCAAAAUAGUGAAGAAAAAAACAACAACAAGAAAAUAGCAAAAAACAGUAAAAAGAAUAGCAUUUAUUUUUGUUUUCAUAUUUGGGCCGGGCUUAGGUCAAAAAAUAUUACCCAAUGUAUUGUCUGUUUUCUAAAUAGAUCUUAUUUUUUGCCCAAAUCUAUUUUUCGAACUUAUAUUUUUACAGAAGCCCUCCUACUUUUCGAACGGACCUUUGAGUCUAGUCGGAUGGCCUGACCUACGGACAGGUCUAAUUGCACCCAACAUUUGAUAUUAUGUUUUUUUUUAUACAAAAUUUAAGAGAUACAUAAAUAAAAUAAAAUUCGAAGCCAAAAUAAUAUUAACUUUACUUUCUCAAUUUUAUCAUUUUAACUAAAAAUAUAUUUAAUAUUCCUUACAAAUUUAUUAAUUAUUUAUUUUCAUCUUGAGUCUAUUAUAAUCUAAUUUUUAUUAAUUGUGGUUUUUUUUUUCCUUCUUUUCCACAGUAUGUUGUUAGGUGAGUGGAAUUUUACUCAAUCGGACAGCUUCAUCGUAAAAACACGUUUCCAUACAUUGGAAUUGACGUUAAUGCCCUUCUUUGCACUAUUUUCCUUUUGUUUACACUAAUAUUUGAUGACAUAAUUGCAGACCUCAGAAAACAAUAUUUUUAUUAAUUUAUUAUAUGGUACGAAAAUAAUACGAAAAAUAAUUAAAAUGUUAUAUAAAAUGUUACAUGACAUAAAAUAAUAAUACGAAUAUGAUAUUAUAACACGUAAAUUCAUGUAAAAACAAUAUGAAUAUAUAAAUUAUUAAAUCUAUAUAAAAAUGAAUAAUAUCUAAAAGUCGUAAUGCAACUACGAUAUACUUUGAUAUUGUAUUUAUUUAUUUUAUAAUUCAAAUUUAAAAAAUGAUUACAUGUUUUAUUUUUAAUUAUAAUUUUAGGAAAAGAAAAUGUAUUAUCUAGACUUUUCUAUAAAUAAGAUCUUCUCCCAAGAUUUUCAAUUUGUUUAUUGGCAUCCUUCUUUGAUCCAAAAAAAAAUAAUUCAAAUCAGUAUUUAUUAUAAAAAAUAAAAAAAAUUUAUUUGCAUAUUAAUAUUUAUCAAUUUUAUAAUUCAAUUUAAAUAAAAUUGUUAUUAAACAUUAAUUCGAGAUGGACAAUUUGAAUUACAAGUUUCCUUGUUAACGACCCAUUCCAUGCAAGCUGCAAUGGCUCCACAAUUGGAGGCAAAAUGAAACAAUCGCUAUAGUUUGAGGUUAAUUUUGCAAUUACGCCAAUUUUAUAUAACAAAACUUUUUUUAAUAAUAUUUUAAGUAUAAUUAUCAAAUAAUCACCCAUAUUUUAAAAUAUACAUACAUAAUUGAAUAUAUCCAAUGAUCGAAUUUGAGAUAAGUGUCGAUCAUGAGAGAAACCAAAAAAAAAAAAAUUAUGAAUCAAAAUUGAAUUGUCAAAAUCUAAAUUUAUCAUUGUAUGAACUUAAAUUUACAAUUUUAGAAGGGUUAAACUAUAAAUUUACCAUCUUAAUUGAAUUAGAUUUUUUUAAAAAGUACAAUUUAAUUAUAGAUUUUAUGUAUAGUUGACUAUAAAUAUAAAAAGAUUGACUUUAGAUAGAGCAGGGUCAAUUAUGAAAUUAUGAGGGUCAAAAAGUGAAGGCCAUGUGGAUAAUGCAUCACUAUAAUGCAAAUUACAAUACUGUACUUUGUUGAAUUAAAACGUGGUUCGUCCAUAAUUUAUUGAAAUAUUCAAUUAAAAUUCAUAAUCGAUGACUUUUUUAUCACAAUCUUUGCAAUGUAUCAAAUUUAAAUAUUUAAGUUAAAAUAUAUCUUUCUUUCUUUUCUUUUCUUUUUUUAAUUUUGGAAUUUAAUUUUUGUAUUUGUAUUUUUGUUCACCCCUACAAUUUAGUAUUGAUACUCGGGUAAGGUAUCGAUUCAUUGAUCCAAGUAUUGAUAUCUUAUGAUUUUGAAUUGACUUUAUGAACAUCGAAGCUAAAAACUGUAUCGAUACCUAGUCUGGGUAUUGAUACCUAUGCUCAUACUUUGAAAAGUUUGCAGUUUGAUCAUUCUUCAGGCUCGGGACAACUUAAGAGCUUUUGUAAGCUCGAUUGAGUCCCGAUUUUGAUUGUAUUACAUAAUAUCCAUGAAAUUAUGUCAUGAAUCAAUAAUGGAAUGAAUUAAUUGCUAUGAAUUGUAUGUGGUUUUUUCCGAUAACUGUAGUAACAUUCCAUAGCCUGAGUCCGGCGAUCAGACCAAGUGAGGAGUGUUACAUUCGAGAUAUGAUAGUAAAGAUUGAAUGUUGAAUAUGAUAUGUUAAAUAGUUUGAACUAUGAUGUUUAGUUUAUGAGACAAUAAACGAAUUUGUGAUAUAAUUAGUAUUUGGAUUUCAUAUGUAUGUACUUGGUAUUUUUGCUUGUAUGUGAUUAAUGCUUUAAAUCAUGUUAGGACCACUGAGCCUUAUUGCUCAACAUACGAUUUUGUUUAUUUCUAUGUGUAAGUAUCGUAGACCUCAAAGUCUCAAAGUGAUUAGUAGCAUCUAGACUCAACUUUCAACUCAACAAGUUUGUACAAUUUUGUUAUAUUAAUAGCAAGUGGCAUGUAACUAAUAUUAAAGUUGGUCCUUAGGUUCAAGUUGUCAUUUUGAUACUUAUGGUUGGAGAUGUUGUACUUAAAUAUGACCAUAUACGUUGAUGAUGAAUAUGUGUAUUAAUUUGAAGGUAUAAUGAUAUGUUUGCUUAUCCAAGUUAUGUGAUGCUAUGAAUUGAAAUUAGAAGGUUGCUUGCAUGCUAAGUAAAUGGUUGUGAUGCUUGAAUCUAUAAUGAAUAAGUAUGUGCCCGGGAUGUGUUUGAAAUGUUGAGAAUGAUGUCGUGACAUCAUGUCCAUGUCAUCAAAGUCGCAAUAUUCCCUUGCUAAAGUUGUGACAUUAAAACCUUUGCCAUCAAUGUCGCAACAUUCUCCUGUUGAAAUCGCGAUAUCAAGUUACUAUCUUCAUGGCCACAACUCAACCCUAUUGAAGUCGCGUCAAAAAGUACUGUUCUCAAUGUCGCGACAAUACCUCUAUAUUGGUUUUUUUUACAUAUUAGUCCAUCAUUUAUUACUGAAGUUUCAUAAAAGCUUUAGUAAGCCUACUUAUAACCCGAAUAUGAAUAAUUAAUGUUAAUAGAAGUUUUAGAACUUAAACGUUUGCAUGAUUUGUCUUUUGAAUAUUGAAAUGAAAAUUGUAGUUGCUUCAGCAAUGAAUGUGACAUCUCAUAUCUUGGACCGACGAUCAGUUCAGGUGUAGGGUGCUACAGAUAAUAAUGGGGAAAAAUGAGGAUAUUGAAUAAAUUUGUUGAGAAAUAUAAACUUGGAAUAGAUUGGACACAAUGAAAGUAGAAUUAAAUUUGGGAAGUUUUUGAACUAGUCGUCCAAACAUCUAAAUGUAUAAAGUUAGUGAGGGUACAAAUGUGUAGUUUUAUGAAAACAUGAUAAGAAAAAUAAAGUUUUUCACUAAUCCUAGUAUUGAUUAUGAAAAGAUAUAAUAUUCUUUUGUAGUGGAUGAAAUGACAUUUAGAUAUCUUAUUGGUUUGGCGGUUAAUGAAAAUUUGGCAUGCAUCUAAUGUUUGUUGUUAUAGACUUUUAUAUGAAUCAUUAUAUAGUGGAAAUUUAUAUUAAAAUCCUUGAAGGAUUUAGAAUACUAGAAGCAGAUAAAAAUCUUGAAAAAUUGUUCAAUAUGUUUGCGUAAACAUUUAUAUGAAUUGAAAUAAUUUGAACAUAUGUAGUAAAUUUGACUUAUUGAAUAGUAGUUAAAGGAAGAUUAUAUGAUCCAAAAUACUUAUAUGUACUUUUAUAAAAGGAUUAUGAUAAAAAUAUGUUAUGAUUAUUGUUGGAACUCCUGAAGAAAUCAAAAUAUAUUUCUCCAAAAAAAUCUUCCUCACUCGUGACUUUCAGAAGAAUGAAGAUAUAAACGUUUAGCAAAUCCAUUCAGGUGAUCAAGCUAGUAUUCAAGAUUGAAUACGUAGAAUGCGAGAUAUUACGUGAUGUUGUCAUGAGAGGGAGUAAAUACAUGUUUUACUCUUUUUCCCUUAACGGAAGUUUUGUCCCACUAGAUUUUUCUAGUAAGGUUUUUAAUGAGGCAACAUGUUAUACAUAUUAUAGAUAUAUAUACUUUUUUUCCUUCACUAGCAUUUUUUCCCCCACAGGGUUUUUAUCUUAAUAAGGUUUUAACGAAGUACAUUAUCUACCAAACAUCCAAUGGAGAAUGUUAUGAAUAUUUUGUUAAUAAGUGAAUCCUCAUUAAGAUAAAGAUAAGUUUGAUGUACUUUAGGACUCUAAUAUUCAUUAAAAGUUGAUUUUUAUUUCAUUUAUACUUUUUAUAUCUAUAAAUAUAGACUUUAAAGAAGCAUUAUAAAUAUUCCUAUUAAUCAAUAAAAUUCAGAGUUGUUGUUUUGUACUUUGUUCUCUUUGUUAUUUAUUUCAUAAUACAAACCAAUUAAAUUAAUUUAUGUUAAAUUUUUUCUUUGAUGUCGGCCGAAUUAUUUUUUUUCCCAUGGUAAAUAACAGAUGAAAAAUGUUUUAUUUAUCAGAGUUAAAAAAAGGGAUAAUAUUGUUGUGAGUUUAAAAAUAAAUUUGAAUUUGGGCGAUGUUAGAUGGUUGAUUCAAGUCUAGUUUAAGUAUGAUAUUAAAUUUUUUAUAUUCAUUCAAGUUUAACUCAUAUAAAAUAUAAAUCUAAAAUUUUUCUUAAGUUCGUCUAUAUUUAUAAAUAUUUUAAUCAAAUUCAUUUUAGGCCCAUUCAUAUUAAUUUUUAAAUUUUCUAAAGAAAAAUUAUAUUUAUAUUUAAUCCAAUAUUUAAUCAUUUAUAUAAUUUUAUUUCUUAAUUUUCUUUUUGAAAGACAUUUAUUAAAAUAUUAUAUAUAGGCAAAUAAACAUUUUUUAAUGUUAAAAUUAACUAUUAUAUAUUACUUUAUAUUUAAUUUUUACGUGUUAUAAAUUAUAUAAUAUUUAAAAAUAACAUAAUAUAAUACAUUAGAAACUUAGAAAAUGAGCCGAGUCAGACUCGAACCUUAAAAUUUUGAACCUGAGCCUAAGCCCGACUUAUAUUUUAGGCGAGCUUAAUUUUUUUAUAAACUUAAUUUUUGGACUUAAUAUUUUUGCUUAAACCCUCUCAAAUAUCGAGUGAGCCUUUAAACUUUGAUGAGUAACUUCGCCUCAAAACUUUUGUUGAAUUCAGUAAAAGAAAUAUAUUAAACAUAAAAAGAAAAUUUCCGAAGAUGCUGAAUAGAUUCAUAAAUAAAAUCUUAUUUUGACGGAAUAGAUAUCACUUUAAAUUUUAAUUUAAUCGGUUCGUACAAUUAUUGCAUUUAAGUAGCUAGAUUGAUAUACAUUUAAGAAGUGGUCAAAAAUAGAACGACGUCUAACGCAUUGAUACAUAGUUGUCGAAACAUGAUAUUUCUAUGAGGCAACUCCAAUUGAUUCCCUGGCAUUUUCCUCAACCCGUUGUCGCAAGUGAUCGCGUCAUCAAUGGCCGAUUCCAAAAACAUUUUUGUAUCCUUGUAGUUCUUCGACACCAGUGAUGAUACCGCGCCAUCGAGCUGCUGUGUCGCCGAUAUGUAAUUAUCUUCGCAAUCCUGGAAGUUCUGCUCCACUGCCGGCUCCAGUUUCUUUGUGUCGAGUGUCUUCUUGAUGUAGAAAGAUGUGUUCGUGCCAUUAUUCGACGCCACCUUGAUCGAUAUCAAGGCAAGCAUGGCUAAGUCAGCACUUUUGCUGGCAUGUUCUGCCAUGAGGCUCGAGAUGCAAAGAUCUUUCGCCUUCACCUUCUCGCAAGCCUGCGCAACUAACGGGUUGUUCCCAUUGGCAGCAUUUAUCGGCGGUGAAAAGGAGAGGUAAAGACAGAAAAUACCUACAAACAAUACAACAUUAUUUAUGACAAGCCUCAUUGUUGUUGUCUCCUUAUAGUUUUUGCCCUCUUUUUCCUUCUCGGGUUUUUUUAUUCGGAAUUUUGUAAAAUUUGAGUUCGUUGUGUUUUUAAAUAAUGAAAAAAAAAUGAUAGUGUGAUUUUUUUCUUUUAAACAACAAUUCGAAGUCACUACGUUAAGUGCAGGAAGCUUCAAUGAUAUCUAAAAAUGAUGUGGUAAUAAAACAAAUUCAAGAAACAAUGUUUGGACGGUAAGAUUCAAAGAGAUACGCGUAGCCACUCGAUCAUUAUGAAUUGGAUCCGUUGUUGAAGGGUUUGACCCCUAAAUUUAUUGUAUUCUGAUUUAUCGGAUCCUAAUAGAUAGUACAAAUUUGAAUAUAUCUUAUUUGUAUAUUGUAGAUUUAAAUAAUUCGAAUUUAUAUAAUCUUUGAUUUUGAAUAUUUUAAUUAUUAUUUUUAAAAAUUUUAUUUUUACAAAAAUUGCAUACCCCAAAUCCAGCUACCAUCCCAAAUACAAGGCCUAGAGACUCAUCAAGGUGUUAAAAGUAUUUUGAUCCCUUUUUAUUAUUAAAAUCUCUUUAUUUAUUUUUUAAUACCAUUUAUAUUUAUAUUACGGUCUAUUUUGAAAUUUUGUCCCUUUUAAUAAUAUCAACUACAUAAAAUUGCACAACUUGCAAGAAAAGCACUUUAUUUUUUUAAAAAAAAAAAUCAGAAUUUAUCUUAAUGGAUUUUUGUAAUAUUUAUUUUUAUUUGCCGGUUGUAUUAUUGAUAUAUUUAAUCACACUAAAAAACAUAUUAUUAUCAGAUGUUUAAUAUUAUGUUAGAUUGCUAUUUCCGCAUGAUAAUCACGAAAAUGUAACAUCAUUUUAGUUAAUAGAUUUGACAAUUACCAUUUAAGUAAUGAUUGUAAUUUUAAAACACGACAAGCAUAAAGACUAAAAAUAUCAAAUUGAAAAAGAAGAAAAAAACUAAAUCCGCAAGUUAGCAAAAAUCGAUUUGCUCAAUAAAUCAACUUGCUUGAGAUCAAAUUGAUUGUACCCAGAUGAAAACAAUCUGCAAAAUACUUGCAAAACAUCUAAGAUUCCAAGUAAAGUUACCGUUAUAUUAGCUGAUCCUAACAUGGGGCAACAUAAUCUCUCAUAUUUAAUUCUGAAAAUGGAAACAAUGGAUGGAUAUCCAAAAUAGAAAAACAUGUUCAAUCACACUAAAAAAAAAAGGGAAAAUACCCAUUUCGGUGAUGAUAGGUUGAUAGCGGUGAACUCAAACCCUGAAGCCUUUGCUGUUCCUUCUUCCUCUAGCUCUCUCGAAUUUCCUUCCAUUUGACCGCACGUAGGGCUUGGUGUGGCUGUGUGGCACACCAGGAGCUGGUCCGAAGUGCUUCACAGCUUCACGAGCAUUCUUUGGACCUCGGAGGAGAACCUGCAUGGUAUAUUUCAACCUUAAAAUCUCAGUCCAUUUUUAUCAUUCCACAAUAUUGAUAAGUUAGCAAAUGCAUUUCCUUUUCGUAAACCCCCUAAUUAAAGCUAGGGUACUCAGACUCGAGUGUUAUAUCCUAUACAUGCUUAACUUUUUUCUACAUUUUUCCAUGUAUUUGAAGGAUUGUACCUCCCUACCCGUGUCUGAAAAUGUAUCAAACAUAAAUGCUUCAAGAAAAUGAAAUGCCAGAGCAGCAUAGUAUUAGGUUGCCAAGAAAAAGAGAAACAGGGGUAAUCUUUAAAAAUCCAAACAUUUCAUAAGGGAGCUUCUGAAAAUGUUUUUCAAGCCUUCUAAUCAUUACGGUUAAUUAUAAAGUCGAACAUUCAAAAAAUCAUGAGUAAAAGAAAACGAUUUAAGUUGAGCCCAACAUAGGAAGCAUGAACACAGACACAUAAUAAGGAUAACACGUACACGAAACAAUUUAUAAUCAGUGUAAAAGCAAAAGGACUGCCUUUACAACUAAAUUAUCAAAAAUGAGUUAAUACAUAUAUCUAUACGGAGAUCACAAUAAAUGACAGAUGAAAGAAACAAAUAACAGUUGCAGUAGGAAAUGCUUAUCAGCUCAAGAAUUUUGAUUAAAGCUCAAUAAGCACGGAUACGGACACACAAUACUGGCAACAGGUAUGCUCAAACUAAUGAUUCUGCUACCCUUAAACUAGAACAUGAAUUGAUAUAAUCAUAUAGCUGCAUGAAGAGCUUUAAAAUGUUUAUCUUCUCUCUCGAACUAGGAUGCCAAAUCUCGAAACAUUUUUGGGUUCUAAGUCAUUAGAACAUUGGAACUUCAUACAGAUCAAACUAGCAGGUUUUAUCAUAUCUAUUACCUGCCAAAAGCUAGCAAAAAACACAAGCCAAAACAUUCCUAUCCAAACAACAAUGGUGGAAGCUAACUGAAGUAAAAAAAAGAAGAUUUGGAAGAUGAAGCAAAUACCGUGUUCUGCCCAAGAGGUGCUCGAAGAGCAAGUUGGUCAAACGUUAAACAUUCCCCACCGGCCUUCUCGAUCCUUGCCCUCGCCGUCUCAGUGAACCUUAAUGCAGUAACCUUCAGUGCCGGAACUUCAUACACUCGAAUGUCAUCGGUGACGGUCCCAACUACCACAGCGAUCUUAUCCUCCUGAUUGAUCAAACCAAUAACAACAUCAAUCUCUCGUCAUAUGAAAAAAAACAAUCAUAUUUUUAAAAGAGAAAAUUACCUUGCCCUUCAUGUAUUGAAUCAAUCUGGAGAGAGACAAUGGCGGUUUGUUGACUUUGCUCAUGAAAAGCCGCUUCAAAAUCACGGCAUUGAAUUUGCUCCCAGUCCUCCUUACUAGAAACCUGUAAAGCUGGCCGUAGAUCCAACACAUACGUUCGAAAAGAAAAUCAAAAAAUUUCUCCGUUAAACAGAAGAAAAUAAGAUGAAACGACUGGAGAAAGCGCGGGAACCUUGACGAGGAGCUUGAGGUAGAUAUCAUCAGACUUCGGAGCAGUUCGCUUUGUCUUCUUGCUCUUGCCGCCGGCGACCAAAUCGAUACCCUGAAAUUGCAACGAAAAUUUUGUUGAAAGCUUAAAGAGACAGAAAAGAGAUUAAUUGAUGUUAGGGAUUUGGAGAAGCUGGAGAUACCAUUGCCGGUGAUCACUGCUGCUUCGGGGGAAGGGGGUGGGCGGCGCUGCUGAAAGAACAAAUGGCCUUAAGGGGGAGAAAGGUAGGGUUUUGUUAGGGAAAAUGGUGAAAUUCCGUUCAAAGCUGAAGUCCAUUGAUUUCAAUGCAGCCUAUAUUUUUGGGCCGUUAGAUCUGAUGAUCCGCUAUAUCUGAUUAUACUCCAUUGAAGGGUCCGGCCCGCAUGGAAAAAUUGCCUCUAAUGAUUCAAUUGCUUGCAAGUCCAAAUAUGAUUAAUUUACCUAUAAAAGUCCAUUUCCAAGUAUAUUUACGGAAAUGGGCUAAUUUUUGUAUUAUUUAUUAGAAAGGGCCGAUUUUGGUAAAACGCGUCCACGUAGGAGCGUUUUAAGGUGAAAUUUCAGCAAAACGCGCCCCUGGAGGAGCAAUUUUCCAUGUCAGCACAAAACGCGCUGACGUGGAUGCACUUUGUUGACGUGGCAAAAUCGCUCCCCUAAGGGUGCAUUUUGCUCCGUGUUUUUUUCUCCAACAGCUAUUUUAUUUUUUGACUGUUGGGGGGUCCAACAAUAAAAAAAAAAGAAGUAUAAAAACCCCCUCAUAUUAUUUCACAUAAUAUUUCUUCAAAUUUUGGCAAAAAACUCUUUAAUUUCUCCCUAAAUUUCUCAAAGCUCUCAAAUUUCUCCUUAAAUUUCUCAAAGCUCUCUUUAAUUAAUUUUUUCCUUUUAAUUUUUUUCUAAAUUAGUAUUUUUUUACAAUUUCAAAAAUAUUUGAUCAUGUUAACAAUGGCUAGGGAAUUAAUUCGUCUCGAUCAUAAACAUAUCUCUGUCGAAUAAAUGAAAAUGGUAAGGGUUAAUUUUAAUUUUUGAAUAUUGUUUAAUAUUUUUUCAUUUAUGUAAUUUUAAUUAAUUUGUAUUUUAUAAUUUUUUAUAACAGUCUGUAGAUUGGGUGUUACAAUGUUAUAUUCGUAAUCUGUCUGAUCCUCCAUCAUCGUUGAUAGAAAAUUACUUGAGGGGAGCGGGUUUUGGCACAUGGGCAUUAUAAUUCGAGGGUGCAAGUAACUUAUCAGCGCGUUAAUAAAGAGGUAGAGACCCGAGACGCACACAUUUCAUCUUCCAUGCGGAGAGUGUACUAUCACUUUUGAGGACGUGCAGUUAUAAUUAAGAUUGUCGGUGGAUGGGUUCGCACUCACAGGGCCCGUUCAAUCUACUGAUUGGGGAGCCAUAUGCUACGAUCUUUUAAGUGUAAUUCCGGAUAAUAUUUAUGGAGGUCGGAUGGAGAUGGGCUGGUUACGAGACACAUUCCCGGAGCCGGAGAAUGAUUCGAAUGAAGUAGAAAGAAUACGAUAUGUUAAGGCAUACAUCCUUGAGAUGAUUGGAGGUUAUUUGAUGCCGGACUUGUCACGAAACCUCCUACAUCUGAGGUGGCUGCUGAAACUCAUUGAUUUUAGAGCAGCUGGCGAAUUUAGUUGGGGGUUUGUCGUGUUGGCAACAUUGUACCGGAAGAUGAAUGGGGCGAUGCCACCAAAUAAAGCCAAAAUCAGAGGUUGCCUAUCACCACUACAAUUAUGAGCUCGUUUCGCUUUCUAUUUUUACGUCUCCGAGUAAACCACCCAUAUACAUUUCCACUCAUAACGAGGUAAAUUUUUAUUUGAUUUUACAAUUAUUACAUAGAUUUAAAAUAAAUUUGUAUGCUAACAAUUUAUUUAAUUAGGUGGAACCAUCCGGUGAGUUAUGUUGGAAUACCUACCGCUCUUAAAGAUAUACGACUUCUAUUAGACCAACGGUCGGAAGUGCAAGUAAGUAUUAAAUAAAAUAUAUAUACAUAAAAUAGUUGUUUCAUAUUUAGUAUUUAGUAUUAUGUAUAUAACUAAUAUUUUUAUCAUGUUCAUAUAGUUUCAAUGGACACCAUAAGAGGAUCUGACAAUUUGGGCAGUAAUUCUGGAUGAAUUCUUUCAAAUUUCGAACAUUUGGCAUGUUAAGGUCCCAUUGGUCAACUAUGCUACUGUCAAGAUGCACCAGACAAAUAGAGUGUUACGGCAAUUUAAAUUCAGACAACAGAUUUUCGAGGCACCUAAGGUGCUCGAAAAAGAGCACAAAAUUGACUUAUGGUAAACGAAUGUGAUUUGGUCGGUAUUUUUCUCAGAAUAUAUCAAAAUUUUGGAAAAUUAGUAUGAUCAUAUACCUACUCACGAACCGAUCAUCAUUUUAGAGUUAGCAUGCGCGGCGGAUUACAUAUCAUGGUUUUAGGAUUCAUGGCAAGUCAUAUUUGCUGUCGAAAUAGCAGAGGCGUCAGUAAAUCCGUGUGGAAAGGGAACGACGGGGCCCUUUAAAUCCAAGAAUAAGGGAUGACGGCACGGGUCCAUCAAUAGUGCCCACACAAUCACCGAGUCUAACGCCUCAACUGACGACACCCAUACCACAGCCCUUCAGAUUAUGCCAAGUGUGUAUCCUAGCCCUUAUAUGUAUCCUAACCCUUAUAUGUUUCCUUUUUCCAGUCCUAUACCAAGUUGGAAUACAUGGCCUGGUGUAUCUCCUUUUCCGAUGACUUCGACUCAACCGACGAUAUAUAGGCCAUCGUCGCCGGAGGGAUCGCACUAGGUAUCGUCGAGGAGCUUAUCUCAUUACCAAUCCCCAUCGCCUUAUGAGAUUCAAACACCUCCACCGUGGGUGAUGCAAACACCUUCAUAUUCUUUAUUUUAUCAAUGUGGGUCAUCCUCCCAACACCUACAACCGGAGCAACCACAACCCCCGCCGGAAGCUAAACCAAGGAGGAAUCCAGCGCGUAAUCGUCGACCACCCCAUAUGGCACUGAUUCCAACUGGCACAUACAUUGAUUUUUUUAAUAUAUCUGUAAAGCUAUUUUUAUAUUAUUUUAUUUAAUAAAAUGAAAGUUACAUUUAAUAUUUUAAUAGUAAAUUAUUUUUAUAUUUUUAAUAAAAUAGAAGUUAUUUUGAAUAAGGCAAUAGAAAUAAUGCAACAUAGUUUCAUUACAGCAAUGUUGCACUGUACACUUAGCCUCAAACUUCUCGAAUUUGGAUUUAACCACGUUGUAGUUAACCCUGUGAUUUAUGCUAUGUUAUUUCAAUGCACCAAGAAAACUAUCAUUACUGGAAAACUCCUUACCAACUUCCAAUUCACCUGAAUCCAAAGAAGAACUUGUACGGUCACGGUCACGGUCACGCCUUCUAUGCGGUAGAUCUGGAAACUCCAACGCAUCAUUUGUUGAUAUAUCGACAUUAUGCAUGUGGGCUGGAGGCGAGUACGCCCUGAAUCGUGGAACUUCAUCAUCAUCAUCUGAACCCCCUUCAAUGUCUUCAGGUUCGGAUGGAACAAGUCCGAUUCAGAAAAUAAUACAACUUCUGCACCAUCGAGGCCGAGAUCUCGAGAUGGAUCCACAUCAGACUCAUCAUCCAACCCACCAUCAUCUGUAAUGUACGAGGUCCCCUCACCGGUGGACGUUGUAGGGAGUACAUCAUCCCUUUUUGUGGACGUUUUGUAACGUCCCUAAUUAGAUGUGGAUUGCCAACCACUAAAAGUUGAUGUCAUUCCCCAAUAAGUAUUUCUAGCAUCGAACAUCGACCCACCAAUAUGCAUGUCCCAACUACUAACCGAGUGUCGUGUAGGAGUUGUAUAUUACAUACUGCCACCCAACAUGGGCGCUUUCGUGUUCUGCCUCCCACUAACGGAGUGUCGGAUAGGGAUCGUGUAUUCCUCUCGAACAGCAGUAAAUGUUGAAGUCACAAAUGUUUCAUUUAGCGAGAAAAUUGUACAUAUAACUCAAGAUAGGGCAAUCCACUAGCGAGAUGAGUCUGCACUAUCGCCUCAAAGCUACGACCACCUUUGAUAUCAAAUGAGUCAUAUACACGGGAUCAAUCGAAGCACAAAAUCAAUACUUAAUAGAAGAAACACUCAUUGGCGUCGUUCUGAAGAUUUAGCGCCUAAUUCUUUUACAAAAUUCUAUCAAAUCUAUAGUCUAGUUAAAAACUAGUCGCAUUAUUUUCUCUGAUAAAAAAACAACACCAUUCUAGAUGUCACGGACCUCACCAUCAUAGUAAAUAAUAGCAUUAAUAUGUUCACUCAUCUUCAAUUUCUAUUCUGCUUAGCCUCUCUAAUUUUUCUUACUGUAACUUAUGCAACAUGAGAAUGAAAUUUGACUCAUUUAUAGCCUAAGACCAAACAUGAACUACUGUAGAAAUAGAACGUCGACUUGGGAGUUUUUUUCAGUAAUUUUGCUGACAAUGCAUCCUGCUUGAAACGUUUUUGACACUAUUUGUUCAGAAACGUCUUCUCAAAAUUAUUUUUUCAGGUACUAUAGAAAAAGAAUGUCCACGUGGAAGCUUUUUUUAGUAAUUCUGCUGACAGUGCAUCCUGCUUGAAGCAUUUUUCACACUAUUUGUUCAGAAUUAUAUUAUCAAAAUUAUUUUUUUGGGAACUACUGUAAAAAAAAUAAAAUCCUUAUUGUCAAUAUAAUUUUCCCUAAACCCUAAACCUAAACACAAUAUUAUUUUAAAAAAUAAAACCUAAUUUAAUUAAUUUUUUAAAGCCCUUAAACCCUAAUUUUAAUAAUUUUUAAAAAAUAAUACUAAAUCCUGAUUUAUUUUUUAAAAUUCCUAAAACCUAGAACCCUAUUAUUUUAACAAAAUCAUAAACCCUACAAACCUAAGCCUAAAUUAUUUUAACAAAACUCUAACCCUAAAAACCCUAGGGACUAAACAUGCAAAAAGCCCUAACCUAGAAAAAAUACGGAGCAAAACACGUCCUAGAGGAGCGAUUUUGCCACAUCAGCAAAAUACGUCCACAUCAGCGUGUUUUGUGCUGACAUGUCAAAAUCGCUUCCCCAAGGGAGCGUUUUGCUGAAAUUUUACCCUAAAACGCUCCUACGUGGACGCGUUUUGUCAAAAUCGGCCUUUUCUGGUAAAUAAUGCAAAAAUUGGCCCAUUUCCGUAAAUAUACUUGGAAAUGGGCUUUUAUAGAUAAAUUAGUCUCCAAAUAUUUACGUGAAAUAAAAUAUUGUUUUUUAAAUAAAAAGCAUAUCAAAUAUAUAUUAUUUUUAAUUUUCAAGACAUAUGCCAUGUUUUUAUUGGUCGGUAGUAUAAAAGUUAACGACGUUAAUCAUAUACUUAAAAAAUAAGUAUUCAAGUCGAUUAAGUCUUAGAUUAAGUUUGAUUGGCAUGAACAUUAUUACUGAUAUUAUAAGAAGAUUUGGGUUUGAGUGCAUUGAAACACAUUAUCUUCCAAAUGAUGUUAAGUUAUUUUAAUUUUUUAAUUCAUAUUUUAAUUAAGUGAUGUUUUGUUAAAAAAUAAAUUAUUUAAAUUACUAUAUUUAAUUUUUAUCCACAACUAUUGAAAAUAGUAUAAAACAUUAUAUUAAUGAAGUUUAAAUUAUAACAUAAAUUAUUUUUGAAAUUUAUUUGUAUCAAACAAAAAUUUUGUACUUAAUUUUCACUAAAAUAUAAUUUUAAUAAUUAUAAAAUUCGAUUAAAAAAUCAGACUAUCAUAAAUAAUUAGUACUAAUUUCUUAUUGCUUGGUUCGGAAGUGAAGAAAAAAAUAUUACAGCAUCAAAUCAAUGUCGUUGUAUACAAAGAAUAGUGCAGCAUAUACCAUUCUUCCUUUAAGACACCGCCUCCGGCAGAUAAAAUCGGAACAGAGUCACGGACACAGCCUCGUCAAUCCAUUGUAUUAUUAACGAUUUUAUUGUUUGGUGUACUUUAUAACAUAUUUAGUUCUUCUUCAACAGCACGGCUCUGAGCUGGGCGACAUCAAUCUCGUUCCCACAGUUCUCCGGUCUAUAACAUCCGGUAACCGGGUCCGGAACCCACGAAACCUUCUCUUUUGUCUCUUCCCUUGCUUGCUUCGCCACCGCAGCGUUGCUUGCCGCUCCUCCUCUUACUCCACUCGAAACAACACCUCGUGACGCUGACGCCGCCGCCGAAUAUCCUCGUCUGAACAAAACAAGAACCCAACAACAUCAUACACAGCCCUGGAAUGCAAAUGAAAAGAACUUAUAUUAAUGGUACCUGGAGAUAGCGUUAAAGAUUCCAUUGACAACCAAGGUGGAGAAAAGCUUAGCCAUUUUUUUUUCUUAUAAAAAAUCAAACUCUUUUCCCUAUGGCAAAACUGCAAAAGCUUUAAACUUAAUAGUUAUGGAGUGUUUGAAAGAGGGGAGUCUCGUUGCCUUUAUAUAGAGACCCGUGAGAGAGAACGAUAACGUGAAACGGCAACGUCGUCAACACAAACGACAGACCUCUCUUUUGCUGACACCUGGCUCUCAUGUAUUUAAUUAGGUGACCUAUUUAAUUAUUAAAUAGAUCAAUUUUCCUAUUGAACCAAAGAGGGUCAAGGACCCUGCUUAUCCCUCGUUGGUUACGCUCCCGUUUACAAUUCAACUUCAAGCUAUAUAUUUCAUCCAUAAAAUUAUAAAUAAAUAAAUAAUCUUCAAAAUAUAAACUUGUUAAAUGAUAAAUUAUUUUUUCAUCAGUAAAUAUUAUUUCUAUUCAAUUUUAAUUUAUUUGAUUAUUUUUAAUAUUAUAAGGACUAAAUUAAUUCUUUUAAUAAUAUAAGGAUUAAUUUAAUUUAGUUAGCAGCACCUUGCAAAUAUAUUCACCGAAUGGAACUAUCAACUAUCAAGCGAGCUAAAAAGAGGAGUCUUUAAUGGGUUGAUUAAGAAAGAAGAAAGGUCGAGGUGAGUCCUCUUAAGUUGACUGAUUUUCUAACCGUUGAUUAGGAGCUGAGGAGGAUAUCACGUCCGUCCACGUUUAGAAAAAGAGUGGUUAGUUAGAAAACAGACGCGGCGGAGUUGCCUCUUCUUUGAUGAUGAACAAUGCAAGGGGGUCAUCGUAACUUCCUACACGCGUCGCCCUUGGGGUAUAAUUGUUAUUAUGAAAUUUAUAUAUAAAGUUCAACAACCAAUUGUUGCUAAGGUCUACUAAUUUUGAGGUUUCUAACACACAUAUAUAUCAUUUUUAUUAAUAUUUUAAUAUUAUAUAUUUUCUAAAAUAUUUUUUUAAUUAACAACAAUUGCAUUGAAAAGUUAUAAUACUUUAAUUAAGGGUGAGAUUGGUUGAAUGGCGGGAUAUGAUGCGUUUAAUUUACUUUUUGUCUCACCUGCUUUUACACUAAAUGUACCGUCCAUCCAAACUCACCCUAAUUGUGUUGUAUAAAAUCAUAAUUUAUAUUAAUAAUUGUGUUAUGUAAAAAUUAAUAUUACGCAAUAACACAAUUAUUUUUGGUAGAAUAAAUCAGUAUUAAGUGAUUACAAAAAGAAAAUCAAAUUAAGACAUCAUAGAACCAUUAUAAUCAACCUAGGUUCUUACUAAAAGUAGUGACUCUUCAAUCAAUUGUAAUCUCAUGAAACCUGUAACAAUAUACUUAGUCAAAUGAUUCGCAACAUCAUUCUAAAUUCUUAGAACAUAGCGAAUACGAACCUUUCAUUUUUGGUUUAGCAGUUGAUAAAUUAGACAAAAUUCUACCAAUCUACUAUCGGCGACUUCACCAGCUAAAAUCUUCUCCACUAAUAGAGCAUUAUCACAUUUCAAUUCCAAUUGUUUGAAUCCCUUAUCUAAUGCUAAAUUUAUGAUCUGUAAUUUUUAUUAUUCUAAUUUUAAUGUUUUAAAGAUUUUAUAAAAUCUUGAAAGUAUAAUAAAACUUUAAAGAAAAUAUCUUACCCCAAAGUUUUUUUUUUAUUACUUUACUAACAAAUUAUGCACGUUAUGUUGUUAAUUGAUGAUAAAUGUAAGUGUGUUUUCCCCCUAUACAUUAAACUGAGAAAAUAUUUAACAAAAUAGACAGGAUUUUUGAAUAUUUAGCAAAAUAAUAUUUUGCUACAGUGUAUGGGUUGAAGUUGGAGCUAGGAGGAUUAGACUUUAAAAUUGUGGUGUUAUAAUAACGAUAGAACGAUCAUAAAGUAAUAAGAAAAUAAAAAUAAAAACAAAAACAUACAGAUUUUACGUGAAAAAUCAUUUUAGAAAAAAUCACGAGCAGGGUAAGAGAGAUUUACUAAUGUUAAAAAACAAAUAAUAUACAAUAAGAGUUUCAACUACAUCUAUUUAAAAGUUGAAAAACUCUAUUCUAAUUAAAGUUAAAUAGAAUAAGAAUAGUUUUAUACGGAUUUAAUUUAUUUGAUAUGAUCUAUUAAUAAAAUAUAUUGUUGUUUUUUUAAGAAUUUAAAAGUUAGAAUUUUGGAAUAAUUUUGAUCAUCCAUUUAUAUUCAUUAUAAUGGUGGGAUGUAGCUUGGCUUAUAAAUAAAAAGGCAACAUAGCAUAUUGAGGUGAAUAACACUUGGUGUACUUGUAAGGGUCUAAAGACUAGCUAAUGCUUCUCAAAGUGGAUAAAGGGUUAUCAUUUUAUAGAAAGUUGACUUUGAACAUACGUCGGUGUCUGUUUUGUAGAGCUAAAAGUAUUCUAGAAAGAGAUAUAAUAAAUAUUAAAUAUAUAACAAACUAAUUAAUGAUAUUAUAAGUAACAAUAUGAUGGGUAUAUUAAGAUAUUAAAUUUCGGUUUUUUUAAAUUUUUGAAUUAAUUUUUUUUGAAAAAAUAUAGAACUAAGUUAAUUUUAUAGAAAAAAUUAAGGAACUAGGCUAAUUUUAAAGAAAAGUUAUUAGAAGCGUUUUUUAGGUGAUUUGCAGAAAAAACACUUUCUAACUUGAAAUAUUUUUUGUCACAUCAGCACAAAAGUGGCAACACCAAUAUUUUUUUUUAUUUUUUGGUUCCACCUAUUAAUGUGGAAAUAAAACUUACAAAACAUGUAUUUAUAUAGACCCCGAGUCUCAUUUCCCUUGUUUUCUUAAGCAAUAUAAGAUAUGAGUAUAUAGAGACUUAUAAUUCAUUUACAACUUGUUCCUAGAUAAUGUGAGAUUACUUACUCUUUCAACUAACAACAUAAGAUUAAAUGUUAUACUUAAUUUUUAAAAAUUAAAGACAAAACUUUGUAUAACAUUAAAUCUAACAAAAUAAAAUAUUAAAUACUCCUAUACAAAUAUUAUUGUUAUAAAAAAAGUCCAAUAAAAAAAAAAGACAAAGUUACAAAUAUAAAAAUUCACUAUAUUAUAAAACCUUAUUUUUUUAUAUAUUUUAUUUAUCUAAAUAUUAAAUAUUUUUUUAUAUCUUAGUUAUAUUUCUUUUAUAUUAUAUUAUAUUAUAUUAUAUGUUAUAUUCAUUCUAUUAGUAUAUUCUAUUGUAAUAUAAUAUUACUAAUAUUAUUGACUUCAUUUUUAUUUUCUAGUUUAGUAUAUUUUGCAUCCAAAUUAUAUAGAAAUUUUUUUAUAUAGAUGGAUCGAUUUAAUAGAUUUAAUAUAGAUUAAAUUUGUUUCUAUUUAGUUUAGAGUUCUAAAUAGAGAUAAUUGGAGAUAUUAUGCGUUACUAUAUGUGUAAUGUAACCUUCAAAAUUUUGAACUUUUUUUAGUAAAUUUUAGCAAUAAUUAAGUCUUCAUAUCUCUGGUUAAGGACUUUAUUUAUAUGUUUGAGAUUAGGGGUUUGAGUAAUUUUUUUUGAAAUUUCUCUAUUUAUAUUGACUUAACCCUUACCUUUAAACUCUCGACUUUAAAUUACUUCUAUGUUAAUCUGUGUUAAGAAUGAGCUUGCUGGUUCUGUAACACUCCUAACCUGUAUCUGUCGCUGAAACAGGAUUACGGAGCAUUACCUAAAUUUACAGAUCAAAUACAGAUAUUUCGUAACAUUUAACAUUCAUAUAAAAAAUCAUUCAUAAUGAAUCAUAUUGUCCCUUAAAAAUUUCAAAAAUUUUCCAAGGUGCAAGGAACACACGCCCGUGUGGGCAUUCGAAAUAGGGCACACGACAGUGUCCCAGCUCGUGUUCAUACCCGUGUAACUCUCUGACUUAGGUCACACGAAAAAGUCACACGCCCAUGUGCUAGGCCGUGUGAACACAAAAAUUUACAUUAAAUAAGUGAAGGGGUCACACGGCCAAGCUACACGCCCGUGUGCCAGGCCACGUGAUUAAUUCUGAACAUUCUGUUUUGAAAUUUUAAAUAUGCAAGGGACACACGGCUGAGACACACACCCGUGUCUCUGCUGGUGUGGAAAAAAUAAGGCCAUUUUCUAGUCAUAUUUCUCACCCAAACUUGUCUUCCACCUACAUUAACUCUUAAACAUACUCUCAAGCCAAUACAAGACAUUCAAACCCAUUCAAAAUUAAGUCUUAUACAUGAUAUAAUACCUUUUAUAACCAAGUAUACAAACUUACUUAACUUACCAAAUUCACAUAUAUGCAUAUUUUACCAAAUAUGCUAAUUCAAUUUAUUCAUUAAUAUACCAAUAUGAUUCUAUCAAUCAACCAUUUCAAACACAUAUCAAACAUGAUAUAGCCUCUUAUAUUCACAUCAAAACAUGUCCAUCACAAGUCAUUCCAAUGGCUAGUUACAACCAAAACAUUUAUAUACCAACAUUGGCCAAGUUAACUUAUACAUGCCAUUAUAACCAAAGUUGAUUUACUAAAUAUACCGAGAUGAGCCGAUGGAUAGUGUGAUGAUAUCUCCACCAAGCUUCCAACCCAACGAGCUCUUGAAUUACUAUAGAGCAGAGGAAAAUAAAACAGAGUAAACAUAUUAUGCUUAGUAAGUUCGUAUUACGAGAAAUUAACUUACCAUUCAUUUUUAAAAAAAUAAACAUACAAAAAUGACUCCAAAGAAAUUUGGCAAUUAGCCUAAUCACAUAUAACCUAUCAAACAUGUUAGUCAUGUACUUCAUGUAAAUAUCAAGAAACAAGGAAUCAUCAUGUAACAAUUUUCAUAUAUAUAUGUUUUCCACAUCAAAUAUUCAUAUAACUUGUACAUUUCCAUAAUAAUCCAUCUCAAGUUCAGAUUAUUCCAUGUCGGAACUUUACCCGUUAAAUUUAUUUGAAAUAUCGAUGGAUACACAAGUAGUACACUUGAAGUGUACAAAACUGUAAUCCGUCAAUUCAUAUUCAGGAAUGCUCAUACGAGCACAUAAACGGGAAGAUCUCUCUCGAUCCAUAUAAUAGGAAGCUCAUGUGAGCUGUAUAAUAGAAAGCUUAUCCAGGCUGUAUAACAGGAAGCUCAUAAGAGCCAUAUUCAGGAAACUUGUGCGAGCCAAUAACGAGUAGCUCUGAAGAGCCAUUAAUCAGGAAGCUCCGGAUAGCCAUAUAUCGAGAAGUUUAAGCGAGCUAUAUCGGGAAGCUCCGGAGAGCCAUUAAUCAAGAAGCUCAUAAAGAGCCUUUAAUCGGGAAGCUCACGAAGAACCACAUAUCGAGACGCUCAUAAGAGUUGUGGUGUGUCCAUAACAUAUACAGAGUCACUACCAAUCGGGAUGCUUCGAAGAGCUAUUAACUGAAAGCUCGCAAUAACUAUAUAACAGGAAGCUCGAGAGGGCCACAUAUCGGGAUGCUCAUGAGAGCUAAUAACGGGAUGUUCUUUUGAGCUGUGGUGCGUUUGCAAUAUAUGCAGGACCACAACCAAUCCGGGAACCCUAUAUCCAUCGAAUUUUAUUUAUUCAAACGAGACUUAAUACUUGUCGGACAUUAUUGGAUAUGUGAUCAAUUUCAUAUAUAUAGCAUUUAUAUAAUUCACAUAUACAACAUUCAAUUCAAACAUAUAAAUAUACACAAAUUAGUUACACGAACUUACCUUGACAAAUGUUCGUGAAUUGUAAUCUACUAAUCCGAUACUUUUCUUUUUCUCGAUUCAAUUCGUAUUUGGUCUAUCCAGAUCGAUACGAGUAAAUUUAGCCCAAUUUAAUACAAUUCACAUCUUAGGUAAAAUUACCAUUUUGACACUGUACUUUUGAUUAAUACAAUUUCAUCCCUAGGCUCGAAAAAUUAAAUUCAUGCAAUUUAAUCCUUAUACCAAGCCUAGCCAAUUUUUACAUGUAACAUUCGCAGCCCAUGUAUUUCAUAAAAUUCAAAAAAAUUUCAUGAAUUUUACAACUUUUCAAUUUAGUCCCUAAAUCACAAUUUCACCAAAAUUCUCUUUACUCAACAACCUUUCAUUUUCUACCAUAAAACUUCAUAAUUCAUGCAUACUCAUCCAUGGAAAAACCCUAAUACUUUGAUAAAUUUACAAAUUAAUCCCCGAGAUAGCUAAAUUAAGCUUUUAUGACCUUGGAAACAUAAAAAUAAUUAAAAACGUGACUUGAAUACUCACCUAAUUGAGCCAAAAUAAUUUACUUGAACUUAAGUUUCUAUAACUGGGGUUUUCAUCUUUUUAAUUUAGGAAAGAUGAGAAUAUGAUGAUAUUUUUCUUUAUUUUAUUAUUUAUCAUCUUUUUAUCUCUUACUUUCCAAUUUAGUCAUUUUCUUUAUUUAAUUUUCCAUGGAUGAAUCAUCAUACUUAUCUACUAACUCCUCUUAAUGGUAUAUUUUCCAUAUAAGGACCUCAAAUUUUGAAUUCCAUAGCUAUUUGAUACUUAUAGCUAGUAGAACUCAACUUUUGCAUUUCAUGCAAUUUGAUCCUUUUAUCAAUUAAACAUGUAAGCGGUAAUUUUUUUCUUAACAAAAUUUUUAUAUAAUGUUUCUAUCAUACGGUAGACCAUAAAAUAAUUUUAAAAUAAUUUUUCUUACGGACUCGAAUUUGUGGUCCCGAAACCACUGUUUUGAUUUCAUUGAAAACGGGUUGUUCCAUGUUCAAUGGUUAAGCUUUUGUAUACCCUUUGGUUUUAUGUUUGAGUCUCUGUACAAACAAUAAGGAAAUAUUUUUGUUAUUAAUCUGUUAGAGUAGUUAGUUUUUAUUUUGAAAGUUAAUCGAGUAUUUUUUUUACAUUUCUUUCCUCAUUCUUCCUCUCUUCUUUCUUUUUUUUCUCAUUAUUUUCUUUUCUUUUUUCUUUAUUCUUUUAUUGUGUUCCUUGUGUGUUGCCAUAUCUUGCUACUGUUACGAUAGGAAAAAUCCAUAUUCUGUUGUCUUUGCUUGUCGAAUUAAUUGUGUAAGUUAAUGAGAAUGUUUUUCGGUAUUUGUAGUUCAUUUUGUCGAAGUAAGUUUGCUUGAUUGCUUGAAUUUGUUGGUUUAAGUUUCAAUUGGUUUCUUUUAGGCAAGGAUCGUGACGGCAUCGUCCCUCCAUUGAGUUAAUUUCGCAUAAUACUGUUCGUACGAGGGUGAGCGUGUGGGCCAAAGUACUAAAAAUUUUCCUAAGGCCAUAAGCGUCGUUCGAAUCAAACGUAGGCCUUCCAUAGGGUUUGUAUGCUCUGAAUUAGACUGUAUAAAUUAAUAUCCAAUAUUAUAAUGUUGAAUAAUCAAUUAUCUAUACGUGUAAUUAAUGUGAUAACUGUUAAAUGAUAAUAAUUUGUAUUAUCUGACUAUGACUUAUAUGUGAAUAAUUGUAUGUGCAUCAUUGAUAUCUGUAAAUUGUAUCUGUAUUGAGUGGGAAUGAUAUAAAAAAUGAAGUGUUGGCAAUUUAAUGAUUUGCUGUAACACUCCAAACCCGGCCUAGACAUUAUGGCCGAAUCUAACGAUGUCACAUGGUAGUGCUUUUCAAAAAAAUAUGUCGUCGCUAAAUCCCAUUUUCUAUUUAACCAUUUUUUUUCAUUUUCUUAUGUUAAUUUCAAACUGUGUCGUUCGUUUCCAAAACAUUAUUCAUUUAUAAAUCGUUAUUCAAUUUCAAAAUAUUUUUUUAUUUUUAUUGCGGAAGCUUUUAAAUAGUUUGUUUAUUCGUGGUACUUUUGAUAAAACAUUAAUUUCAAUUGAAAAUCCAAGUUUUACCUAACACUAGUAGAUUUAAAUCAUAAAACCAUAUAAAGUCCAAAUUUUAAACCAAAAUUCGUAAAGGCCAUAAUUACAGCAAAAUACUCUCAAAUAAAAGUAAAAUCAUAAAUAGGUAAUAAAUAGUGUAAAAGAAGUCGUGUGGCCACCACUGAGUCCUCUGCCGCACCGAUCCGCCUAUAUCUGAGGAUUACCUGUACUGAUUAAACAGAAUGGGUGAGUUUACGUAAACUCAGUGUGUAAUCCCCAUACAAAUGUACAGACAGUAAACAGAUAAUCACAGUCUGGGCUUAAGCUCUUUUCAGUAUCAGUAUUAGUCCAGUUUGGGCCUUAGCCCAUCUCAGUACAAAACUAGUAAUGAAGUAGAACUUUAGCCCAUCACAGUAUCAGUAGCGGUAAUAGAUAUGCAGUCACAAAAGUCCUACCCAUCCAGACUCUACACACCAUCUCCGUCCAAUCCUACACUCCAUUGAGGAUAUAAUCAACCCACCCAUCACUACGCUCUAAGUAGUACCGAAUGCGGCACUAGACAGUAGUUUGAAGCAGAGCUGCCAGUAAAUUAGGCUCGAGGCCUUUCAGUACACUUCCUCUGAACAUUAUAAUCUCCCAACCCAAUGUAAUGCAAUAUACAGAUAUAACAUGCUAUAACAUAAUAUCAUGCAUGUAAACAGGGCAUAUAGUAUCAAAUCAGUGGGACAUCAUCAAGCUUAGUCAUAUCAGUCAUACAAUCAUUUCAAUCAAUUAGAGGUCUAGGUAAACUUACCGACCCUACAAUAGGUUCACAGUUGACUUGGGCGACCCGUGCAACCUUAUCAUUCAAACAGUGAAAAUGGGCCUACAAGCCCAUGAUGUUCGCCGUGUGGCCCACAUGACCCAAAUUCGCCUUGGCCUCGUGAUCCAUUUUAAUGUAAUCCGUACUAGUUAAUUAUUCAUAUGUGUUUCCACAAUUUACUUAUAUGAUCCUUCAAAGUUGUCUACUUGAGUAACUAUUACUAAAUUAUUUGUAUCUUAAGCUACAAAAUUCCAAAUUAAGAUCCACAAUUUUUUUCUGAAACCAGACUCAAAUAUCUUCUUACCAUAAAAUUUUUAAAAUUAUUAGUUUAGUCAAUAAGUACAGUGAAUGAUAUUCUCAUUUAUUUCUCUUGAAAGUAGACUCAUUCAAGACUUUAAACAUAUAAAUUAUAACACAUAAUUAUUUUUAUACAAUUUUUAAUAAUUUUCCAAAGUUAGGACAUGGGAUUCCAAAAUCAUUCUGACCAUAUCUCACUAAAAUUCAAAUAUCUCAUAAUAGGAAAUUCUUUUGCUUAUUUCGUUUCUUCUAUGAGAAACUAGACUAAAAUAUAUUUAAUUCCAUAUUUUUUUCAUUCUCUAAUUUGAUUUUCAAAAUUUAUGGUGAUUUUUCAAAGUUAGCCUACUACUGCUGUCCAAACAGCAAGCAAUUUCGACUUUUCGCCGAAUCCCUUAUUUUUGUGUUUCGAGUAUACACCUAGUUUUGUUUGAUGCUAAAACAGUCCUCGAGCACAUUUACGAAAACAAGUAACACCAUAAUCAGUCUUACCUUGCGAUUAAUCAAAAUCCCAAAACCAAAAUACUUACCCAUAAAACGAUGAACACUUACCGCAAAACUUCAAAUCGGUACAUUUACGAAAAUCACGAUGAGUGCCUUAAUCUUCACGAAAUGCUACUGCCAACACCCCGGAAUUAGACUAUUGAACACAAAAUAAUAUCUUAAAAUGAUACCCAACAACUUACUGAAUUUGCACAAGUGCUGCUUAACGCUAUGAAAUCAAGAUGAAAGAAUGGUUUAAGGGGAACAAGAGAAUUUUGGUAGUAGAGGAAAGAAAAGAAACGAUAAUUGAGUAAGAAGAAAAGAAGAAGAAAAUUUCUGUAGAGAUGGGUGAGAGAAAAUGUGAGAAAGAUGGAGAGAAAAACGACUCUCUUUUUUCUAAAAAGGAAAAAGUGAUCAAAUUUUGGAUAUUCUCCCCUAUAAUCCCCUAAUUCACUCCUAAAUCACUCCCUCACUUCCCACUACAUAUCCACCACUCAAAAACCCAGUCUAGCACAACUCUUGCCGAAAUUAGGAGCAAAAAUACAACAUUUGUCGUCUUAAAGAUUCGAACCCAUGACCUCAUUCACACCAACACUCCACUUAUCCACCAAACCAGCAGGCCCAUUCUGUUAAUUAUUUUCCAACUUUUACUUAAAAGCCUACUGACCAAAGAUUAUUCCUAAAAAUACCAAAAUUUGCCCAAGUCCUGACUUGAACUUGGGACCUCCUAAACACUCCCAGAACACAUAACCACUAAAGCUGACAAAUAUUUGUGUCACAUAUUCACAAUACCCAAAAUUAAAAUUUUGGGGCAUUACAUUUGCCGAAUCAAGUGGCUAAGCCAUAAUUUGUAUCUGAUUCUAGCGAUUUAUACCAUACUAUUUUAACAGACAGUCUGUAAUUAUUCUGAAAUGUGCCAUACCGACACUAAUUGGUGUGUAAGGUUGGAUUGGUACUUGAUACCCUAUACAGUGUGUUGGGAUGGUCGGGAUAGCGUGUAGCAAGUGAGGGUAGAAAAUUACAUUUGAUUAUGUUCUGUAUCCAUGUCUGAUCUAUUCCGUAUUUUUAUCUAAGCUAUAUGAAUAUAUUGAGUACCAUCUGUUUCUGAUACUGUAUCUGCAGUGUGGGGAAUCGCUGCUACAUUUAUAUUGUUGAUUUGUUUUUAUACAUGCUACACACAUUAAGUUAUAAGCUCAUUCCUAUUGUUGCCUAAAUUUCAGGUAAUCCACAGAAUUAGAAGGCUUGGCGUGUUAACUCAGAUAUUAUAUGUUAGUUUAAAUGGCUAAUUGCUUUCUAUAUGAUAAAUUUUAAAUUACUUAAAUGUUACUUUUCUCUUAAACGCUUUGAUGUAACAUUCAGACUUGGUCUUAACGUCUAGAUCGGACAUGGGGUGUUACAUAUAAGUUUGCCUUUAUUUUUUUAUUGGACUUUUUUAUAACGAUAAUAUUUAUAUAAGAGUUUUAAAUUUUUAAAAAUUAAGUGUAGCUUUUAAUCUCAUGUUGUUAGUUAAAAGAGUAAGUAAUCUCACAUUGUCUAGGAACAAUGUGUAAAUGGAUUAUAAGUGUUGAGAAAAAAGUAGACAGUUACCUGGGUAGUUAGGCUCAGUUAGUAUAAGUUAGUUUGUUAGUCAGUUAGCAAGUAAUAUAUAAAAACUAAUGAGUUUAUAAUUAAAGAGAGACUAAUAGUUUUCCUACUGAAUGUACUAUUUUUUUCCAUUCAUCAAUAAAUUAUUGAUCAGUUUUUCAACAUGGUAUUAGAGCUCUUGUGAUCGUUGUCUUUUUGAUUGUUUACAAUUGUUAUUUUUUUGAUCAUUCACUGUUGUUCAGUACUAUUUCUAGUCAUUCUAGUUUGCUCAGUAUUGUUGGUUGGUCUUGUUUUGUUUUGGGUUCUAUAGGUUGAUAGACAAGCCCAUUUUCUGUUGGUUUUUACUAGCCCAAAUACAAUUGUUAGGCAAAGUUUAGUUGUUAAUCUAGGGCUUUUUUCACUUGUGGUGUUUCUUCUUGUUCUUGCCUGUUGAAUUUUUUUGUUUUUAACAUCGGAGUUUUUUAAUCAUUGUGACUUCUUCUGAAUCAGUUAUUGAUUUUAAUCAUCCUCUUUACCUGCAUCUAUCUGAUACUCCAGGUACCUUGUUGGUGUCUCACCAAUUGCUUGGAGUUAAAAAUUAUAAUGUUUGGAGUCGAACCAUGAAAAUUGUGUUGUUGGCCAAAAAUAAAUUGGUGUUUGUUGUUCUAAGGAUUCAUUACCAGAUGAGAUGGGCUAUCAAUGGGAGCGAUGUAAUGCCAUUGUCUUGUUUUAGAUUUUGAAUGUAGUUAGCAGAGAGCUCUCAGUAGUGAUUGUUUUUGCAUCUAGCACAGCAGCGGUAUGGAACGAUCUUGCUGAAUAGUUCCAUAAAGUUGAUGGUUCUAGAAUUUAUUUUUUGCAUCAUGAAAUCACCUCGCAUCUUCAAGGUAUUGCUUCCAUCUCUGUGUAUUUUACUAGGUUGCGACUGUUUUAGGAUGAAUACGAUACUCUUGUGCCCUUUUCUUCAUGUGGAUGUGUUCAGUCAAGAUAGAAUAUUAAGCAUGCUUUGCAGUAGUGUCUAUUCCAAUUUCUAAUGGGAUUGAAUGAAACAGAUAAUUCAGUGCGUAGUCAAAUCUUGUUAAUAAACCUAUUACCAUCUGUCAAUCAAGCGUACUCUAUGCUUGUGCAAGAAAAAUCACAAAUAUAACAUAGCUCUAGUAUUGUUGGGUCUGAUCCAGUCUCUUUUCACCCAGCACACAUGGUACAAAAGAAAUACUUUACUGAAACCUAUGAUCAUUGCAAGAUUAAAGGGCAUAAAAGGGAAAGUUGUUAUAGGAUAAUUGGUUACCUUGCAGAUUUUAAGUUCACUAAGAAGAAGGCAACCAAUGUUUCUGGAUCCGUAGUGAACAAUGUUUAUGUUAACGAUCCUGUAAGUGGCAAUGAAAUGACUAGUGAUGUUGGUUUGUCUAGUCUACAAGCACCUGUGUUUACCCAGGCACAGUAUCAACAAAUCUUGAGUUUGUUGAACAAUGAGGCUAUAGUUAAAGUUGCUGCAAGCCUAGCAGGUAUGGUUGGUGUAGGUCAAAAUUGGAUUAUGGAUACUGGAGCUACUGACCACAUGCUUUCUGAUUUCCAAUCCUUAGAAUCUCUUGUUGCAUGUGCAUCGCAUUCACCCUGUGUUCGACUCACAAAUGGCUUUUAUGUUUCAAUUACUCAUGUUGGCACCUGUACUGUUCAACCAAAUUUUCAGCUUACUAAAGUUCUCUAUGUUCUAAAUUUCCAUUAUAACAUUCUUUCCAUUGCUAAACUUACUAAUGAUCUCAAUUGUUUUGUUUCAUUUUAUCCUUAUUUUUUCCUCAUAUAGGAUCUUUCAAGUGGAAAUAUUAAGGGAAUUGGUAGGGAGCGAGGUGGUCUUUACAUCCUAGAACCUUCUCGACAGACUAGUGUAGCUGUGACUCAGUCUGUUGCAUCCGCUGAACCACCAUUUCAUUGGCAUACUAGACUUGGCCAUGCUUCUGGUUCAAGAUUGAAUAAGGUGUUUAAUCUUCCCUGCACAGUUUCGAAUAGUGAUAGCAUACAACAAUGUCUUGUGUGUCCUCUUGCUAAACAAACUAGACUUCCAUUUCCUAUAAGUACAUCUCGUGUCAAUACUAUUUUUCUCUUAUUCAUAUAGAUUUAUGGGGGCCCUAUCGAGUUUCUACUCAUAGUGGCCAUAGGUAUUUAUUAACCAUUGCUGAUGAUUACUCAAGAAUGACAUGGGUGUAUUUGUUAUGAUAUAAAAGUGAUGCUCUUGUAUAUCUCAAAUAGUUUUUUGCCUUGGUUAAGAAUCAAUUUUACACUAGCAUCAAAUUUGUUCGUAGUGAUAAUGGGUAUGAAUUUUUUAAAAUUGAGUGUAACGAAUUUUUUACUAUGUUAGGUGUUGUACAUCAAAGCUCGUGUAUUCACACUCUUCAGCAAAAUGGAGUUGCUGAGCGUAAACAUAGACAUUUGCUUGACGUUGCUAGGUCUCUCAAAUUUAAGUCUCAUAUGCCUAGUAAAUUUUGGGGUGAGUGUGUAUUAACUGCAUGUUUUUUGAUAAAUCGACUAUCUACUCCUCUCUUGCAUUGGAAGAGUCCUUUUGAACUUUUAUAUCGUAAACCUCCUGAUCUUUCUCUUUUAAAAGUGUUUGGAUGUAUUUGUUAUGCUACCACACCCAAUUAUCAUGAUAAAUUUUCUCUUAAGGCUAUUCUUUCUAUGUUUAUGGGAUAUUCUAUUAUUCAGAAAAGUUAAUUGUUAUUCAAUCUUGAAACCAAAAAUUUCUUUGUUAAUCUUGAUGUUGUAUUUCAUGAUACCGUGUUUCCUUUUCCCUUUCCUACAAAACAUUUUUUAUUUUUUCCUACAGCUGAUAGCUCUACUUUUUUUAAUCUGGAGCUUUUGUCUUCCAUUCCUAUCAUUUCUCCAUCACCUAUUUUGCCAACACUUUCUUCUUCCCAAACUUUACCUACUAAUACUGAACCAAUUUCUCUCCUGUUAAACCCCUUACGACGCACCACACAGUUUAUCAGGCCACUUGCCUCAAUGAGAGAUUACAUCUGUUCCAACCAAUCUUCUGCUUCCCUUGCUACAGGUUCAUAUCUUAUUUAUCAUGUUUAUUCCUCGUUGCAGUUACCUAUUCACACACAAUUGUUUGUAUUCUAUAUUUUUUCACUGACUGAACCCCAAACAUAUGCUGACACCAUCUCGGAUGCAAGAUGGGUCGAUAUUAUGCAACAAAAAAUUUGAGCUUUGACAGACAAUGGUACGUGGGAGGUCAUUUCUUUACCUGCUGGUGCUAUUCCUAUUAGGUGCAAAUGGGUUUAUAAGAUCAAGUAUAACUCUGAUAGCUCUGUUGAACGAUUUAAAGCCUGAGUGGUAGGGAAAUGGUACAAUCAGCAGGCUGGUAUUAAUUUUCAGAAGACUUUUUCCCCUGUGGUUAAGCAUGUCAUUGUUCGAACUAUUGUUAGUAUAGCUGCCAUGCAUGACUGGCCCCUUUUCCAAAAGGAUGUUUACAAUGCCUUCUUGUAAGGAGAUUUGUGUGAAAAGGUUUAUAUGGACAUUCCAGACGGUUUUCACACACAGGGGGAGCACAAGGUGUGUCUUGUGCUCAAAUCAUUGUACGGUUUGAAACAAGCUUCUCGACAAUGGAAUUUAAAGCUUACUGAGGCAUUGUUGCAAUGAGGUUACACACAGAGCAAAUAUGACUAUUCAUUGUUUUCCAAAAGACAAUGGGGUAACAUAGUUAUCCUACUUCUCUAUGUUAAUGAUCUACCAAUCACAGGAAGUGAUAUUGGUAUGAUAAAUGAGCUUAAAAAAAUCCUGCACUAAAUUUUAAGAUGAAAGACUUGGGUGCAUUGAAGUAUUUUCUUGGAAUAGAGGUUAUAAGAUCAAGUGAAGGGUUGAAUCAAAGGAAGUUUGGAGUUGAUAGCUGAUGUGGGGUUAAGAGAAGUGAAACCAGCAAGUACGCCUCUUGAACAAAAUUAGAAACUCAAUUCAAUUGAGUAUGAUGAGUUUAUACAAAUGAGGGCUGAUGGCGAUGAAUUGAUUACUGAUGUUGCAGUAUAUCAAUGACUUCUGGGAAGGUUGCUAUACUUGACCAAUACAAGACCAGACAUAAUGUUUGCAGUUCAACACUUAAGCCAGUUCAUGCACAAACCAAAAAAAAUAUCAUUUGGAGGCUGCUUUUCAGGUGGUUCUAUAUAUAAAAAAAAUCCUGGUCAAAGUAUCUUAUUGGCUGCAUUUAGUAAACCACAACUUAUUGCAUUUUGUGAUUCCGAUUAGGCUUCAUGUCCCAUGUCCAGACGAUCCGUCACUGGUUUUUAUGUUAAGCUUGAAGAUUCUCUCGUUUCAUGGAAAUAAAAAAAAACAAACUACUGUUUCUCGAUCGUUAGCAGAGGCUGAAUAUAGAAGCAUGGCAGCAGUAGUAGCAGAGGUUAUUUGGUUGGAUGGCUUGUUGAAAGAGGUCUGUCUUAGUCAACUUGAUAAGUCUUUACUUUUUUCAGAUAGCGAGGUAGCACUACAAAUUGCAGCAAACCUUGUUUUUCAUGAAUGCACUAAACAUAUAGAAACUGAUUGUCAUUUUGUACGAGAUAAAAUUGGAGAAGGUUUGAUUAAAAUGCAACAUAUUGGUACAACUGAACAUCUUGCAGAUUUGAUGACUAAAGCUCUUGGAAUCAAGCAGCAUGAAUAUUUGGUGUCCAAGUUGGGGGUUAAAGAUUUGUUUCACCCCUCAACUUGAAGGGGGUUGUUGAGAAGAAAGUAGACAGUUAGCUGGGUAGUUAGACUCAGUUAGUAUAAGUUAGUUUGUUAGUCAGUUAGCAGGUAAUAUAUAAAAACUAAUGAGUUUAUAAUUAAAAAGAGACUGGUAGUUUUCUUACUGAAUGUACUGUUUGUUUUUUUUCCAUUCAUCAAUAAAUUCAUGAUCAAUUUUUUAACAAUAAAUUUUUAUAAAAUUGACCUAGUUUCAUAAUUUUCACAAAAAAUGCCUAAUCCUAUAAUUUUUUUUUUAAAAAAAAAGAUGACAUUUUUUUAGCAAUUUAGUUGGUUUUUACAAUGCCAAAUUUUCUUCUCUAUUUGAAAAAAAUUAUGAUAAUAAAUAUGUUUUUGUUGCAAGUUUUUUGGUGAUUAAUGAUAACUUUCAAGUCUUUACACCAUUACAAUUAUUUCUAGAAUUGUUUUCAACAGUAUUGAAUGCCAUAGUAAUUAAAAGUAAAUAAUUUUAAAGAUCUAAAAAGUAUUGCAAUAGAUUAAAGAAAUACAAAUUAAGAAAAAUAAAUAUGAUUUUUUAUUCAGUCAAAAGCAAUGUUAAUGACUUAAAACUUCACAAUAAAAUUAUGCUAUGCCAAUUCUAACUUUAAAUGAAUUUCAUUCAUUACUUCCAAUUGCUUUAAAUCUAUCUUUGGAAAAAGCAAUAUGUUUGGUCAAAUAGCAGGAUGAAUGAAACCCAAAUUCGCUACUUUCAACCAAACAAUCGUUUAGGGUAAGUAAUUAACAGCAAAUUAGAUAAUUGAAUCGGUUGAAUCGGUAAUAGAAAAUAAAAUAAAUUGUUAAAAAUAAAAAAAAUCAAUAAUAGAAACAAAAAUGUAACGAUUCAUCCGUUUAUUAAAAUUUCGUCUCUUUUAUAUAUUUUUGUUUUUAUUUAACAAUUGUUGAAUCAUACCGAUUAAACUAAAAUGCAAUAGCGAUUCGGCCACUUUAGAACAUUGAUAUUGAAUUACAAAACCUUCUUUCAUCGAUUCUUAUAAAGAGUAUUAGGCAUGCUCAUUUAAGAUAUUUUGAUAAUUUGAUAUCCUUGAAAUUAAAUUUUGUAAAAUAAGAGACGGUAUUACUGAAAUCAGGUCUGUUCGAAUAAAGAGAUUGAAUUGUUCACCGAGCGAAAUUUUUAAAACUGAUUAAAAACUCUAAAAUUAAGGUGAAAAUCGACAAUUGAACUGCUUAAACUAAUUUAUAAUUUUUAUUAAUUAUUAAUUAAUUAAUUAAUUAAUUAUUAGACUAAUAAUCAAAUCAAUUAUACUGAAAACUGAUAAUUUAACUGAUUCAACGAAUGUGAUUAUCAUUAUAAUUGGUUCAUUUUCUAGUACCUCUCACAAGAUUCAAUAUUUUAGUGGUAAUUAUCUCUCCUGUAUUUGGUGAAUCCCACUUGUAAGUUGUACCUAAUGUUAGUAACACAUUAUCAUUAAAUAAAAAGUUGGUUUUGGAUAAUGUGUGUGAAUGGAUAGGAGUGCUUUAAUUGGAUUAGAGAUAGAAUUAGCCUAAUGACAACUUGAAAUAGCUAGUUGCCAUAGCCUUUAAACUUGCCUAAGUUAUGUAAAAACUUGUACUUAUCCAGGACAAGUUGAAAUUCCUAGGUAUUCACUUUAAAUUUAAUAAUAUUUAACAUCAUACAAUUAUAUAAAAUAAAUACAAAAUAAAAUAAAAUUUAGGUUGCGUUUGUUUCAUUGAAAAUAUUUUCAUCAAAAUGAUUUCUAAAAAAUGGAUUGACUCUUUAAAAAAAAUUGAUAUUCUUUCCUGAAAUCAUUGUUUAAAUGUUGUUCUUAAUGAAACAAAAUAUAUUUGUUACUUGAAAUUUGAAAUUUAUUUUAUAAUAAUCAAUAUCAUAUAUACAAUGUGAUUUGAAUCAAACCGAAUUGACUGGUCGGACCGGGAACUGACUAGAUUAGGAACCGAUAUGAACCGGCUAAAAAACUAGUUGAAUCAACAAUUGAACCAGUGGUCGAAUCGGUUGAAUAAAAGUUUUUACUUUUUUAUAAAUUUUUAAUUGGACCGAUGAAUCGAUGGCCUGAUUGGUUCAACUUAAAAAAAAAAACAUUGCAUAUAUAAACUUAAUAAUAAUCAAAGCCUAAUUAAAACUUAAUUUAGAUUACAUAUAUGAGUGUAUAGUGGCACAUUAGAGUUGGGAUAAAUAAAGCUAAACAUGAUUUAAACAAAUACUCAUAUUCAUGGGCAUAGCCAGGGGGUUGGUAGGGGCCCCGACCCCCCUAAAAUAGAAAAUUUUCCAUUUAGGCCCCUUUAAAAUUUAUAAAAAAUUAAAUUAAUAAAGGUAAAAUUACAUUUUGAUCUCCUAAAAAUGAUAAAAGUUUGAUAUAAUCUUUUAAAAAUUAUAAAGAUAUAGAUAUUAAAAUGGUGAAAUUGUAUUUUUCAUAUCGUAAAAAUAUACAAUUUAAUUUCGGCCACCCUAAAAAAAUUUUCUGACUUUGUCUCUGCUCAUAUUUAUAUAAUUAAAAUAUUUAUAUUAUAUACUAUAAAACAUUUAUUAUUAAAUAUUUAUAAAUUGUCAUAUAAAUUUAUUGUUAAAAAAUUAAUAAUAAAUUAUAUUAAUAGAUUUUUUUUAAAGGUUAUAUUAUUGAAUAUAAAUAAUUAAAUAUAUAUGUUUAAUAAUAUUGAGCAUUGUAAUGUUUGAUAUUAAUAUUAUAAAUUUUUAAAUAUUUUUAAAAUUUAUGAUAAAAACUAUUAUUAUAAUAUUAGACCUGACUUAAAUUAAUUUUUAUAUAAAAAUAAAAUUACUCAUAAAGGGACUCUUUUCUAAAAAAUGAUUUAUACUUUUCAAAUUAGUAAGUCAAUUUAGAAGAAAAUGGAUUUAUUUUCCAUUGAUCAAGUUGUUUUCCAUAAAAAAAAUACAAAAAAAAUAUAAAAAACAUUUAUAAAUUAUUUUCUGUUAAACAAACACACCCUUAAAACAACAAUAGAAAUACAACAUUAUGAAGUCAGGGGCUCUAUCCCUCAAAAUGGUAAAAUUUCAUUUAAUUAUUUUUAAUGCAAUAAUAAAAUUAUAUUUGGUCACCAAAUGAUAAAUUUUGAGUUUAAUCUCUUUAAAAAUUAUAAAAUAAUAAGUAAAUAUAAUGAUAAAUUGUACUUUAAUCUUUUUAAAAAUUUAUAAAUCAAUUUUAGCCCCUAAAUUAAAAUGUUGGUUAUGUCACUACCUCUAGUAUAGAGAUGUUUCUAGCUCGGGUCAAGCUGGGUCUAGGUAUGAUAAUAACAUACUUCAUGCUUGCCUCAACCUAGUUCGACUCGAAAUAUAGCUUAAAAUUUUCCUCAAGUCUGUCCAUAUUUGUAAAUGGUUAACCCAAGCUCAUUUUAAGCCCGACCAUAUGAUUUUUUUAAACUUUUAAUAUAUAUAUAUAUAUAUUUAAUCUGAUUUAAUAUUUAAUAAUUUUAUAUAAAUUUUAAUUAUUUUUAUAUAUAGUUAUCUUAAUUUUUUAAUGUUUACAUUAAAAUACUAUUAUAAAAUACUAAAGAUUUAAUUUUUAUGUGUUAUAAAUUAUAUAAUAUUUAAAAAUAACAUAAUAUAAAACAUUACAAACUUAAAAAAUGAGUUGGGCCAGGCUCGAGCCCUAAACUUUCAAGGCUCGACUCAUGAAUAAGUCUACUCUAAUAUGGUUAUAUUUAUCAUUUUUUGGUAAGGUUUAAAUAGAUUAAUAGUAGGGUUGAGAAAAAAAUUGAAAAAUUGAAAAUUGAUCUGAACCAUGAUGUUUUAAUGAUUUUCUAUUUACAAAUUAAAAGAUCGUGAUUAACUCAACCAAGUUGAUUUCUAUUUUUUAAUUUAUUUAAAAUUAUUUUUGACUUUUCAUGAUAUAAAAUUAAUUAUAUUAUAUUUAAAAUAGUGAAAAUAAAUUUAAAAUACUAUAUAAAAAAUUAUAAUAGAAGGACUAAAUCCCAAAAAAGGCAUAGAACAGGGAUCUUCUUCAGAAUUUGACCUAGCUUUCAUAAACAAAAAGAAAAAAAUGGAAUUGGGACCCACACGUAAUCCAUGGGUAGCCCGUAAACCCGUCCGUCUUGCCAUUUGGUCAUUUAGUAAACCCACCUGAAACCAUCGAGUUUUCUCGCUCGGCAAAAUCACAUUGAAGUUGGAAAUUUUGCUUCAAAUUCACAUUCCAUCUGCUCUAAUCAAGUGAAAGAGGGUGACAGAGAUGGCAUCUGGUUGGGGAAUCAACGGCACCAAGGGCAGGUGCUACGAUUUCUGGGUCGACUUCAGCGAGUGUAUGUCCCGUUGCAGAGAGCCCAAGGACUGUGCUCUCCUCCGUGAAGACUAUCUCGAGUGUCUCCACCAUUCCAAGGAGGUAAGAUUUCUGCAUUUCAAAUCCCCCCCCAAUAUCCUAAUUCUUUUUGUCCAAUUAGUUUUCUUAACCAUAUUUCAACUGUAAUUUAUGAGAAAAUUUCCUUGAAUUUGAUGCUUUGUUAAUUAUUGCCAAUCAUCCUUAAGGCUUCAAAGUGGGCUGGGAUCGGCCUCAAUUAGUUUAUUUGAGAAUCAUUUGCAAUUGAAUAAUGUUAUAUUGUUUUGUUUCAAUCAUAAUUCUGAAUCCAAGAUACUGCUGGUUGUAGCGUGUUUAGAUUCUGGCAUUCCCUUAUUUCAGAAAAGGGUGAGUUGGAUCAAUGUAGAUGAGCCUAGUGUUAAUUAUGAAUCAUUAAUAGUUUGAGCGCCGGCCUUGUUAAUGUCUUAGUUCUUCAGUUCAUACUGAUUUAUGAUCCAGUUAUAGAUAACUUCUAUAGGUGCGAGUGCCAGAUACAGGUAUCUGUCCUAGAGAAAUAUGUUCAAUUUUCUAAAAUUUGGAGGGUCAUAUCCCCAUAUUCGUGUCCAGAUACGUUUCAUGAUACAUUUUGGACACAAGUAUCAAACAUGAGCACUUCAAGAAAAGUGAAGGAGUUGGAGCAAGCUUUGAAUAGUUUGGGAGAUCAUUUACCCUUAGUGAGUUACUUUAAACUUUCCAUGGUAUUGGGUAUACCGACUCAUUUUUCCUCUUCCAAUGUAGUGUAGAUGUAUGAGGCUAGUUUCAAGACAUCUCUACACUGGCACGCUUUUCGUUUCUGAGUUCAUCAGAUUCGUAGAUUAGUUUUUGCAAUCAAGGUUGGAUAAUGUGGUUUUUUUUUUUUCACAAUUCCCUUCCUUUUUUUACCUUAUUCAUUAUAAAAGGGCAAUAUGCCAUAUUUGUUUCAAUGUAAUUCAGUUUUCAAGAAGAGAAAGUGUAGCGUCAACUUAAAAGCGAGGGAAAAAAGGGAAGAUAUGAUGUUAUAUCUCGGGUUUUGCUUAUGUAUAGAUGUGUUAUACCCCCACCUGUGUUAGGACACGUGGCAAGUUUAGAGGACACCUGAAUAAUAAACCUGCCACCAACAAGCCGGUAGGUCACCUUGUGAAAUCAUCCUCCUUAGAAGACUACCAACUGGACAACAGAUGACCUGGUCUUCAUUGUUAACAUGAAGUUGUUAGGUCACCACACAUCACGUAUCAAUAAUAUGCUUUACUUGUAAUUCAACUCGUAUAAACUCAUAAGAUAUCCAUGCCACGGUAUCUUUAGGGGCCUUCAAGAAGGAUUCUUGAAUACCAUCUUUACGUUCCUUUCUUGAGUUGCUACUACAUUUAUGUUGUUGCAAAUUGAUAAACAAUGUUUCUUGGACUCAUAUGUUAGUGUCAGAUAUAGGUGUAUGUGUUAAACAUGGGUAUGCUUAAUUUUUUCUAAGUUCUUCCUUGUAUUGACGUUUGAUAUCUUGGUCCUCAUGUCUGGAUACAAAUCAAGUAUGGGUACUUCAAGGAAAAAAGAAGAAUUGGAACAAUACAUGCUUUUCUGCCCAUGUUGCUAUUAGUAUCCUGCUAACUUAGUAUGUAGUUCAAAAGGCAUUAGAGCUACAAACCUGAUAUCUCAAUCAAUAUGGCUGACUUUGAGGCAGCGGUCUGGAAUUUGUGAUGUUUUAGUAGUUUUGUAGUGGCAGCCAGUUUGCAUAGACAAUCAUGUUGCCUUCUAUCAUUCUCUUCUCCGAAAACUUUGUUAGAUGCGAGCUUCAGUUACAUGGCACAUCGUAUAUUGGAUUUAGAUCAAUUUUGUUUUUCGUUCCACAAUCUUUGGUGCAUCGAAAUCAAUUUGUGAUCAAUCUUGAAACUAUUGCAGUUUCAACGAAGAAACCGAAUUUAUAAGGAGGAGCAACGUAAACUAAGAGCUGCAGCACGAAAGGACAAGGAAGGCGAAGCUGGUGUUCACCAUCAUGGAUAGUGAGAAUUUGUUGAUCCUUCUAAAUUCCCAAGAAUAAUAGAAUGGCAUGGAAGUUGCUUCAUCUUUUAUUGGGAUUGAUCUUCCAAACUUUUUUCCUUCUUACUUUGGGUUUCUCUUUCCUUGAAAUGAAAUCUUGUUGUUUUGAGCCUAUGCCAAGAGGCAUUAAUUAAUCUUUGCUAGCAUCAAUGAUUUGGGAAUUUGUUGUGUCCAUUGAACUCUCUUAUAAUAUUGCAGAUGUUUUGGAUGUUAAAAGAAAAUUACGAUCAACACAAUAUGCUUUUCUUAAGGGGAUAAUCAUUAAAAAGCAAUGGAAGUUGUGUAAGGAACAUGAAGAAUACAAACAUACAUGCAAGGACAAGAUUUAAUGAUGCCAAACCAAACUUGUCUUGUGACGUCUUCCAAUCUCUCAACCUUUGAAAUUGACUUGACUUUGCUCUAUAAAAACUUCAACAUAUUUAUACUCCUUAUAAUGUUUUAGUUCUUUUUUUCUCGUAAUUAUACUAAAUGUUAGUAAAGCACGUCACUUGCAAUUACCAAACUGAUUUAAUUUCUUUUAUGUUUUUGUGUUUUGUAUAAAAAAUAAAAAUACGCUUAAAAAAUGUUUUCUCCAAUUUAGAAAUAAAUCUAAAUUUGGUUGCAGAUUGAAUUCUGAUUCGAUUGGUAUUAAUAUUAUUAUCUCUGUAGGACGAGUUGCUGAAAUACAUUUAUUCUUCCAUUAAAGGGUAGAGUUGGAAAGAGAUAUGGAUAGUUUAAUUAAAAAGAAAUAAAAUUUGAUUUUCAUAGUAUAUAAUAAAUAAAAAUUAGUUUAAUUAAAAUAAUUGUUAACUUAUGAAUCAAAAAUCGAUCAGCCUAACCACUUAUACGAGUGGAAUCAAUUUCUUUUUCUUUUCACAAUGUCGAAACCGUUUUUUGAAAACAAAAAAUUUUGUUGUCGACUUAAAAAACAAAAAUUGGAGUCGCCACCGAUCAUUUAUUAAGGUGUGAUCGGCGCACCUUAAAAAUAAUUUUGGUCUGCGAAAUUUGAGAAAACAAGUUCGGGAGUCAGUUACGCACGAGGAAGGAUUAGCACCCUCGUAACGCCCAAAAUUGAUACCAAAUUGAUUUUAUUUAUGCCUUGGUGUCGAAAACUUGAAAAGAUUUUAAAAGGAAACUUUUUUUUAUUUCAUGAAUGAGUUAAAAUGAUAAGACAUUCUUAUUUCAAAUAAAUAAAACACCACACCCAGUGAGUUAGGGCACAAUGUUUUUAAAUCCUCAAAAUACCCGAAUAUUGCCUUUUGCUUUUGAAAAUUCUUAUUUCGAGAAGAAAAUGUCAUGACCAGUAAGUUAAGACCCAACAUUUUUGAAUUCCAGAGAAUAAGCUUUUAUUUAAAAUUUGCGAAUUUAUUGCAAAACAAAUACUUGGCUUUCUAAAUUCAUCGAAAAAUAACCGCAAUCCAGUAAGUUAGGACACGAUCUUUCUCAAGAAUCAUGAAUGCCAAAUAUCUCGAAAAUUUAUGAAAUAUCAUGAUUUUAAUACUUUAAUGAAACCAAAAUAUAUUUCCCAAAAGGUAAGUUAAAAGUUAAUGUAUAAUAUGAAACAAAAACCUAAAUUUAAAGCACAUAUGAAUAUACAUUUACAAAAUAUACACAUGAGUAAAAUAUACAAAUAAAUUUGCAAACAUGUGUGCAUGUAUUUUUUCAAAAAAAACAUAUAAGUAUACAUGUGAGAGAAAAGGAAUGAAAUAUAUAAACAAAAACCUUGUAAUAAUUUAUAAAAAAAUUAUGUACUUAUGUACAUGAAAAUUAUGAAAAUAAGAUUUUUAAAAAAUAUAUGUAUAUGUAUAUAUAUUUACAAAAAAAUGUAUAAGUAUAUAUAUAAAAUAUAAAGUAUAUAAAAUUUAAAAAAAAUAUAAAAAAAACGUAUGGAUAAAAGAUAUGCAUAUGUACAUAUAAAAUAGAAAUAUACGAAUAUAUACGUAUUUACAGAAAAAAAUAAUUUGAAAACAAAAGUAUGUAUAUAUAAAGAACGUUUGUAUGUACAAAAAUAUAUAUAUUUAAAAUCUUUUAAAAAUAUAUGUAUGUGUAUUAUCUAAAACAUGCGUGUAUAUGUAUAAUAAUAAUAAUAAUAAAAGGUUAAAUUGAGCUAAAAAGGGAAAAAAAAACUAAAUUCGAAGUAAAUUUGAAAAUAGGACCACAUUGAAUGCGUGCGCAAGAGUGGAGGACCAAAAGGGAAAUUAUUCCCUCCCUCCAAAAACGCUGCGCAGCAGUGGGCUAAAUUGAAAAACAAAUAAAAAUUGCGGCUCAAUUUAAAAAGAAACAAAGCAUGUUUAAUUGCAACGCGCCACGAACAAGAGGGACUCAAUGCGCAAUUUACCCUUUAAAGCCAAACGCGCAGAUCCUCCCCUUUGGGUCGGGUCACCACGCGGGUCAAGGCUUGGAUAAAAUGGCGCCGUUUUGAGGUUUCAAUAAAACCCAACUUUUCCUUUUAAAAAUUUCAUAACCCAUUUUAAAACAAAAAGAAUGCUGCACCCCUCCUCCUUUUUUGUUCUCUGCUAGGGUUUUACACCCAAGCCGCCGCGCCGCCGUUCCACCGUGCGCCACAGCUCCGAUCGCUACGGAGGUGGUGUCGAUUGACGCUUUCGGCCAGAGAGGGGUAAGCUUCCCUUCUUCUUUUCUUAUUUGUUGCGCUUGUGUCCCUCUUUUUCGCAGGUUUGGUGACCGUAAAGUGCGUGCGACGAGAGCGGAGCGACAAGCGCGGCGUGUGGGCGCUGUUGCGGCGUGCGUGUGGGAGCUGCUGCGCCUAGGGUUCCUGCUAGUGUUUUGGGCUCGCAAGCUUGGUUUAGUAACUUGGGCCAUUGGGUUUCAAUUAUUGGGUUUUAGUUUACAUUUGUUUUUUUAUUUGUAUAUGGGCUGGGUUUAGUAGGUUGGGUCUAGCAUUUGGGCCUAUUUAUUUUCUUGGGCCCGGGCAUUAUUGGGCUUGUACACACAACACUAAGGGUGCGUUUGGUUCGCUGUAUUGGAUUAGAGGUGUAUUGGAUUAGAGAUGUAUUGGAUUACUGAUUCAAGCCGUCCGGAGAUCUGACGCCGUCGAGUCGGAGAAGGAUGCAAAGCUGAAAUCGGGAGCGGGUAGAGGUUUGGUUCGCUGGCACGUUCUGUUUAUGUUGGGAGGGAGAGGGUCGGCUGGAGGCGAUUUCAGCAAGGGAAGGGUAAAUAAGACACCGAUUAGCUAAUCUUUGCUGUUGCAAGGGAUUACAAAUCGGUGGUGAAGCAGCCAAAAUGUGGAAUCCGUCCGCAACGGAUUAGAACAGUAUUAGAGAAAACAGCGAACCAAACGCUGUAUUCAGUGGGGCCACCGAUUCGGGGUGUAAUGGAUUAGCCAUUACACCCAACCAAACAAAGCCUAAUAAUUUGGGCUCAUAAGAUUCUUUAAAAUAAUUUAGGAGAAAUUGUGCUAGUAAUCACUCAAUUAUUAGUAUAUAAAUUUUUGUUAAUUAAAAAAAUUAUAAAAUAGUUACUCAAUUAUUAGUAUAUUUUUGUUUUAGUCACCCCAUUAUGAAAAGUUCCAAAAUGAUUACUCAACUAUUCAAUUUUGUCUUGUUUGGUCACUAGCUGACUAAUGGUGACGGUUUUUAAAAUUGGCAUAAUAGCAACUUUAGCCCUCUACAUUUAUAAAUUAUGUCAAUUUAGUCUUAAUUCUAAAAAAAUUAACUCUCAACAUUUGCAAAUUGUGUAAUUUGAUAUCUCUUUCUUUUUUUUAAUUAUGUUUCUCUUUCUGACAUUUAGGGUUAAUUUUAAAAGAAUGAGAAAAGAUGAAAAUUAUUAUCUUAGAUUUUUUUGUGUUUCCAUUUUUUUUUGUAUAUUUUAAAUUAAAUUUAGUUGAUCAAUUUGUUUUUUUUAGUUUUUUAAGUGAAAGGGUCACAAAGAAGAGUAAAAUUGCAAAAAGAAAAAAACUAAAUUACACAAUGUGUAAAUAUUGAUGGUUGGAUUUUUUAGAAUAAAGACUAAAUUGACAUAAUGUAUAAAUGUUAAGGCUUAAAUAGAGGUGUUCAUGGGCCGGGCGGCCCGGCCCGGCCCAACGGCCCGCCCGAAAUAUGGGAGGGUUCGGGUAAAAAUAUAGGCUCGAAAUAUGGGUUUGGGCAAAAAAAUGAGGCCCGUUUAAAAAAUGGACCGGGCCUCAGGCACGACUUUUUUGGCCCGGGCCCGGGACCGGGCCCGGCCAGAAUAUAUAAUAAAAAAUAUAUUUUUAUAUUUUUUAAAUUUUAAAAUAUUCUAAAAAUAUUUUUAAAAUACUUUUUUUAAAUUUUUUAAAAAAAUUGGUGUUUAUUUUUUAAAAAAUGGGCCGGGCCGGGCUCGGGCCUAAGAAUUUUUUUCCUGGCCGGGCUUGGACAAAAUUCUAGGCCCAUAUUUCGGGCCGGGCCUGGGCCUAGUAUGCGGGCUGAAAUUUUUUAUGGGCCCGACUGGGCCCAUGAACACCUCUAGGCUUAAAGUUGCUAUUAUGUCAAUUUUAAAAGUUGCCACCAUUAGCCCACUAGUGACCUAAAAAGAUAAAAUUGAAUAAUUAAGUGACCAAAAAAGAAAUUUACUAAUAAUUAGGUGACCACAUUGUAAUCUUUAAUAGCUGGGUGACUACUAAUGAAUUUACCCAAAAACUUGAAAUAAAAAUUCAAAUUUAUACCAAAAGUGGCUAAUGGGCAAACCAGACACCUUUUGUUGAUGAAGAUGAUGCUGGUAACGAUUUUGAACCGUCAGAUGUAACAAGAUCAAACGACACCGAUACAAUGAAAAAACCUUUUUUUUUCUCUUUAAAAAUUAUUCAAUAAUAAAGUUUCGUAAAAGAAAAAGAAAGUACUAGAAGAAGGAACCUUUCUUUACUCACAAAUAUAAGCGAAAAAACCAAAGGGCCAAAACCUUGUCUUGUUCCAUUGCAGUUUCUCUUACACACUAUCAUCAUUAUUACCGGUUUGCUGUUUUUCUAGGGUUUUUCAAUCUAUACUUCUUCUCACUAAUCAUGAGGUAACCUUAUAAUCUUAAUUCUUUUUACAUGUUUUGAUGUUUUGUUUUCGUUUGGUUUUAUGAUUUUGACAUUGUUUCUGUCAUUGUUAUUAUCUGUUUCAACAUGUUCUUAAAUCUCUUCUUUCAGUAUCUUUGUCUAAUAAUGAUUUUAUUUUCUUUGCUUUUACUUUUCAUAGGGAAAAUAUGAAUGUUUGAACAUUGUCGAUUUUAUUUCAUUAAUUUGGUUCUGUUAUUUAAUUAUUGGUAAAUGAAGGCUGUAAUGGGGUUUUGAUUAGGUUGCCUAUCUGGGAUUUUUUCACAUUGCCAAUUUGCUCUUUUUCUUUUAAUUGUUCUUUUAUUAACCAUGUUUAAAACUUGAUUUUUUUUUUGUAGUCGUCAUCCAGAGGUAAAGUGGGCUGAAAGAGCUGACAAGGUUUACAUUACGGUGCUAUUACCGGAUUCGAAGAAUGCGAAGGUCAAUCUUGAACCCGAGGGAGUGUUUACUCUUUCGGCUAAUGCCGGAGCUGACAAUAACCUUUAUGAAUUGAAGUUGGAUCUUUAUGAUAAGGUCAAUGUGGAGGUAAGAUUCCGACAUCUAGUUAUUUCUGAACGUCGGAUGAAACGUCGUGUCUCGUAUUGUAGGGUUUUCGAGUCUUCAAUGAUGAUGAUUAGUGAAUUGUGUUGUUAGUAUUGUCCUGCUGAUUCGAUGUUUAUAAAUGAUGAUCAUGAUGAUAAUGAUGAGUGUAUGGUACAUAUGAAUGAUUAUCGGUGGACGGUACCAGCAGUAUAAUGCUGCUGAUUUGUUGUUUUAAAAUGAAUUUUGAACAUUUGCAAGUCGGUUCUUUUUGAAGCCUGCUAGAUUUUGUAAUCUCGAGUUUCAGGUGUAUCAGUAUACUAAUGCUAUUUGAUUAUACGAUCGAGCAAUAACUUUUAUUUUACGAACACAACAUGUCUAAAUCUAGCUUUUUCCUGGAUCUCUUCAUAGUGUAUCCUGUUUGCAUACGGUGUUUGCUACUGCAGAAUGCCCUUGAUGUAUGCAUGUCUGAUGAUAAACAUUUUGCCCUCCGGACAUUUGUCGGUUGUUAGUGUGAUAUUGAUUUCUGAGCAAAGUACAUUCCGAAAAUUUUCUUAUUGUAUUUCUAUUGUUCUCUUUUUGGACAAAAGGAAAGCAAAAUUAGUAUAGGAGUCCGGAACAUAGUUUGUGUGUUGGAGAAAGCCGAGAAAGUGUGGUGGAAAAAACUAUUGCGCAGCGAAGGAAAGGCCCCCCAUUAUAUUAAAGUGGAUUGGGACAAAUGGGUCGAUGAAGACGAAGACAAUGGUUAGUGUUUUUAUUAUUGAUGCUUCUCCGAUUCUUUCUUCUUCUUUUUUCUGAAAAUACCCGUUUUCAGUACUUCUGUCUGAUGCAUAUUCGUAUACGGUAUGGGGAUAUGAUCAUUUACUAAUUGCUAAUACUUUUAAAUAGGUCCUGGUGAUAUUGACUUGGGAGGAAUGGACUUCUCGGUACGCAUAUAUCUAAUACUUCAUCUGUAUUUUUCAAAUUUUAUAAUAACUUACAAGUAUUUCCUUUCUAACCGAAUAUCAACGUGUCUUGCAGAGCUUUGGCAAUAUGGGAGGCAUGGAUGGCGGUGGCAUGGAUGAGUUUGAGGACAGCAGUGACGAUGAAGGUAAGAACCCUGCAAGACAUUAGCAUUAUGUUGCCAUUGAAUCGGUUUUGACGUUGGCUAAACAUUCCAUCCUUUGUAGAGCAAGAAGUGACGAAGCCAGCUGAGCAAGACAUGAACAAGGCAGAUGGAAAUGCUAAGCCGGAGGAGCAAGGUGCCGGGACUAUGGAAAAGAAGGAAACCGAUGCAAGCACAUGAUGUGAUUGUUAGCUGCCCGAUAUAACAACAAAUUCUAGUAAAAACCUAUAAUUAUCAAAAGUGUGCUGUUUGUAUGAACUGAUUGAGGGCAUAAUUCAAGGUUCUAUGGUUACAAUUUAGAAAUGAGAUUUUCGAUUUCAUCUUCGUGUUGGGAUUAUUUUAGUACGAUGAUUAUAACCUAAGCAGACUUUCGUGUUUGUGAAUUUUGUUGUGUCAUAAUCGUAUUUUAAGUCUAUUUUAUAUCAAAGGUGUAAGCUUUUUUUUUUUGUGGGUCUCCGAUAAUCAAUUUGUUUUGAUGGUCAAGGUGUUUAUCGCUCUAGGCGCGAUUUGAGUUUGAGUUGUGCUAAUCGUGUUACUAUUAGGACUUUGCUCUCCUCUUAUAACUUAACCCCAAAAAAAAAAAAACAAAUUUUAAUGAAAUAGAGUUCAAACAAGUGAUGAGCAAAACAUUAGUCUGUCUCACUUUAUUGUUAUCCCUAUCCACUUAUUAUUACCAUAAUUUUAUUCGGUUUUUACUCUCACUUUCAUUAACCCUCAAUCGAAGUAAAAAAAAAAAUCCCUGUUCUUGAAACCUAAAGAAAAAAAAAUCUAAUUUGCUUAAAUGUGAAAUACUUUGUUUAUAUAACAAAUUAUGUUUUUAAUAUGUUCAAAGUGUUCUGUUCCUAUGGACUUUAUGGCUUUAAUAUGAUAUAUAUUACCUUACUUUUUAGUAAACUCAAUAUCCACCAUUUUCAUUUCCUUAUUUUUGAUAUAUUUGGAACAAUUUUGUGCUCAUCGUCCUCUUAUUUCCAUUUAUUUAUUAGUUUUUCUCGAUAAAAUGAUAUAUUUAUCAAGAAAAUCAUAAUUAAUCAACUAACAAAUGAUGCAAUGAUAAAUAAUUUAAGUAACUUCAUAUCUCAAGUUCAAGUUCGAGUAACCAUUCUCUUACCUCUUGUCAAAUAAGAAUCAAAACAUAUUUAUCAGCACUAAAAAGCCAACAGAUUAAAACUAUAAUUCUAGUAAACAAAAGCAUUUAACCAUGGAUUUAGGUAUUGCCAUAAAAGGUAGGUUUUCCCUCUCCACUUUCUGGUUCUUCUCUUUUUCUUGAUUUUUUAAUUGGUCUUUUAGCAAAUGAGUUAAGCUAAAUGCUAUCAAGCAAAAACAUGUGCAUAAAUAAAGUCGGUUUUACUAUUACUUUGUCUACUUUAUUUUUUCAAAAAGCAGCAACAACAUUAGUAGUUAUAGGGUUUUAGUGAUAUUUUAAUUGUUUCUUUUAAUCUUGUUCCAUGGAAGGUUCGGCCAUUUGAGGACUAGUUUUGUGCAUCAUAAGCUAGACUACACUAUUAUUAGCAAUUGAUACCGAUAAUGCAUCUCCAGUAGUUUUUUAGUAGUGCUAGUUUAGCCCCAUUCUUGUUGUAUUCAUCUUUUUUGCCACUUCAGCCUCCACCGAAUGCAGUUAAUCUAGUGAUUUUUUCUGUUUGUGCUUAUUCACAUUCUAGUUUGUUAACCCAUGAACUUUUCUAUCGUAUGAUAUUUCCCUUAGUAAAAAAAAUGGAUUUUGGUUGUCAACUAACAUGGUAGAUUUAUUAUGAGUGAUCAAUGAAAGUGCCUGACACCCUUGCAGAUAUAUAUAUGAAAUUGAUAAAUAUAUAUAUAUAGGGUGUACUUGAGAACUAAAUAAACCAAACUGUUCAAUUUGGUUCCUCACGCGACAGACAAAUAACUAAACCACGAAAAGAAUAAUAAAAAAAAAAGCAAACCCAACAUAUGAGUACUCAAAUGUGUCAAAACAACACACCUAACACAAUAUAUUGAUAUAUCAAAUAUGUGAAACACGAUAAUGACACAAAUACAUGGCCAAACUCUGCUAUACCUUUACAAAGUAGAGCUCUUUUUUCUUAUUUCGGGUAAAUUCAAUAAAUUCAUCCCAUUAGCAAGCAGGUAAACAACAGAAGAAAGGCACAGAGACCAUCAUUAACUUGAACCAAUAAAUUUAACAACAAUUCGUCUUUGCAAGCUAUUAACUCAAUAACUAAAAAACACAGUUAAAUGAUAAAAAACCACAAUACACUGAUCCUUAUAUGACUUAUGCAAUGUACCUAACAUUUGGCACUUAAAAGGCAAACACUUUUUGAUAGAACUAAUCCUCCAACUUCAGUCAUUUGGAUGCAACCUGCUUCUUAAAAUAGCCCAUGUUACCCCCUCAAAACAAAGUAGAGCGCUGCAUCAACCCCGACCCCGGCCACUACCUGCCAAAACGAAAACAAACAGCAAUCAAUCCAUCAGUCUUAAUUUAUCAAAUGUUAAGCCAGUCAUAAUGGAUUAUUCAAUCAUCUGCAGAGCUACAAAACCAGGUUUCGGGGCUUUCAGCAAGUUUACCUCUGCCUCCAGUGUUUUUUCCACCUGAACCACCCCUCCCUCGGCCUCCACUUGUAGUCCUAGCACCAUCAUCUAGCCCACGCCCAGCUCCUUUUGGUUGCCUUCCACCAGGACCAUCUUCUCGACCCCUGCCUCUCCCACGGCCUACACCAGGAGGCUUCCUAUCUGAAAAGGUAAGCAAAAUAAUAAAAAAGCCAGGUUAAAAAAGUACCCAUGUCAGACGCAUACCAAUAUCCAGCAGUCACACGAGUUCAAAUAACAUAGGUAUAUAAUACGGUUGCCACACAAAAUACUCUGUACCCCAAAAAAUUGAAUACCAAGAUAAUUAUCCAUCCCAUCCAGUAGUUAGCAAGAGAAUUAUAAAUCAUACCUGCACGACUCUUUGUUUCUUCCUGAACUUUAUCAAUUACCUGAAAUUCAAAUGGGAAAGUUACUAAUAUUAAUGGAAUGGCUAAAGGAUACUAAAAUGGUUAGAGGACAGCACAAGAAAACUAUAACAAAAACAAGCAGCAAUUUACAUGAAACCUUUAAAACCCAAAGCUGAUCAAGUAACAAGAACUAAAUUUUGCAUUUUACAGAUCCAAGUUUAUCAACUUGUUGUAUAGUAAAUCAAAUUACCGACUUAGCUUCAGAUAAAUGAAUACUACUUUUAACACCACAGAAGACAAAGAAAGCUUAUUCAACAAUGAAAUAGAUAAAAUUCCACUCUAUCCUUUCAUGGAAGCAACUAAAAAUCAAGCAUUUACAAAAUUCUAACAUAAACGAAGCUAAAAACACAUGAUAAAUAAUCUCUAUGAUGCAAAGUUAGUAAUAAAACAACAGCAUAUACAUGGAAUAAAAGAUACCUCAUCAGGAACUCGAAGAUACUUAAUUGUAUUUCCACGGAUAUAGCAUUCAGGCAUUCUCCAAAACCUGUCUCCAUCCUACAUUAUAUUUUCUCAAUCAAACCCUGACCAUAAUUUAUAAAAAAAUGUUUUAAAAAACAACACCCCUACUUUUAUCAUAAGAAGAAAUAAAUAAAACAAGAAACAUAGAAUGAAUGAAUUCAUUUUUGCACCUUUGAAGUACAGAUAACUUCACGAAGAUGGAUGUUCAUCCAAGUGUCGCAAUUGACCAAAUGUCCAUUAUAUGUCUCCCCAUUUUUCAGUUCCACCAACUAUUAGCAAAUAGAAAUAAGAAACACAGACACAAAAACACACAAUUGUUUUAAAAAUCAAUUACUGAAGAGAACUUUUUGUACCAUAUGUAGAGGCAUACGAGGAAAUGUAAAUGUUCUUACCAUAGGAUGACCCUGUGCCGUUUUUAGUAGAGAAAGAGGAAGCUGCCAAAGAUUUGCAUAAUAGAUAAGACAGGUGAGUCGAGCAAAGACAACAAAGUAUUCAAAAACACCUUAAGAAAUCAAAAUUAACCCAAAAAUCAUCUGAUAGCGUCUCAAAAGUUGCUUCUUCUUUUUUUGUCUCUUUUUCCUUUUCUUUGAAUAAAAACAUUACGAAACCAAAGUUAAACCAAAAACCCUUUGAAUGCAUAAGAAAGUUGUUUUUUAGAAUUUCCCAGGCUUUCUAAGCAACCAAACAGACAAACAAGGUAAUUUAAAAGACUAACCUAGUAUCCUUUUCUUUCUCUUUGAAUGAAAACACAUUAAAAAAGCAAAAUUAACCGAAAAACCCUUUGAUAGCAUAUGAAAAGUUUAAUUUUUUUUUUCCGAUUGCCUAAUUUUCCAGGGUUUUCUAAGCAACCAAACAGACAAAGAAGGUAAGUUAAAAGAGAUUAACAUACCAUCUUUUUCCUUCUCUUUGAAUGAAGAAUAACCCUAGCGAAGAACAAAAAAAACCUGCAGGACAAAAAAAAAAGGAAAAACAGGCAAAGGAAUCAAGAACAAUGUCAAAGAGAGUAUGAUAAAGAAAACAAAGUAUUUAUAAAACCUUGGAAUUGAAAUCUUAUUAACUGUACAGCAAUUACGCUUUACGCCUAAACCCUAGCACGAUCGGAGAAUAAUAUAACGGGGUUUUUAUAAAUAAAUAAAUAAAAAGAAAAAAAAAAGAAGCUUUUUGUUGGUAGCAAAAAAUGAGGGAAGAGAGAGAGCGAUAAUCAAUCGGCUUAAAAACCCUAAAUUAAAAAUGAAAAAGAAAUCGAAAAUACCAACAAGAGAAGAAACAGGAUCUCACUUCGGGUUUUUUCUGUUCUUAUUUUUGUCCGAAUUCGAUUUCUCUCUCAAGUGUUAUUUAAUAUUAUUUUUACUUAAUUAAAUAUUAAUUUUUUAUAUGGGAGUGAAUUAUACUUUUAUUAAUAGCUAAAGUGGAUAAAAUUUUAUUAUAUUAAAAAAAAUUUUAAAAAUAAAUUUAGAGUUAAUAAAAUUAAAUUAUUCGAAUUAUUUGAGUCAACUUGAAUAACUCAAUUCGAGUUUGAGUCGAGUUAAAUUUUACAAUUCAAAUAACAGAUUGGUGUAAAUAUUUUGAUUCUCUCAACUUUGAAAAUGAACAAAUUAGUCUCUCUCCCAACAAAAAUUACAAAAUAAUUAAAAAAUUUUAAAAAAUUUCAAAAUAUUUAUAAAAAUUUCAAAUUUUAUAUAUUUUUAACAAAUUCUAAAAAAACAUAUAAAGGAAGUUGAAAUAUUAAAAAUUUUCUAAAAUAAUAAUUUUGAAGAACUAAAUAAGUUAAUUAAUUAUUCAAGUUUAUCAUAUUAAAGUAUCUAAGUUUUUAAACAUAUUUGGUUUCAAAUUUAUGUGCUCUACCAUGAAAUUAGGUAUACUGUAACAAUAUUUUAAUUUGACAUGUUUAGUUUUUUAAUUUAAUUCGAAUAAUUUCACUCAAUUUUACUCAAUUUCAUUUCAUUCGAGUUAGAUUCGUAGAAAUUUCAAAUCAAGUUAGAAUAAUAAAAUAGGACUUGUGAACUCGAUUAACUCGAAAAUUUUUUACUUGAUUCGAUCGAACACUCACCACUAUUUACUGGUAUAGAAAAUAUAGUUAAAUAUAAUAUAUUUAAACAAAAUAUAAUUUUAAAAUUAAAAGUACAAUAGAAAUUUUUGUAUUAUGAGUCGUAUUGCAUUCUAUUUAUUCUAUUAAAAAAUAAGUAAAUCAAUCUAUAUACUUAUUUUUUUUGUCAAAAAUUUCAUUCAUUUUAAGUUAAUCCCGCUAAUUUUUAAUGGAUAAUUUUAAUAAAAAAUUAAUUUACUUUUAUUUAAAUAAUAAUAAUUUAUUUUUUUUAAAAAAACAAAAUAUAAUAUUACUCUUGUAAUAAGGCUUUAAUGAUUCUUUUUUUUUUACUUUGUGGUGGUGGUGUAGAUAAAAGAUGUUACUGAGAGCGAGGGGUGUUGGUGGGUAGAUUAUGAGGAAAGUGUUGGGUUUUGGGGAUGAGAGGUUUACUCGCAAUAAUUUCCUCCAUAAGAUUCUUCUCGCUUCUAACAUGCUUAAAUACAAGAACUAAGCAGCAGUUAAGUCCCACUCAUUCGCCAUAAUUUCCCUUAAUUAACUCCAUGGUUGCCUUCUUAACGAAAUUCAUAAUAAUAUUUUGGAUUUUGGGGUUGGUUGGGUAAGUUUAUUUGGUUUGGUGCAUUUGGAAGAAUAGAAAUUUAUUCGUCUUUCAAGGAUUUACAAGAAAUGCCGUUGAGAUUGUUGAAGUUUUUAUUCCAUUCAGAGGUAUCCUUUAUUAGAUAAUUAGGUUCACCUGCAUACUGAUGCUGCAGUUAAUUUGACUACAAGUUUAACGUCUGCAAGGAGAGUGGUGCAGUAUCAUAUAGGUGAUUGGAUUUCAGGUUUCAAUCAUUUUUUGGAGGAAUGCUUGUCUUUGAUGUUGAGUUAUGAUGUAUUUUAGAUUGACCGACUCUUUUACGAAAGUGGGGUGUGGACAAGAUUUUGAUUCAGACUAAUAAUUCUGCGGUAAUCCAAGCAAUCCAAGGGAGGAAAUUUAGAAAAUUCGAGUUUAACUCUGGCUAGACGUGUUCAGCAACUGAUACAGAAUAAAGAAUAUUAGGUGGCAUAACAUGUCCCUAGAGGUUAAUUGUGUUGCCGAUCAGAUUGCCAAAAUAACUGCUGCUAAUGUGUGGGGAGUAAAUGGGUUGACAACUACUUUUGAAAGUUUAAUUGAAGCCAUUAAUAAUGAUAAGGGUAGUGGUACUUUUGAAAUUGUAAAUCUGGAUUAACUAUUUUUCACCAAAAAGAAUCAAUAUUUUAGAUUCAGACAAUUUUUUGUAAAUUAAUUAAAAAUAUAUGGUUAGAUUUUUUCUUAUUUUGUAUUUAGCAUUAAUUUUGACAUUUUCCAAACAGUUUAUAGUACAUGCACACUAUUAUUAUCAUAAAAAUCAAAAUUGAGAUAUGUUAUAUUACAUAUUUCUAAAAAUUUAUAUGUGAUUUUACGAAUUGAGUUGGUGUUGAAGGUUGAUACCAACUCUAUCCUUCUAUUUACUACAAUUAACAUUUGGCCCCUUUAGAGGAUAGUUUUUUUCUGGUUGUAUUUUAUAAAUCGACCAUUAUCCAACUUCAGUUUUUUCAUUGUUUAACCAUUUAUAUAAAGAUUAGAAUUCUAAGAAUAGAGAGUUAAGAGAAGUUAAAAUUUACAUACACAACGAUAUCAAGGGAAUGUGACUAUAUUAACCUUCGAACACCCAUUAUCUAAAUCCUCUUUACUUCUAUAAUUUGCAAUUCAGAUUAGCUAUACUAUAUAGUGGGCAUUCAUAUUCGAACCCUCCAGACAUACAACAAAAUAUAAAGAAAAAAACUUGAAAAUAAGAAAAUUGAACAUACCCAUGCUAAGCACAUUUCCUUAAUAUAGGGGCUUAAGCAUUAAACAAUGAUUUUACCACACCUUGGAUGUAACAAAUCUUCAUAAGUGAAAUAAGUUAAAAAUUAGAGAAAUUUGCAACCUGGGAAACUCAUAGAAACCUAAAGUCAGGCUACAACUUUUUAAUGGAAAUGGUCCAAAGAAGAUCAGUAUCUGAUUGCACUGUGACUUUCUCUCCUACGACUAUAUUCGACGAGCUUAUUAAACCACCAAACCUCAUCUCCGUGUUAUCUGGAACAAGAAAAAUAAGAUAAACUCAUUACGGUAAUGUCAAAAAAGCUGGCUCCUGAUGGAAGUAUGAGAACAGCGUACAAUUGAAGAUCAUUGUUACCAUAAUUUUGCAGCCAAGCUAAGUAGAAAGGAAUAAUCCGGUAUGCUAUCAUCUAGAUGUGAAUACCACAAAAUAGACUUAAGACAGCAUACUAAGGUUUACAUUUACUAUAAUAGAAAGGCAAUUCAAAGGAGUCACUAGUCACGCUAGCUCAGUAGUUCCAAAUAUUUCUAUCUGAGUAGCGUGGUAGGAAAGAAGCUAUUUUAAGUGACAUUUAAUAUCUCCAAAUAUAUAUAUCUCCUUGGUCCUUUGGAUCAUAAUGAAAUGACACAAAGAGGUAACAGAUUCUAAACAUGUAAAAGAUUUACCAAUGUUUAUUGGUGAAUGUAAGGGAUACAUUGUAAAGCACAUAACAUAAAAUUAGCUUCUUUCUCUACAUUGACAUAAUAAGGCAUGUAAAACUUAUGACAUGAGUAAAGCAUGAAAUUGUGUCCACUUCAGUUCAAUAGCCUAGUAAAUGGAAAGCAAACACUAAAGUAAAGUACUCAUAUACUUACUCAGAUUCCACUGGAGCCCAGUUGUUGUACUACUCCUCGAUGGCACCCCGAUUGGGAUGAGUCCACAGUGUGGGCCCUCAACAGAUGUUUGAAUAUGAAUCUCGUGAUGAUGAGUCCUAGGAAGAAGAUAGAUGAGACUAUCAUCCGACAAAAGGACUAUCCGCAAGGAGGAGAAACAAUAUAGAACGUUUAGGUUUCCCAUCUCGUGGUCAUAUCGUCCACCAAGUGCUCCGGCAACAAGAAUGCAAAGCUGCCAUUAAAUCCAGAAAAAUAAAAGAUAAACUAUCAAUCAAAGCACAUAGACUAUAGAUAAAAAUGUAUAGCAGAUGGUAAGAUCAUGUCCUAACUAUAACAAAUACCAGCUCCGAAAACUAAUAUUUUGGUACUAAUGAUAAUAAAGGUAAAAUGAAAGUAAAAUGAAGGUUCACAAACAGUGACACUUCAAAAAAGAAAAAAUACUAGAGCAAUUAAGUUUAACAUACACUAGACUUAUUCGCAUCGGGAGCGAAGUCCCAGAUGUAUGUUAUACAUUUAUGUAGGUCCGUGGUGUCUUGAUCAUGGGAUUUAUCAAUAAUCUUCGUUCCCUGCACCAAAGAAGCAAGCGAAAAAUGUCGAGUGGUCGGAAUAUAUAAACUAGAGAGAUGUAAUGCAUUAACCGCAAGUUAAAACAUGAGAUUGGUGAAGAAUAAGUGAAAGCAAGCUAGAGAGUCCUAAAGGAAAACAAGAUCAACAUGAUGAGCUAAAUGGUUCUACAAAAGGAAAUUUGAAAACUUACAAGGCUCCUAUAAAAAUCAAGUACUUCCUUUCGUAUUGAAUCCAUAUCACCGUUAAUUACAUCCGGUUUGUAUCUGCAAUGAAACAAAGCACCAUGUUUAUAAAUCAUUUUAAAAUAACAACUAAAGCAUUAGCAUCAGUUAACAUCAAUUUAAGGUCCCAUUCAGCAUUGCAGUGGGCAUAACUUUUAAGGUCAGCAUUUUCUUAACUUUUAUUAUUAUUAUUAAUUAUUUUUUAAUAUUUUGUACUUUUUCACGUCAAUUUCAAUUCUUCAAACACAUAUCUUUUCAGCAUAAAUAUUUCAACGCAAGCUUUUGUUAAGCAUUGCCUGGAUCAAAUCAUGAUGAAACUAAAAAGAACAUACCGUUUAACUUAUAUAAGAGUUCAAAUCAAAAGAUGCCGACAGAGGCACGUAAAUCAAUUUCAACAGAGCCAUUAUAAGACAAACGCAGAAGCGGUAAAUAAAGACAAAAAAAAAACCUGCGUCGAACAUCGGAAGCAUCUUCCUCAGGGAACAACAGAGGCAUUUCAUCGAACACACGGUUGGCGCCACCAUCAGCACAGAGACGAAGCUGAGCUGCACUAAACAAAAAAGUAAAGGAAAAAAUUAAAUCGUCAAACAGAAACAAAAAAAAAAGAGAGAGAAGAGGACGCAGGAUAAGUACCGUGUUUCCAAAGCAAAGGGGCGAAUCUGGGGAGGGUUUGGUUAAGAACAACAAGGGCGUACGUUAGAGAAGGGCGGUGGUGUAGGGGAAUCGUAGGGAGCAGAAAAGUAGAAGAAUGAUGCAUUAGGUCCAUUGCCUAACGUGCGCGGCGCCGUGAGAGAAGCGGUGACAGAGAAGAGAAGAGGAUGGGAAGACGGUGUUUGAAUUGUAUCAUAAUUAGCGAGAUCAAAUGGAGAUUUUGAAAAAUAAAUAAAUAAAUGAAAAAAAAAUAGAGACUCUCUCUCAAAUAAUUGACUUUUUCUUCGCUCUUUGCCUGUUUUUUUAUUUGUUUAAUUUAUAUAUCAAACGAGGGCUUCAGUCAAAGAAGGCAACGCGACCCCACAAUCUGAUUGCGUCAAUAAAAUAAUUUUAUGAAUAAUAAUAUUAAAUUAUUUAAAUAUUAUUUAUUAAAAUUAAGUUUUUAAAAUAUUUGAUGUAUAGACAAUUUUAUAAAUUUUAUACUUUAUGUGUUGUUAUAUUAAACUAUUUAAACAUCAUAUAACUUAAAUAAUUUUAAUUUUCUAUAAUUAUGUCCAAAAAUAAUAUUUUAACCUUAAAUUAAGAUUUUUAUAAUAGACUAUACUUCACAAACCACAUUUUUUUGAACACUAGUAAUUUUUCUAAACGUUGUAAAAAAAUAGAUCCUUAACAAUCAGGGUAACAAACUAUAAAGUAGUAUGAAGAUAGAGUAAUUGUAACAUCUCUUGUUCGGGUUAAAUCGAUAACUCGAGGAACGAAUGUCACAUUAGGCACUAAGUCACUUAAAUAUCAAAUAUAUCUUUUUUAUACUUAAUUUUAUUUUUAUAAAGUUCAAUUUAGACUUCUCAAAUCAUUUCUAAACAUUUACUAACAUAUUUAGUCCUCAAAAUGUAUUAAAUUAACAUCCAAAAUAUUAUAUUUUCAUUCUUAUUACCAAAUACCAUGUAAUUUCCCAAGAUUGUCAUUUAAACAUAGCAUAAACACCUUACGUGCAUUGUCAUUCUAUGUCCAAAAUCGUAUACCAAAACAGCUUUGAAACUUUGAGGGUUGAUAUGAUCCUUGUGAAGAAGUACUUCUCGUAUUUUUAAUCUACUUUCUUUCACCUACGUGUUUAAAUAAACGCGUUAAGUUAUAUGAAUAGCCUAGAAAGUAGUCAACUGAAUUCAAUCUUACCAUAUAUAUAUAAUUUAAUUAAUUUUUAAUAACAUUUGUCGAAACCCCUUUUUAAAAACAAAAAUUUUUAGUUUCGACUUAAAAAUAAAAAUUGGAGUCUCCACCAACCCUUUAUUGAUGUGUGAUUGGAUCACCUGAAAGCAAUUCUGGUCUACGAGUUUUAGAGAAAAUAAACGAAUUCGGGAGUCAGUUACGUACGAGGAAGGAUUAGCACCCUUGUAACGCCCAAAAUUGGUACCAAAUUAAUUAUUUAAUGUCUUAAGGUCGAAUGAAUAAUUUGCUUUCGUUUUAAAAACUUGUCUCGAGAUAAUAAAAUGUCACAUCCAGUGAGUUAGGACACAACCCUUUGAGUUCUCGGGAGUAAAUUUAAAUCCUGAAAUGCUUACAAAUUUAUUAAAAAAGAUGUUCGGCUGUUUAAAUUCAACAAAAAAACUGAAGCCCAGUAAGUUAAGGCACAAUCUCCUCAAGAAUUUCAAACGCCGAAUAUUUUGAAAACUCAUGUAUAAAAUAAUUUUAGUAGUUUAAAUAAAUCAAUAAUAUAUUUAAAGAAUAAAAGUAUUUUAAUGCAAAUUGCUCACGUAUAUAUAAAACAAUAUUAUAUAAAAAUUACUUUCAUAUAAAUCUUUGAACAUAAAUAUAUAUAUAAAAUAGAUUUUUAAAGAAACAUAUUCUGCAAAAGAAAAAGCACCAAAAAUAUAUGCAUUAUACUAGAUUUUUUAAAAAAAGAAAUAAAAUAAUACAUUAGAAGAUAAAAUAAUAAUAUAUGACAGAAAUAUAAAUAGAAUAAAAUUAUGCAUGCAAAAAAAAAGGUUAGAUAAAUUGUUAUAAAAAUAUAAUAACAAUAGUAAUAAUAAAGAUAAGAACGAUAAUAAUACAGCUAAUAUUUCAAAGCUUUAGAUAUAUAUAUAUAUAUAAAGUAAUAUAAACAAGUACAGUACAAUAAUAAAUGUAUUAAUAAUAUUUAAAUCAAUAAAUAAACAAGAUGACAUAAGGGGAAGAAAAAAAACCGCACCAUGGGCAUAUAUAUAAAAAAAAUGUUUUAAAGUUUAUUUCUUAAUGCAAUGAUUGAAGGAAUAAUAAUAAAUAAAAAUGUGUAUAGGUGAACAGAUAGGAUAAUAGAUAAAUAAAAACCUUGGAUUAAAAUGUAAUUUAAAUAAUACAUUGGGGGCCAAUCUAGGAAGAAAAUAAAUGAUAGGGUCGAUUGGGGGAUUAAAACAAAUCACGCGCACAAGUGCGAGGACUGAAAAGAAAAUUAUUCCCAUCGCCCAUGAGCACCGUUUCGCACAAGGAUCUGAUUGAAUACCAAGCGAAAUUAUGGGGCCAAAUUUAAAAAAUUUAAAAAAAUGGGAGGGAGUAAAUUAAAAAAAAAACGAAUAAACGCGGGAGGGCCAAGGUACCGCCGUCUGCGGUGGCCGAAAAACGAAAGUCAUCAUUUUUCUGAUUUUUCCGUCCCCGAGCCCAUGGAACGCCGAUUUUUAUCGGAAUCGGCACCUCUCUUACGGAAAAGGUAUUAUAUUUACCCUUUAUUUUUUGUUUUCUUUCGAAAAUAAUAAAAAAGUAAAUAAACAAAAAGUAAAUAAAUAAACUGAAAAACUACCUUUGAAAAAGGUUUGUACUUGAAUCGAUUUUGCUCUAUUUUCUUUUCAUUCAUUCGUCCGUAUCCAAAAUAUACAAAGAUUCGGGUCUUUAUAUAGCCGAAAAAAAACUAUUAUCCUAUUUUUUUGUUAUUAUCUCCUACUAUUUUCUCUCUAUAGGACUCCUUUUUUGUUAUUAUCUCCUACUAUUUUCUCUCUAUGGGACUCCCUUUUUGUUAUCUGGGCUAUGUAAAUGGUUUUUUAGCCAGGCCAAAAUUGGCCUAUUACAACAUUUAUUCACACAGUUUCUUUUACUAAUAUACUUAAAACUUUUAAUUAAUUUCCAAAACAUAAAAUCAUUUAAAUAAGCUUUAUAACUUAUAAUUUUUAAUUUAACAUAUAUUAUCACUAAUUAACUUUUACAUUUACAUAUCAAAAUCUUUCUUUCGUUUCACAAAUAUAACAUAAACACUUAAUUCACAUAUGUUAUUUAACACUUAAUUUACAUGUUCACUUUUAUCUCUUUUUUCACAUAUUAUUAGACAUACACACGCACUUUUACUUUCACACUUCACUUUUGCAGUCUUUAGUGAGUCUCAGAGAAGUUUCAAUCAAUCAGAACAUAUGAUAUUUCAGAUCAUGCAAUAUUUCAAUAAAUUCCAAAGCUCCAUGCCAAAACAAAACUCUUGGCCUUUAAGAGAACUCUAGAAAACAUAGGAAACUCCAUUAAACAUAUAACAUAACUCAUUUAUCCUCUCCUAAUCUCCUUUAAACCUCAACAACACUAGCCUAGUUCCCAUUCGAACCCCUUGAUCUAUCGUAAUUUGAUACGUCAAAACAAGCUCUCUAAAACACUCGAUGAGCUUAUUCUCAAGCAAUUUACGAGUUUUUUUUUCUAUACUUUUGUUGGUUUUUAGUAUUUAGUAUUAAUAAUCGUUUUUGCUUAGCUUUACUCCGUUUGAAACCCAAGUUGGCAAAAUGGUGUCAUUGGAAGCCUAAUGGUGCGUUUGAGUUGGUGUAGGGAAAAGAUGAUGGCCAAACCUUGAGGAGAACUACAAUGGAUAUGGGUGUCGCAACAUUGAGCCUUCACUACUUCGCAGGUGCAAGACUUCAUCAUGGAGCAAACUAUCGAGGGUUACAUGCAUUUUCCUUGUGGAUCACCUUAUUACCUAAACACUCAUGGGUUCAAUCCUUGAAAUACUCAGAGUGUUCCAUUGUGACACUUAUAAAUAUUACAACUGACCUAUCACACUUGCAGCACACCGCUAUAUUCUAAUUGUAUUUGUUUUGAUUCAUAAUCUCGGCACACGCACGCCGAGGUGCGGUCACCCAUAGCCCCUUUUAACCCCAAAAUCAUUUCAUAUCACAUAUUAUAUAUCCUUUAAGCUCAUUAAGUCAUUUAUUCACACAACACUUUAUUCAUUCAUUUUAAAUUACAUAAGCAUAUACAUAAUAUUUUCAUUUCACACAUUCACAUAUUCACUUUUGUAUAACAUACUUGACAUAUCACAUAUAUCACUUUGUUUGUGUCACCUUACUUAUUCACUUUGAAUUAUAUAACCACAUGCACUACAUCCUCACUUUAUACAUUAAUUCACUUUCAUAUAACACUUUGCUUUCAUAAAACACUUCACUUAAAUAUUUAUUUCACUCUUUUAGCACACUUGGUAAUUUUUUAACAUUUUACAAUUUAAUCCCUAAAUUCAUGAAAAUCCAAUAUUUACUUUUAUAACACUUAGUAUCACUUUUCACUCCAUUUAAACCUUUAAUCACAAUAUUUGUUUCACAUAUCAAAAUUCACACUUUUUUACAACUUAGUCAUCUCUAUAGUAAUUUCACUAUUCUACAUCUAUCUAUUCACUUAUAAAAAAUGACAAAUAAAUAACUUUUCACUUUUUAUAAUUUAAUCCUUAGUUUCAUAAAAUUCACUAAUCACUAAAUUAUCACUUUAUCAUUUCUUACAUUACUAACAUUACCUUUAAUUACAUAUUCACUACUAAAUUCAAUAAUCUUAAUCAUGUCUAAUUUAAUUAUUUCAUAUUAAAAUUUAAAUACUCAAAUAACCAAAUUAAAAUAAACUGACUUUAAUUCAUUUAAGUACUUACCUUUUUCUUCACUUGAAAUUAAUCAUUCCCUUCGCUUUCAUCUUCAUCUAAGUUGUUUCCAUGAUUGAAAUAUUUUCAUAUCACUCUAGGAUAUGAAAUUAAGUUUGGUUUUAAGGAAAAAAACUCAAGAAAAAUGCAUGGGAGUUUUCCUUUUCUUUCUUUCCCCCUUUUGUUUCUUUCCCUUCUGUUUUUGCUGCCCCAAGCGAUUGCCGUUUAGCCUCCCAAUUGUGUAGAAAAUUUUACAAUUUUCCCUUUUCUUUUUCAAUUUAGUCCAUUUAUUCCAUCAUCGAAUCAAAUUUCAACAAUUUUCAACCUCAAUUUCCAUAAAUUUCCACAAACUUUCCACCUCAUCAACUAUGAGAUUUUAAUGUCAUCAUUAUGGCUCUAAAUAUCAAUUAAAAUUGGAAAACAACAUUUAGGUCUCUCCUCUAUGAAAUGGGAAAAUUCCAUUUUAGUACCCAUUCUUUUCCAUUUUAUUCAAUUUGAUCCCUAUCUCAAUUUUCCAACUCCACACUUCAAUACAUAUCCAUAUCACAUUCAUAAAAAUAUUUAUUUGAUUUCACCUCCUUUUCAGAAAUGCUCAAUUUGCACUUGUAGUCCUUCAACUUUUUAAAAAAAUGCAAUUUAGUCCUUAAUAAAUUCCAUUAUUCAUACUUUCUCUCCAAAUACUUAAUUCACCUUUAAAAUACUUAUUCAUUUCAAAGGCUAAAGUUUUGGGGGGAAUUACAAUAAUUUGGUCUAAAAUUUCAAAAUUCGCAUAGAAUCUUAAAUAACCUCUUUUUUGUUCAACAAGAAUCUUAAAUAACUUAAGAAAAGGUUGUGAUAAGAUUAUAUCCUAUAUUACGACAUAUGUUCAAGAAUGUGAGAUUAUAAGAUGACUGACACUAUAAUUUCAUUUAAAAAUAUAACAUUGCAAGUCGUAAUAUAAGAUUCAAUGAAAACAUUAUAUUAUUAUAUAAUUAAUUAUUUUCAUCGUAUCGUGUAACGUGAUGUAAAUUAAACCAUUUUCAAUAAAUUUUUUGAAGGUGUUGUUUGUAAAAUGUAAUAUAAUAAUUAAAAUAUGAUUUUCUUUCCAAUUAUUGAUAUAUCAUGAAUUAAAAUUAAAGCGAUAAUAGUAAAUAAAAGAAAAAGAAAUUAUGGCAGCAAUCAUAUCGACUUUUCUCAUACAUCGAGGAGUAAAUAAUCCCAAUAUAAUAAUAUUUCCAGAAAAUAAAAACUAACAUUAUUUGAAUAAAAAAUUGGAGAACAUGCAAGAAUUCCAGAUUUUGAGCAAAUAAUUAAUUUUUUUAAUUUUUUAAUUUUAUUUUAAAAAAUAAAAGCGGCAAUACAAAUAGACAUCAUGUCAGUGCUAACAUGCAAAAUAAUAAUAACACCAUGUGUCAUGUUGUUAACUUGUUAUUUGCUAAAUAUACCAACCCAUUGGUUUUUUUUUUUUUUGGGUUAAUAUAAUUUUUUUUCAUUAGUUUAACUAUUUUUUUUAUUUACUUUAACUUUUAUAUCUGAUACUUAGGUCCGUAAAAAUAUCAUAAAAUUUCCUGUACUAUAUUCUAGAUAUAUUUUAAUCAUUUAUUGAAAAAUAAAUAAAGUAAAAUCGUCAUUCUGUUAAAAUUGCACCGUUAGAUAUUUAUUUUGGUGUUUAUAUAUAAGGUAUAAUAAUAAAUUUAGCUCUCAAUAUUUUUACAUUUAUUCAAUUUGACUCUUACUCUUUUAUUAGAAGUAAAUUAUAAUUUUUUAAAACUAAUGAGGCUAAAAGGUAAAAAAAUAGUUUGUAUUAAAAAUAACAAUACCAACCCAUUAAAUUUUAAUGGUUAUGAGAUUUAAAAGAAAAUUGACCCGUACUCUUUUAUUAGGUUGAAAUUGUAAUUUUUAACUAUUUUAAUGUGUUCAAAAUGUAAAUAAUUCAAUAUAAUGAAAAACUGUAAUUUUGACCCCUUUUAAAAAAAUGUAAGAAAAUUUUUCAACUUUUCUUCUCUUAAAAUUUUUUAAUUUUAUAUCAACCAUAUCACAUAAUUCUUGACCGCUCUCCAUUACGUUUUUUCAACUUUCAUUUUUUUUAUAUUAAAAAAUAAUCAUCUAUGUUAAAAUGCUAAAUAUAUAACCAAUAAGAUGGUAAAAUAUUGGAUGUGGAUGGAAUAUUAUAAAAUAAUAAAGAAAUUUUUAUAAGGUAUCGGUAAAUGAAAAAUUGAUAGUGAUGUAAAAGGGAAUGAUUCACUUAAACAAACAGAGAACUAAAAGAUACAAAUAAUUGAAGAAGAGGAAGACAAGGGACUUAAAGUUAUUAAAAGAGUGAGAGAUUUGACAAUUGUUCACUGUAUAACGUCACAUCAUCGACAAUUAUGGAAUAUGGUGAAUGUGUGAUCGGUCAAGUGACAAGACCAUUAUAUGUGUUAUCAUACUUAGAGAUGAUGGUAUUCUCGCUAUAAGUGGAUGGUCUAAUUGCAGGUGAUUUAUUUGAGUAAUGACUAGUUAGGACGUGAAAGGAAAAUGAUUGGAGAUGUUGUUUAGAUAGCUUAUCGUGAUACCAUGUGUUGAAAUUAAAUUGAAGUAUAAUAAGAAUAAAAGGGUAAUCAAUUGGUGAUUAUUCAAAGAAAAAGUGAAAACCAUAAUAGAGGAAGUGGGUGAUAUUAAGCUUAGCUUAUUGGGUAUGUUUAGGUGUCGGUCGACUUUAUAAAUUUAAUUUAUGAUUCUCUACUAGCUUAAGCACAUAUAUUUGAAACAGAAGUGAAAGUAUAUGAAAUCCAACUAAAGAAAUCUGGAAAAGACAAAAGCAACCCUCCCCUCCCCGACACAUCGCAUCGGUUCUCCACAGCUGUCUUCAACUCUCCCGGUCGGAAAUUAAAUCACUCCCACACUUAACGACGCCAUUUUCAUCAGAGAAAUCUAAAUAUCUCCCCCCCCCCCCCAAAUUCCUAGGGUUCUCUCUCAAAUCCUUUCUUUCCAAUUCCGUAUUGUUAGGGAUUUGAAGCUAGUCCGGAUCGGGUAACGAACUGGAAGAUGAUAGACAAUUGCUUGGGAGCUCAAAGAUCUAGAAAGAUCCAGAGAGCUCUCCGUCAUUGCAAGGUCACCAUCCUCUGCCUCGUCCUCACCCUCGUCGUCCUACGUGGCACUAUCGGAGCCGGUAAAUUCGGGACUCCGGGACAGGACCUCGCCGAGAUCCGCGACCACCUCUAUUACCGGAAACAAGGCGAACCGCAUCGCGUCCUCAAAGAAGUCCAAACGACGUCGUCAGAUAACCACGACGGCGCCGACACCAACGCCGGCACCAAUAACUACAACGAGUUCGACAUCAAUAAGAUCUUAAUCGACGAGGAACCAGACGUCCCGAAACGCGAUCCCAACGCGCCCUAUUCGCUCGGGCCCGGAAUCUCCGAUUGGGACGAGCAACGCUCUAGAUGGCUGCAAGAAAACCCUAAUUACCCAAAUUUCAUCGGUCCAAACAAACCGAGGGUUCUCUUAGUCACUGGUUCAUCUCCCAAACCUUGUGAGAACCCUGUCGGUGAUCAUUACUUAUUGAAAUCGAUCAAGAACAAGAUCGAUUAUUGUAGAUUACACGGGAUCGAGAUAUUUUACAACAUGGCGCUGUUGGAUGCUGAAAUGGCAGGGUUUUGGGCGAAAUUGCCGUUGAUUCGAAAGCUUUUGCUCUCGCAUCCGGAGGUGGAAUUCUUGUGGUGGAUGGAUAGUGACGCCAUGUUUACUGACAUGGCAUUUGAGGUUCCUUGGGAAAGGUAUAAAGACUCCAACUUUGUUAUGCACGGUUGGAAUGAAAUGGUUUACGAUCAGAAGAAUUGGAUUGGGCUAAACACUGGGAGUUUUUUGUUGAGGAAUGGGCAAUGGGCACUUGACAUUCUUGAUGCUUGGGCUCCAAUGGGUCCUAAAGGCAAGAUUAGGGAAGAAGCAGGGAAGGUUUUGACCCGGGAGCUUAAGAAUAGACCCGUUUUCGAAGCCGAUGAUCAGUCUGCAAUGGUGUAUUUGUUGGCUACUCAAAGGGAGAAGUGGGGUGAUAAGGUUUACUUAGAGAAUUCUUAUUAUUUGCACGGUUAUUGGGGGAUCUUGGUUGAUAGAUAUGAGGAAAUGAUUGAGAAUUAUCACCCAGGUUUAGGGGAUCAUCGUUGGCCGUUGGUGACCCACUUUGUGGGGUGCAAACCUUGUGGUAAGUUUGGGGAUUACUCGGUGGAGAGGUGCUUGAAGCAAAUGGAUAGAGCAUUCAAUUUUGGGGAUAAUCAGAUUCUUCAGAUUUAUGGGUUCACUCACAAGUCAUUGGCCAGUAGAAGGGUUAAGAGAGUUCGAAAUGAGACCAGUAAUCCGCUUGAGGUGAAAGAUGAGCUUGGACUGCUUCAUCCGGCUUUUAAAGCCGUUAAGGUAUCCUCUUCUUGAGGAUAUAGGCUUUGUAUGAUAUCUUAUGCUGCUAAAUUAUAGGUUACAGUAUUCAAAUGUUGUGUAUGCAGUGGGAAUUUUGUGCUUACGGUCUGGAUAAAUAGUAUUCUUUUGUUCCUCGUCUUUAAAUUAUGAGUUCUUUAUAUGCUUUCCGAAUGAAAACUUAGCUCAUUGUUCUUUCCACUGCUAUUCAUUUUUUGUUGCUUAUAAGCAAACUUGAUUCUGUCAAUGUUUUAACAUGGUGAUAUAUGUUACUGCAUUUGUAAUUCAAUCAUUAGUCUGCAAUGUUUAUCGAUGUUGGGAGCUGGUAUACUUUCAUACUGCUAGGGUAAGCCAGUGAAACUAGGCCGCUGCAGGUACUCUGUUCUUUGAAACUUUAGCUGGAUGAAUAUAUAGUGGGGUUGAAACUUAAUUGUUGUGGUUAAUUGCUUGUUUACGUGGUUCAAAAGAAAGUGAGAAACAUUUCACUGAAUGAGGUAAGCAUUGAUGAUCAUUAGUCUCGUUCUCUGUUUCUUGUUUCUUUGAUUCGUACUCUUUAGAUCCCCAUGGAGGAAAAGAGUCGAGUCUUGCUAGGAAUAGGAUGAUAACGAGCUGCAGUUUCCUGCUUUUAUCAUUUUAAUGGCUGAUAUUUAUGUUGCUCCGAUUCUUAUUUUUCUUCAAAUAUCCGUGUCCAAUGUUCUUGUCUGACACACAUCCGUAUAUGAGCGCCGGAUAUGAUCUUCUAACUACAUGGAAGAACUUAAAAUAGUUGGACAUAUGUUUGACACACUACUAAAAGCUGUCGAUACUCAUUUACUCCAUAACUUAGUUCACUAGUAUUGAUAGAAUCUGUUCAGCAAUGGAUUCAUCUUUACAAUUACUUUAAGUAUCAAUGUUUGACAUCUAUGUUCUAUGCUUGUUGAAAUAUGAAUAUAGAGAUAUGGUCAUUUAAACUUGUGUUAACCACGUGCCCAUGUCCGAAUUUAUAUUCGACACAUGUUUUCAACUGCAAUAGCUCUAGAUGUCCUAAACAGGGUUAUGAAUUUCCGAGACACUUAACGAUUAAAUUGUAAUUUUUUUACUUAAAUAAUUAAAACAGAAGCUUACCUAUAAAUCCAUAAUUUACCCCUAAACCAGAACAUGUCGGACCAGUCAACCUUCUAUAAUAUGGAUAGCACAAAAUUUCAAUAUAAUAUAAUAAAAAUAGAAACAAUAAAAAUGGGAUUGAACGACAUUUUUUUUCUUAAAAAGGUAGGACUUUAUUAACAUUUUCUGGAUUUUAAAAAAAUGGUCUUAAGUAACACCUUAUAAUUAAAUUUGGUAAGUGCACUGGGCCCGGACCUCUCAUGACAAACUCGUGGUCUUCUCCCUCUUUGUGGAUGGCGUGGGGUUACCAAUUUUUGGAAAUUAAACCAAUAAUGGAGCUAUCCAUUUUUCAUUACGUUAAUGACAAAAAUAAUUAAUUAAAAUUUAUAAAAAUUAUAAACCAGUGCAAUUGAUUCAGUUAUUGAUUUUUUUUUCAAGUUUUUCAGAUUUUUAUCUAUUCACAAACAAUUUAGUUUAUAGUUAACUUCAUGUCAUCGAUUAAAUCGUUAAAACCAUUGAUUUAUGGUUUAACCGAUUUAAUCAGUUGAUCUAGUCUAAUUCUAACAUCUCUCGGAAGAUCGAUUUUUCCGGUGGCCAUGCUUUUGGAGACUUGUUCCUUCUGAUGGGACCUUUCGAGCUCUUUAAGUUCUGUUUUUAUUACUUGAGCUUUUUUUACCAUUGUUUCAGGUGAGGGCGUUCAGAGAUGAAUCAUGAAUUUUGGGGACUCAAAAUAUAAUUUUAACAAUUAUACUAAUUUGUAAAUUCGUAAAUUUGUAAAGGAUUAAAAAAUACAUUUACCAUUUUUGGGGGCAAGGCUACAACCUUCUCCUUUAUCUAUGCCUUGGUUUCAGGGUGUUGCAGUAAGUCCAUCGCCAAAAAGAGUGAGGGUCUCAACCCAAACUCUUGUCCAUCAUGUUUUUGCUUUACCCUAAUGCUUGUUCCUCUAGGUUAUCGACAUAAAUCUCCCUCUCUUUGCUUUCAUGUUGAUCUAUGUGUAGAAGGGGGAGUUGCUCGUUGCCUUCGUGGCUUAGGAUUAGGGUUUUUAGUAUCUUUUAAGGUCAUUUUUAUAGUUUAUAUUCGAGAUUUAUGAUUAUUUUUUUAUAAUGUUGUUUCCAAGCAUUUAACUUUCCUAACAUUUAUUUGCUUUUUUCUUUUGGCUUUUAUCUUUUAUGGUAUUCAACAUUUAUUUAUUCAUGUUCGUGUCUAUAACCGAAAAUAAAUCUAGAUAAUUUUUUCAACAACAUAAUGAUACAUAUACAUAUACAUACAUAUAUUCAUCACACUAAAGGGGAAAAUAAUUAUAAUUCUCACAUUCACUUAUUGCUAUAAAAAAAAUCUAAAAUUGGUUAACUUGUGAAUUGAACUAAUAGUUGAACUGAUUUUUAUAAUUUUUUUUUAUUUUAAUAAUUUAUUUUCUUUGAAUUGAUCAGAUUAGUUGUUCUGGGAAUUAAUUGGUCGGAUUAGUUCGGAAUUGAUUCAACUAGUUUUUUAACUCGAUUCAACUAGUUUUUUGACUCAAUUCAACUAGCUUGUACUGUUUCAUGGGUCAAUCGGUUUUUUACCUAUCACCAUAGGGGUGUGCAUAAUUCGGGUAAAACCGAAAAAAUUCGGUUAACCGACUGAAUUCGGUUAAUCGGUCGGUUAACCGAAUUUUUUCGGUCGGGGGUCAGUUAAUUUUUUUAUGAUUUUUCGGUUAACGGUUAAUUCGAUUCGAAAUCGGUCAGUUAACCGAAAAUUUUCGGUUAACCGAAAAAAUUAAUAAAUAAAAUUAUCCAACCCAGCCCAAACUCAAUUACCCAACCCAAUAAAACUAAAACUAAAGUUUACCCAAUUACCCAAUUACCCAAUUCAAUAAAACUAAAACUAAAAGACAACCCAAUUUACUAAAGUCUAAAACCCAAUUUACUUUAAUAAUUUAUAAAAUUUUUUAAAUUUUAAAAAUAAAAAAAUAAAAAAAUUCGGGUAAUUCGGGUAUUUUUCGGUAAUUCGGCUAAUUCGGGUAAUUCGGGUAAUUUUUAACCAAAAAUAAAAAAUACAUAAUUUUCGGUUAAUUCGGUUAACCGACCUUAUUAACCGAAAAAAUUUCGGUUCGGUUAAUUUUUUUUAAAAAAAUUGGUUCGGUUAACGGUUAAAAUUUUUAGAAGGUCGGUUAAUUCGGUUAUAGUAAUUUCGGGUCGGUUAACCGAAUGAACACCCCUAUAUCACCAGAUUGAUACCCCAACCGAUUUUUGGUCCAAUUAGUCGGUAUAGUCCAAUUUAAAUAAUAUUAAAUUUUGACUUUUUUAUAUUUUUAAAUUCAUUUUUAUUUUUUCAUAUUUUUAUUUUUUUUAAAAUUAUAAAUUCGUAGUUUUUUAUUUAAAAUAUAAAAAUACUUUUUAAAAUUUCUAUAUACUUUUAAAGGGUAAUGACCAAAUUAAUAAAAAAAUAUAAAUAUGAAGUUAAAAAUGUUAUUUUACAUUUUACAUCAUUAACUUUAGUGGAAAAAUUAGACGGAGGGUGCAAGAUUUUUAAAGGGUAAACUACCUAUUUAGUCACCGAGUUUACCUAUAUUAUUAUUUUGGUUACUCAUUUCAAAAUUUUGUUAUUUUGGUCCGUAUUAUUAGAUAAGUUAUCAAUUUUAGUCACUUUACCAUUAAAAUGGGUUUCAUCACCAAACAUAAUGCUGAUGUGGCUUGCUAUAAUAAUAAAAUUAGCCCUUAAUGUUUACCCAUUUAAUUAAUUUAUUCUUGAUUUUAAAAAAAUUAACCAUUAAUAUUUACACAUUAUAUAAACCCAUUCUACAAAUUAAGAAAAUAUAAAAUAAAAUUUAAAAAUAAAUAAAAAUUCAAAUAUUUUAAAAUUAAUAAAAAUAUACAAAAUACUCAAAAAAAAUUAUAAAAAAUAUAUUUAAAAAUUGUUUUUACUUCCCACCUUGUGGCUUUGAUGGUUCCCGCAGCUGUCGCUUGUGCUGCCUUCUUCGUCAACUUCUCGCAAAAUCACAAGUAAAAAGCGAAGAUGCAAAAUUUACGCAAUAAAAAGAAAUUAAAAAGAAAGAGGGAACCUUUCAUGGAGCUGCCCAAGGUUACUGCCUCUUUUUUUUCUUUAUAAUUUUUUAGUAUUUUAUAUAUUUUUGAAUUUUUAUGUUAAUUUUAUAAAUUUAAAUUUAAAUUUUCUUAAUUUUUAGAAUCAUGACCAAAUUGGAAUAUUGUGUAAAUAUUAAAGGUUAAUUUUCUUAUUUUUUUCAAAAUAAUGAUCAAAUUAAUAAAAUGGGUAAAUAUUAAGGGUUAAUUUUGUUAUUAUACCAGGUCACUUCAGCAUUCCGUUGGGUGAUCAAAUCUAUUUUAACAAUAGAGUGACUAAAAUUGACAACUUAUCAAAUGGGAAUGACUGAAAUAAUAAACUUUUGAAAUGGGUCACCAAAAUAGGAACGCGGGUAAACUCUAGCGACUAAAUAGGAAGUUUACCCAUUUUUAAAUAAAAAAAAGACUCAAAAUUAAAAUUAUAAGGACUAAAUUAUAAAUUUAAUAAGAGUAGAGGGACUUUAACAUAUUUAAACCAAAAUAAAUCACACCGACACAUAACGCCAUUUUUAUCAGAGAAAAGAGUAUCUAAAAUCUCCCCAAAUCUUCCAAAUUUCAUUUCCUAGGGUUCUCUCUCGAUUCCCUAUUUUCCAAAUUGGUAUUGUUAGGGAUUUGACGCUAAUCCGGAUCGGGUAACGAGCCGGAAGAUGAUAGACAAUUGCUUGGGAGCUCAAAGAUCUAGAAAGAUCCAGAGAACUCUCCGUCAUUGCAAGGUCACCAUCCUCUGCCUCGUCCUCACCCUCGUCGUCCUACGUGGCACUAUCGGAGCCGGUAAAUUCGGGACUCCAGGCCAGGACUUCGUCGAGAUCCGGGACCACCUCUAUUACCGGAAACAAGGCGAACCGCAUCGCGUCCUCAAAGAAGUCCAAACGACGUCGUCAGAUAACCACGACGGCGCCGACACCAACGCCGGCACCAAUAACUACAACGAGUUCGACAUCAAUAAGAUCUUAAUCGACGAGGAACCAGACGUCCCGAAACGCGAUCCCAACGCGCCCUAUUCGCUCGGGCCCGGAAUCUCCGAUUGGGACGAGCAACGCUCUAGAUGGCUGCAAGAAAACCCUAAUUACCCAAAUUUCAUCGGUCCAAACAAACCGAGGGUUCUCUUAGUCACUGGUUCAUCUCCCAAACCUUGUGAGAACCCUGUCGGUGAUCAUUACUUAUUGAAAUCGAUCAAGAACAAGAUCGAUUAUUGUAGAUUACACGGGAUCGAGAUAUUUUACAACAUGGCGCUGUUGGAUGCUGAAAUGGCAGGGUUUUGGGCGAAAUUGCCGUUGAUUCGAAAGCUUUUGCUCUCGCAUCCGGAGGUGGAAUUCUUGUGGUGGAUGGAUAGUGACGCCAUGUUUACUGACAUGGCAUUUGAGGUUCCUUGGGAAAGGUAUAAAGACUCCAACUUUGUUAUGCACGGUUGGAAUGAAAUGGUUUACGAUCAGAAGAAUUGGAUUGGGCUAAACACUGGGAGUUUUUUGUUGAGGAAUGGGCAAUGGGCACUUGACAUUCUUGAUGCUUGGGCUCCAAUGGGUCCUAAAGGCAAGAUUAGGGAAGAAGCAGGGAAGGUUUUGACCCGGGAGCUUAAGAAUAGACCCGUUUUCGAAGCCGAUGAUCAGUCUGCAAUGGUGUAUUUGUUGGCUACUCAAAGGGAGAAGUGGGGUGAUAAGGUUUACUUAGAGAAUUCUUAUUAUUUGCACGGUUAUUGGGGGAUCUUGGUUGAUAGAUAUGAGGAAAUGAUUGAGAAUUAUCACCCAGGUUUAGGGGAUCAUCGUUGGCCGUUGGUGACCCACUUUGUGGGGUGCAAACCUUGUGGUAAGUUUGGGGAUUACUCGGUGGAGAGGUGCUUGAAGCAAAUGGAUAGAGCAUUCAAUUUUGGGGAUAAUCAGAUUCUUCAGAUUUAUGGGUUCACUCACAAGUCAUUGGCCAGUAGAAGGGUUAAGAGAGUACGAAACGAGACCAGUAAUCCGCUCGAGGUGAAAGAUGAGCUUGGAUUGCUUCAUCCGGCUUUUAAAGCCGUUAAGGUAUCCGCUUCUUGAUGAUAUAGGCUUUGUAUGAGAUCUUAUGCCUACUAAAUGAUAGGUUACAAUAUUCAAAUGUUGUGUAUGGAGAGGGAAUUUUAUGAUUUAGGUCUCGAUAAAUAGCAUUCUUUUGUUCAUUGCCUUUAAAUUAUGAGUUGUUAAUGCUUUCCGUAGGAGAACUUAGCUCAUUGUUUUGUCUUCCGCUAGUCAUUUUUUUGGUAGCUUAUAAGCAAAAUCGAUUCUGUCAAUGUUUAAACACAGUGAUACCUUAUCGCUCGAAUAUGUUGCUGCAUUUGUAAUUCGAUCGUUGGUGGUAGCUGGUUUACUUUCAUACUGCUAGGGUAAGCCAGUGAAACUAGGUCGCUGCAGGUACCCCGUUCUUAGCAACUUUAGCUCGAUGAAUCUAUAGUUGGGUUGGAACGAUUAUCAUUAGUCUCGGACUAUUUGCGACGAGGAGCUCUCGCUCUGUUGAACCCGCAGUACUAAUCUAAACAAAAUGUCUUUGUUUUAUGACUUUUAGAGAUUAUUUGAUAAAAAUUGAAAGUUUUUUUCAAAACUAUUUUUUAAAUAUUCAAAUAAAUAAAGAUAAUGAAUGCAUCUUAUAUAGUAUUUUUCAAAAAAUAGCUUUUUUAUAUAGUAUUUUGAGUUAUUUUCAUUCCAUUAUAAAAAAUAGAAUUUAAUUAUAAAUUAAAUAAAAUAUAAAAUUCGGUUAGAUUUGGAUAAUCAUAAAUUUUAAUUCAUUAAAAAAAAAUCUAUACAUCAUCGAUUCGUAUGGAUUUUUAGUUUCUCAAUAUUUUGCUUGCUCAGCCCGAAUAAAAUCAACUAUUCUAAAUUAAAUGGGUUAAAUCAUAAAUUAAAUUGAUUUUAAACAAUUUUUCUCUGAUAUAUAUAUAUAUAUGGUUGGGAAAAUACGAGUUCAAUUAAAAGUCCGAGAAAACUCCAGUCUAUAGGAACCCAAGUCCGAAAUAAUUAUAUGAUAUUACUUAAAAUAAAAAUAAAUGGUAAAGAUUUAUUUUAUAAAUAUGUAUUCAGAAGCACUUUAAUUAUUUUAUAUAAUAUAAUUCUAUUAAAUAUAUAUAAUUUAUGCUUUUCAUAAGGUAAAUUAGAAUUGAAUAUUUAUAACGUAAAAGAUUCAAAAUCAUUUGAAUUUGAUGAAGAUCAUCUUGUUCAACCUGAGCCCAAAUCUUAAAAACUCUAAAUCUAAGGGUGGGUUUAGAUAGUUGGUGCAUUUACUUAUAGUUACUAUAAAAACAACAGUGACGAUGAUAUUAAAUAUUGUAACGAUCGUGUAAUGUGUAAUAAAAAAUAAACUAAGCACACUGCACCAUCCAUUCAAACCUACACUAAGAAAAUUUGAACUUAAACAAAUUCUAGAAAAAAAAGAUCUAAACCUAAAUUCAUCCCAUCUAAAAAAAUCCGAAUCCUACAAGUUAUUUGAACUGUUAUUUUGGUUGGACCAUAUAUUUUUACUUUGUAGUAUUGAUGUUUUUACCUUCCUUUAUUCAUAAUUUGCCAUUGCGUGCUGCAGUUACCAAACACAAAAAGGGUUGACCUCAGUCUCUUCCCCUAUCAACCAAAACAUGUCCGAUCAGUCAACCUUCUAUGAUAUAGAAUAUAGAUAGCAUCAAAUUUUAAUAAUAAUAAUAAUAAUAAUAAUAAUAAUAAUAGAAACUAUAAAAAUGAAAUGAGAUGAGAAUUAAAAAAAAAUUAUAAACAUUUUUUGGAUUUUAAAAAAUGGUUUUAAACAACUUAUUAGAAUUAAAAUAUUUAUUAUUGAUUUAUCACUUAAAUCAUUCAGUUUCAGUUUAAUUAGAUCAAUCCAUCAUUUUUAACAACAAUUAAAUAUAUUACUAAUUCAUACAAAUUAGUAAUUUUAAAAAUAUAUAUUAGAAAUUUAUAAACUGGAUUAAUGAUUUUCAAUUUUUAACGAUUUACAAAUGACUUGGUCUAUAUUCGAUUUUACAUUAUCGGUUUAACCAAUGGUAUCAUUGGUUUAGUUUGGGCCUCCUUUAGAUAGAGAGUGAUUAUGGUGUGAUAAAAUUUUUUAUUUCAUAGUUAUAAUUAAUUUUACCGUCAUCGUCAUUUUUAACUUUAUUGAAAGUAAAUACACAGGUUACUCCAGAAGGUAAGAAAAUCUAAAAGCAGGGAAAUUAACCAACGACAACAUAUCUGGAUAAUUUCUUCAACAACAUAUAUACACAUACAUACAUAUAUAUAAUAUACAUAUAUAUUCAUCACACCAGAGGGGAAGCUUCAUAAUUCUAACACAUCCACUUAUUGCUGCUACAUACCUAUAUCUUACAAUUUUUUUUUUAAAAAAAGGACGUCGGCGAACAACCUUAACGACGGCAGCGAGUAAUGGUGCUGCAACCUCGUGUGUAAGGGUUAGCUUCGGCUCCUGGCCGACAGUUAUAAUACGAAGCGCCCCUUCGAGAGCACGGCACGGUGUCCCUCUGAAGUGCUUUGUAGCUUAUGUAAGUGGUGGUUUGCAAUAUGCGCCUCUUGAUCUCGGACCCUAUGUCGAACUCAUCAUCGUCCACGUUAGCCAUGCACUCCGCCGUUGAGUCCUUGCAGCUACCGGACUUGUUCACCGUCGCCGGCACCCAGCUCAAGUGAUGCACACCACUUGAUUCGGCGGCCAACACGGCGGUGAUCAGGGUUGUUGUGAGGAGUAAGGAAAUGGCGAGCAGAAAACCCGAGGGAUUAGCCAUUUUUUUUCUUUUCUUUCUUUUGUUUUGGUUUAUUAAUGUCGGGACAAGACACGAAUGGAGGUGCCAACUUAUUUUUAAGGCUACUGGUAAAAAAGAGUCGAAAGAAUGACAUUGGCUAUCUCUUUAUUUACUAUAAUGCCACUUUGCUUUCAUUAGAGGUAAAAAAAAAAACUCAAUUUUACAGUUUGGUAACUUUAUUAUUAUUAUUAUUAUUAAUGUCACUUUAUUUACCUUAGUCAACAGAUUAAUCCGAUUUUUAAUCAUUCUUUCUUACAAAUGAAGAAGAAGAAUUUUUAUUUAUACCUUUCAAUUAAGCCCUUUUUUUUAGUUUAAAAUAACAUUUUUCAUCUAAAUUCUUUCAAAUAUUUAAUAGUUUCGAUUCGAUUUAUAAAUAUUUCUGAUUAUUAUGUUUUUUCUUUGUUUAAAUUAAUAUUUAUGUUUCGUUUUCAUUACACGAAAUAUUAUCUAAGACUAAUGAUGUUAACUUUUUCAUAUUUUCCAAUAAAUACUUGAGAUAUGAUAAAUCCAAUAUUUGAUACAUGGCGAUGAUGCAAUCAAAAUAUAAAAUUUAAAUAUAAACUAAAAUCUAAAAAAAACUUAAAUAUAUAAAAAUAAUUUUUUAAUAAAAAUCAAAAUUUAAAUUUUUUUUAUCAAAAUAAAAUUCUUUUCAAUUUUUUUAUAAGAAGCUUAUAAUUUUCUACCAUUCCACGAGAAUAGACCUUUUCUUUUUGAAUCGAAAAUUUCUAAAUGUAUUUAUAUUUAAAUCGAAAUUUUUCUUACACAAAUUAUAACCUUUUCUAAAUAUAAGUUUUUCUUUUUGAAAAAAAUGGUUGCCACAAAUUUUUUAAAAAUAGAAUAUAAUUUUUUUACAAAACAUCAUAAAUUUAAACAUAAAAUUAAAUUAUCGAUUGAGUUUUAACUCGAUUGGUAUGCACGUUAUUACUAAUGUAGGAAGACGUGAGUUCGAAUACUCUAAAAUGUAUUAUCCUCCUGUUUAUGGGUUAGAAAGGGAUUAUAAAUAAUUUUAGACAUUGUAUCAAAAAUAGCAGAUAUAAUUAGAACCUAUAUAAAAUAAAUAGCAUUCUGAUACCUGAAUAGACAUCCUUUUGAAAAAUAUUGUACACUUUUUUAAAAGAGUAAAUUAAAUUUAGAAAUAUUUUGUUUUUUUUUUGAAUAAAAUAGACUCGAAAUUUUUUAGAUAAUUAUUUUCUGUAAAUAUAAUAGAUUUUCAAUAAUUUUUAAAAUUUUAGAUUAUGUCAUCACAAUGAUGUCAUAAUCAUCGUAUGAUAAAUAUUUAUUGGACCACAUUGAAAAAGUUAGCAUCUUUUGCCCCAAAGAUCAUUUAGUAUAACAAAAACCAAACAUGGAUACCAAAUUGAACAAAAAAAAAAGAAAAAGAAAAGAAAAAGACAUAGAUGGCAAAAUGGAUAUUGAUGCCAAACAUAGGUACCGAAAAGUAUAUUUACCCUUCAAAAUAUUGUAAUUUAAUAAUGUUCUCAUUUUUAAUAUGACUUAAAUUCAGGAUUAAGGGUGUGUUUGUUUUGCGGAAAAUGAAUUAUGAAAAAUAUUUUUUUAUAUUUGUUUUAUAGAAAAUAGCUUGAUUAAUGGAAAAUUAAUCUUUUUUUUUUAAAUUAAAAAGUGUAAAACAUUUUCAAAAAAAAUAACUCCUUUGUGACUAAUAUGAAUUUUAGAUAAAAAUUAACUUGAAUCUAACCAAAUAUUAUUAUAUUAGUAAUAAGUUUUUAAUUUUAUUUAGAAAUAGUAAUUUCAAAUAUUAUUAAAGCAAAUAUAUAUUUAAUAAUAUAUAAUAAAUUAUUAAUAUAAUUUAUCAUUUUCAUAGAACUAUUCAAUAUUACAAAUUUAUUUUAAUAAUAAAUUUUAACAUUAAUAAUUUUAAAUUUUAAGUAAUAUUUUUAAUGUUUUAUUGACAAUACCAACAAGUGAUGUAGUGAUAAGGUAAAUUGCACUCCCAAAUAGAGAACAUAAGUUUGAACUUUGGAGACGAUGUUUUUGGAAAUGACAACCCCGAACAUGGACCAUAAAGUUGACAAAAAGAAUAAAAAUAAAAUAUUUUCUAUUAUUAUUUUAAUAAUAAAUACGGAAAAUCAUUUGAUACACUGCUAGUAGAGUUUUUUAGACUUCUCCACAAGUGGGUUGAGGGUUUGACAAGCGUAUUAUAAGGUGUGGUAAAAAUUUUAAAAAACAAUUAUACAAAUACAUGUGACACUCGUUAUACUCUCAACCCACUUAUGGAGUCUAAAAACAGAGUAUCAAAUAAUAACCCUAAUAAAUAUAUAGAUUAGAAUUUAUAAAUAUUUAUCAAUAAUUUUUAAAAUAUAAAAUAUGAAUACUUUGACAAUAUAAUAAUGUGAUUAUUUAUUUAAAUUCUACUCAACUUCAUUUAUCCCUUCUAUCUCCAAUGUAGCAUUAUCCCUCUUAACUUCAAAUUUAAGUUUUAUUUAGGCAUAUUGAUUAUUGUUACGUCUAUAUAAGAUAAUAUACUUAUUAUAACAUAAAUUUCAGUUGUAGACGAUAAUGCUUCAAUAAUAUUUAUUUUAAAAUAUAAUUAAGCACUGAUUAUUAUUAAGUUCAUAUAAGAUAGUAUAUUUAUUAUACAAUAAAUUUUAAUUGUUAAAGGGCAAUGCUUCGAUAAUAUUUUAUAACAAAUACAACUUAUGUUAAAACUGUUUCAAACAAUAACAAAUAUUUUACACGAAAUCAUCGAAAACACUAAUAAAUAUAUAUAUAUAUAUUUUUUCUAAAAAUCAUAUUUCGAAUUUCGAAUUUCUUUUCAAACUAACACAACAUGUAAGCUACUUAUUUUGUUAAGGAAAAUCAGAUAAUGUCAAAUUUUAUGACAAAUCCUCCAUGGGUAGUUUUUAUGUAUAUAUAUAUAGAAAUCCUAGUUGAACCAACAACCUUAAAGAGUUUGCCUGUCCUAAUCCUUUUGACUAGCAACAAUAAUAAUGGCAAAGAAUAAUCACAAGGCUUAACCUAACCCACCAAUGGAAGAAAAAUGAAUUUUUUUAGUGAUAUGGUUUACUCCUUUUUUAUGAUUUCUUUGUUAAAUCUCAUUAGUCCAAUUGACGCUUUUGCAAGUUCAAAAACCCCUAGAUAGCUAUUUAGAAAGUUUAGGGUAACCCAUUUUUUUAAAAACAAAUUUCUAGGAGACUCUUUUAAACCUAAUUCAAGAAAAUGAUUGAAAUGGUGAUGUGAGGAAACCCUAAUUAAGGGUUUCAAUUGAAAUUCCAGUUUUUACAUUCUUUUUAAUUACUAAUAGUUUGAGAAUAGAAUAAUGGGUUGUGGAUAAUAAUAUUUGAGAUAUAUUAUUUUAAAAAUAUUUGUAUGAUUAAACUGAAUUAGGCAUUGCUCAUAUGGACGGAGUACAUUUUUUUUUAUCUAUUCCUUUAUUGAUUCUAGGUGUCUAAAUAAAUAAACUACCCAUAACCCUCCUAGACCCAUAAAUAGGAGGAUAAUGUGGUUCAAGGCAGUCGAACUCACGUUCUCUUGCAUUGACAAUAAUAUCCAUGUCAAUCGAGCUAAUAUUCGAUUGGUAAAGUUGAAUUAUCCUUAAAUUUAUUGGAUUGGAUUCAACCAGUAAAGCUGAAUGUGAAAUUUUUAGGAACACCAUUUUUUUUUUUCAAAUUUGUAGUUUUAAGAAUCAAUACAUGUAUUAAUGGAUGCAUUGACUGUGGUCUCAAUUAAUUAUUUAAAUCUUAUCAAAUUCUUGGAAAUGAUAUUCUUAUAUUUGAGUUUCAAAUAUAUAUAUCUAUAUAAAGUUUCAUAUAUUAAUAAAUUUUGUUUAAUAUCUUUUAAUAUAUUCCUGUUUUAUAUUAUGUUCACGUUAUUAUUUUUCAAAAGGGUUUAUUUUUAACAUAAAAAUAUGUAAAAAAAUAUAUAAACAUUUGAUAAAACUUAAACUUAGGAUAAUUUAAUUUUACAAAAUUCGAUGUUACCAUUUCAAAGAAAAAUUCAUUUAUUUUUAUAUUAAUUUUAAAAAUAUAAUUUUUGCAUAAUUUAUUUUACCCAUAAGUGUAGUUAUAAGUUUGUGUCAAUUUAAAUUGGAAUAAUUUUAUUUUAUUAGAUAGAAUUGGAUUUUCUUUUGUAGAUUUAGGUCCACAUUGGAUAGAAUUUGGGUCGUUUUACUUUUUGGGCCAUUUAACCAUUGAUAACAAGGGUUGUUUCCUCAUGCUUUUGGGCUUCAACUAAAACCAAUUUACUUAAGAUGUGGGUUAAUUCAUCAAACAUCCUCAAACUAUCACUUAAAUUUUAUAUUAGUCCUUAAACUUUAAAAUAUUAUAAUUGAGUCCUCAAUGGUUAUGUUAACCUACCUAUCCAUUUAAGCAUUUAUUUGGAUCUAACUCUUCUAUUAACCUGCCUAUCAAUUUAGGCAUUAAAUGUCAAUUUGGAUUUAAUAGGAAAAAUCUUUAAAACACUUAUGUAGCCUAUCACAAAGAUAGUUUUUGGAUUAACGUGUUAAAAUAAUAGGUAACAUAAAUAAAAUUUAGGAACAAAUAUAAUACAAUUACAAUACAUGUACAAAUAUAUGUCGAACUAAUUACAAUGUAGAAUCCAACUAGUAUAGCGCACAAUGGAUGAAGAAUUGGGUAAAACUGAAUCACUUUGGAAAGAACUGGACAAAACUCAUCAUGAUACAUGACAUAGGAGCGACAAUGACAUAUUAGUUAGAUUAGUUAGCUCACCUUCAAAAUAAAAAAAAAAACAAUAUAAAAUGACAAGGGAAAAGAAAAGAAAAACAAAUCAUGCAAAACAGAUGGUAAAAUUUAAGAUGAAAUACAAACAAAUACUAAUUUCAUGCAAGCAAUACAUUAAGCCUCCUCCGGAGGCCAUUAUUUAGAUAAAUUAUAAACAAAACACCCAUCUUAAAUCAUAUUAUAACAUUAUCUUGGAGCUUUCAAAUAAAUCAAUUCAUAGCCCUCUGGGUUUAUCAUUAUUGAGGUAUUCUCUAGCAAUUCCCCCAUUAGCACCCUUAGGGAAGAACCCACCCGGCCUAUGCUCAUCACCGGUACCGUACAUGAUCCUCAUAAUCUCCUUCGGUGUUCUUGAGUAAGAGAGCGAAUCCGAUCGGCCGACAACACGUUGUUGGUAGUUCGACUCUCGGCACCAUGCUUCAAAGGUACGAUUAGGCCUUUAUCCUUGACACCACACUUGCCUACCUCGUUCCUUAGCCUCGAGAUCAUGUUUGUGAAUUCAAACACCGUUAUGUCGUAAGGGUCCACUUUUUCUUCACCUUUCUCAUAUAACAUUGUUCUUAGAACUGCAUCUUGUCCAGCUUCCACUCCCAACAACCCUGCAACCAACCAUAUGACUUCGAAAAACAUCUAUUAAGCAUCCAAUUUAAAAUUAAAUAGAUUUGGGUUGAUUAAUAUAAGAUCUCAUAGUUAAAUCGAUUUAUGAUCAUUUUAAUGAGUCUCAAACUCACAAUCAUAUGUAGGUAGAGACAAACUUGAUUAUAACAUAUGGGCAAAAUCCAAAAAUAAUAUUUUCUUUACCCCAAUGAAGUCAAAAUUAACCUCAAUUAUUUUAAUUAAUUAGAUUUUAUAAUAUAUAUUUAAAAGGUACUUUAUUGAAAAACAUCAAUAGGCUCGCAAUCAUGGGAGCAAAAAGGGGUUGUUGCCAUGAAUAGUAAUGAAAAUAGAAAGAGAAGUAUAGCACAGCAAAGUGAUGAUGGAGUAGCCAUUUUACUAGCUAUGUACCAUAAAUUUAUUCAUUAAAAUUUAUAUAUUUUGUUAAUUUAGUUUUUAUUUUUAUUUUUGAAUUAAAUUUUGUUCUUAAUUUUUUAAAAAGAAUCAAUUUUGACCACCAACCUUCCAAAAAGAGUCCAAUGGAAACACUGACCAUUAAACUUAACAAAAUGCAUGCAAUCCAUGUAUAUUUCAUUUUUUUUAAUUUUAUGAACUUUUUAUAAUUUUAUGAAUUAUGAUUUUUUUUUAAUUUUAAAUUAUUUGUUGACAUGAAAUAUAAGAUAAACAGUGUCAUGUCAACAUAAAGUACACAUGGGCUAUCAUGUAGGUUGUCACAUCAAUAUCGUUAAAAAAUUAAUGUUUUAUUCAACAUUUCUGUUAAAAAUGAUUUGAUUAUUUUUGAAAAUUUAAAAAUUUAUCAUUAUUUUUGAAAUUUUAUUUCUGUUAAAAAUGAUUUAACUAAAUUAAAAAAUGUAAACAUUAUUAGCCAAAUUUAUCAUUAUACUUGAAUUUUAAAACUUUAAUUUAUAUCAAAACAAACAUUAAAUAUAAAUAAAAGAAAUAUAUUUUAAGGCUUUUUUUUAAUAAAUAAUCUAAUAAUAUUAAAAAAUUAUAAAAAUUAACCUUAUACUAAAUUAUUUAUGAAAAUGACCUUAUUUCUACAGUGUUAAUGAGUACCACCACUUCCUAAUAUAGUAUCACAUCAAAAUGUGAUAGAAUCAUUGUCUCUUAAUUACAAAAAUUAUUAGAUGUGAACUUUUUUUUUUGUGCUGUCACUUCCCAAGAUGGCACCCAUGUAAGUUUUCUAAAUACAUUGUAUCUUCGUGGGUAUUUUUGGAGUUAAAUGGAAAAAAAAAUUAUUAAUUCUUGGCGUCACAUCCUUUAAUGAGGCACCAAAUUGGAUUAAAAAAAUAUUUGUUGGUGCCGCCUCCUUCAAUAGAGGCACCAAUACCAAUAACAUUGUUUUUUUCUCUCUAGUGCCGACUCCAUAUGUGACGGCACCAUAAAUUUUUUUAGAAUUUGUUGGUGCUACCACUUCAUAUCGAGUUAUCAAAAAAGUUAAAAGAAAAUUCUUGGUCCCUACUCUAGAGUCUAGAUGUGCGGCACAAGUAAUUUUUUUUUGAAUUUUUUGGUCUCGCGAGUCACCAAAAAUUGUAAAAAAAAAAAAUCCCUUGGUCCCUACUCCAGAUGUGCUAGCACCAAUAAUUUUUUUUUUUAAAUUUUCAGUCCCAUCACUUCAUAUAAUCACCAGAAUGAGUAAAAUAAUAUUUUGGCACCAAAAUUUUUCGGCAUGAGUAUCAGAUUAUAUGGAACAAUGCAUUUCUUUUUCUCAUCAUUGAUUGUAUCUUAUAUAUAUAACUAACGAAUUAAAUAUUGCUUAACACAAUUAAAAUUCAAUUAAAAAAAUUAUUGGUGUCGCUACAUCCAGAGCAGGAAACAAGAAAUUUUUAUUUUUUACUUUUUUGGUGACUCCAUGUGAAGUAGCAACACUAAAAAAUUCCAAAAAAAAAAGUACCACCACAUUUGGAGUAGGCACUAGGAGAGUUUUUUUUUACUGGUAUUGGUGUCUCCAUUGAAGGAGGCGGCACCAACAAAUAUUUUUUUAAUCCAAUUUGAUGCCUCUAUUGAAGAAGGUGACACCAAAAAUUAAUCAUACAUAUUUUUUCCAUUUACCUCCGAAAAUAUCUGUGAAAAUACAGUGUAUUUAGAAAACUUAUUGUACAGGCCCAUUUUGACCUAACCUAUUUCAGCCCACUACCCGAGCAAAACCCAAUUACAACCCAAACCACAAACCCAAUUAACCUACCCAAUACCCAAAACAUAAACAACAGACCUUAAACAAAUUAAACCCAAACCCACCUAAAACUAACCCAAAUACAGCCCAAACCCGAACGGCCCAAUAAACUUAGGCCCAAUUACCAAAUUCAGACUAGGGUUUCAGUCUCUAAAACCCUAGCGCCGCAUGCUUUGACCCUUGGUCUCUGCCACCGUCAAUCACCUCAGCCACUUGCCUCUGACUCGCGCCGCUCGUCCAUCACCCUGCAAACAAAGAAGGCAGCAACAACACGCAACAGAAAAAAAAAAGAAAAAUAGAACAAGUUGUAACAAUGGCUAUAAAAAGCCAUUCAAGCAUCUGUAAUGGGGCCCCUCUUUCAUUUUUUCAAGAAAUAAAAAGGGCAAAGAAAACAGAUUCAAGAAAAUUUUAUUUUAGGUAUAAGCUCUAUUUUCUUUUUAUUUAUAUUUUUCUCUUUAUUUUUCUUCCAUCCGAAACUGUUUGAUUCUUUAUUCUUAUUUUUAUUUUUAAAAACAUACAUAUAUAUAACAUAUAGAUUUUAAAAUAAAAAAUAAUACCUUUUUUUUUUUAAUUUUCCACGGUGGCCGGCGCGGCGGCGUCAAUGGCGGCCCUCCUCGCUGGAUUCUGGGCUGAGAGUGUAACACCCCGACUCGUGUCCGUCGCCGGAUUAGUGUUACGAGGCAUUACCGAUCAAAACCCGACUCAAUUUUUUUUAUAAAUAAAUUAAUCCAUUAUAUAUAUACUAAACCAUAAAUCCUAAUCAAUACACAUUUGAAUAUAUAUACAUUCGUUUACUCUAUCAAUACGCCAAACGUAAUUAAUCACCAACAUUUACAAGCAUACUUCAAUUUAUAAAUCAUCUCCUAUAUUCACUUAACUACUAAAUCCAACCAAAUCAUAUAUAUUUCAUAUAUAAUACGUAACCUAGACACUUAACUUAACAUUAUUUAUCUUAAUGAAUAUAACAAACUUACUUACUUCAACCACAUAAUUACCGAAACACUUGAAUGAAAUCACCAUGCACAUAUAUAUAUUACCAUAUAAAUACUAACCAUAAAAUACUAAUCCAUGAUUAAAGUAUGCGUAAACCAUAAUUCAGCCCAAAACCGAACACAAACAAGAAAAUUAAGCCAUUUUCGCAUGGCUUAAUAUUACAUAAUCUAAAUUCAAGUAUUUCAUCUACGCUAUACAUGCCAUAAGAUCGAAUUCAAAAUUUACAAAAUACCGAGAGGAGUCGAUAGUGUGAUAAUCUUCUCUGACGAUCCCCGAGCUCGUAACCAACUUCCAAAAAUCUAUAAAACGAAGAACAACAUACACACAGUAAGCUAUUUAAAGCUUAGUAAGUCAUAAGCAAAAAUUCAUUUAUAUAUAUAUUAAUACUUAUUCCAUCAUUAAGUUAAAAUAAACCAAAUAUCAUAAUAUUUUGUACCAUAUAACACUUUAAUAAAAAUCACAUUGUAUUUUCAUAUAAACAAACCAUAUGGCCAAAUACACAUAAAUAUUUAGCAAAGCCGAAUAUUCAAUAAAUCAUUAUGCUAAAACAUGCUUAUACUCAAAUGAUUAACUCAUACUCUAUAUUUCAUUUGAAACUAUUAUCAAAUUAAAAUAAUCAACUUACCUCAUCAGCAAUUAAGCAAAUGGCUAACACAUACCUGAAUAAUUUAACUUUCUUAACACAUUUAUUUGCUUUUACUAUUGCUCCUAUAAAAUUUAUAAAACAUAGAGCCCUAUAUAAAACACCGGCAUAAAGCCUGCUAGGCACAAAGCCCGAUUCAUUUCACCGGCACAAAGCCUGCUAGACAUAAAGUCGGAAUUAAUUCACCGGCAUCAAGCCUGCUAGACAUAAAGUCUAAAAUAAUUCACCGGCAUCAAGCCUGCUAGGCAUUAAGCCUGAAAUAAUCCACCGGCAUCAAGCCUGCUAGACAUAAAGUCUAAAAUAAUUCACCGGCAUCAAGCCUGCUAGGCAUUAAGCCUGAAAUAAUCCACCGGCAUCAAGCCUGCUAGGCAUUAAGCCUGAAAAUCUCAUAUACAAAGAUGAUCUUUCGUAUAAUUCUUUAUGUUUACCUAAGUCUUACUCAAUAACCGUAUCUCCGUAAGAAUUGAAUUAUAUUCAAUUCUCCAUAGCAAACAAACAUUCGAACCACAUAUGUAUAAUUUACAACAUUAAAAUUCAGCUCAAAGAAUUUGUAACCUAUAUUCGAACCACAUAUGUAAGUAAAAUUCAUACAUUAAAUUCAGCUCAAGAACUUUGUAACCUAUAUUUGAACCACAUAUGUAUAUAAAAUUCAUACAUUAAAUACAGCUCAAGAACUUUAAAUAUAUAUAUUCGAACCAUAUGUGCAUAUAUAUAAUUCAUAAUAUUAAGUUCAACUCAAAGAAUCAAAGAACUUGUAUCAUACAUUCAAACUUUAUAUAUAUAAUUCAUAACUUUAAAUUCAACUCAAGAAAUUAAAUCUUACAUUCGAACUACAUAUCCAUGUAAAUUCUACUAUUAGUUUCAUAUCAUUGAACUUAAAGCAUACUUUAGCUAAUAUACAUGUAAUUUAUACCAUUAAUAUCAACCUCCCAAAAUUAAUUUCUAUGUUCGGCUAUCACAUAGAAAAAUCACCAAGUUUUAUUCAAUUUAUAUACUUUUAGUUCCAGCUUACUAAAUGUAUGAUAGAUAUAUUUAUAUAAAUCCCAAUUUAAUAACAUUUAAAUUGCUAUUAGACUUACCUUGGAUGUCGUCGACUGUUAAAUCGGCUACUCGACCACUUUUGUAUUUCCCCGAUCCAAAUCCGAUUUCUUUAAUUCUUGAUCUAAGCAUAUUCAAAUUAAGUUUAUUUAAACAUCAUUCUAUUCAAUUUAACCUAAAAACACAUAAAUAGGCAAAUUACAAUUUUGCCCCUAACAUUUCACACUUUUUACAAUUUAGUCCUUUUUGCUCAAAACACAAAAUACACAAAAUUUGACUUCACUCCUUAAGGGCCGAAUAUUCCUAGUGUCCAUACAAGCCCACAUAUUUCAUUUAUUUCACAUUUUAGUCCCUCAAAAAUUUAUUUUUACAAUUAAACCCUAAUUACUCAAAUUCAUCAAAAACUCAAAGACACGACAUGUUAAUCUUUCACAUAUCUUUCAUAUUCCAUCAUCAACUAUCACAAAGCUCAAGCAUUCAUCAAUGGCAUUUCUCAAAAUCAUCAACAAUUCACAAAAUUAAGAUAUGGGUUUUGAAGUAUUCAAAGCAAUGAUCUCAAAAACGUAAAAAUUAUCAAAAACCAAACAAAAACCAACCUUGAAUUAAGCUUCAAAAUGGCCGAAUGUUUCAAGCUUUCAAACCUUGUUUUUCUUUUCUACAUUCGGUGAAGAAAGAUGAACAUAAAAUGGUGGCUUUUAAUGUUUUGUUUUAUUAUAACAUAUAUUAUUAUAUUAUUAUUUUAACUUUUAUUUUAUAUAUAUAUAAAUCACAUAUCAUCAUUAUGCCAUCCACUACCUAUUACUAUUGGCUAAAUUACAACAUAAGGCCUCAAACUUAUAAAGACAACAACAAUUAGGCACUUUCUUAAUUAACCAUCAAAUUUUCAUUUUACGCGAUUAAGCCAUUUUUUUUUAAAUUAAGCGCACAAACAUAAAAUUAAUUCACGAAACUUUCACAUAUAUAAAUUCACACAUAAUUAACACAGAAAAUAAUAUUAAAAUAUUUUUCAGACUCGAUUUUGUGGUCCCAAAACCACUGUUUCGAUUAGGGUCAAAAUUGGGCUGUUACAGAGAGAGAGAGGGAGAGAGAAACUUGAGAAGAAAUUUUGUUUGUUUUUUUUGGAGAAGGAGAGAAAAAUGAAUUUUUUAAAAAAAAUUUGAUUUAUAUAGGCUGGCAAAACGCACCGUUUUGCCCAGCCCUUUAAAAAUCCAAAAACGGCGUCGUUUGGCUCAACCCGCGGGCGACCCGACCCAUCCGGCCAGGAUCCGCGUGUUUUUCACUUGAGGGGUUAUUUACGCAAUUGGCCCCUCCACCUUUGCGGCGUUUUAAAUGCGGUCCUUAUUGCAUUUUCUAAUUUGGCCACAAAAUCUUAUUUCUGUUUCAUUUUAGUCCAUAGCAGUGCAGCGUUUUGGACGCUUGGUCUAUUUACCAUUUUGGUCCCCCUGUUUCUGCGCGUGUCGUAGUUCGGUCCUUUUCAACUUUUUAUUUGAAAUUCGCCCAGUAUUUUUGUUUCUAUUUUGAUUUAGUCCUUUUUUCUGUAAUUUUAUUAUUAUUAUUUUAUCAUUUUUAUUAUUUAUAUUAUUGUUACUUAUCAUAUUAUUAUUAUUAUAUAGUAGCUUAUAUAUACAUGUACAUACAUUUUUUUCUAACUUAUUUAAUACAUAUAUAAAUACCUUUUUUAUUAUAAACAUAUCUAUGCAUAUCUAUAUAUUUUUCUUUCACGAAUAUGGUAUAUACUUAUUCAUAUAUAUAUAUAUUAAAGUAUGUAUAUAUAUUAUAUAUUUUAUCUUAUUUUUUAUAUAUAAUCCACAUAUAUAUUUUCCUUAAAAUGUACAUACACAUGUUCAUAUUUUAUAAUUUUUAUCUAUUUUCCUUUAUUAUUUUUAUGUUCAUUUAUGUAUUUAUUUAUGUGUUCUUUUUUAUAUACUUUAGUUUAUUUAUUUAUUUAUUUAUUUGCUAUGAUUGAUUUAUUUUAUUAUUCGUUUUUGUAUUCAUUAUUUUUAUGCAUAUUAUUAUAUUUAUUAUUCCAUUAUGCAUAUUAAUACUAUACUUCAAAAAAAGGAAAUUUUUUCUAAAUGAGGCAAUAUUUAGCCUUUGGAAAUUCGAGAAAACAUGCCCUAAGGUUCUGGAUGUUGAUUUUUCUCGUUCAACCAAAUGGCUUAAUAUCCUUUUAAAAAUUUUAAAAUAAGGCAAUGUUUUGCGUUUAGAAAUUCGAGAAAACAUGCCCUAAGGUGCCGGGUGUUGAUUUUUUUCGUUCAAUCAAAUGGCUUAAUAUCCUUUUAAAAAAUUUAAAAUAAGGUAAUAUUUUGCGUUUGGAAAAUUCGAGAAAACAUGUCCUAAGGUGCCGGGUGUCGAUUUUUCUCGUUCAACCAAAUGGUUUAAUAUCCUUUUAAAAAUUUUAAAAUAAGGCAAUGUUUUGCGUUUGGAAAUUCGAGAAAACAUGCCCUAAGGUGCUGGGUGUCGAUUUUUCUCGUUCAAUCAAAUGGCUUAAUAUCCUUUUAAAAAUUUCAAAAUAAGGCAAUGUUUUGCGUUUGGAAAUUCGAGGAACAUGUCUUAAUGUGUUGAGUUUCGAUUUCUCGUUUAACCAAAUUGCCAAAUAUCCUCUUGAAUUUUAAUCCAUGCCAUUCAAGUUUUUUUAAGGAUCGUAUUUUAAAUUUCUUUAAAGUUUUUAGUUUUUCGACACUAAGACAUUAAGUAAUCAACUAGGUACCAAUUUUGGGCGUAUCGAGGGUGCUAAUCCUUCCUCGUGUGUAACCGACUCCCGAACCCGUUUUUCCCAAUUUCGUGGACCAAACCUGUUGUUUUAAUAAAAUCAAAUUGUUUAUUAAAAACAAUCAUUUUUCGAGGUGAUCCGAUCACACCUCAUCAAAAAGUAUCGGUGGCGACUCCCAUUUUCGUUUUCAUUUUCCAAAACCCAAGUCGACCCCGUUUUCAUCCAAAAAAAUGGUGUCAACACUUAUAUGGGUGCCGCAUUGGAAAGUGGAGGCACGAAAAAAAUGAUUCUUUUACAUCUAAUGAUUUUUGUAAUUAUGAGACAAUGAUUUUGUCACCUUUUGAGGUGGUGCGGCCUUAAGAAGUGGCGGGUAAAAAUAAGGUCAUUUUUAUAAAUAAUUUGAUACUAAAUCAUUUUCAUAAUUUUUAAUAUUAUUGGGUUAUUUAUCUAAAAAAAACCAUAUUUUAAAUAGGGAUAAAUUACUUUUCUAGAAUGUCUUUGUGAUACACGUUUAUGCUCUCUCUCUCUCUCUAUGUAUUGGGUAAUUAAGUAAUGUUUUUUUUAUUUUAUCUUUUAUUUUCCUUAGUAGUGAAAGCAAUUGUACGUUAAACGAAAAAAGGGAAAAAUGAAGUGAAUUAAAAAAUGGGUUGUGUUUAGAAAUAGAUUAAAGUAAAAUUUGUGUUGGAAAAAUAUGCUUCAUAUAUAUAUAUAUAUAAAUUAUUAGUUUCAUGAGAGCAAUACAUUAAGUCUUCUCCGAGGCCAUUAUUUAAAUAAAGUAUAAACAAAGCAUUCGUCUUAAAUCAUAUUAUAACAUUAUCUUAGAGUUUUUAAAUAAAUCAAUUCACAGUCCUCUGAGUUGAUCAUUAUAGAGGUAUUCUCUAGCAAUUCUCCCAUUGCCACCUUUAGGGAAGAACCCACCUGGCCUAUGCUCGUCACCGGUACUGUACACGAUUCUUAGAAUUUCUUGCGGUGUUCUCGGAUAAGAGAGCGAAUUCGGGUCAGCCGAUAGCACGUUGCUGGUGGUUCGAUUCUCGGCACCGAGCUCCUUGGGUACGAUUAGGCCUUCAUCCUUGAUACCACACUUGCCUAGCUCGUUCCUUAGCCUCGAGAUCAUGUUUGUGAAUUCAACCACCGUUAUGUCGUAGGGUUCCACUUUUUCAUCACCUUUCUUAUAUAACCAUUCUCUUGUAGCUGCAUCUUGUCCAGAUUCCACUCCCAACAGCCCUGCAACCAACUAUGUGACAUCGGAAAACAUUGAUUAAGCAUCUGAUCUAAAGUCAAAGAGAUUUGGCUUGAAUAUAAGAUAUCGUAAGUAUUUUAAAGAGUCCCAAUCAUAUGUAGAGAUAAGAGUAGCUGAUUACAUGAUAAACUUUAAAGGAGAAUAACAUAUAGGCAAAAUUCAACAAUUAUAAUUGAUAUUUUUGAAGUCCCAUUAUUUUAAUUAAUUAGAUUUUAUAAUAUAUAUUUUUAAAAGUCACUUCUUUGAAAAAAUUUAUAUAUAUAUAUAUAUUUUGAAAUUUGUAUCAACAAUAAAAGGUCAAUGUUGAAAAAUCUUAAUUAUUAAAAGUCAAAAUGUGACAAAGUUAGUGAAUAGGGCCCUGACCUCCUUAACUAAAUAAAAAUAUUGCUUUCUAGCCCCCCCAGAAAAUUGUGACAUUCAAUUUAAAUCUCUUUAGUCUAUGAUUAAAUAGAAAAAUUAUAUUUUUUGCUGCUCUAUAAAAUGUUUAGCUUUGACUCUCAAGGCCCUUAAACAAAUUCCUAACGCCACCCCUAGUGGCAAAGUUGGCACCAAAGCUAGUGGUCCAACCCUUGGUAAUCCAUCUUCUCCUCAAUUUUGUAAUAAUUCUUAAAAAAAAGAAAAAAAACAUUUUAAUAGGGUAUCAUGCCAUAAACUUACAUAAAUCAUCUAACAGAUACCAUAAAAUAUCUAAUAAAAAAAUAUAUCAAAACUAUAUAUUAAUUUCAUGAAAUUUUGUGUAAUUUUAAUCAUAUUGAUUCAAUUUUCACAAAUUACUAUCAAAAUUUUUGAAUUAGCACCAUUUUAUGUUGAUAUAUUGUAUACGCAUACAAUUAUAUAAAUUCAAUAUGAAAAUAAAUAUAUGUAUUCAUUUCUUUAAAUGUGUACAGUUGAAUCAAAAUCAGAGUUUCAUGUAUACAUAUGAAAUAAAUUACACAUUGAAACAAAAUUCAUGUAUAAAUUUGAUACUUAUCCCAAAAAAGAAUUACCAAUUUAAGGAAAAUUAAGGUACUUAGAACUGCAAUAUCACAAACAAUUCAAAGAUUUAACCAAUAUGAUUAAUAUAUCCUUUAUGUCCGCUUUAAGGAGAAUGAGAUUUUUAUUUACCUGUUUCGAAGCGAAUUUUUUGAGGCAAGGGGUUGUACCAACAUAGCCAUUGAGUCCCACAUAGGGGAUAGCAUAUACUGCUAACAUAUACUUGAUGGGAUCUUCAUAAGGAUCAAAUGGAGGAUCCAAAUUGUACCCUGCUGCUUUAUCAAAUAAUUUUGCAAAGUUUUCAGAGCUAAUAUCAAUCAAAGGCCUUGGAAUCCCACCGGUUCUUCUCACAAUUUCCCUACCAAGGUAACACAAAAUCAACACACUCAUCUAUAAAACCUUAAUCAUCAGAGCUAUAUAUUUUCGUUGAGAAAACUUACCUAUUAUGACCGAUUUCUUGAUAACCGAAUUCCUCGAUGAUCCGACGGGUAAGGUAGUCGAGAUUGGCCCGUUUGCCACCGAUCGGAGGUGGUCCGCCUUUAGCAAAUUCGGGUUCAAAGGCGUCGAGGCCUUUGCCAAGUGCACCAUACAAGAAGAACUCAGCUUCAAGGAACUCUAAGUUUUGAGCAAAAUGAAAUCGAUCAUUGUCAUCGGCAUCAUUAGGCUCGCAAUCACCGGGGCAAGAAGGGGUUGUUGUUGCCAUGAAUUGUAAUGGAAAUAGGAAGAGAAGUAUAGCACAGCAAAGUGUUGAUGGAGUAGCCAUUUUUCUAUAACCAAAUUUGUUACUUAAAAUUUUGUUUCCUUCCUGCAUGAAAAGAAAGGACCACUAGCUAUAUAUAAUGUUUUUUUGUUUAAAGGGUAACUAGACAUUUGCAUAGGUUAGUAGUUUGGAUAAUUUUUUCCUAUUUAAACUAUAUCAGAUAAAUUUUAGACGAGAUGAUAAAUUUAGUCAUUAACGUUUACAUAUUUUGUUAAUUUUGAUUCUUAUUAUUAUUUUAGCUAAAUUUUAUCCUCAACAUUUUAAAAACUCAAAUUGUUGUUCUUUUAAUGGAAACACCGACCAUUAAACUUAACAACAUGCAUGCAAUCUACGUGUAUUCCAUUUUUUUUAAAAUUAUUUAUUAACAUGACAUAUAAGACAAAUAGUGACAUAUUAAUAUAAAGUACACAUGAGUUACUACGCAAAUUUCCACACCAAUAUUUUAAAAAACUAUUGUUUUAUUCAAUAUUUCUAUUAAAAAAGUAAUUAAUUUUUAUCAAAACAACCCCUAAACAUAAAUAUAAAUAAAAAAUGAUUUCAAAUAAGGAAAAAGUAGUUUUCUAGAAUGUAUUGGUGAUAAUAUACAUAUUGGGUAAUUUAAGUAAUGUUUUUCAUUUCAAUUUAUUUAUUUUAUUAUUCUUAGUAGUGCAAGCAAUCGUACGUUAAACGAAAAAAAGAAGGAAGUGAGUGGUUAGAAAAUGGGUUGCGUUCAGAAAAAGAUUGUAAGUACAAUUUGGGUUGGGAAAAAUAUGCUUCAAAUGACCAAAUCCAAAACCUUAACUUUGAAACGCAAGUCAUUGCUUGAAAAAGGAGAUUUAAAAUUGAAAUUAGCUUAAAAUUAGACCAAAUUCCUUCAAAUCAUUAACUUUUCUUUCGUUAAGAGUUGGUACUACGUAGGCAUUGAAGUUUCAACUUUGGUCAAUUAUUUGAACAUCAUCAAUUUCUAUUUGUCUUAAUCCGUAACAACUCUAUCAACUCUCCUUUAGAAGGUAAAUGAGAUAAGGUCUUGAGUUUCUUGGAUUCUCCUCUCAUAUUUUAUGCACAUUUGAUUAUGCGUUUAGAGUUUUACUUGGAGAAUAAUUUAUCAUAAAUCAGUAAGUAUAGACUCUGCUUUAAAUUCGAUUCACUUGUCCAGUUGCAACUUCAUUCUUAUAUUUAUCCUCUUUUUUCCUUAAAGUUUAGUUAUCAAUUGAUGAAAUACACAACUUGUGGAGUUUUUAUAGACUCUAGAAGCUGGUUAAGGAUAUGACAAUUGUCUCAUUUUUUAAAUAUAUCUUAUGAGACAUAUGUCACAUCUUCAACUUGCGGACUUUAAAAUACUCUACAAGCUUGUAAAAAAUUUAGUGCAUUUAAAUUUUUUUUUCUGUUUUUGUUUUUAUUUUUUAUUAAGUCAAAUAAUUUAGUUUCAUAUUUUAUAGAAUUUGUGUAGCACCCCACCCACGGCCUGAACGUUAUGGCUGAGAAAUUACAUAAUUUCAUUUUAAACUCAGAUUUUGAAUUCAAAAACAUGAGUUUUGACAAUAUUAACUUUGGUAAAUUGCUAUCCAUUUUUUAGGAAAAAUCUCGUUAAAACUAUUUAUUUAUUUUUUACAGGAAAACACCUAAGUGAUUACUUUAUUGUGAAGCAGAAAUUUUAGAGUAUUAAAUAUUGAAAUCGCGACUUUAAUUUGUGAAAACAUAUAGCUUUGCAGUUACGAUAAAAAUAUUUUAUAGUCCGACAAAACCAACCAAAAUGAGAAUUAAAGUCCAAAAUAGUUUACAGUCCAAAAAGUUCGAAAAAUUCAGAAUAAUUUAAAAAAAACAUAAAUCGUCUUAUUUAUUUAACCAGAGAAACAAUUCGAGCUCCCGUGCGUCGCCCGAUUCUAAGUUUGUUGAUUACCUGAGAAGUCAGAAAAAUUGGGUGAGCUUACAAAGUUCAGUGUGUAACUUAGCCCACACACAAAUAGAACAUAUGUCAACUUCACCCAGAAGUAAAAAAUCGAAUAGAAUACACUGCAUGAUAUACCAUGCAAUGCAACAUAAUAAUAAGAUUAGAUACGAAUGACAUGGCAUAUCAUGCGAUGCAACACUUAUUACAUAAUAGAUACAUAUCCUACCCCCAUCCGCUACACACCAUCUCUGUCCAUCCUUACAUACCAAAUAGGGUAAUAAAUACCCAUCCAACCCCAUACACUAAUAAGUGAGCAUAUGUCACUAUAUAGAGUAGUGCAAUCAAAGUUGCUAGACAAUAAUGCGCUAAUCCGUCAUAAUUAGAUAAGUGUGGUCAAGCCACCAGAACAGAUAUGUAGUUAAAACCAAUAGAUAAGGCAGAUCAUUAAACUGCCAACACUUCUUCCAUCACAUCAUAAACCUACCCCAAUGUACAUGCAAUCACUAUCCAUAUAUCCAAAUACACACAAAUCAUACAUGCUUUACACAUCAGAACAUGCUAACAUGCUUUCAAAAGUUACAAAUAUAGAAGCAAAAUAUCAAAUUUCAUAUAUAUAAGCUAUACGUAUCACAUAACAGACUCAACAGGGUGACUAACCUCGAAUUGCACAUAAUAUAACCCUAACUAAAAUUUACAGAAAAUGGGCCCACAUGACCGUGUGGCCCAUAUUGCCUAUCUGGCUGAGCUUGUGUGGCUUACAUGAUCUGACACACGACUAUAUGGCUCACAUGUUCUGGCACACGGCUGUAUGGUGUUGACAGUAGAUUUUACGGCUUUACUUUGUAAACUAAUUUUUGGGAUUAUCGUUACACACCUGAUCAUUUUUCGAUGCCAAUGCAACAACAACGAUACCAACACCUAAAAAUGACUUUCAGAAUAAACUAUUUAGCAAAUGUCAUACUAAAUCCGACCAAUAAAUCAACCGUAACGCUAAACAUUCGGAUUGAUUAUUUUUUUAACACUAAGAUUCGGCCUUAACAAGGCAUUGAUCACUUACCCCAACGGAAGAGGAAUUUUGUAACGCUUCUAAUUUUUCGAAAGACUAGCCGCUUCUAAUUCUUUACCUAAAUCACAUAUUUCCAACCAUUCAAACUAAUAUUGCCCAAAAUAAGAAUUCAUAUCCAAACAUGUGAUAAACAACUCCUUUACAGAAUACAAGCCUUAAAUCAACACCCUUACCACCCACGGCCAGCAAUCAAGACUGAAAAGGAUGUUAGCGCAAAAUAACUCAAUAGUAGAAGAGACGAAAAGUAAAGGAACGAUAAGAGGGCAGAACAAUAUACGACAGUAACACAGUGGCAAAAAACAUCUUCAAAAAGAAAGAAAAAGAGAUUGGUUAUGGAAAAGAUAUGGAACAGAACAAAAAGAAAAGAAAACCAACAGAGAAAGAGUGACAGAAACUUAUUGAAACCCAAAAAAACAAAAUAGGAGAUGGAGAAGUGGACAGAGAGGACAGUAGAAAGUGGAGAGAUUUUAGAAAUAUUUUUUGGGGAAAUUUUCAAAAAAAAAAUUUAGAAAAACUACCUACAUCCUAACUAACUCUGAUUAGUUAUCAUUAUCAGAUUUUUCUAACAUAGGACCUCUAGGUAAGCUGAAGCUUUACCACUGAACUAGCAAGGUCAUUUUUGUCAAUAGUUGAGCAAAAAUAAUAUAUAAGCUAGAUGUUCAAGGAUAGGGGUCGAAACAAAAAUUAAUAAAGACUCAAGGGAAGGGAUGUGAACACAAUACCUUAGGCACAUAAACAUAACUCUUAACCACUAAACCAAAUCAGUUCACUUGACACUAUUCCUACAACAGUUGUUCUAAAACAAGGCGUGACCUUUUUUGGUUCAACAACCCAAUUUCUACUAACCCAGCUUUUGGAACAUGACAAUUUGUUUUAAGUAGUUGUACUUUUUUAGGGGCAGUGAGUUAGUAUUUUUAGCCUAUAAAUUUACUAUGCUUUGUUGUAUUUUUCGUUAAGUUCAAAAUCAAUUCAUCAGCCUUUCUCCAGUUUAUUUGUACUAUUAUUUUAUUCCAUUUUGCAGCAGUGUUUUUUUCUCUUUUUGUUUCAUGGUGUCAAGAGUUGUGUUGAAGUUUGAUUUACUUGCACUUUCUUUCUUCUUAUCUAUCAAGUGUUCUUUGUCUUCUUAGAGGAGAUCGAGAUUUGGGAAAAAGAGAUGGAGUUAACAAAUGUAGGAAGCAAUUCAAACACACAAUACGGUGUUAAGAAGCUUGUAGGUACAAACUACAAGUAUUGGAGAAUGUGUUGAGAAGCAUACCUUCAAGGUCAAGACCUAUGGGAUUUGGUUGCAGGAGCUAGUGAUGAAAUUUUUGCAAACACUAAAAUUCUAAACCACGUAGGAAAUGAAAGAUUAAGUGCGGCAAAGCUCUCUUUGCAUUAAGAACUUCAAUUAGCAAAGAGUUCAUCGACCGUGUUUAGGAUAUCAGCUCCCUAAGAGAAGUGUGGAAGACACUUGAGAUACUAUUUUCCAAAAAGAGUACAACAAUAUUGCAGUUGUUGGAAAAUGAGUUGGCAUCAUCAACUCAAUGGAGUAUGUCUAUUUUUGAAUAUUUCUUAAAAGUUAAAAUUAUUUGUGCGGAAAUUUUAGAAUUAGAUACGAAUCAGAAUAUUUGUGAUGCCAGGUUGCGGCGAUUUCUCAUUCAAGGAUUGAAGAAGGAAUACAUUUCUUUUGUUACUUCCAUUCAAGGGUGGGCAAUGCGACUUUUAGUUGAAGAGUUAGAAAGUUUACUUUCUAAUCAAAAGGCUUUAGCAAAGCAAAUGGCUAAGGAUUUAGACAUCGAUUCUACCCUCUUCUCCAAAGUGAAGCAUAAUAAGAAAAACAUAUCACCAGGGAAUAAAAAUAAUGAAAAAGGUGGUCAAGUGUAGGAAAAACUGUUGAUGGUGGCUCACAAAAUAACAACUCUAUUAAGUGUUACAAGUGCGACAAAAUUGAGCAUAUCAAGAGGAAUUGUAGAGUCAAGCUCUCCAAAGCAAAUGUUGUAAGUCAAAAUAAAUGACAAGAUCAAUUCAAAUGGGAGCAGUGAUUUAUCGUGGAAAUUGUUAAAAGUAAUAACACAAAAUCAACACUUGCUCAAGAUCUCUUCAGCCAUGAAAAUUGCAAAGAAGAGUGGAUCAUUGAUUCAGACUGCUUUCAUCGUGUAACUGAAAAUGAUGAGCUACUCUCAGAACUGCGUCAACACAUUGAAGAGCGGGUUAUUGUUACAAUAGACAAUUCAACUUAUCCAGUAAGAAAAUGAGUGGUGAAUUUUGGAAAAGAUGAAAUGAGCAUAGCCAAGCUAAAUGACGUUUUUCAUGUUCUAGUUUUGAAGAGAAAUUUAAUAUCGAUUUCUAAAAUUGCAUAUUCUGGAAAAUAUAUUUUGUUUGGGCCUAAAGAUUUAAAAGUGCCUGAUCACAUGAAAAAUAUAUCUAUUGAUGUUGUUACCUCUGGUGAGAGGAAAUAUUCUUUAUUUGUUAUGAUAACAGGAAAAGCCUAUGUAAAGAAGACAAACCAGAUGAAAGUGUAGCGAUUUGGCACACUUGGUUAGGUCAUUUAGGCUAUCAACUAUUACAGAAAACCUCCUCAAACAAGUUGGUGGAUGACAUGCCAUCCUUGAAAAAAGUUCAUGAAUGUGUAAUUUGUCAAGGGUGUCAAUUUGACAAAUCACAUCAUCUUUCGUUCACAAAGUCAUCAAAUCGCAAAUCUUCUCUGCUUGAUUUGGUCUAUAUAGACCUGAUGAGACUAAUAAAAACACCAAGUUUCAGUGGGUGUUGCUAUGUCAUGUUGUUAGUAAAUGCCUUCUCAAGGUAUAGUUGGGUAAAAUUCUUUAAAGAGAAAAAUGAGACUGUAACAAAGUUUGUCAAAUUCAGAGAUACUACAAAAAAAGAAUUUGGGAAGAAGAUUAAAUGUUUUCGGAGUGAUAAUGGUGGAGAAUACACGUCAGAUGAUUUUUUCCAAUACUACAUUGAUAAUGGAAUUUUACGGCAGAUGACGUGUCUGAUUACGCCUUAACAGAAUGGCAUUUCAGAAAGGAAGUUGACUUAUCUUAUCUCUAUGAAUCCCUCGUGGCUGCAUGACAAAAAUAUUCCUUAAGAGCUAUGGGUUGAAGUUAUGCAGUGUGCAUACCAUGUAAUAAAUCGCCUACCUCUAUGGCUAGGUAAAGAAAAGGCUUAUUUUAAAAUUUUACAUAAUGUCAAGCCAAAUGUAAAUUAUUUUCAGGUAUUUGGUUUAAUUUGUUAUGUUCAUAUUCCAAAAUCUAAUAAAACCAAGCUUGACUAAAAGCAAAGAAGUGUAUUUUUGUUGGCUAUGACCAUUGUAGGAAAGGAUGAAGAUGUAUGGAUCCAAAAAUAAAGAAGUAUGUCAUUUUCAUAGAUGUUUUCGAUAAAUUAUCACCCUAUUAUCAAAAGUUGUUCAUGAUGAUGAGAAAAGUAGUUUACAACUACUUCUUGAAAGAAACAUGGAAGCUCUAAAUGAUGAAGACCCUUUAACAUCUGAUACCUCAAAUGUGGAAGGUGGUGAGCAAGAACCCCAAAAGAAAUCCACAAGGGAGAAGAGGCAACCACAAUACUUGAAAGAUUAUGAGGUGCAAACCAACAAUUGCUCAAUUACUUUAUACUUCUUUAUUGGAGAAAUGGAUGAAGAAGUAUGUCAUUUUCAUAGAUGUUUUCAAUAAACUAUCAUCAUAUUAUCAAAAGUUAUUCAUAAUGAUGAGAAAAGUAGCUUACAACUACUUCCUGAAAGCAACAUAGAAGCUCUAAAUGAUGAAGAUCCUUCAACAUCUGAUACCUUAGAUGUGGAAGGUGGUGAGCAAGAACUCCAAAGGAAAUCCACAAGGGAGAAGAGGUAACCACAAUACCUGAAAGAUUAUGUGGUGCAAACCAACAAUUGUUCAAUUACUUCAUACUUCUUUAUUGGAGAAAUGGAUGAAGGAGUAUGUCAUUUUCAUAGAUGUUUUCGAUAAAGUAUCUGUUGAGAUUGUGUGUUUAAGAUUGUUACCAUUUACUUUUUUUUCUUGUUUCUAAGUUUGAAUAAUUCUCUUUUACUUUAGGAGCUUAGUUUUUUUAUUUGUUUGGUAUAUUGUUACCAGAUUUUUAGCAGAUUUUUAGAACCUCUUUUUUUAUUUUUAGUCUUGAACUUUUGUAUUUAAAUUGUUGAGGUGCAAAUCAAUUAUCAUUCUAGUCUUGAAUUAUUUUUCUAUUUUAAAACUUCAUUUCUCUUUUUUCUGCUUCAAAUCUCUCAAUCAAUCAUCAAAGUUCGAGUUCUAAUCACCAACAAAUUGGUAUCGAAGCUGUUUUCUUGAGGGAUCUGUGAGGUUAUUUGCGUGUUAAGAUAGAAGGAAGGUCCAGUUUUUCAAUUGUUGUACCACCAGUCUUCGAUGGAGACGAUUACUAGAUGUGGGCAGUUCGCAUGGAGACUUACCUAGAAGCUUUGGAUCUUUGGAAAGUUGUAGAAGAGGAUUACGAGGUCUGACCACUUCCAGCAAAUCCUAUUGUGGCACAGAUUAAAGCAUAAAAGGAAAAGAAGACAAGGAAAUCAAAGGCAAAAGCUUACUUAUUUCAGUUGUGUAUCAAAUUAUUUUCACACGAAUAAUGUCUCUAAAAUUAGCAAAAGAAAUAUGGGAUUAUCUCAAGGCUGAGUAUGCAGAAGAUGAGAGGAUUCGUGGAAUGAAAGUCCUGAAUCUAAUCAGAGAUUUCAAGUUGCAGAAGAUGAAGGAGUCUGAGUCGGUGAAAGAAUAUUCUGACAGACUUCUCAGCAUUUCCAACAAGGUGAGAUUACUUGGUUCUGAGUUGAACGACUCUAGAAUCGUAGAAAAGCUACUAGUCAUUAUUCCAGAGAAGUUUGAAGCCACUAUUACUACUCUGGAGAACACUAAGGACCUGUCAAAGAUCUCUCAUGCAGAGCUCUUGAAUGCUUUACAAGCACAAAAGCAAAAGAGAUCCAUGAGGCAAGAGGGAGUGAUAGAAGGUGCCUUACCUGUCAAACAUCAAGACAACAACAGGUAUAAAAAGAAGAAAAAUUUUAAGAACCAGUCGACGAGUGGAGAAAAUUCAUCAGGCAAUUAUUAGAAGAGCAAAAGAGGAGGUGUCAAGAAAUCUUACCCACUUUAUCACCAUUGUGAGAAGAAAGGUCAUUCACCAUUCAAAUGUUAGAAAAUACCUGACGCUAUAUGCUCCAAAUGCAAUCAAUUUGGACAUGAAGUAGUGACUUGCAAUGUUAAAGGCCAGGUGCAAGAAGUAGAUGCUCAGGUAGCUGAUCAAGAAGAAGAAGAUCAAUUGUUCGUGGUUACUUGUUUCUCAAGUAGAGAAUCAAGUGAGAGCUGGUUGAUUGAUAGUGGGUGCACAAAUCACAUGAUGUAUGACAAAGAGCUCUUCGAGGAAUCGAUAAACACUGAAGUCAAAAGAGUGAGGAUUGGAAAUGGUGAGUACUUGGAAGUCAAUGGAAAAUGCACAGUAGCUAUUACAAGCUAUAAAGGUAUAAAAUUCAUUUAAGAUGUUUUGUUUGUACCUAAAAUUGAUCAAAAUCUUUUAAGUGUUGGUCAGUUACUAGAUAAAGGCUAUAAAGUGCCAUUUGAGAAUAAGUAGUGCUUGAUCAGAGUUGCUAAUGGCAGAGACUUGUUCAAUUUCAAAAUCAAGGGAAAAAGUUUUGCUCUUAAUCCAAUGGAAAAUGAGUAAAUGGGUUUUAAAUCCAAAGUUAGUACUACUGAGACUUGGCACAAGAGACUUAGGCAUUUUUACCAUCGAGGAUUGCUUCAAAUGCAGUCGAAGAAGCUGGUGAAAGGACUUAUAAACAUGAUGAUGAUUUACCUCAUUGUCGAGCUUGCAAAUUUGGGAAACAACAUAGAUAACCCUUUCCUAAAUAAGCCUGGAGAGCCUCGAAGAAGUUACAGCUUGUUCAUACUGAUCUUUGUAGUUAUCAGAGAACGCCAUUGUUAAAUGGUAACCUCUAUUACAUAGCAUUUAUCGAUGAUCUAACAAGAAUGUGUUGGAUUUUCUUGUUGAAAUAAAAAUUAGAAGUUGCUGGUGUGUUUUGGAAAUUCAAAGCCAGAGUUGAGAAUAAAAGUGGAUGCAUGAUUCAGAUUUUAAGAUCUGAUAAUUGCAAGGAGUACACUUCAAAAACCUUUAAUAGGUUUGAAAAGAGGUUGAAAUUGAGCAUCAGUUGACAGCGCCAUACACUCCACAACAAAAUGGAGUCAGUGAAAAGAAGAACAUAUUCAUAAUGGAGAUGACUUGAUGUAUGCAUUAUGAGAAGAAUCUUCCAAAAAGCUUUUGGGGAGAAGCUGCAAACAUUGCUGUGUUCUUGCAAAAUCAGAUUUCAACAAAAGCUGUAAAUGAUCAGACGCCAUUUAAAGCUUGGUAUGGUUACAAACCUUCUUUAAAAUUCCUCAGAGUGUUUGGCUGCCUGUGUUUCACUUACAUUCCACAGGUCAAGCGUGAUAAGCUUAACAAAAAGGCAGAAGCUGGCAUUUUUGUUGGGUAUAGCACUGUAUCUAAAGCUUAUAGAGUCUUUCAAUGACACACUGGACAUGUUAUUAUGAGUAGAGAUGUUUAUUUUGUUGAAAAUGAACAAUGGAAUUGGGAAGACUCGACCAAGAUGAACCAAACUUCAAGUGUACCAAAUUAUUUUACCAUUGGCAGCACGUUAAAGGAGCUUAAAGAUGAAGGGUAAGAUGUUUUAGCUGAUGAUACACCUGUCAGAGGUACAAGACUACUCUUCAACAUUUAUCAUAGAUGUAACGUGGCUAUUUGUAAGCUUGCAGGGUAUCAUGAUACAAAAAACAGUCAACAUUGGAUGGCUGCAAUGAAGGAGGAGCUUUCGAUGAUCGAGAAAAAUAAAACUUGAGAGCUGGUUGAUUGACCUCUAGACAAAAAGAUAAUUGGAGUAAGAUGGGUGUUUAGAACGAAACUAAAUCUUGGUGGUUCAGUUAACAAAUUCAAAGCAAAACUUGUUAUGAAGGAAUAUGCAUAAGUCUUUGGAGUCGAUUAUUUAGAAACAUUUGCACCUGUUGCCAGACUUGACACUGUAAGGUUGCUGCUUGCUCUUGCUGCACAAAAGAACUGAAAAGUUUUUCAGGUAGAUCUGCAUUCCUAAAUGGAUUCUUACAAGAAUAAAUCUUUGUAGAGCAACCUGAAGGUUUUGUAAGCAGAGGCAAUAAAGACAAAGUUUACUUGCUGAAGAAGGCUCUGUAUGGCUUAAAACAGGCUCCACGAGCAUGGUAUAAUAGAAUUGAUGAUUAUUUGGUGGGCCUUGGCUUUCAGAAAAGUCAAUAUGAGCUUACACUAUAUGUCAAGCAUGAAGGUACAAACACUUUAGUCAUUUCUCUUUAUGUAAAUGACUUAUUGAUUACAGUGAGCAAUCUCGAUCAAGUUAAUCAGUUCAAAUUAGAAAUGAAAAAGGUCUUCGAAAUGACAGACCUUGGUCUGAUGUCUUAUUUCCUUGGCAUUAAGAUCAAACAAAGCCAAGAUAAAGUGUUCAUCUGUCAAAGAAAGUAUGUAAAGAAGAUACUUAAAAAAUUUCAUAUAGAAGAUUGCAAAGCAAUUAGUACUCCUAUGGAUCAAAAAGAGAAGCUAAUCAAAGAUGAUGGUUCUGCCAAAGUCAUUGAAGCUGAGUUUAGGAGUUUGGUAGGUUGUCUAAUGUACUUAACAACAACCAGACCCGACAUCUUGAAUGCUGCAAGUAUUUUCUCCAGAUUCAUGUAUUGUCCCAAUGAGACUCACAUGAGAGCUGCGAAAAGAGUUAGCAGAUACAUCAAGGGGACCUGGAGUUAUGAAGUGAAGUUUUUAAAGCAUAGGGAAUUGAAGUUAAUUGGUUUCUCUGACAGUGAUUGGGGUGGGUCAACUGAUGAUAUGAAGAGUACAUCUGGUUAUUGUUUUUGUCUUGGAUCAGGCAUGUUCUCUUAGAGCUCGAAGAAGUAAGAAACUGUAGCUCAAUCUACUGCUGAGGUAGAAUUUGUGGCUGCAACAGCAACAGUUAACCAAGCUAUCUGGUUAAGGAAGAUUUUUAUUCAUCUAAACAUGGAGCAGAAGUAAAGCACAGAGAUUCUAGUUGAUAACCAAGCUGCCAUUACAAUCUCUAACAAUCCAGUCUUUCAUGGAAAGACUAAGCAUUUCAACAUCAAGUUAUUUUUUGUUCGAAAAGUUCAAAAGAGCAGUGAUGUGUCUCUUUGUUACUGUAAAUCUGCAGAUCAAAUUGCAGAUAUCUUCACCAAACCAUUGCCACUUAGCAAGUUUGAAAGCUUCAGGAAGAAACUUGGAGUUUGCAGCAUUUAAAUAAGGAGGAGUGUUGAGAUCACGUGUUUAAGAUUACUGCCAUUUACUUUUUUUUGUUGCUAAGUUUGAAUAAUUCUCCUUUACUUUAGGAGCUUAGUUUUGCGAUUUGUUUGGUAUAUUGAUACCAGAUUCUUUGCAGAUUUUUAGAACCUCUUUUUCUAUUUUUAGUCUUGAACUUUUGUAUUUAAAUCGUUGAGGUGCAAAUCAAUUAUCAUUCUAGUCUUCAAUUAUUUUUCUAUAUUAAAACUUCAUUUCUCUUUUUCUGCUUCAAAUCUCUUGAUCAAUCAUCAAAGUUCGAGUUCUAAUCACCAAUAGUAUCAUCCUAUUAUCAAAAGUUGUUUAUGAUGAUGAGAAAAGUAGCUUACAACUACUUCCUGAAAGCAACAUGGAAGCUCUAAAUGAUGAAGAUCCUUUAACAUUUGAUACCUUAGAUGUAGAAGGUGGUGAGCAAGAACCCCAAAAGAAAUCCACGAUGGAUAAGAGGCAACCACAAUACCUGAAAGAUUAUGAGGUGCAAACCAACAAUUGUUCAAUUACUUCAUACUUCUUUAUUAGAGAAAUGGAUGAAGAAGAACUAAUAAGUUAUGAGGAAGCUAAAGAUAAACCAAAAUGGCAAGCAAUUAUGCUAGAAGAAAUUAAAUUUUUAAACAAAAAUCAAUCUUGGGAGUUAGUGCCAAAUCCAAAUAAUUACAAGUCUAUUACUUGUAAGUGGGUGUAUCGUUUAAAGAGGAAAUCAGAUGGAACUAUUGAUAAAUGCAAAGCUUAACUUGUUGCAUAAAUAUUUUCUCAAAGCUACAAGUUAGAUUAUGAGGAAACAUUCAAUUUGAUUGCAAAAAUGACAAUACUAAGAACACUUUUUCUCUUACAACCUUUAAGAGGUAGGAACUAUGACAGCUUGAUGUAAAGAACGUGUUUCUUUAUGACGACCUAAACCGUGAAGUAUUUAUGGAAUAAUCUAGAGGCUAUGUUUCUAUACAGCAUCCUCACAAUGUCUACAAGCUCAAAAAGGCGUUGUACGACCUUAAGCAAUCAUUACGUGCUUUGUAUGGUAAAAUGGCUCAAUACUUUAUAUUUUUUGGUUUUAAAGUUUCAAAUGCAAAUUCUAGUUUGUUUGUUAAACUAGAAUCAUAUUUACACUUGUUGGUCUUGUUGUACAUGGAUGAUAUGAUAAUUAUUGGAGAUAACGAAGCUGAAAUUUCUAAGCUGAAAAGUGAUUUAUUUGUUCGAUUUGAAAUAAAAAUCUUGGGAGAAGUUGACCGUUUUCUAGUCUAGAAAUUAAAAAAAAUAGAUGAUGGAUAUUUCAUCUCUCCAAAAGCUUAUGCAAAGAAACUCUUGCAGCGUUUUAGCAUGGGUUAGUCAAAAAAAAAAAAGCAACUCCAAUGGAGCUACAUCUCAAGCUGAUGAAAGAUGAAGGAAAGUUGUUGCAAGAUGUUACAAAAUUUCGGAAACUUGUUGGUAGUUUAAUUUAUUUAACUAUCACAAGACCAUAAAUUGUCUAUUCUAUUGGUGUAGUCUCACAAUUUAUGCAAUGUCCAAGGAAUACUUACUUAGAUGCAGGAAAGAGAAUUCUGUACUAUGUAAAAAGCUCUAUUGAUUAUGGUUUGAUGAAUGGAAGAAGUGAGAAUUUUGUGGUAAAAGGCUUUACUAAUGCAGAUUCGACAGGAGAUGCAAAUGAUAGACAUUCAACUUCAAGUAAUUGUUUCAAUACUGGUUCAGCUACGAUAUCUUGGUGUAGCAAGAAGUAGAAUAUGGUUUCUCUAUCUAGCACUAAAGUUGAAUAUGUGGCAACAACCAUGGCUGUUCAAGAAUACAUGUGGUUAAGGAUUUUGAUGGGCAAUAUGUUGUGCAAAGUUGAGUAUGGUGUGCAAAUCCAGUGUGAUAAUGAAAGUGUUGUUAAACUUGCUUCUAAUCCUAUCUUUCAUGCUCAAACAAAGCAUAUAGAAGUUCGUCAUCACUACAUUUGAGAAAAAGUGUUGAAUCAAGAAAUUGCUGCAAGGGAUCUUUACAAAUAACCAAGUGGCAGACAUUUUCACAAAAGCACUGGGAAAGCCUAAGUUUGAAGAGUUUAGAGUUGCACUUGGAGUUGUUGAUUGUAAGCAUGCACUAAGGGGGAGUUGUUGAUUUUUUUACAAAGUCAAAUAAUUUAGUUUCAUAUUUUAUGGAAUUUGUUUUGAGUAGUUUCAUUUUUUAGGUACAAUAUUUGAGUAGUUGGACUUUUUUAGGUGCAGUUAGUUAGUAUUUUUAACUUAUAAAUUUACUAUGUUUUGCUACAUUUUUUUAUUAAGUUCAGGAACAAUUCAUCAAUCUUUCUCUAGUUUAUUCACGUUCCUAUUUUAUUCCAUUUUGUAUCAGUGUUUUUUUUUUUCUCUUUUUAUUUCAAAGCUAUGAGAUAAUUUUCCUAAGUUUAAUAUGACUUGUUAAAAUACAAUCAAUGUUAAUAUCUAAUUGUCGAUUGUGCCUUCCUCAAUGGUUGGCUUCAUAAGAUAUGUUUUCAGUAAUAAAUUGUUAAAAAUUUUCAAAUAACAUAAUUAAAAUUUUAAACAAUUUCGAUCAAAAUAUAUUAACUAAAUAAAGCAAGUUAUAAUGACCUGCAAAAUGUUACUCAAUUUGUAACUAACGUUGCAUCUAGCAAUUGUAUUCCGCAAAAGCAAUAUAUAUAUAUAUGAACUAUGAUUUUUUUAAAACCAAACUAUCAACAAAUUGAAUAAUGUUAUUUGUUACCUCCAUAACCAAAAUCAAAUCAAUAAAAGCAAAAUUGAAUAUACAUUAUGAUUAGAGAUGAUCAUGAGCUAAGUCAGGCUGAGUUUGGGUCGAGCUUAAGUAUGAUAUUAAUAUACUUUAUGUUUGCCCAAGCCCGACUUGGCUCGAAAUAGGAUCUAAAAUUUUGCCCAAACCCACCCAUUUUUGCAAAAGACUAACCCAAGCCCAUUUUAGGCCCAUCUAUAUUAUUUUUUAAUUAUUAAAAAAAUAUUUAUAUUGUUUUAUUUUAAUAUUUAAUUAUUUUAUAUACUUCUUAUUUAUUGAAAUUUUUUAUAUAGUCAUCUUAACAUUAUUUUAAUGUUUACAUUAGAGUAUUAUUAUAAAUUUAGUAUAAGUUUAUUUUUUUUAAUGUGUUCUAAAUCACAUAAUAUAAAUCAUUUUAAACUUAAAAAUGGGUUGGGUCAGGUCAGGCUCGGGUUUUAAGCCUUGAAUGUUCAAGUUUGAGCCCAACCCAUAUUUUAAAUGGACUUAAUUUGUUUUUACUCAGUCCCAUUUUUCAGGCCUAAUGUUUUUGCCCAAACCCUCUUAAAUUUUGAGCAAACCUUCGGGUCUGAACAAGUCUAAUUAUGACUCAAAUAUAUUUUCCUAGCUUUAUUUCUUAAUCAUAAUAACUUAUCUAUAAAUUCAUAUAAAAAUACAGAUAUGGAAUAUUUUUUGAAUUUAUUUAUACGAAAAAUCUUUUCUUGGUUUGGAAGUUAAUGGGUGAACUAAAAAAAUGGAAAAUAAAAUAUUGGUUUGAUUUUUUGAUUUUGCAUUCCAUCCAAACUUUAAAAUUUAUAAUUUUUAAACUUAAUAUUAGUGUUUAUUGUUUAACCUUUCAAUCUCAGUCUUUCUUGUAGUUAAUUGAUAUUUUAUGAUUUUAAUUAUUGUAAAAUAAAUAAAAUCUUCAAUAUUUAUAAAUUAAUUCAAUUAAUAUGUAAUGCAAACCAUCCCUAGAACCUACUUCUAUUUCUGGAAUUCAACAAAACCAACUAACAGUCAAGAUCCAACUUCUUAUCAACCAAUAGUCAUCAUUCACUUUCUUUUAUACAUGUAUAUAUAAAUAUAUUUUAACAUUAAUAGUUUAAAAUAACUUUAUAUAUUUUAAUAUCUAACCAUUAAUUUCAUCAUGUUUAUAAAUUUUCGAUUUAAUUUAAUAUAUUUAUCAUAUUGAUCCAGAAUAUUUUUUUAUUAUAAUAUAUUUAUCUAAUAUCACUUUAAAUGUGAGGUUGUCAUAUAUCUUUAUAUUGUUGGUCGUCGGUUUUCCAAAUUAAAGUACCUGUUAGGUAAAAGAAAUUCAGAUAUCAAGUAAAUACAAAUUAUCAAAUUUAAGUAUCUCUGUAUAUAUUAACCUUUUUUGUUUUAAAUAUAAAAAAAUUCCAAAAUCCAAAAUUACAUCUCACUUAUAAUGUUCUAGUGUUCCAAGCUCUAUUCUUUGUAUUGUUUUGGUAGUUUAUCAUUGUAUAGUUACAAACUAUCUAUAGUAAUGCUUAAAAAAUAAGAAAAGUAAUGUAUUUCUUGUAUUGCCUAAUUACUUAUUAGCAUACUAAGUAACUUUGAAAGGUGUCAUUAUAUAGCCUAAGAAAGAGGCAGAUAAUAUUCUAAUAACGGGAAAAAAGUAGCUACCUAUUAGCCAAAUCUGAAUUAUCAUUAGAGGCGCUCAUAGGACAGGUCAGGCCUAAUCAAAAUUUUAAUUCCAUUUGUUAGGCCCGGGUCCAGCUUGAAAAAUGGGCCUAAGAUUUUUUUUCCAAAUUUGGCCCAAGUAAAAAUGUUAAAAUUUGGGCUCAAUCUGUAUUAAGUUUUUAUAUAAUUUUUUAUAUAAAAUUUUAAAAAUAUAUAAUACAUCAAAAAUACUAAAAACAUUAAAAUAUAUAUUUCUCAACAAAUUGAAACUAAAUUUUAAAGAUAAGUACAACUUAACAAGUAAAUGCCUCUAAAAUAGUAACAAAAUUAACAAUAAAAUAAGAGUUAUAAAAUAACAACAAAAUAGUAGCAACAUUAUAGCAAAAUGGUAGCAAAAUAGUAAAAAAAAAGCAAAAAAAAUCAAUUUUUUUUUGCAUAUUCGGAUCGAGUCAAGCUCGGGCCAAAAAAGCUUUGCCCAAGGCCCGACCCAUUUUCUAAACGGGUUAUUUUUUUGCCCAAGCCUAUUUUUCGGGCUUAUAUUUUUACCCAAACCCUCUUACUUUUCAAGCGGGCGGUCCGACCCAUCCCAUGAGCAGUUCUAAUUAUAAUUGGUGUAUGAUAGUUUUUUUUCCUAAUUAUAAUAGUUUCAAUAAAAUCAAUUAAGUAUUGAAUUAGAUAAUUAAUUAAUUCUGAUCAACUAAUUUAUUAAUUAAAAUAAAUCUUAAAAAAAAUUAUAUAUGUUUUUUAGAGUAGAAUUCAAAUAUAAAAUUUUGGGAAUUCUCAAAACUUCAAUCUUAUCCUUGAGCUAAAGGAAUGCAUGGUUAAUGGUUUCACACCUAAACCCUCUAAAUAGUUUGCCCCUUUAUUAUAAAUAUAUAUAAUAUAUGGGCUUGAUGAAGUUCAACAAAUAAUGAAUUACACAAUAUUUAAAAUGGGGUUUGGGCUUAAUUCCUUCUAUUCUUUGAUAACAAUAUUUAAAAAAGUAUUUAUAUUUAUAUAUUCUUAUAAUUAAAUUUUUGUUAUAAAUAAAUAUUUUGGGUACAAUAUGGGUCUCUACAAGGAGCUCCAUAUAUAUAUUUCAUAGUAUCAAGACAAAAUUAGAUUUUUAGGGUUUUACUUCUCGGUCAUCAAAGACAUCUCUUGACUUAUUUUUUCACCCUGAGAACCCUACAUAUUUUCUCCUCCACAUCUCCAUUUACGAUUCCAACUUAUAAAGAUGAGCCGUUCAAAUAAAUAUGAUUUUAUUAUCAAAAUAACAUUUUAAACUAAUUCAUAUCGAAAAUAAUUUUAUUCAAACCUUGUUCUAAAAAGAUUAAACAAAUAGUCCGACCCGCGAAUAAAUCUUAAGAUGUAAGAAUUAGGGCUUAGAGUGAGCACUUAAUUAUAAUGGGUAAUGGUUAAUGGCUUAACACCCAAGCCUUGGAUAGCUUGGGCCAUUGUUACAAUUUUAGGCUCUUAUGGACUUCAAUAAGAGACAUUUGAAGAGCCCCUUCCUCUUCAUGUUGGUUAUAAUCAGUUUCAUUUUUUUUUUUUAUUCUUUUUUCUUUUGGGUGUCAAUAUUUAGCCUUAAUUUUUUAAGUUGUAAUUACAAUCAUAAUUAUAAUCAGUCUAAAUUAAAAUAAAUAUAAAUAGGAUUCACGUAACAAGACUUAAAUUAAAAUAAAGAUAUAUAUUGAGAAUUCACACACGGUGAUAUUUGAAUUUGAGUGCUAAAAUUUCAACUUUAAUUAAGAAUUUAUGUGAAUAAAAAUGUUCUAGAAAGGAAAAGAAAAAGUUAGAUAUGAUUGUUCGUAGGUUUUAAGUAUAUAUAGAUCUUAAAAUUAUGCAUCAAUUUUAAUUUAACGUAAAAUAUGAUACUUUGAUUUGGUGCAAUUGUAUACCUAAUAUUUUUUAGUAAAUUUUUUACAAUCAAUAAAGUGAGAAAUAAUUAUAUCUAAUCCAAAGGUAAAUAAUUGUAUUAAUUUAAAUUUUAAAUGACUAAUAUUUAAUUAAAAUAAUUUUUUUAAAAGAAUUGAAUCUGAUCUCGAUUGGUACCAUUUUACUCGAAGGAAGGCACGUUAAAUUAAAUUUUUAUCACAUAUUAUUGAAUGAAAAUCAAAUUUUAAAUAUAUAAUUAAAUUAAAUCAAAAUUAUGUGUCUAAUUAAACAUUAGAUUGUUGACCUGAAUUACUAUCUUAAUAAUAAAAAUAAUUUUAAUUAUAAAAUAUAUAUUAUUAUUAAUAUUUUGUUAUUGAUGAAAUAAUCAAAUAAAAUAAAUCAAUUUUUUAAAAAAUUCAGAAAAAUUCUUAGCUACCGAGGGAUUCAAUCUAUUAGCAUUUAACAUUUGUACCAAAAACAAUCUCCUAAAAUUAUUAAAGGGUUAAUAUAACUUUCAGUCCUUAAACUUAUCAAUUAGAUUCAUUUUGAUUUUUGUAUUUUCUUUUGGUGCACUUUAAACCUGAAUUUGACAACUAGACCCCAUAUUGGUCAAAAAUAUAAAAGGCUGACGACAUCAAAAUUUGAUGAAAUCGGAACUAAAAUAGACCUAAUUGAAAAGUUUAAGGACUAAAAUGAAAAAUAACCCAUUACUAAAAUACGAGGGUCGAAAGCCAACGUAAAAUGGAACAUAGAUUAACAAUGUUCAUUUUCGGUCAAUCGAAACCCGCCUUUGGUCUCUCAACUCUCUUAAAUCAAACCCAACAAAACACAAGCUUUAAUCUCCUUUUUUCCCCCUUUUUUAACAGCAAAAUUAAAGAGAAAAUUUCCUUCCUUUUUUUUCCUUCAACAAUUCAGCUUUCUCGUAUUCAUGAAAACCAAGUUCUCUCUUGUACAAGGUAACUAAAAUCUUCUCUUAAUCUUCACCCAUUUCCAUGUCUUUUUCUAGUGGUUUUUAGCUUUGCUUUUUAUUUACGGUAACUGGAAAACAGUGAAGUGAGAAAAAAAAGUAAUGUUUUUUUUUGGUAAAUUAGGAAAAAAAAAAGGUUGACAAUCGAGGUUUAUAGAUGUUAACAAUAAAAACCCAUUUUUCCAGGUUGAUUUUGGGACGUGGGUUUUAACGUUCAAGUUCAUCCAUAAAGGUUUCAAGUUCAUCCAUAAAAGGUUAGCCAUAUGUUUUCUCUUUAACCAAAAUAAAAAUAAAAAACGCUAUAUUGCUUGCUUAUUUACUUUAAUGUGCUAUUUGCCUUUCUUUUUUUCUUUUUUUUUUUGGGGGGGGGGGGUUGAUUAUAUGUUUGGUCAAAUUGAGUUACAUGUUAAUUUUCACUGUACAAUGGUGGUUGAUUCCAUUUUACUGUAGAAAUUGUUUGACAUGUUUAUGUAUUGACAAACUAUGUUUCAUUGUCGUAGUUUAGAUUCUGGUUUUAUGUGUUUUUUUCACUGUUCAAUUGGCACGUAACAUGUGCCUUAUCAUCAUGUCGUUAACCACAAGGUUUUUUUUAGGUUCUUGUUGUUGGUAUUUAUCUGUCUUAAUUAUAGUAAAUGAAAAAAAUAUGCUGGAAUUUGAUUUUCUUAUGAUAGAUUUAACCAUUGUAUAGCUUUUGAUAUAUUUACAUUGGUGAUGACCUUAGUUUGCACAUGUGCGCGCGCUUGUGCGUGUUUGUUUCCUUUUGAUGAGUGCUUAUCUUUGUCGAUUGAAUUCAUGAAGUUUUUCGACCAGUUUCGUGUUAGGCUGGACAACAAAAUCAUCUUAGACCCUUUCGGGAAAUGCAUAUCGAGUCAAACAUAUUACCUUCUGUGUUUAGGCACUCUUUUUGCGAGACUGGCUAAAAAACCUGCCUGGUUGAAACUUUUUUUUUAUUACUUCUACGUUUAGUUGAAAAAUGGGACUAUAUCGAACUCCAUUUCUCAAUUUUUUAGUAUCCAGUAACCAACACGGGACCCUAAGGAUGCCAUGCUCAACAAUCACAAGCACAUUAGGCUAUAUAAUGGUUCUAGUGCCUGGUAUGCAGUUGAAUUCUUGGGGGUCACAGAUAGAUCUCGAGUUUAAGAAAAAUGGUAGAAUUUUCCGCACAUUGAAUGCUGGUAAUUACGAAGUUUCAUGUGCAAAAGGAUUCCUCCGUUUUCUUCUGUUCAUUCUUUAUCUUGAAUUGCAGUGGAUACUUUUGAGAAAUUGUGCUUAAGCCUUUAAGUUCGAGGAAAUUGUAUUUAGCAGUUGCAUGUAGGACUAGCAGUAGAAACUGAUGCUUUCUAUAAUUCUAUUUCGAAAUAUUGAACUGUUCUCAUACACAAUGAUAGUAUUUCUUUUUAUUCCAUUUAUAUAAGGGUGGUGUACCUAUGUUUUAUAUUUAGGACCAUCUUGAAGCAUAUUACGGCUAAGAAGCCGGUUUUAUGCAGUCUUAACUCCAUUUUAGUUUUUUUUCUUUCCAGUUUCAUUGUUUUUGCUUGCUUAUUGUGCAGAUGGAUACUACUGUUUCGGAUAACGACAUAGUGGGCAUUAAAGAUGAAUCUGCUGAACAAUUACAUGCUUCAUGUUCCUUUUUGGAUGAAAUAUUCGGAGAUCCACAGGUGAUUCCUCGUGUUGGAGAUCAAUACCAAGCAGAAAUUCCACCUCUAGUUGGAGAAUGUCACAGUUUACAGGUUGUAAAGGAACCAAUUGACACAAAAGUCGUUACGAGUGUGCCAAACCCUUUCCCAAUGGGGUUGCCUAUCCCUCUUAUCUGGACAAAGACUAAAGUUGAAAGCAUAAAUGGUGCGGUUGACUUUGAAAACAGUGGAGAGAGCCACAUUACAUUAAGCCAUUGGUGUGCAGAAUAUAAAGUCGAAAGUUUAGGUUCCGUGUCGGGUAAUGGGAACGACACGAGAGAGUAUUUAAAGCAUAAACCUACAACCAAAACUAAGAUGGUUGUUGAUUUACUCUCUCCAAUGGAGCCAAAAUCUAAGCCAAAUCAGGUGGAUGGUGAUCUCUAUCCGCUUCCAGGCUCUUCUAGUGAAGUGUGGAAGGAUAUCGAACUCAACAGUUUUCUUCUCGGGUUAUACAUCUUCGGGAAAAAUCUUAUCCUUGUGAAAAACUUUGUUGAGAGUAAAGGGAUGGGAGAGAUAUUGUCUUUCUAUUAUGGAAAAUUCUACAAGUCGGAUGGAUAUUGUAGAUGGUCAGACUGCCGAAAAUUAAGAGGCAGGCGGUGUGUUCAUGGACAAAAGCUGUUCACUGGAUGGAGGCAACAGGAAUUAUUGUCACGAUUGUCUUCUCACGUUUCAGAAGAAUGUCGAGAUAUGUUGCUUGAGGUGCAUUUCUGACUUUUUUUACACAAUCAUUUGAUCUUUCUAAAUAAUUAGACAUUUAUUUAUGUUGUUAUUCUUGUCUAACUUUCAAGAACCUCUAUCGGUUUUCGUUUGAGCUCCCGGUUUUUGUUAUCGAGUCUACUUAUAGUUGAAACUCUCAGUUCAUUGCGGAACUAUUGCACCUAAUUUUGCAGUUAUAUUUGGUCUAUAUUUGUGAGAGAAAUGUUUGCGCAUGAUGUUUUAUGAACUAUGAUUAUUGUAGGUUUCUAAGACAUUUGGCGAGGGAAAAGUAUCCUUCAAAGAAUACGUAUUCACUAUAAAGAACACAGUUGGUAUUACUAUGCUCGUAGAAGCUGUAGGUAUUGGUAAAGGAAAGCAAGAUCUCACUGGCAAUGCAAUGGAACCCAUAAAACCCAAUCACGUAGUUUCUUUUCGUCCUGAAAUACCAGUUGGCAAAGCAUGUUCUACUCUUACAUCUGUGGACAUUAUCAACUUUCUAACCGGAGAUUUUAGGUUGAGCAAAGCUAGAUGUAGCGAUCUUUUCUGGGAAGCUGUUUGGCCUCGCCUUUUAGCUCGAGGUUGGCAUUCUGAACAGCCUAAGGAUCAGGUUUUUUCUGGUUCAAAGAAUUCUCUGGUGUUUCUUAUGCCUGGUGUUAAGAAGUUUUCAAGGAGACUAGUGAAAGGCAACCACUAUUUUGAUUCCAUCAGUGAUGUUCUUAAUAAAGUUGCAUCAGAACCAGGGCUUCUUGAGCUUGAAAUUGAGCUGCCUAAAGACGGCAGAGAGGAAAGCGAAAAUAAGUGGGAGCCUGCAAUAAAACAAGAUCCUGGUUUUAUAUCGAACAAACAUGGUCGUUACCUCAAACCACGAAAUCCUGGUUGCAAUCGAGAUCUAAUGAAGUUUACGAUUGUAGAUACUAGUUUGGUCCGAGGGACUGAACGGUCCAAGGUUAGAGAGCUGAGAAGCUUACUUCCCGAAGUUGCUGCUAACUUAUCCACCCCCUCUAGUCUAUACAGUGAUUCUGAGGAGGAUACAUCUGAUGACUCGGAAGAUGUAUCCGAAGAAAAUAGCGUUUCUCAUGCUGCAGAGGCCACGGCUGAUGAGGGAGAAUGUGCGGAAAUAUCAGAUUGUGUAAAUAGUAAUUCGAAUAUUGCAAUUCCCCUUACCUCUGAUAUGAGCAUUGUAUCAGUGAAAAACCAUGAAAGCCACCAUGCAAGUCUGCUUGAUGACGACUGGAAAAUGGUUACGAAAGAGCAAGGUUUAACCGAUUACGCCAAUGGAGAAUCGAGUUGUAGUGUUGAAAAUGUUUCUGCUAACAGGAUGUUAAAUGAAGACAAUUUGCACUAUCGGUCUAACUCACUCGAUGAUUCCGAAAAUAUGGUUUUUCAAACGGGAUCAGUAAACUUGUCUCCUGCCGGUUCUUUGUCCAAAGGCAGUCCUGAUGAUCGAAAGGAAGGCAUUGUCGCUGAAAACUGCUUGCAUAGAGAAGAAUCUCCAACGAAAUCUCAGUUGCAUACAUUGAUAGACUUGAACGUUGGUCAAGUUUCAAUGGAUUUCGAAACGGAGAGCCCCUUCGUCACAGAGACCACUCAAAAUAGUGAGAAUUUGUGUGCACAUACAUCGUUCAAUCAGUCCGAAGUUACCAUGCAACCUGAUAAAGUUGCAGAGGUGAAUCAGCAGCCAGAAGUGCACAAUCGAAGGCAAAGCACCAGGAACCGACCAUUAACCACUAAAGCAUUAGAGGCUCUUGAAUGUGGGUUCUUCAGUCCCAAGAGGAAGCGAACGGCAGCGGAGACUCCAGAGAUUAACUCACAAAGAAUUCGCUGUAGGCCGGUUGGGAAUACCACUUUUAGGAAGCGAAAGGCGGUGGAGACUCCACAGAAUAGCUCGGAAAGUGUUCGCAGUAGGCCUGUUGUGAGUGCCAUUUUCAGAAAUGGUGCAGUGGGAAAAGAAUAGCCGGUUGGUCUUUCAAUUUGGUAACAACUCUUCUUUUCUGUUCAUGCUUUAUUGAUUAAUCCUUAGAAAAUUAGGAUUGUAGCUUUUGUUAUGAUAGAUUUUUUUUUUUAAAAUUUAUUGAAUGAUUUUGGGAUUAUUGAUUUUGUAUGAGAUUUCUAACAUCACAAGUAAUAAUUUUAAGAGGUUUAUUAAUACAAAUCCUUUAAAAAAUUAGGAUUGAUUAUAAAUUUAGCAUUUUUAUUUAAAAAUGGUUGUUGUUGCUGUGUGAUUAUUGUAAAUCUUGUGUUUGAAAAAUAGUUGUUGGCUUUAUUCAAGCGGAUUAGAUGUAUUUGUUCUAAAUGUUUAACAUCGGUUCAUAUGACUUUUUUUAAAUUUUUUUUAAAAAUUAACUCACAAUCCAAAAAUUCUUAUCUCCGCCCCGCGCCGGUCCAAUCUCGAAUCCGAGCACAAUACAUGGAGAGAAAUCAGCUGCCUUUUACAUAAACAGCAAUAGAGGAAGUAACAUGAAGACUGUUGAUAUUAUGAAGUUAUAUUUUUAUAAUUAAAUUUAAAUAUAAUAAUUAUUAUUAUUUUUUAAAAGGUAAACUAUCAAAAUAAUUUUUUUUGUUUAUCUCAAGUUAUAUUUUAAUUAUUUACACUUUUGCGUUGUAACAUUUUAGUCACUAAUUUGUUAAUUAUCGUUAAAUUAUCAUUUCAAACAAAAAUAUUUAUGUUAAUUUAUACAAUCAAUUCUUUUUUUCUUUUUUCUUUCGUUUUGAGCAAUUUAAUUUUUUUUUUAUAUUAUUUUAACUGUUUUUUCUUUAUUUUUAAUUUUCUUUUAUUUCUCCCUUUAUUUUCUUCCUUUCCCUAUUUUUUUAAUGUAGUUUUUCUAUGUUUUUCAUUUGUUAAAGCUAGUCUCUAUACUUUUAUUUUUUUAAAAUAAUUAAAUUUUUUUGAGUGAGACGAGCUUGUGUAUUAAUUUUAACAAAUGAAAAAUAUUAAAAAAAACCACGUUAAAAGAAAAGAAGACCAAUUAUAGAAUUUAGCCUAAAUUUUUUGUUUGAAAUGAUGAUUUAGCGUGCCAAGUCAGCUUAUUGUUACACCGUUAAUGACAAUUAACAGCUCAGUGACUAAAAUAUUACAAUGUGAUAACGUAAAUGAUUAAAAUGUAACGUGAAACAAACAAAAAUGACUACUUUGACGGUUUAUCCUUUUUUGAAACAAUAAAUUUUGAUAAAUCAAGUUUCUACUUAAUGGAAAUUUUAAAAUCCAGACCAACAUUUUAGGAUUUUUCAAGUACUUUUUAAUUUUAGAAUAAAUUAUAUUAAUAGUUUGUCAAUUAUGUUUUUUUUUCUAUAUUUGAUUAUAAAAAUUUAUAAAAUAAUUAUCAAAUUAUAUAUAUUGACAAUUUAACUAUAAAAAAUUACAAAAUAUUUACAUAAUAUUUUUCUGAUUUCCUAAUUAUUUUGAAUUUGAGUGUUUUCAUUUUUAUUUUAGUGAUAAAAAAUAAAAUUAAAAAUUGAUUAUGAUAUUUAUAAAUUUUUAUAAUUAGACGAGGGUAUUAGUAAUGAAAGAGAAUUCCUUGAAAGCCCAAAUCCGAUGAACAGGGGUAAAAUCGUGAUAAAGCUUGCCCCUUCUUAUCCGUCUCUCUCCAACAGGUAAAAACCCUAACCCUAAUUUAAAGAAUUGUCUAUUUAUACACGCCUCCGCUAAGUCCAACCCCGCAGCCGAAAGCCGACGCCAUGAAUUCGCUUUUUUCUUUAUUCGAAUCUUCCGAUUCGCCAAUUUCAUAGUUUUGAUAUAUUUUUUUCUUCUGAUCUUUGAUUUCUUCCUCUCUCGUUAUUGAAGGCGAUGAUGUUGAAAACUACCUAUUUUAUGAAUGGUUAUUUAGCCAUUUUUUUUGUGAUUAAAAAUCACCAAUGGAUCCUUCUGAGCCUUCUCUCAUAUUAUUGAUUAGUUAAAGUGGAGAUUGAGAUGAUGAUAUUUUGGUUCUGAAAAUAAACAUAAAUGUUGACUAAAAAGUCAGACUACAAUUAUCUGAUCAUUUUUGGCUCUCUUUUCUCUUUAUUUUCCCAUCAACUUUUCUUUAGUUCAUAAGAAAUCAUAUUUUUUUUAAGUAAUACUAGAGAUUGAGUUUUGGUUUAUCCCUAAAUUUCAGAAUCGGGGAUACCAAAUUUUUGGAAUUCUUUCUUUUUUAAUAACUGCAAUUAGAAUAAUUAUUUAAUUUAUUUUGAUCAAGUCAUUGCUUAAAAUCCAAUGCAUCUUUUAACAUAAUUUAUUCUAGUGUAAUCUAAUUUACAAAAAAGAAAAAAAAUCAUUUUUUUAUUAAUUUUUUUAAAAUAAAUAAUUUUGUUUCUAAAAUAAUUUUUAAAAAUAAAAAAUUUUAAUUAAUUGCAGUUGUGGCAUGGCAAUUCAUUAUAUUAAUUUUGAGUUGGAACGAGGGUUAAAAAUUCUAAAUUGAAAAUUUAAAUGAUUUUUUUUUUUUUUUUGUAAAGUUGAAGGUGAAUCCUAAAACAUCACAUAAUCUUAAAAAUAUUCCAUUUAUUUGAAUUGAAUAAAUCAAUUAAACUUAAAUUAAGUAGUUAAUUUAUACACAUUAUAAUUAAAAAUCUCAAAACCUCGUGUUUGCCAUUAAAGCAAAACCACAUUAGCAAUAUUUAACCUUUUUUUUUUUUGUUGAUUGUGAUUAGCAUGAAUGACAUUAUUUAUCUAUUUAUGAGUUGAGAAAAAAUUAUAAAAAUUCUAGGUAUUGUGACUAUAUAUAUAAUUAAAAUUUAUAAUCAAAUUAGUAAAAACAAAAAUUCUACUUUGGAAACACUAAUCAUCAUUAGCAUGUAAAUUUGAACUGUGAUGUUCGAUCCAUUUUGAAAAUAUAAAAGAUUUUGGAUACUCGAACUGAACAAAAAUCUAUUAUUUUUAUUUAAUUUUUUAUGAUGUAAAAAUAAAUAUUUUAUAUUUAAAUUAAUAAAAUAACUUAAAAUAUCAUAAAAAUUAGCUAUUUUCCAAAAAAAAAAAUUAUAUAAGAAUAAUUGAUUGCUUUUAUUUAUUUAAAAUUACUUUUUUAAAUAUAUUUAUGAAAAUUUUAGUUGGAAAAUUUCACAAAAAUGGAGAAAUUAUUCGUAAAAAAACUAAUAUGAAAUUUUUUGUUUAAAAAUUAAAAUUGAGUAGAAUAACAAAUCUAAUUUCUACCAAUUCUUUUAGCAUUUUACUGAUUACACCGCCGGACCAACCCGAUCCGGUCUGGAUUAUCACCCCUGGAUCCUUAAAGAAAUGAACAAUCCUUAAAAGGAGAUUAAAAAAAAAGAGGAAAACACAAUUGAACAAGGACAUGAUAUAUAACAAAUUCAGAUUUGGGUCCAAUUUUGUAGAAAGACUUGAUUAAAAUAAGUCAUUGCCUAGUAAUGAGAUUUUUAAAAAAACGUCAGUCCAAAAUUUGUCCUCUAAAUGUCACAUGGAGCCUAGCAACCGAUAUAUUUUUAGGUGAAAAAGUUGGAAAACAUGGACGCCAACACGAGUACGUUGGGUUUUAUUUGGAAGAUCAUAUCUCCAUGCUCAUUUGAAUUUGCAUCACAUAAAAGGUGUAGUGCCAGACAUGGAUACUCUAAUAAAAAUGAAAAAUCAGAGCACCAUAGCCAUCGAUCCAUAGGCAGCUUCCCGAUGAAUGCGACUGCCCAUAUUAUUCAACCUGAAAUGAAAUCAACGGAUACCGGUAAUUUAACAGAGACUAACAAAUAGAUCCAGAGCAUAAAGUUACAAACAUGAACAUUCCAACAGUAGUGACAUGCUUCAUACUCGGAUUACUAGCUUUUCCCACUUGAGAGUGUAAACCAGACGUGUGUAUGUAAACUAUUAGAACUCGGUCCGAAGAAUACCCAGAAUUAGGCUUGGUCAUUGAGGUUAUCAAAUUCUAUUACACACAUACCAGCACCUGACACCCGUACCCAAGUCCAAGCAACAUAGGACCAAACUAACCCAAUAAACUGAUUUUCAAUUCGAAACCAGCUAAACCAAACCGAAUUAUAAAUGGUUUCGGUCGGUUAAAUUAGUUUAAACUGAUUAAUGUUCACCCUAAGAAUUACUGAAACUAUAAGCCCUCCCAAGUCAAACGCCUACACACAUACCAGCACCUGACACCCGUACCCAAGUCCAAGCAACAUAGGACCAAACUAACCUAAUAAACUGAUUUUCAAUUCGAAACCAGCUCAAUCAAACCAAAUUAUAAUUGUUUCGGUCGGUUAAAUUAGUUACCCUAAGAACUAUUGAAACUACAAUGCCUCCCAAGUCCAACUACAUGUCUUGGACGCAAUUUGCCGAGACAUUUAGGGCUAGUUCCUCAUUGCUUUUGGAAAGUAUUUUUGAAAAGUGUUAUGAAAAAGUGCUCAUGAAAAAUGUGGUUUAAAAUUUAAGUGUUUAAUAUUACAGUCAAAAAAUGCUUUUGAGAAAUAAAAUAUCCAUUUUAGACAUGAUAUUGUGAAGUAAAAAUAUGCUUCAAAUAAUGUUCAAUUUUGUUAAUAUUAUGAUAUUUUAGUAAGAAUAUAAAAAAAUAAUUUAUUGUAACUCAUUAAUAUUUUAAUAUAUGGAAUAUAAAUUUUAAAUAUUUGUAAGCAAUGAAUAUUAAUUAUUUGUGAUGUUUAAUUUGAAUAUAUAAUCUAUAUGUUAAAAACGAUUAAAAUAUAACCAUUAUAAAUUUAAAUAUAUAAUGUUAUGUAUUUGAAAUAAAUUUCAAUAGGAAAAUAAUUAUAUACCCAAUAUAAAUAUUAAAUAAAAUAUAUUAGAUUAUAAAUAAGGGAUAAAAUGUCAUAUUGGCUCCAAAACUGCUUUUCCAAAAGCAAAAGCUAAAAAAAAUUGCACUUUUGACUUCAAAAGUUGUCUGUUGAGCAUUGCUUAUGGCUCCAAAAACACUUUCAAAAAGCAAUGAGAAACAAAGCCUUAGAAGAAAACAAUCCAUUCAAUAGAACAACAAUGGCCAGUGGAAGUGUUUUUACCUAUCAGCAUCAAGAUGGCCAACUUGAAGAUAAUAGAAUGAUGUCUCCCACAAACAACAGCACUUGCCACAUUCUGAAUUUUAGAACCAUUAGAAAAACAUGUUUACGGUACAUAAAUAUCUGACUGCAAUAAAAAAUAAGAAUGGUUAGAAGCAAACGUGGUAUACCAGAGCAGAAAAUGAAGGUAAUCAAAUAAACAACAAAGAGUGCGCCAACCUCUAGAGGGAAAAAAGAAAAAGAAAUUUUAUUCCGGUAAACUCAUUUGGACCUCUACCAUAGAAUUUGGCACCAAUCUUUUUCAUAUAUUGUUUCAACUCAUCUUGAUUAAUCAUAUGUGCAUACCAUGACAGGUACUAUGGUGGUUUACCUGCACCAAUAGAAAUAAAAGAUGUAAAACUGAAAGAUUACAAAAUCAGAAUGGAUUAGGGCAAGCUAUGUUCCUCCGACUCUUAAUCUUUCUUGAAGUACCCAUAUCCAAUGCCAUGUUUAACAAAUAUUCAGACAUUGGUAUGCAAAUAUGACACCAUUGUCUAAUGGGUAUGCAAAUAUAACAGAAGCAUACCCGUAUCCGACAUGUAACAGAGUUCGACUAACAUAAAGGGCAAGGGAAAGAAGGGGAAAGAAUAUUGCCUCAAUGUUGCAAUUUUGUUUUUAAAGCAGACACGAGAGGCAAACCUGAGAUUGUGAACUACAGUGUUCUGCUUUAUGAUGCUUGAACUGAUAAAAUAGAAGUCCUUGAGGCAAAAGGGUAAGCAAUUGCUGCUGCAUAUCCUAGUAUUUUUCUCUAAGUAAAAUUGUAUUAACAAAGUAAUUAGUAAGGUGACCCAAAACUCCCUCCGAGGAACAUUAAUGCCAAAACAAUGGCGAACUCUACUAUUAGAAUUCUACCGAUCUAUGCUUCAACCUAUAGUGGGAUUUCUCUAUAAAAAAAUUUAUUCAACCACAAUUCUUUUGGAGUGUGGUCACCUAUUUAUACAACUUGGAAGGAUAUCUAAUAUAAGCCCUACAAAUCACAUCUUCAAUACCAUCUUGAGAAGAAAAUUAAUAAAGCAUGUUCCAUGUCAAAAUGCAAUUGAAGCUUGUGAAAGAAUAUACAAAAAAAUCCCAGAUUUAUCUUGCAUCACGUACGUGUAAAAUGUGUGUUAGAAAGCAGGCACUGGUCAGCUUCUCAAUAUAAUUGUUAUGCAUUGCAGCAGAAACUGACCAUUCCAUUUCUUUUCUCCUCAAGGACUUCGUCACCAAGGAUAAACCAUAAAAAGGAAAAUUCCUUCCUAGUAUAAAUCAUGCUCAUUAACCACUUUCUCUUUCUUAGUGGAUAACGGCUUCCAUUGCAAGGCGUAUCAAACGUAGCAUCCCCUCUAUGUCUUGGAAGUUAAAAUCAAGAGCCUUUUUCACAGAAUAUAUAACCUCUCCCUUUUCAUCCCCUGACAAACUUGAUUUAGAAUGUGCAAAAGUAAUUCGUGAUUUCCUCGAAGCUUCCAUGGCAUGAUUUACAUCCUGUGCCUGCAACUCAUAUCACAUUUGAUUUUGGUCAUGAUGGAACCCUCAUAUAAGAUAUACAAGCCAAGAAAGAAUAAAAUGACAAUCUAUGAUCAUUAGAGAGAGACAAAAGACAAUUCAUUAAAGAAUCUUUUGUGCUCAAAGUUUUAAAACACAUGUCCAAUUUCAACAUACAUAAACCGGUAGUCUUUGGUUCAAGGUUAUAGGGGAAGAAAGGGUUCGUAAGAAUGUGACAAAAGCUUUUGGGCAUUAGACCAAAAGGAAGAACUAUUAUGGGGAAAAGGUUUGCAUUUGUUGGGGAGGGAAUGUUCAGUAAUGCUUUCAAGUGCAUACCAUUAUAAACGCAUGAGUUGCACUUUCAAAAUCACAUACAAGCAAAACUACACUUACAAAAUUGAGGAACCGCACAAAGAUAGGACGGUUUCGAGCAGAAAUAACAUGAUUUGCAGCAACCUGGGGAGGGCUAACACCUUUUGAAAAAGCAACCUUGUCUGCUGUUGUUGGGUGGUUUAAAUUAUCAACAUCGGAGGCAGAAGAAGAAGGAGACUCGCCUGAUAUCGAAACAUCCAUCAAUAUCAAGAAAAGAAGUUAAAUUAGCUCUCAAUUUGUCUCAUUCAGUGAAACUUUAACAUUUACAAAUGAAUUUAAUGUCCAUAAAUUAACAUAAAGAAGGGGAAAAAAAAGGUGAAAAGGGUCUAGGGAGAUAGAAGUACGAUGAGCAGAAUUGAAAAUAUCUUUUCAUAUGUAUAUAUUCCGGCAGGGCCAGCCUAAACUUAGUUCCAAAAGCAAAUUCGUAAUAACAUCUUAAAUGUCAAAUAGCAACUAGACAUUCUCUCUUCGGGAACUCCCCCCCCCCCCCCAAAAAAAAAAAACGAAAUUCAUGGGAAGUAAGCAAGUAAACUAAACAUUUAUGCAGAGCAAUCAAUUUCUGCCUUGCUACUAAAACAUAACCUUCUCAGGUUGAGGUAUUUUGAUAAAUUAAACAACAAGAUUCCAGAAUAAAUAUGCGAGGCUGCUGCUCCUUGAUCACUAAGUGCAGAAGAGCCAGAAACAACAAUUACAAGUUUAUGGGCUAGACAGAGAAGCAUCAAGGAAUGCAGCCAGUACAAUCACUGGGUUCUUUGAAUUACCAGGAGGAACCAUUUGUAAAGCUGUCUGCAACUCAUGUCGAUCUCUACUUGCAUUGGCAUGAGAAGUAUAGAUGACUCUCAUAUAUGCCACCUCUGUACACUUGUAGGCCAAAGAAGCAGCAGCCAUUUUGUUUAAUCUCUCAUAUUCAUGGGCACAAAACCUGAAAUAUCAAUUAGUAACCACACAAAAGUAAAAGAAGGUGCCACAAAAAAUAAAUCAUCCCAAAACCAAAUGCAAUAACAGAAGAUUCCACGUUGCAAGAAACUUUUUUAGCUAAAACAAGAUCAAGUUCCAACGAAGUGUUAAAAGAAAGAGAAAAUGGACUAUAACACCUAAAUUUUAACUUACUCGAAGAGUUUUGCAGUGCUACUAUAUAUUUGCAUAGACUGAAUCAUCUCUCCAUGCUUAGUACCCUCAUUAUUGCAAGAUUCGAGUAGAGAAGCACUAUAAAGAAACUUCAAUGCUGCCUGGAAGUAAAGUCCGAUGCUCUCCACAAUUGAUCCAGAGUUCUAAGAGAAUUUUCAAAAAUCAGAAAGGAUAAAAUCAAGCUUGAUAGAUGCUAGGCCAAAAUAAAAAUGCAACAAAUUAUUUACAAGGAAACAACAAGGUAAAACCUUGACACGGUCAGCCAUAUGCUUUAAAUCUGUAGCCUCCUUCAAAGCAUUGGUAGCUGCCUGGUUUGGGGAAUCCUUUCUCAUUGGACUAGGGGCAUUAAUGCCCCUGAUCCUAUGUCCAGUAUGCCUUGAACUACAGUGCUGAGCCCCAUUUUGACGAUCAGCCUCCUUUAUUUGUUUUUGUACCUUCAAAGCAUCAUCACUUUGAGAUCCAUCAGCUCUAUUUCCCUUUUGGGACCCAUUAGGGUGGGGGCAAUGAGUCAGUAUCUCAUUUUGAGUUCCUCCGGAGGGUGGUAAUGAUGGUGAGUUCCCUCUCCCAGAAGCAAUUUCGGCAUGAUCAGAUUUGUCAGAAUGGAAUCUUUUCAUAUAUUUUUUAACAUUGCCAUCCAGCAUGAUACUCUUCUUCACAGUGCACAUUACAUCUUGACCUCCAGUUUCAUCAGGUUUAGCAUCUGACUGACCAACAUUUCUUUGAUUUUCUCUUUUACUACUCUCACUGGAUAGUUUUCCCAUAGAUUCUUUGUUAUCAUCAACAGAUCUAUUCUCACUUCCAUUAGACUUAACUCCAAGCCUCUCCUGAAAAUUAUUUCUGCCAUUCUUAGGUUUUACCUUACAUAAAGGCGUACGACCUUGCAUUUCAUCCACAUAAUCAGAUUUAAAUUUCUGACUUCUAUCCUUUGACCAUGAGGACCCCUUGCCCGACUUUCUUGGCUGAGAGACAUUGUCAUCACCAUGUUUGUCAUUCUGAUUUUCUUCAUCAAGGAGUUCAUCAGCAGUUGUUAAUUCAAUGUCAUAUUUAACCUCUUGGCCUAAAUAAUCAACACUACCAUUCAUAAAUUGCACUUUUCUGAUAUUAGGAGAAGAUUCAAUCGAAGCCUUAGCUCUACUGCCACCUAACUGACCACCAUUCUUAUCUUCUGUACCACAUAAGCGACAUUGGGACAGAGUGCUAUCUAGUUCUUGCCCACUAUGGUGAUUCUUUGAAUGUAUUUUUUUUUUCUCCAGCUUACCAUUGUUUUUACUUGAAGAGGUAUCCUUCCCCCCAGUCGUAGAUAACCUGACCUUCUUUUCCUGCCUGUACUUAUUUUUGUUGAACUCUUCUUUGGCACACACCGUUCCAUCCUGGAGGUGGUUCCCCAUAAUUUGAUAGGAACCUGAAUAUAAUUGAUUAUUAAUACAUUCAUCAGCUUUUCUCUUCCUUGAAACUUCCCCACCAUCAAAAUUUACCAGAUCCACUGAUCCAUCAGCCGAGGAAACCUGAACUUUGUCCUUUGGUCUUUUACCAGAGACCUGUUGUCUGUCCUCCGUAUCCAACUUUGGAGCAUUAUAAGAAGAAAGUUGACUGGGUUUAGGUUGAUCCUUUCCUGUAGAUGCGGUUGGCAGAUCAUUACUCGUGCUAAGAUCCCCCUUACCAGCAUGCUCAUACAUUGAAUUUUCAUCAACAAGAUGCAAACUUUUAGACUUAAUUUUCUUGGACGCCCUCAAAGAAUCUUGAUCAGAGAUCCUUUUUCCUUUCAUCUUUGAAGUUUUGGCAUCACCUAAUCGCAUGCAUUUUAUAAAAACAUGUUAUAUAAUUUAGAAAAGUAGCUCUAACUUUACAAUAAAUAUCUAUUUAGAAAGAAUACCUCCACCAGAUCCAUGUUCUGACACUUUAUGCUUCUUUUUCUGCUUACUUUUGUGUUUCUUGACAGGCACGCCGCAUUUUCUAGGAUCACAUAAACUUGAUCCACUUACCACGAGAGAUUUAGUUAUAUCAGUUGAACUCCCGGAUAGAACUGAUGCCUGGAUGUUCUUCUUCAUAGGAGUUGGCCCAUCCUUGUCCAUUGCAUUUGAUAUUUCUUUUAAACCAUGUUUCUUCCUUCCAGAAGGGGGCAUGGCAUGUGAACCAGAACAUUGUUGGUUUUGUUCAGGCUGUAAGGUAUCAGCUGAUUUUAGUCUGGACAUAGUACUGCCAAGAUUAUUUUGCAAAUUAGUUUGACUCACUACAGCAGGAACUUGAUGCGAUGUCAAAACAGCUUUUGUAGUUUCCUCCUCAUCAACACUGCAGUGGUUCAUUGCAGGCCUAAACAAUUACAACACAAACAAUAUUAGAGAGAGAAUCCAUCACAAAGUUAACCACCAAAACCAUUUCAUGUUCACUCCAACACCAUAUUAACAAUACAUAUGUAUGAAAAAACUAGGAGUCUAAACUCUGAACCAUUAUAUUUAUAAAAAUUUAGAGGGGUGAUAAAGAACUUACAGCCAGUUAAGCAUGCUGCAUACCCACUUCUCAGGUAAAUCAGAAGGAUUUAAGCCUAUUGGAAGAAGGCGCCACUUCAGGCACUUGUCACAAGAAACCCAAUUUUCAUUUAUCAAUACAGGAGCUGCAGUUCCAGGGGAAGCUCCAACAGUGUUCACACAGCCAGAGUUAGAAGCACCAUCCAAUGUUGCUCCAGGGAAUGAUUUGCUUGCCCGUAAAUCCUCUCUUUUCUUACCACUUCGUCUGCCAUUAUGUGAACUAUUAAUGGCUAAUGUGUUUUUUCCAAUCAUAUCAUCUUCCUUCAGUCGAUCUUUAGAACGAAUUUCUAAAGAACUUGUUAGGUUCUCUUCAUGUUCUGAUUCUCCAACAUCUCCAAAAAAAUCUCUAUCCCUAUCUUCAGCCUUUUGAAAAGGUCUUUCUAAUUUUUGGUCUCCCAAGUCCUUUUUGUUUGUAUUAUUGUUCACAUGAGCAGUCUGCUUAUUUUUCAGCGUCAAAGAAGAACCAACCCUCAAGCUAUCUUUUGGUACCUCGGCAGCUAGACUGCCUUGACCAUGACUGCUUUUUGAUUUAUUUUUUCCACCAGAGAAGGUUUGCUCCUUGGCAGAAGGCAACUUCAGAUUGUUUUGUUCCUGCAAUGUAGCUUUCAGGUUGCUCUUCUUCCUAAGAGGAUCUACCGCUUCACUAUUUAGAGCUUUGCUACCUUUUGGAACAUUAGACUCAGCUUUAACAAAAUUAUAAGUGUUUUCUGCUUUAAUAUACUCAUAUUUUCUCGUGCAACCUGAAUUAUCAUCUAGAACACUUGUCUUUUGUUCCCCCAGAACCUUUUGAGCUGAAUUAACCCUUGGAUUCUCCCAGCCAAUAUCUUGGGUAAGUAUAGGCUCCAGUGACUCCUCCACAGCUACAUGAUGUACACCUUUAUUUCUUGCUAUGCUAUUAUCUUUUACCUUGCCAACAGCAGAAUAUGGAUUAGAUAAAAGAGGAAGCUCUAAUGUUUUUGAAACAAGCUCCUCACAAGCCAAUGCGUCAAUAUCUACUUCCUUCUUUGACAUGAUAACAUUGCCAUUCUUUAUUUCCCUUUUACUGCCACCGUUCCUUUCCACCAGAAAAUCCUUUUUCUCCACUGAGUCUGAAUUUGCUUUCUCAUCACCUAAUAAUAUUUCAUCACCCUUUCCAGAAUUCGAUAUAUUCUCUUUUAAGAUUUUUUCCUUCACAAUCAAGUUAAGUAGAUGAUCAGAGAGAGGAGACAAUAGUGCUUCCCCAGGUACCGGGAAGGAAGUCAUCAACUGCUCAAAUACAUUCAGAAUAAAAGAAAAUAUUUCAAUCACUUUAGGUAUAUCAAAUGUAAGAAAAUAUAAGAUCAAAGAUAAAGAAAAACAUUCCUUUAAUGAGAAGAAUAAUAAACAUUAAAUGGAGGAUUUACCUGAAGAAUACUGGUUGGAGAUUCAAAUAAGGGCUCUUGAGUGCCCCCAUACAUCCCUUCACUUUCAGAAGGGCUCUCAUCUAAGGAGGAAGAUGGUGAGACAUCAAGGCCAAGACCACUGUAGAUUGCAGCAUUUUUUUGUGUCAAAAAGUUGUCUGAACCCAUUUUGAUUCGUAGCUUCAAUGUUUUCUGGUCUGGCAGAUUGGAAACUUUCUUGUCCGCAUAUUCACACCUGGUGGCAAGCUCAUGAGCAUGAGUAGAUGUUAAGCUGACCUCUUGCUUAAUUGAAUCAUUCGCAUAUGAUGCCUUUAAAGCAUGGAAGGUUCCAAAAUUUGUAGGAUGACGACCAUCCUAUAUAACAAAACAAACAAAGUGCUCACUUUAACUUGGACUUCUCAAAUCAACCAACAUCCUGCAAAAGAUUCCUCCCUUAUACAAAUUGAACCAUACUUUCAAGUGAGGAAAAGAGAAAUAAAGAAACUUUUACCUCCAAUUGUAUCGUGUUAGGAAAUCUAGGUGCAUUGCAAUUCUGAACUUUCGGUGAACUCGUCGGAUGAGACCGGCCAGGAGAACGUUGAUAAGUAGGUAAGAAAGAUCCAUACCCACCAAAUUUUGCCCCUGUACAAAUGCCAAGAAUCAAAAUCCGGAAUUCAUCAAUUACAAACUAUGAAUUCCAACAUAUUGACUCUUGACAUAAAGAACAACGGUUCUCUUUUUCUUCCAGCUUACCCAGGUUUUCUGCAGAUACUCCACCUUCAAAAUCCUUUUGAAAAUGUCCAAGAAUAUGUUGAAUUUUCUCGUCCUUAAAAAACAUUACAGGAGCCACACAUCACUAAAAAGAUCAUAAACACAUGGAGAGAAACUAAGAACAAACAUCAGAAAAGUUAUAAGAGAGAGGCCUAUAUACAUAUAAUCCUACACCAUUACACUAGCUCUUAGAAGCUAAUCCUCUAAAAGCAUUUAUACUACAAUGAGAUCUACAAGCUAACUAAUGAGCUUGAAUCUUACUCUCCUAACUUCCAGUUAAGAAAUUCCCAUAAUUUACCAUAAUAAAACAUCACCAACCUUACAUUGAAGCGAACAUUCAAGAAAUGCCACUUGAAUUUUACUCUGCUAACCUAUGUUGCUCAGACUCGUCAAUUGCCUUAAAGCUUAAGACACUUGAUUCACCAUAAAAGGGUACGAGAGAAAGAUACAGGUGUGAGGAGUCGUUUUACAUUUACUUUAAUAUAAUAUAUACAUUUACACAAAUAUAAUUUGCAUGAAUUAUUUGUUUGAUUUUGAUAGUUAAUUUCAAUUUAGGUGAAUAUUAUAAUGGAUGAAGACCAUAUUGAUAUGUUGUCUAUUUUUUUAGGUAUGAUUGUUGUAAGGGAAAACUGGUUAGACUAAUAUUCUUGUUUGAGCCAUUUAUUUUUAAUUGAGCCUUAGCCUUAAUCUUAAUGAUUAAAGAAUUGGACACAUAUCCCGCACCCUUGUCCAUGUUGUAGGUGCGGAUGGUCAUAGGAGCCAGGGGGGCCAAAUUUUUUUGAAAAUUUUAAUUAGGCCCCAAAAAUAUUUAAAAGUUCUAAUUAAGCCUUCCAAAAGUUCUAAAAAUUUUAACUAAACCCCUUCAGUUUUUUUUUUUGUAAAUUCUCAUUAAGCCUCUAAAAUUUUGAAAGUUUUAAUUAUGCUCGUCAAAAUUUUUGAAAAUUCUCAAUUAAUCCCCCAAAACUUAGUGGCAAGAUCUGCCAGUGCCAUGUGGUGUCAUGCCAACACAUGUGUGACUCCCAUUUUGGUGAGUCUGAGUUAUAGAGCUGCUAACUUCCAAUUACGAAUGUUAAUUUCAAAAUUACCAUAAUUAAGCAUCACCAACCUUACAUGGAAAAAAGUUACAAUCAAUUCCUUCCCCAUUAAACAUGUGUCCAACUCACAUCCAACAAUUCAAAAACCCUAAAACCAUUCAUGCACCACUACCAAAAACAAAAAUAAUUAUUUAUGAUCAUGCUAGACACAUUGCACAAAAAAAUUAUCUUCCCUUAAUUAGAUGCUUUAUUAUGAUUAUCAUCUAAAAGAAUUAAUAAGACAAGGAGACUAUAUAAGGUAACUAAUGCACAUGAAUCUUACUCUCUAACUUCCAAUUACAAAAUCCCCAAGGUUAUAUUCAACAUUACCACAAUAAAACAUCACCAACCUUACAUCAAAACAAAAGUGAAAAGAAUGUCACUUGAAUCUCACUUAGCUAACUUCCAAUUAUGAAUGUUACAUUCAAGAUUACCAUAAUUAUACAAGGAAGCAAAGUUAUGAGCAUUGAACCCAGUGUUUGCUCCUGCAAAAGGUGUGUGAGUUGUAACAAAAAAUAUAUAUAUGUGCAUUGCCUUCUCCGGUAAACAUGUGUCUAACUCGCAUCUAACAACUCGAAAACCAUAAAAUUAUGAAUACACCACUACAUACACACUAAACAAAACCCUUCAUUUAUGACCACGUUACACAUGUAGUAGAAAACAAUUCUAUUCACCUAAUUAAACCUCUUAAAAGCUAAAUUCUUUAGAUACGUACAUCAUAAACCACACAAAACUAGCAAUAUUGGAAUAAAAAAUUAAAAGCCAAUCAUAAGUUAUAAAGAAAGUAACACAAACGGUAAAAACAUUUAAACUGAAAUUAUAAUACAAAUGAAGAAAUAAAAACGAGUCAAAACAAUAUAAAUGAACAUAGAAUUUUUUUUUUUUUUUAAAUGAAAGCCAGCUUUUUGCAGAUCAGAGGAAAUAAGAAGCACCAAGUUUGCUUACAAUGUAAGAGAGAGAAGAUAGAUCAUUCUUGGGGCCGAAUGUGUCAUCAUAAGCAUCGUCAUUGUCAUUAUUUGAACAGGCCUCUCCUUCUUCAAGCUCAGUCUCUUCCAUUUCUCUUGCACCAAAACCUAAUCCUAGCCCCUUCCUCGUAUCGUUACACCCUAACGAAAUCAUUCAAAAAAAAGAGAGAACAUUUUUUUUAAGAAAAAAGGAGAGUAAAUCUGACCUGAAUUAUCAAAUUCUCAAACGUAGUUUUCUAUUAUUCGAAUCCCACGAGUCUUUUUCCCUACCAUUUUGAACAACUCCCUAAAACCCACCAUGAGGAAAGGGGCUCUUCUACCCUAAUUUCCAUAAAAAAUAAAAACAAAAAACUCGAUCACAAAUUCAAACACCUAAUCAAAAUUUUAGAAUGGUUCAAUUUCCGAAAAGAAUAAUAAAGCGAUUUAAACUCAAGGAUCUCCUCGAAUUUUAUUGUUUCGUAGGGAAAUUUUUUGGUUCUUUUUUUUCGAUGCGAUCUCUUUUAGCUGGAAUCAAUUAGCACGUAAGAAAAUGAGAGAGAGAAAGAGAAACUCUCUCUGGUUUUGGUGUCAAAGCAGCCGCCUUUUAUUUGCUUGUUUAUUUAUUUUUAUUUCUCUUCUCUCCUUCUUCGUCGUUUUUUGUUUUGAUCAUUUCUAAGUAUUUUUACUUUUCAAGUUGUAUAUUUUAGGUUUUUUAUUUGAAUAUUAAAAAAAAUAUUGUGGUGGUUGAUCUUGAAAUCCGAUUAAAUUGGUUAAUUGGAUUAAAAACGGAUCAAUAUAAUUAUUUAAACAAAAAAUUUUGAACCAACUAUUUAAAAGUUGUAAAAAGAAAAUCUAAAUCAUUGCUUCAAUUUUUAAAACAUUAAAUAUAUUUGUAAGUUAUUAAUUAUUUGCAAUUAACAUAUGUUAGCCUUUCUUUGGAUUAGGUUUUCUCUGUUAAUCUAAAUUUAGACGAUUUGGAAGACGACCCUAUUUCAGGAUAAGAGGAGAUUGACGAAGGAGACGAUGACUUCAGGCUCUGCUUAGUAGGCAAGGUGCUAACUAGAGGUGCUCAUGGGCCGGGCCGGGUUCGGGUCGAGCCCAUAAAAUAUUCGGCCCGGGUCCUAGUCCUGGGCCUGGCCCGGCUUGAAAUAUGGGCCUAAAAUUUUAUCCAGACCCGGCCCGGGAAAAAAUCAUAAGCUCGGGCCCGGCCCGACCCGGCCUUUUUUUUAAAUAAAUACUACAAAUUUAUUUUAAAAAUUUUAAAAAGUAUUUUUAAAAUAUUUUAAAAUUAAAAAAAAUAAAUAAAUAAAUAUAUUUAUUAUAUCGGGCCGGGCCCGGGCCAAAAAAGUGGUGCCCGAGGCCCGGCCCGUUUUCUAAACGGACCUCAUUUUUUUGCCCAAGCCCAUAUUUCGGGCCUAUAUUUUUAUUCAAACCCUCUCAUAUUUCGAGCGGGCCGUCGGGCCGGGCCGGGCCGCCUGGCCCAUGAGCACCUCUAGUGCUAACAGAUAGUUCAAUCCACUUCCCAUCCUUAAGGAAUGUUCUGUCUGAAUUGUGGCAUCCUAUUGAAAAGGUUACCAUAUCAGAGAUUGAGGAAAAACAGAUUCUAUUUCGAUUCUACAAUAAAGUUUAUUUAAAAAGGUUGAUCAAUGGUAUUCAUUUGUUCUUUAAUCGACACCUAAUAAUAUUUCAUAAAUUAAUGAGAGGGGAGGAUCCGUUACUUAUUCCCCUUACAUUACACAACUUUUUGGGUGCAAAUACAUGAUUUACCAUUGGGUUCAAUGUCGGAAGGCAUGGCAAGACAAUUGGGCAACUUUAUUGAGGAACUUUUGGAUUAUGAUACAAAUAUUCUAAUAAAGGGUUUACGAAAGAUCAUGCACAUCAAAGUAUGUUUGGAUGUCCGAAGCCCCUUAAAAAGAAAGAAACGAAUAGUGUAUGGCAAAGAUAAGUCAACUUACGCUACUUUUCAAUAUGAAAAGACUUUCUCUAUUUUGUUUUCUGUGUGGCCAUCUAGGGCACGACGAAAGUUGCUGUCCUCUCCGUAUUUCGUUGAGAUCUCAAUAAGUUGAAUUUGGUUGGGAUAUUUCUUUAAAAGCGGCACCAAGGAGGGAAUCGAAAACUGCAAGUAAGUGGCAUCGAAAGGAACCAAAAGAGGUGAUCAAGAGCGACAUGGAUGAUGGGUGUCGAAUCCACCAACAUAAACCUACGCCUUAGUUUGCAAAUUAUGCAGUAUAGGGAGUAGGGCCGAUCCCUCAGAGACUGGUUUAUUGUAAACUGUUGCUCGCUUGACCAGAUUUAUGUCGGGGCAGCUGUCGUGCCCAAGACGUUUGGGGGAGGAUAAAAUCGAAAACCUGGAACCUGAAAUAAAUAAAUAAAAUGCGUAAAAAGUAAAAGUUGAAAACAAAAUAAUAAAAAUAAUUAAAUAAAAUAUGUAAGAGAAUUAAUUUAAAUAAGCUCAGCCUUAGGCACGAUUUUCCCUCGUCUUUGAACCGAUCCUCGAAAUUAAAUGAACUCCUCUUCUCCAAUAAGCUAGUUAUAGCUACCAAGGAUGCCUCGGACACCAACUCUUCCUUGUGUAAAUUAGUUAUGGAACGUCUAAUAACUAACUCUUACCGAUCGAACAACCAUGAAACAUUCGUGAUUUAGAACUCCGACAGCUUUGCGUUCUAGAAGAGCCUAGCUCGAACCAAUGCCCUCAACCGCGUGGGACAUUUAAAUCCGGUUACUACUUCCCUUGACGGAACCAAACAGAAAUCUCCACUUGGCACGCCAAUGUGUUCACAGAAAACCGAUUAGAAACGUUCUUUUCGGAAUUCCAACUGUACGUCUAAUCACACUAAAUCAAACAAUGUCUUUUUUGACUUAGUGUUGAUCUGACUUUAUGAGCUGACAAAAUCAUACUCUUAAUCCGGAGAAGUAAUAAGUACUGGAAUUUUAGGAGUUAAAUGGCUCGGAUUCGUAACUCACAGGUUUUGACGAGGCUAAUUUCGGCCUAAAGCUGAAAAUGGGUUUAGUUGGCUAAGGUUUGGGACAUGUUGAUAUGUGAUAAAUUAAUUAAGGUAAAUGGGUGAAAAUGUGGGUGAUGUGAUUGAGUAUGGGGGUUGGAAUAUAUUAAAGUGGGGUGGUUGACUAUUUGGAAAAAAAUUGAAAAAGGAAUUGCAAAUGGCUUGAUUUGGUGAUUAGCUACUGGAAAUUAAAAAUUGAAGGAAAGGAAACUAAAGAAACAACAAUGCUACGUGAGAAAAGAGAGAAUGUAUUGAAAGACAAUAACUUAAUAUUUUUGAUUGAUUGAUGAAUAAAUGAACAAUACAUACUCUAUUUAUACUAGAGGAUUUACUAAAUUAGGAGCCAACUAGUCAUAGGAAAUUAAGAAAAAAUAUCCCAUAAUAAAAUAAAUCCCAAAAUAAUCUCUCCCACUAAGUCAACAAAAUUUUCAGCUAAUUAAUAUUGGAAAAAUUCUACUUUGGCCCUCCUUCUUUGCUUCUUUCUUUAAUUUGGCCCAAUUGUUUCCUUUUUCUUCUAUUUAGCCCCAAAUUGCAUUCCUACACAAAAUUCAAUAAAUAUGGCAAAAUUAGUGGUGCAUUCUCAUAAAUUAACCAAUUUAGUUACAUAAAAUAUGUAACUUUAGCAUUUAAUCAAUGGACAUGGAAGAAAUUCGUAAAAUGAAUUAGAUGUGAUCUCAAGGAGAGGAGGAAUUUAAUAAUGUGAGAGGAAAAGGCAUGGAAAAUGAAUUAAGCAGAAGAUUUUAUAGGACUUAUCAAGUUAAUGAAUCUGCAAAUCGAAGGUGUGAAAACGAGGCAAAGCAUAAUAUGAUAAUAGAAGCAAAUGAGGUACUUAAAGAAACGCCAAUCGGACCUAUUAAUGGAAAGAAAAUAUAGAGGAUUCAACAAAUAGAAGGGGUUCAUCAAAAUAACCGAUCAAGUUCUACGAUCAAUAAUGAAAUAUCUACGACCGCUAAUAAGCAGGCCGACCGGUCGCAAUGAAAAUAUUAAGUUAGAAUGUUCGUGGCCUAGGGCAACCGCGAACAGUUAAACGUCUCAAAAAUAGAUUGAGACAACAUUAGCCUCAAAUUUUGUUUCUAAUUGAGACAAAAGUCAAUUCAAUAAGAAUGGAAGCAAUAAGGAAAAUGUGUGGCUAUGCAAACGGAAUUGAUGUUUGUGCGAACGGAUCGAAAGGGGGACUUUCUCUUGGCUGGAAUGAAUGAAUAAUUGUUAAAUUGAUAAGCUAUUCUAGAUCUCAUAUUGACAUUGAAGUUAUGGAAAAUAGUGGAGAAGAGUAUUGGCGCUUUACAGGUUUUUAUGGUUCGCCAAUUAAGCACAAAAGGAAGGAUUCAUGGAGCCGCCUUAGAUAGUUAAAAAGAAGCAACCAGAUGCCAUGGCUUGUUAUGGGAGAUUUUAAUGAAAUACUCUUCUCGUUUGAAAAAAGAUAGGGUAGGUUAAGGGAGAAAAGACAAAUGUUGGCAUUUAGGGAGGCUUUGGGAGAUUAUGAGCUGAAUGAUUUAGGCUUUUCAGGUCAAUGGUUUACGUAGGAACGAGGUAGACUUCCAAACAAUAACAUUCGUGAAAGACUUGAUAGAGGGGUGACAAAUCCAUUAUGGUGGGAAAAGUUUCCGAAUUUCUCAGUCCAACAUAAGUGUCAUAGUAUUUAUGAUAAUUGUCCUAUAAUUAUUAAUAUAAUGACGCAUGGAAGAGGGAGAUUUGCGAAUAGUAAAAGCCCAAUGCAAUUCAAUGCUAACUGGGUACUGAAAAACGAUUUUGAAAAGUUAAUCAGUCAAUAGUGGGAUUUGGGGGAAAAGGGUCUGCCAGAGAAAUUAGAAGAUCUGAAAUUGAAAUUGAAAUCUUGGGAUAGAUCUAGUAGCAGAUCCAGAUGAAAGACCAGGGAAGAAUUAAAAUUGUGACUUAACAAUUUAAAUAAAGAAGAUCCAGAUGAAGACAUCUUGGCUGAAUUAACAGAAGUUAAACUAGCACUAAAUAUGAAAGCUGACAAGGAAGAAUUAUUUUGGGAACAACGGGCAAGAGCUAAUUGGUUACGAAUAGGGGAUCGAAACACCACUUUCUUCCAUAAUUUUGUAACCCAAUGCAAAAGAAAACAUGCAAUAAAGAUUCUGGAGGAUGGAAGGGAUGGAUGGGUGGAGGGUGACAACGCCAUUAUUGAACUUGCGACUGAUUUCUUUCAAAAACUAUUCUCUUCCAAACCAUUACAAAGUGGUGAAAGGCUUAGAAGCAAAAUAAAACUGUGCAUUACAGAAUAUUUAAAUGAGGAACUCGUUAAAGAAUUUAAAGAAGAAGAGGUGAUGGAAGCUUUAAAAAGUAUAGCACCUCUCAAAGCAUCUGGAAAAGAUGGAUACCCAACGUUUUUUCUACCAAAAAUUCAGGCAUAUUAUAGGAAAUGACGUUGUUAAUUAUUGCCUCUAAGUGUUGAAUAAUGGGAAGAAUUUUGAGGAAAUUAACAAAAACCAAUAUUGUGCUUAUCCCUAAGGUACAAGCCCUUACGAAUUUGGGACAGUUCAGACCCGUAAGUCUUUGUAAUGUCAUCUACAAAUUAAUCUCAAAAGUAGUGGUUAAUAGAUUCCGAAGGGUGCUACACUUAUGUAUCGAAGAAACGCAAAGUGCAUUUGUCCCAGGAAGAUAAAUAACUGAUAACAUUCUAAUAGCUUAUGAAAUUUUACAUUCCUUCAAAAAAAAAAGAUGAGGCACAGGAUAUUUUUCCUUAAAAUUGGACAUGAGUAAAGCCUAUGACAAAGUGGAAUGAAAUUAUAUUGAAAAUAUAAUGAAAAUGUUAGGCUUUUGCAACAGUUGGAUAGAUCUUAUAAUGAGGUGCGUAAGAACAGUGUCAUACUUGGUAAUACUUAAUCGGAUUCAAGGGACAGAAUUCAAAUCAACAAGAGGAAUAAGACAAAGAGACCCACUAAGCCUAGACUUGAUCAUUAGUCGAGCCACCUGGCUUGGCCCGAAGGCCCGCCCAAAAUGUGGGAGGGUUUGGGAAAAAAUAUAGGCCCAAAAAAUGGGAUUGGAUAAAAAAAUAAGGCCCAUUUAAAAAUGGGCCAGGCCUCGGGUAAGGCAUUUUUUGCCCAGGCCUGACCCAACCUGAAUUCACUAAAGGACAAAAAAUAUGCUUUUUUUGUUUUCAUUUUUAAAUAUUAUUUUAUUGUUGUUUUCUCCCUAUUUUGCUACCAUUUUACUUAUUAUGUUGCUACUAUUUUGUUGUUAUUGUUUGGAUAUUGUAUAAAACUUAUUUUAUUGUUAAUUUUGUUAUUAUUUUAGAGGCAUUUGCUUGUUAAGUUGAAUUUAUCUUAGUGUUAUUUAAAUCUACAUAUUUUUUAAAAUUUAUUUUCAAUUUGUUGGGAAAUAUUUAUUUUGAUGUUUUUAGUAUUUUUAUGUAUUAUAUAUAUUUAAAAAUUAUAUAAAAAUAAUAUAAAAAAUUAAUACAUGAGGGUCGGGUUAGGCCCGGGUUUUAGUAUUUUUAUCCAAGUCGAGCUUGAGCAAAAAUUUAGGCCCAUUUUUUGGGUCGGGCCAAUCUCGUGCCUAGUAAAUGGGCCUAAAUUUUUAGUUGAACUCGGUCCAACCCGGCUCAUGAGCACCUCUAACUAAGCCCAUACUUAUUUAUCAUAUGUGCAGAAGGCUUCUCUAAGCUCCUAAAUAAGGCUAAUAGGGAAGGAAAAUUUGAAGGGGCUAGAGUGGGCAGAGGUGAGCUAGCUAUCACCCAUCUUUUCUUUGUUGAUGACAGCAUAUUAUUUGGGAAAGUAACAAUGAAAGGCGCAACUUCAAUGAAAUCAGUAGUUAAUGAAUACGAGAGUAUUUCCGGACAACUGGUGAAUUUCGAGAAAUCAUUGAUUUACUUCAGGAAAAAUGUACAAGACAACCUUAAAGAGCAAAUAGGGGGAGUUUUGGGGGUCCGAAUUUCAAAUAAUCCAGAAAAAUAUCUGAGUUUACCAACAAUGGUAAGGAGGAGAAAGAAGGGUGCAUUCCUAGAACUAAAAGAAAGAGUUAUUCAAAAAUCGAAGAAUUAGAGUAUCUAUAAUUUUUCCUUUGGUGGUAAAUAAGUUUUUAUUAAAUAAAUUUUACAAGCACUUCCAAUCUACGUCAUGCAAUGUUUUAAAUUACUAGUAUUGUUUUGUAAAGAAUUAGAAAAUCUGAUCAGUAAAUUUUGGUGGCACAAUUUAAAGACUAAUAAAGGCAUUCACUGGUGUAAUUGGUUUGCGAUGUGUAGUCCAAAAGCGUUUGGGGGUAUGGGGUUUAGGGAUUUAGCAAUGUUCAAUACGGCCCUGUUGGCUAAAUUGGGAUGGAGACUAAUCACCCAACCUGCUUGUUUGUUUGCGUACCUUAUGAAGUUAAAAUAUUAUCCGCGUGAUAAGUUUUUGAAUGCAAGGUUAGGAGCUUACCCCUCUUUUACCUGGUGCAGCAUUUGCAAUGCACGAAGCUUAUUAGAGGAAAAAACAGGCUAGAGGAUAGGAAACGGUGAAUCAACAAACAUCUAGAAUGAUUUUUAGCUACCCACCCCGGAUGAUAGAAGAGUAAAGAAUCAACACAUAAAUAUCAACAAUUCUAAAGUAGCAUAUCUAAUUAAUAAAGAUUUGUUUUCAUGGAACUACGAGGCAAUCUGGAACUUACUGGAAAGGGAUCAAAUUGAGGCAGUCCUAUCUAUUCCAUUGGCAAGCAGGACUCAACCGGAUGUUUUAGUAUGGCGAGGGGACAAAUCAGGCGAGUACACAGUUUAGAGUGGCUUUAAAUGGCUAAUGACUAAUACUCUACAACUACAGGAUUAUGUUACAGACCAAAUCGACAAAAAAGAUUAUUUUAUAAAGCUUUGGAAUCUCCCGCUCCCAAGUAAAAUAAAAAUACAUAUGUGGAGAGUUUCUAACAAUUUUCUUCCGACGCUCAGUAACCUUAAGCUUCGAAGACUCAGGAACGAUGCUGCAUGUCCAAUCUGCUCAGUUGGAGAAGAAACUGUGGAACAUCUUUUUCAAGAUUGCGCAUUCACAAAAUAGGUCCUGUAGGAAGUUGGUUUGGACAUCUCACACAUAAAUAUAAAUCACACAUGGAAACAAUCGUCAACCUCUUUCUUCUACAUGAAUAACAUUAAAGUAUGUGCAACCAUGGCAAUUUCUAUUUGGGUAACCUAGUAUAACAGAAAUAUGUUGCGGAAGCGACGAUAAUAUUAAUAACAAUAUUAUCAGAAAUAUUUAGAUAAUUAUUAUGCCAACAAUUAUACUAAGAAAAUUCCCAGUUAAAUUGGAGGGGUCACAAAUGGUCCCGCUUAAAACCCAACAACUAGACAGAACUCACUUAGAUAUUUAUAGCAAUAAUAACUAAAUAAAUAUAACCAACAUAAAGCUAUUAAAUAUAAGCAAACAAAUAAGAAAUAAAAUACCAGAGAUUUAACGAGGUUCGGCCAAUUUAGCUUACGUCCUCGGACACUACCAAAUUAAUAUUUCUUCUAGAAAUAUUACAAAGGAGAAGAUUUUCGGAUGAUACAACCAAAGGGGGAGGGGUUCUAUAUAUAACAAACCAAACCCCCUCCCUUUCUAUCUUUUCCUAAUGUGGGAUAUUGCCAAUAUUCAACAAAUCUCCACCUUGGCGAUAUUCCACAUCUUCGAACAUCUUCUCAUAACACAAACUUCAAUAGUGUCUUCAAAUUUGCAACCAAUCGCCUUCUUCCCUUUUGGUAGUUGUGCCAGCUUCCACGUCUUGUUUUUCUCUAGAGAUUGCAUUUCCUCUUCCAUUGCACCUAACCAUCUAUUAUUCUCUAAACUCUGAAUGGCUUCGGUGUAAGUGGAUGGAAUAUUAUCAACAACUGGAAGUGCAUAAGCUACCAUGUCAGUGAAACGAGCUGGUUUCUGAAUUUCUCGUCUCUGCCUUCUGACUGCAAUUGGCUCUGAUUGCUGUUGAGGUUCUUGGGUAGAAACAUCUUCCUCAUCUGACUCUGCAUCUGCCAAUGAAGAAUCACUAGUGGUACCUUCUGCUGGAAUUACCACACUCUGCUCAAACUCCACCUGCUGCGGAGUACACUCCACCUGCUGCGAAGUACUACUCACUCAUUCUGGAUUUACCUUAUUCAACAUGGCAGAUUCAUGAAAGGUAACAUCCCUACUGAUUAUCGUCUUCUUUGCCUCUAGACACCACAAACGAUAUCCCUUAACACCAGCAUUGAAGCCCAUGAAUAGAGCCUUCUUUGCUCUUGGAUCUAACUUUGAUUCUUUCACAUGAUAAUAUGCAAUAGAACCAAAAAUGCGCAAGGUGUCAUAAUCAGUAGCAGGUUUUCCAUACCAUUUCUCCAAAGGAGUCUUGCCAUUUAUAGCAGAUGAUGGCAAAUGAUUGAUGAGAUGUUGAGCGUACGUCACAGCCUCAGUCCAAAACUUUCUAUCUAAUCCAGCAUUAGAUAACAUACAUCGAACUUUCUCCACAAGCGUUCGAUUCAUACGCUCUGCCACCCCAUUCUGUUGCGGUGUUCCACCUACGGUGAAGUGCCUUACUAUGCCACAAUCUUGGCAUAUCUUCAGAAAAGGAUCGCUUUUAUAUUCUCCACCGUUGUCUGAUCGGAGAACCUUAAUCUUCCUUCCUGUCUGAUUUUCAACUUUAGUUUUCCACUUAAGGAAAACUUCAAGCACCUCAUCUUUGUUCUUCAUAGGAAACACCCAAACUCGUCUGGAAAAAUCAUCAAUAAAGGUGACAAAAUAACGUCUUCCUCCAAGUGAUGGAGUCUUGGACGGUCCCCAUACAUCAGAAUGCACAUAAUCCAGAAUACCUUUAGUAUUGUGAAUCCCAGUGCCAAAUUUCACCCUUCGUUGUUUUCCCAGAACACAAUGCUCGCAAAAUUCAAGUUUGCAAGUCUUUGUACCUUUCAAUAAUCCUUGCUUGGCUAGAGUUUGCAAGGAUUUUUCACCAGCAUGGCCCAAACGCAUAUGCCACAGCUGUGUUGCCUCAGCGUCCUUCUUGGUACUCGAAAUUGCUGCUGCUGUUGUCCCAACCACUGUACUACCUUGGUAGUAAUACAGAUUGUUCUUUCUUAUGCCUUUCAACAUCACCAAUGCUCCUGAAGUUGCUUUAAGAACUCCAUCUCGUAUUGUCACAACUAGGCCUUCAGAUUCUAACGACCCCAAAGAGAUGAGAUUCUUCUUCAACUUUGGGACAUAUCGUACAUCCCGCAAAAUUCUAGUAGAUCCAUCAUGACUCCUCAGUUUAAUUGAACCUAUCCCGGCUAUUUUACAUGUGUUAUCAUUACCCAUGUAAACAACCCCUUCAUCUAGUUUUUGAAAUUCAAAGAACCAUUCCCGAAUGGGACACAUAUGAUAGGAACAACCAGAAUCCAUGAUCCACUCAUCUGCAUAUAAUGUUGAAGAUGUCAUACUAAGAGAAAAGUCCGACUCUGCUUCACUAUUGCAUUCUGCAACAUUUGCAUCUUGCGGAGUCUUCCCUUUUUUCUUCAAUUUUGGACAAUCUUUCUUCCAAUGUCCUUUUUCUUUGCAAAAGGAACAUUCAUCUUUGGCAACAGCUCGACCUUUGGACUUUCUUCUCUUCCCAUUAGACUGACUUUGCUGACGACCUCUUGUUACCAAUGCUUCCACUGCUGCUUCACCUGAACCUUUCAACUUAUCCUUUCGGCGUAGUUCAUAGCUAUACAAUGCAGCAGUUACUUCAUUGAAAGUUACUUCCGAUUUUCCAUGAAGUAGAGUAGUUUCAAGGUACUCAAACUCCUCAGGAAGCGAUCCCAACAACAUUAACGCCAAGUCUUCGUCUUCAAAAGUCACAUCCAAAUUCAACAAAUCAGCCACCAGCUGAUUAAAAUUGGUAAUGUGCUCGUUCAUCGUGGUACCAGGAACAUAAUUGAAACGAAACAGUCUUUUCUUCAUAUGCAACUUAUUUUGACUGUUCUUCUUCAAGAAUUUCUCCUCCAAUGCUUUCCACAAUUUACUUACAGAAGUCUCUUUACUGAAUGUAUACUUCUGCUCUCUGGAAAGACAUGAUCGAAUUGUACCACAUGCCAAUCGGUUGAUGGUCUUCCAUUCUUUAUCAUCAAUCCCUUCUGGUUUUUCUUCCUCAAUGGCAAUAUCUAGACCCUGUUGAAAGAGGGCAUCUAGAAGCUCACUUUGCCACAUGCCAAAAUGACCUGUUCCAUCAAAAAUUUCCACUACAAAUCUCGUAUUUGCAGUUCCAAUCCUCGGCAAAAUGUACGAAGUGGAAGUUGUUGAUAUGGAUGGUUUUUCUUCUGUCAUUUUUGCCAUAGCUUCUACUUAAUAGCCACCAAAUGCAGAAUACCCACAAGCUUUAGGAAAAUGUUUCUGAUGUGUAAGAUCAGACUAAGCUGCAAACACAGAGCAUACUACAAAAACUUGGCUCGGAUACCAAUUGUUGCGGAAGCGACGAUAAUAUUAAUAACAAUAUUAUCAGAAAUAUUUAGAUAAUUAUUAUGCCAACAAUUAUACUAAGAAAAUUCCCAGUUAAAUUGGAGGGGUCACAAAUGGUCCCGCUUAAAACCCAACAACUAGACAGAACUCACUUAGAUAUUUAUAGCAAUAAUAACUAAAUAAAUAUAACCAACAUAAAGCUAUUAAAUAUAAGCAAACAAAUAAGAAAUAAAAUACCAGAGAUUUAACGAGGUUCGGCCAAUUUAGCUUACGUCCUCGGACACUACCAAAUUAAUAUUUCUUCUAGAAAUAUUACAAAGGAGAAGAUUUUGGGAUGAUACAACCAAAGGGGGAGGGGUUCUAUAUAUAACAAACCAAACCCCCUCCCUUUCUAUCUUUUCCUAAUGUGGGAUAUUGCCAAUAUUCAACAAAAUAGACUUUACCAUGAAGGAAAAAAGGGAAGGGUACAAGAGGUUAUGGGUUUUAUUAGAGCUUAUUUACGGGAAUUAGAACAAGUUAACUCUUUAACAGAAACCAGAAUUAAACCAAGAAAGGAUUUCUGGAGACCCCCCAAAGCAGAACAAGUUAAAGCCAAUUUUGACGCAGCAUUUUCACAAUAAGACAUGACAGCAACAGCGGGAAUCUUUAUAAGAAAUCAUGAAAGUCUUGUAAUGGGAGCAUGUACUUACCCUCUAGGGAGAACAGGGGUUCCGAUCACUGCAGAAGCGAAGGCGUGUCUUCAAGCCGUCAUAUUUAGGGAAUAAAUGGGCUUUCGAGAUUUGGUUGCUCUUACCGUCAUUAAAAAACUUAAAUCAGACUCAGCGAAUAGAUCAGCGAUUGGCAACAUUAUUAAUGAAAUCCAAAGAAAAAGAUUCAGUUUCGUUAACUUAUCUUUUGAGUUUACCCUUCAAAAGACAAAUGAAGCAGCGCACGCCAUUGUAACUUGAGGGUACAAUUUGACUAGCCCAUCCUAUUGGAUUGACGAGGUACCGAUGGAGGUUGAACCCAUCACAGUCAAUGACCAAAUAAGAUUUUUGAACCGGCAGAAAAUGGUCAUUUCUGUUUGAGCCCGGGGAUGCAAUGCAAAAAUGACUGUCCUUACUACCCCCUGAUGAACUCAGAUUUAGGAGAAAUCUGGCAUGGCGCUUCAAUGGGAUCAUCUACAGUGAUGGAAAGGAAUAGCCAGUAUACUCCAUUAAAACGUCUAAAGAUGCAAAGAAGAGGAAAUGUGAUUUUUGAUAGACGGUAGGUUUUAUGUUUCUUCAGUUUUUCUUUUAGGUUUUACUUGCUUAGGAUCUUAUCUGUGGCCUUUCAAUUUCUUUUCUCUUUUUAUUUUUUAGGAAAACCUAAGGCACCACACCGAUUACCAGUAAUUUCAUGACAGUUGUUAGGACAACUAUUGAGUAUUUAUUUUUGAUAAGUGUACCACAUAUCCUCUUUAAAUGCAUUUUGAUUUUAUCUCAAAAAAUAUAUAUAUAUUUAUAAGUUAACUUUUAAAAUAGGUUUUGUCACAAGUCAAUACAUUAAGAGUAUUCAAAUUUUGGUUAAAACUAAAUUAACUAAUCGAAUCGACUUAAUUCGGUUAAUCGAUCUAAUUUGGUCGGAGGUCGAUUAAUGAUUGUUUGAAAGUUGUUCGAAAUCGGGUAAUUAACCAAAUUAACCGAACUUAAUAAUUAAUAAUACAAAUUAUAUGUAGUAUUAAUUCGGUUAAUACGAAUUCUCCCACUUAGCAAAAAAAUCUUAAACUUAUUUAAAUUUCUUUUCUCAUAAAAUGAUUGUUUUAAGGUUUCACCCGUGGAUAUGUUAACUUAUUCAAAAAAAAAUUUAUUAUUAUGGAUUUUUUUUAAGAUUUAUGAAAUUAAAUAUUAUUUUUUAUAGUCUUAACAACAAAGAGAUUGUGUUGUUUAUCCCGAAUAAUUUAAACUUCAUAAAGUUAGAUGGAUAUAUCCCGAAUAAUUUAAGGCAUCUACGAUAAUAAAGUUUAAAAUGAUACCGAAAUUACUUGUCAUUUUGUGUGAAAGAUGGAAGCCAAGAACACAUACAUUUUUUUCAUGUGAGGAAUUAAUUAUAACAUCAGAAGAUGUCAUUUUAAUAGCUAGUCUUCCAAUCAACGGGCAGGUGAUAAUUAGAGAUAGUAAUAUGGAUGCAAAGUCAAGUGUUAUUGAUUUGUUGGACGUUGCAUCAUCUUAGAAUGAGAAAAAUUAGACGAGAAUUGGGUGAAAUGUACAUUCUUAGACAGACUUGUCAAAUUGGUCCUGCACUAUAUGCAAAUAUAGAGUAGAUUGAUCGAUAUGUUAGAGUUUGAAUGCUUUAGACCAAGACAAUCAAUUCCAUUAUAGUAGUAAAUCAGAGCAAUUAACUCUAGGUUCCACUCCCGUGCAAACUCCCAUCGGUACUGACCAUAUCACUACAUACAUGUCGAAAUAUGGUGUACCGAUUGGUACAAAAAAAAUAAAAUAUAAUUUUAAAAUUAAAAGUUUUUAUUAUUUAUUUUGAAUUAAAUGAAUUGUGGAUUUUGCAAUAUGCAUGGUAUAGGAUGAUCUUAUUGUUUAAUUUAUGCAAUAAUUUUUUUAGAUUAUUUAUUUUAGUUUGUUUAAUGGUGGAUUGUAUUUGUGAAGCUUAUUAAAGAAUAUUUUCAUGUAAUUCAUGAGUAUUUUAUAUUUAAUAUUUAUUUAAUCUCAUUAUUUAUUUGUACAUAUGUUUUAUACAUAUAUAUAUUAUUUUUUAAAAAUAGUGAUAAAUCUGAAACAAUACAUUUAAAUAUAUUGACACUUGUACAUAUUAAUACCAGUAGAAAAAUGGUACGUCCACUGGUACAGUACUAGCAACCUUGCUUUAGAUGAUAAGAGGAAUGCUAUUUCUAGAUAAGUCUAGCAACAAGGUCCGUGCCAUGCAUUCCUCUACUAGAAUCUUUCAAUAUAACCAAUACAUUCAACUAUGGGUCAAUAACUCUAUCAUAUUUAUAUAGGGCGCUUUGUAGGGUGACUCAACAUAAGAUAGAUAAAAGUAAGCAAUUGUUGUAUAGUUCUACAAACUAGGGCUGGAUACGAACAUCGUGGUUAGCUUUCAUCCUUUCUUAGUCAUGGGAAUUCCUUAUUAUUCAAAGGUAAAAAUAUAAUCGUAUUGAAUAUCUUAAAAUGUAUCAAAUUAUCAAUAUUUAUAAUUUCUUAUUGCAUUUAACAUUUAAACAUAUUUAGGGGUCACUUAAAUCAUACCAAUUAUAGAAAGGACCUUACUUGAAUGUGAUAGGAAAUUGAUCAACUACUUUAUCAAAAUGUAUGUGAUGUUAUAUUCAUAUUCAAUAUAAGAGAUUAUUUCUAUGAAUUGAUAUAAUUAUAUUUAUCGGAAAUGUUUGCAAUUUCUUUAGAGAUUGUACCUAGACAAUGCACUUAUUACCAUUCUACAAAGGACAACAUAUGCUUACUCUACAUUGUGAAAGUUGCGAGUGCCCAUUACUUGUUCCAACAAUAAGGAGUGGUAGCACCUUGACCUGGUAAAAUGAAAGUUUGAGUUAGUGCAAGAAAUUUGAAUGAUCAAGAAAACCUCGAUUAGAUUCAUAAGAUAGAUUUGAGGGGUAGGAAGCAUCGAUGCACAGAGCAUUCAUAGUAUGUUGUGCUUUAGGGCCAGUGAACUCGGUAUUUCAUCUAUAGGAACAUUAUCCAGGAUAUUAAUUUCCAUCCCAAUAAGGUAUGUGCAAUGGUUUGUGAAAAUGGGUCUAUUGCGGUUAUAUGAGGUUUUGGUCAACUAGCGUAACUUUUCUAGCCAAAGCUAGAGCCACCAUACAACAAUUUGAGCUUGAGCCAUAUGUCAAAUCUACAUUUCAGGGCAUUGCGACCCGUCAGCCCUUUUGAUAUUUUAUCUAAUUGGGUAUUCAUUUUAUUUUGAUGAGGGAUCCAAUCAUACUAACACUCUUCCUUCAUCAUUUAUGACACUAGUGAUGGAAAAUAUACUUGUAAGUUUAGAAUUUACGCAACUUUUCGAUCCAACGAGUCCCUACACACUUCAACUCCUUCGUAUAUUGCAUCAUUAUUCUCUAAUAAGCUAAUCAGGUGUGCAAUUUAAUAUCUUCUUAUCGAUGCAAUAAAUGAAUCAUGGUGAUGACAAUGAUACUCCGAUCUAGGCACCAAUACAGUGGAAUCCAUCCUGGAACCAAAAACUACUGGUAUAUAGAACUAUUUCACCACAACAACGUCACUAUGUUAUUUUGAAUCCAUUGAUGUAAUGUUAAUUUUGUUGCAUUUAUUUUUGGGUUUACUUAUUUAGUUAUCAAAUUAGUGAGCUAUAAUUUUCGACCACUAAUUACAAUGCUAUAUUUAUCCAUUAUUAUUUUCAAAAAAAAAGGUUCAAGAGAUAAGAAUUCACGUGGUUUCUUAGUGUCACGUUUAUAUUUCUUACAACACAUUUUAUAUACAACAAUUUAAGCAAUUUUACUGUGAUAAUCUUUUUAAUUCAUGUAACAUAUGUAGCUUAUAGCAUGCAUAAUCUCUUGCGACAUGUUCUAUAAGUGUUGGGUGUAGAAAGGUGUAAUGGUAUGCAACAUUCUUUUAAAAACCUUCUCUUGGACUUUAAUGCAUUAAGCUCGUUACUAAUUUAAAAUCAACCAUGCAACAAUGAAUUUAUCAAAUGUUUUAUGCCGAUUUAGUAACACUUGAUGGAAGUGGAACCUUAAACCAAUUUCCCUAAACCUCAGAUAAUUUGCAAUUUGUGCCUUUAUUACAAUCCGUAGAUGAAGCUCAUUCGCUUUGACAUUAAGAACACUCAUACCAUCAAUUUCAUGUCAAAAUUGAAGAGGUACAUGACAAUUGGGCACCCUUCCAUCUAACGAAUCUCCAAUUUAAAUAUAUUACUAACUUUGAAGUUACCAAAACUCUAAAAUGGACUUUGAGUUAAACCAAAACAAAUGGUGGACAUGGCAAACAUCAUCCAUUGCUAAAUGUUUUCUAGGUGUUGGCAACAUCUGUGUCUUUCAGCUAAUUAAGAUACUAAAUUGACAUCACCAAAUGAAGGGAUUUAUCAAGCUAAUAGAUGUCAAGUUAAUAACACUAGAUGAGAACUGUGUUAUAGGAAAUAUCCUAUUUUUCCUAAAUCAUAAAAAAAUGAACCCAUCUUUCUAAACUUCAAAUUUUAAGUGGAAGAAUGGUGUGUAUUUUUUAUUUGGGUAUUUUCAUGGGAGAAAUAUGUAAAUUUAACCUUAAAUCUUAUAUAUUAAUGCUUAAAUUUAUAUUUAAGGAUUAAGAAAAUUUGUUAAGAUUUUGAGUUUAGAUUUUUUUGUUGCGUAAGAGAGGAAGAAGUGGCAAGUCACAUGUUCAUAGUAUUCUUGAUUAAACGAAUCCUAACAAAAUAUUCAAGUAACUCGACACCUAUGAGUGUUGAGGUCUAUUUUUUAAAUCAUCACUUAUUCUUAUCAUCCAUUAGUGCACUUAUUAGGAAUAUCUUAGAACGUCAAAUAUCUCGACACCUGUGGGUGUCAAGUUUAGAACGAAAACCUUAAACCUUAGAAAGAGAAACCUAAUUUAAAAUCCUAACCCUAAUGUAAAGCCCUAAACUCGAUACUCAGGGAUACCAAAGUUUAAUCUUUUUUUUAGAGAUUCCUACCUGAGGUAAAUAUGGCACGCCAUGUGUAAUUGUUUGGUUGUUCUGUCGGCCACACAGGUUUUAACAGUAGAAACUGAUGAAACUUUAACAGAAAUGACCAAUUUGCUCUUUGAUCUAAUGUACAAUGACUAAUUUGUCAAUUUUUUUAAUAAAUGGGGAGAAAAGCAAUCUAACUCCUAAAAGAACCGAACAUCCAUCAAACUGGAGAGGAUGACAAGAAAACCCUCCCUAAAAUUACUUGCACAAGGAAGAUUACAUGCAUAAACAAGAUUUAAAAACUUGUAAAAAGACAAGACAAAAAAUUUCAAAAAUGAAGACUUAUUAAACAAUGGAAAACAAACAAAAUAAUAUAUAAAACUUAAGAUAAUACAGGUCCAAACCGACUCAUUAAAUCAUUUAUUAUUCUAAAAUACUCUAAAAAUAUAAACAUAUUAAGAAGCCGAUGAAGAGACUAUUUUAAUAAUAAAUAAGAAAUACUGGAACAAGAAAAAUAGAAAAUAAUGUUAGUAAAAUAUAUUAGGAUGCAUUUUUCUCAAAAACCGUGUGACGCAUAAUGAUUGAUCAUAACUGUUUUCUCGCAAAUACUUUAAAAGCUAAAUAAUGCAUCCAUCACCUUUGAAUUAGUUAAACUUAAACCAUAGACUCUUGGGUUUGAAAAGACCUUCUUAGAGGAAGAAACAUUUACAUGCAAGGAUCAAUAUGAACUCAAAGAGGAACCCCAACCUCCCUCUUGUUGACACUAUUAAACCACCUGCCUCAGCCAUUAAUGUUCAUUCUUGCACACUCCCACACAUCAACAUUUGGGACCAAAAGAAAUCUCUAAACUUUCUUAAUCAUGAUCGGGCCUAUGACCUUCUCAAUAGGACCCUUUCAAUCUAGGGGGAGAAAGACAAAAUUGUAUGGAAAUAUGAUAUUAAUGGUUGCUUCUCCAUGAAGAGUGCCUAUGCCCAUCAGAUGCAACCGCACUUGCAGUUGCACCAUUGCACAAAGCAUGGACUAAUCUAUGGAAGCUUAAACUCUUGUACAAGUUGCCUCCCAACCAAGGAGCUUCUCUCAAGGCGCCUUUCCAACGAUGAUAACCACUGUUCUUUUUGCAAAGAAAGCAAUGAGUCCAUUGAACACCUUUUCAUUGAAUGUAGUUUCGCUCGGGUUGUCUAGUUUGGUUCUUUUAUUUUCCUCCGCUCUGACUCUCUUCGUAUUUCUUCCUUGUCAUCAUGAUUUCAUUAGUGGCUCAACUCAAACAACAUUCACUCUCUUGAUUCAAGGAUAUUUUAAACUUGUAUGGCUUUCACCCUCUGGAUAAUUUGGAAUUCAAUAAAUGAACUCACCUUCAAAAUGGCCGAUCCUUCUACAAUAAGACUAAUCAUAAGGAAACAAAAUUUCCAUAAUUCUAUAAUGAAUGCCUUCCCCUUUGAAAAUUUGCAAAGGCAUCAGUCAAGAAUUCGAAGAUCGAAUCCUUUUGAAAAUCCCCUUUCCAAAUGAACUCUCUCUCUCUUUGCAUUGUCCAUUGCAGAGGAGUGUAAAAAAAAAACACGAAAAAGCCAAAAUGAACCAAACCCAGAAAACCAAAAAAUUUAGUUUAUUCAGCUUUUCGGUUUAAUCUGUUUUCAUGUUCGGUUUAAUUAGUUUGUUCAGUCAAUUUUCGGCUUUGACAUUUUAAACUGAAUAAAUCAAUUAAGGCCAUAAGCCCAUAACCCAUUACAUGCCCAAACCUAAUUUUAAACCUUAAGCCCAAAUAUCCAUUAAAACUUAAUACUCUUAAAAUCCAAUUUCAUUAAUAUUUAAAACCAGAUUGAUAACUUAAAUUUUUUUUAUGAUAUUCAUUUUAAUUUUUAUCAUUUAAUAUAUAUAUAAAAAAACCAAAAUUUAUAUAUACAAGUUAAGAAUAGUAGAAGACAUGAAAUUGCAUGUUGGUCGUGUGAGAAAAUAAACAAUGUUUGAGUUCAUUAAAAUUUAUUUGAUUUAAUUUUUAAUAUUUUUAUAAUGAAUUUGAAAUAAAAAUAAAAUUAAAAGUAAUACGACAUACUAAAUUGAAGAAAAAAGAUAAUUAUGUGAAAAAAUUAAAGGAAAUAAAAUUGUAACUACUUCAAUUAGAAUUUGAUCCAUCUAAAAACUAAAAAAUCGAAUUGAAUCGAACUGAAUUUUUGGCUCGAUUCAUUUGAUUUUACUUCUUAAGUCGGUUUGGUUUAUUCGGGUUACAUGGAUAAUUUAAUUUAUUCGAUUUUUGAGAUAAAAAAAUGAACUGGCCGAAUACACACUCCUAAUCUAUUGCAGGUGAAAUAGCUUGACUGACAGAGUUGCCAUUAGAUCACCAUAAAUUCUCUUAGUUUCUAUCCACUCAAAGCUACAAAAUUGCUUGCAAAAACCAGGUCGGACUUCUCACUCCCCAUUCUAUCAUAAUAUUUCUGUCUAUAGGUUUCUCGGAGGUGACAAAAAAUGGUCGAAUAUCAUACGUGGGCAUACAAAAGUAGAAAGGAAGCUCCAAGCAGCGUUUGGUGACAUCAAGCAUCUCCUCCAAUUCGUCCACAUACAAUAUGAGCCAAUGGACAAUAACCAUUUAUCCUGAAGAACCAAACGAUGGGCUACAUGUGCUUCAAAGGCGUUUGUUGGUUUUUAUGACCUUAAUCCUCAUUGGUUUGUACAGAAAAAAAAAGAGGUGACUUUUAAAAUUUUAAUUUUAAAUUAUUUUAAUUAAAAAUAAUUAAUUUUGAAGAUAAAAAAGAUAAAAUGGUGAAGAUUAAAAAAAAAAAAGAAAAACCCUUUUAGGCUAUUUAACCUCAGGUCCUUGGAGCAUUAAUUAAAAUAAAAAUUAUUGACAAAAAUGACACGUAUGAUAGGGUUAUGUGUCUUGACAAGUCAAUAAUUAACAAAUGACAGUAAAGUUCGGUACCAAAAUUAAUUUUUUGAAAGUUUAGGUACUGCAUUAGAAGAUUUGACAAAGCCCGAAUACCAAAUAUGAUAUUAUCCCAUAAAAACUAAUAGUAAAAGUAUCAUAGAGGUCAUUGUAUUAGGAGUUAGAUUGCAUUUUGACCCAUUUAUUCAAAAAAUGGUAAAUUAAUCUUUAUACGUUAAGUUAAAAGAAUAAACUGGUUCUUUUUAUUAAAAAUUUCAUUCAUUUCUGCUCUUAAAAUUUGAUGUAGUUGACGGAAUAACCAGAAAGUUACAUUUAACGUGCCACGUGUACGUCAUGUUGAUGCACAUGAAUCGAUUUUUAAUAGUUGAAAUUGAUAAAAUUUUUAAUAGAAUGACCAACUUGCACUUUGAUCUAAUGUAUAAGGGUUAAUUUGCCCAAUUUUUCGUAAAAAGAGUAAAAUAUAAUCUGAUUCCUAAUAUAAAAACCUUUGUGAUAAAUUACCAAAAACUAACAUAUAAUGGAAAUUGCACCACGAAAUUUGAACUUUAUUAUUUUAACCAAAUUCUCAUUAUUUUACAAUUUUUUUAAGAACAUUAUUUGUUUUUCACUCACGCGCCAUAAUCUAUUUAUUUAUAUUAUUAAUAAAAAUAUUGACUGAGUUAAUGUCACAAGUUAAUUAGGUACCAAUUCGUUUAAAAAAUAACUAAUAUACUCAUUUAUUAAAUGACUACUAUUACUAUUUUGAUGACCUAUUUAUUAUUUCAUACAUUUAUAUAAGUUUUAAAUAAAAAACUAAAAUUAAUAUGUUUAAGAGUUGAAUAUGCAUUUAAUGGAUUUAUAAAUAAAUUAUUUAUCACUACACUAAUAAUAAUUCUAAAGUAACUUUUAAAAAAAUAUUAAAUUUUAACAUAAAAAUGUUUUCUCUCAUGUGGACAUACGUGUGUAUAAAUAAUGUCACUAAUUGCGUUGGUAUAAUAAGUCGACCUGAUAUUUAAUUUUUAAAAAAUAAAAUUUUAAUAUUGAAUUUUCUUUCACUAACUUGAUAACUUUUUAACUUGUUAUAGAAAAAUAUCAAUACUAUGAUAAAUAAUUGGAGUGCAUUACCUAUUUAAAAUAUAUUUUAUUCAUAAGUUCAUUUUUAUUUUAAUUCUGUACAUAUUGCAUAUAUGUUGUUAGUCAACUCAACACUAACUCAUAAUUGAUUAUAACAACAUGCACAAUUGUAGUGCAUUUAGUAUUAUUUAUUUGAUGUGUUUAUAUGAUUAAUUUUUUUAUACAAUAUUAGAGGUAGGGGAUAGGAGUAACACGGUUCAAUUCCGUGCCAAAUGAGUGUCUAACAAGAGUUUUAAUCGCUGCUCUAUUUAAGUCAACAUGUGUUAUUAUGAUCAAUUGUUAUUUUGAUAUAAAUAUCCACAUUUUAAAUCCGUAAGUGCAAGAUUAAAUAAAUUAAAUAAUAAUUAUCAUUAAAAAAAAGGAUGAUGUAACAAGUUAAUGAAAUGUAACGAAGCAGGACUGACGUCAUCACUAUCCAGCCAGAAGUUGAACAAGACUCGAACAAAAUCUAAGGGUUACAAGGUAAUUUCAGUUACUACAAGUGUCGGUUACCUGCUUUUGCUUGGCCAAAUUUCAUGCGAAGUCCCUGUACUAUGCGCAUCUGAGUCUCAUUAUUAUAAUUUGAUCCUUUUUAAUUCAUUUAUUUUUUUGAAAUAUGUAUUUUCAAUAUUGAGGUUAAUUUUUUUCCUUAAUUAUGUUAGAUGAAUUGAUAUGUUUUUUUUAAACAUGUGAUGACGUAAUACAUAUACUUAGCAAUUUUAUAUAGUUGAACAAAUUUUUUGCACAUUUAAAAAAUAUAAUAAUUGUCAAAUUAUACGAAAAAAAAGUUGGUCUAUAUGUUGCAUCAUGAUAUAUUUAAGAAAAAAUUGAUCCAAUGUCAAAUUACUUGAAAGAAUUCACACAAAAAACUACAUUUUGAACAACAAAACAUUUAGAAAUGAUAAAAUUAUAGUAGAAAGAUUAAUAUAAAUCAGGGACCAUUCAUGGGAAUUUACCUUUUUGUUUUUAAAUGUCCGAGCCACUGUUCCGAAAAUGUUUACCAAUUUUUGCAGGUGCGCUUUAUUUGGCGGGUACGAAAUAAAUAAUAAAUAAUAUAUAAAUAAAAUAAUCAAACAAGGCUAAAAUUAAAAAAAAAAAACCCUCCGAAAAUCAAACCGUACGGUAUUUUUAGAGAGCGAAAGAAGCAAAGCUCACACAUAGUGAAAAGGAAUCUCUUUUCUCUCUUCUUCUUCUUCUUAGCAAAUUUCAGCUCUCGAUUGAGCUCUUUUCGAUCUUUCUAGAACAUUCCAUUUAUCUCCGUUGAACCUUCCAUUUUCUUUUUUUGUUUGAUUUUUUUUCCGGCGAAGUCGGUAAGGUUAUUAUUGUUCUACGGACCACCCUCGCCCCCACCCACACAAUCAAAUCCCGUUUCGAUGGAGUUGUAUGGUCGUAACCCGACUCGUAAUGGGUCUCAAUCCGGUUAUCAACCCGAAUGGAGCCCCGCUGGGCCCGAAACUGGACUGGAAGGUAUUUUUUUUUCCGUUCAUUUCAAUGUGUAUGGAUUUUUUCUUUUCCUCUUUCUACUCGCAUUGUGAUGAUGUUUCUCUGGUAAAGCUUGUUUUAGGGGUUUUUUUUUCGAUUAAUAAUGCGGAGAGUGAAUUAGGGUUUUAUUCAUGUUUCUUUGUUGUGGUACAGAAUCGAGGUGGCAAUUGUCGGUGAGGGGCGUCGAAUCGUACCCGGAACGGCUCGGGGUGACUGAUUGUGUUUACUACAUGCGAACGGGGUUUUGUGGUUACGGUAAUAGUUGCCGUUACAAUCAUCCCCGCAACCGUGCCGCGGUAAAAUUUUCAAUCAUUAGUUUAUUUAGUUUUGUAUGCUAUUUUUGGUUCAGCAUUGAAAUGUUAUUGAAUAAUUUGUCUGAGAAUUUUACUUUCACUGGUGACAAUGGGGUGUAACUAAAUGAACUUAGUAUUAAGAACAAUGGAAGUGAACAAUGCGGUUUAAUCAUGGUACAUUUUGAUAAUAAUAGUGCAUAACUGAAGCAACAUCGAAAGAAAACUCUUAUAUGGUAGUUAUUAUUGUCAUGACCAAAUUGGUUGUAAUCUUUUGGUGAGGAAACCUGCAAAACUAAAAUGGUCGGGGUGUGCUGGAGUUGGUGCUCUGGCACGUACUAUGGAGCUCAAAUCGGUCAUUACUCCAUAAUUUGAGGGAGCAUGUACAUAAAACAAGAGGAAAAUGUAGAGAGUCACCCUUGCUUGCCUUUAUGGAGGCUAUCACCUUAUACAGAAGGCAUAUAAGUAGCAGGUAGUUACUAAAAUAUCCUUAGAGUCCUUAUGGGUAUAACAAUCAUUACUGAUUAUGUUUUCCUGAUAAUUUCAUUUAUAUAAUAUAUAUUUUUUGCUUAUCAUGUGAAGGGGCUUUUAUGCAAAUGCCUUUUUUAAUGCAUUGUUUCCCUUUAAAUAGAAACAGGAAACUACAAUUUAGAAGUUAUGCUUGACAUCCUCUGGUCCGAGUUUAAAUGAUGAGUGACUUGCAACUUAAGUCUGUGUUUCUUUACCGACUUCCCUAACACUGGUCAUUCUGUUGGCUCAUGUCUUACACUCUAUUUCAUACCAAACUAUCAGAUGCCAAGCAAGUUGGUAGAUGUUAUUUCAGUAUAUUUUGAGCAAAAGAUUUCUUUUUUUAUUAUGUGGUAAGAGAAGCAAGUAAAGUCUACCUUGGAAUUGUUUUUCUUGGACCUACCUCAAAUUAAAAGUUGAAACUCACGGGUUCUUUAUUUAUUGCAAAGGAAAUAGAAUAACAUGAUUCAAAUAAGUUAUUUGCUACCUUCAUAUAUUGUUAAAAAUGAAUUGAGGAUAGUUCUUGAUAGAAUUGGACUAUGUAAGAGAAUUUACUUUGGUCAUCUAGCCUGUUGUUUUAAACUGAGGCAGGAAUUACCUCGUUUUCAGCUUUAAGUUUUUUUCAAGAGUUGAAUUCCUUAUUUUUAUUUGGUUCUGAUGCCAUUUAGGUUGAGGCUGCAGUAAGAGCAACAGGGGAGUACCCUGAACGACCAGGGGAACCUGUAUGUCAGGUAGAAGAGUAAAUUAGUUUAUUGAAAAAUGCAAAAUUGUUUUCCUGUGAGUCAACUCUGCUAAUUAAAGCUGCAAACACCUCUCUUUUUAACUUGUUUCUUUUCCUUUUUCUCUUUUUGCAUGUGCAGUUUUAUUUAAAAACCGGAACCUGUAAAUUUGGUGCAUCCUGUAAGUUCCAUCAUCCAAAAGAUGGAGGUGGAUCCUUUAGCCAUGUUUCAUUGAACAUGCAUGGAUACCCAUUACGGCCGGUUUGUAUAUUCUUUUCUUGCUUUUUCGUCAGCUCUUAUUCAUAUGUUUUUAGGAUUCUUAAAACAACUAGGCAUCAAUUUGAUGCACAUCCAUUAUCAGGGUGAGAAAGAAUGCUCCUACUAUUUGAAAACGGGGCAGUGCAAAUUUGGUAUUACUUGUAAAUUCCAUCAUCCUCAACCAUCUGGAACAUCAAUGUCAGCAUCUGCACCUCAAUUUUAUCAGCCGGUGCAGUCUCCUUCAGUCCCUGUACCUGAACAGUAUGGGGGGGCAUCUACCAAUGUGAGAGUGGCAAGGCCUCCACCUUUACCUGGUUCAUACGUUCAAGGGGGGGCUUAUGGUCCUGUACUGUUUUCCCCAGGAGUGGUUCCUAUUCCGGGUUGGAGUCACUACUUGGUAGGGUGAUCAGCACAGUUGCAUUAAAAGAUAUAUCAAGACUAUAUGCGAUUCCUGAAUCUUUUUUGGCUUACCUGGUGCAGGCACCUGUAAGCCCAGUGCUCUCUCCUGGUGCACAACCUGCUGUUGGAGCAACUUCUCUCUAUGGACUAACGCACCUAUCUUCUUCAACACCUUCACUUGCAGGUCCUUAUUCCUCAUUGCCCUCUUCUACUGGCCUUUCAAGCAGUAACCAGAAGGAACAUACAUUUCCAGAGAGACCUGGUGAACCUGAAUGCCAAUACUAUUUGAGGACUGGGGACUGUAAAUUUGGAUCAUCUUGUAGGUAUCAUCAUCCUAGAGACAGGGUUGUGCCACAAACAAAUUGCGUCCUCAGCCCAAUGGGACUUCCUUUACGUCCAGUAUGAACAUUCUCAUUACUUCUUAUUAUAUUGUUUUCUUCUGUAAUGAUAAUUACUCAUUUAGAGUGGGCUUUUAUGAGAUCAUGACUUAAAGAUCUUGCGUCAUAAAUUGGGUUUGGUUAGGCUAAUAUGUUUUAAGUACCUGUGUUAUCUUUGAUUGUCCUGUUAGUCCAAACUUCCCUAUUAUCUGCUAUGCAGUUAGAAGUUUUUGUUCCUUGGGGAGGAAAUAAAGAGACGGCCCUUCAGCCCUAGCCCCUCUUAAUUAAUUUUACAAUUUUCUUUAAGAGGAACUUCUACCCCACUAAAAUAUAGACUAGGUGUGCUUCAUUUAGUGUAGGAUUGAGAGGCUUCAGUAAAGGUCAUCUUUAAUGGAUUUGAGAUUUCUUCAUGCACUAUCGACUGCUAUAUUUCUUACAUCCUGUCAAUAAUCUAUUGUUGAAGGUUUAUGCUGGCCUCAAAACUUAGGAAUCAAAUUAUUUCUUUCUAGAUGGUUUAGGUUGGUCAAAGCUUCAUAAUGAAUAUCGUGUUCAGAGAAGUGUAGUAGGAGAAAUGACUAUUAUUUACAAUUGUUGGUAAGUUUGAUGAUUGAUGAUAUUAGAUUUGGUCUCUAGAGAAGGUCUAUGAUGGAGCAUUUUUGUUAGGGAUUCUCAAGGCUAUGUUAAUUUGACUAUUCAUUUUCCUUGAAGUGUUGUGUCCAACACUCAUUUCCUACACAUAGCUGGAUAUUGUAAAGGGAUAAAAUCCUCCAAAUAUAUUGGAAAAAUAUUGAGCAUAUCCAUGCUAGACGCAUAGCCAUAUCUGACACUCAUCCCAGAGUCUGAGUAAUAUAGUCUCAGGGUUUCUAAUAUUCUUGUUGUCAGAAGAGAUGAUUAGGAAGAUUCCACCAAUUUAUGGUGGAGAAUAGCAUUCUUUUUUUUUUUUUUUCAAUUGGAGAAGCUAGGCAACUUAACACCAUCAAGGUUCCCUAUGCUUUAAACUACACAUAGUUAAGGUUUUAUUACUCUUAUUUUUAAUUCCACUCAUGUUUUUGGCUAGAUAGACUUGCGGUUGAGUUAAUAGCUGCCUUUAGCUUUACAUACUAAGGUUCUUAAUCCAAUGCUUCCUAAUCUAGUGCUGCCUUUGAUUGGGCACCCUCACAACCACUCUCUUCAACUUGUCAUGAUGAGACACAUUAUGCUAUGUGAGGGUGUGGUUAAAUGGUUUUUACCCACUUUUUCAUUUACAAUGCUCGUAAUGUGAGUCUUGGUUAGCUAGGGCUGAUCAAGUAUGGACUAUGGAGUGAUAGUAAUUCAUCAACUUGUAAUUUAUAGUUUUAGUAACAUAUGCUUCGGUCAUUCACUUUUGCAGGUGAUGUUUGUUAUCUAGUCCCGAAAGACGUUUUAUGUUUAUAGCUCUUCUUGAGUUAUGCUAUUUUCCUGAAAACAAUUCUAGCAUGAUUAUAUACUUAUUGAGUCAAAUUGUAGCGUUUUAAUGGAUGUAAAGCAAUAACAAUGCUAUUCUGCAUUAACAUUUGCUAGUUCUGGUUAUAGCUACUGCAUCCCUUGAAUUUCAGAUCGAUCAAGACUUUAGUGAUCAUAUAUCUUGUUAUUCUACUAUAAUAGCAAUUAUGUACCAUCUUGUGCUUUAGUAACUCUACUCUAUAAUACUGGGAAUGAUGUUUUUGACACAUUACAUUUUGCUUCUUAAAUUGCAUCCAGGUUUUUGUCCCUUGCAACUUUUCUCAUUUUUUUAGAAAAUAUUUUAAUUUGAUUUUUUUUUUAUUUCCUGUAAACAGGGGGUGCAGCCUUGUGCUUUCUACUUGCAGAACGGGCACUGCAAGUUUGGGUCCACAUGCAAAUUUGAUCAUCCGGUGGGAACAAUGAGAUUUAGUCCAUAGCGGCGUUUCUCAUUGAUACACCAGUUGCUCCGUGUUCUAUUGGGUCUUUACUGGCUACAUUGGCCUAUCCUGUUCCCCUUUCAGAUUUUCAGCUUUCAAGCACGAGACAGGAUUGUGAGGUUUGUCACUCAAAUCGAUGCAAAAUGCUAGAGCCAUUUUUCAUUUUCUUGCCGAUGUGAUUUCACCAUCCUUGAUAUAUUUUCUGUUGAUAGAUCUCAGUAUAUUAUAGUCAAUUGUGCAAAGUUAUAUUUCUCAGAAGCAAGGGUUGUCAACAAAUCUGCCUUACCACACAAUCGGACCACUAUUUUAUGCCUCUCUUGUCUUUAUUUACUGUCAAAUAUAAUCUGGAAUAAGCUUUUGUAGCAAACAGUGUAUGAACUCCUAUCUACCGCUUUCUUCCAAAUAAAUCGAAGCAGAGAGCCGUUAUAUCAGGUUAGCCUCUGACUGUACUUUCAACUUGAUGUUUUAUAUACUUUGUUCAUUUGCAAUGAGGAAUUGAAGAAUGAUUUCCACUUCCCUGUAAGUCUUAAAUCUUCUCCAUGCCUUCUUAUCACUUGAUAUUACAGAUUUCCCUGCUGCUUAUUUCUGUUUAGGCAGAAUUAGCAAUUUAUGCAUUUGUGCUGUGUGUCGUCCUUGUGUCACUUUCCUGUGUUACAAUCGAGUUUUUGGUAUUAUAUGUUUUAUAUAAAAUUUGAUACGUUAAUAAAGCAUUUUUUCUAUGUUUUUUCGACUCUUAGUUUCUGUCUUUUUGCAUUGCUCAUGUCCAGCAUUCAUAUCAGAUGCUCAUGUCUAACGAUGGUAUCUGAUGUAUAUCCGGACAUAAUUAUGGGGCAUGAUUCUUAAAGGACCUUUCAAAAUAAUGGGAAAAUUUGAAAAGAAAUGAGCACACCUUUGUUGGAUACAUGUAUAUAUAUCCUUGCAUGCUAAGGAGAUGAUACUAAACAGCAAAGAUUCUUUUUGUCAUUGUACUUUUUUAAUUGGUGACCCAAAUUUUUGGGCCCUUUUAUUAUGGUCACCCAAAUAAAAAUAUUUGCAAUUUGAUCAUUGUCGUUAGAAAAGCAUUUAUUUUAGUCACUUAAUUGUUAAAUCUAUAAUUGCAUCGCGUCACAUCAUUUUUGACCAUUUUUUUAUCCCAUAUUACUGUUUAUCUUCUUUCCCUCCACACCACACUACCCCUACUUUCACCCUUCUUAUUUUUCCUUUGCUUUAAAGUUUCCAACUUGUUCAAUAAAGAGAAAAAAAAAAUCCAAUUUCUAAGGAUUGUAGUAAGAUAUGGAAAUUAAAUAAAAAACCCAGUAUCAAAAACAAGGCAACCCAAAUCAGCAAAAAUAUUCAACAACAAUACUAAUGAACGUUCUUUAUCCAAAAAACCAAGACUUCACUUUAAUUGCUAAAAAAGAGCUCAGCUGUUGUUUAUCCAUUAAUAAGAAAACCAACAAUUGAUCCAAAAUCAAACUAUAUGUUAAAAAAAGAAAAAUAAAAAGACCUAGAAAAAUUUAGAUCACAAACACCAAAAACCAAUGACUUCUUUUUCCCAUUGGAUAUAUGGAAAAAAAAGUAUGAUAUUACAACUGAACUUCAAAAGAGAGGAUCAAGGUCAACAAUGACAACACAGGGCAGUCUCUGAAUUUCGACACAACAUAACAUGAACCAUAAAAGAUAGAUUUAAAAAAAAAAAAAAGAUGGUGCGGUGGCUGGAAGCAAAGAGCAAAGAAAGAAGAAGAAUGGCAGCAGCAAGGGUGGUGUGGAGGGGAAGAAGAUGAUGAAGAGUGGAAGUGGGGUUAAAAAAAUGGUAAAAAAUGAUGUGGUGUGUAUAGUCGGCCACCUUUAGGGAUUUAACGUUUGAGUGACAAAUGGAAAAAAAUUCUCUAAUGACAAUGAUCAACUUGCAAGUAUUUUUAUUUGAAUAACCAAAAUGAAAGCGCUCAAAAAGUUGGUGAUCAAUUAAGUAGUUUACCCUACUUUUUAUUUGUUAUAAAUAUUCUUAAAUGACAGUAUAAGUUUUGUAACACCCCAAACUCAACCUAAGCAUUCAGACCAAAUCCGAAGAGUUAUAUUGACAUUACUAGAGAAACCCAUUUUUAUAACACAAAUCAAAGAAACCAUUCGACAAAUUAUAAUGGCUGUAAAGGUCAGCCAAUAAUCCAAUAGCCUUAAAGUCAUAUUACUAGAGAAUGCUAUAAUUACUGAUAAUAAUAAUAAAGGGUGAUAAAGCGAGUUGAUUGAGCUCCCACCAUUCUGACCCGAUCAAGACUGCGAGUUACCUGAAAUUCAGUCAAUAACAAAAUGAGUUGAAAACUUAGCAUAUAAUCGUAAUAGGUUUAUCUAAAAGCACAAUCACAAUAGUAAAUUAUUGAAUCUCAUAUGUCAAUUAGAAUCAGAGGAUAAUUAGUGCAAAUUCAAUGUAUCAGUUAUGCAUCAGAACAAUUCCGGUUCAUAUACGAUACAAAUUAGGAACAGAUGCAGUUAUUCCUACCCCACAGCUACACACCAUUUUUGAUCGUCCAAACACACCAUUAAAGGCAUUUAAUACCCAUCAAACUCUACAUAUCGGAAGUGUCAAUCUGACACGUUUAAUGAGGUGCAGACUAGCUGUCAGAUCAAAAUGCGAUAAAAUACCAAAUUCACGUAUAAUUGUGGCUUUAGCCAUCGAAUCAGAACAGAUCACUUCCUCCUUUACAAAAUUCCCAUCCCAUGCAAUGCAAGUUACAGAUAUCAAUAACAUAUGCUCAGUUAUUUAGACUCAAUUCAUAAUUAAGUGAUACAAAUCAAUAUCAUUGACAAUCUUCACAAUACGUAUACAUAUAUAAUCAACACCUCAGUCUCAAAACAUCAAAUAACACUCAUACAAUCUAAUUCAGAUCAUAAAUACAUUGUGGAAGGCCAAUGUUCGUGUUAGACAACGCUUACGGCCUCAGAGACAAGAUUUAGAGUUUUCUCCACAGACCACACGGCCUGACACUUGCUCGUGUGCCCACUCGUGCGUCUUACACGAAUCGACACACGCCAGUGUGCCCACUCGUGUGUUUCACACGGCUCGGUACAUGCCUGUGUCAUCUGCUCGUGUGUCCUAAGUCGUAAAUAAUGAGUCACACUGCUUGAACACGCCCGUGUCUCUAGUUCAUAUGGUAUCCAAAAAUGAUAGUAGGUUAUACGACCUGGGCACACGCCCGUGUCCCUAACUCGUGUGUUCAUUAUGUUGUACUCAGUGAGUAACAUGGCCUAGACACACGCCCAUGUCUUUGGCUCGUGUGAACUCUGCACUAACAUGAUUACACAUGGCUUGGACACACACCCGUGUCCCUUGCCCGUGUGGCUCGUAUUUGGUGAACAGUGUGUUACAUGACCUAACACACGGCCUGUCACACGCCGUGUGGCAUCGACAGUCAUAUUUUUUGACAUUCGAAAUUCACAAAAACUUAGGUUUUUGGUACGCACUUGAAGUGAUUUCGUAGUAGGAACAACGUAAAGGAUCUCCGAAGCCUAAAACGAUCAUCCAAUAACUCAAUCAACCAAAUUUAUUGACAAUAAUGCACAAUUAGAUGUAGAACACUUAUGUCGAAAGUUUUGACACAACCUUCAACGAAUUCAACACUUACCGAAAGAUCAACAACAAUUACUCGAAUUGACUUGCCGAGAUUCGCUACUUCCAACACCUACUUCUAAAAUAAGGAAACCAAAAUAAUUUAACUAAGAGAAUUGAUCUAUUAGCGCAAAACUAUCUCAACGACACGAAUUCGUCGUUUCUUAGAACUUCUAACAGAAUUACACAGUUAACUUUCAGUUGAUAUCACAGAAACGUACUUACUCGACCCGAACAUCAGAUCAGAAGAAGAAGUCCAUCAAUUGAUAACAGAAACGCCCAAGAGAUAUAAAAAAAAUGAAGAAGAUAAAGAAAAAGAAAAAGAAAGAACUUACGUUUUAAAAUUUGUUUUAACCUCCAAUAAGUUUUCCGACCGUUAGCAAAAAUAUUUCUUAAUGUAUACGCUAAAACCCGAACACAGAACUAAACAGAAUACAGAAGCUUAACCAUUGAACAAACAUGGUCAUUCUUGUCAUAGAGUUACACAGAGUUAAAUUUAAGUUAACGAUUUAAGAGCAAUGAUUGAUAGUUAACUAGCAAAACUUCUAAAAUACGACUUGAAUUCCUGACCACGAACACAUAAGCAAAACAUUUAACCAUAGAUACAGAAACUUAAUUAUUGUAAAAUCUUACAAAUAAACAUUCAAAAUUUGGGGUGUUACAAAUUUAUAUAUAUAUUUGGAGGAUGAAUAUGAAAGAGUAUGAUUAUUUGAAUAUAAAUUUUUUUAUAACAUAUAAAUAUCACAUAAAUAUAUGUUUUUGAUAUUUAAGUAUAAAAAAAUAUUUAAUAAUGAUAUUUUUUAAAAUAAGAUUUUUAAAUAAUAAUGUAAUUUAAUAAUUUUUAAAUAAUAUUUUGUUUGAUAAAAAAAGUUUUAAAUGUCUAUAAUAUGUAUAAAAGUAGUUUUGAGAAUUUUUUGUACAUAUCAAUAUAACUUUUAUUCCUCGGUAUAUUAGUAAAUACCUUUUCUCAUAUUAGAUUCUGAUCAUAUCUGUUUUUUUUAUAUAAUACCUAGAAUUAUUCAUAGUCUCUUGUCAACUCUUAAAUAGGAGGAUAAUGUGGUUCUACGUAGUUGAACCCACGUCCUCCUACAUUAGUAACAAUAUUGAUGCCAAUCUAGCUAAAACUCAAUUGACUAGUAAAUAUCAUUUUUAAAUAUACAUUUUUUUUAUUUUUCUAAGAUUUAUCACAUUUAUAAAUAAUAAUUUUAUUUUUACUAAAAUAAUUGGUUAAAAAGAUUACUUGAUAAAAAGAUUUAUGUACUUAUAAAUAAAAAUUAUGAUUAAUUUUAUUAAAUGAAUUUAUAUAAUAAAUAAUAAAUUUGAUAUUAAAUUACUUUGUAUUUAAAUUAUCAUGUUUCAAUUGACUGAAAAAUUUAAAGGAAAAAAAUGAUAUUACUUUAGUUUUAAAUUGCAAGUUUUAGUUAGUUAUUUAUUUAUUAAUUUUAUAUUUCAUAUAUAAAUUUUUAUGGUUAAAGUGUAAAUUUACCAUCAUAGGUGAUGAAUAUUGAAAUUUGUCGCUAUACUUUACUUUCGUGGAUAUUUACCAUUAUAUUUUAAAAACAUGAGUAAAUUUUUUAUUCAAACUCUAACGUGAUUUAAUUUUAUUACUAAGCUUUAAAUUUUAUUAAAUUUUGAAACAAUUUUAUUUUUUAAAUUAAAUUUUAUCACUUUAAAACAUAUUAAUUUUGAUGAUUUGUAAAAACAAUUAAUAAAAAAAUUAUUUCAAAUAUUUUAUUAGAAUAGUUAACAAUAAUUUAACUUAUAAAUAUUAAAAAUUAAUAAAUUAAAUUACAAUUUCUAGUUAAUGAAAUAAUCUUGAAAAAUAAAAAUACAUAUAUCAUAAAAGAAAAAAUAAGUUUACUUUUAUAAAAUAAUCAUUUUCUUUAUUUUUAAUAUUAUAUUAAUUAGUGAAUAUUAAAGUAAAAUAUAAAAAGAAUUAUUAUUAAAUUUUUCUUCAAAUUAUUUGAUAAUCUAAUCUAUUUUGUUUUUGAAUUUAUUAAUUACUUUACCCCAAAUUAAUUUAUUUUGCUUUUAUUAAUGUUUGUUAAGGUGGUUUCGAUAUUACUGCAUAGGCAUUACCUUUGUUUUAUACUUUUUUUCCCCUAAAAUACGUGGAUUUAAUUUUAGAAAAUUAAUUUGUUAUAUAUGUUUAAAAUUAAAUAUAAUCCUUCCCCGACCUUUAAAUAGGAGAAUAAACUCGCUUCAAUGCGCUUGAACUCACAUUUUUUAACACUGACAACAGUACCGAUGUCAAUUGAACUAAAACGGUUUAAACCUAUGACUUCUAAGAUGGAUACACUAUUACUUAACCAUUCAACCUAUGUCUUAUUUCUUAUUUAUUUUAGUCACUUAAUUAUAUAUAUUUAUUUCGGGCUCAACUUACAUAUUCUUUAUUAGCUUAUACAUUUACUCAUUUUUUAUUAACUUAUUUAAUUUUAUAGUUUUUAACACAUUUCACUUUAGUUUAUAUAUAAUAAUUAAUACUCAUAAUCAGGUCUCAUUAUUAAUAUUUUAAUUUAUUUUACCCAUUUUCCAAUUAGGUCCUAACUCAACUAAAACACACUAUUUUCAAAUUAAAUCUCGUAAUCAAGUUUCGUUUUAGAUUAAUUAAUAAAACAAAACUUGAUUAUAUUAUUUUAAUACUUUAAUUAAUUAUUUAAAGCAAAGUUUAAGGGCUAAAUCAUAAUUUUAGUAAAAUAUUUUAGUAAAACCUUUUUGGUAAAAUCAAGAGUAAAAUUAUGGAAUUAUCCAAAUAAGACUUAAUCAUGCAAAUUUUCAAGUCAUUUCAUAGCAUUUAAGGGCUUCAAUUGCAUAGCAUAAAAAUUAGGACUCAAUUGCAAAGAUAAUAAAACAUGCCCAACCUACAUAUGACAUAUUGACACCUAUACAUACUAUUUCGUGUUUUCAUGCCAAUUUUCCUAUUCUAACAUGUCGUACAUCAUACAUAGAUCAUUCAAAUCAUGCUUAGUUAUAUUAAAACAUAUAUUAACACAUUUUAACAAUCACGCGUAUUCAGGGUUAAAUUCAAUCCAUCAAUCACAAACCCAAUUCUUCUAACCCAAUUUUUAGGAUGUGACAGAAAUUGUUAAAUUGUAUUUGUUUACCCCAUUACGAAAAAUUCUAAAUUUCUUUCUUUUUUUCAAUACUAAAAUUUUAAAUUUCAAAAUAUCAAAAUAAAUUAUUGAAAAUUGUUUGAUUUGUUACUAUAAUAUUAAAAUUAAUUAAAAUAAUCUCUUUCUAAAAUUUUAAAUUUUAUUUUAUGUUUCCAAAUUAAAAUAAACUCAAAUAACUCAUCCUUAAUAAUUGUUGAUGAAACACAAAUUUCUUUUGAUUAUAUGAACUUAAAUCUUCUAUGCUAAGCUAAAAAUAAAGAAAAAUCUUUAUAAUUAAUUAAUUUAAUUAAUUAUUUGAGUUAAUUUCGUUAAGGAUAAUUUAAAAACAAAAAAUAAAAAUUUAAACUUCAAGAGAUUAAUUUAAUUAAUUUCAAUAUUAUAGCAACAAAUCAGUUGACAUUACCAAUGGAUAAACAAUUUUCAAUAACUUAUUUAAAUUUUUUUAUUUUUUGGAUUUUAAAAUUGAAAUAUUUAAAAAAAAUUAAAAUUUUUGACAAUGGGAUAAGCAAAUACAAUUUGAAAAAUUUUGUGUAUUAUUUUAACUUUUACUGCUUUUUCACUUUGAUCCUUUAUCUUUUUUUACCCCAAUCAUUGUUUAAAAAAAUAUUUUUUGGGUGACUAAAAUAAAAAUAUAAACAUGAUGUGACGUGCAUGGUUAACAGUCAUUAGAGAUUUAACGCUUAAGUGACUCAAAAUAAAAACAAUCUAAAAAUUGUAAGGAAAUUACAAAAUUUUCAUUUUGAAGAAAGGGGCUUAAAAAUUAUAAAGCAAAGAUUAGGAAUCAAAAUCUAAUACUCCAUCCCUGAGUAGAAACAGUGGCCUCAAAGAUUUUAUCACUCUUAAAUAAUCCAUGUCCAUUAUUUAAAGUCAAGAUUAUAUAGUCUUUCAUUACUAAAACUUACACAAUAAUUUGUAAUAAAUAUAGAGUGGUACGAUUACAAUACAAAAACAAAUAUCAUCGAACUAACUCAAGCAAGUGACAAGGGAAGAUGAAGGACCUUGAUUACUUCUCAGCCAGCUCAUCGCGCCGCGCGUGCAGCUCGCUGCGGUGGUGGUGGCCGCACCGUGCGUGAUAAGACAAUGGCCAGGAGGGUGAAAGUAAUAACCAGCAACAUGAGGAACCGGAGGAAGUCCAAAAUGUCCCAUUCAUUUACUUUCCCAUCUUCGAUUAGAUCAGCGUCGGUCGGCUUCUGGUUGGUUCUUGUAUCAAAAGGAGGGGUCGGAGUUAGGGUAGGUUCUACCUAGGGUAGGCUCUUAAGGCUCAUUAUAUGCGGUUCGGUUCUAAAGUAAGGGUACCUGAACCAGCAGAUUCCUCGAUCUUCACCCAAUAUAGGCUCAUAUGGACCGAGUUCAGGUCAGGGGAAUACAUUUCCCUAUGGCCAUGCGGAGAUGAAAAUCUCACGAAGACAUAGGUACGGAUGUAUCUCGGAAGCGAUUCACUAUCCCAUGCGGAGGUGAAAACCUCACGAAGGCGUAGUUUCUCACUCCCACUUAAAAGGGUGUGACCCGUGGUCAUGCAAUGCAAUGUGCAAUACUAUCAAAAGGCUUAAACAAAAAAGUAAACAUAUUGAAAACCAAAAAAAUGAUAGACAAAAUGCAACGAAAGGAUCGUACUUUUAAACUAAAUUUUUAAUUUUUGAAAAAAGACAAAAAUUAAUCAACUCGUGGCUUGACUCUCGUGUUUGUUCCCCAGUGGAGUUGCCAAGUUGUUGACACCAUUUUUUUGGAUUAAAAACGGGAGUCGCCACCAAUCCUUUUUUAUCUAGGUGUGAUUGGAUCACCUCAUCAUUUUAAUAAAAUUUAAAUUUACUAAAACGAUAAUUUUUGGUCUACAAAAUCCAGAAAAUGAGUUCGGGAGUCGGUUACGCACGAGGAAGGAUUAGCACCCUCGAUACGCCCGAAAAUUGGUACCUAGUAGAUUAAUUAAUGUCUUGAUGUCGAGAAUUGAAAACUUUGAAAAAUUUUAAAAAUACGAUCCCUUGUAUUAAACAUUAAAAAUUUGGGAAAAGAAGCAUAUUUUAUGUUAAUCGAGAAAGAGAAUUGUAUCCAGUAAGUUAGGACACAAUAUCUCGAAUUCUCAAUAUACAAAAAAAUGCUUAUUUAAAAAGUAUUUUUAGCUAUCUCGGAUUUGAAAGUGAGAUCACAACCAGUAAGUUAGGAUGCAAUUCUUUUUAAAUCCUGAGAUCAUUUAAAACUUGAGUUUUAAAAAAAUUCGUGUAUUUAGAUUUAUUGUGAAAAUCGAGACCCAGUAAGUUAGGGUACGACAUUCUCAAAUCUAAACACGAGAUUUUGCUUACUCAAAAAUUGUAAUUUAUGCAUUGAAAUGAAUGAAUAAAACACGAUGUUAAUAAUCAUAACAAGAUGAUAUUGAAUACAAUAGUGCAAAAUAAUACGAACAAUUGCAACAAACAUAAGAUAAAUACAAAGUAUGAAUCAAUAACAUACGAAAUAGCAAUGUAUACAAGCAAAUAAAGUUAAAGCAUUCAUUCAAAUCCAUAACGAAAAUGAAAUAAAUAACUAAAUGAAUACGAAUAUAAAAAGUAAAAAGAUAUAUGUGUGUGCAUAAAAUUAUGAGGAUGUAAAAAAUCUAUGUACGUAAAAUAUGUGUAAAUAUGUAUGUGUACAUUUAUGUGUAUGUACAAAGUUAUGAAAUAUAUAAAAUAUAAAGGUAGGUAUAUGUAUAUAUUUUUUAUAAAAAAUAAAAACGUGUAUAUAUAUUAUGUGCAUGUAUGCAUUAUAAAGUAUAUAAAAGUAUAUAUAUACAAGGAUAUAUAAAUAAAUAAGAUAUAAAGUAUAUAAGUAUGUAUUUAUGAAAAUUAAAAAAUAUAUAUAUAGACAUGCGGCUAUAUACAUAAAAUAAUAAAAGAUAAAUAUGUAUAGGUAUUCAUAAAAAUAAAAUAUGUGUAUUCGUAUAUUAAAGUAUAAAGUAUAAAUAAUAUAUAUCUAAGUAGAUAUACAUAUGUAAGUAAACUUGGAAAGUUAUGCGUACACAUACUAUGACAAUAUGAAUGUAUAUGUAUAAAUUAUAGAAUGUAUUAAAGUGUAAGUAUGUAUAUAGGUAUGUACACAUAUAUCAUAAUCUAAAAACAGUAUAAAUGGGUAAACAAUAAAGGCAAAUAAUAAAAAUAAAAGCAAUAAUGAUAAUAAUAAUAAUGGUAAUAAAACUAAUUACUUUUAAAAAAAUAAAAAAAUAAAAAAACGGGACUAAAUAAAAAACAAAGCAAAAUCCCAGGGGAGAAAAGAAAAAAAGAAAAAAACUAAAACAGGGACCAGAUUGGAGGGAAGCCCAGAAGCAGAAGGACUGAAAGGGUAAAUAGACCCUCAGUCCAAAACACGCAGAUCCUUGGGAACCAUCGGGUCGACGAGCGGGUCGCGCUCAAUACGGCACCGUUUUGGAGCCAUUGAUCAGACUCCAAACGGCGUCGUUUCAGACAUCACAUAAGGCCUAAGAAAUACCCUAAUCUGAUAGCCUCCAUUCAUUUUUUAAACAAACAAAGAAAAAGAAAAUAAAAAACAAAAAAAAAGGAAAACUGAGAGCCCGAAGCUCUCUCAAUUCGUGAGAGUCAAAACAAGGGGGUUUUCGGCCCCUUUGGACCUGAUUCAGGUGACGGAGGAGGGACCCUCCGACGGCGCAACCAUGGCCACUUCCGGUGAGUUCCAUUUUAUUUAUUUUAUUACUAAUAUUCUAAAAAAAGUAGAUAAAAUAAAAGAAAAAAGAUCUUAUAAACAGAAUGAUAGAGAAAAAGGAAAAAGGAAAACCUUUGAUCUGUUUUCUGCUUUUAUUUCUUUCUUUUAAUGUUUUUUCUUUUCAAAAAUCGGGACUCCCCAUUACAGUGAUCAAGCCCCCUAUUUCAUUUUACAAUAUUCGGCUUUAUAGCCAAAGAAAGCUAAAUUUUUUUUGUCUAGUCUUGUCAGCUUCUGCUUGUCUUCUUGCGUGUUUGCAGGUGACCGUACGGCGGUGGCAGGAGGCGUCAGACACACAUGGUAGCAGGUGGCGCGGCGCUGGAGAGGCAGGGAAACCCUAGGGUUUUAUUUUUUGAUGAAAUUUGUUUAUGUUUUGGGCCGUUUGGGCCAUUGGUCUCUUUUUUUAAAAUUUUGGGCUAGGUUAAUAUUUUUGGGUUUGUUUGGGUUAGUUGGGCCUAGUGUAUCUGUUUUGUUGGUAUGGGCCCGGGCAAAAUGGGCUUGUACACUCUUUUUUACACAAAGCCUAGAACUACUCAUAUCCCUCCUCAACCCAUAAAUAGGAGGAUAAUGCGCUUCAGUACACUCGAACUCAUGUUCUCCUGUAUUAACAAUAAUGCUCAUAUCAAUAAAACUAAAAUUCAAUUGGCAUGAAUCUAAAUAAAUUAACAUUAAGAUUAAGACGAUUCGGCCCUGUAGGUCGUUUGGAGGUGCGGCCACUCAGGGCUUAAGGGGUUCAAAAUAUUGUUUUCUAAUUUUUUUAAGGGGUCUAAACUUUUUUUUUGGAACUUUUAAAGGUAAAAGAAAAAAAGUUUUUACCAACUUUUAAGGGGCCCAAAAAAAAUUUUUUUUUAGCUUUUAAGGAGUCAAAAAUUUUCUUUUACCAACUUUUAUGGGACCUAAAAAAAAUUUCUCCAAUAUUUAAAGAACCUAAAACCCUAUUUUAUUAUUUUAUUUGGGCCCAAAAAACCAAUAACGGGACAGAGAUUAAGUCUAACUCUAAUUUUACAACUUGAAUAUAUCCCCUAAUGUUAAAUUUGGGUUAGUAUUCUUCACCACCAUUGAGUUAGCAUCUUUGGAAUUAUUAAAAGAUAAGUUUGGUACAAACAUAUGGCUAAAGUAACUUUCUCCACCCUCCUUUAUAUUAAAUUAAGGUAAUUUUAUAUUAUUUGUUUUAUCAGUGUAAAAAUAUGGUAAUUUUUGUAUUAUUUCAUGUUUUUUAUACUGUUAAAAUUUUAGUAAUUUAACCGUUAUUUUUUUUAUAUCUUAUUGCAUAAAUUAUGUAUGACAAAUUUAACAUAAAUUAAAAUUUUCUAAUUAUUUAUUUUUUAUAUUAUCGUAUCCAUCACUUAUUGGAAUUAAGAGAGUAUUUUUCUUUGUCCUCUAAUAAGUAAUAACGACAUUUCAUUAAAUUUUAUCUACUGUAUCUAUUAUACUUCAUAUUAGGCAUAGUGGCGGCUUGGAUUUUUCCUCCAACCCUUUUAAGUUGUAUAGUGUGAAUCUAGUUUAUAUUUGAAUGUGACGUACGGGUUAAUUGUGUAUAUUCAAAAUUUUAAUAUAAUUAUAAAAUAUUUUUAAAGAUAUUUAAUUUGAUUUAGAAUAAUUAUAUUAAUGUUAAUUAAUUUUAAAAAUAUUUAAUAUUAAAAUAAUAUAAAAAUUCAUCGAAUAUUAAUAUAUUAUCAUUUAAAUAAUAUUAUCAAUAAUUUCUCAUAGGUUAUUUCUUAUAUAUUUGUUAAAUUAAAAUUGUAAAUAUUUAUUUUUUAAUUUUAUUUUUAUCCAUAAAUCGUUGUUUAUUCGGUUGAUUAUAAUUAUUUCUGCAUUCAAUAAAUUAAAACAUUAUAUUGAAAAUAAUGAAAAAAAUAUUAGAUUAAAAAAUGAAAAAACAUUAUUUCAUUUCACUUAUUGCACAUAUUUUUUAAAUAAAAUAAAAUAAAAUAUCUUAAUAAUUAUCCCAACAAAAAAUAAUUUUUAAAAUAAAUAUAAUUCUUUUAUCUUUUAAAACUACUUUUUGUAAUAUAAAAUAAACAAAACUGAAAUAAUUUUAAAAUAAGAAUGAUCUCCUCACAUCAAUUAUCUAAUAUUUUAAUAUAUUAAAAUUAUUUUAUAUGCACAUUAUUAAUAUUUAAUAAUGUUUAGAGGAUUUAUUAAUGAAACCCAUGCGAUAAUUAUACAUUAUUUAAAAUUAAAUAUAAAACCAUUAUCAACCUCACAUUAAAAUAUUUCUUAUGUUUUAAAAGGUUUAUAAUAGCACAUAUUUAAUUGUUAUGUAUAAAUAUUAUCUGUUAAUAUAAAUAAAUGCCUCAUUAAAUGGUCAUUAGGGGCUAGUAUUUUCUGUGUAUAUGUAGGUUUUAUUGAGUUAAAUGGUCAUUUUUGUUUACACCCAUUACAAAUACAUCCCUCUUUUUCAUUCUUCCUAAAAUUCAUGUAAAAGAAAUUAUAUUUUUAUAAAAUUGCAUACACCUUAAUGCUAAAAGUUCUUUUAUUAAGUUCAGGAUUCAUGACAUAUUAUUUGUAACCUCUCUAACCCGACCUAGACGUUACAGUCAGAUUCUGAAGGUUACAUAAGCCACCGAAAUGGCCUAGUAAAACUAUUGGAGUUUAUAGAACAAUCUUUUUAAAGCAUUUGCUUACCUUAGUAAAAAAACUUAAGUGUGUUUCCAAAAUGUAUAAUUUCUUUCAAAAACCGGUUAAUUUUAAUGAUUACUUUGUAAAAGUUGAUUUCUAAUUUUAUAUGUUUUUCAAAUCUCAUUUACAUAAUAAUGCAACGGAAAAGUGAAAUUCAACAUAGUUUUAAUUAAAAAUCUGGUUUGCAUUCAAAAUUAACUCAAAUUCCAUGUUUCGACAUCCUAAAAUCAAUUUAAACGACAUGCAUACCAAAUAAACCCCAAAUUAAAAAUCUCAUGUCACUAUUUAAAUAAAACAUUACAGUUCCUAAAUAAUAAGCCUAAAAUACUUUUAUAAAAAAAACAAACCGAGACGAGCCCUUUGAAUGUCGAAUUUGUGUCCUAACAUUGUGGGUUAUCUGAAAAGAUGAAAAUUCUUAAGAAGCUCAAUUUGAGUCCAAUUACAAGAAAACCAGUGCAAAAUAGUAGACCAAGCAUACAAAAUAACAAUUCUCAGAUCAAUCACAAUUGUGUAACAAAACAUAAUUUAACAGUUUAUUUGAGUAUGCUUAUGUAUGUCAAUGUAAUUCAUAUUUAAUAGAACAAGUUUCUACUCAUACUUUGCUACACUCCACAACAAGAGUUCCACAGUACUCAUCCAUUCCUAUAGUCUAUAUUAUGGACAAACCACUAGUAAUUGCAAAUGAACUGCUAGUAAAAAUUGUGGGUAACCACCAGUAUUUUCAAAUAAAAAGUUUGCAAAUAAACUGGUAGUUAGUUUUGGAUGAACCACUAGUGUUUGUAGAUUAUUAAUGUAACAGAUCGUUUUCAGUGAAAUCAGAACAGUGAUUUCGGGACCACGAAGAGAAUUUAUUAAUAUUAUUUUGUGGUCUAUGGUAUAAUAGGAAUUUUGCAUGAAAAUUUCGUUAAGAAAUUUUACCGAUUACAUGUCUAAUUGGUUAAAAAGGACUAAAUUAAAAAAAGUACAAAACUUGCUAAUUAUGAUUAUUACGUAAUUACUUUAGGGACCAAAUCAUGAAUUAAGCCCUUUGUCUUGGUACUUGACUAAAUUAUUAGAUUUUGAACUAACAACCAAUAGAAUAAUGACACGUGUUCUAAAAUAAUAAAAACAUGUUUAAAUUUUAAAAUAUAUAUAUAAGAAUUUAUUUUAGGAAUCCAAAUUUUAAUCCAAGCUCAUUUUGAAUGUGUACUUUUAAUAAUUUCUAUUUUUUUUAUAGAUUAAAGAAAUAAUAAUAUAAAUGUUAUUUUUUAUCGAUUGAGUUUUAGUUCAAUUGAUAUCGGUACUGUUGUCAGUGUUAAAAAAUGUAAGUUCAAGUGCAUUGAAACGUGUUUAUCCUCCCAUUUAAAGAUUGGGGAAGAAUUACAUUUAAUUUUAAAGAUGGUGGGAUGGAUUUGUGCCGUCUUCUCACUUUGUGUCUAUGCUGCUCCACUUAGUAUAAUUGUUUAUUUUUAAUCAUCUAAUAAUUUCCAUUUUAUGUUUGAAUUUCAGAUGUUGGCUAUAAGAAGAAAGAGUGUGGAUUACAUUGUCAACACCAUGUGCCGUAACUUGGUUCCUAUAGAGAUUAAUAUGUAGCGGUAAGAUCAAAUGAAAGUUCUGUUAUGACUUUUUAUUUCUAUUGAAGAUUAUUAUGAAGUGGUAAAAUUAAAUAGAAUUUUACUAGUAAAUGCAUUACAUUCUUAAUAACAGAAUUCGAGUUUAAAUCAUAGAAGUAUAUUAUUGAAAAUGGCAGCUAUAAAUUUUUAUAUACAGUAAAACGGAUAUAAAAAAUAUCUUAAUUAAAAAAAAAGAAGAAGAAGAAGCAAGUAAGGGCAACACCUCAUCAAGUGGAUAAAUACAGUAGAGUCCAAUAGGAAUUGCUAAUGUCAUGGGUUGCGCAUGGGAGCCCGCAACCAUGACACAUUCGUGUGAUCCAUCAAGUGGAAAGGAGGUCAUUUGGCCCGAUCGGACUGACCCAUUGCUUGAAGAGAUUGAAGGCCCAUCUACAAGCUCGUCACAUAUGGAAACAUAAUCUUCGAAGAUAUACAAUCGUAGAUUUGAUAUGUAAUCUUAGGAGAUAUGAUUUUGUAAAUCUUAGAGAUUUGAUUUGUAGAUACCAUUCGAUCUUAGCCAUUCAUGUACUUGAUCUGUACCGUUGGAUUUGGGGAGGCUCUACUAUAAAUAGAGGCCUCUCCCCUCAAUGUAAAUCAUUUGAGUUUUGAGGAAUAAUAAGAGUUCUUGAGAGUAUUCACUCAAACAUUAUUCUCUCUUGUGUUCUUGAUAUUUCGUGGCUUGUUCUUAUUUCGUUCUUCAUUCGCCUUUGUUUGAUCUUUGAGUUGCUUUCGUUUGUGUUGGUUUUCCAAGGGGAAUUCUAUUGAAUCCUCAAAUCGUGGGAGUUAGGCUGACUUAGGCAUUUUUGAAGCAAGAAACUGCCUAAGGCCGCACGGAUUGUGAGGCAAAAAUCCUAAGUCCGUGACAGUUGGUAUCCGAGCCAGUCUUUCGAAAGCACUAUUGAAGGAUGUCGAGAGAAGUUGGUGAGAAUGAGCCAAUGGAGACCCGUGGGAGGGCCAGGAAGGCUAGUCGAUUGAGGGACAUGUUGUCGAGCUUGGAAAAUCGAGUGGUCAAUCUCGAGGAGUCUGUUGGUGACAUGAGGGAGACACUCGAAGUGGUCCUAACCCGUAUGGAGGAACUGAGGGAAGACAGUAAGGUAUUCGUGCUGGACACUCUUAGAUCCACUUCGGACAAGCUGACGGUAAGGGACGAAGCUCUUGAGGCCCUGGUGACUGCCAUGAAAGAGGAGAUUGCUGAGCUUAAGGGGGAGCUCACAAUUUGUAAGGUCGCUCUGGGAAAUGGGAUGUUGACUUCAGGACCGAAGCAACGUCAUGUAGAUGUUCCAAAACCCGAGAAGUUCAAGGGGGCUAGGUUUGCGAGAGAAGUGGACAACUUUCUGUGGGAAUUGGAGCAAUAUUUUCGAGCAAUGGGCAUUGAGGAUGAUGCCACUAAGAUAAACACUGCUUCGAUUUACUUUACUGAUGUUGCUCUCUUAUGGUGGCGACGUAGGUCCACGGAUGAGAGACGUGGAGGAACGGCCAUUGGGACUUGGGAGGAGUUCCAAGGAGAGUUAAAGAAGCAGUUUUAUCCGCAGCAUGCUGAAAAGGAGGCUCGUGCUAAGUUGCAUCGGCUUACGCAACAAGGCACUGUUCGAGAUUAUGUGCGGGAGUUUAGUGAGCUGAUGCUUCAGAUCUCAGACUUGAAUGAGAAGGAAGCAUUUUAUAUGUUUGAGGAUGGGCUAAGAAUGUGGGCUAAGCAAGAGUUGCGUCGCCUAGGCAUCACCGAUUUGACUGUAGCUAUGGCGGAGGCAGAGAACUUCUACGAAGCUGGUAGGAGAAAGUUUGACAAUAAUGAUGCUUCCAAACCCAAGCUAAGACCCAAAGGCAAUGGUGGGGGAGACAAAGAGCAAACAGAAAGGAGUGGCGAAGCCCCAAGGACUUAUAAUGGUAGACCAGGAGAUAAGAAAGAGCCAAUGAGAUGCUUUCUUUGCCAAUGUCCACAUAGGUUGAGUGUUUGUCCAAAGAGGGCUGCUUUCAAUGCUAUGGAAGCACGCGAAGAGGCCAAUCCUGACACCAAAAGUCUUGGUACGAUAUUGGGCGGUGUUGAAGACAAGACGAGUAAUGGGCUGAUGUUUGUGGACAUCAUCGUGGUAGACAGAAAAUUGAAUGCCCUUGUUGAUACUAGUGCAUCUGAUUUGUUCAUGUCUAAAGAGAUGGCGAAGGAACUCGGUCUCAAAGUGGAGGAAGAUUCGGGUCGAAUAAAAAUGGUGAACUCAGAAAGUAUUCCCAUAACGGGUGUGGCUAAAGGGGUGGAACUCAAACUUGGCGAGUGGACAGGCAAGGCAACCAUUAAGGUAAUCCCACUUGAUGAUUAUGAUUUUGUGGUAGGAUUGAGUUUGUUUGAUCGACUUAAUGCGUAUAUUCAUCCUUCCGAGAACUACAUGAUGAUCUCUGAUUCGAACCAUCGUUAUAUGGUGCGAAUGAAAAGAAAGGGAAACAUGAAAGGCAAAACAUUGUCGGCAAUCCAAUUUGCCAAAGGAGUACGUAGAAACGAAGUCUCCUAUUUAGCCACCUUAAGGAACAAUGUGGAGGAGAAAUUCGAGGGGGAAAUCCCAAAGGAAGUGAAGCAGCUGUUGCAGUCUUUUCAAGAUGUAAUGCCCACAGAGUUUCCCAAGACAUUGCCACCAAAGAGGGAGGUGGAUCACAAGAUUGAGUUGUUGCCUAAUACUGAGCCACCAGCAAGGGUACCAUAUCGAAUGUCUCCACCUGAGUUGGAGGAAUUGAGGAAGCAGUUAAGGGAACUUCUAGAUGCCGGGUUCAUUAAACCUUCCAAAGCCCCAUUUGGAGCGCCGGUGUUAUUCCAAAGGAAGCAUGAUGGGUCCUUAAGAUUGUGCAUUGACUAUAGGGCCUUAAACAAGAUCACUGUGAAGAACAGGUAUCCCAUUCCUCUCAUUGCAGAUUUGUUCGAUCAACUUGGUAGCGCGAGAUGGUUUACUAAGUUGGAUUUGCGAUCGGGGUACUACCAAGUGAGAGUAGCCGAAGGGGAUGAGCCCAAAACAGCCUGUGUGACUCGGUAUGGGUCUUUUGAAUUCUUGGUGAUGCCGUUCGGGUUGACAAAUGCUCCGGCAACAUUUUGCACCCUAAUGAAUAAGGUAUUACAACCUUUCUUAGAUCGCUUUGUGGUUGUUUAUCUUGACGACAUUGUGGUGUAUAGUAAGACGCUUGAGGAGCACGUUGGACAUCUGAGGGAGGUGUUCCAAGUCCUACUGGAAAAUGAGCUGUAUGUCAAAGAGGAAAAAUGCUCAUUUGCCCAACGAGAGGUGCCUUUUCUUGGCCAUAUUGUAGGAGGUGGCAUGAUCCGAAUGGAUGUAAGCAAAGUCCGAGCAAUUUUCGAUUGGGAGCCACCAACCAAGGUAACGGAAUUGCGGUCCUUUCUUGGUUUAGCAAACUACUAUCGACGUUUCAUUGAAGGCUACUCCAAGAUCACUACACCCUUGACGGACUUGUUGAAAAAGGGCAAAGUAUGGGAUUGAGACUCUCGGUGUGAGAAAGCUUUUGACCAAGUAAAGCAAGCAAUGGUGAGUGAACCUGUACUUGCUUUACCGGAUUUUACAAAGGCGUAUGAGGUACGCACGGAUGCUUCAGACUAUGCAAUUGGGGGAGUAUUGAUGCAAGAAGGGCAUCCAAUUGCUUUCGAGAGUCGAAAGCUGAAUGAGACAGAACGGAGAUACACGGUCCAAGAAAAAGAGAUGACUGCUGUGGUGCAUUGUUUGCGCACAUGGAGGCACUAUUUGCUGGGUUCCAGGUUCGUGGUAUUCACUGAUAAUGUUGCAAAUAGUUAUUUCCUAACCCAGAAAAAGUUGUCCCCCAAACAGGCUCGUUGGCAGAUUUUCCUAGCAGAGUUUGAUUUUAGCAUGGAGUACAAGCCGGGGAGUGCCAACAUUGUAGCUGAUGCUCUUAGCCGAAAGAUGGAAUUUGCAACGAUAAGCCAACCCAAUAGUCCCUUAUUGGAGCGCAUUCAAGAAGGGUUGUCCCACGAUUCCACGGCCAAAAAUUUGAUUGAGCUUGCUAAAGAGGGAAAAACGAGGCGAUUUUGGCUCGAGGGAGAAUUACUAUACACUCAAGGACAACGUCUAUAUGUGCCCCAACAUGGGAACUUACGAAAGGAAGUCAUGAAGGAAUGUCAUGAUUCAAGAUGGGCUGGACAUCCAGGCAUGCACCGCACUUUGGCUCUCUUGGAGGAUCGAUUUUAUUGGCCUCACAUGAGUGACGAUGUGGAGACUUAUGUGAAAACUUGUUUGGUGUGCCAACAAGAUAAAAUCGAGUUGAAGGCUCCUGCUGGGUUGCUACAGCCUUUACCUAUUCCGGAGCGCCCAUGGGAGAGUUUAUCCAUAGACUUUAUUGUAGGUUUGCCUAAAUCUGAUAGAUUUGCAAGCAUUUUUGUUGUGGUGGACAGGUUUUCGAAGUAUGCAACUUUUAUCCCCACAACCAAGGAGUGUCCUGCUGAGGAGGCUGCUCGCUUGUUUCUUAGACAUGUGGUGAAGUAUUAGGGAGUGCCACAAUCUAUCAUCAGCGAUCGAGAUGGGCGAUUCACGGGACGAUUUUGGACGGAGUUGUUCAAGUUAAUGGGCUUGAACUUGAACUUUUCAACCAGCAUGCAUCCAUAAACUGAUGGGCAAACUGAACGAGUGAACGCGUUGUUGGAGAUAUAUCUACGGCACUAUGUGAGUGCCACACAAAGGGACUGGCCAAAGUUGCUGGAUGUGGCUCAGUUUUCUUACAAUUUGCAAAGAAGUGGGGCGACAAACCAGAGUCCGUUCGAGAUAGUGACAGGACAACAGCCACUUACACCCAAUGCUGUUGCGACUCGUUAUGGGGGACCGAAUCCAGCAGCCUAUCGAUUUGCGAGAGAUUGGCAAGAGCAAAACGACUUGGCUAGAGCUUGUCUUCACAAGGCAAGUAAGCGCAAUAAGAAAUGGGCGGAUCAGAAUCGAAGAGAUGUGCAAUAUUAGGUUGGUGACUCCGUCCUUGCUAAACUGCACCAGAUUUUGCGACACAAUGGGUUGCAUAAAGGGCUUGUUCGACGUUAUGAGGGGCCGUUCCGAGUUUUGAAGAAGGUAGGCAAGGUGGCCUACAAGCUUGAGUUGCCUGAAAAACUCAAACUCCAUCCAGUGUUUCAUGUGGGUAUGCUUAAGCCAUUCCAUGAAGAUGAAGAAGACCCAAACAGAAACAAGUCCAAACGAGCACCGAUAGGGGCAAAAACCGCCUAUGAUAGAGAAGUGGAGAACAUAGAGGGGGAUCGUGUGAUCAGACGAAAGUACUAUCGACCGCGGCAUGAAUACCUAGUCCGAUGGAAGGGAUUCCCUGAUAGUGAGACAAGUUGGGAACCCGCUGAAGCCUUGUGGCAAUUUCAAGACAAGAUAGAUCGUUACCAUGCGAAGGAUGCAACGAGGACGUCGCUAGAUUCGGUGGGGGAGAAUGUCAUGGGUUGCGCAUGGGAGCCCGCAACCAUGACACAUUCGUGUGAUCCAUCAAGUGGGAAGGAGGUCAUUUGGCCCGAUCGGACUGACCCAUUGCUUGAAGAGAUUGAAGGCCCAUCUACAAGCUCGUCACAUAUGGAAACAUAAUCUUCGAAGACAUACAAUCGUAGAUUUGAUAUGUAAUCUUAGGAGAUAUGAUUUUGUAAAUCUUAGAGAUUUGAUUUGUAGAUACCAUUCGAUCUUAGCCAUUCAUGUACUUGAUCUGUACCGUUGGAUUUGGGGAGGCUCUACUAUAAAUAGAGGCCUCUCCCCUCAAUGUAAAUCACUUGAGUUUUGAGGAAUAAUAAGAUUUCUUGAGAGUAUUCACUCAAACAUUAUUCUCUCUUGUGUUCUUGAUAUUUCGUGGCUUGUUCUUAUUUCGUUCUUCGUUCGCCUUUGUUUGAUCUUUGAGUUGCUUUCGUUUGUGUUGGUUUUCCAAGGGGAAUUCUAUUGAAUCCUCAAAUCGUGGGAGUUAGGCUGACUUAGGCGUUUUUUAAGCAAGAAACUGCCUAAGGCCGCACGGAUUGUGAGGCAAAAAUCCUAAGUCCGUGACACUAACACAUGCUUAGCAAGAGCAUCGCGAUUUUAUUAGAGUCUUGAUAAACAUGAAUUACUCGAACAUUUCAAUCAUUUUAGUUUAUAUAGCCGCCUUUUUAGAAGGUAAGAAUUGCCAAAUUCAUUAUUAGCGCUUCAUUGUUGAUAUUUUUUAUUUUACUCCUUGCCUUACUCCGUAAUGGAUGUUAAAAUUUGAAUACCAUCACUACUUUUAAGAUGUUGGAUCCAUUCAUAAUCAUCCCGUUUUACCACACUCCAUUUUAUGUUUAUGAAUUAUUUUUAAUAAGUUUAAUGUACUCUUUAGCCAUAAAGUAUAUUGCUUUUCUCACUUUGAUCUUUAAAGUUUUUUUCUGGCUCACUUCAGUCCCUAACAUUAUUCAACAUUCACAAUUCAAUCCCAAAAUGUUAUCAGACAUUCCUCAUUCAAUCUUUUGGAUGUUAAAAGAACCGGUAGGGAUAUCUAGCUAAUCAUAAAUUUCCAUGUGGCAUACGUUGAUGUCAUAAUGACACCAUCAUUCGAAAAAAAACUAAUAGAUCUUUUAAAAUAUAAAAAAAAGUUACAAAAGGAAUAUGAAUAAAAUUAUAUAUAUAUAAUUGUUUAAAAAAGUGUAAAAAUAUAUUUAAAAACUAUGAAAAAGUUAUAAAAAUUAUAAGAAAUUGCAAAUUAUUGUAAAAAAAUAUAUAAAAAAUUAUUAAAAAUGGUAAAUUAUUAAUUUUUUUUUUUAAAAAAAGUAAAAAUUGUUGUAUCUUGAAAUAAAGUAUAACUUCUAUAAUCAGAUUUAAAAUAUUAAAAAUUUGAUACAGAAAUUACAUAUAGUAAUACAAUUAAUUGUAUUAGGUUGUGGUUACUAUUACUUUUUGAGACUUAAGAUCAACUGUGAUGUUUAGGCUAUUGAUAUUUAACAGCGAUUAUAAUUCUAAAGAAAGACUAUAUGAAUUCUAGUUAAGAAAGAAUUGGAAGCAAAGAGUGACAAUUUGCAAAUACCCCUAUUUUUGGCCGAAUUUAAAAGGAUAUAUAAGGGAGAUGCGUGGCUUGAACUCGAGUAUGGUUUUUAUCCUAAAUGUUGUUGAAAAUAAAAGGAAGAAAAAUGGAAAGGUUGAGAUUUAAACCUAUGACUUCUAAGAUAGAUAACUAUUACUUAACCAUGCAACCUAUGUCUUAUUUAUUGUUUAUUUUAGUCACUUAAUUAUAUAUAUUUAUUUCGGGCUCAACUUACAUAUUCUUUAUUAGCUUACACAUUUACUCAUUUUUUUAUUAACUUAUUUAAUUUUAUAGUUUUUAACACAUUCCACUUUAGUUUAUAUAUAAUAAUUAAUACUCAUAAUCAAGUCUCAUUAUUAAUAUUUUAAUUUAUUUUACCUAUUUUCCAAUUAGGUCCUAUCUCAACUAAAACACACUAUUUUCAAAUUAAAUCUCGUAAUCAAGUUUCGUUUUAGAUUAAUUAAUAAAACAAAACUUGAUUAUAUUAUUUUAAUACUUUAAUUAAUUAUUUAAAGAAAAUUUUAAGGACUAAACCUGUAACACCCCUUAACCCUAAUCUAUCGUCGAAAUAGGGUUACGAGGCAUUACCGGACAUAUCAUACAAUCUACAAAUAAUUUCUUAAAUAAAUAACAAACAUAUUAUAAUAUAAUCGUAAAUUCAUAAAAAUAUUAUUUUACUAAUUGACUUCAUUAUUAUUAUUAUUAUUUUAUUAUAUGUGAUUUUUUUAUAAAAAAAAACUCAAUAUAACCCUUUUUAUAAUUAGUUAACCUUCCCUACAAUUUCAAACCGCAACCAAUUCACAAUUCAUACAAUUUCAUAUUCAAAUAACCUAAACAUAUCUUAAACAUUAACUUAGUAAUUUACUAAAUAAAUAUUCGCAUAUAUUGUUUAAAUAAAUAAACUUCAUUCAUUUUAUUUCAGUUUUAGUACCAAACAUACCAUUUUAUAACUUAACGUUUCAUUUAUCAUUCAUAUAUUAUAGGCCAAUUCUUUACAACCAAAACUUACAAGUCUCUUUAAUAAAACUGAAGUACAUGCCACAUUUACCAAAGGAAAAAUACAUCACCAAAGUUAUGCUGAAGUCAGGAUUGAUCUGGAUGCUGAACCGAGACCUUUGACUUCUAUCGACCUGGGCAUAGAAACAACCGUACGCUGAGUAUUUCAUACUCAGUGGUAUUACCAUAAUUCAAAUUAUAGCAGUAAUAAACAUGUAAAGCAUAAAUCAUACAUACAAAUUUAAAUUUAAAUUUCAUAUUUCAUAUUUCAACAAUAACAAUUCAUCAAUUAAUAUCAUAUAUCCACAAUUUAAACUUGGACACAUCAUGAACGUUAGGUUCAUUCCCCAAUUUCGUAUCAUAUUUCAAUUCACAAUUUAACUUUUUCAUCUCAUUUCAGUAGCUCGAUUGAUCAACUCAUUCGGUUUAUCAUUUCAUUAUUUGCCCUAUUAACAAAACUCAGACUUUGGCAGAGACACGGAUCCAACCAAACACUCCAGUAUCGCAUCCAGUGCCUCAUCGAAUAGUUCGAAGCAAUAGUUGACACCCAGUGUCUCAUCGGCAAAGCCGAAGAAAGUUGGUACCCAGUACCUCAUCGAAUCUAUUCGAAAAAAUAUAGUGACACCCAGUGUAUCAUCGACUCGAGGUCGAAGUAUCCUUGAACUCUUCCAAUCCUAUGGCAUGCCAACUAUAUCCGACUCAGCCCGACUAGUUAAUAGGGUCUCUAAAUUCACAUUUCAAUUCAAUUCCACUUUUUCACUUUCAAUCACAAUUCAAUUCAAAAUUUACUUUUCCAUUUUUUAAGUCAAUAUAUUCAAUUCAAUUCCACACAUAUAUUCAUCAUUCGAUUGAAUUUCUUUCAACUUAAUAAUAAUAUUUACCUUAUAUUUCACUUACCAUACAUAUAAAUUUAAAUAUAACAUUUAAUAAUAAGUUAUUUGAAUUAUAGUAAUACAAACCGUAAAUCUCCAGUUUUAGUCCUCGAUAGUUUUCUCCUUUCCUUUCGAUGCCGAUGCCUCGGGUUCUUUGUUAGUUACGAAAAUAAUAAUAAUUUACACUAUUAAUUACAACAUUAAUUAUAAUAACUAAUUGAAUUUCUAAUCGAUUCCUACCUUAUUCUCAAUUUAAUCCUAACUAAGUUUACUUACUUUUCUAAUUCAAUUCACACUCUAUUUCUAUUCAAAUUUCAUCCAAAUUCAAAUUUAACUAAUAAAUUUUCAGCAUAUUUUCCUAAUUUCAAAUUUUCUUCAAUUUUAGUCCCUAAAACAUAAAACUUAUAGCUUAGUUCACAAUUUAAUCCUUUUAUCAAUUCUAAAUUGAAAUUCAUUCAAUUAAAUCCCUAAUUCAUCUUUUGUUCAACAUAAACUAUAUUCAAAACCCUAAAAAUAUCCAAAACCUCAACUUAAUUUCAAUAAAACUUUGUUCUAAAGCUUUUAAAACGUCAAAAUUAAAAGAAAAGGACUUGAUUGACUUACCAAAUUAAAGCUUAAAUCCUUAAACCCUAGUUUUUCCUUUUUCUUUUCUUUCUUUCCUUUUCCUUCCCCUGUUUCGAAUGGUCUCUGUUUCUUUUCUUCUUUGUUUCUUUUAUUCUUUUACUUUAUUUCUUUAUUGUAUUAGUUAAUAAUAAUAAUAAUAAUAAUAUUAUUAUUAUAUAAUAUUCUUUUUCAAUAUUAAAAUUUUAAAUUUCAAAGCAUCAAAAUAAAUUAUUGAAAAAUUGUAUCCCUUGAUAGUGUCAGUUGAUUUGUUACUAUAAUAUUAAAAUUAAUUAAAAUAAUCUCUUUCUAAAAUUUUAAAUUUUACUUUAUGUUUCCAAAUUAAAAUAAACUCAAAUAACUCAUCCUUAAUAAUUGUCUAUUAAACACAAAUUUCUUUUGAUUAUAUGAACUUAAAUCUUCUAUGCUAAGCUAAAAACAAAAAAAAAUAUUUACAAUUAAUUUAAUAAUUAAUUAUUUGAGUUAAUUCCAUUAAGGAUAAUUUGAAAACAUAAAAUAAAAUUUUAAACUUCAGGAGAUUAAUUUAAUUAAUUUCAAUAUUAUAGUAAUAAAUUGGUUGACACUAUGAAUGGAUAAAUAAAUUUCAAUAACUUAUUUAAUUUAUUUUUAUUUUUUGAAUUUUAAAAUUGGACUAUUAAAAAAAAUUAAAAUUUUUGACAAUGGGACAAACAAAUGCAAUUUGAUAAUUUUUGUGUAUUAUUUUAACUUCUACCGCUUUUUCACUUUGAUCCUUUAUCCUUUUUUACACCAAUCAUUGCUUAAAAAAAUAUUUUUUGGGUGACCAAAAUAAAAAUAUAAACAUGAUGUGACGUGUAUAGUUAACAGUUAUUAGAGAUUUAAAGCUUAGGUAACUCAAAAUAAAAACGCUCUAAAAAUUAUAACGAAAUUACAAAAAUUUCAUUUCGAAAAAAGAGGCUUAAAAAUUAUUAAGCAAAGAUUAGGAAUCAAAAUCCAAUACUCCAUCCUAGAGUAGAAACAGUGGCCUCAAAGAUUUUAUCACUCUUUGUUAAGCACAUUCAGCUCGAGCUCAAUUUAAAUAAUCCAUGUACAUUAUUAAAAGUUAAGAUUAUAUAGUCUUUCAUUACUAAAACUUACACUAUAAUUUUUAACACAAUACGAUUAAGCAAAAUGGAUAUAAUAUGAAAUUUUAUUAAAAAUUACCAAAAUCAUGAAUAUGUCAAAAUUGAUAUAUAAUAUAAAGUAUAGCAUGUCAAAAUUUAUAAUAAAUAUAGAGUACGUUAAACAAACGAUUACAAUACAAAAACAAACAUCAUCGAACUAACUCAAGCAAGUGACAAGGGAAGAUGAAGGACCUUGAUCAUUUCUCAGCCAAAACGCCGUGCCACGAGCACAGCUCGCUGCGGUGGUGGUGGGAAGCAGAUGGCCAUGAGGGUGAGAGCAAUAACCAGCACCAUGAGGAGCCCGGUGAAGCCCAAACUGUUCCCUUCUUCUAAUUCCGAGCAGAUGAAUUUCCCCAUCUUCGAUUAGAUCAGCGUCGGUCGGCUUCUGGUUGGUUCCUGUCCCAAAAGGAGGGCUCGGAGUUAGGGGGAAACAUUGAAAUGCAAAUUGUAUUAUAGAUGGUAAUGGGUCUAUAUUUCAAGUCAACUCCGAAAAUCAAAAUGUGUAGACUCUUGGAAGACUUCAAAUUAAGGUUUAGGUGAGUUGUGAAAUGUGGACUAACCCCUCACCAUACGAUUAAGGCUUAAUGAUAACUUCACUUUUAUAUUAUACGGGCUUCAUUCCAGAAGAAUAAAUAGAAACAAGUCUUUUUUUUUUUAAUUAGUAUAAAAUUUUUCUUUUAAAUUUGAUAUCGAGGCAUACCAAUUAUGGUACAAUAAAAGUUAAAAAAAUGUACAGAUCUUAAAAAUAAUAUAUUAUAGGUUCUGAUUAUAUAUGCUCUUUUUGACAUAAAGUCUAGAAUUACUCAUACCCUUCCCCAACCCAUAAAUAAGAAGAUAAUGCGAUUCAGUAUACUCAAACUCAUGUCUUCCUAUAUUAACAAUAAUGCACAUAUCAAUAAAAUUAAAACUCAAUCAACAUGAAUCUAAAUAAAUUAACAUUAAGAUUAAGAAGACUUGGCCCUAUGGGUCGUCUGGAGGUGCGGCCACCCAGGGUUUAAGGGGUUCAAAAUAUUAUUUUCUAGUUUUUAAAGAGCCUAAAAUGAUUAUUUUUUAACUUUUAAAGGUAAUAGAAAAAAGUUUUUACCAACUUUUAAGGGCCCAAAAUUUUUUUUUUUUAGCUUUUAAGGAUUCAAAAAUUUUCUUUUACCGACUUUUAAGGGACUUAAAAUUUUUUUCUUUAAUAUUUAAAGAACCUAAAACUCUAUUUUAUUAUUUUAUUUGGGCCCAAAAAAAACCAAUAACGGGCAGAUAUUAAGUCUAACUCUAAUUUACAACUUGAAUAUAUUCCCUAAUGUUAAAUUUGGGUUAGUAUUCUUAACCACCAUUGAAUUAGCAUCUUUGGAAUUAUUAAAAGAUAAGUUUGGUACAACCAUCUAAACAUCAACGAACAUAUGGCUAAAAAAACUUAACCAACAUAUGGCUAAAAUAACUUUCUCCACCGUCCUUUAUAUUAUUUCAUCUUUUUUAUACGAUUAAUAUUUUAGUGAUUUAACUGUUAUUUUUUUAUAUUUUACUCAUAUAAAUUAUGUAUGGUAAAUUUAAUAUAAAUUAAAAUUUUCUAACUAUUUAUUUUUCAUAUUAUCGUAUCCAUCACCUAUUGGAAUUAAAAGAAUUUUUUUUUGUCAUCUAAUAAUCACAUUUCAUUAAAUUUUAUCUACUUUAUCUGUUAUAUUUCAUAUUAGACCUACCUAUAGGUUAGGCAUAGUGGCGGCUUGGAUUUUUCCUCCAACCCUUUUAUGUUGUAUAGUGUAAAACUAGUUUAUAUUUAAAUGUGACGUAUGGGUUAAUUGUGUAUAUUAAAAAUUUUAAUAUAAUUAUAAAAUAUUUUUAAAAAUAGAAUCAAUGUUAAUUAAUUUUAAAAAUAUUUAAUAUUAAAAUAAUAUAAAAAUUCAUCAUAGUUUGAAUAUUAAUAUAUUAUCAUUUAAAUAAUAUUAUCAGUAAUUUCUCAUAGGUUAUUUCUUAUAUAUUUGAUUUUUUUAAAUUUUAUUUUUAUCCAUAAAUCGUUGUUUAUUCGAUUGAUUAUAAUUAUUUCUUCAUUUAAUAAAUUAAAACAUUAUAUUGAAAAUAAUGAAAAAAAUAUUAGAUUAAAAAAUUAAAAAAAAAUUUCUAUAAGAUAAUUAAAAUAAUUUUUAAAAUUUCUUUUUCAAUGGGCUUACUACAUAUUAUUAAUAAGUAAAAUGAAAAAGCAUUAUUUCAUUUCACUUAUUACACAUAUUUUUUAAAUAAAAUAUAAUAAAUUAUCUUAAUAAUUAUCCCAGCAAAAAAUAAUUUUUAAAAUAAAUAUAAUUCUUUUAUCUUUUAAAAUUACUUUUUGUAAUAAAAAUAAACAAAAUUGAAAUAAUUUUAAAAUAAGAAUGUUUAGAGGAUUUAUUAAUGAAACCCAUGCGAUAAUUAUACAUUAUUUAAAAUUAAAUUUAAAAACAUUACCAACCUCACAUUAAAAUAUUUCUUAUGUUUUAAAAGGUUUAUAAUGACACAUAUUUAAUUGUUAUGUAUAAAUAUUAUCUGUUAAUAUAAAAAAAUGCCUCAUUAAAUGGUCAUUAGGGGCUAGUAUUUUCUGUGUAUAUAUAGGUUUUAUUCAGUUAAAUGGUCAUUUUUGUUUACACCCAUUAUAAAUACAUCCCUCUUUAUCAUUCUUCCUAAAAUUCAUGUAAAUAAAAUUGCAUACACCUUAAUGCUAAAAGUUCUUUUAUUAAGUUCAGGAUUCAUGACAUAUUAUUUGUAACUUCUCUAACCUGGCCUAGACAUUACGAUCAGAUUCUAAAGGUUACAUAAGCCACAGAAAUGGCCUAGUAAAACUAUUGGAGUUUAUAAAACAAUCUUUUUAAAGCAUUUGCUUACCUUAGUAGAAAAAACUUAGUGUGUUUCCAAAAGGUAUAAUUUCUUUCAAAAAUCGGUUAAUUUUAAUGAUUACUUUGUAAAAAUUGAUUUCCAAUUUUAUAUGUUUUUCAAAUCUCAUUUACAUAAUAAUGCAACGGAAAAGUGAAAUUCAACAUAGUAUUAAUUAAAAAUCUAGUUUGCAUUCAAAAUUAACUCAAAUUCCAUGUUUCGACAUCCUAAAAUCAAUUAAAACGACAUGCAUACCAAAUAAACCCCAAAUUAAAACUAAACCGAGACGAGCCCUCCAAAUGCCGAAUUUGUGUCUUAACAUUGUGGGUUAUCUGAAAAGAUGAAAAUUAAGGGGGAUGAGCUUAAGAAGCUCAGUGUGAGUCCAAUUACAAAAACACCAAUGCAAAACAGUAGACCAAGCAUACAAAAUAACAAUUCUCAGAUUAAUCACAAUCGUGUAACAAACAUAAUUUAACAGUUUAUUUGAGCAUGCUUAUGUAUGUCAAUGUAAUUCAUAUUAACAGAAUAAGUUUCUACCCAUACUUCGCUACACUCCACAGUAAGAGUUCCCCAUAACUCAUCCAUUCCUACACUCUAUAUUAUGGAUAAACCACCAGUAUUUGCAAAUGAACUGCUAGUAAAAAUUGUGGGUAACCACCAGUAUUUUCAAAUAAAAAGUUUGCAAAUAAACUGCCAGUUAGUUUUAGAUGAACCACUAGUGUUUGCAAAUUAUUAAUGUAAUAGUCCGUUUUUAGUGAAAUUGGAACAGUGGUUUCGGGACCACAAAUUUGAGGUCGGAAGAAAAUUUAUUUUAAUAUUAUUUUGUGGUCUAUUGUAUAAUAGGAAUGUCAUAUGAAAAUUUCGUUAAGAAAUUUUACCGAUUACAUGUCUAAUUGGUUAAAAAAGACUAAAUUAAAAAAUGUGCAAAACUUGCUAAUUAUGAUAGUUAAGUGAUUAAAUAGCUUGACUAGUAAAUAGGGGAGGACUUACGGCAUAAAUAUGCCUAAAAUAGGUGGAUGAGGCGGCAUAAACUGGGAAAUUAAUAAAAUAAAAAUCAAUUACACUUUUGCCAAAUUAAAACUAAAACAAAUGGAAAAUUAAAGAUUUCUAGAUAUUCAAUUAUCAUUUUCGGUUCUAAGAAUAGACAUUAAAGAGGGUUUAGGCUGGUUCUUUAAUUUUUUCUUCAUGUGAGUUUAAUUCUUACCUGUUUCUUGAAAUUUUUAUGUUUUUGAGAUUGUUAUAAUUAGAUCCAAUUAACCUUUACUUUAGUUUUAGAUUUAUUUGAAAAUUUUGGAAGUUACCAUUGAAAAGUUCAUAUGAUUUUAGUUAUUAGAUGAUGAAUUUGAGAUGUUGAUGGGUAUUUAAAAGUAUUUUAUUUAAGAAUUUUGAUGAAAUUUUAAUUUAGGGAUAAAAUUGAAAAGAUGUUGAAAUCAUGGAAAAUUUUGAAUUUUAUGAAAUUCAUGGGUUGCUAUUGUUAUAUAUGAAAAUUUCUAGGCUUGGAAUGAAGAUUAAAUUUCAUGAAUUUCAUUUUCAGAGCCUAAGGACGAAAUCGUAAUUGAUUAAAAGUAUAGGGGCAAAAUAGUAAUUUUUCCAAAGAUGUGUAUUAGAUAGUGUUUGACACCAUUUUUUUGAUAAAACGGGGUCGACUUGGGUUUUGGAAAAUGAAAACAAAAAUGGGAGUCGCCACCAAUCCUUUUUGAUGAGGUGUGAUCGGGUCACCUCGAAAAGUUUUUUAAUAAACGAUUUGAUUUUAUUAAAACACGAUUUUUGUCCAUGAAAUCUAGGAAAACAGGUUCGGGAGGCAGUUACGUACGAGGAAGGACUAUCACCCUCAUAACGCCCAAAAUUGGCACCUAGUUGAUUAAUUAGUGUCCUAGUAUCGAAGAUUGAAAACUUUGAAAAGUUUUUAAAAAAUACGAUCCUAAAAAAAACUAAUAUAAAUCAAAUUAUCCGUUAAGACCCUCUCAUUUCGGAGAGAGAAAAUAUCACACCCAAUAAGUUAGGGCAUGAUAUUUCACCUCUUCAAAAAUGAGCUUGUCCAAAAAACUAGUGCAAUAAAAUUUAAAAGGAUAUUCAAUGUUUAAGUCAGAUGAAGAAAUCGCAGCCCAAUACGUUAGGGCACAAUUUCUCAAAAUUCUAAACAUUGAAUAUUGCCUUUAUUAUUAUUUUUAAGAAAAAAUCCUCAUCUCGAGAAAACAUGUUAUAUCCAAUGCGUUAGGACACAAUGUAUUGAAUUCCCGCUAAUGAGCUUUUUAUUUAUGUUUUUGAUUAAAGAGCAUUCUCGAUUAUUUAGAUUCAACGAAGAAAAUUAGAACCCAAUAUGUUAGGGCUCAAUCCCCUCGAAGAUCCCAAAUACUGAGUAUUGCCUUUAUUUUCAAAAUUUUCCAUUUUACGAAUCUAGGUAAAAAUUGAUGUAAUGGAAAAACAAUUAUGAUAAUGUAAGUAAAAAUAAUACGAGCAAAAACAAAAAGGUAAAUAAAUAAGAAGACAAAUAUAUAUAUAAAAAUCAAUCAUGUAUACACAAUAACAAAUAAUAAGCAAAUAAAAGUGAAACAUUCUUUUAAAAUAAUAAUGAAAGCGUAAAUAGAUAAAUAAAAAAAUGAAUAAAAUUAUAAGAACGUAAAAAGAUAUAUGUAUGUACAUAUAUAUAUAAAUUAUAAGAUAUAAUAAGAAAUAUAUAUAAGCAUGUAUAUAUAUAUUUAUGAAAAUUAAAAAAUAUGUAUAUAUAUAUAUAGAUAUGCAUAAAAAUUAUAAAAUAUAAAAAAAAUAUAAGAAGGUAUAUAUAUAUGAAUUAUAAAUAAGUUAUAAAAUAUGUAUGGCUAUAGGUAUAUAUAUAUAUAUAUAUAUUAUAAAAAUGUAUGUAUGUAUAUUUAUAUAUAAUUAAAUCCAAAAUUAAAAAGGUAUAAAUGAGUAAAUAAUAAUAAUAAUAAUAAGAUUAAAAGAUAUUAAACUUAGAUAAGUAAAUAAAAUAAUAACAAUAAUAAUACAAAAAUAAUAGCAUAAUAUAAUAAUAUAAUAGUGAGGAUUUUAAAAUAAUAAUGAAAGCGUAAAUAGAUAAAUAAAAAAAUGAAUAAAAUUAUAAGAACGUAAAAAGAUAUAUGUAUGUACAUAUAUAUAUAUAAAUUAUAAGAUAUAAUAAGAAAUAUAUAUAAGCAUGUAUAUAUAUAUUUAUGAAAAUUAAAAAAUAUGUAUAUAUAUAUAGAUAUGCAUAAAAAUUAUAAAAUAUAAAAAAAUAUAAGAAGGUAUAUAUAUAUGAAUUAUAAAUAAGUUAUAAAAUAUGUAUGGGUAUAGGUAUAUAUAUAUAUAUUAUAAAAAUGUAUGUAUGUAUAUUUAUAUAUAAUUAAAUCCAAAAUUAAAAAGGUAUAAAUGAGUAAAUAAUAAUAAUAAUAAUAAGAUUAAAAGAUAUUAAACUUAGAUAAGUAAAUAAAAUAAUAACAAUAAUAAUACAAAAAUAAUAGCAUAAUAUAAUAAUAUAAUAGUGAGGAAUAAAUAAAUAUAAAAAAAUUGAGUUAAUUAAUAAUAUAACACAAUAACUAAAAAAAGAGAGACUAAUUUGCAUUCUAAGACAAAGAUUUGGGGCAAAAUCAAAAAUAAAAUAAAAAAGGGGACUAUUUUGAACACGCGCAUAAUGUAAGGGGACUAAAAGGGGAAUUUUCCCUUUUUCUCCAAAACGACGCCGUUCAAAGAGGGACUUAAUUGAAAACGCAAUAAAUGGUGGGGUAAAUUAAAAACAAUAAAAAUACUUGAUUAUAAAACCAUUAAAAAGCGGAAGGGAUAAAUGUGCAAUUAGCCCUUCUGAAUAAAAACACGCGGAUCUUGGCCUGGAGCGGGUCGGUUCUCGGGUCGGCCUCGAAAUGACGCAAAACGACGUCGUUUAGGCACUAAAAGAAUUAGGUCAAAACGGCGUCGUUUCUAGUCCCUAUAUAAGUAAAAAUUUCACAAAAAGGUCAUUCUUUCUUCUUUCAACAAAAAAAAAUUCAAAAAACCUCUCCUCUCUGCCCUGCUCUCCUAAUAUUCGGCCAAGGGCUCGGUCGAGCUUCGGUCACCGGCCACUGUGUCGGCCCCUGGCCGUCGGCAACGGUGCCGCCGUAUGCGGUGGCCGGUAAAGGCUAAAACCUCUGAUCCUACCCUUUCAAUACCCCUAAACCCAAAUCCGAGCUCAAAAUCCCCAAAAUAUUAACCAAAUAGCCCCAAAAGCUCAGGAAACCUUUCGAUUUCCCGUCGCCUAUCCUCGGAGGUGACUUCCUCAACCACCCACGGCAUCGGAGGCCCGAAUAUAGGUCAGUUAUGACUCCCGUUUCCUUUUGUUUUAUUUUUUGUAUAUGUAAAUAUAAUGAAAACCAAAAUAAUAAUAAAAAAUCAAAAAAGAUGAAGCGGAGAUUUAAAAAAGGGUGACAAGUAUCAACCUUUCGGGCUUUCUAUUGAAUUUUUUUGUUUCAAUAUUCAAUCCUUUAUUUUUUUUUUGUAUUUUUGAAUCCCUCUUUCAUACAAUAUCCCCUAUUCUUUUUUACAACACUCGGCUUUAUAGUCGAAAGAAAAUAAAAACUCAAUUUUUGCUAUUGUCUAGUCUUGUCUGCUUCUGCUUCUCUUGUUGCGUGUUUCCAUGUGACCGUGCAGAGUUGCAGCGGCAACAAAGGGUGUCAGAUGCACAUGGCAGAGCAGGUCGCGACGCUCAUAGGGUUGGGGAUUAAGGUUUUUUGCUGAAAUGUUUUAAGUUUUUGGGCUUGUUGGGCUAGGUUUUAAUUUGGGUCUGUUUGGGUUUGAUUUUGGGCCAUGUGGUUUGGGCUGGCAUUGUAAUGGACUGUUAUCUUUUAAUAUUUAGGCCCGGGCAGAAAUUGGGUCUUACAGAUAGGAUUGAGUAUGAAUUGUAUUAAAUUAAUGUUAAAUUCAUUCAUAUAGAUCCGGAUAGACCAAAUACAGAGUUAGAUCGAGGAAAAGAAAAAGUGUCGGAUUAGUAGAUUUUGCAUACACGAAUAUUGUCGAGGUAAGUUCGUGUAACUAAAUUGUAUAUUUAUAUUUUUUUUAUUAAAUGUUGUGUAUAUGAAUUAAAUUGUGUAAUUGACAUGUAUGAAAAUUGAACACGUAUCCAAAUAUAUCCGACAAGUAUUAAGUCCUAUUUGAAUAAAUGAAUUCAAUGGAUAUAGGGUUCCCGAAUUGGUUGUGGUCCUGCAUGUGUUGCAGACACGCCACAGCUCGAAAGAGCGUUCCGUUAUAUGGUUCUUGCGAUCUUUCCGUUAAUAGCUCUUCAGAGCAUUCCAAUUGGUUGUGAUCCUACAUGUGUUGUGGACACACCGCAACUCUUAUGAGCGUCCCGAUAUAUGACUCUUUGGAGCUUCUUGAUUAAAGGCUCUUCCAUGAGCUUCCCGUUAAUGGCUCUCCGGAGCUUCCCGAUAUUGGCUCGCUUGAACCUUCUCAAUAUUGGCUCUAUGAGCUUCCCGUUAUAUGGCUCGAAAGAGUUUCCCAUUUAUGUGCUCGUAUGAGCAUUUUCGAAUAUGAAUUGACGGAUCUAAGAUUUAUACACUUCGUGUGUACUACCUAGGUAUCCAUCGAUAUUUUAAAUGACUCAACAAGCAAAAUCUUGAUAUGAGACAAUAUAUGAAUUCAAAGUGAAACGUUAACUAUAUAUAUACACGAAAUACAUGGAAACUUGAUGUUGAUAAGCUCAUACAUAACUCUUGAUAUUCAUUGAAAUAAAUGACUAACAUGUUUGAUGAAGUUGUGUGUUUAAGCUAUUAGCCAAAUUGCUUGGAUGCAUUUUGUAUGUUUAUUUUAAUGAAAAUAAAUGGUAAGUUAAUUUUUCGUUAUAUGAACUUACUAAGCAUUAAAUGCUUACUCUGUUUUAUUUCCUGUCUUAUAGUACUCAGAGGCUCGUAAAGGUUGGAAGCUGGUCAAAGUUACAUCACACUAUCCCUCGGACUCUUCAGUAUAUAUAGCAAACUAAUUUUGGUUAUAAUGACAUGUAUAGGCUAAAAAUGACCAAUAAUGGCAAUGUAAAUGUUUGGUUGUAAUUAGCCAUUGGGAUGGCUUGUGAAUGACAUAUAUUGAUGUGUUUAUAUAUGGUCUUAAUGUAUUUGAUAAGUCUUUGAAUUGGUUAAAUGAGGGAGAUUAUAUAGGCUCAUAAUUAAUUGAUUUGAGUUAGUAUAAUUGGUAAGAUAUGCAUGUAUGAGAAUUGGGUCAAUUAGGGAAAAUUGAAUACUUAGACAUAUGGGAUAUACUAUAACAUGUACUAAACUUGGUUUGAGCUUGAUUUGAAUUAUUGGUAUUGCCUUGUGAAUGUGUUAAAGUGUUGAUGUAAGUGGAAGAUAAUUUGGGUGAGAAAAGUGGCCUUGGAAAUAGCCUAUUUUUGUCCACACAGGCAGAGACACGGACGUGUGUCUCAGCUGUGUGUGACACACGACCUAGCACAUAGGCGUGUGAUUUGGCUAUGUGUCCCAUGUAUCUUAAAAAUUGAGAAACAGAAUACUCAAAAUUAUCCACACAGCCUAGCACACAGGCGUGUGGCUUGGCUGUGUGACCUUUACACCUAAUUAAUGCAAGUUAAAUUGCUCACACGGCCUAGCACACGGGUGUGUAGCUUGGCCGUGUGACCCAAGUCAGUGAGUUACACGGGUACGGGCACGGGCUGGGACACAUCCGUGUGCCCCUAUUUCAAAUGCCUACACGGCCUGGCCACAAGGGCGUGUGUCCUCUGCACCUAGGAAAAAUUUUGACAUUUUGCGAAAAAUUCUCUGAGUACCCGGUGUAGUCCCGACGUGUUUCAAAUGCAUAUUUUGGGCCUCGAGGGCUCAUGUAAGGGACAAAAUGAUUGAACAUGAUUGAUUUCUGAUAUGGAUGUUAAAUGAUAUAAAAUAAUUGUAUUUGAUCUGUAACUCCGGUAAUGCUCCAUAACCCUCUUCCGGCGACAGAUAUAAGUUAAGGGUGUUAUAAUUAAACUACCAAUACUUCCUCCAUUCAUAUCGUCCCACCCCAUGCAAUUCAAUAUGACAUGCUUGUAACAAUAUAAUGCAGAAAUAGUAGAAAUCUUUAACAUGUAUUCAAUUCAACAGUAACAAUAGACAUGCUUAACAUACACUUAGUAGGGCAAAGUAGUAAUACAAUAACAAUUUAUCAAAAUUACAGUAACAAUAAACAUGUAACAUUCACAUAUUAUAUAUUAUAUAUUAUAUAUUAUAAAAGUAGCAAUUCAGUCAUUAAAUCAUAAAUUCCAGUAUAUACAUAAUAUUAGGGACUCAAUUGAGUGAAUAAAAAUUCUAAAAAUAAUUCAGGGAAUAUACAAGGACUAAAUUGAACAAUUCACAAAUUUUUAAGGAAAAUUGUACAACAAUGGUCACACGACUGUGUGGAAAAUGAUAAAUUACCCUAUAGGAAGGACACAACUGUGUGGCAGGCUGUGUAACAGGCUGAGGCUAUGUGGUUCACGAAGUAUUGUACGAUUUACAGGUGUACACGAUCCUUUGGUCCACACACCUGUGUGGGAUACUGUGUGGCCCUAAACCUACAUACGGUUUGACCAGAUUCACUUGGUAAAAUACACACACACAUACCCCCCUUUCACCACGAGUUCAGUUGAUUCUCCUCGCGAUCGAUUUUGAUCUGAUUUACCUAAAUCCAGUCUUUCAAUGACAAAUAUACACAAUUAACGAUUGAUAUCAAAAUUUUGGCAAAAUUAUCAAAGAUUUGGCAAGAUUCGUAAAAGAUUGAUUAAUCGAAUCAAAAUAUCAAUGUUGGAUUUUUGUACAACGGAUAUACAAAAUCUAACAAUUGAAACGAAUGCACUUACCGAUCUCUGGCAAAGAUAAUGGAUGCUAUUUGAUGACAAUCUAACCUUUGAUAGAAAACGAUUGAACGAAGGACGAUUCGAUACAGGAACGAAAAAGAAUCAACAGCCCAAAGAUUGAAAAAUAUGGUGCAAGAAUGAGGGAAAAGAAGGGGCACUGACACUUAAUCAUUAAGCCUUAAGCCUUAAGCUCAUUUCUUACUUAAUUUAGACACUGAACUGUACAUCUAUUUCGAAGUGUGACAACUGAAUUAUCAAAAAUAAUAAAAAUAUGAAGGAGGGGGCUCAAACCUAAGAUCUCUUGGAAGGGGGACUAACACUUAACCAUUAAGCCAAUAAUUUUCUUAUUUAACAAACGCACAAUGAUAACCUUAUAAAUCGGGGCGUGACCACUCUCGAUUUCAUAAACUCGAUUCUACUAAUCCAAUUUUUAGGAUGUAACAUUUUUUUUUCAAUUUAAUAAAUUAUUAGUAUAAUUUAUAUUCUAAAUUUAUAUCAUGCCAUAUAUAUCAAAAAUUGUGUUUCUUACUGUAAUGAAAUAAAAAUUUAAUAUUGUAGGAGAAAUUAUUUUAUGGACCCUUCCCACCACAUAAUUCAUUGUCUCUUUCCAAUUAUGUAAAGACAUUUCAACAAUUUUUUUCAUGUCAUUGAUACAUAAUUUUGAUAAUUUUUUUACCUUGAACCCCGAACCCUAAACCCUAAACCCUAAACCAUGAAUCAAAACACUAAACUUUGAAUACUAAACACUAAACCUUAAAUCUUAAACCUUUCAUAGUUUAGGGUUUAAGGUUCAAGUUUAAGGUUUAAGGUUUAGGAUUUGGGUUUGGGUUUGGGGUUUGAGAUAAAAAAAUUACAAAAAUUAUAUAUCAAUGACAUGAAAAAAAUUGUUGAAAUGUCAUUAAAUAAUUAGAAAAGAACUAUGAAUAAUGUGGUGGGAAGGGUCUAUAAAAUAAUUUCUGAUAUUGUAGACAUCCAUUAAUAAUUUUGGAAACAAAUUUAUUAGUAACUUUUUAUUUUUAUGAAUUUAAAAAAAAUUAAUUUCUUAACCUAUUAAAAUUUCUAUUUUUAACUUGUUAGAAUAAAUUAUAUUAAUUUCUGCAUAAUUAACUCUAUUAAAACCAUUUAAAUCACGUCCAACCCACUGUUUACAUCCCAAGAUUCACGUGGUUUUCUAAUAAAUGGAAUAAGUUAAAGUUUCAUCCUAUGUAGUUUGCAAUUUACCGGCUUUAGUCAUUAAUUUGGUAUUCGAUUUAGUCCAUUAUCAAAUUUACUUUAUUUUAUUUAAAUAUAACUUAUGUGUUAUAUGAGAUUUAAUUAGUAAUAUCCUAUUUUAUAAUUAUUUAAUUGGAUUAAUUUUGAUUAUGUUUGUGAUAAAAAUUUUAUGUUUGGAUGCCGAUAUUAACUUAUCUGUAUUCAUACUUAUUUUUCAUAGUUUUAGUCAAGUAUGUUUAUAUGUAAGUAUUUCAGUUCUGAUUAGUGAUCUCUUGGUCAUUAAUAUUUAAAAAGUGUUUGAAUUUAAGGUUAGUAGAUUGAGUCUUAAUUCGAUUGGUAUGAUCAUUGUUGUCAAUGCAUGAGGAUGUAGCUUCGUGUGCGUUGAAACGCAUUAUCCUCCUAUUUAUGGGUUGGGGAGGGACUAUGGGUAGUUUUAGGUAUUGUGUUAAAAAAAGCAAAUAUGAUCAUGCAAGCGAGUUGCAACCUGCAAUCUGAACUGAGGACAGGUUUUUGGAGUAAGCUCACCUUCGCGGGAUUGCGACCCUUUGUCCCGUCCAUUGUAGCACGUGUGUCGCCCAUGGCAUAAGGGGCAUGAUGACUUUACGUCAUCCUCACAUUCCUCUGGCUUAUCACCGGUAGUCUACUCAAGGUUCCAAACUCAACGAUGGCAACUAAACAUGAGGGUUGCCCUCGUUGCGGGACUAAAACUAUAACAAAAUUAUUCAAAAAAAAAAGAUUUAUUAUCUUUAUUAAUACCUACAAUCAUUUUGUGCAUCGCACGGAUAAGAAAACUAAUAUAUUAUAUAUAUUACAAGGUUUUAAGACUAAAGCUAACAUGGACAACCUAUUUUAAUGACAUAUGGUAUAUUUAUUCUGUUGAAACCUGACAACUUCAUUCUUUAUAUAUAACAUUUAUUUUUGUUUUAAAAUUAAUGAAAGAUAAUAUAAAAUUAUAAUUCACCAUUUUUUAUUUUUAAAUUAAUAGAAAGUAAUCUUAAAAUUAUAAUAAAUAUAUUAAUCUACUUUUGUUUGCCAAACACUUGAUUUUUCUAUAACUAUUCAACCGUAAUAGUUUAUUAAAAAUUUUAAAAAUUCAAUAUAUAUUUAUACAUUAAACUAAAUAUAUUUCUAAAUAUAAAAGUUAAUUUAUUACUAAAUAAAGUUUAAAUAAUAAAACAUAAAAUUAUAAAAUUGAAUUUUUAAAAAUCAAAUGACAAAUUCAUAGAAAAUAAAACUUAAGUUAUUUUUUUUACACAGUAUUUAAAAGAGUUCAAACUGAGGAAUUAUUACCUUUUUUUUACCUUUCUUUUUUCCUCAAAAUAAAAAUAAAAAUUACGAGCUAAUUAAAAAUAUCAAAUUUAUACGUAAACUUUAGUUUUGUAUGAAAUUUGAUACAUGAAAAUUAAAUUGUGGUUCAUAUGUAUACAAGAAGCUUUGAUUUUGAUUCACAUUUAAAGAAAUGAAUGCAUACAUUUAUUUUCAUAUUGGAUUAAUAUAAUUGUUUGUGUAUGUAAUAUAUCAAUAUAAAAUGAUACUAAUUCGAUAAUGUUGAUGGAUGGAUAAAGAGAAAUGGAAGCAUGAGUUGGGUUGGUGGGUUACUGCGAAUCGAGAAAGGCGAUGUUCUUGUUGUGUUCUCCCAAUCUGUUGGAUUUGCCAUUCCAUGUAUGGCUGAACUCAUGGUUGUUAAGGAGAUGUUUAACUAUUUCUUUGCAUCCAAGUGUUGCAACUCACACAAGUUGGUGAUUGAAUCUGAUAGCCAAAAGACUGUGAAUUGGUUUUUAGAUCCUUUUGAAACUCCUAACUCCUUGAGGAUUGUGGUCUUAGUUGCUUCAAGAUUAGGACCCAAUGAUAGAUGGUUAAUUCGAUACAUCUUUCUUGUAACAUUGAUGCCGAUGGUUUUGCAAAUGUUAAGAUUUGUCUCCGACUGUAGAAAAAUUCCUACUUAUCUAUUUAUAAUUUUUUAAAUUGUUGAUUUACUAUUAUUUUUGCAUGUAAAGUAAAAUGAAUAAGUAAAUGUUUAUUUAUUGGUUACAUUAAUAUUAAAAAGAUCAUUUAUAUAAAUUUUUUUAUUUUUCAAUUGAGGAAAUUUUAACCUUUAAUCUUUAAAUAUUUAAAGUAUUCAUUUAAAUGAAUCGAUUAAACGAAAGUCUUAUCAGUUUAACUUCAUUUAUAAUUUUUAAUAAUAUUCUUUUGGUAAUGUAGAAUUAGAGAGUUCAUACUCUCACACAUAUGGUAAGGGUACAUACUCAUACCAUACUUGCACAUAUUAUGUUCAAAGGAAACCGCUCAAAUAAAUGUCUACCACUUACUCCAUAGAAGUUCAAUUCCGAAUAGGUUUUAUAAGUGAAUAGCCCUUACCCACUAGACUAAUACAGGAAUUCUUCAUGAUGAUAUUUGAAUACGCUUUAAACAACAAUAUCAAAUAUAAACACUUUAAGAAUAAAAAAGGAGUUUAUACAAUCCAUCGAGAUACUUAAUUCACAAAAAAAUAAAGGAGUUUAUACAUGGAUUCAAUUUGCAAUGACCUUAUGAAACUUAAGUUACUCGAGUAACUUGGGGAGUAAAGACGCAAAACGAAGGGUUUACCAACCUAAACGAUGAGUGACAACCAUUGGUCGGCGGGGCCGGGGAGGUUGGUUGACGCAGGAAAGCAAGAGAGCGAUGGCGAUAACUAGCGCAAGCACAAGUCCCAUCAUAUCCACGUUGAGCUCUAUGCACAACUGCCCCAUCUCUCUCCUUCUUCUUCUUCUUCUUCUUCUUCUUCUUCUUCUUCUUCUUCUUCUUCUUCUUCUUCUUCCCUCCCCUACUCCAGAAACAAUGGCAAUUAUUAAAGUUUCAGCAUAGGCGGCUAUUCUACUUUUUGGAGUCAAACACUAGAUAUAUAAACGAUAUUGUGAAUCAUUUCCUAUAUUAAAUUCCAAUUUUAAUUCAUACACAUGUUUUUAAAAUAGAAUUUUAAUAUUAAUAAUAAUAAUUUAUUUAAAUUUAUAAAAAAUUGUGUAAAUAUUAAAAGUUUUAAAGUUUUAUAAUAGUGGAUAGUGAUUCAAGUGCUGCGGGAUUUCUGAAUAAAUUUAUUUUCAAAUUGUGGCCAUCGUUAAUCAUUUCAGAAAAAUAAAUAAUUAUAUAAAAUCAAAAUUGGUGAUGAGUGUGAAUGACGUUGUAAGCUGUAAAAUCUUGACUUUUUCUUCACAAAACGACAGGUCAAUGACUAAGACGAAAGUAAGCAAAUGAACCAACUCAAAGCGACUUUAUUCUAUACAAAUAAAUGUCAACAUCCAAGUCAAGUCUCUAGAUGUAUUCAUCUAUUAUUUAUGUAUACUGCUAGAGAUGUCCAUGGGUCUGGUUCAAAAAAAAAUUUCAGCCCACCUCUUAAGCCCGAGCCUAGCCCGGCUCGAAAUAUGGACCUAAAAUUUUGUCCAGCCCGGCCUGAGAAAAAAUCUUAAGUCUGGCUUGGCCCUUUUUUUAAUAAAUACCAAAAAAUUAUUUUAAAAAUAAAAAAUAAAAAUAUUUUAAAAUUUAAAAAUAAAUAAAAGUAUUUUAAAAAUAUUUUAAAAUUAAAAAAUAAAAAUAAAAAAAAAUAUAUAUUUAUUAUAUUCAGGCCGGGCCCAAGCCAAAAAAGUGGUGCCCGAGGCCCGACCCAUUUUCUAGAUAGGCCUCUUUUUUUGCCCAAACCCAUAUUUCGGGACUAUAUUUUUACCCAAACCCUCCCAUAUUUCGCGCGGGCCGUUGGGCCGGGCCAGGCUGGGCCGCCCGGCCCAUGGACACCUCUAAUACUGGCAUGGCAUGCAUACAUUUUUAUACGUCACAUUUUGUUUAAUUAUGUGAAAGUUGUAGAUUUAGUUUCUAUAUUUUAAAUUUAUCAAUUUUAGUCUCAAAUAGUAAUAAUUAAAUUCAUUUGGUUAAAUUCUGCUAUUAGAACUAUACUAUGCAUAAAGUUAGUAGAUUUAGUUCAUGUUUUUUGGUUAAAUCGAUCUUUGUCUUUAUAUUAUUUGAAUUUCAAAGUUUCAAUCUUAUAGCAAACUAUAACCAUUCAAUUCAUUUAUUGGAUUUUCUUAGUAAUAUGUAGAAACAACAAACUAACAUAACAUUACACAUGCGAUAAUAUGUUUGCCGCAUAAUAUUUUAGAAAUAACAAAACUUAGCCUAAUGAAUUUAAUAACUACCAUUUGACCAAAAAUAAACUUUCAAAAUUCAAAGAGUAUAAAAACUAAAAAAAUCAAAGUAUAAGGACUAGAUUCAUAAUUUAUGCAUAGUACAAAGACUAACAGCAUAAUUUAACUUUUUAUAUGUCAUCGUAUAAAUCAAGCCAAAUUAAUUAAUUUUAUGAAAAAAAGAAGAAGAAGGCAAUCAGUCAAUUACUAUAUCAUGUUUAAUAGUUUUAUUUUUAUUAUUAGUAACAUAAUUUUUUUCUAUAAAAUUAGUGAUGACAUCAAUCUUUAUCACGUUUAUAUAAUUUAUUUGCUAAAUUAUAUAUAUUUUAAGAUAGGAUAAUACAACAAAUACUAUUACAAGUUUUAUUAUCGUUUCAUAUGCUUUUUUCCGUAAUCUUAUUAUAGGGAGUAGAAUAUAUUUUUACACGUGUUUGUUGUUAGAGUUUACUUUUUAUCAUUUAAUUAUUUAAUUUUAUUGUUUUUAUCACCAAUCAUUAAAUUAAAUUAUUGAUAACUUUUAAAAUUAACAUAAUAACCAUUUUAACCCUCAACAUCUAUACAUUAUAUCAAUUUUAUUUUGAUUCUAAAAUAAUUUAACCCGAUGUUGUAUUUUCUUUUUACCAUUUCACCUAAAAGCUAAAAAAUAUUAACUAAAUUUAGUCAAAAAUAUAUCAAAUGAGAACACCCAAAAGUCCAAAAUAAAAAAAAAAAUUAGAUUAAGCCUCAACGUAAAAAAAAAAAAAUCAAAUUACACCAUGUGUAAAUGCCAAAUACAUGUAUAUCCUCAAGGCAUGGGAAUAUCUAAGGUGAAAGCCUCGAAUCUUUUAAUGUCCUAAGUCUUUGAGGAUUCGGAGUCCAACCAUGCACAAUUGCGAUGCACGGAUCUUUGAUUUCUAACAUGUAUGUCAUAAAUGAGUUUUAUCCAAUUAUUUUCCGUUACUCAUCUAUUAUGUUUUAUACUGAUUCAAUUCUACGUUGGAAUUGCUUGAGCAUAUAUUUUUACUAGAGUGCGUACUCUCAAUCCUCGUAUAUCCUCCAUAUUAUGUUCCCACUCCAACCAGAUUUGCAACUAUAUUCAUCUACAUAAGAUUGAUCUGGCAACACUGAGAAACAUAUGGAACAUGUACCUGGUACAUCUGUUCUUGAGAUCGAAUGAACCGCCAUAGUUUGACCACUUCAGAUGAGAUCUAUGGAGAAAGCCUCAAAGCCAAAUCUUCAUCCUUCGUCCAAACAAAAGGAGGCAUGUCAAACCUUGGCCCAGCCACAGAUCGGUAGAUAUAGAGCUUAUCGACUGUGCAGUUUUCGGGUCUUGAAUCAGGAGGUCCCCUCUCAUCUAUAACUUCAACAUUCAGCCUGGGCAUCUUCUGACUUAGCAGCUUACAAGCUUCGAAACUCACGGAGCAGGAAGACAUCCAAAGGGAUUGCAUUGUCUCCAGCUUUGCAGCAUUGGUCAAAAGAGCCUUGUCUCCGAAGGGGCAGUCCCUAAUUUCUAGUUUCCGUAGGCUUUCACACCCUGAAAGCACGUGAUGGAGUCCCAAAUCACUAUCUCCUGCAAAAGCCACGGAUAGCAUUUCCAGCUUUUUUGCAUAUUUUCCAAUAUAUUCAAACACGCAAUCUGUGAGGAGACCAGAGAGGGAAAGCCGUAUGAGAUCCUUGCAAUGCUCAACAAUGGCUCCGAAGCCAACAUCAAAUGGCUCUCCGGUCAGGUAAUCAGCUGUAUUUGGCUCAAUUAUACAAAGACGAAACCGGUUCAAGUUUGGACGGUUCUGAGCAAUUGUGACUAGAGCUGCAUUAGACAUUCUGCGGCAGAAGUACAAAACUGAUUGUAACUUAGGACAACCCAAAGAAACAGCAACAAGGCCCUGUUCUGUCAAGGAUGCAUUUGGUUCUGCAUCAAACGGGUCUGAUGGAAAAACCCGUAAUUCCUGCAGGUCCUUGCAAUUAGAUGCAAGUGCUUCAAGGCCACUGUCUUCAAUAUAAUCAAGUACCUGAAACCAUAAUUGACAAUUUAAAAGAGAAGGGAGAUUCAGUUCAGUUAUUAGAACAUUUUAUGCAACGAUUGGCAUAGUUUAAAGGUGAUCAGUAAACCACUUAAUGUUCAAAAUAUGCGCUCAAUUGUUUUAAAACAGUUAUGAACUGAAGAUACCAUAACAAGCUUACCAAUAGGCGCUGCAAACUCGGACAGUGGCUUACAAGCUUGAUGAGAUCAGGGCUUAGUAUAGUUGCGUAACUCAAGUUCAGUGACGUUAAUCUAGAGCAGACAGAGUAAAUAGCUGGAAGGUAAUCCGGAACCACAUCCCAAAACCCAGACAAACUCCUUAGUUCCUUGCAAUUAGAAAAAGCUCCAGCCAAGUUUGAGAAGACAUCUGAACGUAGCUCAGCCGAAUAGGUGCAAGCGCUGAAUUCAACCAGCUGCGGUGCAAGUCGUAAUAUGUUGGCAGUCUUAUCAAGGGGAACAGCGCGGUUGAGUUUAAGGGACCUGAGGUUCGGACAUCUACUGACCAGGCGCUCCAAAGCCGAGAAACUAACUUCACCAGAUCCUAAACAGGAAAUGUUAAGAGACACCAUGGAUGUGUAUGUCUCAGGAAAAUGGCUGAGCCAAUGCACACUCGAAUCAUCCACUUCACUUUCUCGCAAGUCCAGCUCUCUCAGGUUCCUACAUUACCAAGCAGAAAAUCAACAUAUUGUAUACUUUUACUAGAUUAAAUCCAAGAGUUAAAACAUAAGAAAUCAAGAAAAUCAAUGGUGGCUAAUGAACAAAAUUAGAAGAUGACCAUUGUCAUUGAAAUUGAAAAUGAUUAAUCAGAUCUGAUAAAAGCAAACAGUGAACCUUAAAAAUAUACAAGUAAACAGUUCUUUCAAUCAACUUCAUUACUAGGUAACGUUAUAAUUACUCCAUUAAGAAAAGUGCAGCUAAAAACAAGACAAAUUGAAGUAAAAUUCCAACUGAAAGUUGAAACGAAAAGGUGUUUAUGAAGCUUACUUGCAACUAGCAGCAAUGGCAGCAAGUCCAUCAGUUGAAAACCCUUCACAAGAAGCAAGCACCAAUACUUUGAAAUCCUUAAAUGACUUAGCAAUAAGCUCCAAGCUUUCAUCCGUGACGACCAUCCGUUUAAGCCGAAUCUCGUCGAGCCAAGGGUAAGCGCCAGCCAUCUCCGUAAUCCACGGCAAAACGUAACCGCCCCAGCCGUCCGGUACCAAAUUGAAGUCAGCGAAGUGCGGUUUCCCUUUCAACUCAAUGGAUCUAACUUGCGGGAACCGUCUGAUCACCAUCUCAGGGCUCACAGCAUAACAGUUCCCGACGAAUAUCUUCCUCCGACACCACCGCUCGAUCUCGUACCACGAUUUACACACUGCCGAUACCACGUUCCGAUCCUUUUCCGAUUGUAUGAACGAGAAUACAUGCUCCAGCACCUCAUCUGAGAGCGAAGACGCUAAUCUCUUCGGCAUUAAUUACCCCCAAAAAAAAAUGAAAACUUCUGACAGAAAAGAUGAAAAUUUUCUCUCAAAUUUCCUCCUUUUGACGGAUACUACAGUUUCGUUAAGAUUUUAAGUUCGUUUUCAGAAAUGAGACGCCAUUAAAGGAGAUUAAGCUUAAGCUGACGAGACAACAGUGAAGAAGAAGAAGAGAGGAUAAGGAUUUUUAUUUUCGUGUUGGGAAGAAGGGUUAGAUUUUAACCAUGGUUAAUUAAGUAAUUCUCUUGUUUUUGUGGGGAUAUUGAUAGGCGUUUAGGGUAGUGACACGUGGUUGGGAAGAGAUGUGGGCGCGUACGAUGGACGGUGAGAGGGGUAGAUCUUAUCCGUUGACGGUGAAACGGAGCCGCACGGAUUUUUGUAUUUUGUCUAAGGGCUAGUUUGAAUGGGCGGUGUGUUUAACUCCGGUGAGAUUAAAAAUAGCGGUGGCGGUGAGAUUAGUUACUGUAGCGGUGAGAUUGGAUACUGUAGCGGUGAGAUUAGAAACAAUGGUGAAGUGUGUGUUUGGAUUCAAACGUAGCUGUAGUGGUGAGGUGAGAAUAAAAAAUGACUAUUAAGGACAUUGGAUUAGAAUUGAUAUAUAAUAUAAGUUAUUUAAAUUAUUUUACUUUUUUAAAUUAUUAAAAUAUGUGAAUUUAUAAAUUCAUUUAAUAAAAUAUUAAAAUGUAUCUUCUAAUAUUUUAAUGAAUUAUAUAAUUAAUUUAAAUUAUUUAUUAGAUAAAAUGAUAGUUAUUUUUAUUUAAUUUUUUCCAAAAUAAAAAUAUGAUUAAACUCGUCCAUUUCAACUCAUUCUUCUUCAUGUUUUUUUCUUCUCUGAAUACCCAUUCCUGCCUUCAUAUUUUUUCCAGUUUGUGAAACUAAUGCCUAAUAAUUUAAGCCAAAAUUGGGGAAAAAAUAUAGACCAAGUAAUAACUUCACUGCUAGAUUAAAUUCAUUCUCUUCUUCAAUGUAAUUUCUGAAACUAGAAUCUGUAUAUUCUUUUAACUUCCUUGAGAAUCCCCAUAUCUUCUUUUCAGCUUUUUCAUCUCACUUUCUUUAAACACAACCAUUUAAAGUCACCUAACACCUUUUCAAUUUGCUCUUAUUUUUAUUUUAGAUUCAAAAUAACAGCCGACCACCAUGGAUGUAAGUUGUGUUUCUCUUCUUGUUUGAAUCUCUUCUUUAAAGCUAAAUCUAAGGUGGGAUUUUUCUUGUUUUGCCUGUUUAACUAGGAUUAUAAUUGCAAGAGAAGUGGGCAGAUUCCAACAUUUGGAGACUGGGAUCAUGCAAAUGAAUUGCCCAUAACUCAGUACUUUGAAUCUGCUCGUGAAGCUGGUUUGAUUCGUUUCAGCUCUUCAUCAGCAAAACCCAAACCUUAUCUUACUGUUGAUUUGAAAACCAAACAUCCUCGUAAUCAUGUUCCUGUUAGAAAGGUUAGCUAGCUCUUCUUCUUCUUCUAAGAAUCUUGCUGAAUUUGAGAUAAGAGAAUGAAUGGGGGUUGGUAUAAUAUUUAGGGUAUUAUUGUCUUCUAAAAAUGUCUACUACUCUACUGGAGCUUUUACCACUAGUCAACUUAUGGCUGUCCAGUGCAGUUGAAACUCCUCACUGUGCUGGAAGCCAACACAUCCAAAGGCUGUCCACAGUCCAGUCCAAUGCAGUGAGAUUGAUAAUAAAGGGGAAAAAAUUCAACGCACUGGUGUGCGUUGGUAUCCAAAGGAGCCCUAAAUAGUGUACUUUUUCUUUUUUAUAUGUCACAUAUAUAUUUUAUUUCUUUUUUAAAAUAGUUCAAAUAUUAAGUAUUGGCCUAAUGGUCAAGAGUGUUUAUAAUUUAAGAAAAAAAGAACAAUAAUAAUCUCUCACUAAUUUUUAAAUAAGAGAAUAAUACAUUUCAGUAUACUCGAUCAAUAUAUAUUUAAUAAACAAAUUACUAAAUUUUAAAACCCUAAACAUUUUUUCCACUUAAAUAGUAUAGUUUAAUUUAUACAUAAGAUUGAUUUUAUUUUAAAUAAUGGUUUAUUCAAGUAAAAAUUAAGGUUUAGGGUUUAUUUAAGUUUAAGAUAAAUUUAAUCAAUUUCUUUUCUUUAAAUAAGUUUUUAAUCUAAAUAAUCACCCAUAAUUUAUUGUUUAUAUAAUUAAAAAACAAUGAGAGAGUUGAGUUGUCGAACACGUAAAGGUUAUUAUUUAAAUUUCAAUGCAGAAAAAAGAUGGUGAUUAAGAUUAAACAUUGAUGAUUAGUUUAAUAAUAGUAACAAAUGAUAAUUAAGCCCCACGGAUGGUUUCCCCGGGAAUCUCUCGUCCCCCUCGAGUGGGACGGCUUAGACUUUGCUACACAUUCUGAAUUUUUUUUAGAUUUUGAUUAUUAAAAGACGAGAAUAAAUUAUUAUCUUCAUAUUAUUAAAAUUUAAGAUCGGUAGAGUAUUUUAUACGUUUUCGGUCCUAUCAUUAACCUUCUAAUAAAUUUAGAUAGUAUAAAUAUAUAUUUGUUAUUUGUGACAUUUUUCGCCCACUUCGAGUCCAAAUUUUAGGAUGUUAUAUUUAUUGUCAGAGUAAUUAUCGUCAAUUAUAUAGUAAUUAAACUAUUUAAUCAUGCAUUCAUUUCAUAAACACAUUCAUGAUAUACAAACUUUUUCGAGUCUCAAUCGAGUCUAUAAAAUUAUUUUUAAAUGACGUAUUUAAUGAGUGAAUCUAUAUAAAUAUUGAUGGAAUGGGUGGAUCUACAUGUUAACUUAUAUAUUAUUCUAUAAUUCAUAGUUAAAUAAUAAAUUUAUAUUUUGCUUUUUUUCUUACAAUACCGAAAAUUAUUAUAAUCCCUCCUCGACCUAUAAAUAGGAGGAUAAUGUAUUUUAAUGUAUUUGAAUUUACGUCCUCCUACAUUAAUAAUAAUGCUCAUACCAAUUGAGUUAAGACUCAAUCGACUAUAUUAUUAUUAUUUUUAAAUAAUAACUUUAAAGGAGUUGGUGUAUGCUAAGAUGAUUUAAAAUCCAUGUCUAGUCAAAUAAAAAAUAUAUUUUAUUUUUUAUAAUUAAAAAUAAGAUUUAAAUAUAUAUUUUAAGAUUAAUAUUAAUUUGUAAGUAAUGAAAUAUAAAAAAUAAUUAUAGCAAAUUUUAUUUUUAUCUUAUUUAAUAAAAACUAAAUUAUUUAUUGUUAAUUAAUUAAAAAAAUUAAAAAAAAAGAGAAGAAAAUAAUUCUAGUUUACAUAAUAAUGAUACUUUUCCAUACAAUUUGUCUACGAAAUUGAGAGGAAGGUGGCAUUGGUUCUUACAUUAAAGAUUUCACCACUGAUUUAGCUUUGACUUCUCUGCAUUUCCACAACUAAAUGAUUCUAAAAUUACUACCAAAUCUUCAAUUCUGACUUUAAUUAUUUGGUGCUAUCUUUCAAUUCUAACCAUUCCAAUAGUUUGAAGGCUUUUAAUUUAGCCUCUUUUUUCCUCCCUUUAGAAGAUAAUUAAUGAAUAAAAGAUAUUCAAGAUUUUUAAAUUAUCAUAUCUCAUAACCAAAUCCACAUUAGUAAUAUGUUAAAGUCUAAAGGUUUUUUUUUUUUCAAUAAUUGAGGGAGGAGAAUUGGGUUGCUCGGGAUCGAACCUAAACUUUUAUGCCUACAAUACAAUACUAUUGCUACUAGGCCAAGAAAUUAUUGGCUAAGGCGUAAAGGGUUUAAAACUACAUUUGUGUUAUACCUACGUACAUAUAAUUUUAAAAAUUACCCAUAUAAUAUUGUUAUCCAAAUACAUGGAGGACGCCAUCAAUAAGUAAUGGGAAAAAGUAGAAGUGGACUUCUUUCCCAUGUAUUUGGAUUAAAUUCAAAAAGAGGGUUUUACCUGAAUGCCAUCCUGGUCUAAUCAGGAUUGUUGAAACCGUCUUUUUUAAAACAAAAAUUUUGUUGUCGACUUUUAAAAAUAAAACUGGAGUCACCACCGAUCCUUUAUUAAGGUGUGACCGGCCCACCUUAAAAAUUAUUUUGGUCUGCGAAUUUUGAAAAUAGGUUCGGGAGUCAGUUACGCACGAGGAAGGGUUAGCACCCUCGUAACGCCCAAAAUCGGUACCAAAUUGAUCAUUUAAUGUCUUAGUGUCGAAGAUUAAAAAGAUUUUAAAAUCAACUUGAAUGAUGAAAUUUGCAAAAGGAUAACAAGUUGUUCAAGUCAUGUAAAGAAAUCGAGUCCCAAUACGUUAGGGUACAAUUCCUCAUAAUCCCCGAACUUUGAAUAUCACUUUUUAUUUUAUACGAAAAAUCUUCAUUUCGAGAAAGUAACAUGCCACACCCAAUACGUUAGGGCACGACAAGUUAAGUUCCCAAAAAUGAUUUUUACACUCAUGCAUUUUGAAUAAAGAAUAUCCUCGGUUAUUUAAGAUUAGCAAAGAAAAUCCAAACCCAGUACGUUAGGGCUCAAUUUCCCUCGAAAACCUCAAACCUCGAAUAUCGCUUUUAUUCAAAAAAAACCUUGAAGCAAGAAAAUAACUUUGAUGUAUGGUUAAAACCAAAACAUAUUUUCAAAAAGAGUAUGCUUAAAACGUAAUGUACAAUAUGAUACAAAUACUUUAACUUAAAGCAUAUAUAAAUAUAUAUUUACAAAAUAAAAAAAUGUAUAAGUAUAUGUAUUGGUAAAUCAUGCAAAUGCGUAUAUAUAUAUUAAAAUGUAAAAAUGUAUAUGUUUACAAAAGUUAGGAAAUAAAAACAAAAACAUAUAUACAAGUAUUUAUAAAAGUUUAGAAAUAUACAUAUACUAUAGAAAUGCGCAUAAAUAAAUAUGUGGAAAAUAUAUUUACAAUAAUUUUAAAUAGUGCAUGUAUAUAUAUAUGUAUAUAUAUAUAUUAAAAAUGUGUAAGUAUAGCAUAUAAGGAAAUUAUGAAAAAUGCGGAUGCAUAUGUAUCAAAUACGUAUAUAAAUAAGUACAUAUAUAUGUCCAUAAGAACAUGAGAAAUGCAAAAGAAAAGAAAAUGCAUUUAUGAUAAUUUAAAAGAGAAAAAAAAUGCGUAUAUGUGUGAAUUUAAAAAAAUGUAUAUAUAUUACAAGAAUGCACGUGUAUAUAUAUGUAUAAUAAUAAUAUAUAAUGUUAUAAUAAUAAUAGCAAUAUUAAUAAAAUGAACUAAAUAAAUAAAUAAAUUGUGAAACAAAUGAGAUUAAAAAACAAAAAAAAGGAUCAGAAUGCAAAAAUGCGGAUUUCAUGGGGGUCAAGUAAGGAAUACUCCUUCCCCUCAAAACACAACACUUUGCACAGACCAAAUUGAAUCAAAAAUCAAAUAUGCGGUUAAAUGUGAAAGAAAAUAAAACGACAGAAAAAAAGACCAAAUUGAAAAGCGUAUGGAAGGAGGAGGGGCUGCAUGCGAAAUAAACCAAAAUACCCAAAACGCGCGGAUCCUCCCCCCGGGUCGGGUCACCGCGCGGGCCAAGGGCCAGGUGGAUCAAAACAACGCCGUUUUAAGGCCGAAGAGACCCCCCCUAAACGUCGUCGUUUUAUUUGCUUUAAAAAACCAAAAUUUUCCCUAAAAAUUCAUUCUUUCUCCCCCUUUCUGACACUAAAUAGCAGAGAAUCUCUCUGCUAGGGUUUCAUGUUCACAUGCCGCCGCCGUUCAAGCCAUCCUCAUGGCCUCCGUCGAUGCCCCGAUCCCCAAUCGUGUCGGAGAGGGCACCAACUCGGCGACUCCGACGAAAAGGUAAGUUUUCUCCUCCUUUUCUUCUUUUUAUUUAGGCAAAAAUAAAUGAAAAAGAAAAAAAGAGAAAAUAUAAAAAAUAAAAUAACAUAUAUAUAUAUAUAUAAAUGACAAAUAAAAGAACAAAAAUUAACAAGGUAAAACAGUGAGGAAAAAAACACCUUUCUAUUUCAAAAAGAAAUUUUUGUGUUUGUAUUUAGUUUUUCUUUCUCGGUCACUUUUACACCUUCCCCCCCACUGUUACAGAUUCGAUAACAGCUUUAAAUAGCCGAAAAUGGGAAAAAAAUGAACAAAAUCAAAAUAAAAUCCAUUCUAUUUUUUGUUGCAUAUUGUUGCCCGAUUUUUGCUCUUCUAUUUUGUGUUUGUUGCUGCAGGUACUGCUGGAGGCGUGUGCGAGAUUCGCGGCGUGCGCGAGCGACGGGCACGAUGUGCGGGGGGAGUUGGCUCCGAAGCGUGCGCCGAUUGGAGUUGUCGGAGGCGGAGCACGUUGUGGGGGCUUGCGGCGCUGAACUAAACAUGGGGCUAGGGUUUGUUUGGGUGUUUAGGGUUAUUGGGCCUAGGUUUAGCUUAUGUUUUGUAAGGGCCGGGGUAAAUUUGUUUGCUUGGGCCUGGGCAUUAUUGGGCUUGUACAACUGCCCCUCAUUGCUCAUUGUCGUGUAACAGGAAUAGAGCAAAGACUAAAAGCCCAAUUGUGCCCGAUCCUACUGAGCCUCACUUUCUUUAGUGCUUUUCAAGUUGCAUCAUUCCAACCUACUGCAUCUUCAGAGGUAUAGGAACUGGUGCUUCAAUCCACUCCACUGCAAUGUCUGGGAGAUAGGCUUCGCACGUUGCAACUUCUCAGAAAGAACAAAAUUUACUAUCUUUAGUCUGCUCCGCUGCAACUUCAGGGAGAUAAGACCUAUAGCUUCAACUUAUUCUGUUACAACUUAAGGGUAAAUCUGAUGUGAUCUGCUCCACUGCCACUUCAGAGAGAUGAGAUCAGCGGUUUUAAUCCACUCCAUUGCAACUUUAAGGAGAUAGGAUUGCUUACUUCUGUCUGCUCCAUUGCAACUUCAGGGAGAUAAAACUUGUAUCUUCGAUCUAUUCCACUAUUGCCCAGGGAGAUAGAAUUACUGGCUUCAGUGUACUCCACUGUAACCUCAAGGAGGUAAAAUUCGCCAUCUUUGAUAUGCCCCAUUACUGCUUAGGGGGAUAAGGUCUGAAAUCUUCAAUCUAUUCAAUUGCAAUGUCGGGGAAACCAGAUCCGCCGUCGUAGCUUCAAUCUGUUCCACCGCACCGUCAGGGAAGUAAGAUCCGCCGUUGUGGCUUCAAUCUUUUUAAUUGCAAUAUCAGGGAAACCAGAUCUGCCGUCGUAGCUUCAAUCUGUUCCACUGCACUGCUAAGGAAGUAAGAUCCGCCAUUGUGGCUUCAAUCUUUUUAAUUGCAACAUCAAGGAAACCCAGAUCCGCCGUCGUAGCUUCAAUCUGUUCCACUGCACUGCUAACGAAAUAAGAUCCGCCGUUGUUGCUUCAAUCUUUUUAAUUGCAAUAUCAGGGAAACCAGAUCUGCCGUCGUAGCUUCAAUAUGUUCCACUGCACUGCUAAGGAAGUAAAAUUACUGGCUUCAAUGUACUUCAUUCAACUUCAGGGAGGUAAAAUCCGCCAUCUUUGAUCUGCUCCACUACUGCUUAGGGAGGCAAUAUCUGAAAUCUUCAAUCUAUUCCACUGCUGCCCAGGGAAGUAGAAUUACUGGCUUCAAUGUACUCCACUGCAACUUCAGGGAGGUAAAAUCCGCCAUCUUCGAUCUGCUCCACUACUGCUUAGGGAGGCAAGAUCUGAAAUCUUCAACCUGCUCCACUGCCUCCGAGGGAGGCGAGGUUGGUGUCUUCGAUCUGCUUCACUGUCGAUGCAGGAAUGCAAGAUCUGUUAUCAUCACUGAUCUGUUCUCUGGGGAACAUGACCUGUAUAAUGAACUUUAUGAACCUAAUUAUGCCUAGUGAUUAGGAUGUCAUGAUCAGAAUGAAUCAAAUGUUCCUAACUAGACAUGUAUGAAUGACAUUUGAAUGAAUGCAGAAUGUCAUGAAAAUGAUAUUUCAACGCUUGGGUUAUUAUUACUCCAAGUUUAUUAAGGUUUCAUCAUUAAUGUGUUAUAACACCUUCUUGCUCAGCUGGCGUCUCCAAAAAACACUUAGUCAGAUUGCCCCACUGUAACCUUUAAAGUUUAAUCCACUGGGAUGCAAAAAUUUGUACCAUCUUUCUCCCGUUGUAACCCAAGAGUAAAAGAUUUGGCAUUUUCUCAAUCCUCUGCUAUCACAAUUCAAUGAUACAGAAAGUGAAACUCUUUGGUCCCUUACACCAUUCCCAGUGUGUUGUACCAAAUGCUCAAGCACAAAUGAAGAAAUCUUCUCCAAGAGCAACUUCUUCUUGUUAUUCGGUAGUCAUUUGCUAGCUUGUUCAUUGAAGCUUUGUCACAAACAUGACAUCUUGCCAUUUUGAUCAAUCGAUGUUUUAGACAGCAAAAACUCAAAGGGAUAGUCUGAAUUUAGACCUUUCCUUAUCAGAUUUCCAACUUGGUGCGUUUUAAACAAUAGUCUUAUUUCAGGUUCCUGUAUUAUUUAGAAACUUCUAGAGUAAUAUGCGAAACUUCCCUUGUGAAAGUUUUAUUAGUCUAUUAACCAUUAUUCUAAUGCAACAUGCUUGUAAAAAGAUCAUGGAUAAGAAUAGAGUUGGUUCUGAGCACAGCUCGAAAUGAAUAAAUUACCAAGGAUAAUAAAGAUGGAUAACAAAGAAAUUGAUUUAGGAAUGCGUAUCAUGGAAAUGAAUGAAAUGUUCCAAGAAUAACAAAAAAUAGUAUAAGGAUUAGGUGCCCCACGUAACGCAGCUUGAACUUUGCUGUACAGACUUUCUGAAGAUCAUUCUGAGUUUGACAUGUGUUUAGGAGUACUUUGUCGAUGCCCCAAGAUGUCGCCUACCCUUUCUUAUUGAUUCCAGUAUAGCAAGACCACUGUAUAUCCCAUUUUGAUCAGUAUUUGAGCUGCUCUGAUUACUUCAUGCCCCAUUCUGAUCAACAUUUGAGCCGCCCUUUUUCGAGUUUUCAACUCAAAUCCCCUUUGGUCUAAGGCGCCCUUUGCGAGUUUUCACCUUAGCCUCUUCUUUUUUUUUUUUACUCAAGGCUCCCUUUGUAGGGUUUCACCCUGGUCUUUUUUUUUUGACUCAAAGCACCCUUUGUAGGCUUUCACCUUGGUCCCACCUUUUUUAAGCAGAGUAUUUCCUGACUGAAUAUGAGUUUACAGGACUUUGUAAAUUUUUACCAUCCAUCUCACUCAAGAUCAAAGCUUCUCUAGAAAAGGCUUUCUUUAUAACAUAUGGACCCUUCUAAUUUGGCCUCUAUCUUCCUCUAAAAUCCUUUUGUAUAGGAAGGAUCUUUUUCAACACUAGUUCCCUCUUGUGAAAUUCUUUGGGACGAACCUCCGGGUCUUCCUCUUAGGAUAAAAUGUAGAGAAAUGACAAUUCGACUUCAAUGAGUAAAGCUAUGAUAAGCCAAAGAGGAGGAUAUUGCCCCAGCAAAGAAAGUUUACUGCAUCGUUCAUAGCAUCGAUGUUGAACCUACUGCCCAUUUCUGACAUCAUGCUGUUAUUCAGAUUACAAGCUAGUGCUUAACCCGAGCAUAUCUGGGUAUGACCAUGUGAAGACAUCAUUGAAUUCUUGGGGUAGCUCUAUAAGGUCUCGCCUCGUCUUCGUGAUCAUGUCAAUUCCAAUCUUCACCAAGCUCACAAUUUCUGAUAAUUCAUUGUGAUGUAGGAUCUGUCUAUCCUCUUAUCACCCUCCUCAAGUCUGGAGAUAAGCUACAAUCUAUGUCAUCUUCAAAGUCAUGAGAUCCCUCUAAACACAUGUCUCACUCAAAAGGAAAUUUUGAGUCUGUAGCAGUGUCAUUCAUGACAUUGAUAUCUGGGGACCCAUAGUAGGUAUCUGAGAAUAUACAAAAGAAUGUAUGAAUAAUAUGAAUGAAUGGUUUGGCAGAAAAAAUCUAAAAAAAAAUGAAAAAAACGUAAAGAAUGAAAGAACAUUUGCUCAAAGAUGAUUGCAAUAAUGUAUUUCAUUAAAAUAAUAAUGUUCAGACAUGAGUCAAUUUCACAAAGGUGCUCCUAUUGCUUUUAAGCUAAAAGCAACAAUCGUGUUCUGAAUAUUACUCUAAGUAAGCCCUAGAUGCUACAGAGAUUCCUUUUACAAUCCGAUUAUUUAGACGCUCUCAAGUUUGUAAGGGUGGAUACCUAACAAGGUCCCUUUUCAAGUGUGUCUUCAUAUACGGCAUUGAUAUGAACGCUUUCCAAUUCUUCUUCAUAUGUCGUAUUCAUCCCAUUAUCAAUGUGAUUGGGUAGUGAAUUUUUUGCACUCGAUGAGUCACCAAACUUGACAACACCCAUGUUGAUGAGUCUCUCAACCAGCUUCUUGAAGGCAGUGCAAUUCUCUAUUAAAUGACCUGUAAUUCCCACAUGAUAGUCACAUUGUGCAUUCGCAUCAUACCAUUCGGGAUACGGAGGUUGUAGAGGCUUCACAUGAAAAGGAGAAACAACGUGUUCAUCAAAUAAGCCUUGAUAUAACUCUCUAUACGACAUCGGUAUGGGUGUGAACUGAAGCCUUCCUGUAUUUGUUCUCAUGCAAGGUUCUUGCUUUAAAGGGGCCUGAUGGUUGGUGGUCUUUGUCUUUGGCUGCCCCACAAUAGUUGGUUUUGAGUAGCCCCUAUUAUAUCUGCCUGCAUUAUCCACCUUAUUCCCCUUAUUCCUUGGGGCUUUUACAGUAUCUGGGCGCUCUACUCUUGCCUGCUUUGUUUCUGCUGGGUCAUUAAGGGCAACAGGACUGGUUAGAUUGCCUCUUAGAUUACAACCUGGGCCUAUCGAGUGAUUCAUCAGUGUCGAUGUACCAGUCUGAUAUUGUUGAGGCUUGAUAGUAAAGAGUGCCCCUCGUGGGUGUGCAUCUGGCUGGAUUUGAACACUUAUUGGGAUAAAUUUUGGGGAAUAGGCGAGGUUCUCAUUAUUAUCCCCAAAGUGAACCGCUGGACUUUUCCCUUUUUUCUAACCAUUUACCCAAUAACUGGGUUAAUUGGCUCAUCAUAUCUCUUUGGAAUUCUAAUAGCUGAUCUCUCAUAUCUUGCUGAAAUUUGGUCAAUUGUUCUUGUAUCUGCACUUGCAUUUGCUCUAAUUUCUCCAACCUUUGGUCCAUUUCUCUAGCCUUUUCUUGGGUGCCGUGAGGGUGUUGGUUUUCCAAUUUAACUGAAAUAAUUUUACUCAAUUAGGCUCUUUCAGUGGAUUUUAAUGCAUAUGAUGCUAUGAAAUGCAAAUGCAUGAGAUGAAUGCAAGAAGAGACGUUGAUUCUGAUUCAAUUCUAUUUAGAAAACUUUUCUAGAAGACAAAUUUCUUUACAUAAAGCGGAUAUAUAUAUACGGCUUUGCCCUCAUACUCUAAGCGAGGACAUCUUCUCCUUCUUCAUCUGGAUGCUAAGAUAAAUCUUGCGAAUUCUUCAAAAGGGGUAUCUCCUCUACCUCUUUUUUACUUGAUCCUGGUUAUAAUCCAACGUCUGCCCAUCCCCGUGAUGCUCGUUGGCCUCUUUUUAAGAAGGUUCAGCAGCUCUCAAAUAAUCUUUGUCAUCUUGAAUCCUUGGCCAACGGAGCCAUAGUCGUGUAGUCCUCCAUUAAAUUAUCAUCCUUCUCUUAUCACGAGUUCUUGGACCAUAUUCGAACAACCAAACUGUCAUCCACUUUAUCAAGAAACCCAUUUUCUUAUGACAAGCUCUCUAUUUAGCAACUGAACGUGAAUCAACACCUCUUUUUUUAAGAUGAAAAUGUAAUGUCAUGACAUGCAAUCAAAACAAAACACAAAAAGGUCAGUAUCAUAUAAACAUAAAAUAUAACCAAGAAAUAAAAAAAACUCCUAUUCGGAUAUCUUCUAAGGUUUAGUGUAGCUCUACCUAUGGCGGGUUCCUAAGGCUCACUAUAUGAGGCUCAGUUUCUAGAGUAAGGGUACCCGAACCAGCAGAUUCCUCGAUCCUCACCCAUUAUAGGCUCAUGUGGAUCGAGUUCAGUUCAGGGGGAUACAUUUCCCUAUGGCUGCACGGAGAUGAAAAUCUCACGAAGACAUAGGUACGGAUAUAUCCCGGAAGCGAUCCACUACCCUGCACGGAGGUGAAAACCUCACGAAGGACUAGUUUCUCGCUCCCACUUAAAAGGGUAAAAUGCAAAAUGCAAACGCAAAGUUGCCAACAUACCAAGAUGAAAAAAAAAUCAAUGAAUGCGAAGGGAACUCAUGAAUUUUUUUUAAAAAACUUUUGAUUUUCGACACGAAGACAAAUAUAAUCGGUUUAUGGCUCGACUCUCAAACGUCCCCAGUGGAGUCACCAAGCUGUCGAAACCGUCUUUUUGAAAACAAAAAUUUUGUUGUCGACUUUUAAAAAUAAAACUGGAGUCGCCACCGAUCCUUUAUUAAGGUGUGACCGGCCCACCUUAAAAAUUAUUUUGGUCUGUGAAUUUUGAAAAUAGGUUCGGGAGUCAGUUACGCACGAGGAAGGGUUAGCACCCUCGUAACGCUCAAAAUCGGUACCAAAUUGAUCAUUUAAUGUCUUAGUGUCGAAGAUUAAAAAGAUUUUAAAAUCAACUUGAAUGAUGAAAUUUGCAAAAGGAUAACAAGUUGUUCAAGUCAUGUAAAGAAAUCGAGUCCCAAUACGUUACGGUACAAUUCCUCAUAAUCCCCGAACUUUGAAUAUCACUUUUUAUUUUAUACGAAAAAUCUUCAUUUCGAGAAAGUAACAUGCCACACCCAAUACGUUAGGGCACGACAAGUUAAGUUCCCAAAAAUGAUUUUUACACUCAUGCAUUUUGAAUAAAGAAUAUCCUCGGUUAUUUAAGAUUAGCAAAGAAAAUCCAAACCCAAUACGUUAGGGCUCAAUUUCCCUCGAAAACCUCAAACCUCGAAUAUCGUUUUUAUUCAAAAAAAACCUUGAAGCAAGAAAAUAACUUUGAUGUAUGGUUAAAACCAAAAUAUAUUUUCAAAAAGAGUAUGCUUAAAAGGUAAUGUACAAUAUGAUACAAAUACUUUAACUUAAAGCAUAUAUAAAUAUAUAUUUACAAAAUAAAAAAAUGUAUAAGUAUAUGUAUUGGUAAAUCAUGUAAAUGCGUAUAUAUAUAUAUUAAAAUGUAAAAAUGUAUAUGUUUACAAAAGUCAGGAAAUAAAAACAAAAACAUAUAUACAAGUAUUUAUAAAAGUUUAGAAAUAUACAUAUACUAUAGAAAUGCGCAUAAAUAAAUAUGUGGAAAAUAUAUUUACAAUAAUUUUAAAUAGUGCAUGUAUAUAUAUAUGUAUAUAUAUAUUAAAAAUGUGUAAGUAUAGCAUAUAAGGAAAUUAUGAAAAAUGCGGAUGCAUAUGUAUCAAAUACGUAUAUAAAUAAGUACAUAUAUAUGUCCAUAAGAACAUGAGAAAUGCAAAAGAAAAGAAAAUGCAUUUAUGAUAAUUUAAAAGAGAAAAAAAAAUGCGUAUAUGUGUGAAUUUUAAAAAAUGUAUAUAUAUUACAAGAAUGCACGUGUAUAUAUAUGUAUAAUAAUAUAUAAUGUUAUAAUAAUAAUAGCAAUAUUAAUAAAAUGAACUAAAAAAAUAAAUAAAUUGUGAAACAAAUGAGAUUAAAAAACAAAAAAAAAGGAUCAGAAUGCAAAAAUGCGGAUUUCAUGGGGGUCAAGUAAGGAAUACUCCUUCCCCUCAAAGCGCAACACUUUGCACAGACCAAAUUGAAUCAAAAAUCAAAUAUGCGGUUAAAUGUGAAAGAAAAUAAAACGACAGAAAAAAAGACCAAAUUGAAAAGCGUAUGGAAGGAGGAGGGGCUGCAUGCGAAAUAAACCAAAAUACCCAAAACGCGCGGAUCCUCCCCCCGGGUCGGGUCACCGCACGGGCCAAAGGCCAGGUGGAUCAAAACGACGCUGUUUUAAGGCCGAGGAGACCCCCUAAACGUCGCCGUUUUAUUUGCUUUAAAAAACCAAAAUUUUCCCUAAAAAUUCAUUCUUUCUCCCCCUUUCUGACACUAAAUAGCAGAUAAUCCCUCUGCUAGGGUUUCAUGUUCACAUGCCGCCGCCGUUCAAGCCAUCUUCAUGGCUUCCGUCGAUGCCCCGAUCCCCAAUCGUGUCGGAGAGGGCACCAACUCGGUGACUCCGGCAAAAAGGUAAGUUUUCUCCUCCUUUUCUUCUUUUUAUUUAGGCAAAAAUAAAUGAAAAAGAAAAAAAGAGAAAAUAUAAAAAAUAAAAUAACAUAUAUAUAUAAAUGACAAAUAAAAGAACAAAAAUUAACAAGGUAAAACAGUGAGGAAAAAAACACCUUUCUAUAUCAAAAAGAAAUUUUUGUGUUUGUAUUUAGUUUUUCUUUCUCGGUCACUUUUACACCUUCCCCCCCAUUGUUACAGAUUCGAUAACAGCUUUAAAUAGCCGAAAAUGGGAAAAAAAAUGAACAAAAUCAAAAUAAAAUCCAUUCUAUUUUUUGUUGCAUAUUGUUGCCCGAUUUUUGCUCUUCUAUUUUGUGUUUGUUGCUGCAGGUACUGCUGGAGGCGUGUGCGAGAUUCGCGGCGUGCGCGAGCGACGGGCACGAUGAGCGGGGGGAGUUGGCUCCGAAGCGUGCGCCGAUUGGAGUUGUCGGAGGCGGAGCACGUUGUGGGGGCUUGCGGCGCUGAACUGAACAUGGGGCUAGGGUUUGUUUGGGUGUUUAGGGUUAUUGGGCCUAGGUUUAGCUUAUGUUUUGUAAGGGCCGGGGUAAAUUUGUUUGCUUGGGCCCGGGCAUUAUUGGGCUUGUACAAGGAUUAAAUUGUAAAAUAGAUAAAAACAACUAUAGUUAUACAAAAAAAAAAAUACAAGGGGAUGUUAGGAUAGGCAAAUGCCUUGGCCUUAGAAAUGAUAAAAUUAUGAAUGUAAUCUCUUUAAAAAUUGCAAGUUAUUAUCAAUAUAAAAUUAAAUUUGGUCUACUUAAAAGAAUAUUUUUUGCAUGAAUUAUCCAAAUAUAUAUAUAGUUAAGGGAUGGCAAUUCCCAACAAUCGAAGGUAUUUGAUGCGGAAACCCGGAUCUAGACACAAGAGAAACACAAAUUAGAAAUAAAAACGAGAAUAAAUAAAAUUAGUUCAAUAAUAUUAAUAAUAAAAAAAGAAUAGAUUUGCCCUAUGGAACCCUUGGUUAACUUGCAACCAAAAACGCCAAUGAUUGAGCGGCUCCCUACGAAACCCCUAGAAGAAGAACCUCUAAAAACACCGAUGAACGGGAAGGAAAUUUGAAUAUUUGUAACUCCGAAAAACCCUCGAAGUAACAAACUUCAAACUAAAUAGCAAGAGAAGAAUCACUCUACUCUAAAAAAAUUGCCUCACACAAAUUUGGAAGAAAACCAAUACUCUUUUUUCUUAUGUGCCCCAAUGUAUAGAAAGCAAGCCUAUUUAUAGGCAAAAUACAAGAGUAAUUGAACCCUAAUAGAACUCUUUAAAAUUAACUAAGAAAAUAAAUAAAUAAUAACCUAACAAAUAAAAUUACUUAACUCAUAAGUGAUGUGUCCCAACUAAUGAGAAUUAAGUAAAUAAUAAUAAUAAUAAGAUACAUAAAAGAUUAAUCCACCAAUUUAUGGGCUUUCACUAUUCCAAGAUUGGUCCAGUGAAUUGCAUUCCCAUAUUUGUCAACGUCACGAACAUGAUGAAUUAAAUUUGUAGCAACAAAGUCUUGGACAAAAGCAUUCAUCUUUGAUUUUAAUUGUUGUGCCUUGCUUCGAGUGAUUGGACCACUAGGAAAAACAACCCCUUGAGUGUCACCUCAUUGGCUCGUAUCAUUCUCCCCCUCUUCAAGAAGAUUCGUCCUCGAAUCUAAACCUACAUCAAAUUCAAAAGGAAAAAGAUCAGAAACAUUGAAAGUAACACUAACACUAUACUCACCAGGAAGAUCAAUGCGAUAAGCAUUGUCAUUUAUUUUCUCGAGUACUUGGAAUGGUCUAUCUCCUCGUGCAUCAAGUUCAUUCUUUCUCUUAGAAGGAAAUCGUUCCUUCCUCAUAUGCACCCAAACCCAAUCUCUAGGUUCAAACAAGACUUGCUUUCGCCCUUUAUUUGCUCGAUGUGCAUUGGACUCAUUCUUUUUCUCAAUGGCUUUACGAGCCUUAUCUUGGAUCUCUUUCACUAAAUCAGCUUUCCUUUCACCAUCUAAAUUAGCAAUCUCAUUCAAAGGUAAAGGAAGCAAAUCUAAAACAGUAAGUGGAUUAAAGCCAUAUACAAUCUCAAAAGGAGUAAAACCUGUGGAAGAAUGAACAGAACGAUUAUAAGCAAACUCAACAUAGGGUAUCCAUUCUUCCCAAGAUUUAACAUUCUUACCUAUUAUGGCUCUAAACAAAGAUCCCAAAACUCGAUUUACCACAUCGGUUUGACCAUCAGUUUGAGGGUGGCAUGUAGUAGAGUAAAGUAGCUUAGUACCUAACUUACCCCAUAACACCUUCCAAAAGUGACUAAGAAAUUUUGCAUCUCUAUCGGAAACGAUAGUCCUUGGGAUUCCAUGUAAUCUCACAACUUCACGAAAAAUUAGAUCAGAAACAUGGGUUGCAUCAUCAGUCUUAUGGCAUGGAAUAAAAUGAGCCAUUUUAGAAAAUCGAUCCACAACUACAAAGAUGACAUCUCGUCCACGCUUUGUCCUUGGUAAACCUAUUACAAAAUCCAUUGAAAUGUCAGUCCAAGGUGAACUAGGAACAGGAAAAGGAGUAUAUAGACCAUGAGGCAUCACAGUGGAUUUAGCUUGUUUACAAGUAAUGCAAGUAGAGCAAAUUUUCUCAACAAGUUUUCGCAUGUUAGGCCAAUAAAAAUGCUCAUGUAAAACAUCAUAAGUCUUAGUGACUCCAAAAUGACCCAUAAGACCACCAUUAUGAGCCUCUCGAACCAACAAUUCUCGCAUUGAACUCUUUGGUAAGCAUAGUCUAUUAUUUCGAAAAAGAUAGCCAUCAUGCUUAUAAAAUUUGUGAAAUGCACCAUGUUCACAUGCGUCAUAAAUGCUUGUAAAAUCAGAAUCAGUGGCAUAUAAAUCUUUGAGAUACUCAAAACCUAAUAACUUAGUAUGCAAAGUACUAAGUAAAGUGUACCUCCUUGAUAGAGUAUCAGCCACAAUAUUAUCUUUACCUUUCUUAUACCUUAUAACAUAAGGAAAAGAUUCAAUGAAUUCAACUCACCUCGCAUGUCGCUUGUUCAACUUACCUUGUCCCUUUAAGUGCUUAAGUGAUUCAUGGUCAGUGUGAAUCACAAACUCCUUUGGUAAAAGGUAAUGUUGCCAAACUUCUAAUGCCCUUACCAAGGCAUACAACUUUUUAUCAUAGGUCAAAUAGUUCAAAUGUGCUCCACCAAGUUUCUCACUAAAGUAGGCUAGUGGUUUACUAUCUUGCAUGAGGACGACACCUAUACCUACACCAGAAGCAUCACAUUCAAUCUCAAAGGUCUUUUCAAAAUUAUGUAAAGCAAGAAUAGGAGCAUUACACAAUUUAUCUUUAAGUCCAUUAAAUGCUAAUUCUUGCUUAUCUGUCCAAUGAAAAGAUACAUCCUUUUUAAUAAGUGCAGUCAAAUGCGAAGCAAUUGUGGAAAAGUUACGAACAAACCUGCGGUAGAAAUCGGCUAACCCAAGGAAAGACCUUACCUCAGAAACAGUUUUAGGGAUAGGCCAUUCUUUAAUUGCCUUUACCUUCUCCUCAUCCACAUGGAUUCCUGUAGAACUUAUCACAAAACCCAAAAAAACAAGCUUAUCUGUACAAAAUGUGCAUUUUUCAAGAUUAGCAAAGAGUCGUUCAUGCCUUAACACAUCCAAUACUAAUUUAACAUGCCCAACAUGAUCAUUCAAAGUUUUACUAUAAAUCAGUAUGUCAUCAAAAUACACAACGAUAAAUUUUCCUAAAAAAGGUCUAAGUAUGUGGUUCAUUAAUCUCAUGAAUGUGCUAGGAGCAUUAGUUAAGCCAAAUGGCAUGACUAACCACUCAUACAUGCCAUAUUUAGUCUUAAAAGCAGUUUUCCAUUCAUCACCUUGUUUCAUUCUUAUUUGAUGGUAACCACUUUUUAAGUCAAUUUUAGAGAAAAUACAUGCACCAUUAAGCUCAUCCAACAUAUCAUCUAAUCGAGGAAUUGGAUGUCGAUACUUUACCGUAAUCUUGUUGACAGCACGACAAUCAACACACAUUCUCCAAGAACCAUCUUUUUUUGGGACGAGAAGUACAGAGACCGCACAAGGGCUUAGACUCUCACGAAUCAACCCUUUCUCUAAGAGAUCUUCAACUUGCCUUUUCAAAUCCUUAGUUUCUUCAGGAUUGCUUCGAUAGACUGGUCUAUUCAGAAUACUCGACCCAGGCACAAAGUCAAUUUGAUGUUCAAUCCCUCGUAAAGGAGGUAAUCCCUUAGGCAUUUCAGAAGGAAAUACAUCCUCAAAAUCCUGCAAAAGAUCAACAAAACAACUAGGCAAAUGUCUAUUAGGGUUAGUCAAAACAAAGUUUUCCCUAAACCUAAUAAUUACAAAUGUUUGUUUUAUACAAAAAUCAAAUUUGAUAUCUCGAAACCUAGCGAAUAAACUCACUCUCUCAUCUCGUGACUUGUGUGUGCAAUCACUCACCAAUGUUGGGCCUUUAAGUUGGCUUUUAACACUAAUGGCCUCUUUACUCUCAGCCUUUUUCAAUGAUUUUACCUCACUUCCCUUACCCAUCUCACUAGCAAAUUUGAGUUGAUCAUUGUAGACUUCUUGAGGAGGAAGUGGAGCCAAAGUAAACUUCUUUCCAAGGAACACAAAGGUAUAUUGGUUAAGGAAACCAUCAUGAUUUACUCGUCGAUCAAACUGUCAUGGCUGUCCAAGUAAUAUGUGCCCAGCUUGCAUUGGAACAACAUCACACAAAACUUUAUCAGAGUAUCUACUAAUGGAAAAUGAAACUAAGCAUUGUUUAGAUACUUUUACCUCCCUACUAUCAUUCAGUCAUUGUAAGCGGUAUGGCCUUAGAUGCUUCACACAAGGUAGGCCAAGUUUCUUAACAAGGGAAGAACUCACCACAUAGGUGCAACUUCCACUAUCGAUGAUCAAUGAACUAGGUUGUCCACCAAUCAAACAUCUCGUGUGGAAAAUGUUAUCUUUUUGUUCGCGCCCUUCCUCUUUAAACUGGACAUUUAAAGCCCUUCGAGCAACAAGUGCUUUCUCACCAUACUCCAAGCAUUCUUCAUACUCAUCAUGAGCAUGCAUAUCAUCAGCAUCUUCCAAAGGAGGCAUCUCAUUUUCGUUAUCAGACUCAAAAUCAACCUCGCCAUCUUCUCGAAUCACCAAUGACUUUUUAUUAGGGCAUUCUUGAGCAUAGUGACCCCUUCUUGGCAUUUGAAGCAAGUAAUAUCUUUUGGCUGCUUAAUGGCACUAGGAGAAGUAGAAGAAGAAGAUGGAGCUCGAUUAGUAAAAGUAGAACCUUUAAAUGAAUUAGGCAUACCUCUAUCUUUGGAGUAAGUUCUAGGCUCAUUUGGCUUGAACCGUACAUCUCUCCUAUUCCACAAUCUAUCAUCUUGUUUUUGCCAAUUUCCUCUCCAAGCAGGAUUAGAAACAGAACUAGUACCCCUCGGUGUCCCUUGCUUUCGUAAUUGCUUUUCAAUGGUGAGUGCGGUUUGAAGCAUCUCUUCAACAUCCAUGUAGUGUUGUAACUCAACUCGAUUUGCAAUAUCAGGCUUUAAGCCGGCAAGGAAUCUAGCCAUAGUCACCUCAGCCUCUUCAACAAGAUUGACUCUAAUCUGAAUAGUCUCCAUCUCAUUGUAGCAGUCAUCAACAGAUCUAUCUCAUUGAACAAGAUGUUGGAGUCUUUGAUGGAGUUCUCGAUAAUAGUAUGGUGGAACAAAUCGUUUUCGCAAGAUGCACUUCAUUUCAACCCAAGUAGUAACAGGUUGCUCUCUAUAAAGAAUCCUGCUUUUACAUAAUUGAUUCCACCAUGUUAGUGCAUAAUUAAUAAACUCAGCGACAGCGUAUGUUACCUUUUUCUCAUCAAAGUAAUUGUAACAAGCAAAGACUGCUUCCAUCUUUUCCUCCAAAUCAAGGUAAGCAUCAGGAUCAUUCUUCCCUGAGAAAGAAGGAAAUUUUGGUUUGGGGGUGUCAUUGCUUCGUUCCAACCUUUCUCUAGGUACAUACUCGGACUCAAAGUCAUCAUAAAAAACAUGGUCCUCCAUUCGUUUAAAAGUUUGAUCUCGCUAAUUUGAUCGACUUAUAAAGGCUUCGUUCAACUUCUUGUAAUUAUCGGCAAUGUAUCUCUCUUAAGUUAUAAGUUUUGUAUCAAGAUACUCCCUUUGCUCUCGUAACAUUUAGGUCAUGCGAUGUUCGAAUUGAGUUUGCAACUUUUUCAUCUCUUUUUGUAACAACCCGACCAAAGGAUCGUUCUCUCUUUUUUGCCCAUCCUUUUCAUUUUUACUAGUUUGGGAUCUAGUGAGCGGCAUGGUAUCUGUGAAAGAUCACACAAACAGGAACAAGAAAGAAAGAAAAAUAAUAAUAACCUCACUCGUUAGCUCUCAAAAGAAUAACUCUCUAAAUGAUUCAAAACUUGGAAAUAUGUUUGGAGUGGGUUACAAAUCAAGAUCAAAUAACGGAGGUGCAAACUUCAAAGAAACAAUGAAGGCUCUAAUUGCUCUAAGAGGCCAAUAAACUUGAUUAGGCAAUUUGUAAUUGAGGCUACAUGGAUGAAGGAAUUGUGCGUGCCUUUAAUAUCUGCAAACACAAGAAGAAACAAAGUGUUAGAAAAUGUAAGAGAAACAAAAAAAACAUAGACCUGCAACGAUCCCUAACUCUAGAGUCAAAGAAAAGCUUUAAUAAGAAGAAAACUUAAGAAAAAUCUACCCAAUUUAAAAAGAAACAAAAAAUCGGAAACAUUUGGUGUCUUAAGAUUUUCAAAAAGUGAAGCUUUAAUUAUACUUGAGUCAAGAAAAGAAGAAGGAAAAGAAAUUCAAUUUUGGGAAAAAUAAAAAUAAAAAUAAUAACAAUAAUAGGAAAAGAAGAAACCUACGUAUGAAAGGUAGGCAAAUUUUUUUUUGCGGUUUUUUUUUGCGCUUUUUGCUGUUUUUUUUACUCGUUUCGGAUAUGACUUUAGCUUCAAAAAUAACACCGAAUGGCCUGAAAUUGAUACCAACUGAUGCGGAAACCCGAAUCUAGACACAAGAGAAACACAAAUUAGAUAUAAAAACGAGAAUAAAUAAAAUUAGUUCAAUAAUAUUAAUAAUAAAAAAAUGAUAGAUUUGCCCUAUGGAACCCUUGGUUAACUUGCAACCAAAAACGCCAAUGAUUGAGCGGCUCCCUACGAAACCCCUAGAAGAAGAACCUUUAUAAACACCGAUGAAUGGAAAGGAAAUUUGAAUAUUUAUAACUCCGAAAAACCCUCGAAGUAACAAACUUCAAACUAAAUAGCAAGAGAAGAAUCACUCUACUCUAAAAAAAAAAUUGCCUCACACAAAUUUGGAAGAAAACAAAUACUCUUUUUUCUUAUGUGCCACAAUGUAUAGAAAGCAAGCCUAUUUAUAGGCAAAAUACAAAAGUAAUUGAACCCUAAUAGAACUCUUUAAAAUUAACUAAGAAAAUAAAUAAUAACCUAACAAAUAAAAUUACUUAACUCAUAAGUGAUGUGUCCCAACCAAUGAGAAUUAAGUAAAUAAUAAUAAUAAGAUACAUAAAAGAUUAAUCCACCAAUUUAUGGGCUUUCACUAUUCCAAGAUUGGUCCAGUGAAUUGCAUUCCCGUAUUUGUCAACGUCACGAACAUGAUGAAUUAAAUUUGUAGCAACAAAGUCUUGGACAAAAGCAUUCAUCUUUGAUUUUAAUUGUCGUGUAUUGCUUCGAGUGAUUGGACCACUAGGAAAAACAACCCCUUGAGUGUCACCUCCUUGGCUCGUAUCAGUAUUGCCCUCUAACGGGGGGUUUUACCUCCCCCUCACCCAUAGUACUUUGUUGAGAGCUAGUAUAUCGUGAACGUCUACCUAUUGGACUACACAUUGAAGAAUUCUCUCUCAAAGUCGAAACCCCUCCUCAACAAGCCUAAUCAAGUGAACUAGAACCUUUUUCUCGUAUGGAACUCGAAUUUUAGAAGUAAAAUCCAAUUCAACUUGAGUUCAAAUUUUUUAUUAGGGUUAAUGAAUUUUUUGCCUUGAAUUUGAAAUUAGGUCCACUUUAAUAUCCGUCCAUUUUUUAGUCCAUUUUGAUACAAGAACUUGACAAGCAAGUCAAUUUUGAUCCCAGAACUCGAAAAAUAUAAAAGUUCUGAUGGUGUGAUUGUAUUAUGUCAUCAUAUCUAGACGAAAUCCAAAUUUAAAAACCAAAAUCAACUUAAUUAUCAAAUUCAAAUAUUAAUAUGGACAAAAAAAACAAACAUAUAUUAAAGUGGACCUAUUUAUCAAGUUGAUGGGCCAAAAUUUAUAUCAACCCCUUUUAUAACUUAGUCGUGGUCAACGUUAUUAUUUAAACUAGAAAAAACUGACCGAAUAAAAAAUCUAUGGAUAUAUCAAUUUAAACAUCAAAUUUAGAUGAAAUAAACCAAGUAAAUAAAAAGCUGAUAAUUUGACUAACACAAUUAGGUAUGCGAUUAUUAAAACAUGGCUACUCAGCUGGAUUGAGUGUGCUAAUUAAUGAAGUCAACACGCCAUGUUCUUGUGACAAAUUUUACAAAUGUUGUUCACAAGUUUUAUGUACCAGAUCACAAAUUUAGCUUCAACAUCGAGGUUGAGGCAAAGAUUAAAAAAACAUAUUAAAAAAAUAAAUUGACGCCGAUUAAGUUUUAACUUGAUUCACGUGAAUAUUAUUCUUCUAUACAUCAAAAUUUAAAAACUUAUGAUUGGCCUCCAAAUCAUGGAAUUUUAUUGAUUCCUUAAUUUCCAUUGAUAAAUUCUACUCUCUUUUUUUUCUAAAUAAAGCAUUAAAAAUAUGUUAUAUUUAAAAUUAAAUAAAAUAUCAUAUUAUUAUUAAAUUAACUCAGAUUUAAUUAAUCUAAUUAAAAGAUGAUUAAUAUAAAGACUUGAACAGAAUUUAAAAUUCAGGUGAAGUCAAAUUUAGAUACUAAACUUAAAUCCAAUCGUACAUACGAACACCUUUAGCUACCAUUCAUUUACAAACAAAGCGACGUAAACAAAAUUUGAGAUACAUAUAUUAUUAUAUGAAUUUUAAAUUCUGUUCAAAUAUUGUUAAUGGGGAGCAUCGUUUGUUAAAUUGCCCACUAUGGUAGACUCCAUGGGACCAUCAGUUGGUGAACCCUCACACCAAAUGUUAGCUUUUGCAUUUUUUUCGAAUUACUUGAAUUAUGUUAUUUGCAUUUCUAUCAUACAUUUGUAUUUUUAAAAUUUGAAAUUUUCGUACUACUUAAAUGGUAAUUGUUAAAUUUGUUAAAUUGAAUUCUAUUAUUUCUAAGAUAUUAUAUAGUAAACAUAUUAUUACAUAUGUAAUGCCGUAUUAACUUAGUAUUUUCACGUAAUACUUACCAAAACACAUACAAGCUAUUUUAGUUAAUGAAUUCAACAAUUAUCGUUUUAAGUCAAGAUGAAAUUUUAAAAUUCAAAAAGUAUAAAGAUAAAAAAUAAUCUACUUGGAGAAUCGGGAUAAACCCAUAAUUUGUUGGACUAAUAACAUAAUUUGACGAAACAAUUUAACUACUACCAAUUGAUUCAGAGUUGAAAUUUUAAAUUUUGAAAAAUAUGAAGAUUAAAAUUAAUCUAUUCAAAAAAUAAAAAAAAUUAAAAUAGACCAAAUUAGAAUAUAAAAUUAAACCUAUAACUUAUGCAUAAUACAAACAUCCUUAAAUUAUCAAUUCCAUUUCAAGGAUAUCAUCUCUUCUCAUCAUCAUCAUCAUUGAGAAUGGAUUGUAUAAAACUGUGAUUCCACGUCAUCUUUAUCCUUUUCCAAUAGGAAAAUGACAAAUCAGUUUUUUUCUCUUAAUUUUUAGCAUUUUUAGUUAGAUUUGAAUUUUUGUAGGAAGAAAAAUCUGAUUUGUUAUUCUCCUAUUUGAAAGAUAUAAAGAUGACGUGGAAUUACAAUUUCAUACAAUCCUUUCACCGUAAUGAUAAUUUGAUAUAAGCUAACUCAUGAACAGUCUCGCAAUAAGAAAGAAUCCAAUGGUUAUUUUCGAUUGAUUGAGCCAUUUAUGACCAUAAAACUAAGCUCAUAACUUGAACCACUAAUCCAUAGACAACAAAUAUAUGUGUCCCCAACUCAUAAUAUUUAGCCAUUGGGUCGCCAUUUUGCCCCCUUUGGUUUGAUGGAUUUAAUAACAAUUUGAUAUUGAUGUCCCAGCCAGAUUUUGCUGCUUUGUGUUUUCUAUUUAUUUAUAAAAUCAUAAUUGCUUCAUAAAUUUAAUAAUUUUUCACAUUAAUUUUUAAUUUUUAAUAAUCUCAUUAUAGAUUUCGAUAAUAUAUGUUCUUUUUGACACAAUAUCUAGAACUACUCAUAACUCCUCAUCAACCCAUAAAUAGGAGAAUAAUGCGCUUUAGCGCACUUGAACACAUGUCUUCAUGUAUUGACAAUAAUGCUCACGUUUUCAGCGCACUUGACCACUUUUUAAAGGAUAAAUUGCACCCAAGGUAUUAAACUAUUAGUAAAUUUAAUUUUGGUCAUUCAAUUUCAAAAAGUUACAAAAUUAGCACUAAACUAUUUGAAGGUUUUUAUUCAAGUCACUUGACAGUUGUGUUUUUCCUUUUUAAAAAGUUUGGUUAGUGAACUUCAAACGAUGAUUCAACGAUCGGUGUGGUAAAUCAAUAUCAAUCGACGAGUAAAAAAACAUACCUUAAACCCAAAUUGAUCUGAUAGUUAAUAUCAAAGAUCAAAAAAGAAAAACUAAUUGAGAAAAAAAACUAAACUGUAAAAGUGUUAAAUAUAUCUCUAUUCAUAAAUUUUAAUUAUUUAUAUAGUGUUAAACAUCAAAAGCAUUAAAACUUGUACAAACUGGUAUAAGUUUUCAUGCCUCAAGGUAAACAAAACACUUUUUUCUUUAGAUUAAAUACUAGCUAAACCUGAUCUUGAUGCGAUAUGUAAAUUCGGUUUUAUUUAAAAUUUUAAUUUUCAAUUAAGAUUUUGAAAAUAAAAUGUGUCAACUAGCUUACUUGAUUAUAUUAAUUUUUAUUUUAUAAGGUUUUAUAAAAGUUAAAAGAGUCGAAACUAAUACAUGUUUAUAAAAUUAGAAGAUAGGUACUUCAGUAAAUAUUUCUGGUGGAUUUGUCCAGAGCUGCCCUAAAUCCAACCCAAUGGUUGUGACAAAAACCGAACCCGACAGACCUCAGAACUCUAUUUUCAAGAAGAAUAAACAAGGUGAUUAAUAAAUUUACAUUUUCAUCAUUUAAUUUUAAAAAGUUAUAAAAAAUCAUUAAAUUAUUCAAAAAUUUUCAUUUAAAUCACCAAAUUAUUUGAAGUUUAAGUUCUUUUUUUAAAAAAAAGGUUUGACCAACAAGUCCCAUGCAACUAUUCGGCAAUCAAUAUGGUGGAGCAUUACUCAUUGACAAGUAAAACAUACCUUAAAUUCAAGUUGAAUUAAUGGCUAACCUAAAAAAUUGAAAAAAAUUAUUUGAAUUUUAGUUCAUAGAUUCGUGACUUCAAAGUUGUUUCAUGAUAAUAAAAAAACCCUAAAUCGUAAAGUGAAAAAGAAAAAAGCUUUCGGUUGACACAAAUUAAGCGAACAGUAAAGGCCAUACAACAACAAUUUUAAUAGUCCAGCGACUUAAAUGAAAACUUUUGAAUAAUUCAAUGAACACCUGUAACUUUUUUUAUUUUGAGUGAGCAAAACCUACAUUUAUUAAUAAUUUAAUGACUUUUGAUGUAAUUUAUCCUUCAAGCAACAAUCCUUACAGGAUCUGAUAUGAUUGUAUAUACUAUAAAUUCUAACAUUUGCAAUUCCUUCCCUAUAAUCAUCAGGAAAGAAAAAAACCCCUCACAUUUAUUAUUAAAAAAAUCAGUAACGUCACCCAUUCCCCCCCGCCCCCUCCUCAAAAACUGAUAAAUCAAGUAUAUGAACGCACAUACACAUAUCCCAAACCAAUGCCAAACUGUGAUAAUCAUAAACCAACCAUUGCAUAAUCCCAGCUUAAGUUUGAAUUUCUACAUUGACUUUAAAACUGCCAAAAGAAAAACAACAAUGUCAAAGUUUGUCUUUUAUCAAGUUAUCACAUUCUCCAUAUGCUUCAAGUCUAAUACAUAAAUAACCCUUCUAAAACUAUUAGCAUACAGCGGUAAUCAUCGGAAAACUUCAUGUUCAACAGCAUACACGUGCUUAAUCUCUUUAGGUACAGAAGGAAGGCACGUGGGUUUUACCAGAUUACUGAUUAGCUUCAGAAGGUUGUGCGUUGGCAUUGAAAUUGUCAAACCCGCCACUUGUUGGGGCAGUAGGAUUGGGUGCUCCAUUAGAAGAAGUGGGUGUCGUUACAGUUCCAGAAACUGUUGUUGGGGGAGCCAAUGUAGGAGGUCGUGGAAGGCCAUUUACUUGUCCAGGCAAAGGAGCACCAGGUGGUGCCAUCAUUGGUGGCAUGCCUGGAACGGGAAUAUAACCUGGCAACGAAACCAAAAUGAAAAUUUAAUAUUUUCAAAUUCAAUUCCAUUUUAUGUUUGUAAUUGAGAUCUAUAUAAUGGAAAAGCCGACGCCAGAGCCAAUCAAACGAGAUGAAGUGCUUAACAUAUAAAGCAUCUCUAUUGGUAAGCAAACAAGUAAGAAAUUCCCCAAGUUCACAAGCACCACAUAAAUUCAUGAUGAUACAAAUAACCAAAUAGCCAAACCCCGUAUCAGCAAGAACACAAAUAAUACUAGUACGUAUGAAAUCUUACAUGGAGCACCUAGAAAUGGUCUUGGCAGACUAUGGGGCCUCAUCCUAGGACCAUUGGUUGAUUUACAGAAUAGUGCAGCCCAAGAAUGAGACGGUGUAUGCAAAAAAGCAGUUCAAUGGAAACAAAAAAAAGCAUCCAAAAGUUUCUUCAAGUUCACUAUCACAAGUCGCAACAUCAAUUCGGGAUGGGAUAUGUUUAUUAACCAAAGACUGAAACCCCAUACUAGCAAGAACACGAAAUAUGCUAAUAUGAAUCUCACCUGGGGCACCUGGAAUUGGUCUUGGCAGAACAGGGGGCCUCAUCCCUGGGACCAUUGGUUGGUUUACAGGUAAUGGAGCCCCGGGAAUCGCCAUAACAGGAAGUCGAGGCCUCUGAGCCAUUAAAUGUUGAUUGAAAGCAGCUCCAACCUGCUGGAAAGCCGCAGCUUGACCAAGAUGUUCCUUGAUCCUUUGGUCUAUUAAGCUCUGGGUCUGUUGCUCCUCAAAUUGCUGAUAGUAAGUUCUAACAUUCGCCUAAAAUUACAUACAAAAAAAAUCAGCAAAAGAAAAAAAUGUAUAACUCACAACACUAAUCAAUACAAAGACAAAAAUCUCUACAAAUUACCUUGUGCUUGUAACCUGCAUUGUGUUGCUUUCUAACUGAUGGCUGAAAUUUAAACCCGGAAAGAAAAAAGAACGGUAAUCAAUUAUUGUAAAAGCGAUAACUCAAACUAAUGAAGUUAAUUAAUUUUCGAAAAAUUCAACCAAAAAUUUGAAGACCCAAAAGAAAAGAAAUAGGAAACUUACAGAGUCAUGGGUCAAAUAAGUAUCGCAAUAAUCACAGUAAUACCUGCAAAAUUUGAAUCCAAAUAAACAUAUCCAUAAAUUGUUAAUGAAAAUUAGUUCGUAGCGAGAACUUUAAUUAAGAUUGGACGCAUUUGUAAAGAUCCGUACCGAGGCAUUGCGAAACGACUCAGAAUCGAAGCUAAUUGGUUGAAGAUCGUAAAACCCUAGAGAGAGGGUACCGUAGCAAAAGCCCUAGCUCAAGUACAGAGAAAAACUUAGAAUGAAAAACAGAACGGGGAUUUUGGGUUUGUCUGUAGAAAUUUUAAUGGUAGUUUAUAUUCAGUUUUAGGAUCCUCAUUAAAUAUCUUAUGUUAUAAUUAGGGGUAUUCAGUCCCUCGAUUCAACCCAAUUAUUAUUGAAAUAUUUUUGUUAAUUCAGUUGGUUCAAAUUAAUCAAAAUUUAUAUAUUUCUGAACUAAAUAAGGUUGAUAUGUUACCUUUUUACGCCAUUUUAAAUUUUAUUUAGGGAAAUAUGUUGUUUUCAAGGAGUGUGUGGGAAAACGCAUCUCGUUAGACGUGUUUUUCCUUUUAAUUUUUAAUUUUUUUUAUUUUUUUAAUACAAUUAAUUUUUUUAGUUGGGUGGUUAAAUGUUGGUGGUUUUAUUUUUAAGUCCUAAGUUUAAUUUCUCUCCCACUCAUAUUUAUAAUUUUUAUUUCAUGUUGUUUUAAUUUUUUUUAAUGAAUGUUUUUAACGUAUUAGCUUCCUUAGUUAAAUAGUUAAAUAAUAAUGAUUUCAUUAUCAUUAAGACCCAGAAUCAUUUCCUCUUUUCUAAACAUAUUUAUAAUUUUUAUUUCAUACUAUUUCAAUUUUUUUAAUUAAUAAAUAUAUUGUUUUCAAUUUUUUUAUUUUAAUUCAUCUUUUUAAUUAAUAAAUAUUUUAUUCAUAAAAUCAAAUAAUUAUUACAAAUAUGGUUAUUUUUAGUAAAUAUAAUUUUUAUAUGUGUAGUUAUUUUAUAAUAUUUAUGAUCCUCUAAUUUUUAUAUGAAAAAAAAUGAUAUUUGAAAUAUUUUAUAUAUAAAAACAAUAAUUAUAUUAAAAAUAAUUAUUUUAUUUUAUAAUAUUAAAAAUCACCAUACCUACAAUAUAUGCGGAGAAAAUAAAUAUUUGACAUAUAAAUAUUAUAUAUAAAAAAAUAAUCAAAAAAAAAUAGUUGAUGUUUAUAUUAUAUAUAAAGGAGUUAUUAAUUUCAAAUAUUUUUAACAUAACGAUAUAUGUAUAAUAUAUAUUUUUAUUAUAUAAUUACAAAUUUAUUAUUUGAUUUUAUGAAUAAAAGAGUUAUUAAUUAAAAAGAUGAAUUAAAAUAAAAAAAUUGAAAAUAAUAUAUUUAUUAAUUAAAAAUAAAAAACUUGAAACAAUAUGAAAUAAAAAUUACAAAUGUGUUUAGAAAAGGGGAAAUGGACUUAGGUCUCAAAGAUGAAAUCAUUAAUAUUUAACCACUUAACUAAGGAAGUUAAUAUGUUAAAAACAAUCAUUAAAAAAGAAGAAGCAGAAGCUUAAAAAAAGCUGAAAUAAAAAUUAUAAAUAUAACUGGGAGAGAAAUUGAACCUAGGACUUGAAAGACAAAACCAUUAGUAUUUAACCAUCCAACAAAAAAAAAAUUAAUUAUAUUAAAAAAAUCAAAAUUUACAACUUAAAAGGGAAAACGUGUCCAGGAAAGCUCGCCUAGCUGGACGAGCUUUCCCUCAAAAUCAGCCUAUAUCCAUAAAUAAUUUUAACAACGGUCCAAAAGGCUAAAUAAAUUUCAAAAUUGGCAUAUAGGUCUUAUUUAGCAUUUUGUCUUUUGGUUAAAAUAAAUAUAAAACAUAUAAAAGAAAUAAAUUGUUAAUUUUUUUAAUAGUUCAAAAAAUUAUAUUAUUUAUUUUGGUUAAUAUAAAAAAUAAUUAUUCAAAAAAUACAUUGUUAAUAUAAAAAUAUAUUAUAUACAAUAUAUUAUUUAUUUUGGUUAAUUUAGUUAAUAUGAUUAAUUACUCGAUUUCGAAUUGAAUUAAUUGAUAAUCAAAAUUUCAAAAAAUCAUUAAUUGACCUCCAACCAAAGUAAAUACGAUCACCAACUGAAUAAUCAAAUUAAAUGAAUUCAAUUUUAAUCAAACUAUAAACAUCUUUAAAUAUAAUUGGUAUUUUUCUCCAAAGCUAAUUGUUGUUCACAUUACAGAAGUAAGCCGUCUGAGCUUAAAAGUACCCUUUGAAAAAAGUUGGCCUGUGGAAGACUUGGGCUUUUAAGGUUGAAGGCUCAAAUUCAAUUCGGCCUGAUAGAUAAUUUUUUAAUGUUUUAUUUUAUAUAUGUAAUUUACAAAUUUAAUAUUAUAAUGUUAAUAGUAGAUAAUAUGUUAAAUUUUUUAAUUUUAAAAUUUAAUCAAAUAAAUUAUUAAAUUUUAAAUUAAAAUAUCAUAUUUAAAAAAUAUUAAAAUAUUAAAAUAUAAUGUGGGAGGCCUAAAAUGAAUUUAAUUAACUAUUUAUAAAUAUGACAGACUUGAUAAAGUUUAAAGCUAUGUCAAGUUUUAACAAUAGUGAAUAAUAGUAAUAUCACACAUAGGUUUGUCUCAAAUUUAACUUGUCUCGGUAUAAGAAUACCUCUACUUGAAUAUACUGAAAAUUUAAUUAAAUACCAAAAUAAGUAUGUUAAAAAGUAAAAUUUCAGAAUAUAUAAUAGUCCUUUUUUUCCCGAGCCUAAGAUUACUAAAGUGUAUUUAGUAUAGAUUUCAAGACUUUGACAUCGAUGGCUAUCGAGUUGUUUUUAAAACUAAUCAAUGUAUAUACAUUUAUUACUGGUUGCUAGGUAAUUAAUAUAAGAGUACCUCGACACUUAUUAAUUAAAAUUUUAACUAUUUGUUGAAUUUUUCUUUGAAUUGUGUUAUUUGUGAUAAAUUUAUAUGAAAGGACCUCGAUCUUAUAAAUCUAAAUUUAAUUUUUGAUAAGUUUUCUUUUGAAUUGUGUUAUUUAAGUCCUUAAUUAUUUUACUAUUAAUCAUAAUUUAUUUUUCAUGGGUUGGGUAAAUAAUUGGAGAAAAGUGAGUUAAAGUUAACUUUUAGCAAGUUUUUACAUAUUUUGGACAUAAUUUGAACCACAGAACUCCGAUUUGGGCCUAGAAUAUACUAUUUUAAAGGAAAUGGAAAGACCUAAUCGAAGUUAUCAUGACUCAAGCCUAGAAAACUUCGUGAAGGUGCCCAAAAUUGGCUUAAAAGUUUGACGCAAAAAUCUGCCCAAAAAUUUAAACUUUUUUGUUUUAUUUAUAAUCUACAUAAAAGCACAGAUUUAAAAAAAAACUUUUGAAUUGAUAAGAAUAUCAUUUAUUAUUAAAUAUACUACUAAAUUCAUAAUAAUAAAAGUAGGUUAAUUAAAUCAAUUAACAUGAUAGUAUAUUCAUGUGAAAUUAAUUAAUUUAAUGAUAUCUUUUAAAAGUUUUACUUAAAAAUUAAUAUAUUAUUAAUUAAUUAAAUUAUAAAUCUAUAAAAUUAUUGAAUAUAAUUGAAUAAAUUAAAAAUAUUAAAAAAUUAAGUUUUUAUAAUUAAAUCAAUAAUAUAUAUGACAAUAAUUAAUAAUGUUAAUGUAAUACCUAAUUGGUGCCCAAGGCCCAAAUUAACCAAUCUGGCCCAAUUACAUUUGGCCCAAUAAGGCCCAAGUCACUAAACCAAACCCAAACACCAGUCUAACCCUAAACAGUGGUUACAGCAGCUACCCUAGCGCCGUGCAUGCUCCACGUCGCAACAAUCUCCAGAACUGUAACACCCCCUAACCCCAAAUCGUCGCCGGAAUAGGGUUACGAGACAUUACCGGACAUAUCAGAUAAUUUACAAUAAUUCUUAAAUAAAUAACAAACAUAUUAAAAUAAAAUCAUAAAAUCAUAUAAUAUUUUACUAAUUGACUUCAUUCAUUUUUUUUUAUAAAAAUUUCGGCAGCACUUCCGCUUAUUUUUACAUAGAACCCCCUACAAUUAAAACCAUAUAUUUUCCAAACAUAACCAAAUCAACCAAUUCAUUUCACAUUCACAUUUUCUAUUCUAAAUACUUCUAAUCAACUCAAUCAACAUAAUAUCAGUUUAAAUUUAACAAGGUACUAAAUAAAUCAAAAUAGAUAAACUUCUUUUAUUAUAAAUCUUAAACUUAUAAUACUAACAUUUUUAACCAUUUAUAUUAAAACAUAAUAACCUUUAUACACAUCCUAUGUACAUGCCACAUUACCAAAGAAAAUAUACAUCACCAAAGCUAUGCUGAAGCCGGGAUUAAUCUGGAUGCUGAACCGGGACCUUUGACUUCUAUCGACCUGCGCACGGAAACAAUCGUACGCUGAGUAUUGCGUACUCAGUGGUAUUACCAUAAUUCAAAUUAUAACAAUAAUAAACAUAUAAUGCAUAAAUCGUAUAUACAAUUUAAAAUUCCAUAUUUCAACAAUAGCAAUUCAUCAAUUGAUAUCAUACAUCCAUAAUUUGAAUUUGGACAUAUCAUGAAUCUUAAGUUCAUUUCUCAAUCUCAUAUCACAUUUCAAUUCACAAUUCAACUUUUUCAUUUCAUUUGAAUAGCUUGUUUGAUCAACUCAUUCAGUUUAUCAUUUCAUUUUUUACCCUAUUAACAAAACUCGGACUUUGGCGGAUACACAGAUCCAACCAAACACACCAAUAUGGCACCCAGUGCCUCAUCGGAUAGUUCGAAGCAAUAGUUGACACCCAGUGUCUCAUCAGCCAAGCUGAAGUAAGUUGGUACCCAGUACCUCAUCGAAUCUAUCCGAAGAAAUAUAGUGACACCCAGUGUCUCAUCGACUCGAGGUCGAAGUAUCCCUGAACUCUUCCAAUCCUAUGGCAUGCCAACUAUAUCCGACUCAGCCCGACUAGUUAAUAGGGUAUUUAAGUCACAUAUAAUCCCAAUUCAAUCACAAUUUCUCAUAUUUUUAAUUCAAUCAUUUUUCCACCUUUCAAUCAAUAAUUAAUCCACAAAUUCACAUAUUUUCACAACUCAAUACAUUUCCAUUCAAUUUAAUAUCAGUCACAAUUCGAUUCAAGUUCACUUCCCGCUUUCAAUCAACAAACAAUUCAAAUAUUAAUUCAUAUCAACUAUUCAAUUUAAUUCCCACUCAUUUUAAUAAUAAUGAUAAUAAUAAUAAUAAUAAUAAUAAUAAUAAUAAUAAUAAUAAUACUUACCUUACAUUUCAUUUACCAACACAUAAAUUAAAAUUAACAUUUAAUAAUAAAUAACUUGAAUUAUAGUAAUACAAACCGUAAAUCUCCCGUUUUAGUCCUCGAUAGCUUUCUCCUUUCCCUUUGAUGCUGAUGCCUCGGGUUCUUUGUUAGCUACGAAAAUAAUAAUAAUUUAUACUAUUAAUUACAACACUAAUUAUAAUAAAUAAUUGAAUUUUCUAUUCAAUUUCUUCCUUAUUCUCAAUUUAAUCCUAACUAAAUUUACUUACUUUCCUAAUUCAAUUCACACUCUAUUUCUAUUCAAAUUUCAUCCAAACUCAAAUUUAACUAUCAAAAUUUCAGCAUAUUUUCCUAAUUUCGAAUUUCUCUAAAUUUAGUCCCUAAAACAUAAAAUUUAUAGUUUCUUUUACAAUUUAAUCCCUUUAUCAAUUCUAACUUAGAAUUCAUUCAAUUUAAUCCCUAAUUCAACAAUUUAUUCAACAUAAACUAUACUUGAAAACCUAUGAACUUACAAAACAUCAACUUAAUCCCAUCAAAACUUUGUUUUAAAGCUUUUAAAACAUUAGAAUUAAGAGAAAAGGGCUAAUUUGACUUACCAAUCAAAGCUUUAAACCUUAAACCUUUAGUUUUUCCUUUUUCUUUUCUUUCUUUCUUUCUUUCUCCCUUGUUUCUUCUCUGUUUCAUCACUUCUAUUCUGUUUCUUUCUUUUCUUUUGCUUUGUUUUUAUUUCCUUUUAUUUCAUUUACAUUAUAUUAUAUUAAUAUAAUUUAUUAAUAACCAUUUAAUUAAUGAAUAUCUCUUAAUUAUAAUACACGUGUAUAUACAUAUUUUAUUACAUUUGUACAACUUUAUUACCAUACAUUUGGCACCAUUUGAUUUAUUUCUUUUAUAUUUAAUUAAUUAAUAUUUAUAAAAUAUCUAUUUUAAUAACAAAUAUAAUUAAUACAUUUGUACCAUAUCAUGACCUUACAUUUGUCUUAAUCUAACUACUUCAUAAAAAAUAUAUUUUAAUAUAAUAAUUUAAUUAAUAAAUAUCUUUUACUUCAAUUAUAAGAAAAUAUACAGCUAUAUUACAAAUGUAUAAAUACUUAUAUUACACAUGUAUUUUAUCAUAUCCAUACAAUUGGUAUAUUUUGGUUUAUUUAAUAAUAAUAAUAAUAGUAAUAAUAUAAAACCAUAAUAAUGUUUAAUAAUUAUACUAAUUAUAUAUAUAAUAUUUAUAUAUAACUUAAAUUUUUAUGCUUAUGCCGCCUCAAAUUUGGCAAUUAGCAUAAUUGUCUAUUUAGUCCCUAUUAUUUUCUUUUAAUCUAUAAUUAAACUUUUAAUUCUAUUGCAAUUUAAUCCUUUUUGCUAAUUACUCAUAAUUAAGCUAAAUUCACCUAUCUAAAACCUAAUUAAACAUACAACUAGUCUAGUAAAUAUUUCUAAUAAUUAUUUUCAAACUCAAUUUACUAAGACGGAGGCCCGAUAUUAUACUUUUUCGAUACCUGUAAAUUUUGGGUCAUUACACGAACUGUGCACGCCCCACGUCGUAGCAACUCCCACGCCAGUGUAUAUAUGCAACGAAACACAAAACCGCAAAAGGAGGCACUACUAGAGGCAAUAACAGAAAAGGGGCGAGCGGGGAAUGGGGGAUGGUUUUUGUAUUUUAUUUUGGGCGGUAGAUCCAUAGUAUUGGGGGCUAUAAAAAGCAGAUUCAUGUCUGUAAACAGGGGAAAAUUGAUUUUAAAACAGAAAAUGAUUUUUUUUUUGUUUUUUAGGGAAAAUUGUUGGUUUUAUAAUUGAAAUGAAACGGCGCCGUUUGGUGGGUGAGAGGAUCCGCGCGUCGACCCGACCCAGUUCCAAGAUCUGCGCAUUUUCCUAAAUGGGAAAUUUUCGUGAUUAGUCCUCUUGUUUUUGUAGCAUGUCUAAAUUAAAUUUUUAUUUCUUUUAAACUUGGCCACAUAUUUUAAUACUGUUUCAAAUUGGUCCAAUGCUGCGCAGCGUUUUGGGAGGUUUGGUUAAAUUGCUCUUUCGGUCCUCCUCCUGUUGUGCGUGUUUUAAUUUGCUCCCUUUCUCGUUUUCUAUUUUUAAAUUUAGCUUUUAAAUUCCGUUUAUUUUCAACUUAAUCUUUAAUUUGUUAUUCUAGGUUUUUUUUAUUAACACUGUUAUAUUGUAUUAUUAUUACCGUAUUAUUAUUAGUAUUUUUUAUUAUUGCUAUUAAUAUUAUUUCAAUAUAUAUAUGUAUAAAUAUCAUAUAAUAUAUAUAUGUAAAUAUUCUUAAAUGUUUUUGUUAAAUUCAUAUACAUAUCUUAUAUAUUUUAUUAUUAUUUUAUUUUUCUUAGUUUUAUAUACAUAUGUAUGCGUAUAUAUUUAUAUUUUAUAAUAUUUAUAUAUUUUCCAUAUUUUAUAAUCCAAAUAUAUAUUUUUAUAAUGUAUAUGUAUAUACACUAUUCACAGCUUUUAUAAAUAUAUUUUUCACAUCUUUUUAUACAUACAUAUAUAUCCAUAUUUUCAUAAUUACUACUAUAUUAUGCUUACAUUUUUUUAUGUAAACUUUAUAUGUUAUUUUUAUAAUUUUUGUAUACAUGUGUAUAUAUAUGCAUUAACAUCUUAUCAUACUUCUAAAGAAAGAUAUAUUUUGGUUUCGUCAAAACAUUAAAAUCAUCACAUUUUAUAAGUUUUCAAAAUAUUUGGCAUUCAUGAUUCUCGAGAAAAAUUGUGUCAUAACUUACUGGAUUGCGAUUAUUUUUCGAUGAAUUUAAAAAGCCAAGUAUUUAUUUUGUAAUAAAUUCACAAAAUUUUCGAAUAAAACUUAUUCUCAGGAAUCCAAAAAUGUCGGGUCCUAACUUACUGGUCAUGACAUUUUGUUAUUUCGAAAUAAGAAUUUCUCAAUAUUUGGUAUUUGGAAUUUUGAGAAAUUGUACCCUAACUUACUGGGUUUCGAGUUUCUUCAUUUGACCUAAAUAACCGAAUAUCCUUCUUAGAUUUAAUUGUGUGAGUUUUAAAAUCAAAAGACAAACUUAAUUUUGAAGAUUUAAAAAUAUUGUGCCCUAACUCAAUGAGUGUGAUGUUUUAUUUCUUUGAAAUAAGAAUGUUUUAUCAUUUUAAUUCAUUCACGAGUUAUAUUUUUUAUUUAAACUCUUUUCAAAAUUUUGACAUCAAGACAUUAAAUAAUCAAAUUCGGUACCGAUUUUUGGGCGUUACGAGGGUGCUAACCCUUCCUCGUGCGUAACUAACUCCCGAACCUAUUUUCUCAAAAUUUUGUAGACCAAAAUUAUUUUUAAGGUGAGCCGGUCACACCUCAAUCAAAUAUCGGUGGCAACUCCAUUUUUUGUUUUUAAAGUCGAUAACUAAUUUUUGUUUAUCAAAAAAUGGUUUCGACAGUUAAAAUUAUCUUUUUAUAAUUAAUAAAAAUUAAAUGUGAGAGAUUAGCAUUAUAUAUAAAAAGAUACUACCAAUAUAAUGUAUAAAUUUAUUUAUUUAUUCUUAAUUUUUAUGUCAAAACUCAAAAAAAAUUAAAUAUUAAUUUUUAUUUUUACUCAUUUCAUUUAAUCGAAUCGAUAUGAUUCAAGACAAAUCAAUCAAUUAAGAAUUAAUAUUUUGUAUAAUCUAUGUUCCUCAUAUUUUUUAAAUCUAUAAAAUUAAUGAUAUAAUAUAAUAUAAUUAUUUCAUUAAAUUCAAUAUUGAAUAUAAAAUUACGUUCAUAAAAAAUUAUUAAUAUAAAUUAUUUUAUUAAUAAUGUUUUAGUUAUUAUCACUUAAUUAAACUUUCUAUUCAUAUUAAAUUAUAUUUAUUAUUUUAGAUUAAUUAUCACUUAAUGUUACAGUUCUAUAUUAAUUAAAACUAAUAUUUAGCAUUAUAAAUAGGGUAAACUACACCCAUGGUCACUUUUGUUUACUUUAAAUUACGUUUUAGUCACUUAUGUUUGAAAUGUUACAUUUUAGUCAUUUAUGUUAUCAUGUUGUAACAUUUUAGUCAUUGAGCCAUUAAUAGUCGUUAAUGGUGUAACGGUAAGCUGACGUGGCACGUUAAAUCAUCAUUUCAAACAAAAUUUUAGGUUAAAUUAUACAAUUGAUCCCCAUCUUUUUUCCUUUUAAGUAAUUUAAUUUUUUUUCUUUUAUGUUCUUUAAACUUUCCUUUUUUUUCCAUUCUCUUUUGUUUCUCUCUCUGUUUUCAUACCUUUCCCAUUUCUUUUAACAUAUUAGGAAGUCGAAUUGGCAGUGAAAAAAGAAGUAGGAAGUCGACUGUCAUCAUUUGCCUAUAACCAAAACCUAUAAACCCAUACCAUGCUUCUUUCUUCACUACCAAUUCAACUUCCUGGUAUGUUAAAAGAAAUAAAGAAUGUAGGAAAACAGAGGGAGAAGCAGAAGAGAAUGAAAAAUAAAGAAAAAAAGAGGAAAGUUAAAAGAACAUAAAAGAAUUAAAUUGCUCAAAACGAAAAAUUAUGGGGACCAAUUGUAUAAUUUAACCUAAAGUUUUUGUUUGAAAUGAUAAUUUAACAUGCCACGUCAGCUUACCAUUACACCAUUAACGAUAAUUAACAGUUUAGUGACUAAAAUGUUACAACAUGAUAACGUAAGUGACUAAAACGUAACAUUUCAAACAUAAGUGACUGAAAUGUAACCUAAGGUAAACAAAAGUGACCAUAGGUGUAGUUUACCCUUAUAAAUAUACAUAUUUAUAAAGCAUUUUCAUUUAAAAUAAUAUCUAAAGAAUUACUAGAAAAAUCAUAAUUUAGCUGCAAUUGCUCUAAUUCACUGCGGACAAUUGCCUUAAGAUGCUCAUUCUUCACAUUAAAGUUGGUGCCUUAAAUUGUUAUUUCUCUAAUGGAGUUGAUGCUAUAGUUAGUCUUAUUUUCAAAGAUUAUUAAAUUUCAUUUGAUUAGAAUUAGGUGGAAUAUAUGGGGUUAACUUCUAAUUAAAAUUAUUUAGUUUAAGAUUCAUUGUUUUUUUUUACUGUGGUUUCUUUGAUUUAUUGCUGUAAUUUUUUUUAUUUGUUGCCAAAGGGUAAAUAUUAGAGUUGCUAUUUGAUACUUUUAUAAUGAACUUGAUUGAAAUUUCAUUGUGAAUUGUAUGUAUUUGUUAUAAAAUUUUUAUUUGUAUGUACAUAUUUGGAAGAAUAGGAACUUCCUCAUUUUUUAAUGAAAUCAGUGGAGCAUUGAUGAGAUGAUUAAAAAUUCCUACAGUUAGACUUUACAAUGUAAGUCUACCCAAAAACACCGUGGCUUGUGACAUCGUUUACAGGGAUUUCUACAACCAAGGAUGGUAAUUGGGUGAGCUUGAAUAUCGACGGCACUAUGAAGUUAGAGUUUGGGUUAACUUCUGUUGGAGGGAUUUUGAGAGAUCGGCACGGGGGUUGGAUAUUUGGGUACCACAAGAACUUAGGUUGGUGUUCUGUAUAAAUGUAAAAUCAUGAGGUAUCCUUGAUGGCUUGAAGCUAUUAAAAAAUAGAAAGUAUGAUGGGAUGUCAAUCAAACCUGAAGGUUAGGAAGCUAUUCGGGCUAUUCGGGCUAUUCAGGAAUCUUUCUCAAAGAUAUCUUCCUUAGCACUUGUUCGAUGUAUUCAACAAAAUUCGAUGGACAUUAGACAUUGAAAGCUUGAAUAUAUUUCUCGUGAAAGGAAUCUAGAAGUUGACUAUAUUGCUAAGCCGGCUUUGGACAGCAAUGAAGGUCUUCAUUUAAUUGAUGUAAUUCCUUUAGACUUGAUUAGACUUUUGUUAUAUAAAAAAAAUAGUUAAGAUUGAUAUAAUUUAAAUUCAUGUAGGAUUAAUAUGGUUGAAUCGCAUUAUGAAUUUGUGACUUAGGAUCGAUUACAUGUUAUUUUAAUUAUAUUUUUAUUGUAUGCUUUAAAUAGUUAAAUGGUGUAUUAAUUUUAAUUGGGAAAAGGUUAGUUUAUUAAUUAACAUUCUUCAAUGGAGUUGAUAUUGUCAUCAGAUUCAAUUAUGUGUGAUUUAUGUUUAUACAAGAUAAAUUUUCUAGAUUAACUUAUUAGAUUGACUAUCAUUGCAUCUUGGGAUUAUUAAAUCGACUUAAAAUAUAAUUAAAAUCCAAUGAUAUGGAGCUGAUAACUUAGAAUUAUUUUUGAUGAAUUCAUACGUUUUUCUAUUGAAACGAAAGAGUAGACAAUUCAUCGAGAGUGGAGCUCGUUGUGAAUUAAUUGUUUCUAAGCUAUGAAGGCUUAGAAAUUCGGUUUGUGGCCUUUACGUUUUAAAGUAUAUUAUGUUGUAGUUAAAUUAUUAGCUUAGUGAUUGUGAUUUAUUGAUUCCUUACAUUUGAAAUUUUACUUCUUGUAGUUUAUUAAAUUGUUUGUAAUGAUGAUUACUAAAUUGAUAUUCUUUAUUAAUUGAUUAUUUUCUGAAAAUCAUCGAUAAAAGUAUGACUUUAAUAAUCGAUUAAAUGCUCAAUAAAGCUAGCUGAAAAUUCUUCAGAUACAGUUGGUAUGUUGUAGAGUGUGGGGUUCCCAUCAUUACUUAUUGUUCAUUGCGCGAACUGCCUUGAACUUCUGAGAGUAUUGUCAUUGUUGAGUAUUUGGUGUGAUGUUUGGUUAUUGGUUAAAUCACGUUUAUUAUGCAAGGGAGUAUUUUCAUUGUUGGCGUUUGUGCCAUUUUCAUUGAUCAUUUGAUUUUUGGUUGGACACUCGUGUUUCUAAAUGUCUUUCCUUCUUGUGUUACUUGAGCAAAAUGAUUGAAUGAACUUAAACAUUAAAUCAAAACACUAUCACUAUUUAUUGAAUGUAUUGAUAAUGCUUCAUUGUUAUUUUAAAUUGUUACUUGGUGACUAAUUUGCGAUUGUAUUCUAUCUUUGAAAACUACUUGGAUGUGACUUUCACUUUUGAAAAUAUUGGCUAGUUAUAUAUUUUUGUAUCUUAUUAGAAUGCUUUUAUUUUAAUUAUAUGCAUUGGUAGUUUAAAAUAUAUUGGGUGACCACUGAGUUGUAAAAAUCUUAGUGCUCGAGUUUUUAAUUUCAUGCGCAAGUAAUAUUUAGAUUGAAUAGUUCAUGACCGAACAACAUCACCAAAGAGUCUUCACAAUCAUUGUUUCGUAAAGAGCCUUCAAUUGGUAAAGUUUGGCAUGUACUUAGGUUUUGUUAAAUUGGUUGACUUGUUUACUUGGGUUUUAUUUUAGAGCUUAUUGAUUGAUUGAGCAUUGUUAAAUUAUUUGGCUUUACUAACAACAGGAGUUAGGUGAGAUGGAAAGGGUCUCUCCUACCUUAACCAAUGGUCGAGGGUUCGAUCAUCGUCUUGGGUAUGGAGUAGUUUUAAAACUUGUGGCUAACAUUUACCCUUACAGAUGAUUAGUUAUUGGGCUCGCUCCGAUAGAUACAUUGAGAAACCAAAAAAAACAUAUUUGGCUUUACUCAAAUGUUUAAAAUAUACUAUUUUAUGUGCAAUUGAUUGCAUUAUUAAUUGUUUGGGGUUGUUUACGUGACCAUUAUGGUGCUUUGGAUCCAAUUGAACUUUUGGACCAGGUUUGAGGUGUUAUAUACAUAAUUUAUAUAUUAAAAAAAACAUUAAUUACUAUAAAAAAUAUUAGUAUGAUAAAAAAUAAUUUCUAAACAUGUAACAAAAAUUAAAGUCAAAUAUUCAUAUAUAAUAUAUUGGUAUACAAAAAUAGUUGAUAAUAUAAUAACUAAUAAAAACUGAAAGAAAAAUAAACAUUGUAUGUAAUUUUAUUAAUUGUUCUGGUGCAUAUUUGUUGAGUUAUUCUCUCUUUAAUAUUUAACAUAUGCUCCUUAUUAUCAUUUGUUGGUGUUUGAUCAAGUUUAUUAUCAUCAAAAUUUGAAUUUGCAUAAUUAAGAUUAUCAAGAUCUUCUUCUUUCAUGUACUUUUUAAAAUAUGGAUCAUCUCAAUUCUACUUAUAAUUCAAGUUAUAAACUAUGCAAUAUACUAGCACAAUCCAAUCUUCCCAUGAUAUGUUUUACUUAAUCAUAUUCUUACAUAUACAUACCAAUACCUCAUUUAAUGUUCCAUCAGUAAUAAAUUUGCUAUCUAAUGGUGAGAAGCCACGUAAUUUGACCAAUUUAAAAAAGUUUAAUUUAGAUUUCAACUCCUUCAAAAAUAACUUAUUGACACAAUUUAGUGGGUUUUCCAAUCUAAAGUUAUUAAAUAUAUAUAUAUAAACUAGCUCAGGGGAUCAAUUAAAAAAUAAAUGUAUAUGUAUCAUAAAAGUCUUACCAUUAGAUAUCUAGUGGACUGAUGCCAACCACACUAAUUUGACUCUCACAAAGUGAAAGUUUGACAAAGCUAAAGGUUGUUAAAUUAGACGAAAAUGAACAAAAAGCACAGUCAAUAAUUCCAUUAAAAAAUUUAAUAGAGCGAUGAAAAUGGAACUCAACGAUAAUAUUAGUGAUGAAAUUAAAUUUUUUAGUAGUUUCAAUGAUCAAAAUAAAAAUACGUUAAUAAUUGGGUCAUUAAUUGUGCAGUUUAGCCUUAAUUUAUUUUUAAAAGUAAUUGUAUUUAUAAGAUAAUAAAAAAAAUCUAUUUAUUUUUUCAAAAAGUUAUAAUUAUAAUCAUUUAAAUAUAUAAAAAAGAGCAUCCAACAAAUAUAUCAAAUUAUUGCAAUAAAAAGGUUGAAGAAGUCAUACACGAAUUAGAAAAAAAAUUUAUUUCAAAUAUAAAUGAAAUUUAAUUCUAUUAAAGGCAAGGACUAAAAUUAAACAAAUUAAAACCAAUUAUAGAUUAAGAUAUGAAUAUAUAUAUGAAGUGAAAAAUGGAAUCAUAAACUUUGAAAAUAAAUAAUAUUCUAGAAAGCAAUUAAUUCUAAAAAUAAAAAUCAUCCACCCUCUUUUAUUUAUUAUAUUUUUUACUCUUACUUUCAACUUGUUGAAAAGGUUAUACAAAGUUAUCAUAUAAUUUCUACUCUUACUUUCUACUUGUUGAAAAGGUUACAAAGUCAUCAUACAUUUCCUAAAAUCAUAUGCCACUUUUUCAAAGAUCCAAUGCAGCCUAACCCAAGAGUUGAUGAUUUUUUAUUAACAUUUAAUUUUAACCGAUAGAUAUCCUUUAAACGAAAUAAACUAUUAUUAUAUUUAUUUUGUGUGAUUUAAUUUUAAAUUUUAUUUGUUGAUCUUUACAGAACCAUUAGAUGUUUCGAGCAAUUUAAAAGAAUUAGGCAUGAGUCGGAAUGAAGUGAAGCAAUUUGUGCCCAUAAAGAAUAAAGAUAUAUGUGUCAACUAAAUAAUAUAAAAUUAUUUUAAAAUAAAAAAUUCCUACUACCUUUAAUUAUUGAAAGAAUCUAUUGAUUAUCAACUGAUAAUAUUUUAAAAACUUCCCUUAAAAAGUUUGACCCGUAAAAAUUUGAAGCAGUCAAGAAACUUCUAAGAAGGGUAUAGUCAGAGGGUUGGAGGCUUAAGUUGACGCCAAUAGUCAAGAAAUAUCUCCAUAAUGGUCACUUGUGUUGGGUGGUCUGAAUUUCCACAUUGAGACAUUAUUGCUAUGAAUGCCAUUGAGUUCUCCACAAAUAUAUAUUAAAUAAAUUUUAUAUAUAUCCCAUAUAUGUUAUAUUAUAAAAAUAUAUAAAUUAUUUUCCAAUUCAAUUAUUAUUAUUUAUUUGUGCAGUGUUUAUUUUAUGUUGCCAAUUUACUAUAUAAAUUUUAAUACGUCAGUAAUUUAUUUUAUGUAAAUAUUAAUACGUUUCUACAUUCAUGUCAUGUUAAUUUUUUUUAUAUUUAUGUCGUGUAAUUAUAUUUAAUUAAUCAUAACUUUUGAUAUUGCCUCACCCGUCAUCAUGUCUAUGUUAUUUCUGUGUUAUCCUUGUUUUCAAGGUAAUAUAUAUUUAUAUAAAAUUUUUAAAAUUUUGUUUUAGGUAGAUUUUAACAUGUUUGUUUAUUCAUGUCAUAUUUAUUCUAUUUUUUAAAAAGAAAAAUCAUAUUUUUUCAGUAGAAAUUGAUCAAUGUAGACUUAAUAUUAUCAUCGAAUAACACACAUUGUACAAAGUCCGGAGGUGCAUCAAACAACUGUAAAUUCGCAGGUCUUGUGUGACUUACAUAGCUGAGACACACGUCCAUGUCUCGGGCCAUGAAAAUUUUAAAAUAAGGACACACGGUCAUGUCCCAACUCAUGUCCGUGCCCGUGUAAUUCUCUAGGUUGGGUCAUAUGGCCAAGCUACAUGCCCGUGUACUAGGCCAUGUGCUAGGCCAUGUAACAACCUGACUUGCAUGCCUUAAAACCUACAGGGGGCACACGACCGUGUCACAUGGCCGUGUGUCACAUACGGCUGAGUCACACGCUCGUGUCUUAGGCUAUAUGGACAUGAAUUGGCCAAAAUCAAGCCAUUUCCAUCAUCAAAUCAAGCAUGUACCUAAAAGCAUUUUUUGUACACAUGAUCAAGGCCUCAUAACAUGACCAAAAUCAACAUGAAAUGACCAAUUCAUUAGUCUAAAACCAUUCAACCAAUAUGCCAUAUAAGGCACCUCAAAAAAAAAACAUACAAACUUACCUAAACAUAUGCAUUACUACAUUUAAAACAUGCACAUCUAGUUCAAUAUCAUCUUAAAGCAUACCAUAAUUGAGACCAUAAGUAACUCAACAUAAACAUACCAUUUUAAUUUCCUAAAAUCAACCAACCAAUGUGCCCUUUAUAAAUACUGCAAUUAUAUCCAAACAUCAACAACUGAAACAUGUCAACAUUGAUCCAUUCCUAGCAUAGCAACUUAAUUCAAUCAUAAACUAAAAGAAACCACAAGUGUUCACUUUCAUACCAUUCUAAUUUAUACAAAAAAUAUACCUAUUUACAAUCUUGAUAAAAUAGCUAAUAACUUAAUUUAGUAUUUUUUUCAUAUUGUACCAAAACAACCUAUAUAGCUACAUAUACAUGCCGCUACCCUAAGAGAUAUAAGAAUUACUGACAUCGAUGGAUAGUGUGAGCCAAAAGUUCGAUUCGUCCAAAGUUAACAACAACAAUCUACAAAACAAUCCAUAAGAAUGAAUAAGCUUAUAGAGCUUAGUAAGAACAUAACAUAUCAUUUAACCUAACAAAAAUUUAAUAAAACUCAUACAUUACUCGAUUCAAAGUUAUCAGAGUGUAAAUAGAGGCACGUAUGUGCAAUUUAGGGGUACCGAAGCACAAACAGGGGCACAUAUGUGCAAUUCAGGGAAUAAUCAACUAUAAGCAUUUAAUUACAUAGCUAUAAUGUGAAAAUACAUGUAGAAAAUUCAAUUAAAUAUUGAAGUACUAUGAACUUACCUUGACGACUAGAGCGUAGAAAUAUGAUCGAGCUAAUCUGUAAUUUUCGCCUUUCCUUGAUUUAGAUUUGGUUGAGAUUUAUCUUGAUCUAAAUAAAUAAUUACAUUCAAUUAAGUGUUUCAAUCAAUCACAAACAUUCAAUUCAAUCCAUAAUUCACAUUUAUAAAUAUUUACCCUUUGACCCUAAAUAUUUUAACUUUUUACAAUUUAGUCCUUACGCUCAUACAUUGAUAUUUAAGCAUUUUAAUCGUCAUCUCAUGCUAGCCGAAUCAUCUAAAGACCUAUAUCAAUUCAUACAAACCAUCAUUUCGCAAUUUCACCAUGAACUUUUAUCAUUUUCACAAAUAAGUCCAUAUAAAUGUUAUUUUUCAAUAAAACUUGUUUAUUUAUUAACAAGGACUCAUAAUUUACCAUCAAACAUCAAGAAUCAUGCAAGAAAAUUCAUGGAAAAACCCUAAAAAUUUAACAAUUUUACAAAUUGAUCCCUGGGCUAGUAGGUUAAGCUAAAUUUAUCCCAAAAACAUGAAAAUCAUCAUAAACGAAGCUGAAUUUCAUACCAUGCAAAUAAAAUAACCUAGUCAAAUGCCUAGCAAGAUUCCAUGGUGUUUUUAUUUUUAAUUUCAGUGAUGGUUGAUCAAAUGAGAAAGAUGAUGUAAUUUGUCAUUUAGUUUAAUUCUUAUUUAUCAAAAUACCAUUAUAACCUUUAAAAUCUUUACUAAUUUCAUCAAAAUCAUGCCAUGCACAUCCACUAACUUCAUGAAUGGUUUAAUUACCACCUAAGUCCUUUCACUUUAAAAUUUCAUAACUAUUUGACACUUUUAACUAAUAGAACUCUACUUUUGCACCUUUUAUGAUUUAAUCAUUUUUACGUAAUUAAUUAUGCAAACGUCAAAAUUUCUUAACGAAAUUUUUAUACAACCUUAAUAACAUUUCAUAGAAAUUAAAAUAACAAUAAAAUAUUAAUUUACUUAUUAGAUUUGUGGUCCCAAAACCACUAUUCUGAUUUCACUGAAAACGGACUGUUACAACUCUUUUAUGUAAUAGCGACAUAAGGAGAAGAGAGCAAGAAUUCCAAGAUUGCGUUUAGUGUCGCGACACCACCAAGGGAUGUUGUGACACACCCCUGAAGGUACCCUAAGUAUGAGCAUACUGCCUUUGAUGUCGCGAUACAGACACUUAAGUGUCGUGACACCGAUCCUGUAUGAGAAAUAUUUAUGAGCUAGGGACGUUUUAAUAUGCAGAAUCAAAUAUUAAACACAAGAGCAUCAACUGACCUAGGAUUGAGGAUGACGAUAACCCUAACUCUAUAAAUAAACUCAUUUAACACUUGUUAUGGAGAACUUUUCAUACAAUAUAAUUUUCUUUAUAGUUUCAGUUUUUAGUUUUUCUUUUUUCUUAGGCUUUAGGUUAUUUUUAGUUGUGCAUUUGUCGGGAGAUCUUAAUUUUAGAACUCAAUCAACUUUUGGUGGAUUUCGUGCUUCAAUUAAAUACAAUUAAAGCUUUUCUUAAACCUUCGUAUCUUGAUUUACUAUUCAUGUUCAUCUAUUGUCAAGUUUAUUAUGUUUUUUUAGAUCCAUGAUGAACUAAUCCUCUUGUGGAGGAUUAGUGAAUUGAGGUCUGAUUAAUUGAUUGUUGUGCAAGGUUUUCUUAAUGGACCAAUUGUUUGGGAAAAUAAGAAUUUAAACCCUAGGCUUGACGACCUUAGGAAGUCAUUUAGGUGGGAAUUAACCCAAAAUUGAUAUAACUUAUCUGUAGACAUCUUUACCCCAAAGCAAUCUGGACUGUGAGGUUGAGAGAUAAGCAGUUCUUGCUGACUUAUUAUUCUAGUGGAAGAUUGAGAGAUCCUAAUAGGGUAAUGACUAGUUGAUUGAAUAGACAACCUGAAGAAAUAAUUAGUUAUGAUUAUCGAAGCGAGCUAGUCACCCAUGUUUAGAUCUGAUUGAGCUUCUAUAGCAAAUUUCCCAAAGUUUUUUUCUAUUUAUAUUAUUUUAUUUCUUUAGUUAUUAAAAACUCUCUCUUUAUAUUUAGUCGUAAUAUAAUUUUUUAAAGUACUAAUUAGCUCUAUUUGUGCUUAGGUUAGGAUUAAUUUAGUGCUCGUCUCCCUUAGAUACGAUCCUCAGAGUACUCACCUACUUCAUUGUAACUAUAUUACAACUUGACCCAUAUACUUACAGAUAGUGCUUAUUUAACAUAUUUUGUGCAGGAUUUCUACUCUAAGCAUUAGUACGUUUGGAGGUGGUCACCUGGCAGAACCUUAAAUUCCAGAGGUCGAAACCUUAGUGACAAUCUUAGCUCUAAAAUCCUUUGAAUCCACUUCAACUCUGAAAUUAAAUCAUGUUUACACAGAAAAAUGUUACCAUAGAUGUGUUUGUUCCAAUCUUGGACAACUUUCUAAAAAUUAUCCAAAUUCUAAAUCACCUCUGUAUUAUUCUUCCAACACCCCUUAACAAGAUCAUUAAACUCUGCAUGCAUCAUCUAAUUGGCUAAACAGCGAAAAGGCCGGUGGCUUCUCUCAUGUAACAUACAAAGUGAGACUAAAAUCGACCUGUGAUCAAAUUUUAGGCGAUGUAAGUGAUAGACUACACAAUUAGGUGCAAACAACUCCCACUCUGAAUUACACACAGCCCUGUCUAAACAUUGUAAUAAGUGACGCCCUGUCUAAACAUUGUGAUAAGUGACUUCUACUCCACAUAAAUUGAGGUAAAAAAACCUAAAUCUCGAAGUCUAUUGUCAAAAAUGAAAUAUUGGAAUCACUAACAUCCAAUUCAUAUGACAUUUGCGCCACCCAUUUUGUUUGAACCCUUUAAGAUAGAGUUGAAAUCCUUGGCAAUAACUCAUGAUCCAACAACUGAUUUUGCUAUCAAGUCCAAAAUACUCCAAAGAUGUUGUCUUUUUGCCGGCUGUGGGCUAGCAUGCACAACCAUACAUAAAAAACUAGUUGAAUCUUGCCUAUUGCAAAUUUUCAUGUGGAUCAAUUGAGGAUGCAACUCUAAAACAUCAAUGAAGACAUUAUCAUUCCAAAAACCCAAAUUCCACUAACAUAACCUUCAGCCUCAACUGGAAAGGAGUUAGGAAACCCAAUUCUUGCAAUAACUCCAUCAGCCUUAUCUUUGCUAAUUCUCAUCUUAAAAAGACAUAUCACAUCUGUGCAAAACUCCCUUCUAUAUUUGUUCACAAAAUUUGUGGAACCGGAGGUGUCCGACUCCCUGACAGUUCCAAAAAAAUAAUUUCAUAUCCAUAAUAUAAUAGCAAUAAACAAAAAAAAAAAUCCCAAAAUCAACAACGUGCCUCAUCUUCAACAUUAACUUCAUCAUCUAUUGCAUCCACAAUGGACGAAACCAUAUUCUCAUCACAUAAAGCUCUAGGUCUUGCUCAAUGACCCUAACAAUUCCUUCCAUUUCCAUUGUUAGAUCAACUGUGGGUGUUAUUUGCUUCUUCAAUGCUUUAUCCAGUGGCUUCUUUCAUUAGAAAUCGUUUUUGGUGGUAAACACACACCAAAAUUUGACCUAUCUACACCAUUUUCACCAAAGAAAAAGAAACCCUUUUCUCAUUGUCCAUUUUCGCACCCAAUUUUUCCUUCUUCAGUACCAUAAAAAUUUUGUUCAUACUCGUUUAUUUAACUUAGUAAACGAAUAUAAACGAACGCUAUACGAACGGUUCAUGAACAGUUCAUCAAAUGAUUUGUUCAUUUAGACUCCUAAAUAUUUCACGACCACUAUAAUUAAAUUAGAAUAUUUCUUCGCAUAUGCUAUGGUUUAAAAUAAUUAAAUAAAAUUAUUAUGAUAUUAACAUAGAAAUUAAAUUUGUGAUUAUUUUUUAUAAUAGAAUAUAAAGUCAUAACUUAUAAUGAUAACAUCAUGGAGAAAUAUAUUUUAAUUUAAAAAAAAGUAUAAAAUUUAUAUAUUAUCUCUUGAAUGAUUUAAAUGAUGAUGGCAAUGUUUAUAUAUUAAAAUUAAUAUAUUUAAGGAAAAAAAUUACUUAUUGAGUUAUUGCAUUUAUUCUAUGUGAUUUAAUUUUAAAUUUAAUUUAUCUAUUGUAUAAAAUUAUUAAAUAAUUUGAGCAACUUAGAGUAACUUGACUUGAGCGGGAAUAAGGUGGAGAAGUUCGUGCGCAUAAAGAUUAAAGGUAUAUGUUUUAAUUAAAUAAUAAAAAAUAUAUAAAAAUGUUUUAAUUAAAUAAUAAAAAAUAUAUAAAAAUAAAAAAUACUAUUGAGGGUCAAUAUUUUAUUAUUAAAGAAACCCAUUGAUUAUCGGACAGAAAACCUUUUAAAGAUUUAAAGAGUCGACCCCCCGACAAUAGUGAUAUAGCAAUAAUUUGAAGCAGUCAAGAAACCUGUAGUAAGGGCAUAGCAAGAGGGCUGGAGGCUUGACCCCAAAAGUCAAGAGACAUCCCCAUAAUGGCCACUUGUGUUGAGUGGUCUGCUUUUCUCCUUUGGGAUGCUUGAAUUUUCCACAUUCAAAGCCCACUUGGCAAAUUAUUGCUACGAAUGUCAUUGAAUUUUCCACAUGGAAUUUGUCCCAUAUGUAUUAAUUUUUUUUAUAUAUACCCCAUACGUCGUUUUACAAUACAAUAUACUUUUUAGUAAAUCAGUUCUUUAUAGCAAUUUGUUUCAAAUUUUAGCACAAUUAAUUCUAUUUCUAAAUGAAUAAAAAUAAUAAAUUUAGUUAAGAUAUUAUUUUAAUAAAAUAUUUAAAUUUUAUAUAAAAUAUAUUAAUCAUAUUAUAUAAGUUUAAAGGUGUAAAAAGUCUUUAAACUUAAAAAGAAAAAAGAGCAAUUAAACUUUAUUUUUUUACACCCAAUUAAUUACUUAAACUAUUAAAACUCAAUAAAAUAAUCCAUUGGCUGAUGUUGACUGUUAAUUUUUAACGGUCAAGAUGAUGUGACAGUUAAAUUUAACAUUUUUAUUUUAUUUUUGUCAACUAAAAUGUCACUUCAGAUGUCACGUGUAAUGUUGAUGACAUCAACAUUUUUUCUUGAUGCAAUGAUAUCUUUAUAAGUGAGAGAGAAAUCUUCUAUUUAUAGUUUUAUUCUCUUAAAUUUAACGAUACAUUUUAAUUUUCAUUGAGGAUCGAAAUCGAAAUCAAUCCACAAUUGAGAUUUUUAAAAAUUUACACAGUUUCCUAAUAUUACAAAAUCAAAUCUUCUCAAAUUUUUUUUUUUAUAUUUAUCAUGAUACCCAUCAAUUUUUUAAUUGUUUUUCUGAACCACCAGAAUUUUAUGUGGAUGAGAUUUUUUUAAUUGAGUGGUCUGCUUUUCUCCUUUUGGGUGACUGAAUUUUCUUGUCACCAUUGUUACGAAUGCCAUUGAAUUUUCUACAAGGAAUUUAUCCCAUAUAUAUUAAAAAUAUAUGUGUUUUAUUUUUCAAUUCAAUUAUUAUUGUUUAUUUUAUGCUUCAAUUCAGUUUAUUAUAUAUAAAUUUUAAUGUCAUUAAUUUAUUUUAUGAAAAUAUUAACAUGUUUGUUUAUUCAUGUCAUGUUGAUUCUAUUUUUUAAUUCUUUUUCAUAUUUUGGUUACUAAAUGAUGGGUAUAAAAUAUUAUAAAUAAAAUUAAAUUCUUUUCUAUUUAACUCCAAAGCCAAAUCUAAAGUUUUUUUUUUCUACAAUGAAAGUAUUAUAAAUCUCUAAACUUAAAAAUAUUUAUAAAAAACUUUGGUUGAAAGAAAAUCUUUAUAAAUUUUAAAACCAAAACACGAAACUUUAGAUUUCCUAACGUUUCACAAAAAACAUUAUAGUUGUUGAGUAAUAUUUUUCUUGUGUUUUAUUGGUGGGAGCCUUCGGGUAUUUAUACAUGUUAUUACAGCUCAUGAUAUGACCUCCACUACUUUAUCUUGACUCCAUUGUUCCUAGUUUGACAUUCUUUACGAACUCCAGCAUGCUGGACACGUGUCUGGGUUGCCUGUGGGGAGUGUGGUCCUUUUUACGAACCCGUAGGGCAUAUGCGAACUGAGAUCGUGGCAUUUCCUUGGUUCGUGCAAGUUGGAUUCUCGAGCUGGGUCCGCGACCUCGCCUUGCUAUCCUCUUGUGGUUCCCUUCACGCUAAAUCAUUUGGUGGAGCCUAUCUGGGUUACGGGUAAGUGACCCGGAUCCUAUCGAGGGCUCAAGUUAGUGAUCUUUAGUAUAUAACAAUAGUCCCCCUAGUGGGUUUAAGGAGGGUUAUAAAGUGGUGCUUCUUAGAUCCAUCACAGUAAGUUCAAAUGAAGUUUCUUAUGUACGCUGCGAGCUGUGAUGCAUAGUGACCGUCUUGUCAAGUGCGUGAGUGAGUUUCAUGUGCAUGUAUAUGAUCGUUGAAAGUUGAACCGUUUCCAUCUACUCGUAUCUGGGUCGUUGAUCUGCCUUAGUCAUAUGAACCGUCAAAAGUGGGGGGAAAAGAAUUCUUUAAAAGGGGGUUUCCUAAAACCCUAGAACUCACGCUAUUAGUAUAUUCAUAAUUGGAAUCGAUUGAAGUUCUUCUUCAAGGUAAAUAUCAAGAAUCCCUCAUUUUAGGUUUUAAAUUUCUUCCAUCCUUCUCUUUUUCUUUAUGCCAAAAACAUGUUGAGGAUGAGAGGGGGCCCAUGGCCAAAUAGUUCCGCACUAUCCACCCGAAAACAUCCUUCUAAAGCUCUUGUUUAGGCCAAUUUUGUCCAUUUCACUACAAAGCACGAAGAAAUGCUUCGAGCUCUACAUGCACGGGGAAUCAAAAUUCUCAAUUUUGCCUACGAAUUCUCCAUCCCUAAAGGUUCGCAUCGAUUCAGCGAUACCAGCAAUGGUAGUUUUCUACUUCCUUUCCACGCCUUGGAGGCUAGGUUUCAUUUGCAUUUGAACCCCUUCUUUUGCUAUUUACUUGAUGAUUACCAAAUUGCCUUUGGUCAACUUUCUGAGAUUUCAUGAUGGAUUGCAAUGCCCUACUUUAUUGAUUAUUGUUAUUGCAACAAAGCACCACAACUUGCAAUAUUCCAAAACUGUACCUAUUAAAGGCUCAAAUUCGAGUGAAUUCAGUAGGUUUUUAUUAUUUCUCUCAAUUGUGGGAAAGGCCCAAGUAUAAUUACGAACUGAUGCCCAAACCUUCAGUUGAACUAGAGUAAGUACAUCAGGGUAAAUUACAAGUUUGUCGAUGGGUUUGGGUUUCCUACAGAGUGGUCUACCCUUAAUAGAGAUAUGUGUUCUUUCUAGUGAACUGUUAGGACGGUUGGAGGUGAGGCCUAGCUGAGAAGGCUUAACGUUGGUAAUUCCUUAAUUAUUGAGGACGCUAUAAUUGUAAGGAGCAUAUUCUUAUAUUUUUUGAAAAGUCGCAACCCUAAUGGGUAAAGACAGGGUGAUACAAAAGAAGUUAUUGAGGCAUUAGGUGUGGUUUCUGGGAGGCAAUCAUGUUACAUGUGCUCUACGGUGAUAACGAUCAUUUGGGCUAAAUUUUAAUAGGGUUGAGGGGAGAGCCUAGAAAUUUCUAUUACACUUAUUGUGGGAUAAACAUUCAUCAUUGGACAAUAUCGGGCUUGCCAUAGAUGAAAAGUAAUCCCUCCGUUAAUCUGCUACAUGCUCCUACUGAUGUUAGGGUUGUUGAUGAUGCAGGCAUAAUUUACAGUUUGGAGAGUGACUUUAAGGAAAUGAUUAGUAUCUCAUCAGAAAUUAACGAGGCUAUCGAAGCUACUUAGGUAAUGAAUCUACGAGCUACUUUGAGGGACUAACGCAAGAGGCGUAGAACUGGUGUGAGCGCCAUUAACGUGGUUAUUACCAGUGAAGAGGAUAUAGAUAGUGGUAGGUUAGAGCAUUGUCGCAAAAAGAGGGAAGAUCAUGCUAGGACUUUUGCUAUGAUGGUUACAGCCUCUACUUCGCCUUUCGCGUGCUCACAAAGCACAGCUCGCGAAAGUUCUUCUACUCUUGCCUACUGUAACUCUUCUCCUUUCUGUAUCUCUCUCCCUACCGUGCCAUUCUCUAGGGGUUUAACUAUUGGGAACAAUAGUGAACCAACUUCUAGCCAUCAGAAUUUGAAUAGUCAGAAGCUACAAGAUAUCGUAUGGAAGUCGAGAGCUUCCGUUUUAGAAAUAGUAAAGAGGAAGCUAUGUAUCGACGAGUCAUCUAAGAGCUCGCAUGAAUCUGAAUUGCUAACACUCAACUUUUCUCUACAAGCUUUCCUUGCUGAGGCCUCUAUGAUUAGCUUAGGCCUCGAGGAGAGAAUUGGCAAGACAGGGGCUACUCAAAGGGAGCUAGAAUUGAAUCUUAAGGUUUUUGAUGAGCGAUGGAAAAAAAUAAAGACUGAGAAUGAGGUUCUCUAUAAGCAAAAUGAAGAACUGGUUAGAAGGUUGGACUGUUCAGUGAGGUCGUAGCCUUAAGUGUUGAGUUGAGAAGGGUCAUUGAAGAGCACAAAGCAGUUGUCAGCCAAAUUAAUUAUGAUUACAAGGAUGCAAUAGCAACGUUGAAACGCAAAUAAGAAAAAGAUUUUGAAGGGUUUAAGAAGAAUACUUUAAAGAUCUUGACUGAUAUCACUGUUGAGCUUAAAUCUAACAUUCUUCUGCAUACCUAAGUUGUUGCUGGGUCCUUUAAUUUUGGCAAGGUUAACUUUGACCUGCUCUUUGAGGUAAAAAUAAACCAUUUUAGCUGUGAUGUCCACUGCCUUUGGGAGCCACUUGGAAGGAGUUCACAUCCAAAUGGAAAAAAUCGAAGGAUUUUUACCUCGAGGGGAGCCUUGAACCAACCACUGUACUUAUUGGUGAUGAUAUUAUAGGUAAUUUUGUUGCUAGGAAUGUUGAUGUUGCUCAAGGAAAAGAGAGGAAGAAUAAAAGGGCAGGAAGGGUGAAUGAGGUCAUUGGUAACCAAACUGUAUUUAGAUGCUUGUUGUUUUGUGGCUUUGUAUUGUGGUUUUUAAUGAAUGAAAGAAAUAAAACUUUUGAGUUUUAAUGUCAUGAGGAUUUUUCUCUCCAUAAACUUGAGCAAAGUGUAACUUAAGAGGAAUUUAAACAAGUUUCGUAGGCUUCUAUAUUUUAAUUUGUGAACCUUAAUGUGACAACUAGAAACUUUUAACUCUCACUAAUUGUUUGAAGGUUGCGGUGUUAAACCUACGAGUCUUUAUAUGACAGCUGGGAGCUUUUAACUUUCACUAACUGUUUGGGGGCUGCGAUGUUAAACUUGCGAGCCGGAAUAAUAUGAUAGUUGGGAGCUUUUAACUCUCGGUAAUUGUUUGAGAGUGUGGUGUCAAAUCUACGAGCUUUAAUAUGACAACUAGGAGCUUUUAACUCUCGCUAACUGUUUGCGGGUGUAGUGUUAAACCUAUGAACCUUAAUAUGACAAUUGGGAGUUUUUAACUCUCGCUAACUGCUUGGGAGCUUUGGUGUUAAACCUGCGAGCCUUAAUAUGAUACGAAUGUUGUGAUGAGAGUUUUUUCAUUUAAGGGAUAAUGAAUUAUACAUAUUAUUUUUUAGGUGUUGGACAUUCCAUGUUCGCGGUACAAUUGCGCCCUCCAUUCUUGCUAACUUAUAUGCUCCAUAACCAAUUUUUUCUAUAAUUUUCUACAACCCUUCCCAAUUUGGAGAUGUUUUUCCUUGCUACGAGGCUAGUAGAUUGGUUUCAAUAUUUCUUAAAACAAGGUCGCCUACUUGGAACUGCUUGUUUUUAACUUUGGAGUUGUAGUAGUGAGCCAUUUGCUAAGCGCGUGGUGCGUUUUUUACUUCAAUUGUUUCCCUUAGUUCAUCAAUAAGAUCAAGGUUAAGUUUGAUGGCUUCUUGAUUAACUUCCUCAUUAAAGUGUUGCAUCCUGUGCGACUUCAAACUAAUUUCCAUUGGGAUUACAGCCUCUGUACCGUAAAUAAUGGAGAAUGUUGUUUCUCCUAUUGCAGUUUGGGGUGUAGUUCCCAGAGCCCAUAAAAUUUCAUGUAGUUCUUCCAACCAACCACUCUUGGCCUCACCAACCUCCUUUUUCAGGGCCACUAGGAUUUUCUUAUUUAACAUUUUUACUUGCCCAUUAGUUUGUGCUAUUUUUACCGAACUUUGAGCUAAAAUUAUUUAAAGGUCGGUAAAAAAGUUCUUAAAUUUCCCUUAAAAUUGUACGUCAUUGUCUGUGAUAAUCAACUAUAGUGCACUGUACCUACAUAUGAAAGAUUUUCAUAGAAAAGAUUUCAUUUGUCUUUUAGUGAUGGUAGCUAGGGCUUCAACAUCAAUCCAUUUAGAAAAGUAGUCCACUACGACCACUAUGAAUUUCUUUUGUGCCAUAACUAUGGGAAAUGGGCCAAGUAUAUCGAUUCCCUAUGUUGUGAACAACCAAGGGCUUGAUAUGAUCUGAAGAAGUUCUAUUGGCCGCCUCUGCACUUGGGCAUAUCUCUGGCAGUAAUCACUUGUGUGAACCAAAUCAUACUCGUCUUUCUGAAUUUUAAGCUAAUAAUAUCUCUCAUAAGAAUUUUCAGCAUGAGUAGUCUACCCCCCAAGUGAUCACCGUAGAUUCCCUCAUGAAUUUCCCGCAUUACAUAUUCAGCCUUAGGUUGUGAUAGACAUCGCAGCAGUGAGUGUGAAAACUCAUUUUUAUGUAGUACACCCUCCAAAAAGGUGUAUCUAUCAAAUGUAGAACAAAAUAUAUUGUUUUAAUUUAUUAUGUAAUUAAAUCAAUUCAUAUUAUUCAAGUAGUCGAUCAUGCACUAGGAGUUCUGUAGGUAUUUGUAAUUUGUGAUAAUGGUAUACCUCGUGACUUCAGGUUGUAGCCUCGCGAGCUCCUUUUUUUUUAUCUUGGUUAUCUUGUUCACCUUGGAGAGUGCGAACUAUUGGGGUCAUAUAGGUCUCCUUCCAAUCAAUGCAUAGUACUUGUAGCAUGUCAUAGCUCAAGGUCUCUUUAUGCUCGAGUAGGAUUUUCUUUUUUUUUGUUCUAUGGCAACCAAGGAUGCUAGUUUGGACAUCACCAGCAGGCGUGUUGUCACUUCUUCGGAGCUGUUUAAUUUGAACUUUGUCAAAUCCUGCGAGUAAGUGGCUGUAAUUGUAUUAUACUUCUUUAGUUUUGCCUCUUUGACCUCGUAUUUACCAUUCAUCUGUUUCACCACAGCUGUGAAUCUGUAUGGGCAAUCAAGUCCUUUACUCCUAGUUGGCGUGAUAAUUGUAAUCAUGAUACCAAAGCUUCAUACUCAGUAGUGUUGUUGGAUGUCUAAAACCCAAAUGAUAAUUCAUACUACCAUUCACUACUGUUGGGGUCAAUUAGGAGUAUAUCUGCUCUUGAUCCUAAUUUGGUUGUGGAGCCAUUGACAUAAACUAACUAACUUUUUGAGUUAUCAGUUGCAUGUACACUUUUUAGAGGUGGGUUAACUACUGUAAUGCCCAAAAAUUUCUAUUUUUAUUUCUGUGUGAUCUUGACAUGAAUCUGUAUUUGCUUCAGUGCUUAAGUAUUCUGGGUGUGUAUGAGAGGUCCUAAGUUCAAGCCUUAGCUUUAGCAAUCUUUGCUAUUUUAGAAAUUAAGCCCUAUCUUUGUUUAGUGGGCUUAUAUUUAGUUGCUUGCAAUUUCAUAUCAGAAUGAGCCUGUUGGUUCAAGUGGUAAGGUGUUUGUGUAAUUAGAGGACUUGUGUUUGAAUCCCUGCGCAAGCAUGGGUAUUUAUUUUGCUCGGUUUUGUAUACGUGUUUCGAUGGAGUUGGGUUUAUGAGGAAGUUGGGAUUUGGUAAUUAUCAAUUAUUUUAUUUUAUUUUUUUCUCCUCCCAAAACCUUCUGACGUUUUUUCUUCCAAAUAAAAAAUCCCCAAUUUUCUUUUUCUUGCCUUAUUUACUCUGUGAUGAAGUUAUCGAAUUUUUUCUUCUGUUACUGGUUGUUAUUUUUAAGCCUUGCUUUUGUGCGCUUUAAACACUUGGUUUCGAUUUAAUCGGUAAGUGAGUUAGUGGUAUCAUUCUUUAAUCGUUUGGUUUCUAGAGGCGGAACCUUUGCAGUAUUUUGUGCAUAGAGGAAGUAAGGGAAACAACAAUUUCUAUUUAAUGAUUGAAUCAAUGAGAGUGAGCGGAUGUGUUAGAGGUAAGUGGGUGCGUUGUUUUAGGUUUUGUUUUGAAGGGUUGUGAAUUGUUGGCUAAAUUCAUUAGGGGUUUUCAAUUUUUAGGUUUCUAGAGGCUCGAGAGUGGUUUCGCAUCGAAACGUUACCAAGUGUGUACCCAAAACACAAAGAAUGAGUUUUCAACAAAAGUAAAAAAAUGCUACUGUCGACGCCACAUGGGCGUGUGGUCACCCAUGUGGUAGGCCGUGUUUGAGGACACGAUUGUGUGAUUAACGAAGGCAUGGCCAUGAGCAGCGCACAGUCAUGUGAUGGCUCGAGCGUGGCCGUGUGGGCCACACAGACUAAACCAAGUUGAUCGUGUGGGCCUACAUGGGCAUGACACACGGGCGUGUCGAUUAUUAGGCCAGGCCGUGUGGGCCACAUGGGCAAGGCCAAUCUGGGCAUGUGGGCCCGCACUGACAUGCGAACCCAUUAUAUUGAGAUUUUUUAUAGGGUCGCACGGGUCAUCUUAAAAGACUGUGGGCCUAUUUUAAGGUCGGUAAGGCCUAUUUAAACAUUGAAAACUAAAUAUCUGUUGUUCUAUUCUGUGCACAUAGGCAUGAGUGAUUUAUCUGUUAAAUGUAUCUGUAUAUACAUGUUAUAUCCGUACAUAGACAUGUAAGCAUGGUUAAUCUGUAUGUUUGAAACUGAAUAUUCUGUAUAUGAUAUAGGGGUUGGGAUCAUAUAUAUGGAGGAAGUGUUCUGAAAGGCAUUUAUUGCCUAUAUUCUGGCAGCUUGGCUGCAGCUAAUCUAUUAUGUGCCGCAUCAGUACAAUGUGGUGUGUAUGGCUGAGUGGGUGUUUUAAACCCUACAUUGUGUAUAGAGAUGGUCAGAGAUGGUGUGUAGAGGAUGGGGGUAGGAUUCUGUUAUCUGAUUUGCAUAUCUGUAUCUAUAUCUACAUCUGAAAUGGGUUGUAGCCCGAAUCAGUAUUUGUAUCUGACAUGGGCCCAAGCCCGAACUUGAAUAUGUCUGAUUUGUGAUAUUCUGUGUGUGUGCAUGCUUAAUUCUGUGGGGUUACACACUGAGUUUACGUAAACUCACUCUUUUCUUUUUGUUCUGUACAGGUAAUCCACAGAGUUAGGUGAAUCAGUGCAGCAGAAGACUCGACGGUGACUACUGACUUUUACUGUUUAAUUUUGUUUUAUGGUUUUAUUUAAGUUAGGCAUUAUUUUUGGAGAGUUUGUAACUUUCGGGACUUUCUAUACUGUAUGGACUUUAACUGUGGUUUUGGUUUUGUUGCUCGUUUUAUACAUGCUUUAACAAAAUGAUUUCUCUUAAAACGAUGGUUUACUUAAACAAGGUUUUCUAAAUCACGAACUAUGUUACUUAAACAUCAUGAUUUUUUAUAAGCUUUCGAACUAAAGGAUUUUAUGGCAAAUGAAUAAAUGUUUUGAAAUAAAUGAAGGCAAAUAAGGGAUUAUAAGCUUAAGGUUUUUAUCGAGUUAGCUUUGUUUUCAAACCCAUUCCAUAUGACAUCACCAGAUUCGGCCAUAACGUCUAGGCCGGGUUUGUAGCGUUACAACUACUAAAUGGCGUACAACAAAUUAAAGAGAAAUCUUAGUAUAAAGUGCCGAAUUCAUUAAUAUAUUGAAUUGUUAGCUUUCAACAAUAUCCAUGUAACAUACGAUUUUCUCAGGAUUUUCAUCAUUCGAUAUUCCAAAUUAUAAAUUACAUUACCUGUUGUAUCAAUAGCUUUCUUAAAAAAACACUCCACCAUGAAGUUAGCUAGUACUUGUCCUUUUAUCACUAUUUACAAAGUGAAGUCUAUUUCGAACUCAGCCAGCUUAAUACCUCAAUUUGUCACCCUUCUUGAAGUGUCCAUCUUAGACAAUACUUGCUUCAUAAGUUGAUUGGUCACAACAACGAUCGAAUGGGCUUAGAAGUAUAGCCGCAACUUGCAAGCUACAAUUAUCAAGGUAAAAAUACACUUUUUCUAUUUUGGGUACCUUAGCUCGUCGUUUUGAAGUACUUUGCUAAUAUAGUACACAGGGAUUAGUGAUCACUUUCUGAUCUAAUUAACACUACCGUAACCGUCUCCUUUGAGGUAGCCAAGUAUAGGUAGAGCGUUUCUCCUAUGUGAGGUGAUUUCAAAAAUAGAGGAGGAGUAAGAUACAACUUCAAAUUUUCAAAGGCUGCAUAACAUCCUUCAGUUCAUGAGAGAGAGGUUCUCAAGGCUUUGAAGAAAGGGAGGGAUUUGUUUUCCAUCUUGGAAAUGAAUUUAUUGAGUGCCACUACUCUACUCGAGAGGCGCUGUAUGUCUUUUAUGGUUCGUGGUGGAGACAUUUCCAUGAUCACCUGGAUCAUGAAGCCUAAAAACCUUCCAGCUCUCUCUAAAUUCAUGAAGUCUAAAAACCUACUAGCUCGCACUCUAAAGGUAUAUUUCUUGGGAUUCAACUUCAUGUUAUGAGCUUUUAAGACUACAACUGUCUUAAAUAGGCUUAGCAUAUGUUCCCUUAUUGACCCACUUUUUACCAACAUGCCAUCAAUAUAGACUUCAAGCUCAUGCCCUAUCUGGUUUCUGAAUACUCUGUUCACUAAUCUCUGAUAGGGCAUGCCCACAUUCUUAAGGUCGAAAGACAUAACCCGAUAGCAGAAGAGUCACUAUUUAGUGAUAAAAUUUGUCUUUUCCUGAUCACCUUGAUAAAAAAAUUUGAUUAUAGCCUGAGAAAAUGUUCAUGGAGCUCAUAAACCCGUGACCUGCAGAAACAUUGACUGAAUGGUCAAUUGAAGGUAGAGAAAAGUUGUCCUUAGGGCACACUUUGUUGAAGUUAGUGAAAUCUAUACACAAUCUCCAUGUUCCAUUCAUUUUCUUCACCAUGACCAUGUUCGAAACCCAAUCUCGAUACUCCGCUUCUCUGAUGAAACCUUUUGAUAGCAAAUUAGAUACGUCUUGCAUUAUUGCUUCCACCACCUACGACAUGAGUUUCCUUAUUUUUUAUUUUAUUAGCUUUGCUUUUGGAAGGACAUUCAACUUGUGAACGAUUAUCCAAGGGUCCACCCUUGGCAUAUCCAUCGCAGACUAGGCAAAAACGUUUGAAUUCUCCUUUAAACACAGGAUCAGCAUGCUUUUGUCUUCCGCCAUGAAUGCUAAUGAGAUUCUGACAGUUUUUUCCUCAUUUCCACAAAAUAGCUGCAAAAUUUCUGUAUGCUACCAACCUCUGGUUUCUUGUUUCUCUCCUCGUCUUUUAUAUCCAAAUUAUUUAAAUCCAAGACUUGAUUUGCUAAUACUGCUCCCCGCAAACUCUGUCUUUCAGUGACGGGUUCUCGUGCCUGAUUAAUAAAUAACAUUUGACACUACCUUAUAGUUUGCUGAUCUGAGCUUAAAAAUCUGACCCCAAUGUUCGUCGAAAACAUGAUUUUCAUGCAAAACAUCGUGACCACCAUAUUUUUCGUCCUCAUCACCGGUCGUCCAAAGAUAGCAUUGUACGCCAUUAAAUGGUCUAUCACAUAGAAUUUGACAUACUCCAUAGUUGUGUGCUCGCCAUCUUUUAACAUUGGUAAGGUGAUUGAGCCUUUGACCUUAACGGGGUGGUUCACAAAGUUAUAUAACGGAUUAACCUUAGACAACACAUGUUUUUUCAAUCUCAUCUUUUGGUAUGCAUCCUAAAACAAAACCCCAAUUGCACUUCUACUGUUUAUGAAUAUCCUUUUGACCUCAAAACCUGAAAUUAUUGUCGAGACAACCAUUGGAUCAUUACCCUCUUCGUUAUAAACUAAUUCUCCAUUGUCACUAUUAAAUCCCACUCUCUAUUUUUCCUACCAGAGUGAUCUCUUGGAGCGCUAUUUGACAUCACGCUUCUCAUAUGUACCCUCUUUUUUACGUUGAAACCUACAUAGUCUUUAUCUGUGCCUACAAGCACAUGGAUGGUACAUUUAACUUUUUGUUAACCCUUAGGGUUGCUACGCGAACCUUGACCCUAUUGAAGACUGCUUUGGUUCACAAAUUUUGAGAGUUCAUCAUUUCGUACUACCUCAUCUAUGGCACCCUUUAACGCGAAACAAUAAUCAAUUUUGUGCCCAAUGUCAUCGUGGAAGGCACAUCUAUGCCUAGAAUUCAAUCUUCUUGCAAUGCUCCUCAUCGAGGGUGACUUGGGUAGGAUACCAUGGCUCUUGACUUGGCUAAGAAUGAAAGUGCAAGUGGCAUUCAACAGGGUGUAAGCUUCAAGUCCGCUAUCAAGAAAGUACCUCAUCGUGUACUCUAGUUGAGAACCUUGAGGGGCCUUGAGAGGGUUACCAUGAGCUUAAUUUCUGUAUGACUUAUCAUUUCUCACUUGUAAUAAUUGGUCAGGAGGGCCUAUCUACUUCAAGAUCCUUCCAUUUUCCUUGAUUGUCUGUUCUCCCUUUGAAAGGUUUCACGGUAUGCCCUAUUGAUUUCUUUCUCCUCCACAAACUUGUAGGUUCACUCGUAUAAGUUAGCCAAACUUUACGGUCUGUUAUAGGUAAAGGAGUAUUGUACAUGAUCAUUCUAUACUCACAUUAUAAAAGCAUCUAUUGCAAAUUGGUCUUCUAAAUUUUUUCUUGUUGAGGGUCAUUACAUGGAACCUCUUCACGUAAUACUGGAGGGACUCACAUUCUCUCUGUUUUACCAAUAUUAACCCCAUAGGUUUGUUCAUAAUUGCUCAAUGGACUCUAAAUCUUCCCAAAAUUAUCUGCCCCAACAGUGAGAAGUUUUUAACCAAACUUUGGGAGGGGAUAUAAACCAAUCCUUGGUGCUUCCCUUAAGCGUCAUUGAAAAGGCCUUGCACUUCGCUACAUUUGAUGCCUCUAGCACAUUCAUAUAGUCAUUGUAUUGCACCAAAUGGGAUUACGGAUCCCUUCCUUCUUUGAACAUAUCUAUUGGGACUUUGAAGUCACGUGAUAAGUUUACUAUUAUGAUCUCAAGGACCAAUAGAUUGUUAGAGUAGAACCAAUCGAUGUUCUGAUAUUUAGGGUGCAGCACCCUUAGACCCCUUUAUAACUCUUCUAUCUCAUUUUGCCAUUCUUUCACCUGUAUGCCUAGGGCUUCAUUCUGCAUGUUUACGUUGUCUUGGAAGCCAAAGUUAUCAGAAUGCAUUUUUAUUUUUAACUCAUCAUUUUACUUCAGCAGCUCAUGUUGGAAAGCCUGUUGUUGAUCAAACCGCACCUCUUGAGCAACCAUCUAUUCCCUUAUGAAUCUUACUUGCUCCUGAAGGGUAGAGAGCUACUACAGUGGUGCCUCUUGGUUAGGAAGGAGCGUCAACCCCUGGCCAACGGAAGUGUUCAGGUCUAGAGGGCCAAAAACUCUUGGAUGAGCUGUAUUGUCGAGGUUCUUCGUUCUGUCAGUAAACCACCCCAACAACAAAUUUGCUUUAUAAUGAUUAUUGCCAGAGCCUGUGGCUCCGACCUAUUCUAUCGAAUGGAUGAAGGGAAAACUCAAAUUUGGGUGAGCCAUUUCGAUUCUGAAAACUUGACAUAAAUAAAAUCAGACUUGUUGAAAUUUAACAAUUGAAAGAUUGUCCACACUCAUCCCACCAAUUUUUGAUAAUAUUUUCCUUAUGUUUUAUUGAUGGGAGCCUUUAGGUAUUUAUACAUGCUAUUACAACUCAUGAUAUGACUCUACUGUUUUGUCUUGACUCCACUACUCCUAGUACUGGCAUUCUCUGUCCCUAGUACUGGAAUUCUUUACGGACUCCGAGCCUACUAGACACGUGUCUAGUUGCCUACGAAGCACGUGGUCCUUUCUGUUUCUGGGACUGACACCCUAAGUAGGCUCUGAGCUUACUGGACAUAUGUCUAGGUUGCUUACGGAGCGCACGUUCCUUUUUGCGAACCCCUAAGGCAUAUGCGAACUAAGAUCGUGGCCUUUCCUUAGUUCUUACGAGUUGGGGUCGUGAACCCCCUUAUGAGCUAGGUUCGUGACCUCGCCUUGCUAUCCUCUCGUAGUUCGCUUCGCACUCAAUCGUCUGGUAGGGCCUAUCCGAAUUACAGGUAAGUAACUCAGAUCCUAUUAAAGACUUGGGUUAGUGUUCACUGGUAUAUAACAAUAGUAAUAAUUAAACUAAAAAUGUUUUAAGAUAAUUGCUUCAUUUAUAAAAUUCAACACAAUAUAAUAAAUCUGUUAUGCUUACCAAAAUUUAAAAAAAAUUAUGGUUGUCACGCUCAUAAUAUAGGUGAAAUUUUAUAUAAAUAUAUAUUUAUAAAAAUAUGAUAUAAAUAACAAAUAGUGAUUUUAUUGAAAGAUAAAAUAAAAAUAUUAAAAAUUGAUAUAUAUUUGGGUUUAAAUUUUAUGGGUUUAUAUUCUUUUCAAUUUUUCCUUAUAAAAGAUAUAGGAAAUGUUUGAUAAAUAAGGUUUUGGAUUUCUUUUAACUGAUUUGGGUACAAAUAGAGGAUUAGGUAGUUAAACCCUCUAAUUGUAGUGUUUGGUGAAUAGAGGUUUAUAAGAGCUUGUUGAGCUAAAACCUCCAAAACAAAAAAUGCAGGGAUCGGCAACGUUUUUCACAGCUGAUUAGGAAUGAGAUAUGUGAAAUGACAUAUCUGUCUGACCAUGCUUGCUAUAAAAUACUCUCUUUGCCAUAUACUCUCAAAUCUAAUAGAUAGAGGUGCCAAGAUAUCAGUAGUCUCCAUUAUCCAAUUUUCACUUUUACCCCCAAAAUUUAAACUAAAACUUCUUAUAUAAAACAUUUAGUUUAUAAUUUUUUUAAUAAAUUUGAUAUAAUUAUUUAUAAUUAUAUCUAAUUAAAUAAAAAGACAUAGCCCCCAAAUAGAGGUGCUCAUGGGCCGGGCGGCCACGCCCGAAAUAUGGGAGGCUUCGGGUAAAAAUAUAGGCCCGAAAUAUGGGUUUGGACAAAAAAAUGAGGCCCGUUUAGAAAACGGGCCGGGCCUCGAGCACCACUUUUUUGGUCCGAGCCCGGCCCGAAUAUAUAAUAAAUAUAUAUUUUUAUUUUUUAAUUUUAAAAUAUUUUUAAAAUACUUUUUUUAUUUUUUAUUUUUAAAAUAAAUUUUUGGUGUUUAUUAAAAAAAUGGGCUGAGACAGGCUCGGGCUUAAGAAUUUUUUCUCGGGCUGAGCCUGAAUAAAAUUUCAGGUCCAUGUUUUGGGCCAGGCUGGAAUUUUUCUGGGCCCGGCCCAUGAUCACCUCUACCCCAAAGCUUGAUUUUAUUUUUAGUAUAAUAAUUCUGUGGUUAGCAUAAUUAGAGAUAAAAAAAAUCAAUGCAGUGGGGCCCAACUUUUGGAGUAAGAGAGGACUUCAAGGUGUAUAAAGUCCAAGGCUUUGUUUGAUCGAAAUGGAGGCAGGUAUCAAGUGAGUGGUUUGUUGAUUUAGAGAAGAUGGAGGCUAAAUCGUUGUGGGUAUUACUCACUACACUUCUGUUCAUCAUACAAGGGUGGCGACAGAUUGAGGGGUGCUUGGAGCAGGAGAGAAUUGCUCUCUUCCAACUCAAAUCUUUUUUCAAUGACAGUAACUGGGUAGAUGUGAAAGGUUCGAAUUGUUGUGAAUGGGAAGGAGUUGAGUGCAACGUCACUACUGAACGAGUAAUAGGUCUCGAUCUUCGUUUCAAACGUCAAUGGGAUAACCGUGAAUGGAUAUCAGAUCGAUAUGGGUAUCUCAAUGUCUCUUUAUUUCUUCCAUUUGAGGAAUUGAAGAGCCUUGAUUUGAGUGGAAAUGAAAUUGCAGAUCUUGUAGAUAACCAAGGUUGGUUGCUUUUCAUCUCUUCGAUGACCGAUUAAUCCUUGAAUUAAUUUAUUCCUUUAAUUUUUUCUAAAUUAAGACACUCAUGAUCAAUAACUUUUUCUUGCAUGCAGUAUCUGUUUCAUCUGCUUUCAACAAGUUAGAAACUCUUGUAUUAACUCAGAAUUACUUCAAUGAUAGUAUCUUAUCAAGUAAGCUUCCAUCUCUCAAAUUCUAUCAAACUAAUUGUAAGUUUAUGCAAAAAAAUAAAAAAUAAAUAAAAUGAAAGAGUAUAAGGUUUGAUCAUACCAACUUACAAUUGAUUGCUAAAUUCUCUAUUAAUUUAUUUCAUAAUACGGUUAUUAAACUUUUUAACUAAUUUUAAUUGACAGACAAUAGGUUGAAAUAAACAAAUUAUUUCCCAUAUGUUAAUUAAAAGUUUGCAUAUAUUUAAACAAGUUAAAGCGUACAUGUACUUAAUGAGAGAAUGUAUUGUAUGAAAUUGUGAUUUUGUGUUAUUCUUAUCUCUUUUAAAUAGGAGAAUGAUAAAUCAGAAUUUUUCUUCUGAUUAAAAAUGCUUGUAUAAAAAAUCCUUGAAUAUUAGAUACAAGUGAGUGCCACUUUUAUAUUAAAAGAUUAAAAUUAAUUUUUUUAAUGUGAAUAAGCCUUGAAAUGUGUUGAUGUUUGAUAUAUUUCAUUGUUCUUGGAUAGAAUUGAAGAGUUUGACAAACUUGAAGACGUUAGAGUUAAACUUCAAUAGCAUCAAAAGCCUCCGACAGUUUCAAGGUAUAUCUAAAUUUGAUGUUCUAUGUACAAUCAACUAUGUCUUCAAGGCGUUUACCUAUAAAAGUAUAUUUAUGAAUAAAUCAAAGAUGAAAUCGAGAUACAAAUAAUUAUUCUUGGAUAUUAUACAAACAAAUCCUCCUUAAAAUUAUUCGACUUAAAUCUUUUAUAGGUGAGAAAGCGCAACCGAUGAUAAAUUUGGAAGUGCUUAAUUUGGAUUAUAAUUCCUUGAACAACAAUGAUUUGGCAUAUCUCAAGGGGUUAUCAAGUUUAAGGUCCUUGAGUAUUGGGGGAAACCAAUUGGAAGGGUCAGUAGGUAUUACAGGUAUGUAAAAUUUCAUAAAAUAAAAAUAAUAAGCUAAAUUUGGAGUUCAUUUUUCGGGUAGUAAAAUAAAGGCAUAAUGAUUUUUUGGUCCUUCAAUUUUAUAAAAAUAUUAUUUUAGCAUUUAAUUUAAUUUUUCACCUCUUUUAAUAUUUAAACUUGCUUUUUUAUCAAAUCACCCUAAAAUGAAUGAAAAAUUUAACGCUUGUUAACUUUGUUAAUGUGGCAUAUAUGUUGAUUUCCACGUAGAUGACAUAUAAACAUUUAAUUAACUUUUUAAAAUAAAUAUUUUUUUCUCUUUAAUAUAUAAAGUAAAAUAUAUGUACCACGAUAAUAGUAUUUCAAUUUCAAAUUUUUUUCUAUGUCUUUUAAAUUCUUUUAGUAUUAAAUUAAAAAAUUGUAUUUAAUUAAUACAUACCAUCAAUCUAAGCAACGCAUUGGAAAGAAACUAGUUAAUAUAUAUAAUCAGCCUUGUAGAUGUGGAAUUAAUUAUCUUUAUCUACUAUAAUAACAACAUUUAUAAAGUAUACAGUAUAUUAUUUACUAAAUUAGUUCUUUAUAACAAUCUGUUGUCUCAAAUUUUAGCACAGCUAAUUCUAUUUCUAAGUGAACUAAAAUUAACAAAUUUUAAUUAAGAUAUUAUUUCAAUAAAUUGUUUAAAUUUUAUAUAAAAUAUAUUAAUCAUAUUUUACGAAAUGAAAAUAGUUUUUAUAAAUGGAGUUACAUUAGUGAAUUUUAUUAAAGACACAAUCUAAAUCUUGUUAAUAAAUAUUUUUAUUAAUAUUUUUAAUUUAAAAUUUUUAUAAAUUUAAAUAUGACCUAAAUAUUAAAUGUGACCACUUACCUAUAACAUCCAAUAUUUUGCAGACAAAUGAAGUUGUUAUAUAAAAUUUGACCACAACUGAAUUUUUGUGAUGAUUACUUUAUUGGACUAACAAAAAAAUGCAUUCAAUUGAUUUGGAUAGUAUUGAAUAAUAUGACAAAGCUAAAGAAGUUGGACUUGAGUGCCAAUAAAAUUGAGAGCCUCCAAUCUCCCCAUGGUACGUGUCGAUAUGUUCUACUUUAUCUUUUUCUUACAUAUACAUACCAAUAUCUCAUUUAAUAUUUCAUUAGUAGUAAAUUUGCUUAUCUAAAUGCUUUGUAGAUGGUGAGAGGCCACUUAAUUUGACCAAUUUAGAAGAGCUUAAUUUGGAUCAGAACUCCUUCACGAACAACUUAUUGGCACAGCUUAGUGGGUUUUCCAAUCUAAAGUCAUUGAGUAUAAGGAAUAAUCAGCUUAAAGGAUCAAUAAAUAUUAAAGGUGGAAAUACUUAACAUAUUUAAUCUUCCUUUAAACAAAACAAAUUAUUUAUUGAAUUAUUGCAUUUAUUCUGUGUGAUUUUAAAUUUAAAUUUUAUUUGUCAAUUUUUACAGAAUUAUUAGAUACUUUAAGCAACUUAGAGGAGCUAGACAUGAGUCGAAAUGAGCUGAAGGAAUUUGUGCCCAUAAAGAAUAAAGGUAUAUGUAUCAACUAAAGAAAGUCUCACUUAUUGUUUGCCAUUAGAUAUCUAGUGAACUGAUGCCAAUUAUUAAUUUGACUCUCAGAAAAUGGAAGUUUAGGAAAGCUAAAGGUUGCUAACUUAAACGGGGUGUUCAACAAUGGAACUGCUUCUCUAAUACAACUCCUGGAGACAUUCUCAUCUGUUAAUACCAUAUAUUUGAGAGACAAUUACUUUAAUGACACCUUUUCUACUCAAGGUAAAAAAUAUGUGUGUGAAUAUAUAGUUUUAAAAAUAUUAUUUACUUAACAUCAAUCAUUUAAAUAACUCUUAUAAAUUUGUAAAGAUCAAUUGCAUGUGUCGAGCAAAAUUGAGGAAUUACUACUAGAUCGAUCAUCUCUAAACAACAACAUUCUUCAAAGCAUUGGUGCAUUGGCUUCUCUUAAAAUUUUGUCUUUGAGUGGUUGUGGGCUGUCUGGGACAUUACCUACCCAAGGUAAAUUAAUAAUUAUGACAUAAUUAUUUAGACAAUCUCUUGAUUAAUUAUUUUUUAUCCUCCUAGAAUAUUUAAAUAAUUUGUACAAAUUUAUUUUACAGGAUGGUGUGAUUUACGGAAAUUUGAGGUGUUGGAUCUUAGUGAAAAUGCUCUUAAAGGAACCCUCCCUUCAUGUUUGGCUAACUUGUCAUCACUUCAUUAUUUGGAUAUUUCCGGUAAUCAAUUCGUUGGGAAAGGUGCCUCCACUGCCUUAGCCAAUCUCACUUUGCUUAGAUUCAUUUCUCUUUCACGAAACCUAUUCGAAGUUCCUUCCAUUUUCAUAUCAUUUGCCAACCAUUCACACCUCAAAGUACUCUCCAGCAAUCAAAACAAGUUAGUCGAAGAGCCUACCAUUCCAACAUGGGUCCCAAAGUUCCAACUAAAAGCCUUCCGUUUGUCAAAUUGCACAACAAAGGAACUCCACACUGAAAUUCCGAAAUUCCUCUAUUACCAAAAUAACCUGGGUAUUAUUGAUCUUUCAUAUAAUAAUUUUGGAGGGAAGGUUCCUUUUUGGUUGUUAGAGAACAAUACAAGAAUAGAAGCAUUUUUAAUGAAGGGUAACUCUUUUAUGGGUCAUCUCAAUCUUCCAUCUCAUCCGAAUCCAAACAUAUCCUUUGUUGAUAUAUCUGACAACAAAAUACAAGGUCCAAUUCCAGCAAACAUUUGUUCAAUCUUUCCACAACUAAAUGGGUUAAACCUAGCAGGCAAUUCCCUUCAAGGUAAUAUUCCUCCUUGUCUGGGUAGUUUGACCACUUCGAAUUUAUUAUUAGAUCUGUCACAUAAUCAGCUAUCUGGAGGAAUACCAGAAAUAUUAGCUCAAAGUGACUCGUUGAGGUUUCUUAGGCUAUCAAAUAAUCAUCUAAGUGGAAAGAUAACCCCAACGAUCUUUUGCUCAACUUCAUUACGAUUGCUAUAUUUAGAUGGCAAUAACUUUGAUGGAAAUAUACCUAGCAUUGAUAUCUCAACUUUCCUUUCAUAUUCCCUUGUUGAUAUGGAUUUAAGUAACAAUAAUUUGUCCGGAGAGCUCCCAAGAUGGAUAUUGAAUGUGUCAAAUUUAAUGGCAUUGGCAGUAUCUAACAAUCAGCUCAAGGGUCUCAUUCCGAUGGAAUUGUGCUAUUUGGAUUCCCUUAGAAUUUUGGACCUUUCAGAAAAUAAAUUUUCUGGCCCAAUACCAUCUUGCUUCGGCACACAAUUUAUCAUACAUCUCCAUUUGAGCAAAAAUAGAUUAAGUGGCACCUUGACAAAUGCAUUCUUUAAUAGCUCUUCCUUGGUGACUUUAGAUCUUAGUGAAAAUCAGUUGAGUGGAGAAAUUCCAUACCAGAUUGGAACUCUUUCUGCUUUGAGUGUUCUCCUUCUAAAAGCCAAUUAUUUUAUUGGAGAAAUUCCCAUUGAGAUAUGCAAAUUAUAUUCUUUAAGUAUCAUUGAUCUUUCUCAAAACAAGCUUUUUGGUCUGAUACCUUCUUGUUUGAGUCGUUUAACUCUUGAUCCAAAUGAUGAAAAAUCUUCAACAAAUAUCUAUGUGGAGGGCUUUGGAGGAAUCUUUGAGCCGGGUAAUUACUUUGGAAUGACUGAAUUUGAAUUUCUCACUUUAAGAGGAUACGAGUCAUUAGAUGUAGAUUUCGAAAUUGAGAAUCAAAUGGAAGAAAAGGUGGAUUAUACAACAAAAAGAGCAUCUUACACAUACAAGGGAAACAUUCUUAAAUACAUGUCGGGAAUUGAUUUAUCAUGCAAUAGAUUAACAGGUGAAAUCCCCAUAGAGAUUGGAAAUUUGAGUGAAAUCCGAUCACUAAACUUGUCGCACAACAAUUUGACUGGACAUAUACCGUCAACGUUCUCAAAGCUCAAGCAAAUUGAGAGUUUGGACCUGUCUCACAACAACUUAAUUGGAAGAAUCCCUGUUCAAUUAACGGAGUUGUACACCUUAGCAGUCUUCAAUGUGUCACACAACAACUUGUCAGGGAGUAUUCCGUCUCCAAAAGCUCAAUUUGGAACCUUUGAUGAAAGCAGUUAUGUGGAGAAUCCUUUUCUCUGCGGGCCUCCCCUGCAUAAAAAUUGCAGCGACCUUGAUUCACCCCCGACAACAGCACCAAAGAGCUCAAACGAGGAAGAAGAAAGUGGUUUGAUGGACAAGUAUGUUUUCUGGGUGACCUUUUUUGUUUCUUACGUGAUUGUGUUACUGGUUAUUGUUCUCAUCCUGUAUAUAAAUCCUUAUUGGCGACAAGCAUGGUUUUCUUUUGUUGAACACUGCAUCAAGACUUGUCAGUACUUUCUUCUGCGAUUUUCCAUCUUCAAAAGGAGUGGGUAGCCUUGUAUUUUGGUGGUUUACAUUUGUAUGUAAUUUUCAUCACUCUUUUUUUAUUUUUCAAAGUUUGAUUGGAUUAUCUGCUUCUAAGUUUUUAGAGCUAGAAUGCAAUAUAUCUGUUAUGGAAAGCAAUAUAUAAAGUUAUGCAUUUUCAAUUAAAACAUUUAAUAUUGCUUUAUAAUUUUUAGUGUUCUGAUAAGAUGAUGUUAAAUUCAACAUAUUGUAGCAUAUAUAUUAAUAAAACCUAUAUUCAUCUAUACAAAUUUUUUAGUCAACCAAACCAUUGAUGUGGUGGCAAAAACUUCACAUUGUUUUCAAGUCUUCAUUGACAUUAGGUUGAGGUUUCAAACCCUAGCGUAAAAGAGGGGGGAGAGGGGUUGUCUGAACCAAAACUUCAUUUCAACAGAUAUCCUUUACCCACUAAAUCAUAUGCUCAACUGAAACUUUUAUAUAUAUAUAUAUCAAACAUGAAUGAUAUAAAUAGUCUUUAAAUUUUUAAAUGAUAUAAAUAUAUAUAUAUUUUUAAAAUGAACAAAAAUUAUAAUAAUUAAUAUGUAGUUUCAUUAUUUUAUUUAAACUCAAAAUAAUAAUAUUUAAAAAUUGAGUUUACGUGAUAUUUAUUUACUUUAAAAUUAAUAAAAUGUAAAUAUAAACUUUAUUUUAUUUUAUUUAUAUUCAAAUUUAAUAAAUGUUUAUCUAAUUUAUUUAAAUUUAAAUAAAUUAAAUAAAUAAGCACACAAUUUUUUUUAGAGAAAGUGAUGACUCUUUUUUAAUGAUGAGAUGUUAGAAGAUUUACCAUAUGUGUAAUGUGGAGACAAUAACCCUAAUAUGUAACUUUUGCACAAUAACCUUAAUUUAUAAUUAGUGAAUCAUCAAUUAAAAAUUAAUUAAUUGAGUAUUUACACUUGUCCAACCAUAUUUUAUUUAAUAAGUGUCAUGGAUCAUAGGUCAAAUAAGUAUCACAAUAAUCACAGUAAUACCUGCAAAAAUUGAAUCCAAAUAAACAUAUCCAUAAAUUGUUAAUGAAAAUUUGUUCGCAGCGAGAACCUUAACUAAGAUUGGAAGAAUUUAUAUGUUUUUGUCUUUUUGCUAAAAUGAGUAUAAAACAUAUAAAAAAUAAAUUAUGAAUGUUCAUUUUUUUAAUAGUUCAAAAAAAUAUAUUAUAUAUAAUAUAUAUUAUUGUUUUGCAUUUGCUCCUCAAAGAAAAUGGAAACAAUCGUAAGCCUAUGGCAUCAUUAGAAACACCAUUAAUCUUGAUGUGUCGCAAAUCUCUAGAAAGUUAGCCAAAUGAGUAUUCAGAUCUUCAUCUUGCAACCUAUCAAACUGAACAUAUUGUUGUACCAUCUGAAUUGUGUUCGACUUUAGCUCAAAAUUAUUUACAGCAAUAGUCAGUCUGACAAUACUCGAUUCAACCCCAAUCAGAAUAGACUUAGCAUAAUCAUACAUAGUCCGAAGAGUAGGAGCUGCAGGAAGCUGUUGAUUAUUUUUAUGAUUAUCCAUCUCCACAUUAAUAUCCUUUUCCUCUUGAUCGUCUACUAAAAUCUAUUUAUCUUGUCUUUUGCUUUUCUAACCUCUCUAAGAUUUCUACGAGCAGUCUUUUCAACUUCACUAUAAAAAAUUAAUGUUUCUGACGAGUUUCCUCUAGUCAUAAACCAAAAGACUCUAUCAUAAUAAAAAAAUGAAAAAUUAGAAUAUUGUAAAAGUUAAAUUAAAAACAAAAAUAUCAAAAUAAAAAUAAAAAUAGCUAAAUUAAUAGAAAUAAAGUUUUCCUAAUAUUUUAGUCCCCUGGCAAUGGCGCCAAAAACAUGAUGCAGUCAUAAACCAACUAAAAAUCUGACUAAGGCAAGUGUACCUAUCAAUUAAUUGUAUAGUUACGAUGAGCAAAUAAAUCGUUCCCACAAAGACUAAAAGUAGUAAUUACUGUCUUUCUAUUAUUUAAUCGAUAAACUCGAGUAAUUGAUUAAAACUAAAAUUAUUUAAAUUAAUUAACAAUGAAUGUGACAAAUAAUAAAUCAGGAAAAUAAUUGAAUAAUAACCAAGAAGCAAAACAAUACCUAGGAAAAAAUUCACCUAGAUUUCAUCUGUCAUUAUCAAUCUAAAUUCCACAAUUUCUUUACUUAGUAUCUUAAUUCAUAGAAAUCCCUAAAUCAUGCUAAUAUCUCUCUUCAAGAAUAAGAGCAAUAACUUUAGGCUGGUUAAUUGAAAUUUCUUUCUAAUUAAAACCCUUAUUAUCGCAUUAAAUCGCUUUAUGGAUUUCCCAAUUACAUUUGACUCUAAUUCGGUGGAUUUAUAUCAUCCUAUUUCUAAGAUUGCAUGCAACUUCACUCAAUUACGCUAGAUCUACUCUUAAACAAGGUCUAUUCCUUCUCUGAUUUAAGCACAACAAACAUGGAUCAACAAUCUAGAAAUAUUAAACCAAGAGUAAAAUACACAUAAUUGAGAGCAAGAUCUAAGUAUUUAUUGUGUAAAAAUAGAAAUCAAAUAAUAUAAUUCAUCCUAAAGCUUAUCUCUCUAGGUAUUUGGAAAAUUAGUUCAUACUUGCAAAUAAAAACAUCCCAAAGACAAUAUAACCAAAAGAAAUAAAGAAGCUCGUGAUAAUCUCCUAAGAAAUCAACUGUGAGUCUUCAAUCUUGACUAAAAUUUGCUUCAGAAUCGGCUUCAAUGGUGUUUUCGAGUUGUUUUAUUGAGCAUUCUAUGACGGCUCUCUCCCCUCUUCUUAUAUUUGUCAUAUAUAGGUCUUAGAAUGCUCGAAAAACCUAAACAAAAGUGUUUUUCCGCAAGUUUGAAGUGUGACUCGUGAUUUCUACGUAGUCUCGCACAUGACCAUGUAGAAGCUCGUGUGGCCACACGGUCGUGUGUCCAGCCCAUGUGGCUCCUGAAACUUGCUCCAAUUUUCACUUAUUUUUCACUCUUUUUGCUCUAAAAUGCUACUAAGUAUAGAAACAUGAAUUUAAAGGAUUAGGAGCAUAAAAUUCACCAUUUUAAUUCGAAUAAUAAUCCAAAAAUGCAUUAAGAAUGAGGCUAAAACAUGUUACUUUUGGCAUUUAUUAAUUUUGCCAACACCCAAAAUAGUUGCUUAAAGGUACAAAUUUAAACAACCCAAAAAAGGGUCAGUAUAAUCCAAAAAGCGUUGUGUUAGGCUUUUCAUAUGAUAACACUUUUAUAUAGUUGGGAAAGGUAUAACAAAAGUCGGCAUAGUGUUGGAUAAAACUGAUUCUUAUUUAAGCGUUGCCUUAGGCAUGCAUAUCCCAACCUUUAUACAAAGAGUUGGCCAAAGCGUAUGUUAACAAGUCUAUCCUAACACUUAGGAAAGUGUCAGCAUAAUGUUGGACAAACUCGAAUCUUAUUUAAGUGUUGCCUUAGGCAUGCAUAUCUCAAACCUUAUACAAAGAGUUGGCCAAAGCAUACGUCGACAAGUCUAGUUAUUAGCUCAAUAGAUCAAACAGGAAUUGCUAAGAGGGGUGAAGUGGCUUUUAAAAAAAUGUGAAAGCUAGAAAGAAAAUUGAAAGAUGAACAUAAUAAUUUAGAAUGGUUUAGCCCCAAUUGCCUACCCCACUACCUUGACUUUCCACAACUAAGGAUUUUCCAAAAUUCACUAAAUUGAUAACCUUUAAGGAUAAGGUUUAACAUUACAACUCUAUUAAGAUUUCUGUAACACCCCAAACCCGGCUAGACGUUAUAACCGAAUCUGGCGAUGUCACAUGGAAUGGGAUUUGAAACCUCGUUGUUACGAUGAAAACAUUCCAUGCUAUUAUCUUUAGUAAACCUUUGUUAGAACUUAGGAAGUCGUCUUUAUUCAUUUAAAACAUUUGUUUUGAAACAUGCCUCGUUGUGGAAGCUUUAAUAAAACAGUCUAUGUGAUCAUGCGUUUAGAAAAUAAUUUAACUUUUUGAAAACGGAAUUUCCUAAGACCCGCAGGUAUAAAUCCAUAAAGUAAAAUAAAUAAAUAAAAACCCAAAUUUAAAACCAAAAUCCUAGAAGGUCCUUAAAUUACAUCCCAAAUAAUCAAUAAUAAUCAAAUCAUAAAUCGUAAAUUGAAAACCAUGAAGUCGAAAAAUUACGGUGGUUACCGCUAAGUCCUCCGUCGCACCGAUCCAUCUAAGUCUAGGGAUUAACUAUGCACAUUAAACAAAAAAUGUGAGUUUACGUAAACUCAGUGUGUAGUCCCGUAGAAACAAACAAACAAUCAGUAUUCACAGUGCACAGUUGAACAGUCUUGGGCCUAAGCCCUUUUCAGUAUCAGUGACAGUUUGGGCCUUAGCCCAUCUCAGUAUAGUGUCAAAAAUGCAGUAGGUCCUUAACCCAUCACAGUAUUAGUAGCAGUAACAAUUAUGCAGUAGCAAAAUCCUACCCAACCAGCCUCUACACACCAUCUUCGUCUAACCCUACAUUCUAUGUGGGGAUAUAAUCAACCUACCCAUCCCUUUUUAAUAAUAACCCAUGCUAGCUAAAUAUUCUAUGUUUUCACUAUUUACUUAUAUGUUCAUUUAAAGCUGUCUACUUGAGUCAUUGUCACUAAAUUAUUUACAUCUUAAGCUACAGAAUUCCAAAUUAAGAUCUGCUUGAUGUUUUCAAAACUGGACUCAGAUAUCUUUCUACCAUAAAUUUUCAAAAUUUAUAGCUUAUCAAAUAAGUACAGUAAAAUCUUCAAAGUUAUCCCUAUUCUGCCAUUUGACAGCUUCAACCUUUUCCUUACUAAAAAUUAUUAAUCUCUUAGUACGAAAUUUGAAUGAUGUUUCCAUUUGUUUCUCUUGAAAGUAGACUUAUUAAAGAUUUAAAUGUAUAAAUUUAAGCCCCUAAUUAUUUGUUUACAAUUUUUGAUAAUUUUCUAAAAUCAGAACAGGGGAACAAGAAAUCAUUCUGACCUUGUCUCAGAAAAUUUAUUAUAUCUCAUAAUUUACAAUUCUAUUGCUUACACUGUUUCUUCGAUGAAAAACUAGUCUCAAUAAAAUUUAAUUUAAUAUUUUAUUCAACCCUUAACUCAAUUUUCACUAUUUUUGAUGAUUUUUCAAAGUUAAACUACUGCUACUGUCUAAAACUAUUUUUGUGCAAAAUGUUGAUUUCCAAGGUUAUAACACCCUUAUUUCCUUUCUCUACAAUUUUUUUCGCAUCAUUUUCUCUUAUGUCUCGACAGCAAGCGAUUUUGACUUUUUGCUGAAUCCCCUUUUCUGCGUUUCGGGUACACACCUGGUUUCGUUAGAUGCUAAAAUAGUCCCCGAGCACUCCAAAGCCUAUAAUUGAACAAAUAACAUCAAUUUAAUCUCACAUAACGUGAUCCCAAAUCAAACUCAUAUCGAGGUUUUAACCCAUAAGCGACUAAACCUUACCUUCAACUGAUAAUAGUAGUUCCCACACAAACUAAGACUCCGAUUGGUGAUUACAAGCCCUUGAAUCAUCCCCUAAUAGGCAGAAACAAAACACUUUAGAAGAAAGUUAACAAAUAGAGACAAAUCACUUAUCUAAAACUUGUCGAACGAUCGCAGACAAACAUGGAGCGACACGAGGCAGAGUGGGAAAAAAAUCAAGAAGAUGAAGGGUGAAAGAGAGCAGAAAUUUGGCAAUAAUGAAGAGAAAAACAGCAAAAGGGUGGAGGGAUUUUGGGGAAAGUAAAAAAAAAGAAAAAAAAAAUUAACAGAAUAUUUGAUAACCACCCCAAUCCCUUAUUUCUCUCCAUCAAACUCCCCACAAAUCCACUACUCAGAUUUUUAGUCCAUCUCAAACUCUCUUGGACACAUGAGCAAAAAUAAUGCCUAUGCUAAGAUUCAAACACAAGACCUCUUUCACACCAACACUCUACUUAUCCACCAAACCAGCAAGCUAAUUUUGUUAAUUAUUUGCCAACUUUUACUUAAAAGUCUACUGACCAAAUAUAGGACUUAUUCAUAAAAAUACCAAAAUUUGCCCAAGUUCUGGCUUGAACUUGGGACCUCCCAAACACACCUAAAAUACUUAACCACUGAAGUAGAUACACAAUUGUGUCACACAUUCACAAUACCCAAAAUUAAAAUUUUUAGGUGUUACAGUGCUUCUUUUACUGAAUUAAACUAUAACCUUACUAACCUUAUAAAAUGCAUAAAAAACUAAUAAAUCACUUGAUUACAAACUCAUUAAGUAUAGAAUCAAGCUUAAUUUGCCACAACGAAUUGUGGUUAAUCAAUUGUUAAUAUGAAAUUUAUUUUUUUAGAACACCAAAUUCUUUCAACCGCAUUUUGAAGCAGUGGUGGAUCCUAGGACAAAGUUUGGAGGGGAGGCUAGUAAAAUUUUUAGGAAUUAUAAUAUAUAUAUUUGCCAUAACCAUCUAAUACUCAUACUUGUUUAUGCUUAUAAUAUAAUUUUUGUAACUAGUAUAAAAAUAAAUUUUUAAAAUGGGAUUUGAGUGUAAUUACGUAUGUAAUCAUUUUAAUUCUCAGUCCCCUAAGAAUUAAAAAGUGUAAUUGAGUGCUCUAAUUACAGCCAAUUCGUGGGACUCACCAAUCAAUGGUUACCCAAACAUGUCAUCUUUGUGUAAUUACUAGCAAUUACACCCAAAUUCAAUUACUAGGUGAUUUUCCAAACACUGUGUAAUAUGUCGCGACAUCUAAGCCCUUUUGUUUUGUACUUUUUUUAACUUAAUUUUUAAGAGUCCAAGAAAAGUAAAUUACUUAUUUGGUAACACUUAUAUUUAGUCAAGCUAAAAAUAGCUUAAUAAAUUGAUGUUAUUUACUAUAUUUGUCAAACCAUUUUAAAACUAAUUUUGGCUAAGUCAAAAUCACUUUUUAUUCAACUUACCUUUACUAUUUUUAGCCAAUUGAAGUCUUAUAAAUACCUUGUUCAUUUUCAUAAUAUACACACUUGCUCAUCCUUUCCAUCCUUUUAAGAUUGCUAAGUAUUUUUUUGUUGUGAUCUAUUAUUGAUUCCUACUCCCUUUUUAUAAUGAAAGAACUUAUUAAUACCUUAAUAUUUUACUAUUGGUUCUUUCUCACUUUUGUUUUAUUUUCAUCACUUUUAAAAUGUUAUUGUAGCGACCUAAAACUUUCUGGGCACGGGCGCUAGUCGAAGUAAUUAUUGAAGGUUUGAAAACAGUGUCUCGAUUUUAUUCGAAAAAGGGAGUCGCCACCGAUCUUUUUUUUUAGGUGUGAUCGGACACCUACAAAAUUCCCUUUUUAGAAGAAAAAUUUAUUUUUAAGCUUUUCUAAAAAGAGGUAAUUUUAGGUCCACGUAAAAAUCCAGAGAAAAUUAGGGUUCGGGAGUCGGUUACGCGCGAGGAAGGUAUUAGCACCCUCGCGACGCCCAAAAUUGGUAUCUCGUUAAACGCAUGUUGUCUUAACUUUCAAAAAUACGAGUUCCAUUUAAUAUUUAGUCGUGAUCCGAUUGAAACACGAGAAUUUUGAAACACAACAACCCCUUUUUUUUGAAAACACGAAAUUUUUUUAAAACGCAAGAAUUUUAGAAACACGAAAUUUUUCUUUAAAAAAACACGAAAAUUUUGAAACACGAGAAUUUUUUCAAAACACGAAUUUUCUUUUUGAAACACGAAAAUUUUGAAAACACAAAGUUUUAUUUUGAAAACACAAAAGAUUUGAUAAAUUACGAAACAUGAGAUUUUUUUUGAAACACGGAAAUUUAUGAAACACGGUCAAUUUUUGAAAACACGAAAAUUUUUGAAAGACGGGAUUUUUUUUUGAAAACACGAAAAUUUAUAAAACACGGAAAUUUUUUCUAAAAACAAGAAAAUUUUCGAAAAACGAGAAUUUUUGAAAACACAGGAAAUUUUUGAAAACAUGAAAUUUUUUGUUACACUAGAAUUUUGAAAACACGAAGAUUUUUGAAACAUGAGGAUUUUUGAAAACACGAAGCUUUUUGAAACAUGAGAAUUUUUUGAGAACAUGAAAACAUGAAAAUUUGUCAAACACGGGAAUUUUUUGAAAACACGAUAACAUCAAAGAGUAGUCAAGAGAGUUUUUUGAAACACGGAAUUUUUUUUGAAAAAAAGAAACACAAAUAUAUUUUUUUGAAACACGAGAAAUUUUUUGAAAAAAAGAAACACGAAUAUAUUUUUUUGAAACACGAGAAAUUUUAUUAUUAUUAUUUUGAAACACGAGAAAUUUUGAAGACAUGAAAAUUUUUGAAACACGAUUUUUUUAAUAAUACCAUAUUUAACACGAAUCGAUGAUAUUCACCCCGAUAUGGUGAUGAAAUCGUCGUAUUAGUGUCAAAACAAAUCAAAUUAAUAUUUAAUCAGGAUUCUAAUAAAACACGAGGAUUUUUAUUAAAACACGAGGAAUUUUGAAUAUUUUCGAUUUUUAGAAGGGCGUCCCGUAUUUAACACGAGCCAUCGAUAUUCACCCAACAUAGCGAUGAAUUCAACGGCUUGAUGCUAAAUCGGUUCGUUGCCUUAUGCAUUAAAAUAUUUUUUCUAUAAAAAAAAUGCAAAUAAAAUUACAUAUAAUAAUAUUUCUAAACUAUUAAAAAACUAAUUUAAUUGUAAUGGGGAAAUAUUUAAAUAAAUGGACUUAAUUAGAGUGGGUUUAAAAAAUUACCAAAAGCCCAAAGUUAUGGGCUUGAAUUUUGGGCCUCCCUUUUCUUUUUUUUCUUUCUCUUUCUUUCCUGGGCGUUGGGCUGCCGGACUGGGCCGAGUCUGCUGGCCCGCUGGUUGUUGAAACAGGCCUGCUACCGCUGCUGGAUCGAGUACAGGCCUUCGUGCGGGUCGGGUCUGCCUCCUGGACUGGGUCGUGGCCUGCUGUCACUGCUGGGCUGCUCUGCUGCGCGUGGGCCUGGGCUGCUGCUUAGCUGCUGGAGUGGCCUGCUGUUGGCCUGCCCAAGAUGGCCUAUUGCUUGCUGGGCCGGUCUGCCACUGCUGCUGGUGUGGGUGGCCUGCUGCUGGCUUGUUGCUGGCUGCUGGCUGGGUUGGAUCCGGGUCAUCGGGUCGGGUUGGCCCGGCUGUUAUUUUUUUUCUUCUAUUUUCUUCUUUCUUCUUUCUUUUUUUCUUUUUUUCCUCAUUUCUUUUUCUUUCCUUUUUCUUUUUCUUUCUUUUCUUCUUCCUUUCAAACCCUAGCCACCGUCUUUUGCUUGGUGGCGCGACAGUGCCGGCGCUUCUCCCUUCUCCCUUCUCCCUUCUCCUCCUCUCUCUUCUUUCUCUCUUUUUCUUUUUCUUCUCUUCUUCCUCUCUUCCUUACUUCUUUACUGUUUGGGUUGCUGUUUUUUUUUGUUUUCUCUUUGCUUGUUUGUAUAGGUGCGACGGUGGUGGUGGUGUCACAACGGCGGUGCGACGACGGUGGUUGCGGGAGGAUGGUGGUGGAGGCUUUCGGCUUGCUGCUAUUUUUUUGUUUUUGAAUUUUUUCUGCUCUUUUUCUUUUGGUUGCCGAAAAACCUUUUCUUUUUGUUUCGGUUUCCCUUGGCUUUCUAGGUGGCGGUGCGGUGGUUGCGGUGGCGGGGUAGUGGCGCGACGGUGGCGAUGGCUUUUGGGCUGCUGUUUUUUGGAUUUUUUUGAGUUUUUCUCUGCUCUUUUUCUAUUUUUUUUUGGUUGCUAUCCGACCCCCUUCCUUCUCUUUUGAUUUUCUUUUUAAUCUCUUCAUUUUUUAUCCUCUUUCUUCUUGUUUUCAGAUGGCAUGGAGGUGAGGAGCAUGGCUGAUUGGCGGUGUCAGGCGUAGGGUGUGGUGCACGCCCAAAUGCUGGUUGGGGGGCAGUCUUGUCAUUCCCAGAAGGACUGAAUUGUAGAGUGUGCAAAGUUUUUAGGGCAAAAAUGUGAUUUUAGGAAAAUAUAGGGACAAAAUGUAAUUUCUAGAAAGUUUAGGGGCCUGACUGUAAUUUAUAAAAUAUUAGGGGUCAAGAUGUAAAUUUAGACAAAGUUAGGGGUCAAAAAAUAAUUUUUGAAAAGUUUGAGGGCCAAAAUGUAAUUUUUAUUUUUUGUAUUUUUAUUUUUUUCAAAAUUUUAUUAUGACUAUUUUAUUAAUAUUUAAAACAAAAAUUAAAAACGGACUAAAGUAAUUCCAAAAUUAAAUCCUAAUGGGCUCGAUCAUUGGGCCCAUACGAGACCGACCCGGCCUAAAAUUCAAACCGGGCAAAAUUCAGUGAUUACAGCUGCCCCUCUUUGCUCAUCGCUGUAAAACAGGGAUAGAGCAAAGACUUAAAAGCACUGAAUUUUGCUCGAUUGUCUAAUUUUUUAUAUUUUUUGAAAGCCUGAAAUUGAAAAAAAAAAGCUUGGUGUGCGAUCCGAAGUUCAACUCACUUUUCAGAUUAUAAGUUGACCUUUGAAAAAUAAAAAAUAAAAAUACCUCAGCUUGACUCGAGGCUCAACUCACCUCUAGGAUUAUGAGUUAAUAAUUUUUUUUUUUGAAAACAUAAAUUGAAAAUACCACAGCGUGACCUGAGGCUUAACUCACCUCUCGCAUUAUGAGUUGAUUUUUGAAAAACGAAAAAUUGAAAAAUACCUCGGCAUGUGACCCGAGGCUCAACUCACCUCUCGUAAUAUGAGUUGAUUUUUUUUGAAAAACAGAAAUUUAAAAUACCUUAGCGUGCGACCUGAGGCCCAACUCACCUCUCGCAAUAUGAGUUGAUUUUUGAAAAACAGAAAUUGAAAAUACCUCAGGAUGACCCGAGGCUCAACUCACCUCUCGUAUUGUGAGUUGAUUUUUGAAAAAAAGAAAAUUUAAAAGAAAUACCUCGGCGUGACCCGAGACUCAACUCACCUCUCGCAAUAUGAGUUGAUUUUUUUGAAAAACAGUAACUUAAAAAUACCUCAGCGUGACCCGAGGCUCAACUCACCUCUCGUAUUAUGAGUUGAUUUUUGAAAAACAAAAAUUAAAAAAUAUAAUUCUUGAAAGAAACAGGGUUUCAAAACAUCAGGUGAAACUAAAGCCUUCUUCUUCGUUGAUUCUGUGCAACUUUCUCUCAGUAUUCCCUGCUCUACUAAGAUACCUGUAUAUGUCAUGUAUGAUGUUAUUAUGAUAUGCACGUGUUUGACCUAAAUGCUUUUAUGCCUACAUAAUCAUGCCAUGAGCCCUGGGCUGUUUGUCUCAUGCCUCCUUUUCGUGAGGGACUGCAUUCAUUGCCUCAAUCAUUGACUUCUCUCUUCGGUUUUGUACUCAUCUUCAAGUUUGUCGGGUGACCCACAUGUCCAUAUUUCCCCUUCUUGCCCCUUUUGUUGAACUUUGUUCCUGCUUUGGGGUCCUUGUACUUAUCAAAUUCUCAUCCAGGUAAUGCUCAACAUUCAUUUUGUUUAGAGUAUGUCAUCUUACUAUUUAUCAUUUAAAUGAAUCAAACACAAGAUGCAUAAAUAAAAUGGCAAAGUAGGCAUGAAAGAAAUACCUCACAUCCAUUUCAUUUUCAAAACCAUCAAACAAAGAAAAUUGACAAGGAAAAAGUUCAAAGAAAGCAUCAUAUAGAAAGGAAAGUGAAUUCAAUGGCCACAAAUGCUCUAGAUAUCCAACGUAUGAACUUCUCCACGUUUCUUCAUCCUGGAUCCUUUCGAGCACGGCUUCUUGUGUAGAAGAUUUCGAGCUUCUGAGAAUGCUUCAAAUAUUGCGACUUUGUCAUUCAACUCUCCGUUCAAGUCACUUUGCUCCUUUAAGCUCGAGCCCACUUCAUUAGGACGCCCUUUCAGGUUUCCAUCCUAAUUCUUUUUGUUUAUCAAAACGCCCUUUUCAGGUUUUCAUCUUGAUUUUCUUUUUCUUUUCUUUUUUCUUUUUUUGUUUUUGUUUUUGUUUUUUUUUGUUCUUUUUGUUCUUUUUGUUCUUUUAUUUUUUUAUUUUUUUUUUGUUUUUUUAGGCAUAAUAUUUCUUUACAGCAUCUGAGUUCACUGGAUUAGGUAACUCUUUCCCGUCCAUCUCAGUGAGAAUCAGAGCCCCUCCUGAGAAUGCCCUCUUUACAACGUAUGGUCCUUCCCAAUUUGGUGACCAUUUUCCUCGAAAGUCCUUCUGUAUUGGGAGAAUCUUUCUCAGUACGAGCUCUCCUUCGCGAAAUUCUCUUGGCCGCACCUUUUUAUCAUGGGCCGUAAUCAUUCUCUUCUGGUACAUCUGUCCAUGACAAAUUACCUUCAAGCGUUUCCCUUCAAUAAGGUUUAGCUGAUCAUAUCGAGCUCGAACCCACUCUGAUUCCUCUAACCUUGUCUCCAUCAAGAUGCGCAGGGAUGGGAUCUCUACUUCGAUAGGCAGAACGGCUUCCAUUCCAUAGACUAGAGAAAAAGGAGUUGCCCCCGUAGACGUCCGUACCGAGGUGCGAUAUGCGUACAAAGCGAAUGGUAGCUUAUCGUGCCAGUCUUUAUAUGUCUCAGUCAUCUUCCCAAUAAUCCUCUUAAUGUUCUUAUUAGCGGCUUCUACUGCUCCGUUCAUCUUUGGGCAAUAGGGCGAAGAAUUAUGAUGUUUUAUCUGGAAUUGCUCACAUACUUCUUUCAUCAUCUUAUUGUUCAAAUUUAAAGCAUUAUCUGAAAUGAUUCUUUCAGGCAGACCAUAUCGGCAUAUAAUCUCCUUUUUUAAGAACCUACAGACUGUAGCCUUUGUCACAUUAGCAAACGAAGUGGCUUCUACCCAUUUUGUGAAGUAGUCUAUAACCACAAAGAUGAAUCGAUGCCCAUUGAAAGCUUUCGGGGAAAUUGGCCCUAUAACAUCCAUGCCCCACAUAGAAAAAGGCCACGGAGAAGUCAUGACAUGAAGGGGUGACGGAGCUGCAUGAAUUUUGUCGCCAUAAAUUUGACAUUUGUGGCACUUUCGUGCGUAACCAAUGCAAUCCCUUUCCAUCGUCAGCCAAUAAUAACCAAGUCUCAUAAUCUGCCUGGCCAUGGUGAAACCACUGGCAUGUGUUCCACAAAUUCCUUCAUGAACCUCUUCAAGUAUCUUUCUAGCUUCAACAGCGUCCACGCACCUCAGGAGCACUUGAUCUUUUCCCCUUUUGUAUAGAAUAUCCCCGUCAAGAACAAAUCCAAUCGCCAUUCUCCUGAUUGUUCUUUUGUCAUUCUCGUUUGCUUGCUCGGGGUACCUUUGAUUCUUGAUAUACUCCAAGAUAUCAUGGAACCAUGGUCGUCCAUCUGACUCCUCCUCAAUACUAAAGCAGUGUGCGGGGGUCUCAUAUAUACUCAUUUGGAUGGGCAUUAUCUCAUUUUCUCUGUUUGCCUUGAACAUCGAAGCCAAGGUGGCUAGGGCAUCAGCCAGUUGGUUCUCCUCUCGUGGAAAGUAGUUAAAAGUCACUUUAUAGAACUCCUUGAUCAGCUCUGCAACGAGAUCAUGAUAUUUGACUAAUUUUGGAUCUCUCACUUCCCAAUCUCCACGAAUUUGAUAAAUGACUAAUGCUGAGUCCCCGUGUACCUCUAAAAUUUUGAUUUUUCACUUGAUAGCUGCACGAAGUCCCAUGAUGCAAGCCUCAUAUUCCGCUAUAUUAUUUGUACAGAAGAAAUUCAAUCUGGCAGUAAGCGGGUAAUGGUCCCCUUCAGGUGACACUAAGACUACUCCUAUCCCAUGCCCCAAUACAUUUGAUGCACCAUCAAAGCUCAUCUUCCAUGACUUUCCUUUUGAUGACUCGCCCUCUUUUUCUGAAAUACACAUCAAAUCUUCAUCUGGGAACUCAAAUCUCAAAGGCUCGUAUUCCUCCAUUGUUCGACUUGCCAAGAAGUCAGCUAUUGCGCUUCCUUUUAUCGACUUUUGGCUCACAUAUACAAUGUCAUACUCAGUCAAUAGGAUUUGCCAUCGGGCCUUUCUCCCUGAGAGUGCAGGUGACUUCAUCAUGUACUUUAUUGGGUCCAGUUUUGAAAUUAACCAUGUCGUGUGAUACAGCAUGUAUUUUCUGAGCCUUCGAACUGUCCAAAUCAAUGCACAACAAAACUUCUCAAUUGACAGGUACUUUGCCUCAUAUUCUGUGAACUUCUUGCUGAGGUAGUAAAUUGCCUUCUCUCUUUUCCCUGACUCAUCAUGUUGUCCCAGUACGCAACCCAUUGAGUUCUCAAACACGGUCAGGUACAAUAUUAAGGGUUUUCCAGGGGUCGGCGGUACUAGCACAGGAGAAUUAGAUAGAUACUGUUUUAUCUUGUCGAAGGCCACUUGGCACUCCUCGUUCCAUUCUCCCGGAUUACGUUUUCAAAGGAGUCGAAAAAUUGGGUCACACUGAUUGGUAAGUUGAGCAAUGAAUCGAGCAAUGUAAUUCAACCUUCCUAAAAAACCUCUGACUUCCUUUUGUGUACGCGGGGGAGGCAAUUCUUGUAUAGCUUUUAUCUUAUCUGGAUCAACCUCGAUACCUCUUUCACUAACAAUGAAACCUAGCAGUUUUCCUGAGGUAGCCCCAAAUGUACAUUUGGCCGGGUUAAGCUUCAACUGAAACUUUCUUAAUCUUUCAAACAACUUCCUAAGACUCCCAACAUGCUCUCUUUCUUCCCGAGAUUUGGCAAUCAUAUCAUCGACAUAAACUUCUAUUUCUUUGUGCAUCAUAUCAUGGAAUAACGUCACCAUGGCUCUCUGAUAUGUUGCCCCAGCAUUCUUUAAUCCGAACGGCAUUACCUUGUAGCAGAAGGUUCCCCACAUUGUUAUGAAUGUAGUUUUCUCCAUAUCUUCGGGAGCCAUCUUUAUCUGAUUAUAUCCUGAGAAACCAUCCAUGAAAGAAAACAGAGAAUGCUUUGCCGUAUUAUCCACCAAAGUGUCGAUGUGCGGUAAAGGAAAGUUAUCUUUAGGGCUUGCUUAAUUCAGAUCAUGAUAAUCCACGCACAUUCGCACCUUGCCAUCUUUCUUCGGCACUGGGACUAUAUUAGCUACCCAUUCUGGAUACUUUGAGACUUGUAGGAAGCCAGCGUCAAAUUGUUUCUUGACUUCUUCUUUUAUCUUUAACAGCAUUUCGGGUCUCAUCCUUCUUAAUUUCUGCUGAACGGGCUUGCAUUCUGGUUUCAGUGAGAGCUUGUGGACCACAAUAUCCGUGUUUAAUCCUGGCAUAUCUUGAUAAGACCAGGCAAACACAUCCUUGUAUUCAUGGAGCAAGGCGAUCAAAUCUUGCCUUGUGUUUUUUGAAAUCGAAGUCCCAAUCUUCACUUCUUGUUUCUCUUCUUCAUUCCCCAAGUUCACUACCUCAACAGAUUAUUGAUGGGGUAGGAUUUGUUUCUCUUCUUGUUCCACCAUUCUCAGUAAGUCAGGAGAUGAGACACAAUCUUCAACAUUUUCGUCAGCUUCGAAUUCUCCUAAACAAAUAACCUUCUCAAAAUUGAUUUCAGGAUUCAUAACGGGAUUAUUCAUGCCAUUGAUAUCUGAACACCUGAAAGGUGAAUGGAAAAAGGAUAUAGAAGAGUAUUGAGGUAUUGUAAUCAACACACAAUGAUAUGAGAUGAUAUGAGACAUAUGCCAGAAAAGGAUAUGAACAGAAGGAGUAGUCGCAAAGUUAAUGAAAAGAAUAUGACAAUAUAAAACAAAAUGCAUCUUCAUUAAUGUUCAUUGAAAUGAUAAAGAGCAAACAUAAGCUCUUACAAAAGGAACCCUACUGUUUAAGGACACACAAAAUGAAGGGUUAACAUUGAGCAUUACUCUGAAGGGGACUUAAAAACUACAAGGAGGUCCUCAGCAGUCCAGUUGUUCAAAACAUAUCCUGGAGGACAAUGGCGUAUCAUUGAAGCAUUCUUAAUUUCAUCAUUCUCAUUGUCAAUAGCAUUUAGGCUGAGAUUCUGAAGACCCUUUUCAAUCAAUAAUGUGGCUUGCAAAUUGUUCUGCCCUGGGUACAUCACUCCUGCUGAUGUAAAUGUUCUCGACAAAGGAGGAUACGCCAACGGCCCCCAUUCUAAUUCCUGGCCCGAAGCUCUUGCGAUUCUUCUUUCUCGAUUUUUCUGAAAUUGUUUUUAUCUUUGAUGUACAUCUGGCUUGAACCCCAAACUGUAUCGACCCUUAUGGUGCGUUGGUUUCAAAGCUCUAACCAUCCUUUGUUGAUAUUUUCCCAAACCUUUCCUCGCUCGAGCUCCUUUUCCCACAGUCAGCUUAAGUCCCAUCUUGGUAUUCCUCGACAGUUUGGGAAUGGGGAUCUUAUUCCCUUCAGUAACAAAUGCAGCAUUGAUAAAUUUCAAGAAGCGAAAAGAACAUUCUACAGCAUCUUCGCUUAUUUCGAUGUAGGGUGCAUCAGUAGAGAUAGAUGCGACGAUGUCUUCCUCGCCACCAACAGUAAUCAAACGACUAUCCAUGAUGAACUUUACUUUCUGAUGGAGAGAUGAAGGAACUGCCCCAGCAGAAUGGAUCCAAGGUCUUCCUAACAGGCAAUUGUAUGAAGGUGUGAUGUCCAUGACCUGAAACUCGAUAUCGUAUGCACAUGGCCCCACUUUUAAAGGAAUUUCGAUAUUUCCCAUGACCUCUCGCCGUGUCCCAUCAAAUGCCCUUACUAUAGAAUGACAAGGCCUCAGAUAGGACAUAUCAACCGGCAUCCUAGAAAGCGUGGCCAAAGGCAUAACAUUGAGUGCAGAUCCAUUGUCGAUGAGCACAUUUGGUAAUAUGUAACCUUUGCAAUUGGUUGUGAUGUGCAAUGCUUUUAUGGAGCCCCUUCCAUUUGGCGGUAUUUCGUCGUCACUAAAGGAGAUGAAAUUAUCUGCAUUUAGAUUAUUUGCCCACCUAUCAAGCUUUUCCACAGAUACAUUGUUCGCCACAUAAGCUUGAUUUAACACUUUUAACAAGGCAUUCCGAUGUGGCUCUGAAUUCAACAAUAGAGACAGUACCGAGAUACGGGCUGGCUGCUUGUUUAAUUGUUCUACAAUGCUAUAUUCACUGUGCUUAAUGAACUUUAAGAACUCACAUGCUUCCUCCUCAUUCACAGCCUUUUUAACUUCUUCCUCGGGUGGUAUUUCAACAUCAUCCUCAGCCUCAUACAUUGGUGCUUUUCUUUUUUGGCUCGGACCAGCAACCUUCUUCUUUGGCUCAACCGUCUCGGGAGAAUAACAUCUUUCGCUACGAGUAAAAUGUCCUACUCCGCUAACACCUUCACUCACAACCUUGGACUUUUCACCCUCAGGUACAAUGAUAUUGACAUCAUAAUUCUAAGGCACCGCCUUGUUGUCCUUAUAAGGGAAAGGAGCAGGUACUUCAAUUAUCAAACUUGGUUUAACUUCUCGACUAACUUCUUCCUUCUUUGUCCCGUAAUAAAUCACCAAAGGUCUAUCGACGCUAUAAAGGGAAGCCAUUGAUUGAUUAUUAGAGGCACAUAUUUCUCCUUCUUCGGCCCCCUCCACCCUAUCAAAGACCUUGACCUCUUUGUUAUCCAUCAUGUCUUGAAGUAAUUUCCUAAAUUCCUUACAAGAUUGGAUGUCAUGCCCUUGGACGCCAUGAAAAUCACAGAAACUCUGGUCUUUUGUACUUUCUUCUUUAAGAAUCUUACUAGACGGACAGAGCAAGCCAUUUUCAAUCAUCAUCUCCCAUACCUUCCGUAAAGGUGUCUUUACUUCGGUAACACAACCUUUGGCUUGACAAUUGUCUUCAUUUGUCACCGCAUUUACAUUCCCGUCAGUAUGGUUAGGAAGAGGAUUUCCUGUCACAUUGCUAACAUCGUCGAACCGUAGAACACCGGCAUCAAUAAGACCUUAAACCCUCCUUUUAAAAGCAAGACAGUUUUCUGUAGAAUGUCCCUGAUUCCCAGCGUGAUACAUGCAAUUAGCGUUAGGAUCAUACCACUUCGGGUAUGGAGGCUUCAGGGGUGCCAUGUAAUGUGGGGAUAUUAAUUGUUUUUCCAACAGCUUUGGGUAUAAUUCUCCAUAUGAUACAGGAAUUAGAGUAAACUGAGGUCUUUCAAGAUUGGGUCUUGCCGGUCUUUGUUCAUUUUUGGGUUGGCUUUGUACAGGUAUGGUGUUUGGCGGGAACACGGUGAAUGGUCUUUGGUUAUUCACAGCAUAAACGGGGUAAGAUAGGGGUGCUUGAUAGUAAGGACUUUGAGGAGGAAAGUAGAAGUUUGAAGGUGGGCGGUAAUGAGGUCGUGGUUGGGUGAGGUACGGAUUAGGGGUACAUUGGCUUUCAGUCCCAACCAUAUGGGCCUCUGCCUCCUUUUUCUUUGCGGGUACUGUCCUCUUCGAACUCUCAGGACCUUCCAUUCUCCCACUCUUGACGGCGUUUUCGAUAAGUUCCCCGGAUAUUACAAUAUCUGCAAAGUCCUUUGUGGCACUUCCCACCAACUUAUCGUAAAAUGGCGCUUUUAGAGUGUUGAUGAAGAGGACCGUUAUCUCUGUCUUAGUUAACGGAGGCUCCACUUGAGCCGAGAUAUCCCUCCAUCUUUACGCAUAUUACCGAAAAGUCUCUGUCGGCUUCUUUUCCAUCAUUUGUAAGGUUAGUCGAUCAGGCACCAUAUCUGUUACAUGCCUAUAUUGCUCACAGAAUGCUGAAGCCAAAUCCUUCCAUGAUCGGAUUCUCUCUCUACUGAGUUGAUUAUACCAUCGAAGGGUUGAGCCAAUCAAACUAUCUUGAAAGUAAUGCACCAACAAUUUAUCAUCGUUUACAUAACCAGUCAUCUUUCGGCAAAACAUGAUCAGAUGCGCCUUUGGACAUCUUGUUCCGUCAAAUUUCUCAAAAUCAGGUGCCUUAAAUUUUGGUGGUAGGACCAAAUCAGGUACCAAACUGAGCUCUUUGGCACUCAAAGCAGAGAAAACUUCAGCGCCUUCUACUGCCUUGAUCCUCUAUUCCAGGACUCUAUACUUAUCCUGAGCGUUAUUGUCAUCAAUUCUCAGCCUUGCUACUUCUACAGGAUCAUCUAGGUCUGGAACAAUUGGAUCUGAAGGAUUAGCCCCAGGGUUCGAUACAAACAUUCCUUGUCCUAAAUGAGCAGAUGGAGCAGGAUGUUGUUCCAGGCCUGUAGGUUCCCUUUGGGGGUAUCCUCUUUGCAUUGCGUGGACAUGAGGUGGAGUAAAUCCCGGGGGAUAAAGUGGGUCUUGAUUAGCUCUUGACUGAGGCGGUUCUACGACAUUAGGGCUCUGUAUAGGUCCCUUUCCUUUGACCAAAGCCGUCAUCAUUUCUAUCAUUUUAGCCAUUUGAUCCCUUUGCUCGAGCAAUUCUUCUCGAGAUCUCACCAUCAAAUCUCUUGCCUCUUGCUGCGACUUGGCCAGUUGCUCCUGCAACUCUCUUUGGGUUCUUUCCAUCCUUUCCAUCCUUUCAUUGAGUUCAGCAUCCAUAGCUCUAGCUCUUAAGCGCGUCCUAUAAGAGUGACGUGAUUCCAGACUCGUAGUGUAGUAACUGUGGAUUAGAUGGUUUUACCCUUAGCGAAUGAUUAAGGUGAUAUGAGAAUACAAUGAAUAAAUGAAUGAGUAACUAAUGAAUGUUAAUCAUGCGUAAAUAUGCAAAAAAGGGUGUUGAUUCCAAAAUGGCCCCAUACUUGGGCGUUUCAUUUAUCAAAAGAGUCCGUUACAAAAAGUUUUGCCAUCCUAGUUCAACAAUUACACGAAUUUCCUAGCCACAUCGCCUUGCUUCUUCAUACGUUCCAAGAACUCUGAUAUGCUUGAUCUUUGGCUAGGAGGGUAUUGGCAACUGAGAACUUCCGCUUCAUCUGAUAAUUGUACUAUUUGUGCAGCCGCCUUACGAAUUUCAUUGAUCAACCUACCGAGAUGCAUAUCCUUUUCUUGGAGGGCUCUUUCAUAAGCACGAAUGUCUCUGUCAUGCUGAUCAUUCUUCUCUUCUAAAGCUCUCAAGAGGUCAUCCAGAUGUUGCUGAUGAGCUUGCAGUGUACUCUCUAGACUUCAGAUUUUUCCUUUUAGCCCUUGAUGCUCAGACUGACUAGCCGUUAGUUCUGCAGUCACAGUUUCGUAUUCAACGUUCUUCUUCCUCAACUCUAUCAUAGCACAUGCAGCUCUUUCCUCUUCUUUCUUUGCUUUGGCUUUCCAGAAUUCCAUCCCACCUUUGAUAUUACUUAGUUCCUCUUUCCAUUCUGCUGAUGCUUUGCCCAAUCCACUAUUUCUUAUAGUGCCCCUUAAUUUCUUGUUUUCCAAAUGAAGGUCCCUUAAAUUCUUUCUCGUAACUUGAACUUCUUUUUGGACUUUUUCGGCUCUGGAUUUUUCAAUUUCGACAUCAAUCUUCAGCUGGUAGUUCUCCUCCUGAAGAGAUUAAUAUCUCGCAACAUUUUGGCCUUUUCACGUUCAAAUUCAUGUCUUGCAAUUUCUAGCUCGGAUGGGGUUUUCUCUGAGAACGGAUUCUGGCAAGCUUCAUUAAUUGGUGGGGUUACUUGACUCUUCACUCGUUGUUGCCUCCAUAGGUCAUAGUCUACAGUGAUAGUAUCAGCAUAUAGAGCCAAUUCCAUUAGGUAGAUUCGCCUCCAAGAAUUCGCAGUAUCUCAAACCUUUUUCAUGUAACCCUCACCCAUAAAGGCAAACUCCGAUUGUGCCAAUCCAUCGGUAACUGGUACAAACUGUCGCGAAGCGAACUGUCUUUAAACCAACAAUGGAGCAUAUCCAACUCCUCCCCAUAAUCCUAAUAAAGGUAUCCAGUCUUGGUUUCCACACUUGUAUAACAAGACAGAGGGACGAAUCCAAGGUGCUCUCCAAGUUAUAUCUUCGACACGGAGGUUCUGAAAGACCGAGACCCAGUGUUGUUCAGUGACAUCUUUCGGCCAAUCUUUUCCAAGGUGUGCUUCCAACGGGGCGAAUGUCUUUGAAAACAUGUGGAAAGGCGUACGCUCCACCCUCCAAAAAUGGCUAAAGAUCCAAACAUUCAGUAACUGAGCGCAUUCGAUAAAACGUCCUUCCCCUUUUCUCCUACAAGCAUUUAGAGAUCUAAAAGUCUCAGCCAAGAUGGCUGGGACCGGGUUAACUCUUUGCCUCAACUUUUCGAAGAAAUCCACAACCGCAACUUCAAUAUGCCCAAGAACCUUCGGGAAGACGACCAGUCCGUAAACAGCCAAGGCAAACAAAUCUACUCUUUUUAACACAUCUGGAUGAUUCUGAACUAACUCCCGCAGAGAAAACCACGGGACACAACUGACUUCAUUCUUCUUCUUUAUCUGUUUUUCAGCCCAUGUAUCAGUCAUUCCCGUCAACUUCAUUAGCUUUUUCUUGAAGGUCAUUGGUUUAGGCUCCUUCACAUAUAUCUUGUUGAGUUGCACAUUAUCGAUGCGAAGCAAAGCGGCAUACUCUUCUAUGGUCGGAGUCAUAUCUUCCUGAUUGAAAGUGAAACACUGAUAGGCUGGGUCCCAGAAUCGAACCAUGGCUUGGAUCAACUGCUCGUUCACAUCGAUUGCUAUCAAGUGAGCUAUAUCCCCAUACUUUUCAGUGGAGAUGCUUCUAGUAUCUGAGUCCCACUGCUUCCAAAUCCUAGUCAAGUCUUCGAGAUCAUUUUGACGAGCAUUCAAAGUCACACGCUCGGGAAGAUCAGAGGUGUAUCCUUCCUUCAAACUGUCCCCUUUCACUUUUUGAGUUCUCAAAGACCAAUCUCGGACUACAGCAUUUUUCUCGGUUACUCGUGUAAUUGACUCCUCCAUCAGAAACCCGUUUUUGGCAACCAAUAUUUAACCAACACCUUCCUAAUGAGAUGUCUACGAUGCAUGAUGGAAAAUAAGAUGAAAAACAAAUAACCUUGGUUAGAGAUCACAACAGAUAUAAACAAAAGAAAAAUGAAAAAUAAAGACUAUGGAAAAUUUAACAAAUUAAGCUAUUCAAUCAUGCAAUUUGGUGGAACAGACCCACAUUUUUUUUUGCCCCAACAUGCUUUACAAGAAACCUACCCCACAUACCAUCAGACCAUCUAUCCGACCCAAUUUAUUGAAUAGACUCAAUUUAUCUGCAAAUAAGUGUAAAUGUAAAAGAAAUAAAAGGUAAGAGGCGUUUCUCCCGUGCACUUAUUUUGGUAACUAUCAAACGGACAGAGGUUCUGUAUGGCUCUACUCGGGUGGCCUAUACGGUUCACUAUAUGUAGUUUCGGUUUUAGAAAGGUACUCGAAUUGUCCAUACUAUCACCUACUAAGGUUAGUACAGAGCUUCGGUUAUCGCCCGUCAGGGCUCGCGAGCUCAAUUCGAGGGAUUACAUUUACUUAUGCCUAUGCGGAGGGACAAGUUAACUCACGAAAGCAUAAGUCAUAUGUAACCCGAAAGUAAUUACUAGCCUGUGCGGAGGGACGAGUUAACUCACGAAGGCGUAGCGUUUACUUCCACUUAAACGGACAGAGCCCGGGUAGAGAGCUCAUGUUAUGCAAAAAAUGCAAGUGCACUGUGUGUGGAGAGAAACUCACAAACCUUUUUAUUUUUACUUUUACUAAAAAAAACAAACUAAAACCAUAAAACUUAAAGCUGAAAAAAACACGAAAAUAAAAAAGGUUAGAAAAAUAUUAAUUUCAAAACUGAAUACGGAUGCAUGAUUUUUUUCAAAACAAAAUUCAAGGAUCACGAUUAAAAAUUAAUUUGAACAAGAAAAUUUGAAAAUUUUGACAACACACGUUUAACAUCAGACUCGACUCUCAAAAAAAACUCCCCAGCGGAAUCGCCAGCUGGAGCGACCUAAAAAUUUCUGGGCACGGGCGCUAGUCGAAGUAAUUAUUUAAGGUUUGAAAACAGUGUCUCGAUUUUAUUCGAAAAAGGGAGUCGCCACCGAUCUUUUUUUUUAGGUGUGAUCGGACACCUACAAAAUUCUCUUUUUAGAAGAAAAAUUUAUUUUUAAGCUUUUCUAAAAAGAGGUAAUUUUAGGUCCACGUAAAAAUCAAGAGAAAAUUAGGGUUCUGGAGUCGGUUACGCGCGAGGAAGGUAUUAGCACCCUCGCGACGCCCAAAAUUGGUAUCUCGUUAAAUGCAUGUUGUCUUAACUUUCAAAAAUACGAGUUCCAUUUAAUAUUUAGUCAUGAUCCGAUUGAAACACGAGAAUUUUGAAACACAACAACCCCUUUUUUUUUUUUGAAAACACGAAAUUUUUUUAAAACGCAAGAAUUUUAGAAACACAAAAAUUUUCUUUAAAAAAACACGAAAAUUUUGAAACAUGAGAAUUUUUUCAAAACACAAAUUUUCUUUUUGAAACACGAAAAUUUUGAAAACACAAAAAAUUUGAUAAAUUACGAAACAUGAGAUUUUUUUGAAACACGGAAAUUUAUGAAACACGGUCAAUUUUUGAAAACACAAAAAUUUUUGAAAGACGGGUUUUUUUUUUGAAAACACGAAAAUUUAUAAAACACGGAAAUUUUUUCUGAAAACAAGAAAAUUUUCGAAAAACGAGAAUUUUUGAAAACACAAGAAAUUUUUGAAAACAUGAAAUUUUUUGUUAAACUAGAAUUUUGAAAACACGAAGAUUUUUGAAACAUGAGGAUUUUUGAAAACACGAAGCUUUUUGAAACAUGAGAAUUUUUUGAGAACAUGAAAACAUGAAAAUUUGUCAAACACGGGAAUUUUUUGAAAACACGAUAACAUCAAAGAGUAUUCAAGAGAGUUUUUUGAAACACGGAAUUUUUUUUUGGAAAAAAGAAACACGAAUAUAUUUUUUUGAAACACAGGAAAUUUUUUGAAAAAAAGAAACACGAAUAUAUUUUUUUGAAACACGGGAAAUUUUAUUAUUAUUAUUUUGAAACACGAGAAAUUUUGAAGACAUGAAAAUUUUUGAAACACAAUUUUUUUAAUAAUACCAUAUUUAAUACGAAUCGAUGAUAUUCACCCCGAUAUGGCGAUGAAAUCGUCGUAUUAGUGUCAAAACAAAUCAAAUUAAUAUUUAAUCGGGAUUCUAAUAAAACACGAGGAUUUUUAUUAAAACACGAGGAAUUUUGAAUAUUUUCUAUUUUUAGAAGGGCGUCCCGUAUUUAACACGAGCCAUCAAUAUUCACCCAACAUAGAGAUGAAUUCAACGGCUUGAUGCUAAAUCGGUUCGUUGCCUUAUGCAUUAAAAUAUUUUUCUAUAAAAAAAUGCAAAUAAAAUUACAUAUAAUAAUAUUUCUAAACUAUUAAAAAACUAAUUUAAUUGUAAUGGGGAAAUAUUUAAAUAAAUGGACUUAAUUAGAGUGGGUUUAAAAAAUUACCAAAAGCCCAAAGUUAUGGGCUUGAAUUUUGGGCCUCCCUUUUUCUUUUUUUUUCUCUUUCUUUCCUGGGCUUUGGGCUGCCGGACUGGGCCGAGUCUGCUGGCCCGCUGGUUGCUGGAACAGGCUUGCUACCGCUGCUGGAUCGGGUACAGGCCUUCGUGCGGGUCGGGUCUACCUCCUGGACUGGGUCGUGGCCUGCUGUCACUGUUGGGCUGCUCUGCUGCGCGUGGGCCUGGGCUGCUGCUUAGCUGCUGGAGUGGCCUGCUGUUGGCCUGCCCAAGAUGGCCUAUUGCUUGCUGGGCCGGUCUGCCACUACUGCUGGUGUGGGUGGCCUGCUGCUGGCUUGUUGCUGGCUGCUGGCUGGGUCAGAUCCGGGUCGUCGGGUCGGGUUGGCCCGGCUGUUAUUUUUUUCUUCUAUUUUCUUCUUUCUUCUUUCUUCUUUUCUUUUUUCCUCCUUUUUUUUCUUUCCUUUUUCUUUUUCUUUCUUUUCUUCUUCCUUUCAAACCCUAGCCGCCGUCUUUUGCUUGGUGGCGCGACGGUGCCGGCGCUUCUCCCUUCUCCCUUCUCCUACUCUCUCUUCUUUCUCUCCUUUUCUUUUUCUUCUCUUCUUCCUCUCUUCCUUACUUCUUUACUGUUUGGGUUGCUGUUUUUUUUUGUUUUCUCUUUGCUUGUUUGUAUAGGUGCGACGGUGGUGGUGGUGUCACAACGGCGGUACGACGACGGUGGUUGCGGGAGGAUGGUGGUGGAGGCUUUCAGCUUGCUGCUAUUUUUUUAUUUUUGAAUUUUCUCUGCUCUUUUUCUUUUGGUUGCCGAAAAACCUUUUCUUUUUGUUUCGGUUUCCCUUGGCUUUCUAGGUGGCGGUGCGGUGGUUGCGGUGGCGGGGUAGUGGCACGACGGUGGCGAUGGCUUUUGGGCUGCUGUUGUUUGGAUUUUUUUGAGUUUUUCUCUACUCUUUUUUUAUUUUUUUUUGGUUGCUAUCCGACCCCCUUCCCUCUCUUUUGAUUUUCUUUUUAAUCUCUUCAUUUUUUUGUCCUCUUUCUUCUUGUUUUCAGAUGGCAUGGAGGUGGGGAGCAUGGCUGAUUGGCGGUGUCAGGCGUAGGGUGCGGUGCACGCCCGGAUGCUGGUUGGGGAGCAGUCUUGUCAUGCCCAGAAGGACUGAAUUGUAGAGUGUGCAAAGUUUUUGGGGCAAAAAUGUGAUUUUAGGAAAAUAUAGGGCCAAAAUGUAAUUUCUAGAAAGUUUAGGGGCCAACUAUAAUUUACAAAAUAUUAGGGGUCAAGAUGUAAAUUUAGAAAAAGUUGGGGGUCAAAAAAUAAUUUUUGAAAAGUUUGGAGGCCAAAAUGUAAUUUUUAUUUUUUGUAUUUUUUUUAUUUUUAUUUUUUUUUCAAAAUUUUAUUAUGACUAUUUUAUUAAUAUUUAAAACAAAAAUUAAAAACGGACUAAAGCAAUUCCAAAAUUAAAUCCUAAUGGGCUCGAUCAGUGGGCCCAUACGAGACCGACCCGGCCCAAAAUUCAAACCGGGCAAAAUUCAGUGAUUACAGUUAUUUUAUUAUCUUAAUUAUUUUUCAAAAUUAAUAGAAUUUUAUUAUAAAUUAGGGCAGUUCUCAUUUAAUUAAAAAGUUUAUAUAUAUUAAAAUUAUAAAAAUAUAUUAUUUAGUAAAUUAAAAAAUAAACAAAUACAUAGUUUAAUUAACAGUAAUAUUGUAUUUUCUCCAUUAUGUGGUAUUUUCCCUAUAAAUACAUAGUUUUAGGUUUAUACCUAGAGUUAGCCACCUUAGUAUUAUUUUGCUUUAGUGUUUUCUUUUGUCCAUGAAUUUCUAAAUCAUCUUUUCUAGUCAAAGGGAUUUUGAACUUUGAUUGUAAUAGUUUGUAAGAUCUAAUUGCUCUUCAUCUAUUCUUUGUUCUUUAGCGCUUGCAUGUGUUCUAUUUUAAUUACAAAUAUUCAAGUUUGUUGGAUAUUGGUACCAUAUUCAAUUGCUUAGAACAUAGUGACAAAUAACAUGAUUACAUAUAAACUAUGUAUGCAAUUCAUGUUAUGUGGAUACCCGAUUUAAUCUAAAUGAACCCCGUUGGUGUGUGUUAGUUGGUCAGAAAUAGGUUUCUCUCAUUCUUAAUACUACCUAUAAUUAAGCUAAAUCCUAGGCACGAAGUUAUAGGGCCUCUUGGUUAUCGAAAGGUAAUGAGAGAUUGUUUAUAUGGUUCUUAAUGCUAGGUGCGACAUGGGCAACUAUAACUAAUUUAUUAAAAACACUAAAAUUAUAUUUGCAUCAUUGAUCAAACUCAUGAAUCAAAAUUGAGAUUUUACCUUAGUUAGACUCUCAUUAUAUUGAUUUUGCUAUAUUUUAUUUUGCAAUCUUUUUCUUUUACAAAGUUUUAAUUUUAAUUUUAAAAAUCCUUAUUUUUAUUUUACUUGUUUUUUUAAAGAAUUAGAACAAUCACUAGUCUUUGUGGAUAUGGCUCUACUCACAGUCAUCUACAAAUUUAUUUUUUUAGUAAGAAUUUAUUUUUCUAGGUCACAACAACCAUACAACUUUUGACACCAUUGUUGGGGAUUGGUGUCAAUAAUUUUAUUUCCUUUUAAAUUCAAAUAAGAAUUUUCAAGAAGAGUGAAUGAGGUAAAUAUUUCUUUUUCCUAAUAAUCAUUGAGACCAAACGAUAACAUUAAUGAUGACCUUGAUAUUUGUGGGUGUCGAAAUAUCCCUUAAAAAAAUGUAUUUCAAAUUUUAACUUUCCUGAAAACAUAUAUUAUAAAUAAUAAAAUAUCUAAUAACAUAGUAAAAAAAAUCCAAGUUUUGGUUCCCCUAUAAUCGAUGGCCCAGUUUGCCUUUAACGAGCACUACACCAAAACAGGCUUUUAGCGGCGUUUGAAUAAAAAAUGCCUCUAAAGAUCGAGCAUUAGCGACUCUUUUCGGAAAACGCCGCUAAAUAUCGAACUUUAACAUCGCUUUAUGGAAAACGCCGCUAAAUAUAAGCAUUAGCGGCGUUUUCUAAAAAGCGCCGCAAAAAACCUAUGCUUUCGGGGUUUUAGCGGCGUUUUUAAUGAAGCGCUGCUAAUGCUCAGGGCUUUAGCGGCAUGUUUUGGGAAGCGCCGCUAAUGCUUAGGGCUUUAGCGGCGUUUUUGAGAAAGCGCCGCUAAUACUCUAUUUUUAGCGGCGUUUUCUAAAAUGCGCUGCUAAUGCUCAGGGAUUUAAAAUAAUCUAAAAUAUUUUUUAAAAAUGGAAAAAUUAAAAUACUAUAAGUUCUUUUAAACAGAAUAUAUGGCAUAACCUAUAAUAUGGAAUAAAAGGCGGCAUCACGUGUUAAUUUAAUUUAAUUAUUAUUUAAAAAUUUAUAUAAAUAAAAUAGACAUAAUGAUUUAUUUAUCCUUCUAACUUUACAAAAAAACCAUUACAACCCUUUAUUUAAUUUUUAUCUUUUUAACCCUUAAAUUUAUAUUAUUUAUUAAAUCAGCUCAAAAUAGAUGGGAAAAUUAUUCUUUAUUAACUUUACUAAACAUGGAAGCCAAAGGCCCUGAAAUGAAAACAAUUUUCACCAAAGCGUUUUUAUAACUUAUACACUUUUAAAUUAAUAAUGAUAAAAUUACAUGUUAACCCCCUAAAAAUGAUAAAAAUUUUAUUUAAUCCUUAUAAAAAUAUAAUUAAAAUGGUAAAAUUACAUUUUUAACUAUCCUAAAAUAUACAAUUUAAUUCCAUCUCCUCCAAAAAAUAAAAAUAAAAGAAAAACAUUACCGUUAACCCAGUUCAUAGGAGGCUGAAAGUGAUACCCGGUUCGAUGAAGUUGUUUUACAGUAAAUGCAGUUUUAGAUUAUAAAUGUGGAUGAAUCUUAUGAAAUGCUUCAACGAUGCCAUUCUUACUUAUUAUCUCACAAAAACACCCAAUUAUUAAAUAAACUAACAAAAUAUUUUUUGUAAACUCCAUUGAAAUUUCGAAAGCCGAAUGUUGAAACAGGAUGGUGAUUCAUUUAUAUAGGACUGAAAUUUAACAAUUUCAAAAAAAAAAUAUAUAUUUUAAAAUGUUUAGAUAAAAUAGUUUUUUAUUUGAAUUUACCAGUAAUUUAUAAUAUCAACAUUAAAUCUACAAUUCUUGAUUUUCUUUUUUUAAAAUAAUUAAAAUUUUAUUCUUAUAGUAUUUAAAUAAUUAGGGAUUAUGAAUUGUGGUUUAUGGUUUAAGGGUUGGGGUUUAAGGUUUAGGGGUUAGGGGUUAGGGGUUUAGGGGUUAGUGCUUGCUGAUUUUUUUUAUUGAUCUUCUACCCCUUGUACCUGGAUCCGACCUGACCUGGAUUGUUCCUUGUGUUCUUUUUCUGCUUUCUCAGCAGGGAGAUCCCAUUCUGCAGACAAAGAAGAACACAAAAGAUCAAAGGUAAUUUUAUUUCAAUUUGAUCCAUUUUUCUUGGUUAUCUUUUCCGUGUUUUUUUAUUUGUAAUUUGUUAUGUUUUCUGGGUUUUGCUUAUAAUGUCUGCAUUAAUAUUCAUUUCACAUUUUUUGUUUGUAUUUGCUUUUGUUUCUUUUUCCCAUCACAAUCAAAGUUCUAAACUAAUUUUUUCCCUGUAAUUUCAUUUUUAGAUUCAAAGUUUCUUUUUUUUUUUAAAUUUUUUUAUUAAUAGCAUUGACUUUUAAUAUUUAUUUUGAUAGUUUUUUUGGGGGAAGUGUGGGGGGGGGGGUCAGCAUAUUUGCUUUUGAACAUAAGAUUGAUUCUGCCUGUGUUGUGUAUUUGCCAAAUUCCAGUCCUGGAUUCAAAGUUUGUAUGUGUUUCUUACCAUUUUCUAAGAAAUAAAAAAUAUGUUAUUAAUAUUGUCUUUGUUAAGUCUUUUUCACAUAAUAUUCUUUGAAGUUUGAACAUUGUUUUGCUCCUUUUCAUUAUGGAAAAACAAAUCUUUUUUUUCCAAUUUAGUCUUUGUUUUUAAUUAUUUUAUAUAAUUAAAUUACUCAAAGUUUAUUUCCCUUUUUUUGAUCCAAACUUUUCUUUUGUACAAAAUUACUCUCUUUCUUAACUUUUUAUAUUAUAUAUAUGUUUUAUAAUAUUAGCUUUAGCUCUCAGUUUUCACUUUCACAUUGAGUUAUUUGAGCAUUUUUCAUAUUUCUUGCUAAUGUGGGACAGAUUUCAUUUUCUUAAAAGGAAAAAAAUUAUGUUGUUUUUGUUGCCUCAAUCCUCUUUAUUUGUCUCUUUAACCUCAUUGGAUAUGGAGUCUAUGUUGUCUUUUCUUUUCAGUUUUUCCAUUUUAGAUUUAUAGGUAAACUUCAAAGUGGUUCUUCUUCAAGUUAAAACAGUGGGGUUUUUUACAUUGAUCAUCUUAAGUUUUCAGAAAAUAUUUUUCCUGUUGAUUUGGAUUUUUUAAGGUUAUUUUUGUCUUUCCUUCCUAAAAUACUUUUUUUUGGAUGAUUUAAUGAAUAUGGCAGGAUUAAGCUUUAGAAAUCCAUGAUUAACUGAGGACUCUAUAUUGGGUCCUCAGUUCAGUUGUUUAAAAUCUAUAUAUUUUUUUAUAAUAUGCUAUGUUAUUCGGACUUGGAUAUGUCCUUGGAGGAUCAUAUCCCGGUACUUUUGUUUGCAUAUGUGCUGGACACAGAUGCUUUAAAUAAAAUGAAGAGUGCUUGCUGUCAACUAGGAGUUUUGAUGAUUAUGAUCAUGAUUGUUUCAUAUAUAUAUAUAUAUAUGCUCUAUUUUUCACCUAUAGUAACAUUAAUUUUGUAAAGAUAUUUUCUUCAAUUCUGAAACUGCUUUAAUAUCUCUUAUCUUAAAAGUUUUGUUUAUCUUGGUAAACUUAAUUUUGCAGCUGCUACUGGAUUUUUUGAGCUUCUCUGCUUCUAGCUUUUCAUCUAUGGCCAGAUACUCAGUUGUGACUGAUAAGGUCUCAAUAGAGGUUGUUGAAGAAUUCAUUCUAGUACAGUUGAAUCUGACAAAAGGCACAAUAUCUGAAAUUAAGGUACCUAAUUCUUUUUUUUCCUUCUUAGCCAUUAAUCAUUAUUGAGUGUUGACAUGGGGGAUCUAUGCUACUAUAUCUAUGUUACUCUAACUCAUCAUUUUUUCUGAAGUGCUCAUGUUUGACACUUGUGUUUGAUGCAUAUUUGGACAUGGAUACAUGAACAUGAUCCUCCAAAUAUAUGAAAAUCCUUAAAAAAGUUGAGCAUACCUAUGUGGGAUAUAUACCUUAUCUGAAAAUAAAGGUUAUGCCUUUUUAAAAACCUGUUUAAUACAUUAUAUAAAUUUCUUCUUAAAAGUUUGUUAGGGCUGAAGCAUGCAUUAGUCUACUAUAAUUUGCUGCAUAAAUGGAAAUUAGCUAGGUGUCCACUGCACAACCUUCAAUUAGACUUUACAUAAAAAAAUUCAUUAUUCAAGGCAAACUGCCUGGCUUGCUGAAAAAUGAUAGUUACAAACUGCCUUCAUUUCUCCCAUAAAGAUCUGCCGAAAUAUGUUUCAUCUAACAAGAUUUUGAUUGACAGCACAUUCAUUUGACAGGAUAAUUUGGAAACCCUGUUGCAAGAGGACAUUCAGGCUGAUCUAGUCUGCUGCUUGCAGCAUUUGCAGGUAUUUUGUGUAGUUUAAGUUGUGAACAUUGGGUUUUGAUUUGUCAUGUGAACAAAUAUGAUGAAUCUGAAGUGCAUUUCUAUUCUUCUAUUUGCAGUUAAGAUUUGAAAUUGAAGACAAAGCAAGGAGACCUCUAAGUAAUGUGUCAUUUUUGUUGAAACCAGGGGGUUAUUUUUUCGGUAUUACUCCUGAAAAAGUGAUUGCCAAAAACUGUUGUUUCUGGAUUUAUGUAUUUUCCUUUUUUUUUCUUGUGAUUACUGCUGCACCUGUUUCUGGGAGGUGAUUGUGUAAACAUUUUAGUGUGCUUUAAUUAUUGUAAGAAUAUUAAAUUUUAACAUUGUUAAUUUUAAUAUUAUUGUAAGAAUAUUUUGAAUUAUAAUUCAGUUAUCAAUUAAUAUCAUAUAUCUUUCAUUGAAUUUGAAGUAUCAUUUAAAUUUACUGUUUUUGGUUGGAUUUUAUGUUACAAGAAGAUUUGUAUAUGGAUGAAAAUCGGCAAAUUUGUCAAAAUUAGUGGCGUUUUCCCAUAAACGCCGCUAAAGUACGUACUUUUAGUAGCGUUUGUGAUGAAAGCGCCGUUAAAGAUAAUGUUCUCUAGCGGCGUUUGUGGGUCAAGCGUCGCUAAAGGUCAUGUUCUUUAGCGGCGUUUGUGUGUAAAGCGCCGCUAAAGCUCAUGUUCUUUAGCAGCGUUUGUGGGUAAAGCGCCAUUAAAGGACAUGUUCUUUAGCGGCGUUUGUAGCUAAAGCGCCGCUAAAGGUUAUGUUCUUUAGUGCGUUUGUGGCUAAAGCGCCGCUAAAGAUUAAGUUCUUUAGCGGUGUUUUUUUCACAUAAACGCCGCAAAAGUUAGCGACGUUCUCAAUAGCGGCAUUUUUUGCGGCGCUUUUGUGUAGUGGAGGAUGAUGAGGAAAGUCUUGACGAUGUUGUGGAUAGCUCGGUUCAAGUUUAGGGUGCUUCUAAUAGUGCUAAUGUUUCUUCUAUUGUUCCAUCGACUGGGAAUCCUUCUUCUAUUAGUGUAGCUGCUGAUACAGUUACCUCUACUUCAAUAAGAGAUGAGACAAUACAGAUUGCCUGGGUCAUGUUUAGUCUUUUUGUAAAACUUUGGUAUUUAAUGCAAACUUUAUCCCUUAUUUGGAUUCCGUGUUUAUGUUAUGCAUCCUUGCAUUUCUUUAUCAACUUAUUGUAUUGAUCUUGUGUAGCUUUAUCAAGCUUUUAUUUUUACUACUUGGAAGAUGUAGGGAAUUUUAUUCUUUCCUUAUUUGUUGUAUUGUGCUUUUAGAUUAACUUAGUGAGAAGUACCCUUGGCUAAGUCUUUCAGAAGGCUAGUAGUUUUAUUUGCUAUUAAUUUAACGGGCAGUAUCCUUGGAGGGUCUGUGCUAAAUUAAUGGGCAGUAUCCUUUUUUAGUUGCAAUGUGACACCUCACACUCGAUUCGGACGACGAAUUUAUAUAUAAAACAUCACAUUCAUUAUCGAAACAACUCAAACAAACAAGAAACUGACGUCAAAGCCAAAUCAAGAAGCAUAGCACAUAAUUCAUAAUUUCCAAAACGCUAAUAAUUAAUUUGUAACUUUUUUUAAUAUAGUUAAUUUAAUGACUAAUGCCGUAAUUAGUCUCACUUAAAAAGAGCCCACCAUUUGACUUGACGCAGAGGUCAAGAGAUAUCUCUAAAAAUGGGAAGCAAUAUAUGAUGUUUAUGGUUGAUAUUGUUCUAUGUGAGGUGUUCAAAUGGUUGAUUGAUCAGUUAACUAAAUCGAACUAGUAUUAAUUGAAUUAAUCUAACUUUUUAAUCUUUAACUGUUAAUUAAAUCGAUUUUUUUUCAAAAAGAUUAACCGAACAAAAAAUAUUUCAAUUAAUUCAAUUGGUUAACCAAAAUUUAUAUAUAUUUUUUGUUUAAAAUGAAUAUAAAACAUAUAAAAAAAUUGAUAAUGUUCAUUUGACUGAAUUAACCUAAUUAAUCAAAUUAGUAAUAGCCUAAUACAUAUGACAUAUAAUAUUAUUUAUUAAGUUCAGUUAAUUCGGUUAAUUACUCGAUUUCGAACUGAAUUAACCAUUAACUGAAAUUCCAAAAAUCAUUUAAUCGAUUUUUAACCAAAUUAAAUCAGUUAACUGAUCAAUUAACCGAAUUAAAUCAAUUUAAUCAAUUAAUUUAAUUUUAACCGAAACUUAAACACCUUUUUUAACUCUAUGAAUGCCAAAAUCCAUAUAUAGACUUAUUUCGGAUGUUAGAAUUUUCCACCAAAAACCAAGUCUUUGUGGAAUUAAAGUUUUGUUGCUAAGACCCACUGGAUUUUUCAUAACCACUAUAAUUAGAUUAGAACUAUCUCUCCGCGUAUGCUCGAGUUUAAAAUUUUUUAAUUAAAUUUUAUUAAUCUAUUUUUUAAUUAUUAUAAUAUUAACAUAGAAAUUAAAAUUGUGAUUAUUGUUUAUAAUAGAAUAUAAAGUCUUAAAUUAUAAUGAUAAAAUCAUGGAGAAGAUAUUUUAAUUUAAAAAAUGUAUAAAAUUUAUAUAUUAUCUCUUCAAUAAUUUAAAUUAUAAUGAUAAUUUUUAUAUAUUAAAAUUAAUAUAUUAUCUCUUUUACAAUUACAUAAAAAAUUAUAUUAAUAUAUAAAAAUGAUAAAUUAAAAGAAAUUCUCUUUUAAUUGUUUGCCAUUAGAUAUCUAGUGAACUGAUGCCACUAAUUUAACUCUCAAAAAAUGGAAGUUUGAGAAAGCUAAAGGUUGUUAAAUUAGACAAAAAGAAACAAGAAGCCAUGCCAAUAAUUCCGUUAACAAUUUAACCGGACCAAAGUAGAACUAAAUGAUAACAUUAAUGAUGAAAUUAAAAGUUUUUUGUAGUUCAAUGACAAAACAAAAAUACGCUAAUAAUUGAGCCAUUCAUUGUGCAAUUUAGACUUAAUUUAUUUUUGGAAGAAAUUGUAUUUAUGUGAUAAUAAUAAAUUUUAAAAAAAUAUUUAUUUUGUCAAAAAUUUGUAAUUAUAAUCAUUUAAAUAUAUAUAAAAAAGUAUCCAACAAAUAUAUCAAAUUAUUGCAAUAAAAGGAUGAAGAAAUCAUAAUAUAACAAGACACCAAUUAGAAAUAACUUCAUUUCAAAUAUAAAUGAAAUUUAAUAAUGAAACAAAUUUUAUUAAAGGCAAGGACUAAAUUAAAAAAAUUAAAAUCAAUUAUAGACUAAGGGUGAGUUUGGAUGGGCGGUGUGUUUACCUGUGGUUAGAGUAAAAACAGCGGUGGUGGUGAGAUUAGAUACUGUAGCGAUACUGUAGCGUGAGACAAAAAAUAAGUUAAACGCACCGCACCGCACCCAAUCGCCCAUCCAAACUCACUCUAAGAUAUGAAUAUAUAAAUAGUGAAAAGCGUAAUCAUAAACUUUUAAAAUAAAAAUAUUCUAGAAAGCAAUUAUUUCUAAAAAGUAAAAAUCAUCCACCCUCUUUUGUUUAUUAUACUUUUAUAUUGAAUAUACUAUGUCUUUUUACUUGCUGAAAAGGUUACAAAGUUAUCAUAAAUUUCCUAAAAUCUUAUAGCACUUUUCCAAAGAUCCAAUACAGCAUGAUACAAUAGCUGAAUUAUACCAUUAAUUAUUAAAUUAUAGAUAAUCAAACAAGAUUAUAAUUUAGUCAUUAAUAUUUUCAAAAUUAUUUUUAUGGUCACCUGAUUAAGUGGCACUUUUUUUUGUUAGUAUGAUAAUAAUUUUAUUCUUUGAUUUUUCUAUUAAUUUGACUCUGAUUCUAAAUAAAAAUUAUAAAUAAAUAAAUAAAAAGACAAUUUCAAAAAUAGUGGUAAUCAAAUUGUAACGUUUUUAGUUUAAUGUCAAAAACAAAAAUUUAUCUAUAAUUAAUUUAACGCAUAUAUACCCUUUAUUUUUUGAAAGGAAAUCUUACUUAAAAAUAUCCCACCACUUGACUUACACACAAGUCAAGUAAGGAAAGCAAUAUUUGAUGUUUACUGUUGAUAUUAUUUUAUGAAUGCCAAAAUCCAUAUAUAGACUUAUUUCGAGUGUUUGAAUUUUCCACCAAAAACGAAGUCGCUGUUGAAUUAAAAUUUUGGUGCUAAGACCCACUGGAUUUUUCACAACCACUUUUAUUAGACGAUAAUUAUCUCUUCACGUAUGCUGGGGUUUAAAAAUUUUUAAUUAAUAAAUAAACAGAGAUAAUAAAGAACAAAGAAUAUGAGAGUUAACAAAAGAGAGUGUGUGUUUUAUUGAUCAAUCAGAAUAUUUACAAAACUUUUUCAAAAUCUUUAUUUAUAGGUAUAAAAAGUAUAAAUGAAGUAGAGAUCUCCGGAUGACUAUUAAAAUUUAAAGUACAUCAAAACUUUUCUCGGUUUUAAUGGAUAUCCGUUUAAUAAUAUAUCCAAAACAUUUAUUUAUUUUUAAAAAAUAUUAUAAUAUUAACAUAGAAAUUAUAUUUGUGAUUAUUGUUUAUAAUAUAAUAUAAUAUAAAUGAUAACAUCAUGGAUAAAAAUAUUUUAAUUUAAAAAUUGUAUAAAAUUUAUAUAUUAUCUCUUCAAUAAUUUAAAUUAUAAUGAUAAUUUUUAUAUAUUAAAUUUAAUAUAUUUAAUCUUCCUUUAAACGAAACAAAUUACUUGUUGAGUUAUUGUAUUUAUUCUAUGAAUUAAUUUUAAAUUUUAUUUGUUAAUCUUCACAAAAUUAUUAGACACUUUGAGCAGUUUAGAAAAUCAUUUAAAAGUAGAGAAAUUCUAUUGAAGAAUGAUAUUUUUGAUUAUUGAAAAUAUUUGCUUAUUGAAGAAUGAUAUUUUUGAUUAUUGAAAAUAUCUGCUUAUUAUCAGACGGAUGAUAUUUUAAAAACUCAAACUAAUAAAACAAUAAUUUGAAACAGUGAAGAAACUUAUAGAAAGGGUGUAGCAAGAGAGCUAGAGGGUUGACACCAGAAGUCAAGAGAUAUCUCCAUAAUGGUCACUUGUGUUGAGUGGUCUGGGGUGAUUGAAUUUUGUACAUUGAAAACGAAGGUAGAGGACAAUUGCUUUCUUGUCACUAUUGCUACAAAUGCCAUUGAAUUUCCACAAGAAAUUUAUCCCAUAUUUAGUUAAGGGAACCUCACUUGACUUGACACGUGACACAAGUCAAGAUAUAUCUCUGAAUGUAAGUAUUAUAGAUUUUUAUUUUUUUUCUAUUAUAUCAAGUAAAUUUUUUAUAUUUAUGUCAUGUAAUUAUAUUAUGCAGUAAAACGUACAAGUCUAAUUCAUAAUGACUUUCGAUAUUGCCUCACGUAUCAUCAUGCCUAUGCUAUUUUUGUAUUAUCCUUGUUUUGAAGGCUAUAUAUAUUUAUAUAAAUUUUGUUUUAGGUAGAUUUUAACAUGUUUUUUCUUCAUCUCAAGUACAUUUUUUUUUAUUUUUUUUUUCAUAUUUUAGUUAUUGAAUGUUGGGCUUAAAAUAUUAUAAACAUUCCUAAUUAUAUAUUAAUUUUACAUUAAGUUUUAACAGAUAAAUUUAGCAUUAUUAUAUUAUACUAUAAUAAAUUUCUUAGGUCAAAAUUAUCUUUGAUUUUUUAUCCAAUUAGAUAUUCCUACACCUUUUUUUUUAUUUCUAAUAACAAAUUCAAAAUUAUCUAUAUCUAUCUAUAGUACAAACUGGCUCUUAAGAGAGUUUUAAGAGUAAAUGGGUUGAUAAUAGUGUUUUUCAAUUUUAUACAUAUUCACAAUUUUUAUCUUUAAAGGUGUCAAGGUUCGUUCAUUUAUUUUCAUAUAAUUAUGUUCAUUUAUCUUCAUACCAGGCUUUCUUGCAGGCUUACAAUCUACUCUAGCUUAUUAUUACUUUAAUGCAAGCUGCAGGACAGGAUUAUGAGUGUAACACCCUAAAUUCGGCCUAGACGUUAUAGUCGUAUCUGGUAAUGUCACACGAUAGUGUUUUUGAAACUUCAUUGUUACGAUGAAAACAUUCCAUAUUUUUUAUUUUAUUUUUUAUUUUAGUAAACCUUUGUUAGAACUUAGGAAGUCGUCUUUACUCAUUUAAAACAUUUUUUUUGAAACAUCCCUCGUUAUAAAUUCAUAAAGUAAAAUAAAUAAAUAAAAACCCAAAUUUAAAACCAAAGUCCCAGAGGGUCCUUAAAUUACAACCCAAAUAAUCAAUAAUAAUCAAAUCGUAAAUCGUAAAUUGAAAACCAUGAAGUCCAAAAAUUACUAUGGUCACCGCUGAGUCCUCCAUCACACCUAUUCAUCUAGGUCUGGGGAUUACCUGUGCACAGUAAACAAAAAGGCGAGUUUAUGUAAACUUAGUGUGUAAUCCCAUAGAAACAAACAAACAAUCAAUAUUCACAGUGCACAGUUGAAUAGUCUUGGGCCUAAGCCCUUUUCAGUAUCAGUGACAGUUUGGGCCUUAGCCUAUCUCAAUACAAUGUCAAAAAUGCAAUAGGACCUUAGCCCAUUACAGUAUUAGUAGCAGUAACAGUUAUGCAGUAGUAAAAUCCUACCUAACCAGCCUCUACACACCAUCUCCGUCCAACCCUACACUCCAUAUAGGGAUAUAAUCAACUCACUCAUCUCUACACUCUAAGUAGUACCGAAUGAGGCACAAAACAGUAGUUUGCAACUGAGCUGCCAGUAAAUUUGGCUAAAAGCCUUUCAGUACACUUCUUCCGAAUAACAACCCCCAAUCCAAUGCAAUGCAACAUACAAUGGAUGACAUGCUAUUAUGCAAUUUCAGUACAUAUAUUCAAUUCAAAUAUUUUCAUACUCAGUACAGAUAUCAUUCAGUCAAUUUCACACAUUUAGGGAUCUAAGUAGCGUUUACCGACCCUACAAUAGGUUCACAGUCGACUUGGGUGACCCGUGCAACCUUAGAAACAUUUCGAUGAAAAUGGGCUCACAUACCUAUGUGAUCUGCCCCUGUGGGCCCACAGGCCUGUGUAGCCCACUCGGCCCAAAUUGGCCUUGGUCGUGUGAUCUAUUUUUAAUGUAACCCAUGCUAGCUAAAUAUUCAUAUAUGUUUUCACUAUUUACUUAUAUGUUCAUUCAAAGUUGUCUACUUGAGUCAUUGUCACUAAAUUAUUUAUAUCUUGAGUUACGAAAAUCCAAAUUAAGACCCGCUUGAUGUUUUUGAAACUAGACUCAAAUACCUUUCUACCAUAAAAUUUUCAGAAUUUAUAGUUUAUCAAAUAAGUACAUUAAAAUCUUCAAAUUUAUCCCAAUUCUGCUAUUUGACAGCUUCAACUUUUUCUUACUUAAAAUUAUUUAUCUCUUAGUACGGAAUUUGGAUGAUGUUUCUAUUUGUUUCUCUUGAAAAUAGACUCAUUAACGAUUUAAACAUAUAAAUUUAAGCCCUUAUUUAUUGUUUUUCAAUUUUUGAUGAUUUUCCAAAGUCAAAACAGGGGAACCCGAAAUUAUUCUAACAUUGUCUCACAAAAUUUAUUAUAUCUCAUAAUUUACAAUUCAAUUGCUUACAUUGUUUCUUCCAUGAAAAACUUAAUAAAAUUUAAUUUCUAAUUUUAUUCAACCUCUAACUCAAUUUCCACUUAUCUUGAUGAUUUUUCAAAGUUAGACUACUACUGUUGUUCAAAACUAUUUUAGUGCAAAAUGUUGAUUUCCAAGUUUAUAACACCCUUAUUUCCUUUCUCUAUAAGUUUUCACAUUAUUUUCCCUUAUUUCUCUUAUUUCUCGAUAGCAAGCAAUUUCGACUUUUCGCCGAAUCCUAUUUUCUGCGUUUCGGGUACACACCUGGUAUCGUUUUGCUGCAAAUACGCUCUCAGGCACUCCAAGACUUAAAAAUCGAUAAUUAGAGCCCAAUUUAGAUCACUAACGAAAACUCAAAACUAAAAAUCAUCUACAUCAAAAUCAAUAGCAAACCUAAACACUUACCGACAACGAACUAAAAUUUCUAACGCUCAAUUUGCUUGUGAAGCCGCAACUGAUUUCUGAUUUUCGCCUAAACCAAGAGAGCCAAAACAAUCCUUUUUAGGAACUAGCUAAGAAACGAUAAAAUAGAGACAAUUAGAUACUUACAGAACCAGUGUAUACAAUUGCUAGUUGGAAAAUAGGCUAGUAAAAAAAUCAAAUAGAGAGGGUGGGCUAGGGAACAAAAAUUUGGCAAAGCAAAGAAGAAGAGGACGGUAGAAAAAUUGGGGAAAAAAAGAGAAUGCCGAAAUUUAGGAAAAAUAAAAACCAAAUAGAAACUUAGAUGAUAUUAAUAACUACCCUACAUCCCUAAAUUUUCUCCCACCAAUCCUACUAACCUACAACCACUCCAGAAUUCCACUCUGCCGAAAUACUUGUCCAUCAUUGCGUAAAAAUAACGCCUAUGCUCCAGCAUAGAUUCGAACUCAGGACCUCAUAUAAUUAAACACUCUACUUAACCACUAGACCAGCAGACCCAUUUUGUUAUUUAAUUACCAACUAUUAAACUUAAGCUUUUUAGGCCAGGUUAAGGCUUUAUUUAUAAAAAUACUAAUAUUUGCCCAAGUCAUGGCUUGAACUUGGGACCUCCCACACACUUCCAAAACACUUACCCAUUGAAGCAGACAAGUACUUAUAUCACAAAAACAAGAAUUAAAAAUUUUGGUGCAUUAUAAUUCUACCCCCAAGAGAAAAUUUCAUCCUCGAAAUUUACCUGAUCAGAACGAAUGAGGAUGCUGCUGACACAUCGCAUCCUCAAGCUCCCACGUUGCCUCCUUAGUAUUAUGGUUACACCACAGAAUCUUCACCAGAGGGAUAGACUUCCUCCUCAAAACCUUUACGUCUCAAUCCAUAAUCUGAACCGGCUCCUCCUCAAAGGUUAAAUCUGGCCUAACCUCAAUCUACUCUAUUGGAACAAUAUGUGUAGGAUUAGAGAGGUAGCACCUCAACAUAGAAACGUGAAACACGUCAUGAAUUUGAUCCAACUCUAGAGACAGCUCCAAUUGAUAAGCGAUCGGUCCCACUCGUUUCAAAAACCUAGAGCUCAACUUGCUCUUACGACCAAACCUCAGACUCUUCUUCAUUGCAAAACCUUGAGGAACAUGAAGUCCCCCACGGAAUACUCAAUCUCUUGACGCUUUAGAUCCGCAUAGGAUUUUUAUCUGUCUGAUGGCAUUUUCAGACGAUCCCGAAUCAGUCUAACCUUAUCUUUAGUCUCCAAUACUAACUCAGGAUCCAGAACACGUCGUUUGCCCAACUCAGUCUAACAUAAAGGAGUGCGACACUUAUGACCAUACAAUGCCUCGUAAGGUGUCAUCUAGAUGCUAGACUGAAAACUGUUAUAAUAGGUGAACUCCGCCAGUGGCAGAUAAUCUUUCAAACUACCUUAAAAAUCAAUAGCACAGCUCUUGAAUUUGAGCCUUAAGCUCCACAAGCUCCUUCCGUGCCUUUCGAUAGGGAGCGAUGGACACCAGAGCUGUACCUGGAAGUAGCUCAAUCCCAAAUUCCAACUCGUGAUUCGGAGGUAACCCAAGUAGCUCUUAAAAAAAGACGUCUAAAAAAUAUUUUACCGUUUCAAUAUCCUUAAUUGUAGAAUCCUUAGAAUCCAAAACACUUACGGAAGCUAAGAAUGCCUCACAUCCCUUAUGAACUAUUUUCUCUGCCACCAGUAUAGAGAUCACAUUAGAUAAGUAAUUCUGGCAUUCUCCAAUCAUGACUACCUCUUUAUCCUUCUUAGUCCUUAGUACGACCCUCUUAGUCGCACAGUCUAAGCUAACACGAUGCUUGACCAAUCAGUCCAUCCCUAGAAUUAGGUCAAACUCCCCAAAUAGAAGCUCCAUCAAAUCAGCCAAGAAGAUUGCCCCUUGUACCUCUAAAGGAAUGUCCUUAUACAGUUUACUAACUCUAACAGAUUGCCUUAAUGGGAUCAGUACCGUAACUUCACUCGUAGUGCUCUCAACUGGAAUUGUUGACACCAUUUUUGGAUUAAAAACGGGGUCGACUUGGGUUUUGAAAAUGAAAAUGAAUAGAGGAGUCGCCACCAAUCCUUUUUGAUGAGGUGCGAUCGGGUCACCUCGAAUUAAUCAUUUUAAUAAAAGUUAAGAUUUACUAAAACGAUAAUUUUUUUUGGUCUACGAAAAUCAGAAAAUGAGUUCGGGAGUCGGUUACGCACGAGGAAGGAUUAGCACCCUCGAUACGCCCAAAAAUUGGUACCUAGUUGAUUAAUUAGUGUCUUAGUUUCGAAAAUUGAAAACUUAAAAUACUUUGAAAUACGAUCCAUCUCUUUGUAAAAAAAACUCAAAUAUUAAAGACCUUCUCAUCUCUAAGUGAUAAAAUAUCACAUCCAGUAAGUUAGGACACGACAUCUCGAGCUUUUGAGAGUGAGUUUGUCUUUAUUUAAAAUUCAUGCAUUUUAACUUUUUUUUAAAAAGGAUGUUCGGUUAUUUAGGGUAAACGAAGAAAGUCGAAACCCAGUAAGUUAGGGUACGUUUUCUCGAAUUUCCUAAAAACGAAAUAUUGCCUUAUUUUGAAUUUUUUUUUGAAUAAUAGCAAAUGCAACAUUUAGAUAGUGUGCAUUAUUUGUUUGGAUUAAAAUAAAACAAUUUAUUGGAUAAAUGCAACGAGACUUGAUUCAUGAAGCGAUGAUAUAAAAUAAAAAUAUAGUAAUAAGCCUAGAACAAUGAUACAUGAACACAACAUUAUAUGGAUGAAUCACAAUAAUGCAAAAAUACGAAAUAAACAAAUUAAAAUACACAAAGACAAUAAUCAUACAACAUUUAAAUAAUAACAUCGAUAGAUAAAAGACCAAUGAAUUAAAUAAUAAUUUUUUAAGAAAAUAAAUGGCAUAAAAUAAAUUAAAAUAAAUAAUAUAAAACAUUUUAAAAUGACAAUAAUAAGUUUGAAAUAAAUAAUGUGAAAAAGGAAAUUUAAAAAUCAAUAACACACUAAACGAUAAAAAAUAUGUUUAUACAAAAAAUUAAGAUAAACAGUAUGUAUAUAUAUGUAUAAAAGUAUGAAGUGAAUGAUAUAAAAAGAGCAAAUAAUAGCAGUAAAACAUUUCGGAAUAAAUAAAUAGGAUUCAAAAUAAGAUACGUAUAACAAUUUAAAAUAAGCAAUAUAUAAAUAAAUAGAGUUUAAAAUAAAUGAUGUAAAAAAAAAAAUUUAUUUAAAAAAAAGGAACAAUAAUAUACGAAAAAGAAAAAAAGAUAUAUGAAGAAUAGAAAAUAUUUAUAUAAUAUGUGCAAAGAAACCAAAAUAAAUAAUGUAUGUAGAGUAGUUUAGAAUAAACAAUAUAUGCAAAACAACUUACAACUUUGAGUAAUUGAUACAUAAAAUUGGUUAAAAUUAAUAAUAUAUGAAAAUGAACCGUAUAUAGAAUAUUUUAAACACAUACAAUAACAGUUCCUUUUUUAAGAAAAAGAAUUAAACAGGUGAAGGAUUAAUUCGAAAACAAUACAAAAUUCUAGGUAAAAAAUAAAAAGAUACUGCCAGGAUUAAAAUGAAGUGCACCUAAAAUCAUAAGGACCAAAUGGGAUAAAAACCAUAGCCCUAACAUGCGCAUGAGGCCCGACAGAUCAAAAGACUGAUUUAAAAAACAAGCAAAAUCUAACAACUAAAUUAAGAGAAAAAGCAAAGAUAAAAUAGGGCCUGAUCAAAGGACGCUAAAGAUGGAGGGACCUCGUGUGCAAAUAUCCUAAUAAUUGAGGAUACAUGAAUCCCCAUCCCCACCAACGGCACCGUUUUGUUUGGUGUUUAAAACACCCAUUCUCUUUAUUAUUUCAGCCCUAAUUUCAUAGAAGAAAAGAAAAAAAGAACAAAAAAAAUAGAAUGUUAAAGCUUCUCUCCCUCUCCUCUCUUACUGAAUCGUGAGCCCGUCGCCGUUGCAUCACCGCGCCCCCACCGUAUCGGUGGCUGGCGAUGCUCAAGGGUGGGUUUUUAGCCCCCGAUUCAACCAGGUAUGAAGGCUAAGAUUUUUUAACCAAGAAAACCCGAAAAUGAAGGGAUCUCCACCCGUUUUGGGUUCGGCUCCGACGACUGAGGGAACCGCCGACGGUGUGACCCAGGGGUUCGGGUAAGUUUUCUCCCCGUCUUCUUUUUAUUUCUUGUUCUUGAAGCUUAAAAGCAAAAUCAAAAAUGAAAAAAGAAAAAAAGAAAUCAGAAAUUGAAAAAACGUAACCUUUUUCUUUUGUUUUUGCUCUUUUAUUUCUGAAAUAUGCGUGUGUACAAGAAUGGGGAUCCCUUUUUUACAAUUGCUUUCGGCUUCUGUUUUUAGCCGAAUGAGAUAGAAUCCAAAAUCUCCCCCUUUUACAUUGAAAAUGAAUGGCUCUUUAUAGCCGAUUAUACAAAGUCCUAUUGUUGUUUUGUUACUGUUUGCUGCGUUUCUGUUUCUGUUGCUGCUUCCGUCAUGUUUGCAGGUGUUCAAGGAGGUGAUGGGAGCAGGUGGAGGAGAGAUGGCGAUGGGACGUGCGGCUGACAGAGAGCAGCGGCAAGUGGGAUACUAGGGUUUCAGUUUCUGAAACCCUAGUCUGAUGUGGGCUUGGCUGUUGGGCCAGGGUGCUGGGCCUUUUAUUUCUUUCUUGGGCCCGGGCAAAUGGGCCUGCAACAGCUGCCCCUCUUUGCUCGUUGUCGUGUAACGAUAACAGAGAAAAGACUAAGAAAGGCCCAUUUUGCCCGGUCUCGCCGAGUCUUGACUUGUUCUGGUACUUCUCCAUUUCAAGUAGUUUCAUUCCAGUCCACUAGGUCUUGUUGCUUCGAUCCAUUCCACUGCAUUUUAGAGAGAUGCGUCCUGUAGCCUUUAUCUUCUUCGUAGCAACUUCAGGGGGACGAGGUUUGUGGUUUUCAAUCUAUUCCACUGCAUCUUCAGGGAAAUAAGACUUGAUGCGACCUACUCUGCUGUAACCUCAGAGAGAUAAGAUCCUUUAUUUUAACCCACUCCACUGUAACUUCAGGGAGAUAGGAUAGUGUCUUCGAUCUGCUCCGCUGUAAUCUCGGGGAGAUAAGAUCUCUGGCUUCAAUCUGCUCCACUGUAACUUCAGGGGGACAAGAUCUGUAAUUUCCAAUCUAUUCCACUACAGGUCAGGGAUAUAGGACUUGUGGUUUGAAUCCGCUUCCUUACACUUGAAGAUAAGAUUUGCUGUCUUUGAUCUGCUCCGCUACGGCUUAGGGAGACAAAAUCUGUAACCUUUAACCAGCUCCAAUGCAACCAAUGGAGGCAAGGCUUUGUUUUUGAUCUGCUUUACUGUUAAUGCAGGAAGGCAAGAUCUGCUUCUUUAACUAGCUCCACUGCAAUCGAUGGAUGCAAGGCUUUGUUUUCGAUCUGCUUCGCUGUUAAUGUAGGACGGCAAGAUCUGCUUCUUUAACCAGCUCCACUACAACCGAGAGAGGCAAGGUUUGUGUCUUCGACCUGCUUCAAUGUCAAUGCAGGAAGGCAAGAUCUUUUGUCUUCAACCAGCUCUAUCACAACCGAAAGAGGCAAGGUUUGUGUCUUCGAUCUGCUUCGCUGUCAAUGCAGAAAGGCAAGAUCUUUUGUCUUCAACCAGCUCCAUCACAACCAAAGAGGCAAGGUUUGUGUCUUCGAUCUGCUUCGCUGUCAAUGCAGAAAGGCAAGAUCUUUUGUCUUCAACCAGCUCCAUCACAACCGAAAGAGGCAAGGUUUGUGACUUCAUUGAUCUGUCCCUUGGGGAACAUGACCUGUAUGUUCUAUUUUAUGAACCUAAUUGUGCCUAGUGAUUAGGAUGACAUAAUCAGAAUGAAUCAAAUGCUCCUAACUAGAUAUGUAUGAAUGACAUUUGAAUGAAUGCAAAAUGUCAUGAAGAUGAUUCCUUAAUGCUUAGGUUAACAUCACGUAAAAACUUAUUAAGGUUUUAUCACUGACGUACUACAACGCCUUUUUGCUCGUCUGGUAUAUCCAAAGAAACACUUAAUCUGGUUGCCCCCCACUGUAAACCUUAAAGUUUAAUCUAUUAGGGCACAAAAUUUGUACCAUCAUUCUCCCACUACAAUCCAAGGGUAGAAAUAUGGUUUUUCCUCAAUCCUCUUUUAUCACAAUUCAAGGAUAUAGGAUCUUAAUCUUUCUGGUCCCCCUUUACACCAUUUCCAGGGUGUCGUUUCAAAGACUCAUGCACAAAUGAAGGCUCUCUUCUCCGAGGUAACCUCUUCCUAUUGCCUAGUGAUCAUUGCUUGCUUGUUUAUUUAAGCUUUUUCAUUGACACGACAUCUUGUCAUUUUGUUCAAUCAAUGCAUUUGUCAACAAAAUCCAAAGAGAAAGUCUAAACUUAGACUCUUCCUUCUCAAAUUUCCAACCUUCAAAUUUGGCAUGUUCUAAACAAUAGUCCUGUUUUAGGUUCCUGUAUUAUUUAGAAACUUUUCAGAGUAAUAUGCAAAACUUCCUUUGUGAAAGUUUUAUUAGUCCAUUAAUCAUUAUUCCAAUGCUUGCAAAAAGGUCAUAACAAUGGAUAAGAAUAAAGUUGGUUCUGAGCAUAGCUCGAAAGAACAAAUUAUCGAAAAUAGUGAAGAAGGACAACAAAAGAAUUAAUUGGGAAUGUAUAUCUUGGAAAGAAAGAAAAAGUAUUCCAAGAACAACAAAUAACAUGAGAAUUGGGUGCCCCAGAUAUCACAGCUUGAACUUCUCUAUACAAACUUUCUGAAGACCCUUUUGAGUUGGACAUGUGUUUAGGAGAUCUACAAUGCUCUGUCGAUGCCCCCAAGAUGUCGCCUAUCCUUUCCUGUUGAUUCAGGCAUGGCAAGAUCAACACAUGCCUCAAUAUGAACAAAACUUGAGCAGCUUAUAUCACCCCAUGCCCCAUUUUGAUCAGUAUUUGAGCCGCCCUUUUCGGGUUUUCAGCUCAGAUCCCCUUUGGCCUAAGGCGCCCUUUGCGGGUUUUCCCCUUAGCCUCUCCAUUUUACUCUUUUCAUUUUCCAUUUUCAUUCUUCAUCUUUUUAUUUUUUUUGAACUUCAUUGUCUUACAAUACAGUGACAAACUGUGAUGUCUGAUUUUGAACCGAUUACAGCCCUCAACUAUCAUGUUGUCAUUCUAGUUCAAUACAUUUUCCCAUACCAUCGUCUCUAGAAUUCUAUAUUGGCAUAUGAUGACAUUGACGCAUGCUGUAGCCUUUAUCCAUUUGAUGAAGUAAUUAAUGAUCUCAAUAGUGAAGCAAUGCCCAUUAGAAGUCUUCGAUAAUGGUGAUGUCCAUGCCCCAUUUUGCUCAAAAUUUGAGUCACCCUUUUUGGGUUUUCCACUCAAAACCACUUUUGGUCACAAAGCGCCUUUUUGGUUUUUCGCCUUGGCCUCUCCUUUUCUUUUCUUUGCUUUUCGUAUUUUUAUUUUGACUUUGAUUGAUUUCUCUUUGUUUUUAUUUUUUAUUUUGAUUUUGAUUUUGAUUUUGUUUUUUUUUUUCAUUUUUCCUUGUUUUUUGAAUCGGAUCUAAACUCUUGGGAUUAGGCAAGUCUUUGUUAUCCCCUUCAAAGGAUCUUCUCUGAUAUCGAAUUUCCUUUAUAGAGCCUUUUAGGGCAAAACUACAACUGGAAACUUUUGAUCUUCUUCUUCCAUCGGGAUAAAAUCUAGCAACAUCUUGAAGGAAUAGAAACUCGACUUCAAACGGGCAAAGCUAUGCUGAAUUGACGAGAACGGUAUUGCCCCGGCAAAGAAUUGUAUCAUUCAUACGAGUUUGGACAUCGUGUUGUUGUGCAGAUUUCAUUAUCAGUGCUUAACCCAGCAUAUCCUGGUAUGAUCCUACAAAGACAUCUUUGAACAAGGUCUUGCUUCAUUUUUAAGGACAAGUCAAUUCCAAGCUCAGAAUUCCUAGUGAUCUGUCUAUCCUCCUACUCAACCAUCCUCAAUAAGUUUGGGGGUAAGCUACUAUCUAUGUCAUUUCCAAAGUCAUGAGAUCCAUCUAAGCACAUGCCUCACUCAAGUGGAAAAUCUGAGUUUGCAGCAGUUUCAUUCAUGUUAUUGAUAUCUGAGGACUCAUAAUAAGCACCGAGGAAUAUACAAAAGAAUGUAUAAAUUUAUGAAUGAUUAUUUACAAUAUGAUUAUGAAUGAAUGUUGUGGAAGAAAAUCCAACAGAAUGAAAUAAUCAAAAAUAAUUAUUAAAAAGAAUGAAAGAAUAUUGGCUCAAAAAGGAACGCAAAGAUGUAUUUUAUUAGAAUAAUAACGUUCAGACAUUAGCCUAUUUCACAAAGGAAUUUCUAUCGCUUCAGGCUAAAAACAGCAAAAAUGUUCUGAACAUUACUCUAAAUAAGCUCUAAAAACUACAGGGAUUUAUUCUACAAGCCCAUUGCUUGGAACACUCCAGGUUUAUAAGGGCAGACAUCUAACAAGAUCCCUUUUCAAUUAUGCCUUCAUAUAUGGUAUUGAUGUGAAAACUUCCCAACACUUUCUCAUAUAUUGCGUUCACCCCAUUGUUAAUCAUGAUUGGGUGGCGAAUUUUCUGCAUUAGAUGAGUCACCAAACUUGACGACACCCAUGUUGAUGAGCUUUUCAACCAGUUUCUUGAAGGCUAUGCAGUUCUCUAUGGAAUGCCCCGUAUUUCCCGCAUGAUAUUCGCAAUGUGCAUUCGCAUCGUGCCAUUUGGGGUACGGUGGCUGUGGAGGUUUUGAGUAGAAAGGAGAAACAAUGCGUGCAUCGAAUAACUUUUGAUACAGCUCAUUAUACGACAUCGGGAUUGGCGUGAACUGGAGGUUCUCAGUACCUUGUUUCACACUAAUUUCUUGUCUAGAUGAACCUUGCUGACUAGCAGUCACCUUUCUUGGCUGUGUAAUCGAUUUGUUGUAAGUGUUGACAUUGCUCACAUCAUUUUCCUUCUUCUUUAAGUCUGACCUUCUAUUAUUCUCCCCAGCAUCAAUCUUUCCACUUCUCACGGCACUUUCAAUCAUUUCACCGCUCAUGACUAUGUCUGAAAAACUCUUCGAAGCACUUCCUAACAUGUGGGUGAUGAACGGGGCCUUCAAUGUGUUGAUGAAGAGCAUCGUCAUUUCUUUCUCUAGGAGUGGCGGCUGAACUUGGAUAGCGACCUCCCUCCACCUUUGUGCGUAUUGCCUAAAACUUUCAUUAGGUUUUUUCUCCAUAUUUUGCAGGGUUAUUCUGUCAGGGACCAUAUAAGCUACAUGACUGUAUUGUUUCAUAAAGGCUUGUGCUAAAUCCCUCCAAGAACUAAUCUGGAUACGCGUCAAUUGAUUGUACCACUUAGACGCUGUCCCUGUGAGGCUAUCUUGAAAGCAGUGUAUGAGCAGUUGGUCGUUGUUGACGUAUCCGGCCAUACGCCUACAGAACAUAGUAAUAUGAGCUUCUGGGCAGCUGGUCCCAUUAUAUUUCUCGAAUUCCGGCAUCUUAAAUUUGUAAGGGAGCACCAAGUCCGGAACCAAGCUCAGAUCCUUUGCAUCUAUUCCAUAGCUUUCGAUGCUUUCUAUUGCCCUAAACUUCUCUUCUAUCCAUUUCCAUUUCUCCUCAAAUUGUUUUGGAAAUUCCUCCUUCGCCUUAUCCUUUUCAACCAUCUCGUCAAGAUCUGGGACAGCAAUAUUAUUCGGGCUAUCACCGGGAUUAAAGCCCGCUCCGGGUUGAAAAUUCAUUGGAAUUGAAGCAUCGCCUUGGAACUGCUGGGGCCUAACCGACACAGAGGGUCUCCGCGGAUGCAGCUCAGUCUGUACUUGCGCAUGCGGAGGCGUGAAACCUGGAGGAUAAAGUGGUUCACCAUUGUUUUCUUCUUCACUAACAAUCACAGGACCUUUACCCUUGUCUACUCCCUUCAAUAAUUGCGUCAUCUUAGCCACCAGAUCAUUUUGGGACUCCUCCAUCUUUUGCACCAUGUCACGCUGAAUCUUUUCUAUUUGCUCUUUCAUUUGCGCCUGCAACUGGUCUUGCAUUUCUUUUUGAAGUCGCUCUAGCUUCUCCAACCUUUGGUCCAUAAUUUUUGUCUUAGCUCGGGUGCCGUAACUUUGUUGGUUUUCCAGGUUAACUGAAAUGAUUUUAUUCGAUUAGGUUUUUAAUGGUCAUUAAUGCAUGUGAUGUGAUGCAAUGCAUGAAAAGAAUGCAAAGAAAAAGAGGCACUGAUUCUAAUUCAACUUCAUUAGAAAACUUUACUAGAUAAAGAGUUUCUUUACAUAAAAUAGACUACAUAUAUGGCUUUGCCCUCACACUCAAAGCCUUAACCUUUCUAAGAAGCCAAGCUAAUUCUCGGCCCCUGUCCGACUCUGACUCAUACUUCAAACUUAAUAGAUCAGCCUGAACCGCUAGAGUUUGCAGAUGAUCAGCUACUUCGCGCACUUGAGUCACCGCCUCUCCCAUAAUAUAAUCUCUUUCUCCAAUCUGCUCUUGAGACCGACGGAAUUGUCUUUGCCACUGCUCAUUACUUUCUUCCAGAAGCUCUAUCCGGAUUUCACUAUUUUGUAAUGCAUUCUCUAGCCCUCAUAUCUGUCUUUUUAAUUCUUCAAUUUUGUCUAAGCUCACCCUUAAUUCAACCGUAGCAUUACGAUUACAGUACUGGUGAAGCGAUCUUUCUAGUUCAGUUAUCCGGACCUUCAACACCGUCUUCUCGUCUUGGCAAACUAGUAGACUCUUUCCCAAGGCGACUUCUCGAGCCCGAGUAUCCUGAAAUUUCUUUUCCCAUUGAUUAGCUUUUGUCUUUUCCUCCUGAAUUUCUUGUCGCCAUUGUUCUGGUGUUUUACCCAAGCCAGCGGCUCUUACCGACUUACGCAACUUCUUGUAAUCUGUCUUCAGGCUGUCCAAAUCUUCUUCUGCCUUGUUCUUUCCUUUUCUCAAUUUGUUGGCCUCUAAUCUUUGAAUGUCCACAUCCAGUCCUAACUGCAUUUUUUCUUCCUCUAGUUGUUCUAUCUUCUUCCCUAAUUCUAAACUUCUUUUUUCGAAUUCUUGUUUGAUGAUUUCUAUUUCAGAAGGCAAAACUUGUAAGUGUUCCUCUAAAGAUCGAGCAGUUUCUGAAUUUGACGCCGGGAUGUUGUCAUUGAUCCUUUGAUCACGCCACUGACCAUACUCGGGGGUAAUUGUCGGACCCACGGCUAAGAUCUUCAUUCGACGAGUCUGGUUCCAGGCACUAGAUAUUUCUCGAACCUUCUUCUUGUAAUUGUCCUUCCUAUAGGAAAAAUCACUAUAAGCCAACCCCUGGGUUGCUGGUAUGAAUUGUCGUGAUCUAUACUGUCUUGAUACGAGUAGAGGAGCAUAUCCGAUAGCUCUCCAUAUCCCGAGCAGCGGAACCCAGUCAAAAUCUCCACAUCGGUACAAUAUCUCAUCAGGAAUUAACCAAGGAGCCCUCCAUUCAAUAUCUUCAUCUUGGAGAUUCUGGAGUAUCUCUAUCCAUUUUUCUUCUGAAAUAUCAUCUCGUCUUGGCGUGGCCACCAAUUCUCCUAGAGGGGAGUAGCUAUCAGAGAAUACCCGAUAAGAGACCUUUUCGACUUUCCAGAAGUGGCUAUGGAACCAUGCCAAUAAGAGCUGCGCGCAUCCAAUAAACCUUCCCUCCCCUACUUUUCGACACGCAUUCAAUGAUCUAAAAGUUUCAGCGAGUAUUGCCGGAACCGGUGUAACCCCUUUACUAAGCCGAUCGAACAAAUCAGAUACAGCCUCGUCUAUGUGUCCUAAAGCUUUGGGGAAAACCACUAGUCCAUAGAUACCUAAAGCGAAAACAUCGACCCUUUUCUUUAAGUCAGGAUGUACAAGCACCAAAUCUCGCAAACUUUUCCAAGGAACACAUUUACUGUCGCCCUUCUGUUGGAUCCGGGCAGCGACCCACUGCUCGCUCAUUCCAGUGAUGUUCAUUAAUUUCUUUAACAACGGAGGGACACAAGCAGCUCUGGAAUAAGCCUUGUCGACUUGAAUCUUUGGGCACCGAAGCAAGGUCGUAUACUCCUCCACAGUAGGCGUCAAAUCUACCUUCCCAAAAGUGAAACAACUGUAGGCAGGAUUCCAAAACUGAGCAAGGGCUCGGAAUAAAUACUUGUCCACUUUGACACUAAGCAGGUAAGGUAGGUCACCGUAGUUACAAUAGAACAGCUGCUUGGCCUCGACAUCCCAUUGAUCCCAGACUUCUUUCAUUUCUCGAAGGUCAUUUUGGAUUACACUGAUACGGGUAAAAUCCCACAAUUCUGACACGUACCCUUCGGUAAGACUAUCGCCUUUCUCCCGUUGUGUCGUUUCAGCCCAUAUUCGCACAGCCGCAUUAUCCUCUACUUUAUCAACAAACCCCUUUUCCAUGAUAAGCUUUCUACCAAGAAACUGAACGUAAAUCGACACCUCUUUUAGAAUGAAGAUGCCAUGCAAUCACAAACAAAGUAAAUUAGCAUUAAACACAGAAUAAGAUUUAAAAUAAGCGACAAAUAAAUACAACAUUCAUUUAGGUAAGCACUAAAAAUUUAGAGUAGCUCUACCUAGGUUGGUUCCUAUGGCUCAUUACAUGUGGUUUGGUUCUAAAGUAGGGUACCUGAACCAGCAAAUUCCUCGAUCCUCACCCAUUAUAGGCUCAUACGGACCAAGUUCGAUUCAGGGGGAUACAUUUCCCUAUGGCCAUGCGGAGAUGAAAAUCUCACGAAGACAUAGGUACGGAUGUAUCCCGAAAGCGAUUCACUAUCCCAUGCGGAGGUGAAAACCUCACGAAGGCGUAGUUUCUCACUCCCACUUAAAAGGGUGUGACCAACGGUCAUGCAAUGCAAUGUGCAGAAAGAUACAAAAACUUAAACUAACACAACAAUUAUAAACCACAACGAUGAAAAUUGUAAUAAAGAGCAAUGAAAUGCGAUGAAAGGAUCGUAUAUUUAAACCAAGUUUUGAUUUUCGACAAAAAGACAAAAAAUAAUCAACUCGUGGCCCGACUCACUUAUUGUGGUUGUCCCCAGUGGAGUCGCCAAGCUGUUGACACCAUUUUUGGAUUAAAAACGGGGUCGACUUGGGUUUUGAAAAUGAAAAUGAAUAGAGGAGUCGCCACCAAUCCUUUUUGAUGAGGUGCGAUCGGGUCACCUCGAAUUAAUCAUUUUAAUAAAAGUUAAGAUUUACUAAAACGAUAAUUUUUUUUGGUCUACGAAAAUCAGAAAAUGAGUUCGGGAGUCGGUUACGCACGAGGAAGGAUUAGCACCCUCGAUACGCCCAAAAAUUGGUACCUAGUUGAUUAAUUAGUGUCUUAGUUUCGAAAAUUGAAAACUUAAAAUACUUUGAAAUACGAUCCAUCUCUUUGUAAAAAAAACUCAAAUAUUAAAGACCUUCUCAUCUCUAAGUGAUAAAAUAUCACAUCCAGUAAGUUAGGACACGACAUCUCGAGCUUUUGAGAGUGAGUUUGUCUUUAUUUAAAAUUCAUGCAUUUUAACUUUUUUUUAAAAAGGAUGUUCGGUUAUUUAGGGUAAACGAAGAAAGUCGAAACCCAGUAAGUUAGGGUACGUUUUCUCGAAUUUCCUAAAAACGAAAUAUUGCCUUAUUUUGAAUUUUUUUUUGAAUAAUAGCAAAUGCAACAUUUAGAUAGUGUGCAUUAUUUGUUUGGAUUAAAAUAAAACAAUUUAUUGGAUAAAUGCAACGAGACUUGAUUCAUGAAGCGAUGAUAUAAAAUAAAAAUAUAGUAAUAAGCCUAGAACAAUGAUACAUGAACACAACAUUAUAUGGAUGAAUCACAAUAAUGCAAAAAUACGAAAUAAACAAAUUAAAAUACACAAAGACAAUAAUCAUACAACAUUUAAAUAAUAACAUCGAUAGAUAAAAGACCAAUGAAUUAAAUAAUAAUUUUUUAAGAAAAUAAAUGGCAUAAAAUAAAUUAAAAUAAAUAAUAUAAAACAUUUUAAAAUGACAAUAAUAAGUUUGAAAUAAAUAAUGUGAAAAAGGAAAUUUAAAAAUCAAUAACACACUAAACGAUAAAAAAUAUGUUUAUACAAAAAAUUAAGAUAAACAGUAUGUAUAUAUAUGUAUAAAAGUAUGAAGUGAAUGAUAUAAAAAGAGCAAAUAAUAGCAGUAAAACAUUUCGAAAUAAAUAAAUAGGAUUCAAAAUAAGAUACGUAUAACAAUUUAAAAUAAGCAAUAUAUAAAUAAAUAGAGUUUAAAAUAAAUGAUGUAAAAAAAAAUUUUAUUUAAAAAAAAGGAACAAUAAUAUACGAAAAAGAAAAAAAGAUAUAUGAAGAAUAGAAAAUAUUUAUAUAAUAUGUGCAAAGAAACCAAAAUAAAUAAUGUAUGUAGAGUAGUUUAGAAUAAACAAUAUAUGCAAAACAACUUACAACUUUGAGUAAUUGAUACAUAAAAUUGGUUAAAAUUAAUAAUAUAUGAAAAUGAACCGUAUAUAGAAUAUUUUAAACACAUACAAUAACAGUUCCUUUUUUAAGAAAAAGAAUUAAACAGGUGAAGGAUUAAUUCGAAAACAAUACAAAAUUCUAGGUAAAAAAUAAAAAGAUACUGCCAGGAUUAAAAUGAAGUGCACCUAAAAUCAUAAGGACCAAAUGGGAUAAAAACCAUAGCCCUAACAUGCGCAUGAGGCCCGACAGAUCAAAAGACUGAUUUAAAAAACAAGCAAAAUCUAACAACUAAAUUAAGAGAAAAAGCAAAGAUAAAAUAGGGCCUGAUCAAAGGACGCUAAAGAUGGAGGGACCUCGUGUGCAAAUAUCCUAAUAAUUGAGGAUACAUGAAUCCCCAUCCCCACCAACGGCACCGUUUUGUUUGGUGUUUAAAACACCCAUUCUCUUUAUUAUUUCAGCCCUAAUUUCAUAGAAGAAAAGAAAAAAAGAACAAAAAAAAUAGAAUGUUAAAGCUUCUCUCCCUCUCCUCUCUUACUGAAUCGUGAGCCCGUCGCCGUUGCAUCACCGCGCCCCCACCGUAUCGGUGGCUGGCGAUGCUCAAGGGUGGGUUUUUAGCCCCCGAUUCAACCAGGUAUGAAGGCUAAGAUUUUUUAACCAAGAAAACCCGAAAAUGAAGGGAUCUCCACCCGUUUUGGGUUCGGCUCCGACGACUGAGGGAACCGCCGACGGUGUGACCCAGGGGUUCGGGUAAGUUUUCUCCCCGUCUUCUUUUUAUUUCUUGUUCUUGAAGCUUAAAAGCAAAAUCAAAAAUGAAAAAAGAAAAAAAGAAAUCAGAAAUUGAAAAAACGUAACCUUUUUCUUUUGUUUUUGCUCUUUUAUUUCUGAAAUAUGCGUGUGUACAAGAAUGGGGAUCCCUUUUUUACAAUUGCUUUCGGCUUCUGUUUUUAGCCGAAUGAGAUAGAAUCCAAAAUCUCCCCCUUUUACAUUGAAAAUGAAUGGCUCUUUAUAGCCGAUUAUACAAAGUCCUAUUGUUGUUUUGUUACUGUUUGCUGCGUUUCUGUUUCUGUUGCUGCUUCCGUCAUGUUUGCAGGUGUUCAAGGAGGUGAUGGGAGCAGGUGGAGGAGAGAUGGCGAUGGGACGUGCGGCUGACAGAGAGCAGCGGCAAGUGGGAUACUAGGGUUUCAGUUUCUGAAACCCUAGUCUGAUGUGGGCUUGGCUGUUGGGCCAGGGUGCUGGGCCUUUUAUUUCUUUCUUGGGCCCGGGCAAAUGGGCCUGCAACAGGAAUCCCCAAGUUUCUAGAUAUGUUGCUAGCUAUGUAUGAGUGAGUAGACCCUAUGUCUAUCAAGGUAAUAUAUAGUACAUCAAGAAUAAAGAACGUACCCGUGAUGACGUUCGGAGCAUCUCUAUUCUCUCGGCGACAAGCAACAUAUACUAGGGCCGACUGCCUUGCCUCAGCCUGUCCAACACCUCUGCUUCGGUGCUCUCUACCUAUGACCCAUACCAUUACCACAUCUGGCCUGUCUAUGGCCCCUCGGUGGUUACUGUACUACCUUUUAUAACUAUACCGUACCAGUACCCGAAGUUUUCAUCUGAUCGGCCCUUAACGAACACUCCUUACAGUACUCUAAUGACUCAUACCGCAAGCACACCUCAGUCUUUCUCUAACACUCGCCCUGAUGGCGUCUACCACAAUCAGUACUUAGCUGCAGUUCAGUAACAGUAACAGAGGGCCCAGCUCUAACCGACCCAUCAACUCUGCCCUUUUUCUUAGGCCUCUGUGCAGAACUCGAAGGCUCUAAAUCCCUCUUAUUCUUACCUCUCUCACAGUAAUAGUUCUGGCGCUCAGCGCGCUUAAUCUCAUCGGUGAUCUUCGCCUUCUCCACUAGUGUAGAAAAAUCACCUCUCUCUACGGAGCUAUCAAGACUCUCAAAUUAUCUCUGAGCCCAUCCUCAAAACGAAUACAUCGCUCAUACUCAGAGGCCACCAUACCUCGCGUAUAGCGGCUCAGUCACAGGAACUCAGCCUCAUACUCGGCCACUGAUCAAUUUUUCUGAGUCAAAUUUAAGAAGUUCCUUUUACGGGUAUCCACGUAGCUCGCCCUCACAUAUUUCCCCUAAAAGGCAGUUUUAAAGAACUCCCAGGUUAGAUGUUCGGGCUGAGUGCCCUCCUUAACAAUGAGUCAUCACUGAUAAGCCUCAUCCCUCACCAGUGAGACUGCACCCUUUAAUUUCUGCUCUAGGGUGCAGUCUAAGUCAUCCAUGAUCCUCUCCGUGGCCUCAAUCCAGUACUCGGCCAUAUUAGGGGCAACUCUAGUGACACCCCUGAAAAGCUCAACUCCAUUGGACUAGAGUCGUUUCGUAUUCGAUCCUCGGACCCCUAAUCUAGUAUUGAUCCGAGCGACCCUCUCCAAAAUCCUUAGCAUAGCUUGGGAUAAUGCGUCGUCCUCAGCCAUGCGAUCUUGAGACCCAGUCUCAGUAGUAGGCGACACUAGCGUCUCACUAGUAUCCAAAUUCGGUAUGCUACCCAAUGAAGAGGACUCAGAUCGAGCUCCUUUGUGACCUCUACCUCAGCCUCUAGUACCCCGUCCACAGAUACAUCGUAUGCUCAUUGUCUAAUCACGUUUAUCUGUAUUAACAGUUUUAUGAAUCAGUUACGGUUUCAGUGUUUAUUAACAAAUGUUUUAUGUAAAAUAGUAUCGGUUAUUCAAAGUUCGUUUUGUAAAUCACAGUCUUACUAUAGUUUUUAGUUUUUUUACAAUUUUUAUUAUACACUAACUAGAGUGUUUUCAGUACAGUUUACUACCUAUAGUAGAUUCAGAAUAUACUAUCCAUAACAGUUUCAGUUUAAAACAAAUCACAGUUCAAAAUACUUACAGAAUCGACACCGGAGACUCGGUGUACCACUUACUUAGUACAAACAUUUCAAAUCAUUUAGAAAUUAAUCAACUUUUCGAAAGCUCAAUUUUUACAAAACCCAUAAUCCACUAUCGAGUUCUGUAACUUGGCUCUGAUACCACUAAAUGUAACACCCCAAACUCGGCCUAGACGUUAUGGUCGUAUCUGUUAAUGUCACAUGAUAGUGUUUUUGAAACCUCGUUGUUACGAUGAAAACAUUUCAUGUUAUUAUCUUUAGUAAACCUUUGUUAGAACUUAGAAAGUUGUCUUUAUUCAUUUAAAACAUUUUUUUUGAAACAUCCCUCAUUGCAGAAGCUUUAAUAAAAUAGUCUAGGUGAUCAUGCGUUUAGAAAAUAUAACUUUAUGAAAACUGAAUUUCCUACGACCAGCAGGUAUAAAUCUAUAAAGUAAAAUAAAUAAAUAAAAACCCAAAUUUAAAACCAAAGUCUCAAAGGGUCCUUAAAUUACAACCCAAAUAAUCAAUAAUAAUCAAAUCAUAUAUCGUAAAUUGAAAACCAUGAACUCAAAAAAUUACUAUAGUCACCGUUGAGUCCUUCGUCGCACCGAUCUGUCUAAGUUUGGGGAUUACCUGUGAACAUUAAACAAAAAGGGUGAGUUUACGUAAACUCAGUGUGUAAUCUCGUAGAAAUAAACAAAUAAUCAGUAUUCACAGUGCACAGUUGAAUAGUCUUGGGCCUAAGCCCUUUUCAGUAUUAGUCAUAGUUUGGGCCUUAGCCCAUCUCAGUAUAGUGUUAGAAAUGCAAUAGGGUCUUAACCCAUCAUAGUAUCAGUAGUAGUAACAAUUAUGCAGCAGCAAAAUCCUACCCAACCAGCCUCUACACACCAUUUUCGUCUAACCCUACACUCCAUGUGGGGAUAUAAUCAACCCACCCAUCCCUACACUCUAAGUAGUACUAAAUGCGACACAAAACAGUAGUUUGCAACUGAGCUGCUAGUAAAUUAGGCUAAAAGCCUUUCAGAACAUUUCCUCCGAAUAACAACCCCUAACCUAAUGCAAUGCAACAUACAAUAGAUGACAUGCUAUUAUGCAAUUUCAGUACAUAUAUUCAGUUCAAAUAUUAACAUGCUCAGUACAUAUAUCAUUCAAUCAAUUUCACACAUUUAGGUGUCUAAGUAGCGCUUAUCAACCCUACAGUGGGUUCACAGUCGACUUGGGCGACCCGUGCAAUCUUACAAACAUUUCGGUGAAAAUAGGCUCACACGCCCAUGUAAUCUACCCGUGUGGCCCACUUGGCCCAAAUUGGCCUUGGCCGUGUGAUCCAUUUUUAAUGUAACCCGUGCUAGCUAAAUAUUCAUACAUGUUUUCACUAUUUACUUAUAUGUUCAUUCAAAAUUGUCUACUUGAGUCAUUGUCACUAAAUUAUUUAUAUCUUGAGCUACAGAAUUCCAAAUUAAGAUUCGCUUGAUGUUUUUGAAACUAGACUCAAAUACCUUUCUACCAUAAAAAUUUUAGAAUUUAUAGUUUAUCAAAUAAGUACAGUAAAAUCUUUAAAUUUAUCCCACUUCUGUUGUUUGACAGCUUCAACCUUUCCUUACUAAAAAUUAUUUAUCUCUUAGUACGAAUUUGGAUGAUGUUUCUAUUUGUUUCUCUUGAAAAUAGACUCAUUAAAGAUUUAAACAUAAAAAUUUAAGCCCAUAAAUAUUUUUUAAAAAUUUUUGGUGAUUUUCCAAAGUCAAAAUAAGGGAACCCAAAAUUAUUCUGACAUUGUCUCACAAAAUUUAUUAUAUCUCAUAAUUUAAAAUUCCAUUGAUUACACUGUUCCUUACAUAAAAGACUAGACUCAAUAAACUUCAAUUUCAUAUUUGAUUCAACCUCUAACUCAAUUUCUACUAUUUUUGAUGAUUUUUCAAAGUUAGACUACUGCUGCUGUCCAAAACUAUUUUAGUGCAAAAUGUUGAUUUCCAAGUUUAUAACACCCUUAUUUCCUUUUUCUAUAAUUUUUUGCAUCAUUUUCUCUUAUUUCUCUUAUGUCUCGACAGCAAACAAUUUUAGCUUUUCACUGAAUCUCAUUUUUUGCAUUUCGAGUACAUAACUGGUAUCGUUUCGCUGUAAAUACGCUCCCAAACACUCUAAGACCUAAAAAUCGGUAAUUAGAGCCCAAUUUAGAUCACUAACUAAAACUCAAAACUGAAAAUCGUCUACAUUGAAAUCGAUAGCGAACCUAAACACUUACCUGCAACGAACCAAAAUUUCUAAUGCUCAAUUUUCUUGUGAAGCCGCAUCUGAUUUCUGAUUUUCGCCUAAACCAAGAGAGCCAAAACAAUCUUUUUUAUAAACUAGCUAAAAAGCGAUAAAAUAGAGAAAGUCAGAUACUUACAGAAUGAGUGUAUACAAUUUCUGGCUGGAAAGUAGGCUAGUAGAAAAAUCAAACAAUGAGGGUGGACUAGGGAGCAAAAAUUUGGCAAAGCAAAGAAGAAGAAGACGACAGAAAAAUUGGGGAAAAGAGGAGAAUGCCGAAAUUUGGGAAAAUAAAAACCAAAUAGAAACUUAGAUGAUAUCGUUAGCUACCCCACAUCCCUAAAUUUUUUCCCACUAAUCCUACUAACCUACAACCACUCCAGAAUCCCACUCUGCCGAAAUACUUGUCCAUCACUGCGCAAAAAUAACACCUAUGCUCGAACAUGGAUUCAAACUCAGGACCUCAUGCAAUCAAACACUCCAUUUAACCACUAAACCAGCAAGCCCAUUUUGUUAUUUAAUUACCAACUAUUAAACUUAAGCCCUUUAGGCUAGGUUAAGGCUUUAUUUAUAAAAGUACUAAAAUUUACCCAAGUCAUGGCUUGAACUUGGGACCUCCCACACACACCCAAAACACUUAAGCAUUGAAGCAGACAAAUACUUAAUAUCACAUAUACACAAAAACAAGAAUUAAAAAUUUUGGGGCGUUACAAUGAGAAGGAAAAACUUAACGAAAGAAAUUGAAGUUUCUUGGGGCUACCUUUGUAGAAAUAAGAGAUCAAUAGAGUUUCUUGGAAUUGAAGUUACAGUUUCAAAUUGUAUUAGCUUUUAUGUAGUACAACAUCAAUAUCAAUGUCCAUCAUCUUAUGUACUUUUUUAUUUGUUUACUUUUGUACAUUGAGUUGAAUGUUAGUGGUAUAUGUUAGUGGUAUACAUUUUAGCUAAAUGUUAGUGUAUUUUAAUUGUUGGAUCGAUUUUUGUAGUGAAUAUUAAAUCUUUAUUUUAAUUUUAAUUUUAUAUUUUUUUGUUGUAUUUAUAGCACAAUUCCUAUCAUUAUUCACUGUAAAUAUUUAUAAAAAUAUAUUAAUAUUGAAAUAAUAAAAAAUAGAAAAAAUUACAUUAUACGUGUCUAUUCCAAUCUUUUUAAGAUUACCUUAGACGGGUUUAUCCCAACCUUUUUUUAAAGGUUGCCUUAGACAAGAUUUAUCCCAACCUUUUUAAGGUUGCUCUAAACGGGUCUAUCCCAACCUUUUUUAAAAGUUGCCUUAGACAAGGUCUAUCCCAACCUUUUUAAAGUUGCCUUAGACGGGUCUAUCCCAACCUUUUUUAAAGGUUGCCUUAGACAUGGUCUAUUCCAACCUGUUUAAGGUUGCCUUAGAUAGGUCUAUCCCAACCUUUUUUAUAGGUUGUCUUAGACAAAGUCUAUCCCAACCUUUUUAAGGUUGUCUUAGACGGCUCUAUCCAAACUAUUUUUAAAAGUUGCCUCAGACAAGAACUAUAUCAACCUUUUUAAGGUUGUCUUAGAUAGGUCUAUCUCAACCUUUUUCAAAGGUUGGCUGUAACUAGGUCUAUCCCAACCCUUUUUAAUGGUUGGCCUUGACUAGGUCUUUCCCAACCCUUCAAUAAGGGUCGGCUUAUGUUGACUUAUGCUGACGUUUUUUCAAAAGUGUUGUGGAGCCUACGCCAACUGUAUUAUAGACAACCUUUUCGAAAGCAUCAGGAGAACCGUCGCGAAACUUAUGCCAACCUUUUUUACGUUGUCUUAGGUCAAAAAAAAGUGUCACGAUAGGCUUAUUUUAUUGUAGUGAUAGUAAUAUUUUUAGCUCUUAAAAAUCUAAAUUAUAUAUAAUAUGUAUUUACAACUCUAAAUAUUAAAGCUUGAUUAGAUAUAGGUUAUUUGAACUUUUCAUCUUAAAUAAAUUUGAGGAAAUUAAAUAUGGAAAUUUUAAUUAAAUUAUUUUAAUAUAUAUACACACCAUUAUUUUCAUUCAUUAAUAAUUUUAAACUAACAUUUUUUCUUCAGUAAAUUUCACUUUAAUCCCUUUCUUUACUUUUCUAAUGUUAUUUUUAUUUUUUUGUCCUUUAUUUUUCUUCUAUUUUAUAAAUUCUUUGAUCUUAUAUGUUUCAAGUAUCAAAGUGUAAAUAAAUAUAAAUAUUAAAAAAUGCCAAAUGUAACUCUAUGUGAUAUUAUUUAAUUGCUACUCAUUUCUUUUUGUUUCAAAAAACAAUGGAAAACUUAAGAAUUUUAAAGUUUUUGGUAUCAAAUAUAUAUAUCUAUACAUUUACAUUUUAAACUCCAAACUUAAAUAAAUAGAGAAAAUCUAAAAAUUUAAAAUAAAAAUAAAUAAAAAAUGAAUAUUUAACUUUUUUAGUACACAUGUAUCAUUCAGACAAUUUUAAUAUAACAAAUAAUCAAGUAAUUGGGAUUUAAUAUUUAAUUAAAAAUAUUCUUCUAAAAAUUGUAAAUCGCAUAACAUUGAAAGUCUUUAAAUAAUAUACUAAAGGGGUGAGCAUUCAAUCAAAUCGAAUGAAAAAAUUUUGAGUUAAUCGAGUUGACGAAUAAUAUUUUAUUAUCCUAACUAGAUUUAAAUUUUUCUCGAAUAGAGUCUAGUGAGAUGGAACUCGAAUCGAAUCGAAUAUAUUUGUUCGAGUUAAAUUAAGGUCCUUGUAAUCAUUGUCACCCACCGCAAUCAGAUUUGUUAUUAACUUUCACUCCCUCAUAAUUUAUUUAUUAAUCUUUUAUAUAGGGUUAGAUUCUUUGCUUGCUUAGUUGCUUCAAUUAUCUUCUGAUUUUGUCACUAUGUAUUCUGAAAUUUAAAAAUAUAUUAAAUGUAAAAAAUGUGAUUUUUUUAAUAAAAAAAUAUCUUAAAGGUAAAAUAUAAAAUUGAUACCAACAUAAAAUUUUAGCACGAAUAUUUUAUGCCAUCAUCAAUAAUUUAAUUUUAACAAAAAAAAUUAUAAAGAUUCAAUAUGAUAAAAUAAUUCAAUAAUAUUGAUAAGCUAUAAAAGUAACAUAUUUUAAUCUCAAUCUUAAUGUGUUUUUAGAUGAUUAAUUAUGCAAAUUAGUGAAUUUAAUGCUCCUAAUCCAUUAAAAUAAUGCAUGGUACUUUUGAUAUUGUAUAGUUCUUUUGAUGUCAAAAUAAUGCAUUAAAAUUUAUUCAACUGUCAAUUUAAGUGGAAAAAGUUGGAGAUGAAAUUUGUAAUUAAACCUUCUUUAAUUUACGUCUUUUUCCCUAAAAAUAUAUUUUUUAAAAAUAUUAAAUGUUAUAAAACUUGGGACAAAUAUUAAAUGUUGGAAAGUGGUUAAGAAAAUCAUUAUCAUUAUAAUUCAUCCUCAUUAUUGAUCAGUGUCACUGAAGCAAUGAAUUUCAAUGGGUUUGGUAAUGGAUGAGAGUUUGCUAAAAAUCUUCCUUUUGGUUUGUAACCAUUUUCACUUACAUAGUCUAGGAUAAGAAUGUUAAAAACCUAUGUUAUAUCCAUAGAAAUUGAGGGCUAUAUUUCUUAUCAUCACAACAAGCGCAAGCAUUGUUGGGGUAUAUCCACUUGUCUUAAACCACUAGAAUGUACAAGUAGCAAAAGAUAAUAAUGAUUAAAAGCUUGGGUAAUUAAUUUUGUAGUAUAUAGUCGGUCCAACACUGACUUAUAUCUAAGCAAAGUGCAUGCAUCAACUACAACAUUUUUUCUCUGAUUACCUUCUCCUUUCUUCUAUCAUUCUAGAGUGUAAACAAUUCACUCAAAGGCAAACAAUUUAUAGAAUUGUCUAACCAUGUGUAUUGCUGCUUUCAUUUGGCAAGCUCAUCCACUCUACCCUCUACUGCUUUUACAAAACAGAGAUGAAUACCACAACAGGUAUGUUUCCAUUUCACUUCAAUCAUUCUUCUCUUGAAAAUAUAUUUAUCUUAUUAAUAUAUAUGGGUGGAAUUGAAGGCCUACGAAGGCACUUGCAUGGUGGGAUGUUGAUGGUUGUGAGAUAUUAGGAGGAAGAGAUGAAGUAGCAGGAGGGACAUGGUUGGCUUGUUCAAGACAAGGCAGAGUUGCUUUUCUCACCAAUGUGUUGGAGCUUCAUCCCCGUCCCGACGCCAAGACCCGCGGUGAUCCCCGUCCCGACGCCAAGACCCGCGGUGAUCUUCCACUUCUUUUCCUGGAGGUAAAUAAAUCUAUAUGCCUUUUUUUUCUUCUUUUUAUUUGGUCGAAGCCAGCUCACCUAUCAAAAACGGUGGUCAUUCAUUAAAAGUAAACACACUGUUGUUGAUACAGAGCACAAAGAGCCCCAUGGAAUUUGCGGAGCAACUGGCCACCGAUGCUCAUCAGUACAAUGGAUUUAACCUCAUAGUGGCUGAUAUUCCUUCCAAAUCAAUGGUUUACAUCUCGAACAGGCCAAAGGGGGAACCCAUUAACAUUCAACAGGUUUCUCCGGGGCUUCAUGUUCUUUCAAAUGCCAAGCUUGACUCUCCCUGGCAUAAGGUACAUUAACUUGUUUCAUGUGUUAUAUUCCUAUAAAGUUAUGCCCAAAGGCAGAUGGACGCUGGAGAAUUGAUUCAUCCACUCCCAUUGUGCAGGCUUGGCGGUUAGGUAAAGGCUUCAAACAGAUGCUCAAUAGAUACGGUAAAAAUGAAGUAAACGUGAAAGAAAUGGUUGAGAAACUUAUGAAAGAUAAAGUGAAAGCUGAUAAAAGUAAGUUACCUGGCAUAUGUGAUCUCGACAUGGAGUUCAACCUUAGCUCCAUAUUUGUUGAAAUGGACACCCCACUGGUAAAAUUCCAAGUUCUAAACCAUCCUCCUACUAAAAUUUAUGUAGAACAAUGUUGAAGCCAAUAAAAAUUGUGGUUGUUUCAACUUACAUAUCCAUCUAUUUUCCGGAAUACAGGGGCUUUAUGGAACAAGGAGUACUGCAGCAAUAACCGUAGGUGCUGGUGGGGAAAUUAGCUUUUAUGACGAGUAUCUAGAAAAGGGUGUGUGGUUUGAGAGAACAGUCAAUUAUCAUAUCCAGAAGCUCAAGUAGAUUGAAUCCAUGUCAAAGCAAGGGAUUUUACUACUCAAGUUAUUUAUUGAUUUGCGAAUGUUAUAAGCAUUUUAAGUUUAUACUAAUUGUAACAUAGGAGUGAUGUAUGAUGUAUCUCAUUCUUAAUACUUUACAUUUUCACUUUAAACUCCAAACUUAAAUAAAUAGAGAUAAUCUAAAAAUUUAAAAUAAAAAUAAAUAAAAAAUGAAUAUUUAACUUUUGUAGUACACAUGUAUCAUUCAGACAAUUUUAAUAUAACAAAUAAUCAAGUAAUUGGGAUUUAAUAUUUAACUAAAAAUAUUCAUCUAAAAAUUGUAAACCGCAUAACAUUAAAAGUCUUUAAAUAAUGUCACAUACAUGAUUUUUUUUUUGUAAAUAUACAUGGUCUGUUUUUAUUUAUAAAACUUCCUUUUACCUCAUUUUUCUUCAUUAAUGUCUACAAAUUUGAAGGGAGUCAUGUACCGAUUAAAUUUGAAUCCUAUCAAGAAUGAGCUUUUGAUUGUUAUAUUUGAUGUUUUCCUAUUAGUUUAAGAUCCCCAAUAAUUAAGCAUGCUUUCUUAAUAAUUGGAAAAUAUUUAUUUAAAAUAUUACUGUAACAGCUUAAUUUUAGGCCUAGUCGGAACAGUAGUUUCGGGACCACGAAUCUGACGAGGAAAAUUUUAUUUUUUAUUAUAUUUUUAUAGUCUACAAUUUCACAGAAUGAUUUCGUGAAAAUUUUGUUCAAAAAUUUCGACGUUUGUGCACUCAAUUUAGCCAAAAGGACUAAAUUGUAAAAAGUGCAAAAGUUGAGUUCUACAUGUUAGAAGUGUCCAAUUGUUAUGAAAUUUUAAAUUGGAGGUCCUUAAAUGGUAAUUAGACCAUUGGUUAACUUUUUGGACAAAAAUGGACAAGAGAUAAGUGAAAUAAGAUAUUUUUAAGUUUGGGGCAUUUUGGUCAUUUAGUAAUUAAAAGAAUUAAAAAGGCCAAAAUAGCCAAAAAUUUGUCCAUCUUCUCCAUGGUGAACGAAAUCAGCAAGGGGAAGCCAUGGUUAGGGUUUUCAAGCUUCCAAGCUCCAUAGCAAGUGAUUCCAAGCCCCAUUUUUAAUGUUCUUUACAUUUUUGGAGUCUCAGUAACUUGAUUUAGCUUAUUCUAACAAUAAUUUAACCUAGGGUUCAUAUUUGGAAAAAUACCCAUAGGUGAAAUGUGUUUAUUUUGAUGUUUUAUGGUAGUGUAUGAAGCUUGAAAUUAUGUUAAAUAACUUUUGCUAGCCGAUUUUAAGUGAAAACGAGUAAAUUGACAUAAUCGAUAAAAAUACCUAAUGUUCAUAAGUAAGUGUUAGAGUGAGAAUUUGAUGUUGCCAUAGAAGGGAAAAAUGUUCAGCAUGUCAUAAAACAUAAGAAAAAGGAAUAACGUUUAAUCUCCGAGCCUAGGGGCAAAAUUAUAAUUUUGUAAAACUUUAGGGGCAAAAAUGUAAUUUUGCCAAAAUGUGAUUUUUGGACUGGAUUGAAUAAUGUGAGUGUUAAAUAAGUUAAAUAUGUUAUUAUAAGUCAAUAAAGACAAGGAAAUGACUUUGAUUAGUGAAAAAGAAAAAAAAAAGAAGAAAAACUGAGAAAUUUCCCGAUUGAACAUUCGGAAUAAAAAGGGAUAUGAAUGAAGUGACAGAAAUGAUCACAUGCGUGGCAUGGACUGUGUGUAGGCCACUAUGUGAAAGUGAAAGUGAUGGUCACGUGUGUAGUACUAUGUGCAGGCUACUACGUGUACCAGAAUGAUAGGUCGCAGGUGUAGUACUAUGUGCAGGUUACUAUGCGUACCGGAUAGCUUCGAUCACGUGUGUAGUACUAUGUGCAGGCUACUACGUGUAUCGGAUAGUGAUGGUCACGUGUGUAGUACUAUGUGCAGGCUACUAUGUGAACCGGUAUCAUUAAUUAUAAGGUGGUUGCUAUGUGUUAAUCCCACAAGAUAUCAUUGAUUACAAAGGGUAGUUGCUGUGUGCUGAAUCCAUCGUAUAUAUGUUAUUAUUCUAAACUGUUCAUCAGGAAAUUGACUAAGUGAAAAUACAUGAGAUCAUGUAAUGAUUAAGUGUGAUUGAAUGAUGAAUACAUGUGUGGAAUUGAAUUGAAUAAUGAUUGAAAGUGAAAAGUGAAAUUAUGAAAAAGUAAAACUAGCAACAAAUAGUUUUAGACAGUAACAAUAGUGUGACUUUGAAAAAUCACCAAAAAUGGUGGAAAUUGAAUUAAAGAGUGAAUAAGAUAUGAAAUGAAAGCUUAAUGAGUCUAUUUCUACAUAAAAGAAACAGAGCAAGCAAAAGAGUUAUAUAUUUUGAGAUAUUUGAAUUUUAGUGAGGCAGGGUUGGAUUGAUUUUGGAAUCCCCUAUUCUGAAUUUGGAAAAUAAUUAAAAAUUGUAAAAAUAAUAAUUAUGAGUUAUAAUUUAUAUUCUUAGAAUCCUUAAUGAGUCUAUUUUCAAAGGAAAUAAACAUAAAUAUCAUCUGAAUUCUGUAAAAUGAGAUAAUUUAUUUUUAGUGAAGAGAUGUCAGAGAUGCUAAGCAGUGAAAUAGGGGUGAGUUUAAAGAAUAAACUGUACUAAUUGGCUAAGAAAAAAAUUCUGAAAAUUUUAUGGUAAGAAUAUAUGUGAGUUUAGUUUUGGGUAAAAUUAACGGAACUUAAUUUGGAGCUUUGUAGCUCAGGAUAAAAAUAAUUUAGUGACUGUAACUCGACUAGAUAGCUUUUGAAUUUAAAUAUAAGUGAAUAGUGAAAUUAUGUAUAAUGCUAUUUAAGCAUGUUAUAUACAUAAAGGAUGUGGGAUGGAGAGGAGGAGGAGGACAAUAAAGCAUAUGCGUGUGGUAGAUUAGCAUGAAAUGAUGUCGUGAGUGGCUCAUGAAUUAACUCAUGUUGGUAAGUUGAUGCAUAAUUAUAGUAUUCAAAUAUAUUACAUAUUUGUAAUAUUUUGCUAUGUGAUUCGGAAAAAGGGGAAUAAAUAGCAUAAUGAAAAUUCGGCCAUGGUGCUAGUUUAUGUUAAAGGAGUGUUUUAUGGCAUAUCUUAAGUAAUGGAAUGUUAUGAAUUUUGAGAUUAAUUUGCUAGUCAAAUAAAUGACAAAUGAAUUGAUUGCGUAUUCGUAAUUUUGACAUAUGCUUGGUAUAUGAAACGUAAUAAUAUAUGCUUGAACAAACUUUAAGUAUUCGAAUGACAUGGAUUUGAUGGUGAUAAGAUUCGAACAUUGAAUUCAUGAAGCACAAGUGAUGUAUUAUUGUUGUGUGAUAGCUUGGUUUGAGAAAUUGGUUAGGUAAAUGGUAAGUUAAAGCAUUUAUGGAUAUAGAAGAAAAUUUGGAGUGAAUAUGAAAUUUAGCUCAAUUAAAUGAUUUCAUCAAUUAAACAUUGUGUAUACCAGAAUGUGUUAGUGAAUUACAUAUUCAUAAAUUGACAUUCGAAGUUCAGUUAGUGAUAUAUGAAAAUAACAUGAAAAGAUUUAUGAUUGUGAUUAAUAUUGAUUCUAACUUAAAGUGGAUUCUUCAAUAUUGGAUUGAUUUAACGGAUAUAUUGAGCAUAUGAAUGGGUAUGUAUUGGGCCUCGUAAACCUUAAUUAGCGACUCAAAGAUAAUAAUUUGAAAGUUUUUAAUUUGAAUGAAAUUUUAUAACUCAGUUUAAUAUGUUUAUAAGUGUAUUUAUUCUAAUAAUGCCUCGUACCCUAUUCCAGCGUAGAAUACGAGUAAGGGGUGUUACAAUGUGACAUCACUAGAUUCGGCCCUAAUGUUUAGGCCGGGUUUGGGGUGUUACAAUUACUUUUGAAAGUAUUUCUAUGAAGCGUGUCUCGUAUUUUCGGUCAAGCUAAAUGGCAAAGCAAAGGCAACAUUGAGACAUGGAGCAUAGGAUGUCACAAUGACGUGACGACAUUCGAAACUAAAUCGAAGCAGGGCCGACGUCACGAUGAGGGGACCUACGAUGUCGUGACGAUGCAACGAGGCAGCCACGUCUCUUGACAACUUAAUGGAUUUUCCUUCUCCCAGUUGAACUUUGAUUUUCGGUUCUCUUUUCUCAAUUUAACUCUAACUAUUCUAGGGAUAUUUUUGUAAUACCCUAUAUGUAGCACCUUUAACCCGUAUCCAUUGUCAGAUUAGAGUUACGAAAUAUUACCGAGUAAAACAAAACAUUUAACUUCACAACAGAAACAAUUAUAUUAAUUAAAUGUAAUCAUGGUAAAAAUAUAAUUACGGGUCUUAACUCGAGUUUACAGGGCCUUAAAAACAGUUUUGGAACAUUCAGGGAUCAAUUCGAACAAAUCAGAAAAUUUAAAAAAACAGGAAAAUUUUGAAAACAGGAAUCACACUAUCGUAUGACAUAGUUCAGAUCUUGUGGACAUUCGAAGUCUAGACACACAGCUUAUCCCAAGCCGUGUGAGUAUUCGGAAUAAGGCUACACGGACAUGUCAUAUGUCGUGUGCCAAAUCAUGUGUACUGUAAUAACCAAUUUUACCCGAGCUUAUUAAAAUUAAAUUAAAAUAAUAUAAAAAUCAAAUAAUAAUAAAAUGUCCAAUAACAGUCCAAUAAAAUAAACCCAUAAACCGAAUACACCCCAGCCCAAUAACCAAUUACAGGCCCAAUUCAAACCUAAUACCCAAAUUGCAACCCACAAGCCCAAAAGCAAGAAAAAUAGAAAACCCUAGACAGUAGCAGCUUCCAGCGCCGUUCUCCCUAUGUAGCCUCCGCGCGUGCUACGCCACCACCACGCGCGUUCCUCACAUGUGAACUAGGCCUCCACUCCAGCUUGCACCUGUAACAGACGUAACAAACUAGUAGAGAAAGCAAAGGAAAAAUGACAGCAAGGAAAAGGCAACACAGCAAAUAGGAAAGCAGUAAAUAAAAAAUGUAAAAAAUAUAUUUCGAUUGAUUUUAUUUUUAUUUUUAUUUUUAAGGAUUUCGGUUAUAAAAAGGCCAUUUGAGCACUAUAAAUGUGGACGCAUACAGAGAUUGAAUACAAAAAACAAAAAAAAAAUUCAAAGAAAAAGGUAAAUAGAGUUUUGUAAGAAAAAAAUGACAUUCUGCAUUCAUGCAAACAUCAUUCAUACAUUUGAAUUAUACAAGUCAUGUUCCCCCAGAGAACAAACCGGUGAAACUAUAAAGCCUGAGCAGCAGUGGAAUAGGUUGAAAAUAGCAGAUCUUGUUUUUCUGUACUGGCAGCGAAGCAGAUCGAAGAUAACAAGUCUUAUCUCCCUGACUUGCAGCGGAGCAGACUGAAGAUAGCAGAUCUUGUCUUCCUGUACUGACAGUGAAGUAGAUCGAAGACACCAGUCUUAUCGCCUUGAUGUUGCAAUGGAACAGAUUAAAGCUAAAGAUAGCGAAUCUUGUGUCCCUGCCGUUGCAACGGAGUAGAUUAAAGCUGAGGGCAGCAAAUCUUAUCUCCUUAGCGUUAAGACUUGGAUUAGCUGAAGUGGAGCAGAUUAAAGCUGUAGGCAGCGAAUCCUAUCUAUUUGGCAUUACAGUGGAAUAGAUUGAAGCUACAACAGCGAAUCUUACUUCCCUGGUGGUGUAGUGGAACAAAUUGAAGCUACGAUGGCGAAUCUAGUUUCCCCGACACUGCAGUUAAAUAGAUUGAAGCCAUAACGGUGAAUUUUACUUCCCUGGCGGUGUAGUGGAACAUAUUAAAGCUACGACGCCAAAUCUUGUUUCCCCGACAUUGCAGUUAAAUAGAUUGAAGCUACAACAGCAAAUCUUACUUCCCUGGCGGUGCAGUGGAACAGAUUGAAGCUACAACGGCGAAUCUUGUUUCCCCGACAUUACAGUUAAACAGAUUGAAGAUGGCGAAUCUUAUCUCUCUAAGGUUACAGUGGAGCAGAUUAAAGCCAAUAAUCCUAUCUCUCUGAGGUUGCAGUAGAGCGGAUUGAAGUGAUGAUCUUAUCUCUCUGAAGUUACAGUAGAGCAGAUCGCAUCCAAUUUUAUCUCCCUAAAGUUGUAGUGGAGCAGACAGAAGAAACCAAUCCUAUCUCCCUGAAAUUGCAGGGGAGCGGAUUAAAACUACAGAUCUUAUCUCUCUGAAGUUGCAAUAGAGCAUAUCACAACAGACUUAUCUUUUUAAAGUUGCAGCAGGACAAGUUGAAGCUACAAGUCUUAUCUCCCUGAAGUUGCAAUGGAGCAGACUGAAGAUAGUAAAUUUUUUUCUUUUGAAAAGACUACAAGUUACAAAUUGCAUCUCCCUAAUGUUACAGUGGAGUAUAUUGAAGCACCAAUUCCUAUACUUCUAAAGAUGCAGUAUGAUGGAAUGAGGCUACUUGAAGAAGAAGAGCACCAAGGUCCAGCAUGACCAGGCAAAAUUGGUCAUUUUUAAAGUCUUUGCUUUGUUCCCGUUACACGACAACAAGCAAAGAAGGGCAGCUGUAAUAACCAAUUUUACCCGGGCUUAUUAAAAUUAAAUUAAAAUAAUAUAAAAAUCAAAUAAUAAUAAAAUGUCCAAUAACAGUCCACUAAAAUAAACCCAUAAACCGAAUACACCCUAGCCUAAUAACCAAUUACAGACCCAAUUCAAACCUAAUACCCAAAUUGCAACCCACAAGCCCAAAAGCAAGAAAAAUAGAAAACCCUAGACAGCAGUAGCUUCCAGCGCCGUUCUCCCCAUGUAGCCUCUGCGCGUGCUACGCCACCACCACGCGCGUUCCUCGCAUGCAAACCAGGCCUCCACUCUAGCUUGCACCUGCAACAGACGUAACAAACUAGCAGAGAAAGCAAAGGAAAAAUGACAGCAAGGAAAAGGCAACACAGCAAAUAGGAGAGCAGUAAAUGAAAAAUGUAAAAAAUAUAUUUCGAUUCAUUUUAUUUUUAUUUUUAAGGAUUUCAGUUAUAAAAAGGUCAUUUGAGCACUGUAAAUGUGGACGCAUAUAGAGAUUGAAUACAAAAAACAAAAAAAAAAUAUUCAAAGAAAAAGGUAAACAGAGUUUUGUAAGAUUUUUUUAAAUUUUUCUUCACUUUUCUUUGUUUUUUUUUACUGCUUUGUUCAUUAAUAAUAUGUGUAAGGCCCAAUUUUUGUCCGGCCUGUUACAGAAAUAAAAAACCAAACAAAACCAAAAUGUUUCAGUCCAAUUUUGCUAAGCCCAAUAACCCAAUAGCACAGCCCAAAUCAAUUUAUCCUAAAACUAACCCAGCUACAAUCACCGAAACCCUAAAAUCCCUUAGCCACCGCCUCCAGCAAGUGUCCAAUCAGCGCACGUUUCGGAACCAGCCCUCUUCUCCGCGUCGUGCUCUCCACGUCUACCUGCGAAAACGGACUAAAAGAGUCCCAAUAUUGUAAAAUAAAAAUACAAAGUAUUUUCUUAGGCUAUAAAAAGCCUAACUUGUACACUGAUAAAAAUAAAAGAAUAGAGAACAGAAUAAAUAUUUUUACAAAGGUGAUUUUUUUUUGUUUUAUUCCGCAGUGACCAUUUUUUAUUUACAUAUGUUUUAUUUUCUUUUAUUUUCAUUUAUUUCGUAUAAAAUAACAAAGAAAAAAGAAAAGGAAAACAUACCUUUUGUCGGACUUGCCGGAUUGUUGCCAUCUCCAGCGCUAGGAGUUAGGGCUGAAAACCCUAGCAGAGGGCAUUUAGUUUUUUUUUUCCUUUCAUUCUGCUGCAAAUGUUUUUUAGAGAAAAAAAUUGUUUUAAAUAACAGAGCAAAACGGCGCCGUUUUACCCAGGCAUGACCCGCGCGGUGACCCGACCCGGAGGGAGGAUUCGCGCGUUUUGGUCGAAGGGAAAAUUUGCGCAAUUGGUCCCUCCCUUUUGCAAUGCGCUUCAAUUAAACCUGUUUUGUUUUUUUUAAUUUGGCCGCAUAUUUUAUUUUUGUUUCAAUUUGGUCCCUUGCUGCGCAGCAUUUUGGAGGGUAGGAUUAAUUUCCCUUCUAGUCCCCCAUUGUUGUUCGCGCGUUCAAGUUGGUCCUUUUUUUAUUUAUUUUUGAAUCUACCCCAUCUUUUCGUUUUUAAGUUCAAUUUAGUCCAUUUUUUAGCUUUUUCUUUUUUAUGUUUGUCAUUGUACCAUUAUUAUUAUUAUUAUUAUAUUAUUUGCUAUCAUUAUUGUUAUUGUAUUUUCUAUACAUAUAAAUACGCAUAUUUUUUAUAUAUAAUAUAUAAGCAUAUUUUUAAUAUAUAUAUUUAUAAGUACGCAUCUAUUUUAUACAUACAUACUUUUUUUUUUAUUUCCUAACCUUUAUGUACACGUAUAUAUACUUCUAUAUUUUGGUUUCAAAAUUUUUUAUACAUAUGCAUGUUCGUUUUUUCUUAUAUAUAUUAUUUUUCAUUUUUUUUACAAAACGUAUAUAUAUGUGUAUACAUACACAUUUUAAAAUACACACAUGUUUCCCAUAUUUUACAAUUCAAAAUACACAUUUUUUAUAUUAUAUAUAUACAUUCUUUAUAUUUUUGAGUUAUUAUAGACAUUUUUAUUAUUCUAUAUAUACUCCGUUAUUUAUGUACAUAUCAUACAUAUAUAUAAAUUUUUUAAUAUAUGUAUACAUAUUUUCAUGUUUUACCAAUACAUAUAUACUUAUACAUUUUUUUUCUGUAAAUAUAUACACAUAUACAUACUUUUAUAGUUUUAUUUUAUUUUCACGGUUUUCAAAUGCACAUACGUGCAUUUUUUAUGAGUUUUUGAUUGAUAUAUUCCAUUCCAUUUUUUUAUAUGUAUCCUUGUAUAUGUGUGUAAAAUAUAUGCGUACACAUAUUUUCAAAUUUUCUUGUAUAUUGUACUUGUAUGUAUAUAUUUUGUAAAUACAUAUUCAUAUAUGUUUUAAAUUAACGUUUUGUUUCAUAUUGUACGUUAACUUUUAACAUACCUUUUGGGAAAUAUAUUUUGGUUUUGUCAGUAUAUCAAAAUCAUUUUCUCUUGAUUCAAAGUUUUUUUGAAUAAAAGCAAUAUUCAAGUUUGAGAUUUUUGAGGAAAAUUGAGCCCUAACGUAUUGGGUUCUGAUUUUCUUUGUUAAUCUUAAAUAACCGAGGAUAUUCUUUAUUCAAAAUGCAUGAGUAUAAAGAUCAUUUUUGGGAACUUAACUUGUUGUGUCCUAAUGUAUUGGGCGUGACAUAUUACUUUCUCAAAAUGAAGAUUUUCACAUAAAAUAAAAGUGAUAUUCAAAGUUCGGGGAUUUUGAGAAAUUGUACCCUAACGUAUUGGGACUCGAUUUCUUUACAUGACUUGAACAAUUGAUUAUCCUUUUCAAAUUUCAUCAUUUAAGUUGUUUUAAAAAAAAUUAGCCCUCGACAUUAAGACAUUAAAUAAUUAAUUUGGUACAGAUUUUGGGUGUCACGAGGGUGCUAACCCUUCCUCGUGCGUAACUGACUCCCGAACCCAUUUUCUCAAAUUUCGUAGACCAAAAUACGUUUUAAGGUGAACUGAUCACACCUCAAUAAAAGAUCGGUGGUGACUCCAAUUUUGUUUUUUUAAAAAGUCGACAACUACAUUUUUGAUUUAGAAAUGGUUUCGACAGCUUGGCGACUCCACUGGGGACACUAGAGAGUCGAGCCAUAAAUUGAUUAUUUUUGUCUUGUGAUUGAAAAAUCAAAUUUGUUUUAAAAUCAUGAUUUCCCUUUACAUUCAUUGAUUUUCAUCAUGAUAUAUUUGCAUGAUGGGUCCGAGUCGAUUAAUUUGUAUUUGCAUUAUGCAUUGCAUUGGUUGGUCAGUGUUACCUCUUUAAGUGGGAGCGAGAAACUAGUCCUUCGUGAGGUUUUGACCUCCGUGCAGGGUAGUAGACCGCUUUCGGGAUACAUCCGUACCUAUGUCUUCGUGAGAUUUUCAUCUCCGUGCAGCCAUAGGGAAAUGUAUUCCCUUGAACUGAACUCAGUCCAUAUGAGCCUAUAAUGGGUGAGGAUCGAGGAAUCUGCUGGUUCGGGUACCUUUGCUCUAGAAACUAAACCUCAUAUACUGAGAUUUAGGGACUUGCCCUAGGUAGAGCUAUACCAAACCCUAGAGGAGUCCUGAAUAGGUUUUAUUAUUUCCUAUGUACGUUGAAUUAUGAUUUUAUGCAUGAUACUAACUUGUGUGUUUUGUUUUGGCGGUAUGGCAUUUUGACUGCAUGGCAUUUCAUUAUAGAAAAAAAAUGUUGAUUCAUGUUUGGUUGUUAAAUAGAGAGCUUGCUACGGAAAAUAGAUUUCUUGAUAAGGUGAAAGAUAAUACGGUUGUCUGAGUAUAGUCUAAGAAAACGUGACGCGAAAGGUAAUAGCGUAACAAGAGGAGUAUACGACUUUGCUGCGUUGCCCAAGGAUUCAAAUUGUCAAAGAUUAUUCAAGAGUCAUCAAACGUCCUAACCUCUUAAAGAAGCUCAUGGGCAUGAGUGAGCAAAGAGAUACGACCUAGAUCAAACAAAAUGGAGCUAAGAUUCGCAAAAUGCAUCUUAAUGUUCGAAUGGUCGAUGCCUUCACUUGGAGUACGAGCACAAAGCCGUAUAUAUAUAUCCGCUUUGUGUAAAGAGAUUUGUUUUCUAGUGAAGUUUUUCUAAUAAAGAAUUGAACUAGAAUCAACGUCUCUUUUUGCAUUUAUUUCAUGCAUUUGCAUUACAUUACAUCACAUGCAUUAAACACCGUAAAAGGAUCCUAAUUAACUAAAUCAUUGCUCAGUUAACCUGGAAACCAACCAACCAACCAAACACCAUUAUGACACUUGAGCAAAGAUUAAAGAUAUGGAUCAGAGAUUGGAAAAGCUCGAAUAGUACCAGAAGAAGAUGCAAGACCGACUUCAGCUGCAAGUGCAAGAACGGUUGGACAAGAUGCAAUAGGAUAUGUCAGAGAAGAUACAGGAAUCCCAAAAGGAUAUGAUGGCGAAGCUGACCCAACUAUUGACUGGAGGAAGUGAUAAGGGAAAAGGGACCUGUAGCUAAUGUCGAAGAAGGCAACGAGGAUGAACCUCUCUAUCCUCCAGGCUUUACUCCUCCACAUGUACGAACUCAAGCUGAGGUAUACCCGCACAAAUCUAUUGUCACAAUCAGGCCUCAGCAGUUCCAGGCCGGUACUUCAAAUUUCCAAGCUGGAUCGGGCUCUAACCCCGGGAACUACCCUAUUAACUCUGCCAUUCCUGACUUCGAUGAAAUGGCUGAAAAGGAAAAAAUAAAUGAAGAGUUACCAAGGCAGUUAGAAGAGAGGUGUAAAUGGCUCGAAGAGAAGUUCAAGGCGAUGGAGAUCACUGAAAACUAUCGUGGGAUCAACGCUAAAGAACUGAGUCUAGUCCUAAAUUUGGUACUCCCUCAUAAGUUUAAGAUGCCGAAAUUUGAAAAAUAUAAUGGGACAAGUUGCCCAGAAGCACAUAUCACCAUGUUCUGCAGGAGAAUGGCUGGAUAUGUUAACAAUGACCAGCUACUGAUUCAUUGUUUCCAGGAUAGCCUUACAGGGGCAGCAUCUAAAUAGUACAAUCAACUGAGCCAUACCAUGAUAGGUUCAUGGAGGGACUUAGCACAAGCGUUCAUGAAACAGUACAGUCAUGUAACAGACAUGGUUCCUGACAGAAUCACCCUUCAGAAUAUGAAAAAGAAGCCAAACGAGAGCUUUAGGUAAUAUGCACAAAGGUGGAGGGAGGUGGCUGUUCAAGUUCAGCCACUGCUCUUGGAAAGAGAAAUGUCAAUGCUCUUUAGAAAUAUAUUGAAAGCCCCGUUCAUUACGCAUAUGUUAGGAAGUGCUACAAAAAGCAUUUCUGACAUAGUUAUGAAUGGUGAAAUGAUCGAAAAUGCUAUAAGGAGUGGGAAAAUCAAUGCAGAGGAGAGUAACAAGAGGCCAGUCUCAAGAAGAAGAGAAAAUGAGGUGAACAACACGGGUUACUCUAAAUCAGUUACUAUGAGUCAGCCAAGAAAGUUGGUUGCUAACCAACAAGGUUCAUCAAGACAAGAAGAUGGUACAAGACAAAACACUAAGAGGCCCCAAUUCACGCCAAUUCCGGUGUCGUAUAGGGAGUUAUAUCAAAGAUUUUUUGAUGCACAUGUUGUUUCCCCUUUUCAUGUAAAGCCUCUACAACCUCCGUACCCCGAAUGGUAUGAUGUGAACGCACAAUGUGAAUACCAUGCGGGAAUUACGGGACACUCAAUAGAGAAUUACACUGCCUUCAAGAAGCAAGUUGAAAGACUCAUCAACACGGGUAUUGUCAAGUUUGGUGACUCAUCUAGUGCAGAAAAUCCGCUACCCAAUCAUAUUGAUAAUAGAGGUGAGAUUUUCACAUCGACGCCGUAUGUGCAGACACAACCAAAAGGGUUAUUGUUAGAUAUUCACCUGGAAGGUGCUAUAAAUAAUGGGACUGCAGAGGAAACCCCUAUAGUAUUUAGAGUCUGUUAGGGUAAUGUUCAGAACACACUUGUUGCUUUUAGCCUAGAAGCAAUAAGAACUUCUUUGUGAAAUAGGCUCAUGUCUGAACAUUGUUAUUUUAAUGAAAUACAUUAUUGCAAUCAUCUUUGAGCAAAUGUUCUUUCAUUCUUUACGAUUCUUUCAUUCUUUUGGAUUUUUUUUGCCAAACCAUUUUUUUCAUUCAUUCAUAUUAUUUAUAAAUUCAUACAUUAUUUUGUAUAUUCUUUGGUACCUACUAGGGGUCCCCAGAUAUCAAUGACAUGAGUGACGCUGCUAUAGACUCAGAACUUCCUUUUGAGUGAGACAUGUGUUUAGAGGGAUCUCAUGACUUUGAUGAUGACAUAGAUUGCAGCUUAUCUCCAGAUUUGACGAAGGUGAUAGAAUAAGAGGAUAAGAUAGAUCAUACCUCAUAAGAAAUUAUUAGAAAUUGUAAGCUUGGUGAAGAUUAAAAUUGACAUGACCACAAAGACGAAGUGGGACCUUAUGAAUUACCCUAAGAAUUCAAUGAUGUCUUCACAUGGUCAUACCCAGAUAUGCUCGGGUUAAGCACUGACUUUAUAAUCUGAAUAACAACAUGAUGUCAGAAAUUUGCAGUAGGUUCAGCAUUAAUGUUAUGAACGAUGCAGUGAAAUUUCUUUAUUGGGGAAAUGUCCUUCUCUUUGGCUUAUCAUAGCUUUGCUCAUUGAAGUUGAAUUGCCAUUUCUCUGUAUUUUUAUCCUAAGAGGAAGAUCUGAAGGUUCGUCCUAGAGAAUUUCACAAGGGGGAGCUAGUGUUGAAAAUGAUCAUUCCUAUACAAAAGGGAUUUUAGAGGAAGAUAGAUGCCAAAUUAGGAGGGUCCAUAUGUUGUAAAGAAAGUCUUUUCUAGGAAAACUUUGAUCCUGAGUGAGAUGGAUGGUAAAGAUUGUCCAAGCCCUGUAAACUCAGAUUCAGUUAAGAAGUACUUUUCCUAAAAAAGGGGACCAAGGUGAAAGCCUACAAAGGGCGCCUUGAGUAAAAAAAAAUAGAGAGGCCAAGGUGAAAACCCGCGAAGGGAGGCUUGAGACCAAAAGGAUUUUAGUUGAAAACCCAAAAAGGGCGGCUCAAAUGUUGAUCAAAAUGGCAUUUGAAAUUAUCAGAGCAGCUCAAAUACUGAUCAGAAUGGGGCAUGCAGUGGUCUUGCUAUACCUGAAUCAACAGGAAAGGGGUAGGCAACAUCUUGGGGCAUCGACAAAGCACUGUUGAUUUCCUAAACACAUGUUAAAAUCAGAAUGGUCUUCAGAAAGUUUGCACAGAGAAGUUCAGGCUGCGAUACCUGGGGCACCGAAUCCUUAUACUAUUUUUGUUAUACUUGGAACACUUCAUUCAUUUCCAAGACACGCAUUCUUAAAUUAAUUUCUUUAUUAUCUUUGACAAUUUAUUCAUUUCGAGCUAUGUUCAGAACCAACUCUAUUCUUAUCCAUGAUCUUUUUGCAAGCAUGUUGCAUUAGAAUAAUGAUUAAUGGACUAAUAAAACUUUCACAAAGGAAGUUUUGCAUAUUACUCUAGAAAUUUCUAAAUAAUAUAGGAACCUGAAACAGGACUAUUGUUUAGAACACACCAAGUUUAAAGGUUGGAAAUCUGAUAAGGAGGAGUCUAAAUUAAGACUAUCCUUUUAAAUUUUGUUGUCUAAAACAUUGUUUGAACAAAAUGAUAAGAUGUCAUAUUGGUGACAAAGCUUAGAUGAAAGAAAGUAAUGAUCACCGAAUAAUAAGAAGAAGUUGUUCUUGGAGAAUAAAAUUUUUCAUUUGUGCAUUGGCAUUUGGUAUGACACCCAUAGAAUGGUAAAAGACCAAAGAGCUUCACAUUCUACAUCCUUGAAUUGUGAUAGGAGAGGAUUGAGAAAAUGCCAGAUUUUUCUUGGGUUACAGCGGGAGAAAGAUGGUACAAAUGUUACAUCCUAGUGGAUUGAGCUUUGAAGUUCACAGUGGGGGCAAUCUGGUCAAGUGUUUCUUUGGAGACGUUAGCCAAGCAAAAGGUGCUAUAGCACAUUAGCGAUAAAAUUUUAAUAAACUUUGAGUAAUGAUAACCUAAGUGAUAAGGAGGAAUCAUUCUCGAAAAAUGACAUUCUGUAUUCAUUCAAAUGUCAUUCAUACAUGCCUAGUUAGGAGCAUUUGAUUCAUUCUGUUCAUGACAUCCUAAUCAUUAGGUAUAAUUAGGUUCAUAAAGUGAAUUAUACAGGUCAUGCUCCCUAGAGGACAGAUCAGAGAAAUCAUAAAGCCUUAUCUCCCUGAGCAACGGUGGAGCAGGUUGAAAAGCAGCAGAUCUUGUCUUCCCGUACUGGUGACGAAGUAGAUCGAAGAAAGCAGAUCUUGUCUUCAUGUAUUGGCGUGAAGUAGAUCGAAGAAAGAAGAUCUUGUCUUCCCAUACUGGUGGUGAAGUAGAUCGAAGAAAGCAGAUCUUGUCUUCAUGUAUUAGCGUGAAGCAGAUCGAAGAAAGCAGAUCCUGUCUUCCUAUAUUGGUAGCGAAGUGGAUCGAAGAUAGCAGAUCUUGUCUUCAUGUAUUGACGUGAAAUAGAUCAAAGAAAACAGAUCUUGUCUUCAUGUAUUGGCGUGAAAUAGAUCGAAGAAAGCAGAUCAUGUAUUGGCGUGAAAUAGAUCGAAGAAAGCAGAUCUUGUCUUCAUGUAUUGGCAUGAAGUAGAUCAAAGAUAGCAGAUCUUGUCUUUCCAUACUGGUGGCGAAGUAGAUCGAGGAAAGCAGAUCUUGUCUUCAUGUAUUGGCAUGAAGUAGAUCAAAGAGAGCAGAUCUUGUCUUCCCAUACUGGUGGCGAAGUAGAUCGAAGAUGACAGAUCUUGUCUUCAUGUAUUGGCAUGAAGUAGAUCAAAGGAUAGCAGAUCUUGUCUUCAUGUAUCAGCAGUGAAGUAGAUCGAAAAUACAAGUCUUAUCUCCCUGAAGUAGCAGUGGAGCUGACAGAAGUAACCAAUCCUAUCUCCUUGAAGUUGCAAUGGAGUGGAUUAAACCUGCAGAUCUCAUCUCUCUGAAGUUGCAGUAGAGCAGAUCGCAUCAGAUUUAUUUUUAAGUUGUAGCAGAACAAGUUGAAGCUAUAAGUCUUAUCUCCCUGAAGUUGUAGUGGAGCAGAUUAAAGAUAGCAAUUUUUGUUCUUUUAAAAAGCUACAGUGUACGAACCCUAUCUCCUUGACAUUGCAGUGGGGUAGAUUGAAACACUAGUUCCUAUACUUCAGAAGAUGUAGUAGGAAAGAAUGAGGUUACUUGAAGGAAAAAGAACUGAAUAAGUCGAGGCUCAGUAAGACCGGGCACAAUUGGGCUUUUAGUAUUUGCUCUGUUCCCGUUACAUGACAACGAGCAAAGAGGGGCAGCUAUAGGGCCCAAUUUUUUCCUGGCCCGUUACAGAAAUAAAAAACCAAACAAAAACCAAAAUGUUUCAGUCCAAUUUUGCUAAGCCCAAUAACCCAAUAGCACAACCCAAAUCAAUUUAUUUUAAAACUAACCUAGCUACAAUCACCGAAACCCUAAAAUCCCUUAGCUACUGCCUCCGGCAAGUGUCCAAUCGGCACACGUUUCGAAACCAGCCCUAUUCUCCGCGUCAUGCUCUCCACAACUACCUGCGAAAACGGACUAAAAGAGUCCCAAUAUUGUAAAAUAAAAAUACAAAGUAUUUUCUUAGGCUAUAAAAAGCCUAAGUUGUACACUGAUAAAAAAAAAGAACAGAGAACAAAAUAAAUAUUUUUACAAAAGUGAUUUUUUUUUGUUUUAUUUCGCAGUGACCAUUUUUUAUAUACAUACGUUUUAUUUUCUUUUAUUUUCAUUUAUUUCGUAUAAAAUAACAAAGAAAAAAGAAAAGGAAAACAUACCUUUUGUCGGAGUCGCCGGAUUGUUGCCAUCUCCAUCGCGGUCGGAGCGUCGGCAUGGGCGAACGGCGGCGCUAGGAGCUAGGGCUGAAAACCCUAGCAGAGGGCAUUUGGUUUUUUUUUCCUUUCAUUCUGUUGCAAAUUUUUUUUAGAGAAAAAAAAACUGUUUUAAAUAACAGAGCAAAACGACGCCGUUUUACCCAAGCAUGACCCGCGCGGUGACCCGACCCGGAGGGGAGGAUCCGCGCGUUCUGGCCGAAGGGAAAAUUUGCGCAAUUGGUCCCUCCCUUUUGCAAUGCGCUUCAAUUAAACCUGUUUUGUUUUUUUUAAUUUGGCCGCAUAUUUUAUUUUUGUUUCAAUUUGGUCCCUUAUUGCGCAGCGUUUUGGAGGGUGGGAUUAAUUUCCCUUCUAGUCCCCCAUUGUUGUUCGCGCGUUCAAGUUGGUCCUUUUUUAUUUAUUUUCGAAUCUACCCCAUCUUUUCAUUUUUAAGUUCAAUUUAGCCCAUUUUUUAGCUUUUUUUUUAAAUUCUUUUUUAUGUUUGUCAUUAUACCAUUAUUAUUAUUAUAUUAUUUGCUAUCAUUAUUGUUAUUGUAUUUUCUAUACAUAUAAAUACGCAUAUUUUUUAUAUUUAAUAUAUAAGCAUAUUUUUAAUAUAUAUAUUUAUAAGUACGCAUCUAUUUUAUACAUACAUACAUACUUUUUUUUAUUUUAUUUCCUAACCUUUAUGUACACGUAUAUAUACUUCUAUAUUUUUGUUUCAAAAUUUUUUAUACAUAUGCAUGUUCGUUUUUUUUAUAUAUAUUAUUUUUCAUAUUUUUUUACAAAACGUAUAUAUAUGUGUAUACAUACACAUUUUAAAAUACACACAUGUUUCCCAUAUUUUACAAUUCAAAAUACACAUUUUUUUUAUAUUAUAUAUAUACAUUCUUUAUAUUUUUGAGUUAUUAUAGACAUUUUUAUUAUUCUAUAUAUACUCCGUUAUUUAUGUACAUAUCAUACAUAUAUAUAAAUUUUUUAAUAUAUGUAUACAUAUUUUCAUGUUUUACCAAUACAUAUAUACUUAUACAUUUUUUAUUUCUGUAAAUAUAUACACAUAUACAUACUUUUAUAGUUUUAUUUUAUUUUCACGGUUUUCAAAUACACAUACGUGCAUUUUUUAUUAGUUUUUGAUUGAUAUAUUCCAUUCCAUUUUUUAUAUGUAUCCUUGUAUAUGUGUGUAAAAUAUAUGCGUGCACAUAUUUUCAAAUUUACUUGUAUAUUGUACUUGUAUGUAUAUAUUUUGUAAAUACAUAUUCAUAUAUGUUUUAAAUUAAUGUUUUGUUUCAUAUUGUACGUUAACUUUUAACAUACCUUUUGGGAAAUAUAUUUUGGUUUUGUCAGUAUAUCAAAAUCAUUUUCUCUUGAUUCAAAGUUUUUUGAAUAAAAGCAAUAUUCAAAGUUUGGAAUUUUUGAGGAAAAUUGAGCCCUAACGUAUUGGGUUCUGAUUUUCUUUGUUAAUCUUAAAUAACCAAGGAUAUUCUUUAUUCAAAAUGCAUGAGUAUAAAGAUCAUUUUCGGGAACUUAACUUGUUGUGUCCUAAUGUAUUGGGCGUGACAUAUUAUUUUCUCAAAAUGAAGAUUUUCGCAUAAAAUAAAAGUAAUAUUUAAAGUUCGGGGAUUUUGAGAAAUUGUACCCUAAUGUAUUGGGACUCGAUUUCUUUACAUGACUUGAACAAUUGAUUAUCCUUUUCAGAUUUCAUCAUUUGAGUUGUUUUAAAAAAAAUUUUUUAGCCCUCGACAUUAAGACAUUAAAUAAUCAAUUUUGUACCGAUUUUGGACGUCACAAGGGUGCUACCCUUCCUCGUGCGUAAUUGACUCCCGAACUCGUUUUCUCAAAUUUCGUAAACCAAAAUACGUUUUAAGGUGAACUGAUCACACCUCAAUAAAGGAUCGGUGGCGACUCCAAUUUUGUUUUUUUAAAAAGUCGACAACUAUAUUUUUUAUUUAAAAAUGGUUUCGACAAUAUGAAAUAAAAGAAAAAUAGAGAGUAGGGAGAGAAAUUUACCUAAAAGCUGAGACGUCGUUCGUCUGUCGUAAUCGAAGUCGGACGAGGAAUCGGGGCCUCCAAACGCUGGUUUGUUGAGCGGCGCACGGAGGAAAAGUUGCUUAGGGUUUGUAGAUCUAUUAAAAUGGCUUAAUGCCUUGGUUUUUUUAGGUUUCAUGCGUGCAACGAAAUGGCACCGUUUGAACCCCGUUCUAAUGGCUCCAAAGCGAUGUCGUAUUGAGGCUCGACCCGAUUCGAACUAGGUUCCAGAUCUGCGUGUUUUACCUCAUAGGGGAGAAUUUCGCGAAUAGUCCUCCGCUUUUAUAGAACCUUCAAAUUGAUCCUUUUAUUUCUUUUAAAUUUGGCUGCUCAUUUUGUGCUUCAUUUCAAUUAGGUCCGUGCAAGGAUGCUGCGUUUUGAGGGAAGGGAUAUUUUCCCAUUCAGUCCCCAAGUUAUUCGCGCGUUCCUUUGUGGCCCUUAAUGUUAUUUUAUUUUUAUUUUCUCUUUUAAUUUUGAAUUAAAUGCAGUUUAGCUUGUUUUUGUUUAAUUUAAUGUAUUCAAUUUUUAUUUUAUUUUUAAUAUUCAUCAUUCUUUUUUAAAAAAUAUUUAAUUUUACAUCUAGAUUAUUUUAUGUUUAAAUUUAGUAUAUUUUAAAUUUAUUAACAAUAUUAUUUUAAUAUUAUAACAUAUUAUUAUUCUAAAUGUAACAUUAACAUUAUUUUAAAUUUAUCAUGUACAAUCUUAUGCAUUCUUGUUGUAGUUUCAAUAUAAUUUAUAGAUUUUUUUACAUUUUUAUUUUAUAAUACAUUUUUUAACUUCACUUAUAUAGUUCUUUGCUUUAAGAUUUGUACAUUAAUAUUCUUACAUAAUAUUUUUCUAUACAUAUAUAUAAUUUGUGUUAAAUUAUUUUUUAUUAUAUAUAUAAUAUAUUACCGAUUUCAUAUUAUUACAUAUCUUUUUACAUAUUUUUAUAUAUACAUAAUUUAUUUCUUUUAAAACCCUACUUUAUUAUGUACUUUGUUUAUUUCAACUUUUUAUAAUAUUAUAUAUAUUAUUAUUAAACUUUUCAUUUCAUAUAUAUAUUACUUAUUUAGAUUAAUGUAUGUAUAUUAUUUGGUAUAUUACAUAUAUAUAUAUUGUAGCAACGUAAAAAUUUUAGCUUAGCUUGGUCGCUAAUUGUGGCGAUUUAUUGAAAUUUUUUUUGAAAUUUGACGUUUGAUUUUUGAAAUAAAUAGGGAGUUGCCACCGAUCCUUUUUCCUAGGUGUGAUCGGACACCUAUUAGAUCUUUUAUUAAAACAAAUAAAAGGCUAAGUUUAGGUCUACGUUAAAAUCCAGAAAAAAUUUAGGGUUCGGGAGUCGGUUAUGCACGAGGAAGGUAUUGGCACCCUCGCGACGCCCAAAAUUGGUAUCUUAUUAAACACAUGUUGUCUUGAUUUUCAAAAAUACGAAUUCAAUUUGACAUUUAAGUGUGAUCCGAUUGAAGGAAAUGAGAAGUUGCAAGUUUUUUUGUUUUUUAGAAGGACGUCCCGUUUUUAACACGAGCCGAUUAAUUUCACCCAACAUAGGAUGAAAUCAAUGACUUAAUGUUAAAAUCGGUACAUUGCCUUAUUCUUAAAAUUAAAAUGUAAAAAGUUUUUAAAAUGAUAGUAAAAAAAAAUCCAAGAAUAUUAUUGUCAAAAAAAUGCGAAUAAUGAUGUGAAUAAUAAAAUAUAUAAAAUAUAAAAUAUCAAAAUAUCAAAAUAUUAGAAUAAUAAUAAUUAAUAUUGAAAAAUAAAAAAUAAAAUAGAAAUAAAAAAAAUGUACAUAAUAUAUAUUAGAAAUAAUAAUGAUGUUUAAAAAUCAAUACUAUUAAUAAUACUACAUUAAUAUGUACAUAUAUAAAAAAAAUACGUGAUAAUAUUAAAAAUAUGUACAUAAUAUAGUGUUAAAAAUACAUACAUAAUAUAGUUAAGAUAUAUACAUAAGAUAACAUGUAAAAAAAAUAUAUAAAUAAUAUAAUAUUAAAGAUAUAUACAUAAAAUAGUAUAAAAUAUAUAUACGUAAUAUAGAAUUUAAAAUAUACCUAAUAUAUUAAAAGAAUAUAUAUAAUAUAAUAUUAAGAAAUAUAAUAAUAACAAAAAAGGAGAGAGAGGGAGAGGGUGGAUGAUUUUCGGCCACAAGGUCGGCCAUCGUCCGGUCACUGGACCGCCGCCGGCGCCACCGUACACGGCAGCCGGACCUCAAAAAAAACUUUUUCGGUAAAAAUGGGUAAGCUUCCUCCUUUUAUUUUUUUUCACUUUCGUAUAAAAGAAACAAAAUAAGAUUGAAAGGAAAACAAUAAGUAAACAAAGAACUUAAAAUGAGAAUAGACAAAGAAACCUCUUUUGCUUUGAUCUUUAAUUAAUCUUCAAAAAAACUAGCUUCUCCAAAAACUAGCCUUCACAAUAACUCUUCUCCUUAAUUACUUUAAAAAGAAACCUCUCCAAAAAUCCUUUACAAUAACUUUCUCUCCCAAAAACUUUCCAAAAAAAAAUCCCCCCCCUUUUACAAAAUAUGAUAAGGCUUAUAUAGCUAUUUACAAAAUAUUUUUUUAUUGUUUAUGUCUUCAUUUGUAGGUACAAGUGGUGGUGGAGCAAGUGUGGUUAGUGGAGUAGGUAAUGGAGCAAGUGUGGCUAGUGGAUUUGGUGGUGGAGAAGGUGUGGCUAGUGGAGUUGGUGGUGGAAAAGGAGUGGCUAGUGGAGUUGGUGGUGGAAAAGGUGUGGCUAGUGGAGUUGGUGGUGGAAAAGGUGUGGCUAGUUGAGAAAAGUUUAAGUUGUGGGCUAGGUUUUUUUAUUUUGAUUUGGGCUUAGGGUUUGGGCCAUUGGGGUUUUGAUGUAAAUUGGGCUUUGGGUAGUUAAGAUUUUGGGUUUUGGGUUUAAUUUUGGUGGGUUAGGUAAGGCUAAAUUGGGUUUUGAUGUAAAUGGGCUAAAAUUGGCCUACAACAGCUGCCCCUCUUUGCUUAUUAUCGUGUAACGAGAAUAGAGCAAAGAUAUAAAGAAAGGCCAAUUUUGCCCGGUCUUGCUAAGUAUGGACUUCUUUGGUGCUCUUCUCAUCCAGGUAGUCUCUUUCCAGUCCAUCGCAUCUUGUAGCUUUGGUUCAAUCCACUGCAAAUUCGGAGAUAUGCCUUAUAGCUUCAAUCUGUUCCAAUGUAAUUCAAUAUGCUCUUCUAUCGCUUCAGUGAGAUAAGGUUUUGGGUCUUCUCUUCUGCCACUUUAGAAAGGCAAGAUCUGAUAUCCUCGAUCAACUCCACUGCAACUUCAGGGAGACAAAAUCUGGUGUCUUCAAUCAGGUCUAAUAUUGAUUCUUUACUCGGCAUGUGAUCCUGAGCUCAACUCAUUUCUCGCAAUAUGAAUUGACUCUGUAAAACUAGACAUUAAAAACAGAAAUUGAAAAUAGCUCAGCACGUGAGCCAAGGCUCAACUCACCUCUCGCAAAAGUAGAUUUUGAAAAUACCUCGACAUGUAAACCCAAGGCUCAACUCACAUCUCGCAAUAUGAGUUGAUUUUUGAAAAGCAGAAAUUGAAAACGCCUCAGCGUGUGACCCGAGGCUCAACUCACCUAUCGCAAUAUGAGUUGAUUUUUUUGAAAAGCAGAAAUUGAAAAUAGCUCAGCACGUGAGCAAAGGCUCAACUCACCUCUCACAAUAUGAGUUGAUUCUUUUGAAAAGCAGAAAUUGAAAAUAGCUCAGCACGUGAGCAAAGGCUCAACUCACUUCUCGCAAAAGUAGAUUUUGAAAAUACCUCGACAUGUGAACCCAAGGCUCAACUCACAUCUCGCAAUAUGAGUUGAUUUUUGAAAAAUAUAAAUUGAAAAAAAUAGAAAUUGAAAAGCAGAAAUUAAAAAGACCUCAGCAUGUGAGCCGAGACUCAACUCACCUCUCGCAAUAUGAGUUAAUUUUUGACAAACAGAAAUUGAAAUUACCUCAGCGUGUCCUGAGGCUCAACUCACCUCUAGCAAUAUGAGUUGAUUUUGAAAAACAAAAAUUAAAAGUACCUCAACGUGUCUUGAGGCUCAACUCAUCUCUCGCAAUAUGAGUUGACUUUCCUUGAAAAGCAUGAAUUAAAAACAUCAAAAUACCCAAAACCUAUCCUUUGGUAGAACUCGGGUGUCUUUUCCUUUGAUUCAGUGCGACUCUCAUUCAAGAUUUCUUGCUCUACUGGAGUACCUGUAUAUGCUAUGUAUGAUGUUAUCAUGAUAUGCACAUGUUUGUCUUAAAUGCUUUUAUGCCUACAUGAUUAUGCAGUGCUCCUUAAGCAUGUUUGUCGUAUGUCCAUUUAGCCACGAUUGUUGAGGGUCUGUGUUCAUUGCUUUGAUUCUCGACUUUCUCCUCAGGCCUUAUACCUACCUUCAAGCUUCACGAGUAAUCGACGUUCCUCAGAUAUCACUCUUCUGCCCCCGAUUGAACUUUGUUCUUACUUUGAGACUCUUGUGCUUAUCAAAUUUUCAUCCAGGUAAUGCUUAACAUUUCUCUUGUUUAGAGUAUGUCAUUUCUCCAUUUAUCAUGUAAAUAAACACAUAAUGAGAUGCAUGAAAAAGGUCAGGUAGGGAAAAAUGAUAUUUCAUAUUCAUCUAUUUCAAAUGUGGCAAACAAAGCAAGUUAACCAAUUAGAGUAAAAAAUGUCAAAAAGAAAGAAAGGAUCGUAUUCAACGGAUGCAAAUACUUUAGAUAUUCGACACAUGAACUCUUCCACGUUCCUCAAUCAAGAAUCUUUUCGAGUCUGGCUCUUUGCGUAGAAGAUUUCGAGCUUUCAGAAAUGCUUCAAAUACUGUAGUCUCACUGUUUGACCCGCUGUUAAAACGCCACGCUCUUUAAGCCAGGUUUACCUCAUUAGGACGCCCUCUCGGGUUUUCAUCCUAAUCUUUUGUGCUAAUCAAGACGCCCUUUGCGGGUUUUCGCCUUGAUCCCUCUUUUUUUUUGGAUGCCCUUUUCAGGUUUUCAUCUCAAGCAUAAUAUUUCUUCACAGCAUCUGAGUUCACUGGAUUCGGUAACUUCUUUCCAUCCAUCUUGGUAAGGAUCAAAGCUCCUCCUGAAAAUGCCUUCUUUACGACGUAUGGUCCUUCCCAAUUUGGUGCCCAUUUUCCUCGCAGGUCCUUUUGUAUUGGGAGAAUCUUCCUCAGUACGAGUUCUCCUUCGUGGAAUUCUCUUGGCCAUACUUUCUUGUCAUGGGCCGCGAUCAUUCUCUUCUGGUACAUCUGCCCGUGACAAAUUGCUCUUAGACGUUUUUCUUCGAUGAGGUUCAACUGAUCAUAUCGAUCUCAAACCCAUUCUGCUUCUUCUAACUUUAAUUCCAUUAAGACUCGCAGGGAGGGGAUCUCAACCUCAAUAGGUAGCACAGCUUCCAUUCCGUAAGCCAGAGAGAAAGGAGUUGCUCCCGUAGAUGUUCGCACAGAUGUGCGAUAUGCAAACAAAGCAACUGGAAGCUUCUCGUGCCAAUCUUUAUAUGUUUCAGUCAUUUUCCCAAUGAUCUUCUUAAUAUUUUUAUUGGCUGCUUCAACAGCCCCGUUCAUCUUUGGGCGAUAGGGCGAGGAGUUAUGAUGCUUUAUUUGGAACUGCUCGCACACUUCUUUCAUCAUCUUAUUGUUCAGAUUCGUGGCAUUAUCUGAAAUGAUUCUUUCAGGCAAACCAUACCGGCAAAUGAUUUCCUUUUUCAAAAACCUGCAAACUGCAGUCCUCGUCACAUUGGCAAACGAAGCGGCUUCUAUCCAUUUUGUGAAGUAAUCGAUGACCACAAAAACGAAUCGAUGUCCAUUUGAUGCUUUUGGAGAAAUUGGCCCUAUGACAUCCAUGCCCCACAUAGAAAAAGGCCACGGAGAAGUCAUGACAUGAAGGGGUGAAGGGGCUACAUGAAUUUUAUCGCUGUAGAUUUGACAUUUGUGGCAUUUUCUGGCAAAAUUGAUGCAGUCAUUUUCCAUUGUCAGCCAAUAAUAACCGAGUCUCAUGAUCUUUCUGGCCAUAUUGAAACCAUUGGCAUGCAUUCCGUAAAUUCCCUCAUAGACCUCUUCAAGUAUUUUUCUGGCUUCAACAUCAUCCACACAUCUCAAAAGCAUCUGAUCCUUUCCUCUUUUAUAUAGGAUAUCCCCAUCAAUAACAAAUCCCGCUGCCAUUCUUCUAAUUGUUCUUUUAUCGUUCUCAUUCGCUUGUUCGGGAUACCUUUGAUUCUUGAUAUAUUCUAAGAUAUCAUGGAACCAAGGUCGUCCGUCUACUUCUUUCUCAAUGCUACAACUGUGUGCAGGGACCUCGUAUAUGCUCAUUUUGAGGGGCAUUAUUUCUACUUCUCUACUUGCUUUGAACAAUGAAGCCAAAGUGGCCAGGGUAUCAACCAGUUGGUUCUCUUCUCGUGGGAAGUAAUGAAAAGUUAUUUCUUUGAAUUCCUUGAUCAAUCCAGCUACUAAAUCGCUGUACUUAAUCAAUUUUGAGUCCCUCACUUCCCACUCUCCACGGAUUUGGUAAAUCACUAGGGCUGAGUCCCUGUACACCUCUAAGAUCUUGAUGUUUCGUUCGAUAGCUGCACGAAGCCCCAUGAUACAGGCCUCAUAUUCUGUGAUAUUAUUGGUACAGAAGAAGUUCAGUCUUGCGGUGAACGGAUAAUGAUUCCCGUCUGGUGAUACCAGGAUUGCUCCUAUUCCUUGUCCUAAAGCAUUUGACGCACCAUCAAAGCACAUCUUCCAUGACUUCUCUUUUGAUGACUCGGAUUCUAUUUCUGUGAUGCACAUUAAGUCUUCAUCUGGGAAAUCGAAUCUUAAAGGCUCAUAUUCCUCUGUCGUUCGAGUUGCUAAGAAGUCAGCUAUUGCGCUCCCUUUUAUCGACUUCUGACUUACAUAGGUAAUGUCAUAUUCCGAAAGGAGGAUCUGCCAUCGUGCCAUUCUUCCUGAUAGUACCGGUGAUUCCAUCAUGUAUUUUAUUAGGUCCAGUUUUGAAAUUAGCCAUGUCGUGUGAUACAACAUAUAUUGUCUGAGUCUCCGAGCUACCCAAACCAGAGCGCAACAAUAUUUCUCAAUGGACGAAUAUUUUACCUCAUAUUCAGAGAACUUUUUGCUGGGGUAGUAGAUCACUUUUUCUUUCUUUCCUGACUCGUCGUGUUGCCCUAGUACGCAACCCAUUGAACUUUCAAACACAUUCAAAUACAAUAUCAAUGGUCUUCCAGGAGUUGGCGGUACUAGCACUGGAGGACUGGACAAAUAUUGUUUUAUCUUAUCAAAGGCCACUUGGCAUUCCUCGUUCCAUUCUCCCGGGUUAUGUUUUCGAAGAAGCUGAAAGAUUGGGUCGCAUUGGUUGGUAAGUUGAGCGAUAAAUCGGGCGAUGUAGUUUAAUCUCCCUAAAAAUCCUCUAACUUCCUUUUGCGUGCGCGCAUGUGGUAAUUCUUGGAUGGCUUUUAUUUUAUCUGGAUCAACUUCGAUACCUCUUUCACUGACAAUGAAGCCUAGCAACUUUCCCGAGGUAGCCCCAAAUGUACAUUUGGCUGGAUUAAGCUUUAGCUAAAACUUUCUCAGCCUUUCGAACAACUUCUUGAGGUUCACUACAUGCUCUUCUUCCCCUCGCAAUUUAGCAAUCAUGUCGUCGACGUAGACCUCUAUUUCUUUAUGCAUCAUGUCAUGGAAUAACGUUACCAUAGCCCUCUGAUAUAUUGCCCCAGCAUUCUUUAACCCGAAUGGCAUCACCUUGUAGCAGAACGUUCCCCACAUCGUUAUGAAGGUAGUUUUCUCCAUAUCCUCAAGGGCCAUCUUGAUCUAAUUAUACCCCGAGAAUCCAUCUAUGAAAGAAAACAAUGAAUGUUUUGCUGUGUUGUCCACAAACGUGUCAAUAUGUGGCAAGGGAAAAUUAUCUUUUGGGCUUGCUCGAUUCAGGUCACGGUAAUCCACGGACAUUCGUACUUUGCCAUAUUUCUUUGGUACUGGGACUAUGUUAGCCACCCAUUCUAGAUAUUUGGAGGCUUGUAGGAAGCCAGCAUCAAAUUGCUUCUUGAUUUCUUCUUUUAUUUUCAACAGCAUUUUGGGUCUCAUCCGUCUUAAUUUUUGCUGGAUGGGCUUGCAUUCUGGCUUUAAUGGGAGCUUAUGGACCACUAAAUCUUCAUCUAGCCCUGGCAUGUCCUGGUAUGACCAUGCGAAAACAUCUUUGUAUUCGCGGAGUAAAAUGAUCAAACUAUGUCUAGUACUCUCUGAAAUAGAAGUCCCAAUCUUCACUUCUUGUUUCCUCUCUUCAAUGCCCAAAUUUAUUAUUUCCACAGAUUCUUCAUGAGGCAAAAUCUGUUUAUCCUCUUGUUCCACCAUUCUUAACAAUUCAGGAGACGAGACAUAAUCUUCAGCAUUUUCUUCGGCUUCAAAUUCUCCUAAGCAAACAGCCUUCUCAAAAUCAAUUUCAAGAUUCGUAACGGGCUUAUUCAUAUCGUCAAUAUCUGAGCACCUGAAAGUUGAAUGGAAAAGGAAGCUAUAGAGGGGCAUCCAAGUAUUGGAAUCAACAAAGAAAUGUCAUGUCAUGGCAAUGAGGCAAAUGUGAGUAUAGGCUAUGAAAUGAGAAAAUGAUUAUGAAAUUAGUGAUAAUGCGAAAAAUCGUGACAAAAUGCAUCUUCAUUGAUAUUCACUUAAAUGAUAAAGAGCGAAUGCAAGCUCCUACAAAAGAAUUCUAUUAUAUCUAAGGACACAAUAGAAUGUUAAUGUUUGAGCAUUACUCUGAAGACUUAUAAACUACAAGAAGGUCCUCGGCAGUCCAAUUGUUCAACAUGAAACCAGGGGGACAAAGGCGUAUCCUUGAGACAUCUUUACUUGUGUCAGCUCCUUUGUCAAUGACAUUUAUACUGAUGUUCUGAAAACCCUUUUCGAUCAUUAACAUUGUGCCUUGUGCAUUGUCCUGCCUCGGGUAUAUCAUUCCCACAGACGUAAAUGUUCUUGACAAAGGAGGGAAUUCCAUAGGCUCCCAUUCUGGUUCUCGGCCUAAGGUUCUCGCAAUCCUUCUUUCUUGAUCUUUCUUCCACUGUCUUCUUCUUUGACGCAUGUCUGGCUGGAACCCCAAACCGUAUCGGGCCUUAUGAUGCACUGGUUUUAGAGCCCUGACUAUUCCUUGUAGAUAUCUCCCUAAACCUCUUCUCACUCGAGCUCCCCUUCCUACAGUCAACUUGACACCCAUUCUAGUAUUUCUCGACAAUUUAGGCACGGGAAUUUUGUUUCCCUCAGUGAAGAAUGUGGCAUUGACGAAUUCAAGGGAUCGGAAGGAGCAUUCCACUACGUCCUUGCUCACUUCAAGGUAUGGCGCAUCAGCAGAGAUAGAUGCGACAAUGUCUUCUUCUCCCUCGACAGUGACCAAACAGCCAUCCAUGAUAAAUUUCACCUUUUGAUGGAGGGAUGAUGGGACCGCUCUAGCAGAAUGGAUCCAGGGUCUUCCCAAAAGGCAGUUAUAUGAGGAUGUAAUGUCCAUGACUUGGAACUCGACAUCAUAUAUGUAGGGACCCACUUCCAGAGGGAUCUCAAUUUUUUCCAUGACUUCAUGCCUUGUCCUGUCGAAUGCCCUUACCGUAGAAUGACAGGGCCUUAAAUGGGACAGAUCCAUCGAAAUUCUGGAAAGUGUGGCCAAAGGCAUAACGUUGAGUGCCGAACCAUUAUCGAUGAGCACGUUCGGUAUUAUGUAGCCCUUGCAACGGGUUGUGAUAUGCAAUGCUUUCACUGAGCCUCUACCAUUGGGCGGUAUUUCAUCAUCACUAAAAGAAAUGAAAUUAUCCGCAUUCAAGUUGUUCAUCCACCUAUCCAGUUUUUCAAUGGAUACAUUGUUUGCCACAUAAGCUUGAUUUAACACUUUCAGCAGAGCGUUUCGGUGUGGUUCUGAAUUCAACAGCAGAGAUAAUACCGAGAUUCGCGCUGGCUGCUUACUCAAUUGUUCUACCACGUUGUACUCACUGUGUUUGAUAAAUUUUAAGAAUUCCUGUGCUUCCUCCUCGUCCACAGGAUUUUUAGCUUCUUGUUCAGGCGCAGUUUCAUGCUCAUCAUCGGUCACAUGCAUCGGUGCUUUUCCUUUCCGUUUCAAGUCACUGUUCUUCUUUAUCUCCUUCGAAUAACAUCUUCCACUAUGAGUGAAAUGACCUAAUUCCCCGAUUCUUCCAGUCAUGGCUUUGGGUUUUUCAUCUUCAGGUGUGACGAUAUUAAUGUCAUAUUUCCAUGGUACUGCUUUAUUGUCCUUGUAAGGGAAAGAAGAUGGUACUUCAAUUAUCAUUUUUGGUUUCACCGGCUCUUUCAUCGCAUCGUAAUAAAUUACUAACGGUUGAUCAGCGCUAUAAGGGGGACCUGAUGACUGGCUAUCAGAGGCGCAUACUUCUCUUUCAUUGGUCUCUUCCCUUUUGUUAAGGAUCUUAAUCUCCUUAUUAUCCAUCCGGUCUUGAAGCAACCUUUUAAAUUCCUCACACGACUGAAUGUCGUGUCCCACAAUUCCAUGGAAAUUGCAAAAACUUUGACCUUCUUCUCCGAGAAUUCUAUCGGGGUGACAAAGCAAUCAUUUCUUAACCAGUACCUCCCAGAUUUUCUGCAAAGGCGUCCUUAUUUCCAAAACACAUCUUCUGACUUUCCAUUCGUCCACUUUCCCCACUAUACUCACAUCCCUUUCGAUAUGGUUAGGGAAUGGGUUCCCAGUUGCAUUACUGGCACUAUCGAAUCGUAGGAUACCUGCAUCAAUGAGUCCUUGAACUCUUCUCUUAAAGGCUAGGCAGUUUUUCGUGGAAUGUCCCUGGUUUCCCGUAUGGUAUGCACAACUAGCGAAUUGUAUGUUUUAACCUCAGCGAACGAGUAUGGAAUAUGCAAUGAAUGAAUGAAUGCAUGAAUGUCAAAUGACUGUUAGUCAUGAAAGAAAUGCAAGAAAUUGGUGUUAAUUUCAAGAUAGCCCCUAUUUAGGCAUUUCCUUAAUCAAAAGAGUCUAUUACACAACGUUUCGGUCACUCGUGUAAUUGACUCCUCUAUCAGAAACCCCUUUUUGGCAACCAAUCUCUAAUCAACCCUUUCCUAACAAGAUGUAUAUGAUGCAUGAUGAAAAAUAGAAAUACAGACAAACAACAUUGGUUAGCAAAACACAUAUGAUCAGAGAAAAAUUGUGGAAAAUCUAACAAAUUAAGCUACUUGGUCCAAUGGACUCGAUUCCCUUGCAUAGAAAGUGAAAGUGCAAAAGGUAAGAGGCGUUCCUCCCGUGCACUUAUUUUGGUGACUACUAAACGGACGGAGGUUCAGCAUGGCUCUAGUUAGGUGGCUCGUAUGGUUCAUUAUAUGCGGUUUUGGUUCUAGAUAGGUACUCGAAUUGCCCGUACUAUCAUCUACUAAGAUUAACACGGAGCCUCGGUCAUAGCCUAUCACAGGCUCACGAGUUCAAUUCGAGGGGUUACAUUUACUUAUGCCUAUGCGGAGGGACAAGUUAACUCACGAAAGCAUAAAUCAUAUGUAACCCGAAAGUAUUCACUAGCCUGUGCGGAGGGACGAGUUAACUCACGAAGGCGUAGUGUUUACUUUCACUUAAACGGACGGAGCCCGGGUAGAGAGCUCAUGUUAUGCGAAAAUGCAAGUGCACGGUGUGUGGGGAACAACUCAUAAACCUUUACGUUUCACUUAAAGAAACUAAACCAAAAUUAAAACCAUAAAAAUUAAAAACUGAAAAACAACCAAAUAAGCAAGUUAGAAGAAAUAUUUACAGCACGAUACAAAUGCAUGAAUUUUGAAAAUGAGAUUUUCGGAUCACGACCAAAUAUUUACUUUGAACAAGGAAAUUUGAAAAUUUUGACAAAACGUGUUUAAUUCCAGACACGACUCUCAAAAAGGCUUUCCCCAGCGGAGUCGCCAGCUGUAGCGACGUAAAAAUUUUAGCUUAGCUUGGUCGCUAAUUGUGGCGAUUUAUUGAAUUUUUUUUUGAAAUUUGACGUUUGAUUUUUGAAAUAAAUAGGGAGUCGCCACCGAUCCUUUUUCCUAGGUGUGAUCGGACACCUAUUAGAUCUUUUAUUAAAACAAAUAAAAGGCUAAGUUUAGGUCUACGUUAAAAUCCAGAAAAAAUUUAGGGUUCGGGAGUCGGUUACGCACGAGGAAGUUAUUGGCACCCUCGCGACGCCCAAAAUUGGUAUCUUAUUAAACACAUGUUGUCUUGAUUUUCAAAAAUACGAAUUCAAUUUGACAUUUAAGUGUGAUCCGAUUGAAGGAAAUGAGAAGUUGCAAGUUUUUUUGUUUUUUAGAAGGACGUCCCGUUUUUAACACGAGCCGAUUAAUUUCACCCAACAUAGCGAUGAAAUCAAUGACUUAAUGUUAAAAUUGGUACAUUGCCUUAUUCUUAAAAUUAAAAUGUAAAAAGUUUUUAAAAUGAUAGUAAAAAAAAUCCAAGAAUAUUAUUGUCAAAAAAUGCGAAUAAUGAUGUGAAUAAUAAAAUAUAUAAAAUAUAAAAUAUCAAAAUAUCAAAAUAUUAGAAUAAUAAUAAUUAAUAUUGACAAAUAAAAAAUAAAAUAGAAAUAAAAAAAAUGUACAUAAUAUAUAUAUUAGAAAUAAUAAUGAUGUUUAAAAAUCAAUACUAUUAAUAAUACUACAUCAAUAUGUACAUAUAUAAAAAAAAUACGUGAUAAUAUUAAAAAUAUGUACAUAAUAUAGUGUUAAAAAUACAUACAUAAUAUAGUUAAGAUAUAUGCAUAAGAUAACAUGUAAAAUAUAUAUAUAAAUAAUAUAAUAUUAAAGAUAUAUACAUAAAAUAGUAUAAAAUAUAUAUAUACGUAAUAUAGAAUUUAAAAUAUACCUAAUAUAUUAAAAGAAUAUAUAUAAUAUAAUAUUAAGAAAUAUAAUAAUAACAAAAAAGGAGAGAGAGGGAGAGGGUGGAUGAUUUUCGGCCACAAGGUCGGCCAUCGUCCGGUCACCGGACCGCCGCCGGCGCCACCGUACACGGCAGCCGGACCUCAAAAAAAACUUUUUCGGUAAAAAUGGGUAAGCUUCCUCCUUUUAUUUUUUUUUACUUUCGUAUAAAAGAAACAAAAUAAGAUUGAAAGGAAAACAAUAAGUAAACAAAGAACUUAAAAUGAGAAUAGACAAAGAAACCUCUUUUGCUUUGAUCUUUGAUUAAUCUUCAAAAAAACUAGCUUCUCCAAAAACUAGCCUUCACAAUAACUCUUCUCAUUAAUUACUUUAAAAAGAAACCUCUCCAAAAAUCCUUUACAAUAACUUUCUCUCCCAAAAACUCUCAAAAAAAAAAUCCCCCCCUUUUACAAAAUAUGGGAAGGCUUAUAUAGCUAUUUACAAAAUAUUUUUUUAUUGUUUAUGUCUUCAUUUGUAGGUACAAGUGGUGGUAGAGCAAGUGUGGUUAGUGGAGUAGGUAAUGGAGCAAGUGUGGCUAGUGGAUUUGGUGGUGGAGAAGGUGUGGCUAGUGGAGUUGGUGGUGGAAAAGGUGUGGCUAGUGGAGUUGGUGGUGGAAAAGGUGUGGCUAGUUGAGAAAAGUUUAAGUUGUGGGCUAGGUUUUUUUAUUUUGAUUUGGGCUUAGGGUUUGGGCCAUUGGGGUUUUGAUGUAAAUUGGGCUUUGGGUAGUAAGAUUUUGGGUUUUGGGUUUAAUUUUGGUGGGUUAGGUAAGGCUAAAUUGGGUUUUGAUGUAAAUGGGCUAAAAUUGGCCUACAACAUAUAUAUAUAUUUUAUUUACUUUAAAAUUCAUUGUGAUACUAUAAUUUCACAUAGUAAUUCUUUUUAUCUUCCUUUAAAUCUAUUUCAAACUCGUAUAUAUAUUGUUUAUGAUAAAUUUUAUGCAUGUAAUUUAUUUUAUAUUAAUAAUUUUCAAUUUCCUCCCUUGCAUGUUAUUCUUUUUUUUGUUUUCAUUUUUUAAGCUUGUUCGUGUUAAUUUACUUGAUAUUCCUUUUAAUUCUUUAGCUUUUAAUAUUAAUAUUUACCCAACAUAUAAUAUGAGAUUCUUACUAUUGUUAUAUUGUAUUGUUUAUUUAUAUUUAUUGAUUGUUUGACAUUCAUUAGUAUACGCUUUAUUUUAUGAAUCAUCAUCUCGCAUUGUAUAUUAUUAUUCAAUCGUUUUUAUUCGUUCAAAAGAUUACGUUUAAUAUCAUUUAAGUAUCGAAAUUGAUUUAUUCAAAAACUUUCAAGAUAGCGUAAUAUUCGGUAUUUGGGUUCUUUGAUAGAAUUGAGCCCUAACGUAUUGGGUUCCAAUUUUCCUUGUUGAAUCUAAAUAAUCGAGAAUAUUCUUCAAUCAAAAAUACAUAAAUAAAAAGCUCAUUCUCGGGAAUUCAAUACGUUGUGUCCUAACGCAUUGGAUAUGACACGUUGUUUUCUUGAGAUGAUGAUUUUUCUAAAUAAAAAUAAAGGCAAUAUUUGGUAUUUAGGAAUUUUGUGAAAUUGAACCCUAAUUUACUGGGUUUUGAUUUUUCAUUUGACCAAAUAAUCAGAUAUCCUUCUCAAAAUGCAUAGGUUUUAAAAAAAAUCAAAAGAUAAACUUAAUUUUGAAGAUAAAAAAUGUAGCGCCCUAACUUACUGGGUGUGACAUUUUAUUUCUUUAAAAUAAGAGUGUCUUAUUAUUUAAUUCAAUUUAUUCAAAGUUAAAAGGAUCGUAUUUUAAAACCUUUUCAAAUUUUUGACACUAAGACAUUAAACAAUCAAUUCGGUAACAAUUUUGGGCGUUACGAGGGUGCUAACCCUUCCUCGUGUGUAACUGACUCCCGAACCUGUUUUCUCAAAUUUUGCAGACCAAAAUCGUUUUUAAGGUGAGCCGAUCACACCCCAAUAAAUGAUCGGUAGCGACUCUCAUCUUUGUUUUUAAGUCGACUACUAAUUUUUGUUUUUAAAAAGUGGUUUCGACAUGUACAUUCAAUGUAGAGUCACAUACAGCCUGCGACAAAAAUAAUAAUUAUACACCGCUGUGUGGGGUGACCGAAAAUUCAUAUAUAGACUUAUUUCGAACGUUCUAAUUUUCCAUUCCGAAUGUUCUAAUUUUCCACCAAAAACAAAGUCGCUUUGGAAUUAAAAUUUUGGUCCUAAGGCCCGCUGGAUUUUUCACAACCACUAUCAUUAGACUAAAAUUAUCUCUCCACGUAUGAUCGGGUUUAAAAAAAUUUAUUAAAAUUAUUUAUUUAAUUUGUUAUUAUUGUUUAUAAUAGAAUAUAAAGUCUUAAAAUAUAAUGAUAUCAUCAUGGAGAAAAAUAUUUUAAUUUAAAAAUGUAUAAAUUUUAUAUAUUAUCUUUUAAAUAAUUUAAAUUAGGGAUAAAUCUCGAAAUCAUACAUGGAUUUGAUUUAAUGUGUAAUUGUAUACAUGAACUUUAAUUUGAUUUAAUAAUUUACAAGAAUUUGGUCAAAAAUAAAAUUUCAUGUAUAAAAUUCUACAAAAUCAAAGUUCAUAUAUAUAAUUGCACAUUAAACCAUAGUUCAUAUAUAGUUUUGAGAUUUAUCCUUUUAAAUUAUAAUGAUAAUUUUUAUAUAUUAAAAUUAAUAUAUUUAACCUUCCUUUAAAUGAAAGAAGCUACUUGUUGAGUUAUUAUAUUUAUUAUAUGUGAUUUAAUUUUAAAUUUUAUUUAUCAAUCUUCACAUAAUUAUUAGAUGCUUUGAGUAAUUUAAAAGAGAUAGACACGAACUGGAAUGAGGUGAAGGAAUUUAUGGCCAUAAAGAGUAAAGGUAUAUGUAUCAACUAAAAAAUAAAAAAUCAUUUAAAAAUAUAAAACUCUCACGGAAGGACAAUAUCUUUAGUUAUUGAAGGGAUCUGUUGAUUAUCAAAUGAAAGAUAUUUUAAAAACUUCUCUUAAAAAAGUCUGAUAAUCAACAAUGCUGAUAGACCAAUAAUUUGAAGCAGUCAAUGAACUUGUAGAAAGGGUAUAGCAAGAGGGAUGGAAGCUUGACGCCAAAAGUUAAGAGAUAUCUCCAUAAUGGUCACUUGUGUUGAGUGGUCUUGGGUGAUUGAAUUUUCUACAAAUGCCAUUAAAUUUCCCACAAGAAUUUUUCUACAAAUGCUUUUCAAUUUUGAAUCAAGUUGGUUUAUGAUUGGAAUUACUUGCUGUAAUAAGUUAGUUAUUUCAUUUUUUUUAUUUAAUACCAAAAUUAAAUAAAUUUUUAUUAUUAUUCUCAUUAAAAACCCAUUAAAGUUUCAGUUUUUCUAUUUAAUAUUGUAACUUUAAUUCUAUUGAAUGUUUAGGUUACUCUUUGUUUUUCAUUAAUACUUUUGGUUUUUUUUUACUAUAAAAAGCUAUUAUAUAUUAGAUAUUACUUAUUAAGAUAUCAACAUUGUUAGAGCAAAAAAAAAAUCUGUGUGAUGGUACAUAUGUUUUUUUUUUGGUGAAGUAAAAUAACAAGAUAAAAUCCGAACAAUUAACGCGACUCGAAUCCAGGUCACACUUGAGGUGUAAUUAGGUGAGAAAGACAUUUUAUAUAAUAAAAUACAUGUGAAAAAAAAUAUUGUUUCAUUAAUUAUUAAUAAAACAAAAAUAUGAUUCAUUUGCAUUUGGUAAAAUUAAAUUAAACAAUAAAAUGUUUUUUUUUUAAUUCUCGUAGAAGUAUAUUUCAUUGAAUAAUUCAAUUGCUUUUAUUGAAAUUAUCGUGGUAUAUACGAAUGUUGCUUAGAAGUUUUUUUGUAACAAAUAUUUUUCAUUGUCAUAUAUUGCAUAUGAUAUAAAGGCAAUAUUUGAAUGGAGCAUUGGUUAGUUUUUCACGGUGAAUCCUCCACAAUAUUCCUUUGUUUGAAGUUGCGGAAAUAUAUAUGUCUCAUGUUUUUAUAAGAUGCAUGUAUUUAAGUUGCGGAAAUUGAAAAGUCUUGACCUGAGUAGCAAUGGAAUUGUAGGUGUUGUGAAUAACCAAGGUUUGUUGCUUUUCAUCUCUGCAAUGAUUAAUCUCUGAAAUUUAAUUUAAGUUUUUAUAAUUAAUUCGUUUAUUUUACUUUUCUAUAUUAGAACAGUAACUUUCUCUUGCAUGCAGUCUCUUUAUCAUCUGCUUUCAACAACUUAGAAAUCCUUGACUUAUCCCACAAUAACUUCGAUGCCAGUAUCUUAUCAAGUAAGCUUCAUCUCUCAAUUUCUAUCUAUGUCUAGUAACUAAUUGUAAGUUUAUGCAAAAAUAAUAUAAAAAUACCUACAUAAUUAACGGGAGAUUUGAAAUGCAUUUUACUAGUUUUUUUUUUUUAAAUAGUUAAAGUUGAUAUUUAUGUAUAUGGGAUAAACCCAAAUUUACGACCAACAAGAAAGAAUAGAGAAGAUUAGGCAUAUAAAUUUAUGUGGGAAAACUCUUUCAAUCAACAGGAUAAAAAAGGAGACUUCAAUAAUGAGCAAACAAACGAAGAGAAUAAGAUGGAGAUAUUCAAAAACAAACCCUAACCCUAAAAACAAAGUUCUUUGGCUAAAAUACAAAAUUCCCUCAAAGCUCUCUCGAAUUUUUCUCUUAAUCUUCUCUCAAUCUUGAUGUUAUGUGUAGAGCCCAAUUCUUGCCCGGGCCUUAACACAAAAAAUAAACAAAAUAAACCAAAAAAAAAAGUCCGUUACAGCAGUGGCCCAAACCCACAAAAUUAACCCUAGCCCGAAGCCCAGUAGAGAAGCAAACCCUAAUUUCCCUAAGGGCGCGCCACACGCUCUGUCAGGCUCCCUCGCGCACGCCACCGCCACCGUCGUCGCUUCCCAUCGCCACCUUCCCAUGCGCGUCAGAACACCUACAAGAAAACUGUAACACCCCUUAACCUCAAACCGUCGCUGAAACUGGGUUACGAGGCACUACCAGACAUAUCAAACAAUUUACAAUUAAUUCCUAGAUAAAUAACUAACAUAUUAAAAUAAAACAUAAAUUCUUAUAAAUUUUAACAGUUGACUUCAUUCAUUUUUUUUUAUAAAUUUCGGCAGCAUUUCUGCUUAUUUUUACAUAAAACCCCUGCAAAUUUCAAGAUUAUAACCUGACCAAUUCCAAUGUUUCAACCAACAUUUAUAUCCUCAAGCAUAAUUAAAAUCAUACUUAACAUUUUAACUACUAUCAUAUAGAUUGCAUAAAAAGAUUAAUCAAAUAACAUAUAUUACAUCUAGACUAAAUACUUUGUAACAUAAUACAUCAAAAUUAAGUCUUCCAUACAUGCCAUAAUUUUCGAGUGAUGAUUACAAAAUACCAAAAGUUGUGGAUAGUGUAGAUGAGUUCCCGACGAUUUCCCGAAUUCCAAGCUGAACUGGUAACACUAUAAAACUGGGAAAAACAAAGAGAAAUAAGCAUAUAGCUUAGUAAGUAGACAUAUGACAAAUAAACAAAUUUUUAACAUGAUUCCAUAGAAACAUAAUUUUAUUCACACAUAAAUUUCCUUGCUUGUUCAAUUUCCAGCAAGCUGUUUUUCUGUGUCACGGUCACUAAUUUAUUUUUAUCUGGAGCUGCUGGGCUCCAAAUUAAGUUCCGUAAAUUUUCCUUGAAACUAUACUUACAUACCUUUCUAUCAUAAAAUUUUUAGAAUUUUCGGUUUAGCCAAUUAGUACAUUUUAUUCUUUAAACUUUCCCUGUUUCACUGCUCAAUAGCUCUGACCUCUCUUUACUUAAAUUUACUUAACUCUUUGUACAGAAUUCAAACAAUGUUCUUGUUUGUUUCUCUUGAAAAUAGACUCAUUGAUAAAUUCAAGCAUGUAAAUUACAAGCCAUAAUUAUUUUUGUACAAUUUUUUGUAAUUUUCCAAAUUUGGAACAGGGGAUUUCGAAAUCAAUUCAACCCUGUCUCACUAAAAUUCAAAUAUUUCAAAAUAUAUAAAAUCUUUUGCUUGCUCUGUUUCUUUCAUGUGAAAAUAGAAUCAUUUAGCUUCAAUUUCAUAUAUUAUUCAUUCUCUAAUUAAACUUCCACCAUUUAUGGUGAAUUUUCAAAGUCGCUCAACUGCUGUUGUUCAAAACUGUUUUAUUUCAAAAUUUACUCUUUUGUAGUUUUGAUAUCUCAUACCAUCUUAUACAUGGGUCGAUUAAGUAUCAAACUCACUAUUCCUCACAUUAUCUUGUCCAUUUCAUAUAUACAUUCACUUUUCCAAUUUCCCUGUUGAACACUCGGAAUAUUAUCCGUUACUCGGUGGAUUAAGCACUUAGCAACCACCUUAAAUUCAGUGAUACGUGGAAUCAGCACAUAGCAACCCCUUUCACAGUCAAGGAUACGGUGGAAUCAGCACUUAGCAACCACCUCUAUAUUCAGUGAUACGGGGAAUCAGCAUAUAGUAACCCCUUUCACAAUCAAAGAUACGGUGGAAUCAGCACUUAGCAACCACCUCUAUAUUCAGUGAUACGGGGAAUCAGCACAUAGCAACCCCUUUCACAAUCAAAGAUACGGUAGAAUCAGCACUUAGCAACCACCUUUGAAGUCAAUAAUUCAGGGAAUCAACACUUAGCAACCCCUUGGGAAAUCUGCACUUAGCGACCCCUUUUUAUUCAAUGUUUUCCGAUCUAUUCCGAGUGUUCAAUCGGAAACCUUGUUUUUCAACACUUUAUCACCUUUCUCAAACUUAACCACAUUUUUCUGAUCUACAUCAAAUAUUUAUUCUAUAUUCAAUCAAAUCUCAACAAUAUAUUGAAUAACAUUAAAAUAACGCAUUAAUUCACAUGCAUACUUACCUUGGUGUAAAAUAUUGUAAUUUUGCAAUUUACUUCACGAUCUUUUCUUUUCCCUGAUUGAGGUUGUCUUUUCGUCUUUCUUGAUCUAUAAUAGAAAUUUUAGUUUAUUUAAUAUUCACAUUUAUUACAACAGUCCUCGACUCAACUUUUUGCAAAAUUAUGAUUUUGUCCCUAAACUUAUCAUAUUUACAUUUUUCCCAAAGCUCGAAAAUUAAAUUUCACUCCUUAUUCUUAUGUUUUACAACAUGCUGAACACUUUUUCCUUCUAUGGAAACAUCAAAUUCUCACUCUAACACGUACUUAUGAACAUUAAAUAUUUUUACCGAUUAUGACAAUUUACCCGUUUUCACUUAAAAUCGCUUAGCAAAAGUUGUUUAACAUAAUUUCUAGCUUCAUAUUCUACCAUAAAACAGAAAAAUAAACACAUUUCACCUAUGGGUAUUUUUCCAAAUAUAAACCCUAGGUUAAAAUAACAGUAGAAAUAGGUAAACCGAGCUACGAGAAUCUUAAAAAUGCGAAGAACAUUAAAAACGGGCUAGGAUGCACUUACUAUGAGCUUGAGAAAGUGAAGAAACCCUAGCUAUGGCUUCCUUCAAAUUUCGGCAGCAACUAAUGAGGAUGAACACCAUUUUUUCAUCUUUUUCCCAUUUUAAUUCUAUUUAUUUACUAAAUGACUAAAAUGCCCUUACUUAAAAAAAUCUAUUUCACCCAUUUCUUAUGUCUAUUUUUUUCCAUCAAUUAGCUAAUGGUCUAAUUACCACAUAAGGACCCCCAAUUUAUAAUUUCAUAACCAAUUAACACCUUUAACACAUAAAAUUCAACUUUUGUAUUAUUUACAAUUUAGUCCUUUUGACCAAACUGAGUGCCCAAACGUCAAAAUUUUUGAAUGAAAUUUUUACGAAAUCUUUCCGUGAAAUUGUAGACCAUAAAAAUAUAAUAACAAUAAUACUUUCCCUCGUCGAAUUUGUGGUCCCGAAACCACUGUUCCAACUAGGCCCAAAAUCGGGCUGUUACAAAAACAACAAAACAGAAACGACAAACGUACAAUCCAAAGCACAAAAAGACAAAAGAAGAGAGAUGUAGUUUUUUUCCGGUUAUAAAAGGCCGAAUGGGGCGAUUGUAUUUCUUCUUCUGUCAUUUUUGUUACAGAUUAGAAAUAAAAAGGAAAACAAAGGUUGCCUUCUGGUUUCUCUGAUUUAUUCAUUUAUUUCUUUUAUUUAUUUUUAAUGAAUCAGUUUUUUUAAAAAAGAAAAAGAACUCUUAAAAAGUAAAAAAUGAAGAGGAAUACCUGGGGUUGCCUGCGAAAUCCAUCGUCGGAGCCAUUUCGUUUGCCGAAAUCGGACGAAAAGGGGGGCAUGGGGGCCUUUCCUUCUCUCGGUCUUAAGGCCCAAAAGGCUAAGCCUUUGGGCGUUUGAAAAAUGGGCCAAAAAUGCGAUCUCCGUGUCGCUCCGACCACCGCUUACGGUAGGGUCACGGCGGCACAAGCGACGGCCCUAUUGGCCGGAUUUGAGGGCUGCGUGGGAGAGAAUGUUUGAGCUUUCUAUUUUUUUUAAAUAAGGGUCAAACUAUUUUUUUUUAUUUUUAACAUUUAUAUUGGGAAUAAAACGACGCCGUUUUGGGUUUAGGCAACAAUGGCCAAAACGACGUCGUUUCACGCUUGACCCGAAUACUCAACCCGUUUAGCAGAGGAUCCGCGCGUUUUCAAGGCCGAAUGGGCUAUUUGCGCUAUGGGUCCCUCCGCUUUGAUGCUUGGCUUCAAUUCGGUUAUUUUGUCCCUUUUUAGCAUUUUUAAUCUGACCCCGUAGAUUUUGUACCAGUUUUGAUUUGGUCUAACGCGAAACGACGCACUUUAAGGGUUAGGGAUUAAUUUCCCAAUUGGCCCCUGCAUCUUUGUGCUUGCUCCAAUCGACUCCAAAUUAUUUUUUUAUAUUUCAAAUCUAACCCACUGAUUUUAUUUAAAUUCCAAUUCAAUCCUUAGUCAAUAAAAAUUCAAAUUUCACCCUUUUUUAAUAAAAAACGAAAAUGGUCAUUAAAUAUUUUAUUUAACAUCCGUUUAAUUAUUUAUUUUUAAUUGCUAACCAAACUUAUAUAUCUUUCAUUUCAUUUAUUAUUCAUUUUUAUGUGUAUUGAUUUGUAUGUAUUAUUUGUGCCUUUAUUUUCACUAUUUAUUUAUUCGUUAUUUUCAAAUAUUUUCAAAAUUUAGAUUCAUUAGUAUUAUGUUUAUUGUGAUUGUAUUAUUGUUAUUGUUACAUUAUUACUUGCAUUAUUAUUAUUCAUGUAUAUUAGCAUUAAGAUUUAUUAGUAUUAAUGUUAUAUGUGUAUUUUAUGAUGUAUAUUAUGUCAUAAUUAUUUCGAAUGUAUGUUGUAUUAUCGUUAUUAGUCGUGCACGACCCUUUUUCUGUUUUAAACAAUUUCUCCUUCAACACAAUCAAAAUUACACGAAUAUUAUCUUUAUAUAUUUUAUUAGUUCUUACUCAAAUUCAAAAAAAGGAAAAUUUUUAUAAAUAAGGCAAUAUUUUACGUUUGGAAAUUCGAGAAAACGUACUCUAACGUGCUAGGUUUCGAUUUCUCGUUUGACCAAAUAGCCAAGUAUCCUCUUAAAAUUUCAAAGUAUGGGUUUUGGAAACCAUAAGGUAAUUUUGGUUUCUAGGGUUUAAAGUAUCGUAUCCUAACGUGCUAGAUGUGAUAUUCUUUCGGAACAAGAGAAUCUUAAAUUCCAACCCAUAUUAUUUGAAAUUUUUUUUAGGAUUGUAAUUUUUAAAACUCUUCAAAGUUUUCAAUAUUCGACAUUAAGACACUAAUUAAUCAAUUAGGUAUCAAUUUUGGGCGUUACGAGGGUGCUAAUCCUUCCUUGUACAUAACCGACUCCCGAACCUGUUUUUCUGAAUUUCGUAGACCAAAAGCAUUGUUUUAAUAAAUCCAAACCAUUUAUUAAAAACAAUCGUUUUAUGAGGUGACCUGAUCACACCUCAUUAAAAAAGAUUGGUGGCGACUCCAAUGUUCGUUUUUACUUUCAAAUACCAAGUCGACCCCCUUUUAUAAAAAAAUGGUUUCGACAUUAUGAAUAUAUUUAUUCUAGGGUUACUAGUGCCCUUUUUAUAGGCUAAGAUUAGAGUUCUAAUAUUACUAAAAUAUCUAUAGAAUAAUCACAGUUUAACUAGGAAAAGUAACCCUCUUGAAAGUCUAAUAACACAGCUACUCUAAGUUAGAAUUUGUCGCGUUAUCACGACGUACCAAGCUCCCCGUUGUGACAUCGCCUCAGCUUUGCUCUUUUUCAAACAUUGUCGUGUCGUUGCGACAUCGCAUGAUUCCUCGUCGCAAUAUCACCCUUACUUUGACUCUGAUCCGACCCGAAAAUGUGAGACACAUUCCACAAUAUCUAAAUAUAUAUUGAAUUUAAAAAUAAUUGUACAAAGGAUAUGUAAUCCUUGAAGAUUAGAUACAAGUAAUUACCAUUUUAUAUUAAAAGUUAGAAAUAUAAAUUAAAUAUUCUAAACUUUUUUUUAUGUGAAUAAGUCAUGUGUUGAUAUAUUUUAUUGCUCUUGAAUAGAAUUGAAGAGUUUGAAAAACUUGAAGACGUUAGAUUUAAGCUUCAAUGGAAUCAGAAGCCUCCGGCACUUUCAAGGUAUAUCUAACUUUGAUAUUUUAUAUACAAUCAACUAAGUCCUAUAAAAAUAUAUUUAUGAACAAGUUAAAAUGAAUGCUUGAAACAAAUAAUUAUUAUUUGAUAUUAUACAAACAAAUUCUCCUUGAAAUUGUAUUACAUAAGUAUUUUACAGAUGAGAAAUUGCAACCCAUGAUGAGUUUGGAAGUGCUUGAUUUGGAUGGUAAUUUCUUGAAGAACAAUGAUUAUCAAGUUUAAAGUCUUUGAUUAUUAGCCAUAACGAAUUGGAAAUUUUCAUAAAAUAAAAAUAACAAGCUAUAUGUAAAUUACAAUUUCAUCAACCUUUUUUAACUGUUAAAAGAAUUAUAUCCAAAUAUAUUCGUUCUUUUGGUAUUUAGCUUUUUAGGUUGUAAACUAAAGUCAUAAUGAUUUUUUGUCCUCCAAUUUUAAAAACAAAAAAUCAUUUUACCUCUCAAUUUAAUUUUUCAUCUCUUCUAGUCAUUAAACUUCAAUUUUUUUUUGUCAAAUCACCCCAAAAUGAAAAGAAAAGUUAAUAUUUGUUAAUUUUGCUAAUGUGACAUAUAUGUGAAUUGUCAUAUAGAUGACAUAUCAACAUUUAAUUAAUUUUUAAAAUUUAAGUAUUUUUUAAAUAUUUUUUAUUUUUUGAAAUUUAUUUAAAAAAUUAAAUAUUGAUGGAUCAUCCACGUGACAAUCCACAUGUAUGCAAUAUCAACAAAAUUAAAAAAAAUUGUUAAAUUUUCUAUUCAUUUUAGGAUGACUUGAUGAACAUAAGUUUAAGAGAUUAAAAAUCAAAAAAUUAAAUGAAAACCUUUUUUAAGUUAAAAAGAGUUAAAUAAAUUAUUAAUAACUAAAAUAAAAUGUUUUUAAUAAUUUUUUUAUGGAGAAAAGUAGUUGAAUUGCAUGAACCAAAAUUACUGAUUUUUUGUGAUAUAACUUUGUUUGACUGACAAAAAGGGUAUUUGAUUUAUUUGAAUAGCAUUCAAUAAUCUCACAAAAUUGAAGAAGUUGGAUAUGAGUCGCAAUUAUGUUGAGAGACUUGGUAAGUGUCCAUAUAUUUUACUUUAUCAAAUUGCUACAUUUAUUAUACUAAUAUCUAAAUGCUUUGUAGAUGAGGAAAGGUAUAAUUUGACGAAUUUAGAAGUGCUUAAUUUGAAUUACAACUCUUUCGGAAAAAGCUCAUUGGCACAGCUUAGUGGGUUUUCCAAUCUAAAGGAAUUGAGUAUGCAACAAAACCAGGUGCAAUUAUUUAAUAUAUUUAAUUUUCCUUUAAACAAAAUUAACUAUUUAUUAAGUUAUAUUUAUUCUCUAUGAUUUACUUUUAAAUUUUAUUUGUCGACUUUUAGAGAUUGAACAAUUUAGAGAAGCUAAACAUUAGAUAUCUAAUGAACUGAUGUCAACCACUAAUUUGACUCUCAAAAAUGGAAGUUUAGAAAAGCAUUUUAGUAGUUCUUUUAAGAAAAAAAUUAUGUCUAAAUAUAUAAUGAGUUUAAAAAUAAUUGUAUUAAAAUCUGUAAUCGUUGAGGAUUAGAUACAAGUAAUUGCGACUUUAAUAUUAAAAGUUGGAAAUAUGUUGUUAUUUUAAAAUUAAAUGUCCUAUAUUAAUUAUUUUUAUAUGAAUAAGCCUUGUGUUGAUAUUUGAUAUAUUUCAUUGCUCUUGAAUAGAAUUGAAGAGUUUGACAAAGUUGAAGACGUUAGAUUUAAGUGGCAAUAGAAUUGAAAGCCUCAAGCACUUUCAAGGUAUACUUAAAUUUGAUUUUCUUUAUACAAUCAACUAAGUCUUUAAGGCGUUGACCUUAUAUAUUUAUAAACAAGUCAAAGAUGCAACUUUGAGAUAAAUAAUUAUUCAUUGAUAUUAUACAAAUAAUUUUUUUCUCGAAAUUGUAUCACAUAAAUCUUUUACAUUUAUUAAAAGAGAGAACCGAAACAAACUACUUGUUCAGUUAUUAUAUUUAUUUUAUGUGAUUUAAUUAUAAAUUUUAUUUUUCGAUAUUCACAUAAUUAUCAUAUGCUUUGAGUAAAUUAGAGUCAUUGAGAAAAAUAUUUUAAAUUUAAAAAAAAUGUAUAAAAUUUAUAUUUUAUCUCUUAAAUAAUUUAAAUAAUAAUAAUUUUUAUAGAUUAAAAUUAAUAUACUAUCUCUUUUGAAAUAAUAUAAAAAUUAUAUUAAUAUAUAAAAAAUAAAUUAUAAAUUGAAAACUUAUCUCUUAAAUAUAUAAAGUAAAAUAUAUGUACCAAAAUAAUAGGAUUUCAAUUUUAAUUUUUUUUCUAUGUGUUAUCAAUUCUUUAAAACAUUUGACUAUUAAGUUCAAAAAAUUUUAUUUUAAUUAAUACUUGUGCAUUUCACGGAAAAAAAACUAGUUAAUAUAUAUAACCAGCUUUGUAGAUGUGGAAUUACUUAUUUUACAUUCUAUAAAUAUAGCAGCACCUAUAUAAAGUAUACAGUACGCCUUUUAUUAAAUUAGUUCUUUAUAAUAAUUUGUUGUCUUAAAUUUUAGCCUAAUAAAUUCUAUUUCUAAGUGAAAUAAAAUUAAUAAAUUUUAAUUAAGAUAUUAUUUCAAUAAAAUAUUUAAAUUUCAUAUAAAAUAUAUUAAUUAUAUUUUAUUAAAUAAAAAUAGUUUUUAAUAAAUGAAGUUACAUUAGUAAAUUUUAUUAAAGAUACAAUUUAAAUCUCAUUAAUUAAUUUUUAUUAAUAUAUUUUAGUUUUUUUAAUUUAAAAAUUAAAAUAUGAUCUAAAUAUUAAAUGUUGUUAUAAGUGUAUAAUAAUUACUUAUCUAUAACAUCCAAUAGUGGCAAUAUAAAAGUUGAAUAUAAGUGAAUUUUUGUGACUAACAAAAAAUGUAUUGAAUUUAUUUGGAUAGUAUUGAAUAAUUUGACAAAGCUAAAGCAGUUGGAUUUGAGUGGCAAUAAAAUUGAGAGCCUCCAAUCUUCUCAUGGUAUGUGUUGAGAUGUUUUACUUUAUCAUAUUCUUACAUAUACAUACCACUAUCUUAUUUAAUAUUCCAUUAGUAAUAAAUUUGUUUAUCUCAAUGCUUUGUAGAUGGUGAGAGGCCACUUAAUUUAACCAAUUUAGAAGAGCUUAAUUUGGAUUUCAACUCCUUCACAAACAGCUUAUUGGCACAACUUAGUGGGUUUUCCAAUCUAAAGUCACUGAAUAUAAGGAAUAACCAGCUUAAAGGAUCAAUAAAUAUUAAAGGUGGAAUUACUUAAUAUAUUUAAUCUUCCUUUAAAUGAAAUAAACUACUUGUUGAGUUAUUGCAUUUAUUCUAUGUGAUUUAAUUUUAAAUUUUGUUUGUCAAUUUUUACAGAAUUAUUAGAUGCUUUAAGCAACUUAGAGGAGCUAGACAUGAGCGAGAAUGAGGUGAAGGAAAUUGUGCCCAUAAAGAAUAAAGGUUUAUGUAUCAACUAAAGGAAAUCUUACUAAUUGUUUUCCAUUAGAUAUCUAGUGAACUGAUGCCAACCACUAAUUUGACUCUUAGACAAUGGAAGUUUGAGAAAGCUAAAGGUUGCUUCAUUAAACCGUGUGUUCACCGAUGGAACUGCUUCUCUAAUACAGCUUCUAGAGACAUUCUCAUCUGUUAAUACAUUAUAUUUGAGUGGCAAUUACUUCAAAGACACAUUUUCUACUCAAGUUAUAAUAUAUAUGUAUGUGAAUAUAUAGUUUUAUAGUUUGGUCCCAUUUAAAAAUAUUAUUUACUUAACGUAAAUCAUCUAAAUAACGCUUAUAAAUUUGUAAAGAUCAACUGCAUGUAUCGAGCAAAAUAGAGGAAUUGGUGCUGGAUUAUUCAUCUCUCAGCAACAACAUUCUUCAAAGCUUUGGUGGACUGGCUUCUCUCAAAGCCUUGUAUUUAGGUUCCUGUGGGUUGUCUGGGACAUUACAUACCCAAGGUAUAUUAAUAAUUAUGACAUAAUUAUUUAGGCAGUCUCUUGAUUAAUUAUUUUUUUAUCCUCUUAGAAAAUUGGAGUAACUUGCACAAAUUUAUUUUAUAGGAUGGUGUGAUUUACGGAAGCUUGAGACGUUGGAUCUUAGUGAAAAUUCUCUUGGGGGAGCACUCCCUUCAUGUUUGGAAAACUUGUCAUCUCUUCGUUAUUUGGAUAUUUCCGGUAAUCAAUUCAUCGGAAAAGGUGCCUCCACCGCUCUAGCCAAUCUCACAUCGCUUAGAUUCAUGUUUCUUUCACGAAAUCUAUUCGAAGUUCCAUCAAUUUUCAUGUCAUUUGCCAACCACUUACACCUCAAAGUCCUCUUUAGCGAUCAAAACAAGUUAGUCAGAGAGCCUACCAUUCAAACAUGGGUCCCAAAGUUCCAACUAAAAGCCUUCCUUUUCUCGAAUUGCACAACAAAGGAACUCCACAUUGAAAUUCCAAAAUUCCUCUACUACCAAAAUGAUCUGAGUAUGGUUGAUCUUUCAUACAAUAAUUUUUUAGGGAAGUUUCCUUUUUGGUUGUUAGAGAACAAUACAAGAAUGGGAGCAUUUUUAAUGAAGGGUAACUCUUUUAUGGGCCAUCUCAAUCUUCCAUCUCAUCCGAAACCAAAAAUGUCCCUUGUUGAUAUAUCUGACAACAAACUAGAAGGUCCAAUUCUAGCAAGCAUUUGUUCAAUCUUUCCACAACUAAAUGGGUUAAACCUAUCAGACAAUUUCUUUCAAGGAAAUAUUCCUCCUUGUUUAGGUAGUUUGAACACUACAUAUUUAAUAUUAGAUCUGUCACAUAAUCAUCUAUCUGGCGGAAUACCAGAAAUGUUAGCUCAAAGUGACUCGUUGGAGCUUCUUAGGUUAUCAAAUAAUGAUCUAAGUGGGAAGAUAGCCCCAACGAUCUUUUGCUCAUCUUCAUUACAAUUUUUAUAUUUAGAUGGCAAUAAGUUUGAUGGAAAUAUACCUGACAUUGAUAUCUCAACUUGUCAUCCGUAUCCUCUUAGUGAUAUGGAUUUAAGUAACAACAAUUUGUCUGGAGAGCUCCCAAGAUGGAUAUGGAAUAUGUCAUCUUUAAAUGCAUUAUUAGUAUCCAACAAUCAGCUCAAGGGUCUUAUUCCGAAGGAAUUGUGCCAUUAUUCCCUUCAAAUUUUGGACCUUUCAAAAAACAAUUUUUUUGGCCCAAUACCAUCUUGCUUCAAUGUACACAGUAUCAAACAUCUCCAUUUGAGCAAAAAUAGGUUAAGUGGUACCUUGACAAAUGCAUUCUUUAAUAGCUCUUCCUUGGUGACUUUAGAUCUUAGUGAAAACCAGUUGACUGGUGAAAUUCCAUACUGGAUUGGAAAUCUUUCAACUUUGAGUGUUCUCCUUCUAAAAGCCAAUUAUUUUAUUGGAGAAAUUCCCAUUAAGAUAUGUAAAUUGUAUUCAUUAAGCAUCAUUGAUCUUUCUCAAAACAAGUUUUCUGGUCUGAUACCUUCGUGUUUGAGUCGUUUAACUCUUGAGCCAAAUGAUAAAAAUCUUCGACAAUAACCUAUGGGUUGGAUUUUGAUGGAAUCUUGGAGGGAGCUAAUUAUAUUGGAAUGACCAGAUUGGAUUUGUCCGAUUUUGGAUUCAAUCUACAUUUCUUUAUUGAGAAUCUAGAAGAAAAGGUGGAUUAUACAACAAAGGGAGCAUCUCGCACAUACAAAGGAAACAUUCUUGAGUACAUGUCUGGAAUUGAUUUAUCAUGUAAUAGAUUAACAGGUGAAAUUCCCAGAGAGAUUGGAAAUUUGAGUGAAAUCCGAUCACUAAACUUGUCGCACAACAAUUUGACUGGAUAUAUACCGUCAACGUUCUCAAAGCUCAAGCAAAUUGAGAGUUUGGACCUGUCUCACAACAACUUAAUUGGAAGAAUACCUGUUCAAUUGACGGAGUUGUACGCCUUAGCAAUCUUCAAUGUGUCAUACAACAACUUGUCAGGGAGUAUUCCGUCUCCGAAAUUUCAAUUUGGAACCUUCGACGAAAGCAGUUACGUGGCGAAUCCUUUCCUCUGCGGGUCUCCCCUGCAUAAAAAUUGUAGCAACCUUGAUUCACUCCCGACAGCAGCACCAAAGAGCUCAAACGAGGAAGAAGAAAGUGGUUUGAUGGACAAGUAUGUUUUCUGGGUGACCUUUUUUGUUUCUUACGUAAUUGUGUUACUGGUUAUUGUUCUCAUCCUGUACAUAAAUCCUUAUUGGCGACAAGCAUGGUUCUCUUUUGUUGAACACUGCAUCAAGACCUGCCAGUAUUUUAUUGAGGACAAUCUUCUAUGAUUUUCCAUCUUCAAAAGAAGCGGGUAGCCUUGUGCUUUGGUGGUUUACAUCUGUAUGUAAAUUUUUUCAUGUGUUUCUAUUUUUCAAAGUUUGAUUGGGUUAUCUGCUUUUAAGUUUUUAGAGGUAGAAUACAAUAGCUCUGUGAUGUAAUAAUUGCCAGUUUAGUAUAAGAAAACAAUAUAUAAAACUAUGCAUUUUCAGUUAAAACAUUUAAUAUUGCUUUAUAAAUUUUAGUGUUGUGAUAGUAUAAUGUUAAAUUCAAUAUAUGUUUCCUUUUCCAUGAUUACGUAAAAGCGAAAUAUACAAAUCAUAUUAUAUUAAUAUAAUCCACAUUCUUUAAAUCAUAUGCUCAAUUGAAACUUAUAUAUAUAUAUUAUCAAACAUGAAUGAUAUAAACAGUCUUCGAAAAAAGUAUGAUUUUCAUGUUUAGUUAUUAUUAUUUAAUAUUUAAUUGUUUUACUAUUAUUUGAUAUCAAUAAUAUUUAUAUGUUUGUGAAUGUUGUUUGUUAUUGUCUCGUGAAAUAUUAUGUUAAAGAUAAAAGAAGUACUAAGUAAUAGUUCUUUUUAGGUGAAAUUUUGACUCAAGUUUGAAUGGUGAGUUAUUUUAUCUAAUUACUUACGUUUGGAUAGCAUAAAGUAAUUAAAUGGCACUUUUGUAAUUACAAAGAUUGUACUUGAUAGAUGAAAGAACUAGGUAAAGGAAGAAAAUAACUAUCCAAACAGAAAGAAGCAGAGAGUGAAAUAAUAGAAUAAACUUCUUGUUGUUUAUUCAAAUUUGCCUACCUCUUAAUUCUUAAUGUACAGUAUAUAAAGACUUUCUGAAUUAAGUAACAACCUCACUAACUGACUAACUACUUCUAUUCUCUAAUAUUCAUCCAUAUUCUCUAUAGGCAAGACCCGUAGAAAACUCCAAAAACGAGUAAAACUCGAUGACGAAAUUGGCUUAGUGAGAACAUCAGCGACCUGAUCACACGCUGGAACUUCUCCAACAGCAACCGUGCCAUCAGCAACCUUUUCACGAACAAAAAAUAAAUCUAACUCAACAUGCUUAAACUUUGAAUGAAGAACAGGAUUUGCAGCAACUGCAACCGCCCCAGGACUGUCACACCAAAUUUGAGGAACACUAUUAGACUGAACAUGUAAUUCUUUAAGUAGCAACAAAAGCCACGUAACCUCACUAGUAACUGCAGCAAGACUUCGGUAUUCUGCCUCAGCAGUAGACCGAGCAACAACCUGUUGUUUCUUCGUACACCAUGACACAGGUGUAUGUCCGAAAUAAACACAGUAUCCAGUAGUAGACCUCCGGUCAUCAAAAUCUAAUCCCCAGUUGCAUCAGCAUAUCCAACUAAGGACAAACUAGUGGAUGGACGAAACACAAUUCCAAAAUCAAUCGUACCACCUAAAUACCUCAAAAUGCGCUUCAGGGCAGUCAUAUGAAUGGAAGUAGGACAAUGCAUAAAUUGACAUAUUCGAUUAACAGCAUAGGCAACAUCAGGCCGCGUAAGAGUGACAUACUGUAAUGCUCCUGCAAGACUCCUGUAUUCAGUCGGAUCCUGUAGCCGCUCACCACCAUCGCGAGUCAUAACAGAGGAACUAACCAUCGGUGUAUGAACACUCUUCGUAUUCUCCAUCGAACAACGUAUAAGAAUAUCACGUAUAUACUUCUUCUGACAAAGAUGAAGGCAACCUGACGAAGAACGAUUAACCUCUAUCCCAAGAAAAUAAUGAAGAUCACCCAUGUCCUUAAGCGAGAACUCACUAUUCAGCAAAUUAACAAACCACUCUAUGACAGAAGGCAUAUCUCCAGUAAUAAUAAUAUUAUCAACGUACACAAGCACAUAUAAUGUUGACGCUGGUACAACUCGAACAAACAAGGAAGCAUCAGACUUUGAAACUACAAACCCCACGGAGACUAGAAAUCCUUUUAGCCUUUCAAACCAGGCACGAGGAGCCUGACGAAGACCAUACAACGCUUUCUUCAAGCGACACACCAAAGGUCUGCCAUCUGAGCCAUAUUGAACAUAACCGGGAGGUUGAUGCAUAAAAACUUCAGUGUCAAGGUCACCAUUUAGAAACGCAUUAUUCACAUCCACUUGUCGAAGCGACCACCCCCUAGACACAGCAAUAGACAAAAUAACUCUGAUAGUAGCCGGUUUGACCACUGGACUAAACAUUUCCUUAAAAUCACAACCCGGAACUUGAGAGCAACCUUUUGUAACUAAUCGAGCCUUAUAUCGAGCAAUAGUGCCAUCAGAAUUCUUCUUGAUUCGGAACAACCAUUUGCACCCAAUGACCUUACGAUUAUAUGGAGCAGGAACGAGCUCCCAUGUGGAAUUACGCAUAAGAGCAUUAUACUCAUCUUGCGUAGCAGUGCGCCACUCAACAGUAGCCAGAGCUUCUUCAAUUGUAGUCGGUUCAACAGCUUCAACACUUAAAACCUUAGGCUUGUAAACCCCUGCUUUAGCGUGAGUAACCAUUGGGUGAGUAUUGCCCACAGCUGUCCUAUUAAUCUGACUAGACAGUCCCAUAUUAGACGAAGAGAGAGCAUUGGUAUCACUGGAGAAUCCUGAGCCAUGCUCUGAUGGAAGAUCACUCAACUCAGUUCCAUCAUUAGCUGAAUAAUCAUGAGCUGGAAGACUACCCAACCCAGUCCUAACAUCAGUUGAAGGAUCAUGAAACUGGGGCUGCUCCACACUAACAUCUAAUACAGGAUCAGUAGGCUGAGACGACACCCCUUGUACCGACGGUGUCAUCAUGCAUGGCUCAAGAGUCGAGGAUGAAGGUGGCCACACAAGAGGAACAACUGUCGAACUAGUCUGACCGGUUGUUGAUACAGACUUGUCUGAACUAGUCUCGGUAAACAAAAACCUCUGCUCAUCAAAGACCACAUGCCUUGAAAUUAUAACCUUACCAUCUGGUAAAAGACAUUGAUACCCCUUGUGACGAGGACUGUAGCCCAAAAAAGUUGACGGCUGAGACCGAAAUUCCAACUUACGACCUACAAACGGACGUAAGUAAGGAUAACAACAGCAACCAAACACUCGAAGAUGAUCAUAGGUCGGAUCACUUCCAUACAGUUCUUUAAACGGAGAACUAUCCUGAAGUACAACCGUGGGAAGUCGAUUUAUGAGAUGAACCGCACAACAAAACGCAUACCCCCAGUAUUCCAUAGGCAAAUUUGCAUGAGCCAACAACGUAAUCCCCAUUUCAACAAUGUGACGAUGUUUUCGCUCGGCUACUCCAUUUUGUUCUGAAGUAUACGGACAGGUCAGUCGAUGAAUGAUCCCCUGAGAUUCUAAGACAGACGUAAACCCACGAUAUUCACCUCCCCAAUCGCUCUGAAACUGCUUAAUAGACUUGCCAAACUGUGUCUUAAUCAACUGUUGAAACUGAGUAAAACAUUCAAGUGCUUGAGCUUUUUGACGUAAAAGAUAAACCCAAGUAAACCUGGUACACAUAUCAAUAAACGAAACAUAAUAUCUCUUAUCACCACAUGCAACAGGUGCAGGACCCCAAAGAUCAGACACAACCAAUUCAAAAGGACGAUAGCUAGUAGUCGAAUGGGAGAAAGGCAACUUAUGUGACCUGCCUUUUUGACACGCAGUACAUAUACCAUCCAGACCAAUUUUAUUUGAAACAACAUUACAUUUAUUUAGAAUAUUUUUGACCACAGAAGUCGACGGGUGGCCUAAACGAUUAUGCCAUAAAGUAAAUACAGAAGUAGUUGAAACUGUAUGUGGAACUUGAGAAUGAGCAACAAACGGAGUAGUCGUAGGCAACGUAGAAACCGCUGGGACAGAAAACUGAUAUAGACCAUCAUGAAUGCGGCCCGUCAGCAAUAUCUCCUGAGUCAUCGUAUCCUUAAUAACACAAUAGGUAGGGUGAAACUCAAAAAACACAUCAUUAUCACGAGCAAACUAUGAGACAGAUAAGAGAUUUUUCCGUAUACGUGGCACACAUAAAACAUUUGAUAACCGUAACGAUUUAUCUUGAGUAGGUAAAAUGGCCGUACCAAUUGAUGAAAUUAUCGUAGGAGUACCAUCACCCAUUAAAAGAGAUGACUUACCUGAGUAUGGCGUGACAUUACGUAAAGCUGACAUAUCACGACAGACAUGAUGACUCGCUCCCGAGUCAGGAUACCAAGACGUGGUGCCACUGCACACUGGAAUGUACGAAUCAUCAUUACCAGUACUAGAUGCAAGCUGAGCCGUAUUAACAUGAGAAUCUGAUACUGAAGGAUCAGAAUAAUUAGACGCAUGUAAAUCCCCUAGCCGUGGAAGCCCAAUACAUGGAUUAGAUUCGGUAUAGACCCGAGCACGCGGUUUAGUAAAUUUCAGAACCGGACCACCAACACCUAGUCCAUCACCAAUCGGUUCAGGCGAGCCGGGAUCAUCUUGAUCAAGUUGAACAAAAUUAGAGGAUGGUACAAUAUUCGGCCCAGCAUUAAACUGAACAUUCAGUCCAUGAGAAGAGUGUUGAACAUUCGGUCCAUCAUUAAACUGGACAUUUUGUCCAUGGGAUUUGUUUCCACUAGAACCGCGCCACUGUCCAUUUCCAGUAGUGAACCCGUGUAAAGUGUCUCCACUAUACCCUUGCCCAGCAUCAUGACCGAAUUUAGACAAGCUGGGCUUGUAGGCAUCAUUUUGUGCAUUGGACACAUGUGGCCCACGUGGUAAUGGCCUAUUUUGCAUGCCAGCACACACAUUUUGACUAACAUAUCUAUUUUGACCAGCAUGACUCCCUUGACCAUAAAAAAUUCUUUGACUAUUCUGAUGAGGAGCAACCAUCUGUUCAUCACCAUUUUGCACAAAAGUUCCAGAAUCACAACCUUCAACACCAGACAUUUCAUUUGAGUCUCGGUGAUACCGAUAAUAGCACUUUUGAGCCACAUGACCAAACCGACUACAGAUCUGGCAUUGAACACAAGAUCUGAUAAACCGGCCACGACCACGAACAGACGCACGACCUCCACGACCGGCCCCUUCUACCGAUGGCUCAUUUUCAACAAGAUUCGCGUUCAAACUGACCUCCUGCAACACUCGAUCUUGACGACUCUCACAAUCGACUAGCGCAUCCACCAGACGUUGCAACGGUAGAACUACAGGCGACAAACGAGUAGAGGAGAUAACCGCCUCAAACUCCGACGGCAAACCCGCAAGCACCACUUCGAUCUUUUCUUCAUCGGAGAUACGAGAGCCAGAAGCAUCUAGCAUACCACAUAAAUCUUUAAUCCGAGCAACAUAAGCCUUAAUCGAAAGAUUACCUUUCUUCAACGAGUGAAGUUCAUGCCGAAUCCUCGACUGCUUGGCGCCCGUAUCAACUGCAAAAAGAUUACCGACCAUGCUCCAUAUGUCGCACGCCGUGCAAGCAUCAUCAAAGGAGGAUUGAUGAGAGGAAGUUACAGUAGACAGAAGCCAGGACAUUAGCAGUUGAUCUUGCUGCGUAAAGACUUGAGCCGCCGGAUUUGGAGCACGAGAUCCACCGGGUAGAGCGAUGAAUCGCAACGGCGGAGCAACAGUGCCAUCUAAAAAACCUGCGAGUCCAUAGCCAUUAACAAUCAGCUUUACCUGUUUACGCCAUUGAAGGUAAGUACCUUCAUCGAGUUUGACCACUUCAUGUCGAGGAAAAACUGUUGUGACUCGAUCGGCAGCAAAUACACCGGAGCUAGGUUCACCAGACGCUGAAUCAGCGGAAGCCAUGAGAAGCAAUGACCAGAAUCACUUGGCGAAUGAUACCAUGAAAGAACUAGGUAAAGGAAGAAAAUAACUAUCCAAACAGAAAGAAGCAGAAAGUGAAAUAAUAGAAUAAACUUCUUGUUGUUUAUUCAAAUUUGCCUACCUCUUAAUUCUUAAUGUACAGUAUAUAAAGACUAUCUGAAUUGAGUAACAACCUCACUAACUGACUAACUACUUCUAUUCUCUAAUAAUAGACGUGUUUGAGUGACACAAUUCCCUAUGUCAUGUUUGUUAAUAUAAAUUGUAAUUACAUAGUUACAUUAUAAAAUUUUUGGUGUUAAAUUUCGCAAAAUUCUGAUAAAAUAGUGAGGUUAACUGAGAAGCGAAUUUAUUAUUUUUGGAGCUUGUUAUUAUUUUUGAAAUUUUUAGUUAUUAAUGGGUAAUGAUGUCGACUAAGAAUCGAAUUGGCCCAAGGGACUAAAUUGAAAGAGGAGUGAAAAGGGAAAGUUUUUAAGUACUAAUAAGCCCAAGGGCUUAAUGGCCAAUUGGCCAUAGUCUUUUAAAGCACUAAAAAUCACGUCCUUUCUAGCCCUUAUUUUCAACUUCUCUCUUUGGCCGUCUGUCUACACUUGCACCGUUGAAAUCCCUUCAAAUCCUCGCCACUUUGUGUCUAAAUACCAUCAUCGAUUGCCACCACUGAUAUCAGCUGCAAUUGCUCUAAUUCACUGCGGACAAUUGCCUUAAUUUGUAGAUGCUCAUUAUUCACAUUAAAGUUUAUUUCUCUAAUGGAAUUGAUGCUAUGGUUAGUCUUAUUUUCAAAGAUGAUUAAGUUUCAUUUGAUUAGAAUUAGUUGGAAUAUGUGCGGUUAACUUCUAAUUAAAAUUAUUUAGUUUAAGAUUCAUUAAUAAAUUAUUUUUACCGUGGUUUCUUUGAUUUAUUGCUGUAAUUUUUUGUUUACUUUUAUUUGUUGUCAAAGGGUAAAUUAUCUGAUACUUUUACAAUGAACUUAGAAUUAUUUUUGAUGAAUUCGAAGCGAAAAACUAGAUAAUUCGAUGAAAGUGAAGCUGGUUGUGAAUUAAUUGCUCCUAAGCUACAAACACUAAGAAAUUCAGUUUGUUACCUUUACGUUUUAAAAUAUCUUAAUGUUGUUAAAUUAUUAGCUUUGUUGUGAUUCUUGCAUGUAAAAUUUUACUUGUGUAGUUGUUUAUUAAAUUGUUUUUAAUGAUGGCUCCUAUUGUUAAAUUGAUAUUCUUUAUUAAUUGAUUAUUUUCCGAAAAUUAUUGUUAAAAGUACGAAUUUAAUAAUUGACUAAAUACUUGAUAAAGUUAGUUGGAAAUUCUUCGGAUAUAAUUAGCAUGUUGUAGAGUGUAGAGGUCUCCAUCAUUGUUUGUUGUUCAUUGUGUGGAUUGCCUUAAGCAUAUGGGAGUAUUGUCAUUGUUGCCUCUUUGCGCAUAUAGUGUGAUGGUAGGUCAUUGAUUAAGUUGCAUUUAUUACGCAAUGCAGUACUGUCAUUGUUGACGCUUGUGCCAUUUUCAUUGACCGUUUGGUGUUUGGUUGGACACUCUUUUGUCCGAAUGUCUUUCCUUCUUGUGUUACUUAGGCAAAAUAAUUAAAUGAACUUAAACAUUAAAUUGAAACACUAUCAUUAUUUAUUGAAUGUAUUGCUAAUGUUUCAUUGUUAUUUUAAAUUGCUACCUUGUGACUGACUUGUGAUUGUAUUGUGUCUUUGAAAAUUAUUUUAAUUAUACACUUUGGUAGUUUAAAAUGUAUUGGAUUACUACUAAGCUGUAAAAAGGCAUAGCACUUGGGUUUUUAAUUUCUUGUGCAAGUAAUAUUUGGAUCGCAUAGUUUGUGAUAUCGUGAUCGAGCAACAUCACCAAAGAGUUUAGCAUGUACUUAGGUGUUGUUAAAUUGGUCAACUUGUUUACUUUAGUUUUAUUUUAGAGCUUAUUGAUUGAUUGAGCAUUGUUAAAUUAUUUUAUUAUUUGACUUUACACUAAUGUUUAAAUUUUAUGAUUUUAUGUGAAAAUGAUUGAAUGAUUGAUUAUUUGGGUCGCUCAGGUGACCGUUGUGACACUUUCGAUCCAAUUGAACUUUUGAGUCGGGUUUGAGGUGUUACAAACAUAAUUUAUAUUUUUUAAAAAAUAUUAAUUAGUAUAAAAAUUAUUAGUAUGAUCAAAAAUAAUUUCUAAACAAAUUGUCAAAACCAUUUUUUUGUAAAACGGGGGUCGACUUUUAUUUUGAAAACGAAAACGAACACAGGAGUCGCCACCAAUCCUUUUUGAUGAGGUGUGAUCGGGUCACCUCGAAAAGUUUUUAAUAAACGAUUUGCUUUUAUUAAAAUAACGAUUUUUGGUCCACGAAAUAAAAAAAAAACGGGUUCGGGAGUCGGUUACGUACGAGGAAGGAUUAACACCCUCGUAAUGCCCAUAAUUGGUACCUAGUUGAUUAAUUAGUGUCUUAGUGUCGAAGAUUGAAAACUUUGAAGAGUUUUUAAAAAUACGAUCCUUAAAAAAAUCGAAUAACAUGGGUUGGAAUUUAGGAUUCUCUUGUUCCGAAGGAAUAUCACAUCCAGCACGUUAGGAUACAACACUUUAAACCCUCGAAACCAAGAUUACCUUAUGGUGUCCAAAACCCAUACUUUGAAAUUUUAAGAGGAUAUUUGACUAUUUGGUCGAACGAGAAAUCGAAAUCCAGCACGUUAGGGCACGUUUUCUCGAAUUUCCAAACGCAAAAUAUUGCCUUAUUUUUAAAAUUUUCUUUUUUACAAAUUUGGGUAAAAUUAAUGUAAUAGUUAAUAAGAUGUACUUUUAAUAUAUGCGAACAUGGUGUGAAGGUGAAAAAUUUUUUUUACGCAAUAUAUAGUACAAUAAUAAUGAAAUAACAUAAAAUAACCAUAUUAGUAGAAUAUUUAAAAAGUAAAUAAUAAAUAAUGGAAUACAAUAAUAAUGACGUAAUUAUAAUAAUAACACCAAAUAAUAAUAACAAUAAUCAUAUUAGUUACUAUUCUAAUACUAAAAAAAUAUAAAAAUGAAAUAAACACUAAUAAUGAUGAUGAUAAUAAUAAUAGUGAUAAUGAUAAUGAAAUGUAUAAAUAAAGGAAUAAAUAACAAUAUAAAUACUAAAUCAAGAAUAGUAAGGAAAUGGAUAAAUGAAUAUGUAUAAAUAAAUAAAACUGAACGAAAAAGAAUAAAUAAAUAAAUAAAAGCUUGAAAUUAAGCGAAUAAAGGAAUAAAUUGAGGUUAAAAUAAAAUUUUAAGUCUAGAUUAUAAUAAAAUGGAUGGAUAAACGUAAAAGGGACUGGAUCAAAUUUUGAAUGGAAUUUAAAGGUAUAAAUCGGAAUAAAAAAAUGACGUAAAGGACCACAUUGAAAAGCGCGAAUAACAUAGAGGGGCCAAAUGGGAAAAUAUUCCCGCCCUUCAAAACGCAUCACUUUACACGGGGCUAAAAUGCAAUAAAAGCAAAAUUCUAGGGCAAGAUCAAAAAAAGAACACAAAAAAAUUCAAAUUGAAGCGGGCCGAGGAAGCGGAAAGACUGAACAAGUAAAUAUCCCUUCCACUUAAAAAAACACGCGGAUCCUUAUCCUGGAGCGGGUUGGGUCAACCCAUUUCGCAUCAAAACGACGCCGUUUUGAUAAGUUAUAUAAACCAAAUUUUUACCAAAAGUUUUAUUUUGCCCAUUAUUUUAAAAAAAACUUUAAAAAUCUUUCAAAAUUUCUCUCAAGCCUUCCCGCGUCUGGCCAUAACUCCGACCAGUCGUCACCGUACCGUAACCUUAUCCUUUCGACCCUCCUAAAUCCAAAUCUGGGUUCAAAAUUCCCAAAAUAUUAACAAAAAUACCUCAAAAGCUCAAGAAACCUUUCGAUUUUCGGUCACCUAUCCUCAGAGGUGACUUCCUCAGCCAUCCACGGUGUUGAAAAACUCGAAUACAGGUUAGUUUGUUACUCCCUUUUCAUUUUGUUUUACUUUCGUAUGUGUAAAUAUGAUAAAAAUAAAAUAACAGUAGACCAAAAAUGAAACGAAGAUUUAGAAAAUAGCAGUAGAUGUAAACCUUUCGGGAUUUUUCUAAUUAUUUUGAGUUUUUCGAGUAUUCGAUCCCUUUUUUUAUUACAUUGAUUGAUGGGGCCUUUUAUAGCCGAUUUACAUGCUAUUUUUUGUUUGCUUUCGCUUUUGUUCUUGUUGAUUCUGUGUCUGUCUCUUUUUUGUUCUGUUUGCAGGUCUUGGCAAGGUCAACAGAUGUUGAAGGGAUAACCCCUGCCAUUUUCGUACAAGGCUGUAGACGCCUGUCAGGCUUCGGGCGACGAGUGCGCUAUAGGGGCACGAAGAGGGAGUGCGGCACACAUGGAGCACUAGGGUUUCUGUUUUCCUCUGAAAGCAGUUAGGUUGUGGGCUGAAUUGGGUUAGGUUUUCUUUUUUAUUUUGGGCCAUACCAGGCCUGGCAUGUAAUUAGGGUUUGGGUUUGUUAUUUGAGUUUUGGGCCCGGUCAAAAAUGGCCUAUUACAGCUGCCUAUCUUUGCUUAUUGUCGUGUAACGGGAAUGAAACAAAGACUUUAAAAGGGCCAAUUUUGCCCGGUCUUGCCGAGUCUUGACUCCUUUUAGUGUUUCUCUUUUCAAGUAGCUUCACUCUAUUCCACUGUGUCUUGUUGCUUCAAUACACUCCACUGUAACUUCAAAAAGAGAUACGACUUGUAGCUUCAAUCUACUCUGCCAUAAUUUCAGAAGGAUGAGAUUUAUGGUUUUAGUCUGCUCCACUAUAACGUCAGGGAGAUAAGACUUGUUGCUUCAACCUACUCUACUGCGACUUCAAGGAGAUAAGGUCUGUUAUGGUAGACUUAAUCUGACCUACUGCAACUUCAGAGGUAUAUGAUUCAUCGUUUUAAUCCGCUCCACUUCAACUUCAGGGAGAUAGGAUUAAUAGCUUCAAUCUACUCCACUACAACUUCAGAGAGAUAAGAUUUGUGGCUUUAAUCUGCUCCACUGCUCUACUGCAACUUCAGGGAGAUAAGGUUUGAUGUGAUCUGCUCUACUGCAACUUCAGGUUUCAAUCUGUUCCACUGCAGCUUUAAGGAAAUGAGAUUUAUAGUUUGUCUUCAAUCUACUCCACUACAACUUCAGGGAGAUAAGAUUGGUUUAUUUUUUAACCUGCUCCACUGCAACUUCAAGGAGAUAAGGUUUGAUGUGAUCUGCUCUACUGCAACUGCUCCACUACAACUUCAGGGAGAUAAGGUUUGAUGUGAUCUACUCUACUGCAACUUCAAAGAGAUAAGAUCUGUAAUUUAUAGCUUAAAUCUGUUCCACUACAACUUCAGGGAAAUGAGAUUUAUAGCCUGUCUUCAAUUUUCUCCUCUACAACUUUAGGGAGAUAAGAUUGGUUUAUUUUUUAACCUACUCCACUGCAACUUCAGAGAGAUAAGGUUUGUCAAGAUCUUCAAUCCAUCCCACUGCAACUUCAGAGGCAUAAAAUUUGCCGCUUCACUAAUCUAUUAUGCGGUGAACUUGACCUGUGGAAUCCAUUUCAUAGACCUAUUUAUGCCUAGUGAUUAGGAUGUCAUAAAUCAGAAUGAAUCAAAUGCUCCUAACUAGGUGUGUAUGAAUGAUAUUUGCAUGAAUGCAGAACAUCAUUUUUUGAGAAUAAUCCCUCUUUAAUGUUUGGGUUAUCAUUGCUCAUUGUUCAUCAAGGUUUUAUCGUUAAUGCAUUACCCUACCUUCUUGUUCAACUGGUGUCUUUAACAGAAAAUCCAAAGAAAUAGUCACAAUUUAGACUAUUCUUUUUCAAAUGUUUCCAACCCUCAGGUUUGGUUAGUUCUAAACAAUAAUCCUGUUUCGAGUCCUCGUAUCAUUUAGAAGCUUUCAGAGUAAUAUGCAGAACUUCUUUUGCUUGAAUAUUAUUGAUCCAUUAAUUAUUAUUUCAAUGAAAAAUGCUUGGAAAGAAUUAUCACAAUGGACAAGAUGGAAUUUCAUUAGGAGCAAAGCUCGAACUGAAUGAAUUAAUCAAGAUAACAAGUUUUUUCCAAAAUUACAAAAUGAGAAUCAAGACAACGUAUUUUGCCAAAAUAAAAAAUGAAUGAAAUGGAAUAGGUGCCUUAGAUAUCGUAGUAUGAACUUCUCUGCACAAAGCCUUUGGAGGACCACUUUAAACUUGAUAGAUGUCCAGGAGGUCCGCAGUAUUUCGUUGAUGUCCCAAGACGCAUAAUCUCUCUUUCUUGUUAAUUCAAGCAUAGUAAAAAUUGUCGCAUGCCCCACCUUUGAUCACAAUUUGAAUUGCCCUUUUUCCCCAGGUUUUCAAUUCAAAACCCCUUUGGUCUCAAAGUGCCCUUCAUGGGUUUUCGCCUUGGCCUCUCCUCUUUUGUUUUAGGCGAGGUACUUUUUCAUUGAAUUCGAAUUCACAGGAUUAGGCAGGAUUUUUCCAUCCAUCUCAGUCAAAAUUAACGCUCCUCCAGAAAAGGCCUUCUUUACUACAUAAAGUCCCUCACAGUUUGGCAUCCACUUUCCUCUAAAGUCUUUUUGUAUGGGAAGGAUCUUCUUCAGUACCAAAUCCCCUUCAUGAAAUUCCCUAGGACGAACCUUCUUAUUGUAAGCUCGUAUCAUUUGCUUCUGGUACAUUUGACCAUGACGGAUAGCUCUCAACCUCUUUUCUUCGAUCAAGUUUAGCUGAUCAUAUCAAGAUUGGAUCCAUUAUGCUUCGUCUAACAUUAGUUCUGAAAAAACUCGGAGAGAGGGAAUUUCAACCUCAAUUGGCAGUACUGCCUCCAUUCCAUAAACCAAAGAGAAAGGCGUUGUCUCGGUAGAGGUCCUGACAGAUGUUCGAUAAGCAUAGAGGGCAAAUGGUAACUUCUCAUGCCAAUCUCUAUAAGUCUCAGUCAUUUUUCCCACAAUCUUCUUGAUGUUUUUAUUGGCUGCCUCCACUGCGCCAUUCAUUUUCAAGCGAUAUGGCGAUGAAUUGUGGUGCUUGAUCUUGAAUUGACUACAGACCUCCGCUAUCGUGUUGUUGUUCAAAUUCAAAGCGUUGUCAGAUUUAAUCCUUUCGGGUAUCCCAUACCGACAUAUGAUCUCCUUUUUUAGAAAUUUACUGACGGUCGAUUUUGUGAUGUUGGCGUAAGAAGUAGCUUCUACCCACUUAGUAAAGUAGUCAAUUACUACGAAGAUGAAUCGAUGCAUGUUUGAAGCUUUUGGUGAUAUUGGUCCAAUGACGUCCAUGCCCCACAUGGAAAAAGGCCAUGGAGAAGUCAUGACAUGAAGAGGUGAAUGAGGCACAUGAAUUUUGUCCCCAUAAAUCUGGCAUUUAUGGCAUUUCUUAGCAUACUUGAUGCAGUCCCUUUUCAUGGUGGACCAAUAAUAUUCGAAUCUCAUGAUUUGCCUGGUCAUUGUAAAACCAUUAACGUGUGUUCCAUAGACACCAUCAUGAACCUCUUCUAAGAUUUGCUUAGCCUCAAUAGCGUCCACGCAUCUUAGCAACACUUGAUCAUUUCCUCUUUUAUAUAGGAUCUCUCCAUCCAAGACGUAGUCAUUAACCUGCCUUCUUAACGUCCCCUUGUCAUCCUCGCUUUCUUGGUUUGGGUAUUCCUGACUCUUCAUGUAUUGUAAUAUAUCGCGAUACCAAGGGUGAUCACCCUUUUCCUCUUCUUUGUCGACAUUGCAACAGUGGGCUGGUGCUUCAUAAAUGCUCAUUCUGAUGGGCCUCACAUCCUUUGUUUAUUUACUUUGAUCAUAGAAACCAAAGUAGCCAAAGCGUCGGCCAUCUGGUUUUCUUCUAGCGAAAGGUAAGAGAAGGUGAUGUCAUCAAACUCGUCAAUUAGCCCUAUAACCAGCUUUCGGUAAUUGACUAAUUUGCGAUAUCUUAUCUCCCACUCCCCUUUGAGCUGAAAAACCACCAGUACAGAGUCCCCAUAUACCUCUAACACUUUAAUCUUAUGUUCCAUGGCUGUACGAAUCCCCAUAAUACAUGCUUCGUACUCGGCCAUAUUAUUUGUGCAAUCAAAACCCAAUUUACAGGUGAAUGGAUAAUGAUCUCCGCUUAGGGAUACCAAAACUGCCCUAAUUCCGUUGCCUACAGCAUUUGAAGCCCCGUCGAAGUUUAAUUUCCAAGCACCGCUUUCUUGAGUGUAUUUUUCAACAGUUCCCACAUACAUCAGAUCCUUAUUUAGGAGAUCAAAGUUCAAAGGCUCAUAGUCUUCUAGAGCUCGACUAGCUAGAAAAUCUACUAUCGCGCUUCCUUUUAUAGCUUUUUGAUUCACAUAGACUAUGUCAAAUUCAGACAGUAGAAUUUGCCAUCUGGUCAUCCUUCCAUUUAGAGCGGUUUACUCCAUCAUGUAUUUCAGAGGGUCUAGUUUCAAGAUUAACCAAGUCGUAUGGUACAACAUGUAUUGUCGCAACCUCCGAGUAGUCCAGAUUAAGGCGCAACAUAAUUUUUUGAUUGGGGAGUAUCUUGUCUCACAUUCGGUGAACUUCUUACUGAGAUAGUAUAUUGCUUUUUCUUUUCUUCCCAACUCAUCAUGUUGGCCGAGCACGAAUCCGAUGGAGUUUUCAAAUACUGUUAAAUAUAGUAUCAGGGGCUUGUCUGGGCAAGGCGGUGUUAGUACUGGAGCGUUGGACAAGUAAUACUUGAUCUUGUCAAAGGUUUUCUGGCACUCCUCGUCCCAUAUGCCCGGAUUAUGUUUCUUAAAGAGACGGAAGAUAGGGUCACAUUUUUCAGUUAACUGUGAAAUAAACCGAGCAAUGUAGUUUAGUCUUCUUAGAAAACCCCGGACUUCUUUCUGAGUGCGUGGUGAAGGCAAUUCUUGUAUGGCCUUGACUUUGUCUGGGUCAAUCUCAAUUCCCCUUUCACUGACUAAAAGUCCUAGCAACUUUCCUGAUCUAGCCCCGAAAGUGCAUUUGGCUGGGUUAAGUUUUAGCUGGAACUUCAUUAACCUUAGGAACAGUUUUCUCAAUACUUGCACAUGUUCUCCUUCUGUCCUAAACUUUACAAUCAUGUCAUCAACACAGACUUCUAUCUCUUUAUGCAUUAUAUCAUAGAACAAAGUUACCAUGGCUCUUUGGUACGUUGCCCCUGCAUUCUUUAAUCCGAAUGGCAUCACCUUAUAGCAAAAUGUUCUCCACAUAGUUACAAAUGUGGUCUUAUCCAUGUCUUCAGGAUGCAUUUUUAUCUGAUUAUACCCCGAGAAGCCAUCCAUGAAGGAGAAAAGUGAGUAACCUGCUAUGUUGUCCACCAGAGUGUCGAUAUGGGGUAACGGAAUAUUGUCUUUUGGACUAGCUUUGUUCAAAUCUCUAUAAUCUACGCACAUCCGUACCUUCCCAUCUUUCUUAGGGACAGAGACUAUGUUGGCUACCCAAUCCGAGUACUUGACCACUUGUAAGAACCCCGAGUCGAACUGCUUCUUGACCUCUUCUUUUAUUUUUAACAAAACAUCAGGCCUUAUUCUUCGUAGCUUCUGUUGCACCAGUUUACAUUCUUCUUUUAUGGGCUGUCGGUGUACUACAAUAUCAGUACUUAGGCCAGGAAUGUCUUGAUAGGUCCAUGCAAAGACAUCUUUAAACUCUUGAAGUAAUCCAACGAGGUCUCGUUUUGUUUCCUCAGUAACGCAAGCGCCAAACUUUACUUCUUUCUCUUCUUCUAAACCCACUACUUCCACGGAUUCCUUAUAAGGUAAGAUUUGUUUCUCUUCUUGCUCCACCAUUCUUAACAAAUCAGGAGAUAAUACGCUGUCUUGGUCAUCUUCAAAACCCUGACGAUCAUCCGUACUCAUGUCUUGUUCAAAUAGGGACUUUGAGUCAGUAACAGCGUCGCUCACAUCAUUGAUAUCUGAAGACCUGUUAUUGGGAGAAAGGAAGGUCCAAAGAAAGAAGAAUCUAAGCAUAAUUGUUUACACAGUAUGAUUAUAAAUUGAAUGAAAAGAAUAGAAGAAUAUUUGCUCAAAAUGAGACUGAAUGAUGUGUUUUCAUUGAAAUAAGAUUUUGGACAUGUGUCUUUUACAAAAUAUUCUUAUUGCCCCCAGGCUUAGGGCAACAAGUGUUCUAGAUAUUACUCUGAAUUAGUUCUAAAUGUUAUAGGGAUCUCUUCUGCAGUCUAGUUGUCUAGAACACUUCCAGGUUCGUAAGGGCGGAUGCCUGAUACACUUCCUUCUUCGAGUUCUUUUUUGAAUAUGGCAUUGAUGUUCAGGUUUUCUAACAUUUCCUCCGUAGUAUCCCUUCUUGGUGUCCUUCGUUCAGGAUAAAUAGUUCCCCCUGAUAUAAAGGUCCUAGAUAUGUGGGGGAAGGUCAUAGGUUCCCAAUCGACUUCUUUUCCACUCAAACGCGCCUUCCUCUUCUCUUGUCUUUUUUCUAACUCUUUCCUUCUUUACUUCGCAUUUGGCUUAGAUCCUAAACCAAAGCGGUCUCGUUUAUCUUUUAUCAUUGGUACCUCUAUCCUUCAUUGAAGACAUCUUCCGAAUCCUCUCCCAGACACUGCUCCUUUUCCAAUCGUCAUUUGCAGUCCCAUCCUCGUAGUUUUGGAUAUGCUAGGCAUCGUGAUCUUAUUCCCCUCAACAACAAAAGUUGCGUUCACGAAUUCUAAGGAUCAAAAGGAACAUUCAAUCGCCUCAUCAUUCGUUUCUAAAUAUGGUGUGUCGCUGGUUACCGAUGCAAUAAUGUCUUCUUUAGCGCUUAUAGUAACUAGUCGGCCUUCUAUUACCAAUUUCAACUUCUGGUGCGAUGAUGAAGGCACUGCUCUAGCUGAAUGAAUCCAAGCUCUUCCCAACAAGUAAUUAUACGAAGGUUUGAUAUCCGUCACUAGGAAAUCUACCUUGUAUGUAUUCGGGCCAAUCAAGAGAGGUAUUUCUAUUCUUCUCGUUACUUUUCUUUCAGUGCCAUCAAAUGCUCUCACUAUAUUCUGGCAUGAUUUCAUGUGAGAGUUAUGCAUCGGUAACCUGUUUAAGGUGGAUAAGGGUAAGACAUUCAAGGCCGAUCCAUUAUCAAUUAACACCACCGGAAACGUGUAUCCCUUGCAGCGAGUGGUGAUAUUUAGGGCUUUGGUGGCUCCUCUCCCCCCCCCCCGAUGAUAUUUCAUUAUCAUUAAAGAAGAUGAAGUUGUCGGCACUUAUAUUGUUAACCAAGCAGUCUAACUUGUUCACCGAGAUAUCGUUAGCGACAUAAGUUUCAUUUAGUACUUUUAUCAACGCAUUACGAUGUGUCUCUGAACUUAGAAGCAACUUAAGCACCAAGAUGCAAGCUGGUUGCUUAUGUAGUUGUUCCACCACGCUAUACUCACUGUGCUUUAAGAAUUUUAGAAAUUCUCUAGCCUCAUUUUUAGUUACCGGCUUGUUAACAUGCGAUUCAAUUCUAAUCGUUUUUGCUUCCCCUCGCUCAACCGCUAAGGUUUUUCCUUUUGUGGUUUCCACUCUUGCAUUUGUCGAAUCGUAGCAUUUUUCGCUUCGUGUAUAGAAGCCUAUAUCAUCACCCUUUUUUGAAGUAUUUAUUGGGUUCUCUUCUCCCGGGAUCGUCACGUUGCACUCGUAAUUCCAAGAAACCCAUUUGCUAUUCUUAUAAAGAAAUUAUAUGGGUUUUUAGAUUAUGACCCUUGGCGCUAUUUCUAUUCCAGAUUCUGUGCUCCUUGGCCUUGAAAUAAUCACCACUGAGUGAUUAACCCUUUGGGCUUCCCCGUAGAUUCUUCCUCCGAGGUGUAAAUUUCCCCUUCUUCUAAUCCUUCAACCUUUUCAUAAAACUUCAACUCUUUGUUAUCCAUUAAGUUUUGCAUCAUGGUUCUGAACUCGGUGCAUUUUUAAGUGUCAUGGCCCUCUUCAGCAUGGAACUCGCAAUACUUCAUCGUCCCUUUGGGCCUCUCCGUUGAAUCUUGCUUGAUAAAACCUCCCUCUAUCAUUCGUUUCCAAACCCAUUUCAACGGGGUUUUUAUCUCUGCUACGUCAGCUUUAACUCUCCUUCCCCACUCUCGAUUAUUGCGUUUACCUCUUUAUCAGAAUGAUUGGUUAACGGAUUCCCUGCUACAUUUGGUUCUGGUGGGUCGUCAAACUUUACAAUCCCCAUCUUAAUGAAUCUUUCCACCAUCUUCUUAAACGCAGUGCAGUUCUCAAUCGAGUGUCCCGUUAUCCCUGCUUAGUAUUCACAUUGGGUAUUCACGUCGUACCAUUUAGGGUAUGAAGGUUGCAUGGGUUUCAGAUAAAAUGGAGACACGACGUGUGCAUCGAAUAGAUUCUAAUACAGUUCUCUAUACGUCAUUGAGAUACGUGUGAAUUGGGGUCUUUCUACAUUCGACCUUGGAUGGGAUUCCUGCCUUAAAAAGCCUUGAUGGCUAGUGGUUAUUGCUCUUGCUUGUCCCACCGUGAUUGGUUUAGAAUAGCCUUUGUUAAACAUACUUGCAUUGUUUAUCUCGUGCUCUUUCUUUCUUGGGGCUGACCUCUUGGCACUUUCCCCCGCUUCUAUCUUGCCGCAUAUUAUUGUAUUCUCUAUCAUUUCUCCAGACAUCACUAUGUCUGAAAAGCUUUUAGUGGCGCUGUCUAACAUGUGAUUGAUGAACAGAGCCUUCAAAGUAUUGAUGAAAAGCAUGGUUGUCUCUUUCUCCAGAAGUGGUGGUUAGACUUGCAUUGCUAUUUCUCUCCAUCUUUGGGCGUACUGUCUGAAGCUCUCACUAGGCUUCUUUUCCAUGUUCUGUAAUGUAAUUCGACCGGGUGCUAUAUCCUUCACAUGACUGUACUGCUUCAUAAAAGUCUGUGCCAAGUCCUUCCAUAAAUUGACUUUAGUCUGGCUCAAUUGGUUGUACCAUUUAGCCGCCGACCCGAUCAAGCUGUCUUGGAAAUAGUGCAUCAAUGUUGAUCAUUAUUGAUGUAUCCUGUUAUCCUUCGACAGAACAUAGUGAUAUGAGCUUCAGGACAGCUAGUCCCGUUAUACUUUUUAAACUUUGGCAUUUUGAACUUAGGUGGAAGCACCAGAUCAGGAACCAAACUCAAGCCUUUGGCGUCAAUUCCACAAUGGUAGUCGGCGUUCUCCAUGGCUCUAAAUUUCUCCUCUAUCCAUCUACACGAUCCUCAAGUUGUUUUGGCAAGUCCAUUCUUACCUUUUCUAUUUCUGCCACGUCAUCGAGAUCAGGGACCACGGGAUUGGUAGGGUUAUCCCCGGGAUUAGAACCCGAGCUUAUUGGAAAGUUCAUUGACACUAGGGCCCCAACCUGAUAUUGGGAUCUGAUAGUGACAGGUACCCUUCAUGGGUACACGUCCGGUUGCGCUUAGAUGUUAGUUAGGGUAAAACCUGGAGGAUAGGCAGGGUCUUCAUGAUCAUCCCCAGAAUUGACCACAGGGCUCUUCCCUUUAUCAUUUUCUCCAGCCAUUAACUGUGUUAACUAGCUCAAUAAAUUUCUUUGGGAUUCUUACAUGUCUUGUUGCAUUUUAGCUAGUUUUUCCUGCAUCUGAACUUGCAUCUCUUUUCACAAUUGUUCCAAUCUUUCUAAUAUCUGAUCCAUUACUUUUGUCUUGCGGCGGGUACCGUAGUGAUAUAUAGUUGGCUGAUUUUUGUUGGUUUCCAAGGUAACUGUCAUAAUUUUAAUUAAUUAGGGCUCUUUUUUGAAACUUUAAUGCAUAUGAUGAGAUGUAAUGCAAAUGAAUCAAAGCAAAAAGAGGCAUUGAUUCUAAUUCAAUUUCAUUAGAAAAACUCGAUUAGAAAACAAAUUUCUUUACAUAAAAUGGAUUACAUAUAUGGCUUCGCCUUUAUACUCAAAGCCUUAACCCUCUUAAGGAGCCAAGCUAACUCUCAACCUCGGCUUGAUUCUGAUUCAUAUUUUAAACUCAAUACAUCAGCCUGAACUGCUAAGGUUUGCAGAUGAUCAGCUACUUCCUGCACUUAAGUUACAACUUCACCCAUAAUGUAAUCUUUAUCUCUAAUCUGACUUUGGGAAUGAUGGAGCUGUUCUUGCCACUGUUCGUUACGCCUCUCAAGAAGUUCCACUCGUAAUUCAGAGUUUUGCAAUGCGUCUUCGAGCUUUUCUAUUUUCCCCUUCAAUUUUUCGAUCUUUCCUAAACUUGCUCUUAACUUGAUCAUUGAGUUGCGACUACGGUACAGGUGAAGCGACUUUUCUAACUAUACUACCCGAGCUUUUAAUCUCGCUUCUUCAUUUCAACAUUCUAACAAGUUUUUCUCUAAAGCUCUCUCUCGAGCUUGGGCGUCUUAAAAUUUCUUUUCCCACUGAUCAGCCAUGGUCUUUUCUUCCUUGAUCUCCUGUCGCCAUUACUCCGACGUUUUACCUAAACCGACAGUUCUUAUUGACAAACGCAGCUUCUUAUAAUCUAUUUUUAGACUAUCUAAAUCCUCUUCAGCCUUGUUCUUCCCUUUCCUUAAUUUUUCGAUUUUUAACUUGUGGAUAUCGACAUCUAGUCCCAAACGCAUCUUUUCCUCUUCUAGCUGCUCUAUCUUCUUUCCUAACUCUGAACUUCUUUUUUCAAAGUCCUGUUUGAUGAUCUCUAAUUCUGAUGGAACUUCUUGUAGAUGGUCCUCUAUAGAUCGAAUGCAUUCUUUUCUCGACCCGGAGAUGUUGUUAUUGACCCUCUUACUCCAACACCCAUAAUAUUCGAAAGUUGUCAUUGCUCUUACGGUAAAUCUUUUCAUCCGGUGAACUUGUUUCCAAGCGCUAAACAUUUCUCGAAUCUUUCUCUUGUAGUUAUCACCCUUAUAAGAAAACUCACACUGAGUCAGCCCUUAUGUUGUCGGUAUGAACUAUCUUGAUUUAUAUUGUCUUAAUACGAGCAAAGGGGUAUAUUCGACAGCUCUCCAAAUUCUAAGUAAAAGGACCAAGUCGAAGUUUUCACAUCGAUAUAGGAUAUCGUCGGGCACCAUCCAAUGAGCUUUCCAUUCAACAUCUUUCUCUUGAAGAGUUUGGAGAAUCACCAUCCAUUUCUCUUCUGUGAUGUCGUUUCAUCUUGGUGUAGCCACUAGUUCCUUUAAUGGGGAGUAGUUUUCUAAGAAUACCCAAUAGGAGACCUUUUUCCACUUUCCAAAAGUGUCUAUGGAACCACACCAAUAAUAGUUGCGCGCAUCCGAUGAACCUUCCUUCACCCGCUCUUCGACACGCAUUUAGAGAUCUAAAAGUUUCAGCCAAUAUUGCUGAGACCGGUGUGACCCCCUUGUCAAGCCUAUCAAACAGAUCUGAAACUGCUUCAUCCACAUGCCCUAAUGCCUUGGGGAAAAUAACUAAACCAUAAAUGCUCAAGACAAAGAUAUCAACUCACUUGGUGCAAAAAUCAUGAAAAACCAGCUUGAAUAAACCCUUAGGACGUUUUUGGCUGAUGAGAAUGCAGAAAAAUAAAGAGAAAUCUAGAUAAUUCCACUUUAGUCCUAACUUUUAAAGUAAAUUUUUGCAAUAUUCUAAUUUUACCCUUAAUUCUCCAAUUCUCCUUAUUUUUCUCAGCUUGUGCCGCCCAAAAUAUCUUCUUUUGGGCUUAUUUACAAUUUAUGUCCCUCCUUAUUUAACAAUGGAGCUAUUUAAUCCUUCUAGUAACUUUUACACCUUUUUUAAUUUAGUCCUUUUCACUUAAUUGACUGCCCAAACAUUAAAAUUUUCUAACGAAAUUUUAAUACCAUAUUACUAACAUUUCAUAAAUAUUUAUAAAAAUAUUUUUGACUUGGUUUUAUGAGAUCGAUGUCUCGAUACCUUGUUUUUACCCAAUUUCUUCAAUAAUUUCUUUUUCUAACUAACCACUAAAUCGGUAAAAUUUUUCUAUCGAUAUUUUCAUACGAUUUUCUAUCAUAUCAAUAUUCAUGCAAAAAUAUUAAAAUAAAUUUCUUUUAAAAUCGGAUUUUUGGUUAUGAAACCACUGUUUCGAUAACCUUGAAUUUAGGCCAUUACAACUCUCCCCCCUUAGGGAUUUUCGUCCUCAAAAAUCUUACCAGUAAAGAGGUUCGGGUAUUGUUUCCUCAUUGCCUCCUCUGAUUCCCAUGUCGCUUCCUUAAUCCCGUGCUUUUUCCAUAAUACUUUCACCAAAUUUAUCUUUUUAUUUCUAAGCUCAUUUAUUUCCCGUGCUAAUAUCUUAACCGGUUCUUCACUAUAAGUCAUAUCCGGCUGAAUCUCCACUUCUGUCAGAGAAAUAACAUGUGAAGGAUCUGAUCGAUACCGUCGUAGCAUAGACACAUGAAAAACAUUAUGAAUUCUAUCGAGUUCCGGUGGUAAUGCCAAUCGAUAAGCGACCGCGAGUUCCGGUGGUAAUGCCAAUCGAUAAGCGACCGGUCUAAUUCUUUCUAUAAUUUCAUAUGGCCCAAUAAAUCUUGGACUCAACUUACCCUUUUGACCGAAUUGGAGAACUUUUUUCCAAGGAGACACUUUUUUGGAAUACCUUAUCACCCACCUAAAAUUCAAUCUCUUUUCGUUUAAGAUCAGCAUAUGGCUUUUGACGAUCGAAAGCUGCUUUUAGACUAUCUCGAAUCAUCUUGACUUUUUCUUCUAUUUCCCGGAUCAAAUCAACCCCAUGUAUCUUCUUUUCACUAAGCUCUGUCCAAUAUAAUGGUGUUCUACAUUUUCUACCAUACAAAGCUUCAUACGGAGCCAUUUUAAUACUGGACUAAUAACUGUUAUUAUAAGCAAAUUCAAUCAAAGGUAGAUACCUCUCCCAAUUACCUUCUAACUCUAAUAUACAACAUCGGAGCAUAUCUUCCAAUACCUGAAUUACACGCUCAGAUUGGCCAUCUGUCUGAGGAUGAAAUGCAGUGCUGAAAUACAAUUGAGUACCCAAGGCUUCUUGCAAUUUGUCCCAGAAACGAGAUGUAAAUCGGGGAUCUAUAUCUGAUAUAAUAGAUAUUGGCACUCCAUGUAGCUUGACAAUCUCAGAUAUAUACAGUUCAGCCAAUUUAUCUAAAAAAUAAUCCAUAAGUACUGGGAUAAAAUGUGCUGAUUUUGUUAAUCGAUCAACGAUCACCCAAAUGGCAUCUUUCUUAUUCGGUGACAAUGGUAACCCAAAUACAAAAUUCAUAGUAAUUCUUUCCCACUUUUAUUCCGGUAUAGUGAUUGGCUGAAGUAACCCCGAAGGUACCUGAUGUUCAACUUUAACCUGCUGACAUAUUAGGCACUUUGAUACAAACUCAGAAAUAUCACGUUUCAUACCUGGCCACCAGUACAUCUUCUUCAAAUCAUUAUACAUUUUAUUACCUCCCAGAUGUACGGACAUAAUACCACUGUGUGCCUCGUGUAAAAUCUUCUGUACAAGCUCUGAAUUCUUCGGUACACAUACUCUGCCUCUGAAUAAUAAACAACCAUCAGUCCCAAUUUGAAAUUCUGAAUCAUUACCUGACUCACAUUGUACCCAUUUAGCCUGUAGCUUUUCAUCAUUUUUCCGAGCUUCAUAUAUUUGUUGUAGAAAUGUCGUUUAACUCUCAACUCAGCUAUGACUGAACCAUUAUCAACCAAAGACAAUCGGGUAUUCAUAGCUCGCAAAGCAAACAAAGAUUUUUGACUCAGAGCAUCAGCUACAACAUUAGCCUUACCCAGAUGGUAAUCAAUAACCAAAUCAUAGUCUUUUAUCAGUUCAAGCCACCUGCGCUGUCUCAAAUUCAAAUCUUUCUGUGUCAUCAAAUAUUUCAGGCUUUUAUGAUCAGUAUAAAUAUGACAUUUUUCACCAUACAAAUAAUACCGCCAUAUUUUCAAUGCAAAUACAAUAGCAGCAACUUAGAGAUCAUGUACCGGGUAAUUUCUUUCAUGUGGCUUAAGUUGUCUUGAAGCAUAGGCUAUUACUUUACCUUCUUGCAUCAAGACACAGCCUAAACCAUUUAAUGAUGCAUCACUAUAAAUAAUAAAUUCUUUACUCGGUUCAGGUUGUACCAACACAGGUGUUUUCGUCAACAAAUCUUUCAAUCGGUCAAAACUCUGCUGGCAUUUAUCAGUCCACUCAAAUUUAACAUCUUUCUGUAAUAAACGAGUUAUCGAAGAAGCUAUCAUAGAGAACCCCUGUACAAAUCUCCGAUAAUAACUGGCUAAACCCAAGAAACUUCUAACUUCAGAUACAUUCUUCGGUGGACUCCAAUUGACAAUAGCUGAGAUUUUACUCAAAUCUACCUUGAUGCCUUCUGCGGAUACAAUAUGUCCAAGAAAACCCACUUCUCGAAGCCAAAAUUCACAUUUACUGAAUUUAGCAUAUAGCUACUUCUCUCGCAGAAUUUGCAACACAAUUCUCAAAUGUUCUGCAUGCUCAUUUUCAUCUUGGGAAUAGACCAAGAUAUCAUCAAUAAAAACUACCACAAACCUGUCUAAGUACGGUCUAAAUAUCCGAUUCAUCAGGUCCAUAAAUACUGCAGGUGCAUUAGUCAGCCCAAACGGCAUAACAAGAAACUCAUAAUGCCCGUACCUGAUUCUAAAAGUUGUUUUCGAUACAUCUAACUCCUUUACCCGUAACUGAUAGUAGCCCAAUCGGAGAUCAAUCUUUAAAAAUACAGUGGCACCCUUCAACUGGUCAAACAGAUCGUCAAUCCGAGGCAAUGGGUACUUAUUCUUUAUAGUGACUUUAUUAAGUUGUCAGUAAUCAAUACAUAAUCUUAAGGACAUGUCCUUCUUUUUCAUAAAUAAAACUGGAGCACCCUAAAGUGAAUGACUUGGUCAGACAAAACCCCUGUCAACAAGUUCUUGCAACUGUGUCUUUAACUCCUUUAAUUCUGUAAGAGCCAUACGAUACGGAGCUAUAGAGAUUGGAGUAGUUCCCGGAAUCAGAUCUAUAGAAAAUUCCACUUCUCUUUCUGGUGGCAACCCUAGUAAUUCCUCUAGAAACACAUCAAAAAAUUCACAUACAAUUGGCACUGCCUGUAUAUUUAAUUGGCACUGCCUGUAUCUUUAACUCAGAUACCUUAGUGUUUAACACAUAUGCCAAAUAAGCAUCAUACCCUUUUCUGACACACCUCUGAGCUGUCAUAACCGAAAUCACAUUAGAUAAUUCUUCUGUCUGAUCAAAUUUAACCCGAAGUAAUUCUCUAUUCUAACACUUCAGCAUAAUAUAUUUCUGUCUACAAUUUACUACUGCAUCAUGCUGAGUUAGCCAAUCCAUACCCAAUAUCACAUUGAACUCAUCAAAAGGCAAUAACAUCAAGUCAACAGGAAAACAAAUACCUUUUACCAUCAGUGGACAAUUUUUACAAACUUUAUCCACCAUCAUAAACUGGCCCAGUAGGUUCGAGACUUUAACCACAAAUUCAGUAAGUUCAACAGAUAAAUUUUUAACAAAUACUAAUUUUGUGCAUAUGUAUGAAUGUGUAGAGCCAGGAUCAAUUAAUACAGUAAUAUCAGUAUCAAGUAAAGAAAAUGUACCAGUAAUAACAUCGGGUGCUGAGGCAUCUUCUCUAGCACGGAUGGCAUAUGUCCUAACAGGUGCUCGUGCCUCAGACCUGCCUGCAGUCUCUUUCGUAACUCCUCAGCUACCACUAACAUUACCAGAUGGUCGAGGUGGUCUACCCCUCGAAACUGGAUUACUCGGCUUCGAUGUAUGUUUAGCUUCUUUUUCACCCCUUUCUAGACAAUCUCUGAGGAAAUGAUCGGAAGAACCACAUCGAUAACAAGCCCCACUCUUUAAUCGACAUUCACCAAAAUGAGUUUUAUUACAGUACUGACAUCUCGGCUUAGGGGUACCAACACUACCAGCACUGGUCACUGAUGGAGUGGAAGGUCUUGGAUUAGUGCGUUGAAAACCUCGCUCUCUAAUCGAAUACCCACUGGCUGAGGUUGAACGAUCCUGGUAUUUCUUCAAUUUCUUUAAAGUAAAAAACUGGGAUUUUUCCAUAGAUGUUUUACUGAAAACCCGAGCUUCUCUUUCAGCUUGUUUCUUUUCUUUGCUCAAUUUUUUUGCUUUAUAAGCUCACUCUGCAAGGGUAGUAAACUCUCGAAUUUCAAGAAUUCCGAUCAAUAGCUUAAUUUUUUCAUCCAACCCUUCUUCAAAUCUUUUGCAUAUUCCAGCUUCUGAUUGUACCCAUUCCCAAGCAUAUUUACUCAAUCGGACAAAUUCUCUUUCAUACUCAGAUACUGAUCUGUUAUCCUGUUUCAGCUAAAAAAAUUCUUUUCUCUUCCGAUCGAGGAACCUCUGACUGAUAUAUUUCUUUCUGAACUCGGUCUAAAAGAAUUCUCAUUUAAUUUCUUCUUUUGGAACCACCGAAGCUUUAGUGUUUCACCAAUGAUAAGCUGUGUCUUUUAACAAUGAUACUGCACAUUUCAGACACUCUUCUGGCGUGCAAGAUAAUUCCUCCAAAACCCGAGUAGUAUUCUCUAACCAAAACUCAGCCCGUUUGGGAUCAUCAUCAACUGCAGCUCUGAAUUCUUCUGCCACAUAUUUUCUGAUUUUAUCAACCGGAGCUUUCCCUUUUUUGCUAGGUUCAAUACCUGUACCCUGUGAAAUCUCGGGAAUCGGUGGAGGAGGAGGAGGAGGAGGAGGAGCUUGAGCUUGCUGCACUAUAGGGUUAGUUUUUAUAUAUUGAGUAAAUCAUUCAUUCAUCAUUUGAUAGAAGGCAAUUUUAGCCUCUUCACUUUGGUCCCUUAUCUCGGACCUUCUACUACUAGUAGCUUCAACUUCUCUUUGUUCUGAAGCCGGAGCAUGACUCUCGGCUUCCUUGGGUUGAACUUGGUCGGCAGACAUUUACUAUAAGAAAAUCACAUUUCAAAUGGUCAGGAGAUAUCACACUAUCAAUAAGAAUUUAAAUCCCAUGUAUAGCUAAUCCAGUAUUUUCUACAUCGGUCCGAGAACUGACUAAAUCGUAGCUCUGAUACCAACAAAAUGUAACACCCCUUAACCAUAUCCGUCGUUGAAAUAGGGUACGAAGCAUUAUCAGAUUUUAUCGAAUUAAUUUUCUAUUAUUACGAGUUAAAUACUAUUCAUUUAUCGAAACAUGUCAUGACGUCCCUUGAAUGGGCCUCCGAAGCCCAAAACAUACAUCGAGACCAAACCGGGAUUAAAUCGAAACCAUAAGAAAUUUUUCGCAAAAUCCCAAAGUUUUUUUUUUAAAACUCAAUACAACCCCUUUAUAAAUAUCUAAUCUUCCCUGCAAUUUUAAACCAAGACCAAUCCAACACAACCAAUCCAUUUCAACAUACUUUCAAAAUAGAUUUAACAUAUUCAUAAGAUAACCUCAUCACAUACCAAAACCAAAAUUUGUUAGCCAUACCAAUGGCUAACCAUUCAUUCAUUUCACAUUAACAUUUACUUUACUAGCUUAUACAUGCCAUUGAUUUCUAAAAUAAAGUUUCUUUAUAUACCGAGAUCUUGAGGUUGAUAGUGUGAUGCGUCUCCGACCAAAUCCGACCUCCGAGCUCUUAACACUACAAAACAGGGGAAAAGGAAACAGGGUAAGCACUUUGUGCUUAGUAAGCUCAUGUAAUAAGAAUUAUACUUACCUAAUAUUUUCAAUACAAUACAAUACAAUACAAUAAACAUUCAUACAUCCAUUCAAUGCAUUAUUCCCCUAACAUGCACGAACUCAACAUUCAAGUUAGUUCAGUAAUUUCCAUGUAUCAAUAAUAUAUAUAUCACGAUUGAUAAGCUCAUCAAUUCCAUGAUUUCCAUUCCCUUGUUAUUUUUCCAUAUUUAUCCCGUUGAACUACUUGGAAUUUCGAUGGAUUUUCAGGGGUACACCUAAGUGUACAAAUCUGGGUUCGUCAAUUCAUAUUCAUGUGCGCACAUUUUCAUUUCAGAGAGCACACUCCCGUGAACCUCAUCCUUACAGCGGGAUUACCAGUCCAGGCUAAAUCCCCUGUAAUAUAAACUCAUAGAAUAUUGUCGGGAUUACCAGUCCAGGCUAAAUCCCCUGCAACGACAAUUACUCUAAUGAGCUUGGAUUUGAAUUACCAGUCCAAGCUAAAUUUAGACCCUAAUUUGGAAUACCCGUCCGGGCUAAAUUCAUUUUCCACAUAUUCUUUGAGAGGGCUGUAUCAGAAUAGGAUCACCCAUCCGGGCUAGAUCCUUUUUACCGUCAAUUCCUUUUCAGAGAUCCAUCGAAUUUUCCUUUCAUUCAACCGGGAUUUAUUUUCUCUUUUCAUCAAGAAUAUCAAUACUUCUUCAAUUAUCAUACAAUAAACAUCCAAAUCAUAUUCACAUCAAGAAAAAUAUAUUUCAAGCAUUUAAGAAUAUAAUUCAAGUUACACGAACUUACCUCGAUACUUGUUCGUAAAUAAAAAUCUACUAAUUCCAAACUUUUUCUUUUCCUCGAUCUAGCUUUGUAUUUGAAUUUUCUAGAUCUAAAUAAAUAAAUUUAAUCAUUAAUCUAAUACAUUUCAUGUUCAUAUGUAACAUUCUCUAUAAUUCCAUUAUUAUUUAUAGUUCAUUCAAAGCUGUCUCAUUGAGUCAUAGUCGCUAAAUUAUUUAUAUCUUGAGCUACGGAAUUCCAAAUUAAGAUCUGCUAAUUUUUCCCAAAACUAGACUCACAUAUCUUCUUACCAUAAAAUUUUCAGAAUUUUUAGUUCAGCCAAUAAGUACAGUUUAUUCUUUAAAGUUUCCCUUGUUUCACAGUUCAACAGUUUCGCCCCCUCUUCACUAAAAAUUAAUUAUCUCAUUGUACAGAAUUUGGAUGAUGUUUCCAUUUAUUUAUUCUAAAAAUAGACUCAUUAAGGAUUCUAAGCAUAUAAAUUAUAACUCAUAAUAAUUUUUUUACAAUUUUUAAUGAUUUUCCAAAGUCAGAACAGGGGAACCCGAAUUCAUUCUGACCUUGUCUCACAAAACCUAUUAUAUCUCAUUAUUUACAAUUCCAUUGACUACACUAUUUCUUCUAUAAGAAACUAGACUCAAUAAGCUUUAAUUCUAUAUUUUUUUCAUCCUCUAAUUCAAUUUACAAAAUUUAUGGUGAUUUUUCAAAGUUAACCUACGCAGCUGUCCAAACUGUUUUAAUGCAUGAUAUUAAUUACCAUUUUCCCCUAAGCUUUCAAUAAAUGAUAAUUUCAUCCUUACUCAAUUAACCUCUCAAUUGAGCUGAUUUUUCUCAAUUAACACAUUAUUCCAUCACUUUAAAGUACUUUAUAACCUUUGGAAAUCAGAAUUUUAGCACUAGACUUUAAUUCCAAACUUUUUCACAAUUAGGUCCUACAAAUCAAUUUUUAUUGAAAUUACCUAAUAAAAUCAUCUCAUAAACAAAUUAAAGCUUUAAUUUCAUGCUAUAUCAUCAUAUAUUUCCAGCACAUAUUCAUAGCAACUUUCAAUUUAGUAAUAGGACCUAGUUGUAAAAGUCUUAGGAACAUAAAAAUUACAAGAAAAAAAGCAAGGAUUAACUCACUUGGUGAAAAAAUCAUGAAAAACCAGCUUGAAUAAACCCUUAGGACAUUUUUGGCUGAUGAGAAUGCAGAAAAAUAAAGAGAAAUCUAGAUAAUUCCACUUUAGUCCUAACUUUUAAAGUGAAUUUUUGCAAUAUUCCAAUUUUACCCUUAAUUCUCCAAUUCUCCUGAUUUUUCUCAGCUUGUGCCGCCCAAAAUAUCUUCUUUUGGGCUUAUUUCAAUUUAUGUCCCUCCUCAUUUAACAAUUGAGCUAUUUAAUCCUUCUAGUAACUUUUACACCUUUUUCAAUUUAGUCCUUUUCACUUAAUUGACUGCCCAAACAUUAAAAUUUUCUAACAAAAUUUUAAUAUCAUAUUAAUAACAUUUCAUAAAUAUUUAUAAAAAUAUUUUUGACUCAGUUUUACGAGAUUGAGGUCUCGAUACCUUAUUUUUACCCAAUUUCUUCAAUAAUUUCUUUUUCUAACUAACCACUAAAUCGGUAAAAUUUUUCUAUCGAUAUUUUCAUACGAUUUUUCUAUCAUAUCAAUAUUCAUGCAAAAAUAUUAAAAUAAAUUUCUCUUUAAAUCAGAUUUGUGGUUACGAAACCACUGUUCCGAUAACCUUGAAUUUAGGCCAUUACAACUCCGACCAGUCGUCACCGCGCCGGCCGCCGGUCACCAAUGACGGCGCCGCCGUAUUCGGUGGCUGAAAAAAGGUAAAACCUCCAACCCUAUCCUUUCGACCCUCCUAAAUCCAAAUCUGGGUUCAAAAUUCCCAAAAUAUUAACAAAAACGCCCCAAAAGCUCAAGAAACCUUUCAGUUUUCGGCCACCUAUCCUCGAAGGUGACUUCCUCAGCCGUCCACGGCGUUGAAAAACCCAAAUACAGGUUAGUUUGUUACUCCAUUUUUCCUUUUGUUUUACUUUCGUAUGUGUAAAUAUGAUAAAAAUAAAAUAACAGUAGACCAAAAAUGAAACGAAGAUUUAGAAAAUAGCAGUAGAUGUAAACCUUUCGAGAUUUUUCUAUUGAUUUUGAGUUCUCUGAGUAUUCAAUCCCUUUUUUUAUUACAUUUAUUGAUGGGGCCUUUUAUAGCCGAUUUACAUGUUUUUUUUUCUUUCGCUUCUGUUCUUGUUGCUUCUGUGUUUGUCUAUUUUCUGUCCUGUUUGCAGGUCUUGGCAAGGUCAACAGACAUUGAAGGGAUAACCCCUGCCAUUUUGGUGCAAGGCCGUAGACGCCUGUCAGGCUUUGGGCGAUGAGUGCGCUGCAGGGGCACGAAGAGGGAGUGCGGCGCACAUGGAGCACUAGGGUUUCAGUUUUCCCCUGAAAGCAGUUUGGUUGUGGGCUGAAUUGGGUUAGGUUUUUUUAUUUUGGGCCAUACCAGGCUUGGCAUGUAAUUGGGGUUUGGGUUUGUUAUUGAGUUUUGGGCCCGGGCAAAAAUGGCCUAUUACACAAAUAAUAAAAAUUAAAAUCAAAUCAUCAUAUUUAUUAUAUUAGUCUAAAAAGCAACUGAUAAUAUAAUUGCUAAUAAAAGCUAAAAGAAAAAUCAACAUUGUAUGCAAUUUUAUCUAAUUAUUCUAGUGCAUAUUUGUUGCUUUAUUCCCUCUUCAAAAUUUAACAUAUGCUCCUUAUUAUCGUCUGUUGGUUUUUGAUCAAAUUCGUCAUCACCAAAAUUUGAAUUUGUAUCAUUAAGAUUAUCAAGAUUUCCUUCUUUCAUGUACUCUUUGAAGUAUGGAUCAUCUUGAUUCUACUUAUAAUUCAAGUUAUGAAAUAUGCAAUAUGCUAGUGUCAUGGGGUUAGACCUUUCAUCUCGCAAAUUGUGUGGCCUUAGACAAUUUCUUCGCUUCAAAUGUGUCUAAGUCAGCCUAACUUUCGCAAAGUGAGAAUUCUCGCAGAAUUCCUCUCUAAGGCAUUGAAAAUAUAGUGGAAGCAAUCUCAAAGACAAAAGAAAGCUAAAAAAAAACAUAAUAGCCACAAAAAAAGUAAAAGUACACCAAGUUAAAUGUUCUCAAUUAGUAUUUACUAAUAAAAAAAUGAAAUACAAUGGAUGAUUACAAAUUAGGGGAGGCUCUCUAUUUAUAGUUGAGUUCUCCCAAAACGGAAGAUAUAGAUUGAGUUACAUCGACGGAUGAGAUCGAAGCAUAUCUACAAUUAAGAGAUAAUCCCCAAGAUUACAAAAUUAAAUCUUAUCAUAUUACAAAUCUUCUAAGAUUUAUUUCCCUAUUUACCAAGGUAACCCUAAUUUUCCAUAAGUGCUUUGUUAGGCCACCAAGGCUUUAAGUAGAUGGGUUUCGUCACUUGUUCUUCAAAUUGGACCAAUUCAAGUGGGUUAAAUGAGGCCUAUUUUAUAUGUAGACCUCAAUAGGAUGCUCUUUGUGCCUUGGUCACGAGCUUUGAACCGUGGCCUGUGACACUAGUAUGAUCCAAUCUUUUUUUUUUAAAUGUUAUAUAAAUAUGAAAAAUAUUUUUUUUAGAAUAACAAAUGUCUUCUCAACUAAAAUUUGAAGUAGUGGUGGAUCCUAGGACAAAGUUUUGGGGUCAAAAAGAUCUUAGGAGUUUAAUAAGGAUUUUUUUUAAAAAAAUUUGGGAACUAAUUAAAUUUUUUUGAGAUUGAUGAGAAUUUUCAAAAUUUUGAGGGGGUGUGAUUAAAAUUUUCUAACAAUUUCAAGAGAGAAAUGAACAAAAAAAAAAAAUUUCUUCCUUUUCUUCUAUGUUGCAUCCAUUGAAAUGAGCAAAAAGGAAUAAAUCAAUUUUGAUUUUAGGGUUCCAAAUCUUAAAUGAAAGUAAGAGUUUGAAAACACAAAAUAUUAAUUUCCUUACUACAGGUUGAAAUUACGUGGAAUUAUUAUAAUUAGGUACCAAAAUGAAAAAGAAACCAUACCAAUAUUUCGUUAACAAAUUAAUAAAGAGUGGUUAAAAGAUAACCAAAUGAUAAUAUUAAUGAUGAAAGUGAAAGUUUUUUCGUAGUUCGAUGAUCAAAAUAAGAAAUGCUAAUAAUUAAGUUUGGAAGUAAUAAUAUUUAUAUGAUAAUAAUAAAUUUCAAAAGAAAAUUAUUUUUAAAAAAAUUGUAAUUAUAACAAUUUAAAUAUAUAUAAAAAAAGCAUCCAACAAAUAUAUCGAAAUAUUGCAAUAAAAGGAUGAAGAAAUCAUAAUAUAACCAUACAUGAAUUAGAAAUCAUUUUAUUUCAAAUAUAAAUGAAAUUUGAUAAUGAAAUAAAUUAAAUUAAACAAAUUAUAAAGUAAGAUAUGAAUAUAUAUAUAUAUAAGUUGUGAAAAAUUUUAAAAUAAAAUAAAAAAUUGUUCUAGAAAUCAUUGACUCUCACGUUCCACCCUCUUUUAUUUAUUAAUUAAUUAUAUUUUUUACUCUUCCACGGUCCUUUAUUUUUUGAAAGGAAAUCUCAUUUGGCUUGACACAAAAGUCAUACAUAAUAUUUGUUGUAUAUAGACUUAUUUCAAAUGUUUGAAUUUUCCAAAAACACACACACACAAAGUCGAUGUGGAAUUAAAAUUUUGGUGCCAAGGUCCACUACAUUUUCCACAACCACUAUAAUUAGACUAGAAUUAUCUCUCCGCGUACACUUGGGUUUAAAAUUUUUAAUUAAAAUUUAUUAUAAUCUUAACAUAGAAAUUAAAUUUGUGAUUAUUUUUAUAAUAGAAUAUAAAGUCUUAAAUUAUAAUGACAACAUAGUUGAGAAAAAUAUUUUAAUUUUAAAAAUGUAUAAAAACUGUUAAUUUUUUUAUUUAUUUUGGGACUAUUUGACAAAAAAACGUAAAUUUAAGGGCUAAAAAAGGUAAAAUAAAUAAAAAUAUAUGGAGACCUAAAAUGAUUUUUUUUAAAAAUAAAACUUUCAUAUUGUUAGUUUAAUGACUAAUGUUAUAAUUUAACCUUUAUUUUUGAAAGGGAAUCUCACUUAAAACGAUCCCACCACUUAGACUACAGUGGCGAAACUAGGACUGGUAAGGGCCCCUUAAAAUGAAAAUUUUUUCAUAUAGUCCCUUUAAAAUUUUUAAAAUUUUAAAUUAGUAAAGGUAAAAUUGUACUUUGGUCUCAUUUAAAAAUAUAAAAAUUUGAUUAAUAAACCUUUAUAUUAAUAUGUACAAAUAAUUUAUAAAUUAAAAAAUUAUCUUUUUAAAUAUAUAAAGUAAAUUUAUAAAUUAAAAAAUUUAUAAAAGAUGGAAUUACUUAAUAUAUUUAAUUUUCCUUUAAAUGAAACAAAUUAUUUGUUGACUUAUUACAUUUAUUCCGUAUGAUUUAAUUUUAAAUUUUAUUUUUUAAUCUUCACAGAAUUAUUAGAUACUUUAAGCAACUUAGAGAAGCUUGACACGAAUCGUAAUGAGGUGAAGGAAUUUGUGCCCAUAAAGAAUAAAAAUAUAUGCAUCAACUAAAUAAUAUAAAUUAUUUAAAAAUAAAACACUUUUCAUUAUUUGAUAGAUUCAUUGAUUACCAAAUAUACGAUAUUUCAAAAAAAAAACAAUUAAAGAAAUCCAGCACUUGAAAGUGCUGAUAGAGCAAUAAUUUGAAGCAGUUAAGAAACUUGUAGGAAGGGUAUAGAAAGAAGGUUGGAGGCUUGACGCCAAAAGUCACCAUAGUGGUCUGCUUAGAUCGUUUGGGGCGACUGAAUUUUCCACAUUGAAAACGAAGCCACUAUUGCUACGAAGACCCUUGAAUUUUCCACAAAGAAUUUAUCCCAUAAAUAGAAUUUAUCAUUACAUUAUAUCAAAUUAUGAAUAAUUCAGAGAUUUGCACAUGUACCUUUUUAUUUUAUUUUAUUUUUUCUUUUUUAUUAUUAAAUUCUUUUGAAGCAAAUAAAGAUAAAUUUAUUAUUUUAAAAUUAAUUAAUUAAAAUACUCAUAUUUUUAAAAUGUUAUCAUGGAAGGAGACUCUUUCAUUGUCAAAAUCCAAACAAAAGGAGGAAGAUUUCAUAGAUGGACAACUAGAACUAAACCUGUUUAAUUAUAAGUCGGAUCAGGCCUGCUCAAAAAGUGAGAGGGUUUGAGUAAAAUUAUAACCUUAAAAAAUGGGUUUAGACAAAAAAAUAAUGUCUGUUUAAAAACGGAUCAGACUUCAGGUAAGGCAUUUUUCACCCGAGUCCAAUCCGAAUUCACAAAAUGACAAAAAAAUCUACUAUUUUUUGUUAUUUUAAUUCUAUUUUCUUGUUAUUUUCUUCUUAUUUUGUUACCAUUUCACUAUUAUGUUAUUACUAUUUUGUUGUUAUUGUUUGGAUAUUAUAUAACACUUGUUUUAUUGUUAAUUUUGUUAUUCUUUUAGAGGCAUUUGUUUGUUAAGUUGCAUCUAUCUUAGUGUUAUUUAAGUAUACGUAUUUUUUAAAAUUUAUUUUUACUUUGUUGGAAAAUAUUUAAUUUAAUGUUUUUAGUAUUUUUGAUGUAUUAUAUAUAUUUAAAAAUUAUAUAAAAAUAAUAUAAAAAAUUAAUAUGGGCAGGUUGGGCCCGGGCCUAAAUUUUUGUUUGGGCCCAGUCGAACCCAACCCAUGAGCAUCUCUAUGGAGAAGCAAGAAAUGAAACUUUAUUGAUAAGUGUCAAAAGUAACAUAUUUUAGUCUCAUCCUUAAUAUUUUUUUUAGGUGAUUAUGUGACAUUAAUUGUGAAAUAUAUAUUUCUAAUCUUUUAUAUUCAUGUUUUGAUACUUAAUAAGGCGCUUGAAAAUAAUAUGAGUGAUAAAUAGUGGAAAUUAGAACUUUGAAGUAUUCCAGACGCUACGCACAUGCAUCAAAUUUUCACACAAACAAUUUAUGAUUUUUAAGUUUUUUUAGCAUUCUAACAACAUAUAAAUAAGGAAAUAAGAAGGGAGGAAGACAACCACGAAAUUACCUUCAGAACAUUAUUAAAGCCUAUUAAAUUAAAUUUUCUAACUCCUUUUGAAUUUGUAUUAGCAAAUUCAAAUAUAUUUACUCCAAAAUUAAAUUCGUCGUUUUUCUCUUCUAUUUUAUUUUAAUUUCUAACAUCUUAUUAAGUCUUUACAAUCUUGUUAUUAUUUUUCAAUCCAUAAUUUGUUAUUGAUGGGUGUCGAUUCCACCAAUAUAAACCUACGCCUAAUUUGCAAAUUUAAGCAGUAUAGGAAGUAGAGUUGAUCCCUUAGAGACUGGGUUUACUGCAAAUUAUUGCUCUCUUGACCAGAUUUAUAUCGGGGCAGUUGUCGUGCUCAAGAAGUUCGGGGGGAUAAAAUUUGAAACCUGAAAUAAAUAAAUAAAAUGCGUAAAAAGUAAAAGUUGAAAAUAAAAUAAUAAAAAGCAGUUAAAUAAAUCUGAAGAAAAAUGAAUUAAACUAAGCUCAGCUUUAGGCACGGGUUUUUCUCGUCUUUGAACUGAUCCUCGAAAUUAGAUGAACUCCUCUUUUCCAAUAAACUAGUUAUAGCUACCAAGGACGCCUCGGACACCAACUCUUCCUUGUGUAAAUUAGUUAAGAAACGUCCAAUAACUAACCCUUACCGAUCGAACAACCAACGAAAUGUUCAUGAUUUAGAACUCCGGCAGCUUUGCGUUCUAGAAGAUUCUAGCUCGAACCAAUGCCCUCAACCGCGUGGGACAUUUAAAUCUGGUUACUACUUCCCUUAACGGAACCAAACAGCAAUCCCCACUUGGCACGCCAAUGUGUUCACAGAAAACCGAUUAGACAAUCGAUCCUUUCGAAAUUCCAACUGUACGUCUAACCACACUAACUCAAACGACGUCUUUUUUGACUUAGUGUUGAUUUGACUUUGUGAGUUGACGAAGUCAUACUCUUAAUCCGGAGAAAUAAUAAGUACUGGAAUUUAGGAGUCAAAUUGCUCGGGUUCGUAACUCACGGAUCUUAACGAAGUUAACACCGGCCUAAAGCUGAAAUGGAUACUUAAUAAAAAAAUUGGUAAUUAAAAACUUGAUUAAUGACUUGAUUCAAGACUUGAUUCCUAAAUGAACAAUGUAGCCCCCUAUUUAUACUAGUGGCUUUGCUAAAUUAAGAGCCACUAGCCAUAGAGAAUCAAGGAAAUAAAAUAUUCCAUCAUAUAAAAAUCCCUACAUAAUCUCCCACUAAUUAAGUCAACAAAAAUUUCAGCUAAUUAUAUCUUGGAAAAUUUUUGCUUUGGCCCGCCUUCUUUGCUCUUUUCUUCAAUCUAGCCCAAUUGCUUCUCCUUUUUCUCUUUUGACCCCAAAUUGUACACCUGUGUAAAAUUUAAGUUAAACAUGGAAAAAUUAGUGGUGCACUCUCGUAAAUUAACCAAUUUAAUUACAUAAAAUAUGUAAUUUUAGCAUUUAAUCAAAUCCCUCUACUUAUUUAAUGCUAGUCCUCGAGCAUUAUGCAUGUAUCUACAAAAGGAAAAAUUUCUUCUAAAAUAGGACUUGACUCCCAUGGUUUGCACAAUUCAACAAUUUAAUCCUAGCACAUUAACAUCUCAAAUAACCUAGCCUAAGAAGGAAGUAAAUAUAUUUCAGAAUUUAUUAGAGCUUGAUAGACUUACCUUUCAUUUUAUUAUUUUUGUACUUGGGACAUUUUCGAAUUUUUUGACGCGAGACAUGAUGACAACCCAAGCACCAUGUUCCGGUUACUUGAUUCGGAUGUCUCUAAGCGGGAUAUUUCACCCUACUCGUGAUAGCUUGUUAGCGGAGUGAGUGCAAAGAAAUUGGACAGCCACAUGAACCUUUUUACGUGAGAUGUGAUGACAACCCAAGCACCACGUUCCGGUUACUUAGCCCGAUGUACAACCCCAAUUUUUCACUCUUAACAUUCGUAUCAGAGGAGUAUUAUUAUUCAUUUUUUCUUUUUUUUUUCCUUUUUUUUAAGACAAGAAGACAGAAAAUUGACAUGUGAUAUAAGGUAGGCAGUCAAGCAAACUCAUAAUUCGUAAAAAUUUCUUACCCACUAAGUCUAGGUUAUUGAAAAGUUUAUGUGUAAAGAACUAAAUGGCUAAAUAGGUCAAACCAUAAGUGUUCCAUCCCAAUUUAUCAAAAGAAAAAAUUUUACCUUUCACGGAAAACAUGCAAAAACAGCGACAAUGGAUAAGCAAAAUAGAACCAAUAUAUGUUCCUUUCCCCCUACUUGUUUUACAUUGUCCCUAAUGUAAUUUGAAUUGAAUUAAAUGAUAAAAAGUAAAGGUAAGUAGGGAAAGGAAAAAGAAACUCCCCAUGUAUUUCAACGUCAUGGAGGGUUGCCUCGUAGGUGUGUCCACGGUGUUAAAUAGUGGGUAGGUGGAUUGGGCCUUGGCUGAAAUUAAAAGAAUUUUAUGGGCUGACAUGGGAGAUUUAAUUUUGUCUUGGAAUGUCUCCCAAGUCUUCCCUUAGACAGAACUGAUCCUCGACAUGCAUUUUCAUUUUCCGUUUACCAAAAAUUUUAUUUGCAUAAAGGGAAAAAUUUGGGUUGCCUCCCAACAGCGCUUUGUUUAACGUCGUUAGCUCGCCGAUCUGUUAUUCAAAUUCUGGGCUCCCCAAGAACAAUUGUAAGUGUUGCCAGUCCCCAGCAACAGCGCCAAAACUGAUGGGUGUCGAUUCCACCAAUAUAAUCCUACGCGUAAUUUGCAAAUUUAAGCAGUAUAGGGACUAGGGUCGAUCCCUCAGAGACUGAGUUUACUGCAAAUUGUUGCUCUCUUGACCAGAUUUAUGUCAGGGCAGUUGUCGUGCCCAAGAAGUUCGGGGGGAUAAAAUUUGAAACCUGAAAUAAAUAAAUAAAAUGCGUAAAAAGUAAAAGCUGAAAAUAAAAUAAUAAAAAGCUGUAACACCCCUUACCCGAGACUGUUGCUGGAGUCGAGCACGAGGCAUUACCUGACUUACUUACUAAUUCGGAGCAUAAAAUUUGCUUUUAAAAUUAAUUCAUUCACAAUCAAUCCAUAUGUCCCUAAAAGAACUCUCGAGACCCCAAAAUCAUGUAAUAAAAAUGGUUCGGGUCCAAACCGGGAACAUUUAUAAUUUUCCGAAUACUUAAUCAAAUUAAAACAAUUUAUUUCACUAUUCACAAUAAAACUGUCCACCUGCGCAGCAGUCACUUAUUUAAUUAUAACUCGAGUUACGAAACUCAAAAUUUAGAUUCGUAAAUUUUCCCUGAAACUAGAAUCAUAUAUCUUUUUCACUGUCCAGCCAAUUAGUACAGUUUAUUCUUUAAAUUCUCCCCUGUUUCACUGCUCGACAGCUCUGACCCCUCUUCACUAAAAAUUAAUUAUCUUAUUGUACAGAAUUCAGAUAAUAUUAUCGUUUGUUUCUAUUGAAAAUAAAAUCACUAAGGAAUCUAGGCAUAUAAAUUAUAACUCAUAAUUCCUUCUAUACAAUUUUUAAUGAAUUUUUAAAGUCAGAACAGGGGACUUCAGAAACCAUUCUGACCCUGUCUCACUAAAAUUCAAAUAUCUCAUAAUAUAUAACACUUUUUCUACUCUAUUUCUUUCAUGUGAAAAUAGACUCAUUCAGAUUUAAUUUCCUAUCUCACUCAGGUUCUAAUUCAAUUUAUUCUAUUUUUGGUGAUUUUUCAAAAUCACGUCACUGCUGCUGUCUAAAAACUGUUUCAUUGCAAAUUUUUACUCUCUUUUUUGGUGAUUUUUCAAAAUCUGAAGAAAAAUGAAUUAAACUAAGCUCAGCUUUAGGCACGGGUUUUUCUCGUCUUUGAACCGAUCCUCGAAAUUAGAUGAACUCCUCUUUUCCAAUAAGCUAGUUAUAGCUACCAAGGACUCCUCGGACACCAACUCUUCCUUGUGUAAAUUAGUUAUGGAACGUCCAAUAACUAACACUUACCGGUCGAACAACCAACGAAACGUUCGUGAUUUAGAACUCCGGCAGCUUUGCAUUCUAGAAGAGUCUAGCUCGAACCAAUGCCCUCAACCGCGUGGGACAUUUAAAUCCGGUUACUACUUCCCUUGACGGAACCAAACAGCAAUCCCCACUUGGCACACCAAUGUGUUCACAGAAAACCGAUUAGACAAUCGAUCCUUUCAAAAUUCCAACUAUACGUGUAACCACACUAACUCAAACGACGUUUUUUUUUACUUAGUGUUGAUUUGACUUUGUGAGUUGACGAAGUCAUACUCUUAAUCUGGAGAAAUAAUAAGUACUGGAAUUUAGGAGUCAAAUUGCUCGGGUUCGUAACUCACGGAUCUUGACGAAGUUAACACCGGCCUAAAGCUGAAAUGGAUACUUAAUAAAAAAGAUUGGUAAUUAAAAACUUGAUUAAUGACUUGAUUCAAGACUUGAUUCCUAAAUGAACAAUGUAGCCCCCUAUUUAUACUAGUGGCUUUGCUAAAUUAAGAGCCACUAGCCAUAGAGAAUCAAGGAAAUAAAAUAUCCGAUCAUAUAAAAAUCCCUACAUAAUCUCCCACUAAUUAAGUCAACAAAAAUUUUAGCUAAUUAUAUCUUGGAAAAUUCUGCUUUGGCCUGCCUUCUUUGCUCCUUUCUUUCUUCAAUCUAACCCAAUUGCUUCUCCUUUUUCUCUUUUGACCCCAAAUUGUACACCUGUGUAAAAUUUAAGUUAAACAUGGAAAAAUCAGUGGUGCACUCUCGUAAAUUAACCAAUUUAAUUACAUAAAAUAUGUAAUUUUAGCAUUUAAUUAGUUAUUUAUUAGUUUAGAUUUUUUUCUAUGUUGAAUAUAUUUUAGUAAAUAAUAUUUCAUAUUUAACUCUAAAUUUGUUUUUUUAAUAAUAUACACUAGUUAUUCAAUAUAAAUUAAUGUAUCUAAUAAAAUAUAUUUUAAAAUCUAUAUUUUAAAUAUUUUAAGAUUAGAAACCUAAUUUAAAUUUAUUCAAAAGGACAUUUUAAUUAUUAAGUAAUUUAAUUUUAUAAAUAAUUAUAUAUAUCUAUUUGAACAACAAAUACAUAGUAUAUUUAAAAUAUAAUUAAUUAAUUAAAAAUAUUAUUUUCUAUCAUUGUUUUUAUGUAUCUACUUAAAUUUAAAACUAAAAGGAUGUAUGAUAAUGAAUAAGAAAAAUAAUCAAUUAUUUUAUUGAAAAUAAUUCAACUCUAAUUUAAGAUUAAAUAAAGACAGAUGAAGGCUAUUAUAUUAGAAUUAACUUUUUUUUAGUUUUUAUAUAAUUGGAAUUUACUAAUAUGAAGUAAAAAAAAUGCAUUUUAAUAUUGUAACAUUCAUUUACUUUAUAUCAACAAAAUGUUCAACCUUGAAAACAUUAGUUAUGAUUUUUUUUUUGAUAUAUUUACUCAAAUGAUAAAAAUAUUAAUUGAUGUAAAUAAAUAAAAAAUGAUGCAUUUGCAUUUGGUAAGAUUUAAUUAAACAAUAAAAUGUUUUUUUUAUUCUCAUUGAAUAAUUUACUUAUAAAAAUAAUUGUUUCAAAACAUGAAUAUCAGAUCAUAUCUAAUUACCUACAAUAUGAAAUGAGAAAAUUCAUAAAUUUAUUUACUUCAAUUGAAUAAAUUCAAAAAAAAAAUAAACUAAAUAUUCUUAUAUAAAACAUUUACUUUAUAAUUUUUUAAUAAAUUUCAUAUAAUUAUUUGUAAUUAAAUCUAAUAUAAAUAAAAAGACAAACCCGCAGAGCGGGGUUAUAUCCCUAGUAUAGUAAUAAAAUCAAUGCAAUGGGACCCAACUUUUGGAAGAAGAGAGGAUUUCAAGUUGUCUAUAUAGGCUUUGGUUGAUUGAAAUGCAGGAAGGUAUCAAGUGAGUGGUUUGUUGAUUUAGAGAAGAUGGAGGCUAAAUCGUUGUGGGUACUACUCGCUACACUUGUGUUUAUCAUACAAGGGUGGCCACAGACUGAGGGGUGCUUGGAGCUGGAGAGAAUUGCUCUCUUCCAACUCAAAUCUAAUUUCUUCAAUCACCCUUCAUAUUUGAAGGACUGGGUAGAUGUGAAGGGUUCGAAUUGUUGUCAGUGGGAAAGAAUUGAGUGCAACAUCACCAGUAACCGAGUAAUUGGUCUCUAUCUUUAUUCUGUACGUCAAAGUGAUACAUAUGGGUAUCUCAAUAUCUCUUUAUUUCUUCCAUUUGAAGAAUUAAAGAAUCUUUAUUUGAGUGACAAUAAAAUUACAGGUCUUGUGAAUAACCAAGGUUUAUUGCUUUUCUUCUCUCCAAUGACUGAUUCAUCUUUAAAAUUUGAUUUAAUGUUUUCUAAUUAAUUCGUUUAUUUUACAGAUGAGAAAGUGCAAUCGAUGAUGAAUCUGGAAGUGCUUGAUUUGUCUCGUAAUCUCUUGAAGAACAAUGAUGUGGCAUUUCUUAAGGGGUUAGCUAGUUUAAAGUCCUUGAAUAUGGGAGGAAACCAAUUGGAAGGGUCAAUAGGUAUUACAGGUAUGUAAAAUUUCGUAAAAUAAAAAUAACAAGCUAUACGUAAAUUACAAUUUCAUGAAUCUUUUUAACUAUUAAAAAAUUAUAUCCAAAUAUAUUUCCUUCAUAUAGGUAGUAAAAUAAAGGCAUAAUGAUUUUUUUGACCUUCCAACUUUAUAAAAAAAAAUCAUUUUUAGUCCUUAAUUAAAUUUUUUGUCUAUUUUAGUCUUUACACAUGUUUUUUUUUUCAAAUCACGCCAAAAUAGAUGGUUGGUAAUGUGGCAAACAUGUGGAUUUCCAUGUAACUGACAGAUCAUUUAAUUAAAUUUUUUUAAAAUUUAAGUUUUUUUAAAUUUCUAUUUUUUAAUAGUUUUAAUGAUGUUUAAUUUUUAAAAAUACUUUUUAUAUUUUUUUGAAUUUUUCAGUUUAAAAAAAAAUUAAAUGCUGACGUGUUAUCCACAUGACAAUCCAUGUGUAUGUAAUGUCAACAAAGUUUUAAAAUGUUAAUUUUUUUAUUCACUUUAAGAUAAUUUGACAAAAAAAUACAAGUUUAAGGAUUAAAAACAUGAAAAAUUAAAUGGAAGCAUAAAAUAAUUUUUUUUUAUAAAGUUGAAAGGUUAAAUAAGUUAUUAUGCUUAAAAUAGAAUGUAUUUGAUGACUUUUUUUUAUCAAGGAAAGUAGUUGGAUUUCAUGAACCAAAAUUACUUAAUCUUUGUCAUAUGACUUUGUUUGAGUGACAAAAAAGAUAUUUGAUUGAUUUGAAUAGUAUUGAAUAACUUGACAAAGCUAAAGGAGUUGGAUUUGAGUGGCAAUAAAAUUGAGAGCCUGAAAUCUCCUCACGGUAUGUGUUGAUUUACUUUACUUUCUCAUAUUCUCGCAUAUACAUUCCAAUAUCUCAUUUAAAAUUCUAUUAGUAAUAAAUUUGCUUAUCUAAAUGCUUUGUAGAGGGGCUAGUUAAUUUGACUAAUUUAGAAGAACUUAAUAUGGAUUACAACUACUUCAAAAACAACUCAUUGGCAUAGCUUAGUGGGUUUUCCAAUCUAAAGUUAUUGAGUAUAAGCGAAAACCAGCUUAAAGGAUCAAUAAAUAUUAAAUGUGGAAUUACUUAAUAUAUUUAAUCUUCCUUUAAACAAAGCAAACUAUUUGUUGAAUUAUUGUCUUUAUUAUGUGUGAUUUAAUUUUAAAUUUAAUUUGUCUAUUUUUAUAGAAUUAUUAGAUGCUCUGAGCAAUUUAGAGUCACUGAGAAAAAUAUUUUAAUUUUAAAAAAUGUAUAAAAUUUAUAUAUUAUCUCUUGAAUAAUUUAAAUUAUAAUGAUAUUUUUAAUAUAUUAAAAUUAAUAUAUUAUCACUUUUACUAUUAUAUAAAAAAUUAUAUUAACAUAUAAAAAUCAUUUAUAAAUUAAAAAUUUAUCUCUCUAAUAUAUUAAGUAAUUUAUAAAUUAAAAAAUUUAUAAAAAUUUUGAUGUUGAGAGACUUGGUAAGUGUCCAUAUAUUUUACUUUAUCAAAUUGCUACAUUUAUUAUACUAAUAUCUAAAUGCUUUGUAGAUACAAUUUAAAUCUCAUUAAUUAAUUUUUUAUUAAUAUAUUAUAGUUUUUUAAUUUAAAAAUUCAAUCUAAAUAUUAAAUGUUGUUAUAAGUGUAUAACAAUCACUUAUCUAUAACAUCCAAUAGUGGUUAUACAAAAGUUGACUAUAAGUGAAUUUUUGUGACUAACAAAAAAUGUAUUGAAUUUAUUUGGAUAGUAUUGAAUAAUCUGACAAAGCUAAAGCAGUUGGAUUUGAGUGACAAUAAAAUUUGAGAGCCUCCAAUCAUCUCAUGGUAUGUGUUGAUAUAUUUUACUUUAUCAUAUUCUUACAUAUACAUACCAAUAUCUUAUUUAAUAUUCCAUUAGUAAUAAAUUUGUUUAUCUCAAUGCUUUGUAGAUGGUGAGAGGCCACUUAAUGUAACCAAUUUAGAAGAGCUUAAUUUGGAUUCCAACUCCUUCACAAACAGCUUAUUGGCACAGCUUAGUGGGUUUUCCAAUUUAAAGUCACUAGAUAUAGGGUAUAACCAGCUUAAAGGAUCAAUAAAUAUUAAAGGUGGAAUUACUUAAUAUAUUUAAUCUUCCUUUAAAUGAAAUAAACUACUUGUUGAGUUAUUGCAUUUAUUCUAUGUGAUUUAAUUUUAAAUUUUGUUUGUCAAUUUUUACAGAAUUAUUAGAUGCUUUAGGAAACUUAGAGGAGUUAGACAUGAGCGGGAAUGAGGUGAAGGAAAUUGUGCCCAUAAAGAAUAAAGGUAUAUGUAUCAACUAAAGGAAAUCUUACUAAUUGUUUUCCAUUAGAUAUCAAGUGAACUGAUUCCAACCACUAAUUUGACUCUUAGACAAUGGAAGUUUGGGAAAGCUAAAGGUUGCUACAUUAAACCGUGUGUUCACCGAUGGAACUGCUUCUCUAAUACAACUUCUAGAGACAUUCUCAUCUGUUAAUACAUUAUAUUUGAGUGACAAUUACUUCAACGACACCUUUUCUACUCAAGGUAUAAUAUAUAUGUAUGUGAAUAUAUAGUUUUAUAGUUUGGUUCCAUUUAAAAAUAUUAUUUACUUAACGUCAAUCAUCUAAAUAACUCUUAUAAAUUUGUAAAGAUAAAUUGCAUGUGUCGAGCAAAAUUGAGGAAUUAGUACUAGAUCAAUCAUCUCUCAACAACAACAUUCUUCAAAGUAUUGGUGCAUUGGCUUCUCUUAAAAUUGUCUUUGAGUGGUUGUGGGCUGUCUGGGACAUUACCUACCCAAGGUAAAUUAAUAAUUAUGACAUAAUUAUUUAGACAAGCUCUUGAUUAAUUAUUUUUUAUCCUCCUAGAAUAUUUAAAUAAUUUGUACAAAUUUAUUUUACAGGAUGGUGUGAUUUACGGAAAUUUGAGGUGUUGGAUCUUAGUGAAAAUGCUCUUAAAGGAACCCUCCCUUCAUGUUUGGCUAACUUGUCAUCACUUCAUUAUUUGGAUAUUUCCGGUAAUCAAUUCGUCGGGAAAGGUGCCUCCACUGCCUUAGCCAAUCUCAAUUUGCUUAAAUUCAUUUCUCUUUCACGAAACCUUUUCGAAGUUCCUUCCAUUUUCAUAUCUUUUGCCAACCAUUCACACCUCAAAGUACUCUCCAGCAAUCAAAACAAGUUAGUCGAAGAGCCUACCAUUCCAACAUGGGUCCCAAAGUUCCAACUAAAAGCCUUCCGUUUGUCAAAUUGCACAACAAAGGAACUCCACAUUGAACUUUCGAAAUUCCUCUAUUACCAAAAUAACCUGAGUAUUAUUGAUCUUUCAUAUAAUAAUUUUGAAGGAAAGGUUCCUUUUUGGUUGUUAGAGAACAAUACAAGAAUGGAAGCAUUUUUAAUGACGGGUAACUCUUUUAUGAGUCAUCUCAAUCUUCCAUCUCAUCCGAAUCCAAACAUAUCCUUUGUUGAUAUAUCUGACAACAAAAUACAAGGUCCAAUUCCAACAAACAUUUGUUCAAUCUUUCCACAACUAAAUGGGUUAAACCUAUCAGGCAAUUCCCUUCAAGGUAAUAUUCCUCCUUGUCUGGGUAGUUUGACCACUUGGAAUUUAUUAUUAGAUCUGUCACAUAAUCAGCUAUCUGGAGGAAUACCAGAAAUGUUAGCUCAAAGUGACUCGUUGAGGUUUCUUAGGCUAUCAAAUAAUCAUCUAAGUGGAAAGAUAACCCCAACGAUCUUUUGCUCAACUUCAUUACGAUUGCUAUAUUUAGAUGGCAAUAACUUUGAUGGAAAUAUACCUAGCAUUGUUAUCUCAACUUUCCUUUCAUAUUCCCUUGUUGAUAUGGAUUUAAGUAACCACAAUUUGUCCGGAGAGCUCCCAAGAUGGAUAUGGAAAGUGUCAAAUUUAAAUGCAUUGUCAGUAUCCAACAAUCAGCUCAAGGGUCUCAUUCCGAUGGAAUUGUGCUAUUUGGAUUCCCUUAAAAUUUUAGACCUUUCAGAAAAUAAAUUUUCUGGCCUAAUACCAUCUUGCUUCGAUGCACAAUCUAUCAUGCAUCUCCAUUUGAGCAAAAAUAGAUUAAGUGGCACCUUGACAAAUGCAUUCUUUAAUAGCUCUUCCUUGGUGACUUUAGAUCUUAGUGAAAAUCAGCUGAGUGGAGAAAUUCCAUACCAGAUUGGAACUCUUUCUGCUUUGAGUGUUCUACUUCUAAAAGCCAAUUAUUUUAUUGGAGAAAUUCCCAUUGAGAUAUGUAAAUUGUAUUCUUUAAGUAUCAUUGAUCUUUCUCAAAACAAGCUUUUUGGUCUGAUACCUUCUUGUUUGAGUCGUUUAACUCUUGAUCCAAAUGAUGAAAAAUCUUCAACAAAGACCUAUGUGGAGGGCUCUGGAGGAAUCUUUGAGCCGGGUAAUUACUUUGGAGUGACUGAAUUUGAAUUUUUCACUUUAAGAGGAUACUGAUGAAGUUGGUUCAGCAUGCAGCAAACUCAACAGCAUGCAGGCCAUGAAGACCAAGUCGUGCAGGAGCUGCUGGAACGAGCUGAACUAUUCCUAUUUUGUUCAUCUAGUAAUCUUAAGUUAAUGUAUUGUACUUUAGUUCAUUUAGAACUAUGUUAGGUUUAUGAUUGAUGUAAUUUUGAUGACAAUUGAGCUGUUAAGUCAGCUUUGUUUAAGUGUGUAAGCUUAGUUUUUCAAGUUUCAAUGUAUUAGUGGUAGUAUGUGAUGAUUAGGUAUCAUUAUGCAGAUUUUGACAAGCAAAUUGCUUGGUUUAUGUAUUGGCAUUAUGCCAUUGUUCAAUAUAUGGAUGAAAUCAGCUUUGUUCAUCAAUAUUCUCUCAAAUUUCCUCAGCUUAUUUUCUUCUUUCUUCAACUCGAAAUUGUUUGUUUGCUCAGCAAGAUUCGAGGCUUGCUCGACAAGAUACUUGCUGAGUCUGUUUGAUUCUGCUGUUGCACCAACAAUUGGUAUCUAGAGCUUAUUUCUUAAGGGACCUGUUAUACAAAUCCAUGGCUUCAUCAAGCUUUUCACCAGCUGCACCUCAAGUCUUCAAUGGGGAAGGCUAUCACAUAUGGGUGGUCAAAAUGAAGACCUACCUGCAGGCUUUCGAUCUGUGGGAGGUGGUCAACUCUGAUGUUGAACCAGAGCCACUUAGAGCUAAUCCAACGGUGGCUCAGAUCAGGCAGCAUGCUGAUGAAAGGACCAAGAGGCACAAGGCUAUGUCUUGCAUCCAAAACUCAGUGUCUGAUGUGAUUUUCACAAGGAUUAUGGCCUGUGAAUCACCAAAACAGGCCUGGGACAAGUUGCAGGAAGAGUUUCAAGGGACUGAGAGGACAAGGCAACAACAGUUGUUAAACUUGAGGAGAGAUUUCGAGAAUUUGAAGAUGAAGGAAGAAGAAACUGUCAAGCAAUAUUCUGACAGGAUUAUGGCUGUGGUUAACAGCAUCAGGCUCCUUGGAGAGCAGUUCAAUGAAGCUAGGAUAGUGGAGAAGGUUAUAGCAACUCUGCCUGAGAGGUAUGAGGCAAAAAUCUCAUCUCUCGAGGACUCAAGGGACCUGUCCACCAUCUCCCUGACAGAGUUGAUCAAUGCUCUAUAUGCUCAAGAGCAGAGGAGAGCAAGCAGACUGGAGGAGCACCAAGAAGGUGCCUUUCAGGCAAGAACAAAUACUACCUACAAAGGCAAGAAGGCCUGGAGAGACAAGCCAAAGGAUAAUGCUGCAAGAAGAGAAGGUCAGACUUGCAAGCACUGCAGAAAGGCUAGUCAUUCAGAAGAAAAAUGCUGGUUUAAUCCAGAUGCUGUGUGUCAGCAUUGUAAGAAAAAGGGUCAUGUUGAGAGAGUCUGUAAGAGCAAGGCCAAAUCAAGGCGCAAUCAGUCUCAACAGAUGAAAGCUGAGGCUCGAGUAGCUAAAGAGGACAGUGACCAAGAGGAGCAAGUCUUUACUGUGUCAUGCUCAGCUGCUCAGGAAAGGUCCUCAUCUGGUUGGCUCCUAGACAGUGGAUGCACCAACCACAUGACACCUGAUGCUGCAAUCUUUAAGUCUUUAGACAGAAGCUGCAGAACUAAAGUCAAGAUAGGAAAUGGUCAUUUUAUUCAAGCUGAAGGCAAGGGUGAUGUUCUGAUAUGCACCCUUACAGGUACCAAAGUGAUUUCAAAUAUGCUGUUGGUGCCUGAAAUUGACAGAAACCUGCUCAGCAUAGCUCAGUUGCUGGAAAAAGGUUACUCAGUUGUGUUUAAAGACCACCAAUGCCAAAUCAGUGAUCCAAGUGGAUCCAAACUGAUGGCAGUCCCUAUGGCUGAUAAGAGCUUUGUGGUUGACUGGACAAAAAAGUCAGACAUUGCCUACACAGCCACUUCAGAUGAAUCCAAGCUGUGGCAUCAAAGACUGGGACAUGCCAACUUCAGAUCGAUGGCCCGAAUGAUCAGAGAAGACCUGGCUGAAAACUUCAUCAACUCAGUAGACCAUGAUGAUGUAUGUGAAGUAUGUCAGCUAGGAAAGCAGGCCAGACUCCCAUUUCCCUCGAAUCAAGCCUGAAGAGCCUCUGAAAAACUCCAACUGGUGCAUACUGAUGUGUGUGGACCUAUGAAGACUGAGUCAUUGAGUGGAAACAGGUAUUUCAUACUGUUCAUUGAUGAUUUCUCGAGAUAUUGCUGGAUUUACUUCUUAAAACAGAAAUCAGAGGUGGCCACUGUGUUUUGGAAGUUCAAAACUGCUGCUGAGACUAAAACAGGCUGCAGGGUGAAGACCAUAAGGUCUGAUAAUGGGACUGAGUACACCUCAGCUCAGUUCCAAGCCUUCUGUGAUAAGGCAGGCAUCAAACAUCAACUUACCAACACAUAUACACCUCAGCAGAAUGGGGUAAGUGAAAGGAAGAAUAGGAGUUUGAUGGAUAUGGCCAGGUGCUUGAUGAUUCAGAAGAAUCUGCCUAAAGCACUAUGGGCAGAAGCAGUUAACACUGCAACAUACAUUCAAAAUAGACUUCCAACCAGGGCUUUGGAUCAAAAGACCCCAUUCGAGGCCUGGUUUAGCUUCAAGCCAUCACUGGCUCAUCUGAAGGUCUUUGGAUGCAUCUGUUAUGCACAUGUACCUGCUGUUAAAAGGGACAAAUUGUCUGAAAGGGCUCGACCUGGUGUUUUGGUGGGCUAUAGCACUGUUAAGAAGGGCUAUAGGAUUUUAGAUCCUUCAACAAACAAAGUGUCAGUAAGCAGGGAUGUGGUAUUUGAUGAGAGGUCAUGUUGGAACUGGGAAAGACAUGAACCUGAAGAAGUUUUUGAAGAACUUGCAACAGACCAAGCUGAGCCAGACCAAGAUGUCCCUGAAAUGGAUAUUGAUGAUGAACCAGUCAGAGGAACAAGGCCAUUGGCUGAAAUUUAUGAAAGGGCUCAUGUAGCCAUAGCUGAACCAAGCAACUUUGAAGAGGCUGAGGCUCAGAAAGGGUGGAAGCAGGCAAUGGCUGAGGAGAUCAGCAUGAUUGAGAAGAACCACACCUGGAAAUUGGUUGAAAGGCCAGUCAAAAGGAAAGUGAUUGGGGUGAAAUGGGUGUACAAAGCCAAGCAGAAUGCUGAUGGUACCUUGAACAAGCUGAAAGCAAGGCUAGUUGUCAAGGGGUUCAGUCAGAGGUAUGGCUUGGACUACCUGGAGACCUUUGCACCAGUGGCCAGGCUCGACACCAUCAGACUGCUGAUUGCCUUAGCAGCACAGCUUGAAUGGAAGAUCCAUCAACUUGAUGUGAAAUCAGCUUUUCUGAAUGGUUUCUUAGAUGAAGACAUCUAUGUUGAACAACCACAAGGGUUUGAAAUAGCUGGCAGAGAGCAUAUGGUCUACAAACUGAAGAAGGCCCUAUAUGGAUUAAAGCAGGCUCCAAGGGCCUGGUAUAGCAGAAUUGAUGGCUACUUGACUGAUCUAGGAUUCGAUCGAAGCAAGAGUGAGCCAACACUGUAUGUCAAGAAACAAGGGACACAAAUACAACUCAUUGUGUCCCUGUAUGUUGAUGAUCUUCUGGUGACAGGAGGAGAUCGAGUAGUGCUGGCUGAUUUUAAGACCAAGAUGCAGGAAGUGUUUGAAAUGUCUGAUCUUGGGGAGAUGUCAUACUUUCUUGGAAUGGAGGUGUCUCAAGUACAGAAUGAGAUAUUUCUAAGCCAGAGAAGCUUUGCCACAAAGAUUCUGACCAAGUUCUCCAUGCAAAACAGCAAGGCAACUAAAACACCUGUUGCUGUUGGAGAAAAACUAUCGAGCCAAGGUGAUUUUAAGAAAGUUUCUGAAACAACCUACAGGAGUCUAGUUGGUUGCUUGCUAUACUUGACUGCCACUAGACCAGACAUUAUGUAUGCUGUAGGAUUGCUCUCAAGGUUCUUGCAUUGCUGCAAUGAGAAGCAUUUCCAAGCUGCAAAGAGAGUGCUGAGAUAUGUCAAAGGCACUUUAAACUAUGGUUUGAAGUACAGCAAAGAAGGAAAUCUGAAGCUGGUUGGCUACACUGAUAGUGACUGGGCUGGCUCAAUAGAUGACAUGAAAAGCACCUCAGGGUAUGCUUUUAACCUUGGUUCAGCCAUGUUUUGUUGGAGCUCAAAGAAGCAAAGUCUAGUAGCUCAAUCUACUGCUGAAGCAGAGUAUGUGGCAACAGCAAGUGCUGUCAACCAAGCCAUAUGGCUAAGAAAAAUAUUGGCUGACUUGAAUGUGCAUCAAGAGGAAGCUACUGAGAUCUUCUGUGACAACCAAUCUGCAGUAGCAAUUGCUAAAAAUCCAGUGUUCCAUGGAAGAACAAAACAUUUCAGCAUCAAGUUGCAUGUUGUUCGAGAAAUGGAGCAAGCUCAGGAAGUAAAGCUGAUCUACUGUAAUUCAGAAGAUCAACUUGCUGACAUUUUAACCAAAGCUCUUAGUGUCACAAGGUUUGAAUAUCUAAGAAAGAAGCUAGGUGUUUGCUCCAUGCAAACCAAGGAGGAGUGAUGAAGUUGGUUCAGCAUGCAGCAAACUCAACAGCAUGCAGGCCAUGAAGACCAAGUCGUGCAAGAGCUGCUGGAACGAGCUGAACUAUUCCUAUUUUGCUCAUCUAGUAAUCUUAAGUUAAUGUAUUGUACUUUAGUUCAUUUAGAACUAUGUUAGGUUUAUGAUUGAUGUAAUUUUGAUGACAAUUGAGCUGUUAAGUCAGCUUUGUUUAAGUGUGUAAGCUUAGUUUUUCAAGUUUCAAUGUAUUAGUGGUAGUAGGUGAUGAUUAGGUAUCAUUAUGCAGAUUUUGACAAGCAAAUUGCUUGGUUUAUGUAUUGGCAUUAUGCCAUUGUUCAAUAUAUGAAUGAAAUCAGCUUUGUUCAUCAAUAUUCUCUCAAAUUUCCUCAGCUUAUUUUCUUCUUUCUUCAACUCGAAAUUGUUUGUUUGCUCAGCAAGAUUCGAGGCUUGCUCGACAAGAUACUUGCUGAGUCUGUUUGAUUCUGCUGUUGCACCAACAGAUACGAGUCAUUAGAUGUAGAUUUCGAAAUUGAGAAUCAAAUGGAAGAAAAGGUGGAUUAUACAACAAAAAGAGCAUCUUACACAUACAAGGGAAACAUUCUUAAAUACAUAUCGGGAAUUGAUUUAUCAUGUAAUAGAUUAACAGGUGAAAUUCCCAGAGAGAUUGGAAAUUUGAGUGAAAUCCGAUCACUAAACUUGUCGCACAACAAUUUGACUGGACAUAUACCGUCAACGUUCUCAAAGCUCAAGCAAAUUGAGAGUUUGGACCUGUCUCACAACAACUUAAUUGGAAGAAUCCCUGUUCAAUUGACGAAGUUGUACGCCUUAGCAAUCUUCAAUGUGUCAUACAACAACUUGUCAGGGAGUAUUCCGUCUCCAAAAGCUCAAUUUGGAACCUUCGACGAAAGCAGUUACGUGGCGAAUCCUUUCCUCUGCGGGUCUCCCCUGCAUAAAAAUUGUAGCGACCUUGAUUCACCCCCGACAGCAGCACCAAAGAGCUCAAACGAGGAAGAAGAAAGUGGUUUGAUGGACAAGUAUGUUUUCUGGGUGACCUUUUUUGUUUCUUACGUGAUUGUGUUACUGGUUAUUGUUCUCAUCCUGUAUAUAAAUCCUCAUUGGCGACAAGCAUGGUUUUCUUUUGUUGAACACUGCAUCAAGACCUGCCAAUAUUUUAUUGAGGACAAUCUUUUGUGAUUUUCCAUCUUCAAAAGGAGUGGGUAGCCUUGUACUCUGGUGGUUUACAUUUGUAUGUAAUUUUCAUCACUCUUUUUUUUUUUCAAAGUUUGAUUGGAUUAUCUGCUAGCUUCUAAGUUUUUAGAGCUAGAAUGCAAUAUAUCUGUUAUGUAAAGCAAUAUAUAAUGUAAUACCCAAUUUUAGACUGGGCUCACAAAAAAAAUAAUAAACCUAAAAUAAUAAAAUAAAGUCUAAGUCCAGUACAAAAUUAUAUCAUUUGGCCCGAUCGGAAUUGCCCAUUACUUGAAAAGGUUGAAAGUCCAUCUAUAAGCUUAUGGAAACAUAUUCUUCAAAGAUAUGCAAUCUUAGAUAUGAUAUGCAAUCUUAGAAGAUAUAAUUUUGUAAUAUUAGAGAUUUAAUUUGUAGAUACCCUUUAAUCUUAGCCGUUGAUGUAAUUGAUCUGUACCGUUGGAUUUGGGGAGGCUCAACUAUAAAUAGAGGCCUCUCCCUUCAUUAUAAAAAAAAGGGGGUAAUAAUAAUUCUUAAGAGUAUUCACUCAAAUUUCUCUCUCUCUUGCAUUCUUAUUUUCUUUGGCUUGUUCUUAUUUUGUUGAUUUGUGUAUAAUUUAUUUAUUGAUUUGUAUAUUGUUGAUUUCAAAUCUCUUUUUCCCUUAUUAUUCAUUUUCAAAUUCAUUAUUUUCAAAAUUGUUUACAUUUUAUUUUACCUUAUAUUUUUUAUUUUAUACUCUUUGUUUUAAAUUCAUUGGUCUUUGAUUAUUGAUGUUAUUUGAUCAUCUAUUUGUUAUUUUAGUUUUUUUAUUAUUAAAUUAAUUAUUUUAAUAUUAUUAAACUAUUAUGUGGCAUCAUUAAUCUUGUAUCAUAUAUAGUAUACAUAUACUUGUAUAUAUUUUAUACAUAGGUUUUUUAUUUUUAUUUCCUAACUUUUAUAUACAUAUAUAUAUACUUUUAUGUUUUAGUUUCAAUUUUUUUUUACUUUGAUAAAUAUGUAUAUACGUAUGUUUUCUUAUAUUAUUCUUCAUAAUUUUUUUAUUUUUUUGAUUAAUUAAUUUCAAUAUAUGUAAUUAUUUUUUUUAAAUUAUCCUUUUUUAUAAUCUAUAUAUAUGUAUAUAAUUAUUAUAUAUAUAUAUAUGUACAUGUAUAUAUUUAUUUUUUAAUGAAUAUUUUCAUAUUUAUAUGUAUAUAUUUGUGUUUUUUUUAAAUGAUUAAAUGCUUACUUAUUUUUUAAAACACGCCUAUUUUUUAUUAUUUUAUAUAUAUACGUAUAAUUAUAUAUAUUUUUUAUUUUCAUAAAUACAUUAUAUAUUUUGUUAUAUAAAUUCUAUAACUCUAGAUUUCAUAUGUAAAUCCAUGUGCAUAUUUUUUUAUUCUUCAUAGGUUCAAUGUAUAUAUUAUGCAUUUUCUUUUCUUUAUAUGUUUUUUGCUUAUUUCAUUCAUUUGUUUAUCAAUUUAUCUUUUUAUAUUUUUUAUUUUGCUCAUUUAUUUGAUAUUUUGCAUGUCAUUAUUUAUUUAUUUAUUUAUUUAUUCAUAUUAUUUCUAUAUAAUUGUUGUAUUUACUAUUGAUAUUUGUUAAAGAGGCAUUUAUUCAUACAUUCAAUAUAACAUUACAUCAUCCUUUUACUCAAAUUUAAAAAUGGAACUUUUCAAAAUAGAGAUAAUACUCGUAUUUAGGAUUUUCAAGAAAAUUGAGCCCUAACGUAUUGGGUUCCGAUUUUCUUCGUUAAAUCUAACAAUCGAGAUUUACUCUUUGAUCAAAAAUAAAAUGGCUUGUUGUUGGGAAUUUAAUGUGUUGUAUCCUAACGCAUUGGAUGUGACGUAUUGAUUUCUCGAGACAAAGAUUUUUAAAAAAUAUAUAUAUAUAUUAAUAAAGGAAAUAUUCAAUGUUUGGGAUGUUGAGAAAUUGUGCCCUAACGUAUUGGGCUGCGGUUUCGUCAUAAAUCUUAAACAAUUGAAUAUUCUUUUAAAUUUUAUCACACAAAUCUUUGGACAAACUCAUUUUGAAAAAAUAAAAUAUCGUGCCCUAAUGUAUUGGGUGUGAUAUUUUCUGUUUCAAAAUGAGGGCGUCUUAAUAAAUAAUUUAAUUUAAUUAAGGAUCGUAUUUUUCAACUCUCGACAUUAAGACAUUAAUUAAUCAACUUGGUACCAAUUUUUGGGCGUUACGGGGGUGCUAAUCCUUCCUCGUACGUAACUGACUUCCAAACCCGUUUUUCUAAAACUCGUAGACCAAAGUCGUUUUAGGUGGUCCAAUCACACCUUAAUAAAAGAUUGGUGGCGACUCCAAUUUUCAUCGACAACUAAUUUUUAUUUUUUUUUAAAUAAAAAAGGUUUCGACAGAUAAAGUUAUGCAUUUUUAAUUAAAACAUUUAAUAAUGUUUUAUAAUUUUUAGUGUACUGAUAAUAUGAUGUUAAAUUCAACAUAUUGUAGCAUAUAUAUAUUAAUAUAACCUAUAUUCAUCUAUACAAAUUUUUUAGUCAACCAAACCAUUGAUGUGGUGGCAAAAACUUCACAUUGUUUUCAAGUCUUCAUUGACAUUAGGUUGAGGUUUCAAACCCUAGCGUAAAAGAGGGGGGAGAGGGGUUGUCUGAACCAAAACUUCAUUUCAACAGAUAUCCUUUACCCACUAAAUCAUAUGCUCAACUGAAACUUUUAUAUAUAUAUAUAUAUCAAACAUGAAUGAUAUAAAUAGUCUUUAAAUUUUUAAAUGAUAUAAAUAUAUAUAUAUUUUUAAAAUGAACAAAAUUAUAAUAAUUAAUAUGUAGUUUCACUAUUUUAUUUAAACUCAAAAUAAUAAUAUUUAAAAAUUGAGUUUACGUGAUAUUUAUUUACUUUAAAAUUAAUAAAAUGUAAAUAUAAACUUUAUUUUAUUUUAUUUAUAUUCAAAUUUAAUAAAUGUUUAUCUAAUUUAUUUAAAUUUAAAUAAAUUAAAUAAAUGAGCACACAAUUAUUUUAGAGAAAGUGACUCUUUUUUAAUGAUGAGAUGUUAGAAGAUUUACCAUAUGUGUAAUGUGGAGACAAUAACCCUAAUAUGUAACUUUUGCACAAUAACCUUAAUUUAUAAUUAGUGAAUCAUCAAUUAAAAAUUAAUUACUUGAGUAUAUACACUUGUCCAACCAUAUUUUAUUUAAUAAGUGUCAUGGAUCAUGGGUCAAACAAGUGUCACAAUAAUCAGAGUAAUACCUGCAAAAAUUGAAUCCAAAUAAACAUAUCCAUAAAUUGUUAAUGAAACUUUGUUCGCAGCGAGAACGUUAGUUAAGGUUGGACGAAUUUAUAUGUUUUUUGUCUUUUUGUUAAAAUAAGUAUAAAACAUAUAAAAAAAUACAUUAUGAAUGUUCAUUUUUUUAAUAGUUCAAAAAAAUAUAUUAUAUAUAAUAUAUAUUACUGUUUUGCCUUGCUCCUCAAAGAAAAUGGAAACAAUCGUAAGCUUAUGGCAUCAUUAGAAACACCAUUAAUCUUGAUGUGUCGCAAAUCUCUAGAAAGUUAGCCAAAUGAGCAUUCAGAUCUUUAUCUUGCAACCUAUCAAACUGAAUAUAUUGUUGUACCAUCUGAAUUGUGUUCGACUUUAGCUCAAAAUUGUUUAUAGCAAUAGUCAAUCUGACAAUACUCGAUUCAACCCCAAUCAGAAUAGACUUAGCAUAAUCAUACAUAGUCUGAAGAGUAGGAGCUGCAGGAAGCUAUUGAUUAUUUUUAUGAUCAUCCAUCUCCACAGUAAUAUCCUUUUCCUCUCGAUCAUUUACUAAAAUCUAUUUAUCUUGCCUUUUUCUUUUCUAACCUCUCUAAGAUUUCUGCGAGCAGUCUUUUCAACUUCACUAUAAAAAAUUAAUGGUUCUGACGAGUUUCCUCUAGUCCUAAACCAACAUAACCUAUCAUAAUCAAACAAACGAAAAAUUAGAAUGUAAAAAUUACAUUAAAAACAAAAAUAUCAAAAUAAAAAUAAAAAUAAAAAUAGCUAAAUUAAUAGAAAUAAACUUUUCCUAAUAUUUUAGUCCCCCGGCAAUGGCGCUAAAAACAUGAUGCAGUCCUAAACCAACUAAAAAUCUGACUAAGGCAAGUGUACCUAUCAAUUAAUUGUAUAGUUACGAUGAACAAAUAAACCGUUCCCACGAAGAGUAAAAGUACUAGUAAUUACUGUCUUUCUAUUAUUUAAUCGAUAAAUUCGAGUAAUUGAUUAAAACUAAAAUUAUUUAAAUUAAUUAACUAUGAAUGUGACAAAUAAUAAAUCAGGAAAAUAACUGAAUAAUAACCAAGAAGCAAAACAAUACCUAGGAAAGAAUUCACCUAGAUUUGAUCUGUCAUUAUCAAUCUAAAUUCCACAAUUUCUUUACUUAGGAUCUUGAUUCAUAGAAAUCCCUAAAUCAUGCUAAUAUCUCUCUUCAAGAAUAAGAGCAACUAACUUUAGGUUGAUUAAUUGAAAUUUCUUUCUAAUUAAAACCCCUAUUAUCGUAUUAAAUCGCUUUAUGGAUUCCCCCAUUACAUUUGACUCUAAUCCGAUAGAUUUAUGUCAUCCUAUUUCUAAGAUUGCAUGCAACUCCACUCAAUUACGCUAGAUCUAUUCUUAAACAAGGUCUAUUUCUCCUCUGAUUUAAGCACAACAAACAUGGAUCAACAAUCUAGAAAUAUUAAACCAAGAGUAAAACACACAUAAUUGAGAGCAAGAUCUAAGUAUUUAUUGUGUAAAAAUAGAAAUCAAAUAAUAUAAUUCAUCCUAAGGUUCAUCUCUCUAGGUAUUUGGAAAAUUAGUUCAUGCUUGCAAAUAAAAACAUCCCAAAGACAAUAUUACCGAAAGAAAUAAAGAAGCUCAUGAUAAUCUCCUAAGAAAUCAACUGCUUGUCUUCAAUCUUGACUAAAAUUUGCUUCAGAAUCGGCUUCAAUGGUGUUUUUCGAGUUGUUUUAUUGAGUAUUCUAUGACGGCUCUCUCCCCUCUUCUUAUAUUUGUCAUAUAUAGGUCUUAGAAUACCCGAAAAACCUAAACAAAAGUGUUUUUCUGUAGGUUUGGAAUGUGACUCGUGAUUUCCACGCAGUCUCCCACAUGACCGUGUAGAAGCCCAUGUGGCCACACGGUCGUGUGUCCAGCCCGUGUGGCUCCUGAAACUUAUUCCAAUUUUCGCUUAUUUUUCGCUCCUUUUGCUCUCAAAUGCUACUAAGUAUAGAAACAUGAAUUUAAAGGAUUAGGAGCAUAAAAUUCAUCAUUUUAAAUCGAAUAAUAAUCCAAAAAUACAUUAAGAAUGAGGCUAAAACAUGUUACUUUUGGCAUUUAUUAAUUUUGCCAACACCCAAAAUAGUUGCUUAAAGGUACAAAUUUAAACAACCCAAAAAAAGGGUCAGUGUAAUCCAAAAACCGUUGUGUUGGGCUUUUCAUAUGACAACACUUUUAUAUAGUUGGGAAAUGUAUAACAAAAGUUGGCAUAGUGUUGGAUAAAACUGAUUCUUAUUUAAACGUUGCUUUAGGCAUGCAUGUCCCAACCUUUAUACAAAGAGUUGGCCAAAGCGUAUGUCGACCAGACUAUCCUAACACUUAGGAAAGUGUCAGCUUAGUGUUGGACAAACUCGAAUCUUAUUUAAGUGUUGCCUUAGGAAUGCAUAUCUCAAACCUUAUACAAAGAUUUGGCCAAAGCGUAUGCCGGCAAGUCUAUUUAUUAGCUCAAUAGAUCAAAUAGAAAUUGCUAAGAGGGGUGAAGUAGCAUUUAAAAAAAUGUGAAAGCUAGAAAGAAAAUUGAAAGAUGAACACAAUAAUUUAGAAUGGUUUAGCCUCAAUUGCCUACUCCACUACCUUAACUUUCCACAACUAAGGAUUUUUCCCAAAUUCGCUAAAUUGAUAACCUUUAAGGAUAAGGUUUAACCUUACAACUCUCUUAAAAUUUUUGUAACACCCCAAACCCAAUCUAGACGUUAUGGCCGAAUCUAGCUUUGUCACAUGGAAUGGGAUUUGAAACAUCUUUGUUUCGAUGAAAACAUUUUAUGUUAUUAUCUUUAGUAAACCUUUGUUAGAACUUAGGAAGUCGUCUUUAUUCAUUUAAAACAUUUGUUUUGAAACAUACCUCGUUGCGGAAGCUUUAAUAAAAUAGUCUAAGUGAUCAUGCGUUUAGAAAAUACUUUUAACUUUUUAAAAACUGAAUUUCCUAUGAACAGUAGGUAUAAAUCCAUAAAGUAAAAUAAAUAAAUAAAAACCAAAAUUUAAAACCAAAGUCCCAGAGGUUUCUUAAAUUACAACCCAAAUAAUCAAUAAUAAUCAAAUCAUAAAUCGUAAAUUGAAAACCAUGAAGUCCAAAUAUUUCUGUGGUCACCGCUAAGUCCUCCGUCGCACCGAUCCGUCUAGGUCUGGGGAUUACCUGUACACAUUAAACAAAAAAAACGGAGUUUACGUAAACUCAUGUGUAAUCUCGUAGAAACAAACAAACAAUCAGUAUUCACAGUGCAUAGUUGAACAGUCUUGGGCCUUAGCCUAUCUCAGUACAGUGUUAAAAAUGCAGUAGGUCUUUAGCCCAUCACAGUAUCAGUAGCAAUAACAAUUAUGCAGUAGCAAAAUCCUACCCAACCAGCCUCUACAUACCAUCUCCAUCCAACCCUACACUCCAUGUGGGGAUAUAAUCAACCCACCCAUCCCUUUUUAAUAUAACCCAUGCUAACUAAAUAUUCAUUUAUGUUUUUAGUAUUUACUUAUAUGUUCAUUCAAAGCUGUCUACUUGAGUCAUUGUCACUAAAUUAUUUAUAUAUUUAGCUACAGAAUUCCAAAUUAAGAUCCACUUGAUGUUUUCAAAACUAGACUCAAAUACCUUUCUACCAUAAAAUUUUCAGAAUUUAUAGCCUAUCAAAUAACUACAGUAAAAUCUUCAAAAUUAUCCCUAUUCUAUUGUUUGACAGCUUCAACCUUUCCUUACUAAAAAUUAUUUAUCUCUGAAUACGAAAUUUGGAUGAUGUUUCCAUUUGUUUCUCUUGAAAGUAGACUCAUUAAGGAUUUAAAUGUAUAAAUUUAAGCCCCUAAUUAAUUUUUUACAAUUUUUGAUGAUUUUCCAAAUUUAAAAUAGGAGAACCCUAAAUCAUUCUGACCUUGUCUCACAAAAUUCAUUAUAUCUCCUAAUUUAAAAUUCCAUUGCUUACAUUGUUUCUUCCGUGAAAAACUAGACUUAAUAAAAUUUCAUAUUUUAUUCAACCUUUAACUCAAUUUCCACUAGUUUUGAUGAUUUUUCAAAGUUAGACUACUGCUGCUGUCUAAAACUAUUUUAGUGAAAAAUGUUGAUUUCCAAGUUUAUAAUACCCUUAUUUCCUUUCUCUACAAUUUUUUGCAUCAUUUUCUCUUAUUUCUCGACAGUAAGCAAUUUUGGCUUUUCACUGAAUCCCAUUUUCUGCAUUUUGGGUACACAUCUAGUUUCGUUUGAUGCUAAAACAGUCCCCAAGCACUAUAAAGCCUAUAAUUGAACAAAUAACACUAAUUUAAUCUUACAUAGUGAUCCCAAAUUGAACUCGUAUCGAGGUUUUAAUCCAUAAGCGACUAAACCUUACCUUCAACUGAUGAACAAUAAUUCCUACACAAACUAAGACUCCGAUUGGUGAUUACGACCCUUGAAUCCUCCCUUAAUUGGCACAAACAAAACACUUUAGAAGAAAGUUAAAAAACAAAGACAAAUCACUUAUCUAAAACUUACCAAACGAUCAUAGACAAACGUGGAACGACACGAGGCAGAGUGGGAAAAGAAAAAUCAAGAAGAUGAAGGGUGAAAGAGAGCAGAAAUUCGACAGCAAUGAAGAGAAAAACGGCAAGAGGGUGGAGGGGUUUGGGGAAAGUAAAAAAAAAAAGAAAAAAAAAUGAAAAAAAUAUUUGAUAAUCACCCCAAUCCCUUAUUUCUCUCCAUCAAACUCCCCAAUAAAUCAACUACUCAGAUUUUUAGUCAAUCUCAAACUCUCCUAGACAUACGAGCAAAACUAAUACCCACGCCAAGAUUCGAACAUAGGACCUCCUUCACACCAACACUCCACUUAUCCACUAGACCAGCAAGCCAAUUCUAUUAAUUAUUUGCCAACUUUUACUUAAAAGCCUACUGACCAAAUAUAGAGCUUAUUCAUAAAAAGGCCAAAAUUUGCCCAAGUCCUGACUUGAACUUGUGACCUCCUAAACACACCCAGAACACAUAAUCACUAAAGCAGACAGAUAUUUUGUGUCACACAUUCACAAUACCCAAAAUUAAAAUUUUGGGGUGUUACAAUUUCUAUCUCAAAUCUUAAGACACAAACCUUCGCAAGGAAAUACAAAUAAGCAAAUAAAGAAAUAAUCCUUACAAAAUCAAAGUGUUUGUAAAUUAAGCUCAAAUAAAAUGAAAUACACUUGAGCAAAAGAAUAGGAGUAAAGCUCACAAGUGUAUGAAAAAGAAAUAUGGAAAUAGUAAACUCAAAGGUUGUUUGAUUGAUGAUUUUUUUGCUUGAAAGUGAUUUCUUGUUGUUGUAGAAACUUAAGAAGUUAGUAUUUAUACCCCCUAAUUGAUUUCCAACCAUUGAGGUUGUUGGUGACAUGAAUAAAACCAUUGGGAUGUAAAAAUCAGAGCAUUUAAUUCACCUGCAACAUCGAGUCUUGAUACUAUAUAAAAGGGUUUCGAUAAUUUUUGCUAUAAAUGCUAAAUUCAAUGAUCGUUGGAGUUUUGUUAUCGAUACCAAAAAAAAAGUUUAUCGAUACUUGUAAAAAGGUAUUGAUACUGUAUCGAUACUUUGUAAGUUUUGUAAGAAACAAAAUGCUAUUUUAGUAUCGUUUUUAAGAAGGGGUAUUGUAAUAGCCCAAUUUCAAUGAAAUCAGAACAGUGGUUUCGAGACCACAAAUUUGAGAUUAGAAGAAAAUUUAUUUUAAUAUUAUCGUAUGUCUGUAUUAUGAUAGAAAUAUUACAUGAAAAAUUUGAUAAGAAAAUUUUAUCGAUUGAGUGCUUAAUUGUGAAAAGGACUCAUAAAAUGCACAAGUUGAAUUCUAGCAGCUAAAAGGAUUAAAUAGCUAUGGGGUUCAAAAUGUAAGGUCCUUAUAUGGUAAUUAGACCAUAAAUUAAAAGUUAGUAGAUAUUUUGAGAUGACUCAUCCAUAGAAAUUUUAGAAAAAGGUAAGGACUAAAUUGGAAAUUAAAUUAAUUUAAUUAAUUAAAAGAUGAUAAAAGAAAUAUCAUCUUAUUUUAUGUCAUCUUCUUCCUCAAAAUGCAUGGAAACCCUAAGAGAGACAAAGGAAACUAACCAAGCUUGAUUAGGUAUGUUUUCUUGUAACACCCCCACCCCUUAUUCGUCGCCGGAACAGGGUUACAGGGCAUUACUGGACAUUUCAAAUCAAAUACGAGUAAUCACAUAUUUGUUUAACAUAAACAUCACAAAUUAAUCAAAAUGUCCUUUUUAUGAGCCCUCGAGGCCCAAAACAUGAAUUAGAAACAAAUCGGGAGUCAGAGAAUUUUUUGUGAAAUUUCAAAAUUUUUCCUAAGUGUAGGGCUCACACGUCUGUGCAGUUUAGAGAUACGCCCGUAUGAUCCUAAACACGCCCGUGCUUCAGGUCGUGUCCUACCUCGUGUAAUUCUCUGACUUAGAUCACACGGCCAGCCACACGCCCAUGUACAUAGUCCGUGUGCUUAACACGGCUGAGACACACGCCCGUGUCUCUGUGAUGCGGAAACCCAGAUCUAAACACAAGAAGAGAAACACAAAUUAGAAAUAAAAACGAGAAUAAGUAAAAAUUAGUUAAAUAAUAAUAAAAGAAAACAAAUAAAAGAAAAGAUUAAGGAUAGAUUUGCCCUAUAGAACCCUUGGUUAACUUGUAACCAAAAACUUCAAUGAUUGAGCGGCUCCCUACGAAACCCCUAGAAGAAGAACCUCUAGAAACACCGAUGAACGGGAAAGAAAUUUGAAUAUUUGUAACUCUGAAAUACCCUCGAAAGUAACAAACUCCAAACUAAAUAGCAAGAGAAGAAUCACUCUACUCUCAAAAAUUUGCCUCACACAAAUUUGGAAGAAAACAAAAUACUCUUCUUUUUUUAUUAAUCCCCUCAAUGUGUAGAAAGCAAGCCUAUUUAUAGGCAAAUUACAAGAGUAAUUGAAUCCUAAUUAAAACUCUUUCAAGAGUAAUUGAAUCCUAAAAACUCUUUAAAGAGUAAUUGAAUCCUAAUAAAACUCUUUAAAAUUAUCUAAGAAAAUAAAUAAAUAAUAAUCUAACUAAUAAAAUUACUUAACUCAUAAGUGAUGUGUUCCAACCAAUGAGAAUUAAGUAAAUAAUAAUAAUAAUAAGAUACAUAAAAGAUUAAUCCACCAAUUUAUGGGCUUUCACUAUUCCAAGAUUGGUCCAGUGAAUUGCAUUCCCGUAUUUGUCAACGUCACGAACAUGAUGAAUUAAAUUUGUAGUAACAAAGUCUUGGACAAAAGCAUUCAUCUUUGAUUUUAAUUGUCGUGCCUUGCUUCGAGUGAUUGGACCACUAGGAAAAACAACCCUUUGAGUGUCACCUCCUUAACUCGUAUCAUUCUCCCCUUCUUCAAGAAGAUUCGUCCUCGAAUCUGAACCUAUAUCAAAUUCAAAAGGAGAAAGAUCAGAAACAUUGAAAGUAGCACUAACAUUAUACUCACCUGGAAGAUCAAUGCGAUAAACAUUGUCAUUUAUUUUCUCGAGUACUUGGAAUGGUCCAUCUCCUCGUGCAUCAAGUUUAUUCUUUCUCUUAGAAGGAAAUCGUUCCUUCCUCAUAUGCACCCAUACUCAAUCUCCAGGUUCAAAUAAGACUUGCUUUCGCCCUUUAUUAGCUCGAUGUGCAUUGCACUCAUUCUUUUUCUCAAUGGCUUUACGAGCCUUCUCAUGAAUCUCUUUCACUAAAUCAGCUUUCCUUUCACCAUCUAAAUUAGCAAUCUCAUUCAAAGGUAAAGGAAGCAAAUCUAAAACAGUAAGUGGAUUAAAGCCAUAUACAAUCUCAAAAGGAGUAAAACCUGUGGAAGAAUGAACAGAACGAUUAUAAGCAAACUCAACAUAGGGUAUCCAUUCUUCCCAAGAUUUAACAUUCUUACCUAUUAUGGCUCUAAGCAAAGAUCCCAAAACUCGAUUUACCACCUCAGUUUGACCAUCAGUUUGAGGGUGGCAUGUAGUAGAGUAAAGUAGUUUAGUACCUAACUUACCCCAUAACACCUUCCAAAAGUGACUAAGAAAUUUUGCAUCUCUAUCGGAAACGAUAGUCCUUGGGAUUCCAUGUAAUCUCACAACUUCACGGAAAAAUAGAUCGGCAACAUGGGUUACAUCAUCAGUCUUAUGGCAUGGAAUGAAAUGAGCCAUUUUAGAAAAUUGAUCCACAACCACAAAGAUGCUAUCUCGACCACGCUUUGUCCUUGGUAAAACUAUUACAAAAUCCAUUGAAAUGUCAGUCCAAGGUGAACUAGGAACAGGAAGAGGAGUAUAUAGACCAUGAGGCAUCACAGUGGAUUUAGCUUGUUUACAAGUAAUGCAAGUAGAGCAAAUUUUCUCAACAAGUUUUUGCAUGUUAGGCCAAUAAAAAUGCUCAUGUAAAACAUCAUAAGUCUUAGUGACUCCAAAAUGACCCACAAGACCACCACUAUGAGCCUCUCGAACCAACAAUUCUCGCAUUGAACACUUUGGUAAGCAUAGUCUAUUAUUUCAAAAAAGAUAGCCAUCAUGCUUAUAAAAUUUGUGAAAUGCACCAUGUUCACAUGCGUCAUAAAUGCUUGCAAAAUCAGAAUCAGUGGCAUAUAAAUCUUUGAGAUACUCAAAACCUAAUAACUUAGUAUGCAAAGUACUAAGUAAAGUGUACCUCCUUGAUAGAGCAUCAGCCACAAUAUUAUCUUUACCUUUCUUAUACCUUAUAACAUAAGGAAAAGAUUCAAUGAAUUCAACCCACCUCGCAUGUCGCUUGUUCAACUUACCUUGUCCCUUUAAGUGCUUAAGUGAUUCAUGGUCAGUGUGAAUCACAAACUCCUUUGGUAAAAGGUAAUGUUGCCAAACUUCUAAUGCCCUUACCAAGGCAUACAACUCUUUAUCAUAGGUCGAAUAGUUCAAAUGUGCUCCACCAAGUUUCUCACUAAAGUAGGCUAGUGGUUUACUAUCUUGCAUGAGGACAACACCUAUACCUACACCAGAAGCAUCACAUUCAAUCUCAAAGGUCUUUUCAAAAUUAGGUAAAACAAGAAUAGGAGCAUUACACAAUUUAUCUUUAAGUUCAUUAAAUGCUAAUUCUUGCUUAUCUGUCCAAUGAAAAGAUACAUUCUUUUUAAUAAGUGCAGUCAAAGGCGAAGCAAUUGCGGAAAAGUUACGAACAAACCUGCGGUAGAAACCAGCUAACCCAAGGAAAGACCUUACCUCAGAAACAGUUUUAGGGAUAGGCCAUUCUUUAAUUGCCUUUACCUUCUCCUCAUCCACAUGGAUUCUUGUAGAACUUAUCACAAAACCCAAAAAAACAAGCUUAUCCAUACAAAAGGUGCAUUUUUCAAGAUUAGCAAAGAGUCGUUCAUGCCUUAACACAUCCAAUACUAAUUUAAUAUGCCCAACAUGAUCAUUCAAAGUUUUGCUAUAAAUCAAUAUGUCAUCAAAAUACACAACGAUAAAUUUUCCUAAAAAAGGUCUAAGUAUGUGGUUUAUUAAUCUCAUGAAUGUGCUAGGAGCAUUAGUUAAGCCAAAUGGCAUGACUAACCACUCAUACAGGCCAUACUUAGUCUUAAAAGCAGUUUUCCAUUCAUCACCUUGUUUCAUUCUUAUUUGAUGGUAACCACUUUUUAAGUCAAUUUUAGAGAAAAUGCAUGCACCAUUAAGCUCAUCCAACAUAUCAUCUAAUCGAGGAAUUGGAUAUCGAUACUUUAUCGUAAUCUUGUUGACAGCACGACAAUCAACACACAUUCUCCAAGAACCAUCUUUUCUUGGGACGAGAAGUAUAGGGACCGCACAAGGGCUUAGACUCUCAUGAAUCAACCCUUUCUCUAAGAGAUCUUCAAAUUGCCUUUGCAACUCUUUAGUUUCUUCAGGAUUGCUUCGAUAGACUGGUCUAUUCGGAAUACUCGAACCAGGCACAAAGUCAAUUUGAUGUUCAAUCCCUCGUAAAGGAGGUAAUCCUUUAGGCAUUUCAGAAGGAAAUACAUCCUCAAAAUCCUGCAAAAGAUCAACAAAACAACUAGGCAAAUGUGUAUUAGGGUUAGUCAAAACAAAGUUUUCCCUAAACCUAAUAAUUACAAAUGUUUGUUUUGUACAAAGAGCAAAUUUGAUAUCUCGAAACCUAGCGAAUAAACUCACUUUCUCAUCUCAUGACUUGUGUGUGCAAUCACUCACCAAUGUUGGGCCUUUAAGUUGGCUUUUAACACUAAGGGCCUCUUUACUCUCAGCAUUUUUCAAUGAUUUUACCUCACUUCCCUUACCCAUCUCACUAGCAAGUUUGAGUUGAUCAUUAUAGACUUCUUGAGGAGGAAGUGGAGCCAAAGUAAACUUCUUUCCAAGGAACACAAAGGUAUAUUGGUUAAGGAAACCAUCAUGAUUUACUCGUCGAUCAAACUGCCAUGGCCGUCCAAGUAAUAUGUGCCCAGCUUGCAUUGGAACAACAUCACACAAAACUUUAUCAGAGUAUCUACCAAUGGAAAAUGAAACUAAGCAUUGUUUAGAUACUUUUACCUCCCCACUAUUAUUCAGCCAUUGCAAGCGGUAUGGCCUUGGAUGCUUCACACAAGGUAGGCCAAGUUUCUCAACAAGGGAAGAACUUACCACAUUGGUGCAACUUCCACUAUCGAUGAUCAAUGAACUAGGUUGUCCACCAAUCAAACAUCUUGUGUGGAAAAUGUUAUCUCUUUGUUCGCGCGCUUCCUCUUUAAACUGGACAUUUAAAGCCCUCCGAGCAACAAGUGCUUUCUCACCAUACUCUAAAUAUUCUUCAUACUCAUCAUGAGCAUGCACAUCAUCAACAUCUUCUAAAGGAGGCAUCUCAUCUUCGUUAUCAGACUCAAAAUCAACCUCGCCAUCUUCUCGAAUCACCAAUGACUUUUUAUUAGGGCAUUCUCGAGCAUAGUGACCCCUUCCUUGGCAUUUGAAGCAGGUAAUAUCUUUUUGCUGCUUAAUGGCACUAGGAGAAGUAGAAGAAGAAGAUGGAGCUUGAUUAGUAGAAGUAGAACUUUUAAAUGAAUUAGGCAUACCUCUAUCUUUGGAGUAAGUUCUAGGCUCAUUUGGCUUGAACCGUGCAUCUCUCCCAUUCCACAAUCUAUCAUCUUGUUUUUGCCAAUUUCCUCUCCAAGUAGGAUUAAAAACUGAACUAGAACCCCUCGGUGUCCCUUUCUUUCGUCAUUGCUUUUCAAUGGUGAGUGCGGUUUGAAGCAUCUCUUCAACAUCCAUGUAGUGUUGUAACUCAAGUCGAUUUGCAAUCUCAGGCUUUAGGCCGGCAAGGAAUCUAGCCAUAGUCACCUCAGCCUCUUCAACAAGAUUGGCUCUAAUCUGAAUAGUCUCCAUCUCUUUGUAGUAGUCAUCCACAGAUCUAUCUCCUUGAACAAGAUGUUGGAGUCUUUGAUGGAGUUCUCGAUAAUAGUAUGGUGGAACAAACCGUUUUCGUAAGAUGCGCUUCAUUUCAACCCAAGUAGUAACAGGUUGCUCUCUAUAAAGAAUUCUGCUUUUACAUAAUUGAUUCCACCAUGUUAGUGCAUAAUUAAUGAACUCAGCGACAGCGUAUGUUACCUUUUUUCUCAUCAGAGUAAUUGUAACAAGCAAAGACUGCUUCCAUCUUUUCCUCUCAAUCAAGGUAAGCAUCAGGAUCAUUCUUCCCUGAAAAAGAAGGAAAUUUUGGUUUGGGGGUGUCAUUGUUUCGCUCCAACCUUUCUCUAGGUACAUACUCGGACUCAAAGUCAUCAUCAAAAACAUGGUCCUCCCUUCGUUUAAAAGUUUGAUCUCGUGAAUUUGAUCGGCUUAUAAAGGCUUCGUUCAACUUCUUGUAAUUAUCGGCAAUGUAUCUCUCUUGAGUUGUAAGUUUUGUAUCAAGAUACUCCCUUUGCUCUUGUAACAUCUGGGUCAUGCGAUGUUCGACUUGAGUUUGCAACUUUUUCAUCUCUUUUUGUAACAACUCGACCAAAGGAUCAUUCUCUCUUUUUAGCUCAUCCUCUUCAUUUUUACUAGUUUGGGAUCUAGUGAGCGGAAUGGUAUCUGUGAAAGAUCAAACAAACAGGAACAAGAAAAAAAAUAAUAAUAACCUCACUCGUUAGCUCUCAAAAGAAUAACUCUCUGAAUGAUUCAAAACCUGUAAAUAUGUUUGGAGAGGGUUACUAAUCAAGAUCAAAUAACGGAGGUGCAAACUUCAAAGAAACAAUGAAGACCCUAAUUGCUCUAAGAGGCCAAUAAACUUGACAAGGCAAUUUGUAAUGGAGGCUACACGGAUGAAGAAAUUUGUGAGUGCCUUUAAUAUCUGCUAACACAAGAAGAAACAAAGUGUUAGAAAGCGUAAGAGAAACAAAAAAAACGUAGACCUACAACGAUCCCUAACUCUAGAGUCAAAGAAAAGCUUUAAUAAGAAGAAAACUUAAGAAAAACUCUACCCAAAUUUUUAAAAAAAAAAUCGAAAACGUUUGGUGUCUUAAGAUUUUCAAAAAUUGAAGCUUUAAUUAUACUUGAGUCAAGAAAAGAAGAAGGAAAAGAAAUUCAAUUUUGGGAAAAAUAAAAAUAAUAACAAUAAUAGGAAAAGAAGAAACUUACGUAUGAAAGGUAGUCAACUUUUUUUUUGCUCUUUUUACUUUUUUUGUGCUGUUUUUUUUUUUAAAGAAUAAGAGGAGAAUAAACACAAACUUCAAAAAAAAAAGAAUUGACGAAACUGAUGAAAAGUGUUUUUGGUAUUUUGACUCGUUUCGGAUUUGAUUUUAGCUUAAAAAAUAACACCGAAUAACCUGAAACUGAUACCAACUGAUGCGGAAACUCGGAUCUAGACACAAGAAGAGAAACACAAAUUAGAAGUAAAAACGAGAAUAAGUAAAAAUUAGUUAAAUAAUAAUAAAAGAAAACAAAUAAAAGAAAAGAUUAAUGAUAGAUUUACCCUAUGGAACCCUUGGUUAACUUGUAACCAAAAACUCCAAUGAUUGAGCAGCUCCCUACAAAACCCCUAGAAGAAGAACCUCUAGAAACAGCGAUGAACGGGAAAGAAAUUUGAAUAUUUGUAACUCUGAAAUACCCUCGAAAGUAACAAACUCCAAACUAAAUAGCAAGAGAAGAAUCACUCUACUCUCAAAAAUUUGCCUCACACAAAUUUGGAAGAAAAAUACUCUUCUUUUUUUAUUAAUCCCCUCAAUGUGUAGAAAGCAAGCCUAUUUAUAGGCAAAUUACAAGAGUAAUUGAAUCCUAAUUAAAACUCUUUCAAGAGUAAUUGAAUCCUAAAAACUCUUUAAAGAGUAAUUGAAUCCUAAUAAAACUCUUUAAAAUUAUCUAAGAAAAUAAAUAAAUAAUAACCUAACUAAUAAAAUUACUUAACUCAUAAGUGAUGUGUCCCAACCAAUGAGAAUUAAGUAAAUAAUAAUAAGAUACAUAAAAGAUUAAUCCACCAAUUUAUGGGCUUUCACUAUUCCAAGAUUGGUCUAGUGAAUUGCAUUCCCGUAUUUGUCAACGUCACGAACAUGAUGAAUUAAAUUUGUAGUAACAAAGUCUUGGACAAAAGCAUUCAUCUUUGAUUUUAAUUGUCGUGCCUUGCUUCGAGUGAUUGGACCACUAGGAAAAACAACCCUUUGAGUGUCACCUCCUUGGCUCGUAUCACUCUGCCCGUGUGCAAUUUCUUAGGCAUUCUAUUUUGAAUUUUUAAGGUGCAAGGGACACACAGCCUAACCACACGCCCAUGUGUAAGCUGUGUGUCUCACACGUUCUAGUCACACGCCUGUAUGGUAGGCCGUGUAGACUCAAAAUAAGCAUUUUACAUCAAGUUUACCAACCUUGCAAAUCUUGAACAACAAGCAACUCAAUAAUCAAUCUUUCAACCAAUCCAAAACACAUUCAAAUACUUUUAAUACAUGCCAAAUUCAUUUAUUUAAGAACCUAACCAGUGUACUAACAUAGAUACUUUACAAAUAACAUCCAAAUCAAUCUAAUUAACUUCAUUCUAACCAAAUCUAAUUUCAUACCAAAACAUACUACUUAUAAUCUUAAUAUAGCACAUAAACUUAUAUAUAUAAGUCUCCAAUAACAUUUUGUAACAUAAUUUACAAACACUUCUCUAAAUAACAAACACAAACAUCCUAGGUACAUGCCAUUUACCAAAAAGAAAUGUACUUCACCACUUUGAGUUCCGAAACAGCUUUGGAUGCUGAUUGAAUGGUCUGACUUUAACCUAACCUAUGCACAGAAACAAACCGUACACUGAGUAUGAACUCAGUGGUAUUUCUAUAAUCCAAAUACUUUUAAAAUUAUGAUAAUAUAACAUGUAUAUUUAAUUAUAUAUUAACAAUAGUCAUUCAGUAAACAAUUCAUAAACAAAUAAUUUAUAACAUUUUCAUUUCCAAUUAUUUGUUAUUCCAAACACCUUUUCACAUUGCCAAUACAUAUAUCCGAUCAAUUGCUAUCCCAGAUAGCUUUUCACAAUGUCAAUACAUAUCUCGUUUGCAUUUUCACAUUCAAUAUUCCAAUAAUCACUUGAUGAACUUAUGGUUCAUACUUUUUCAUUUACACAUCACAAAUCAAUAUCUAAAUCCAAUUCAUAUUCAAAACCAUUCAAUAACAUUCAUAUCAUCAAUUCAUUAAUUACCCCUAUUAACAUGACUCGAACUUUGGCGGAUACACGGAUCUAACCAAAACACACCAGUUUAGCACCUAGUGCCUCAUCGGAUAAUUCGAAGCAAUAAGUUGACACCCAGUGUCUCAUCGGCCAUGCCGAAGUAAUUUGGUACCAGUACCUCAUCGAAUUUAUCUGAAGCAAUAGUUUGACACCCAGUGUUUCAUCAACUCAUGGUCGAAGUAUCCCUAAACUCUUCCAAUCCGAUGGCAUGCCAAGUAUAUCCAACUCAGCCCAAUACAGUUAAUAGGGUUUCCAAUUCACUUCCAAACACAACCAAUAUUCAAUAAUCAAUUGUCUCAAUAUUUACAUUUCAAUAUCAAUGCAUAUUUCAAACAAUCACAAAUUCUCAUAAUUCAACUCAAUUCAAUACCAAUCCUCACCUCAAUUCUACUUACCAUAAAUAUAAAAUAAUAAUAAACACAACAAUUAAUUAUCAGCUUUGGAUUAUAGAAAUACAAACAAUAAUUCUCGAGUCACUUCUGGUUAACCUUGUCUUUUCCUUUCUUAGUCGAGGUCUCCGGCUUGAUGUUAGCUACGGAAGUAAAAUAAUUAAAAUUCAUCAAUACAACACAAUUUAAUAUUGAAUAUUUCAACUUAUACACAACUUAUGCCUAAAUUCUAAUUUAGUCUUUAAAUCAAACUAACUCUUUUUCUUACAAAACUAAUUCCAUAUCUCAAUUCAAUUUCCACUUUAAUCUAAUUUCAACUUCUUAAUUUCAUCAUAAAACCCUAAUUUUGAAAUUCUUUCAAUUUAGUCCCUAUUACUCAAAACUUAUAAUUUAAUUUACAAUUCAAUCAUUCUUCUCAAUUCUAUCAAUUUAACCUCUAUUUCUUCAAUUUAUUCAACAUGAAGUACAUCUAAAAAUCCACUAAAUUUCAAAUUUUCAACAUAAAUCAAGUAGUAUUUUGUUCUAGGAUUCUCGAAACAUCAAAAUUAUAAGAAAAAAAGGCUAAAUUGCCUUACCAAAUUAACUUUGAAUCCUUAGAACCCUAAUUUCCCUUUUCUUUUUCUUUCUCUCUUUUCUCCCCUGUUUUCGUUUCAAUUCUAUUUUUUGUUUCCUUUAUUUAUUUGUUUAAUUAUUAUAAUAAUAUAAUAAUAUAAUAUUAAUAUAAUAUAUUUACUUAAAUAAUAAGUAAAUAAUAAUUAUUAAUAUAUGUAUAUUAUUUACACACAUGGAAUUUAUUUUUACCAUACACUUGUUAACACUUGUUAACUUUUGGCUUAAUUUCUUAUUUAGUCCCUCGGCUUUUCUCCAUUCUAUAAUUAAACUUUCACACUUUAUUCAUUUUAGUCCUUAUACCUAAUUAACCUUAAUUUAAGCUAAUUCACCUAACUAAAACCUAAUUUACCACACAACUAACUUUGUAAAUAUUUUUAAUAAAUAUUUAUGAAUCCAUUUUACGAAAAUGGAUACCCGAAAAUACACUUUCUAAUAACCGUAAAUUUCUGGUCGUUACAUUUCUUGUCCCAUUUUUAAUGAUUUUUAUAUUUUUUAGAUCUAGAUAGCCUAAUAUAUCCAUUUUAGAGAUUAAUUUGAAAAGUUAACAAAGUAUGGAAAUUUUGUCAUGGAUGAAUAUGCUGGAAAAUUGAAAUUUAUGGUAGAAUAUGAAAGAUUGUUGAUAGAUAAACAACUUUUACAAAGUGAAUUUUAAUGAAAACAUGAUUUAGGGACUAAAUUGAAAAGUAGUAAAAUUCAUAGAAAAAUUAUAAAUUUUUGUGAAUUGCGUGUGUUGUAAAAGUUAUGUUAAAAAAUUGGUUAGGCUUGGAACAAGGAUUAAAUUGCAUGAAUUUUAUUUCCAAGCCUAGGGACAAAAUUGGAAUUUAUGUAAAGUUUAGGGGCAAAAUGAUAAUUUUGUCUAGAGAGUAAAAUAAAUUCAAUUAAAUAUGAAAUGUGAAAAUUAAUGAUUAAAUUCAUUUAUAUCGAUCCGGAUAAUUCAAACUCGAAGCCUGAUCAGGGAAAGUAAAAGUUUAGAAUUAGUAGAUUUUUCGAAUACGAACCAUUAUCGAGGUAAGUUCAUAUGACUUAAUUUAAUAUAUAAAUAUGAUUGUAUUGAAUAUUGCUUUUGUAUUGAAUUUGAUAUUUGUCUAUGUGAAUUAAAUCAAUGGUAUAUAUAUACAAGACAUGAUUAUAUACUUGAAAAGGAUUAAAUCUGUUUGAAUAUUUGAUAUCGAUGGACAUAUGUGAUUUCCUUAUUGAAUGAGGUCCUGCAUUUAUUGCUGAAGGGAUUUAGCUCGGACGAGUAAUCCUAAUGACCUCAUUUUAGACGGUAUUUAGCUCAGAAGAAUAAUCCCUAUAUUAGCCCUCUCGAGUAUAAGUUGUAGACAGGAUUUAGCUCAGACGAGUAAUCCUGAUACAGUUCAGUAAGCAUUCUGAAUGGUAGUGUACUUGCAUAUGUUGCACAUUACCAAAGCUAUGAAUAAAUGAUUUGAUAUGUGACUCGAGAGUGUACUCUCUGGUUUAGUACCCUAUGGGUACCUACAAUCAUGAAUUGACGAUUUAUAGACUUGUACACAUUGAGUGUACUAUUUGAUUAUUCAUCGAUAUUUCCAAUAAUUCAACGGAUGAAAUUCUUGACAUGAGAAAGUGAUGAGAUAAAAAGUAUGAUAUCUUGAAUGCUUCUAAAUUGGUUGAUGAAAUGUACAUGAUGAGCUCAUCCAUGUUUAUUGAUAUACAUGAUGCCUAUGAAACUAACUUGUUGAUUAAGUGCAUUUGUAUAGGUAACUAUGCCAAGUUGAUGAAUAACAUGUUAUAAUAUGUUUGGAUGUUAAUAAAUUAGAUGGGUAAGUUUAAUUCUUGUUAUAUGAACUUACUAAGCAUAAAAUGCUUACUAGGUUUAUUUUCCUCUGUUAUAUAGUGCUCGAAAGCUCGCGAAGGUUGGAGUUUGGUUGGAGCAUCAUCACACUAUGCACUCGCUCAUUUUGGUAUUAAUGGAAAUCUCAUUUUGGGUAUAAUGGCAUGUAUAGGCUAUUUUGUCAAUAUUGGCAUGUAAAUGGUUAAAUGUAAUCUAGCCGUUAGAAUGGCUAGCAAUAAUAUGUUUUGGUUUAAUUAAGAGGUUUAUCAUGAUGUUGUCUCAUAUGCUCUGUAUGAUUGAUUAAAUUAUGUUAACAUAUAUGUUUACAUAAAGGUAAGAAUAUAAAUGUGAAUGCAUGAUACAAUAUACCAAGUUAAAAUAUGGAAAUUGCUUAGUUAUGAUGCUUGGAUUGGUUAGGAUACAAUUAUAAAGUUCUGUGUAGGUUGUUGGUAAAUUUGGGUGAGAAAGUAAAGAAGUAAAGCUAGGAAAUGGCUUUAUUUUAUCCACACGGGUAGACACAAAGGCGUGUGUCUUGACCGUGUGUGACACACGGCCUGGUACAUGGUCGUAUGGUUAGGCCGUGUGUCCCCUGCACCUUAAAUUCGAGAAACAGAAUGCCCAGUAUUGAGCACACGGGUAGAGACACGGGACACAAGCGUGUGACUUGGCUAUGUGAAAACUGCUUCUUCAUGUUUUGCAAGUCAAAAAGUUAACGGGUUAGUGACACGGCCGUGUGACCUAUGUCACACACCACACAACCUAGGACAUGGGUGUGUCACUUGGCCGUGGGCGUGUGACCCCUGUACAUGACAAUUUUUAAAAUUUUACAAAAAAUUUUAUAAGUUCUCGAUUUGGUCCCAACUCGAUUCUAAUGAUUACUUUGGGCCUCGAGGGCCCAUUCAAAGGAUGUUAUAAUGAAUUACGAAAAAUGUAUAAUAAUUGAUUUGAAAUAUAUGGAAAUAUUCUAUAAUCAUCGGUAAUGCUCCGUAACCCUGUUCUGGUGACGGAUACGGGUUAGGGGUGUUACAAGUAUUGAUAUUUUAGAAAAUAUCGAUACGUAAAAAAAAUGUAUUGAUACUUAAUAGGGUUUGUAAAAAACAAGAUGUCAUUUUGUUAUCGCUUUUAAGAAGGGAAUUGAUAAUUCAUAAAAUAUCGGUACUUAGCUAAAGAGGUAUUGAUACUUUUUGGCCUGAAGCUAUUUUGACUUGUUUGAAAAUUAUUUUAACUUGAUAAAAUGAUAAACACUUACUUAGUCAAAUUUCUUUUAACUUGAUUUUAGAAUUGCUUCAAAAAAAUUUCUAAGAGUUCAAAGUAGAUAUUCAAAAUUUUUAUCACUUAGACUUCAAUUUUAAACAAAUCAUUUUGUUAAUUUUGUUCAAUCUUAUAUUUUAUUCAAAAACACUUCAAUUUCUUAUAUCAAAGUAUUUUAGCAAAUAAAGCUUGGUUUAACACUAUCUCAAUACUUAAAAAAGUGUCGGCCCAAAAGUGUAGUCUUAGGACUAUCUUGUUGUAGUGUCUUGACGAUGUUGUGGAUAGCUCGGUUCAAGUUGAGGGUGCUUCUAAUAAUGCUGAUCUUUCUUCUAUUGUUCCAUCCGAUAGGAAUCCUUCUUCUAUUAGUGUAGCUACUGAUACUGUUAUCUUUACUUCAAUAUGAGAUGAGACAAUAUAGAUUAAGUAGGUCAUGUUUAGUCUUUCUGUAAAACUUUGGUAUUUAAUGCAAACUUUAGCCCUUAUUUGGAUUCCGUGUUUAUGUUAUGCUUCGUUGCAUUUCUUUAUCAACUUAUUGUAUUGAUCUUGUGUAACUUUAUGAAGCUUUUAUUUUUACUACUUGGAAGAUGUAGGAAAUUUUAUUCUUUCCUUAUUUGUUUUAUUGUGCUUUUAGAUUAACUUAGUGAUAAGUGCCCUUGGAGGGUUAAGUCCUUCAGAAGGCUAGUAGUUUUAUUUGCUACUAAUUUAAUGAGCAGUAUCCUUGGAGGGUUUAUGCAAAAUUAGUAGAGCAGAGGAUUGGUUGCACUGUCAUUUUUAGUUACGAUAUGACACCCCACACUCGUUCCGGACAGCAAAUUCAAAUAUAAGACAUUACAUCCGUUGCUAAACAACUUAAACAAAUAAAAACGUGACAUCGAACAUCGAUUCUUUUCACUUCGAAAUGGGUUGUCGUGACAUUGGACUUUGAAUAUAAUUUCUUAGGUUCGAAGUUGGAUGUCGCGACAUUGAUGGCCCUUUUGACCGUCAAAGUUGGAUGUUGCGACAUCCUAGGGUAGUCUACUGACUCCUCGACCUAAAACAAUGUCUUGCACACUUAAUCAACUUGUUAGUCUUUCCCUUAGGCCCAAUUGGCCCAAUAGGUCACAAAACAUACUAAAGUGCUUGUAACACCCCAAAUCCGGCCUAGACGUUAUGGCAGUAUCUGGCAAUGUCACACGAUAGUGUUUUUGAAACCUCGUUGUUAUGAUGAAAACAUUCCAUGUUAUAAUCUUUAGUAAACCUUUGUUAGAACUUAGGAAGUCGUCUUUAUUCGUUUAAGACAUUUGUUUGAGACAUCCCUCGUUGCAAAAAUUUUAAUAAAACAGUCUAAGUGCUCAUGCGUUUAGAAAAUACUUUAACUUUUUGAAAACCAAAUUUCUUACGACCAACAGGUAUAAAUCCAAUAAAUAAAUAAAAACUCAAAUUUAAAACCAAAGACCCAGAGGGUCUUUAAAUUACAACUCAAAUAAUCAAUAAUAAUCAAAUCAUAAAUCGUAAAUUGAAAACCAUGAAGUCCAAAAAUUACUGUGGUCACCGCUAAGUCCUCCAUCGCACCAAUCCGUCAAGUCUAGGGAUUACCUAUGCAUAUUAAACAAAAAGGAUGAGUUUACGUAAACUUAGUGUGUAAUCCCGCAGAAACAAACAAAUAAUCAGUAUUCACAGUGCACAGUUGAACAGUCUUGGGCCUAAGCCCUUUUCAGUAUCAGUGACAGUUUGGGACUCAGCCCAUCUCAGUACAAUGUCAAAACUGCAGUAGGACCUUAGCCCAUCACAAUAUCAGUAGCAGUAACAGUUAUGCAGUAGCAAAAUCCUACCUAACCAGCCUCUAUACACCAUUUUCGUCUAACCCUACACUCCAUGUGGGGAUAUAAAUAACCCACCCAUCCCUACACUCCAAAUAGUACCGAAUGCGGCACAAAACAGUAGUUUGCAGCUGAGCUGCCAGUAAAUUAGGCUUAAAGCCUUUCAGUACACUUCCUCCGAAUAACAGCUCCCAACCCAAUGCAAUGCAACAUACCAUGGAUGAUAUGCUAUUAUGCAAUUUCAGUACAUAUAUUCAGUUCAAAUAUUAAUAUGCUCAGUACAUAUAUCAUUCAGUCAAUUUCACACAUUUAGGGGUCUAAGUAGCGCUUACGGACCUUACAGUAGGUUCACAGUCGACUAGGGCGACCCGUGCAACCUUAGAAACAUUUCGGUAAAAAUGGGCCCACACGCCCGUGUGAGCCCAUUUGGCCCACUCGAACCCAAUUGGCCUUGGCCGUGUGAUCCAUUUUUAAUGUAACCCAUGCUAGCUAAAAUAUUCAUAUAUGUUUUCACUAUUUACUUAUAUGCUCAUUUAAAGUUGUCUACUUGAGUCAUUGUCACUAAAUUAUUUAUAUCUUGAGCUACAGAAUUCCAAAUUAAGAUCCACUUGAUGUUUUCAAAACUAGACGCAAAUACAUUUCUACCAUAAAAUUUUCAAAUUUUAUCACUUAUCAAAUAAGUACAGUAAAAUCUUCAAAAUUAUCCCUAUUCUAUUAUUUGACUGCUUCAACCUUUCCUUACUAAAAAUUAUUUAUCUCUUAGUACAAAACUUGGAUGAUGUUUCCAUUUGUUUCUCUUGAAAGUAGACUCAUUAAGGAUUUAAAUGUAUAAAUUUAAGCCCCUAAUUAAUUUUUUGCAAUUUUUGAUGAUUUUCCAAAUUCAAAAUAGGAGAACCCUAAAUCAUUCUGACCUCGUCUCACAAAAUUCAUUAUAUCUCCUAAUUUACAAUUCCAUUGUUUACACUGUUUCUUCCGUGAAAAACUAGACUCAAUAAAAUUUAAUUUCAUAUUUUAUUCAACCUCUAAAUCAAUUUUCACUAUUUUUGAAGAUUUUUCAAAGUUAGACUACUGCUGCUUUCCAAAACUAUUUUAGUGCAAAAUGUUGAUUUCCAAGGUUAUAACACCCUUAUUUCCUUUCUCUACAAUUUUUUUCGCAUCAUUUUCUCUUAUUUCUCUUAUUUCUCGAUAGCAAGUAAUUUUAGCUUUUCGUCGAAUCCCGUUUUUUGUGUUUCGGGUUCACACCUAGUUUCGUUUGAUGCUAAAACAAUCCACAAGCACUCCAAAGCCUAUAAUUGAACAAAUAACACUAAUUUAAUCUCGCAUAACCUGAUCCCAAAUUGAACUCGUAUCGAGGUUUUAACCCAUAAGCGACUUAACCUUACCUUCAACCGAUGAACAGUAAUUCCCACACAAACUAAGACUCUGACUGGUGAUUACGAGCCCUUGAAUCCUCCCCUAAUUGGCAUAAACAAAACACUUCCGAAGAAAGUUAACAAAUAGAGACAAAUCACUUAUCUAAAACUUACCGAACAAUCGCAGACAAACGUGGAGUGACACGAGGCAAAGUGGGAAAAAAAUAAGAAGAUGAAGGGUGAAAGAGAGCAGAAAUUCGACAGCAAUGAAGAGAAAAACAGCAAGAGGGUGGAGGGAUUUUGGGGAAAGUAAAAAAAAGAAAAAAAAUUAAAAGAAUAUUUGAUAAGCACCCCAAUCCCUUAUUUCUCUCCAUCAAACUCCCCACUAAAUCCACUACUCAGAUUUUUAGUCCAUCUCAAACUCUCUUGGACAUACGAGCAAAAAUAAUGCCCAUGCUAAGAUUCAAACAUAGGACCUCUUUCACACCAACACUCUACUUAUCCAUCAAACCAGCAAGCCCAUUCUGUUAAUUAUUUGUCAACUUUUACUUAAAAGCCUACCGACCAAAGAUAGGGCUUACUCAUAAAAAUACCAAAAUUUGCCCAAGUCCUGCCUUGAACUUGGAACUUCCCAAACACACCCAAAACACUUCACCACUGAAGCAGAUACACAGUUGUGUCACACAUUCACAAUACUUAAAAUUAAAAUUUUGGGGCGUUACAAUGCUUGUUUUAUUGAAUUAAACUAUAACCUUACUAACUUCAUAAAAUGCAUAAAAAACUAAUGCAUCACUUGAUUACAAACUCAUAUUCAAGCUUAAUUUGCCACAGUGAGUUGUGGUCAAUCAAUUGUUAAUAUGAAAAUUAUUUUUUUAGAACAACCAAUUUCUCUCAACCGUAUUUUGAAGCAGUGGUGGAUCCUGGGACAAAGUUUGGAGGGGAGGCUAGUAAAAUUUUUAGGAAUUAUAAUUUUUUUUUGCCAUAACUAUCUAAUACUCAUACGUGUUUAUGCUUAUAAUAUAAUUUUUGUAACUAGUAUAAAAAUAAAUUUUUAAAAUGGGAUUUGAGUGUAAUUACGUAUGUAAUCAUUUUAACUCUCACCCUAUGUAAUCAUUUUAACUCUCACCCUCCCCUAAGAAUUAGAAAGUGUAAUUGAGUGCUCUAAUUACAGCCAAUUCGGUGGGACUCACCAAUCAAUGGUUACCCAAACAUGUCAUCUUUGUGUAAUUACUAGCAAUUACACCCAAAUUCAAUUACUAGGUGGUUUUCCAAACAUUACCUUAAUAUAUUACUAUUGGUUCUUUCUCACUUUUGUUUUAUUUUAUUUUCUUCACUUUUAAAAUGUUAUUUUAUUAUCUUAAUUAUUUUUCAAAAUUAAUAGAAUUUUAUUAUAAAUUAGGAUAGUUCUCAUUUAAUUAACAAAUUUUUAUAUAUUAAAAUUAUAAAAAUACAUUACUUAGUAAAUUAAAAAAAUAAACAAAUACAUAGUUUCAUUAAGAGUACUUUUGUAUUUUCUCCAUUAUGUGGUAUUUUCCCUAUAAAUACAUAGUUUUAGAUUUAUACCUAGAGAUAGCCACCUUAGUAUUAUUUUGCUUUAGAGUUUUCUUUUCUCCAUGAAUUUCUAAAUCAUCUUUUCUAGUCAAAGGAUUUUGAAGUUUGAUUCUAAUAGUUUGUAAGAUCUAAUUGCUCUUCAUCUAUUCUUUGUUCUUUAGUGUUUGCAUGUGUUCUAUUUUAAUCACAAAUAUUCAAGUUUGUUGGAUAUUGGUACCAUAUUCAAUUGCUUAGAACAUAGUGACAAAUAACAUUGUAAUCACUGAAUUUUGUCCGGGAUUAAUUUCGUAUUUUUUUCAAAAAAAAAGAAUUUUUUAAAAAAAAUUAUUACAUUUUGACCCCUAAACUUUUCUAAAAUUAUAUUUUGACCCCUAAACUUUCUCAAAAUUUGACCCCGAAACUUCCUCAAAAUUACACUUUGGCCCCAAAACUUUUGCUGCAUUUACGAUUUAGUCCUUCUAGUAGCCACCAAUGCAAGUUGCACCUACAACGGCGGCGGCCGGCCUAGGGCAUAGCCCCCUCCCCCUCCCCACUUGCUACCUGCAAAAAGAACAAGAAAAUCAGCUAUAAAAAGGGCUUAAAACCCCAAAAAUUGGAACCCCCACUCAUGAAAAAAUUCAAGAAAAAAUAAAGAAAAAGAGAGCUUUUUUUUCAAAAAGAGGAGGAGGAGAAAUCGGCCACUGGAGAACCACUUGCGGAGGCGACUGCAGCAGCACGAGCAGCGAUGUCGACGGGACGAAGGAGGCCGAACGGAGAAGAAGAAGAAAAAAGAAGAAAAAAGAGAAAGAAAGAAGGAAGAAGAAGAAGAAGAAGAAGAAGAAAGAAAAAGAAAAAAGAAAAAGAAAAAAGAAAAAGAAAAAAAAUAAAAAUAAAAAUAAAAAAUAAUAUUUUUUUGAACAGUCGGGUCGACCCGACCAGACCCGACCCACGGGCCGACCCGCGACCGACCCAUCAGCAGUAGGCCAGCCCAAUUCCGAAGGCAGCCCAAAAAGAAAGGAAAAAAAAGGAGCAGAAAAAAAGCAGGCCAAGCAGCCCAAUCCAGCAGGCCCAACAGAUCCAACAGCAGGCCCAAUCAGUGCAGGCCCAGAAGGCCAUCUGCAGCAGGCCUGUGGCAUGCCCAUAAUCGGCAGCAGCCCAGUCCCUGCAGUAGCCCAGCAGCCCAGCAGAAAAAAAAAGAAAAAAAAGAGGGGCCCAAGUCGUGUGACCCGUUCAAUUUAGUUCAUAUUUUCGAGCUUUUAGGUAAUUUUCUUUUUUUUCAUUUUUAAUUUAAUUUGUGUACUUUUAUAAUGUCUCGUAUUUUAUAUUAUGUUUUUAAUAUUUUCUUUAUUUUUAUUUUAAUUUUACAAAACAUCAUUAUAUUUAUUAUAUUUAUUUAUUUUAAUUUUAAAUAAUUUUAAUAAAUAAGGCAACGAAUCGAUUUAACAUUAAGCCAUUGAUUUCAUCGCUAUGUUGGGUGAAUAUUACCGGUUUGUGUUAAAUAGGAGACGCCCUUUUAAAAAUUGAAAAUAUUCAAAAAUUCUCGUGUUUUAAUAAAAUCAAGAUUAAAUAUUAAGUUGAGUCGAUUUGACACUAAUUCGAUAAUUUCAUCGCUAUGUUGAGUGAAUAUCACCUGUUCGUGUUAAAUACAAUACAUCUUUUUUAAAAAAAAAAAUCGAAAAAUUCGUGUUUCAAAAAAUUCUCUUGUUUCAAAAAUUUUCGUGUUUUCAAAAAUUGUUGUGUUUUAAAAAUUUUCAUGUUUUUAAAAUUCUUGUAUUUGAAAAGUUUCCGUGUUUCAAAAAUUUUCGUGUUUCUAAAAUUCUCGUGUUUCAAAAAAAAUCCCGUGUUUUCAAAAAAAAUGUUGUGUUUCAAAAUUCUUGCGUUUUUAAAACAAGAAAUUCCUGUGUUUCAAUUGGAUCACGAUUAAAUAUUAAAUUGAACUUGUAUUUUUGAAAAUUAAGACAACAUGCGCUUAACAAGAUACCAAUUUUGGGCGUUACGAGGGUGCUAAUACCUUCCACGUGCGUAACCGACUCCCGAACUCUAAUUUUCUUUGAAUUUUAACGUAGACCUAAAAUUGACUUUUUUUUAGAAAAUUUGAAAAAUAAUUUUUCUUUUAAAAAGAGAGUUUAUUAGGUGUCCGAUCACACCUAGAAAAAAUAUCGGUGGCGACUCCUUUUUUUAAAUAAAAUCGAGACUCUGUUUUCAAAUUUUCAAUAAUCACUUCAAUUAGCGCCAAUGUACAAAAUAUUUAGGUCGCUACGAACAUGAUUACAUAUAAACUAUGUAUGCAAUUCAUGUUAUGUGGAUACCCGAUUUAAUCUAAAUGAACCCCGUUGGUGUGUGUUUGUUGGUCAGAAAUAAGUUUUAGUCAUUCUUAAUACUACCGAUAAUUAAGCUAAAUCCUAGGCACGAAGUUAUAGGACAUCUUGGUUAUCGAAAGGUAAUGAGAGAUUGUUUAUAGGGUUCUUAAUGCUAGGUGCGACAUGGGCAACUAUAACUAAUUUAUUAAAAACACUAAAAUUAUAUUUGGAUCAUUGAUCAAACUCACUAAUCAAAAUUGAGAUUUUACCUUGGUUAGACUCUCAUUAUAUUGAUUUUGCUAUAUUUUAUUUUGCAAUCUUUUUUUACAAAGUUUUAAUUUUAAUUUUAAAAAUCCUUAUUUUUAUUUUACUUGUUUUAUUAAAGAAUUAGAACAAUCACUAGUCUUUGUGGAUACGACUCUACUCACAGUCAUCUACAAAUUUAUUUAUUUUAUUAAGAAUUUAUUUUUAUAGGUCACAACAACCAUACAACUUUUGACACCAUUGUUGGGGAUUGGUGUCCAUAAUUUUAUUUCCUUUUAAAUUCAAAUAAGAGUUUUCAAGAAGAGUGAAUAAGGUAAAUAUUUCUUUUUCCUAAUAAUCAUUGAGACCAAACGAUAACAUUAAUGAUGAACUUGAUAUUUGUGGGUGUCGAAAUAUCCCUAAAAAAAUGUAUUUCAAAAAUUAAUUUUCCAGGAAACACAUUAUAAAUAAUAAAAUAUCUAAUAACAAAGUAAAAAAAAAAUCGAAGUUUUGGUUCCCCUAUAAUCGAGGGCACAGUUUGCCUUUAACGUGGAUGAUGAGGAAAGUCUUGACGAUGUUGUGGAUAGCUCGGUUCAAGUUUAGGGUGCUUCUAAUAAUGCUGAUCUUUCUUCUACUGUUCCAUCGACUGGGAAUCCUUCUUCUAUUAGUGUAGCUGCUGAUACAGUUACCUCUACUUCAAUAAGAGAUGAGACAAUACAGAUUGACUAGGUCAUGUUUAGUCUUUUUGUAAAACUUUGGUAUUUAAUGCAAACUUUAGCCCUUAUUUGGAUUCCGUGUUUAUGUUAUGCAUCCUAGCAUUUCUUUAUCAACUUAUUGUAUUGAUCUUGUGUAGCUUUAUCAAGCUUUUAUUUUUACUACUUGGAAGACGUAGGGAAUUUUAUUCUUUCCUUAUUUGUUUAUUGUGCUUUUAGAUUAACUUAGUGAGAAGUACCCUUGGCUAAGUCUUUCAGAAGGCUAUUAAUUUAACGAGCAGUAUCCUUGGAGGGUCUGUGCUAAAUUAAUAGAGCAGAGGAUUUGUUUCACUACCUUUCUUAGUUGCAACGUGACACCUCACAUUCGAUUUGGAUGGCAAAUUUAUAUAUAAAACAUUAUAUCCGUUGUCAAAGCAACUCAAACAAACAAAUUGCUGAUGUCAAAGCCAAAUCAAGAAGCAUAGCACAUAAUUCAUAAUUUUCAAAACGCUAAUAAUUAAUUUGUAACUUUUUUUAAUAUAGUUAAUUUAGUGACUAAUGUCGUAAUUUGUCUCACUUAAAAAGAGCCCACCACUUGACUUGACGCAGAGGUCAAGAGAUAUCUCUAAUAAUGGGAAGCAAUAUUUGAUGUUUAUGGUUGAUAUUGCUCUAUGUAAGGGUGUUCAAAUGAUUAAUUGAUCAGUUAACUAAAUCGAAUUAGUAUUUGAUUGAAUUAAUCUAACUUUUUAAUCCUUUAAUUGUUAAUUAAAUCAAUUUAUUUCAAAAAACAUUAACCGAACAAAAAUAUUUCGGUUAAUUCGAUUUGUUAACCAAAAUUUAUAUUUUUUUUGUUUAAAACAAAUAUAAAACAUAUAAAAAAAUUUGAUAAUGUUCAUUUGACCGAAUUAACCUAAUUAAUCAAAUUAGUAAUAGCCUAAUACAUAUGACAUAUAAUAUUAUUUAUUAAGUUUGGUUAAUUCGAUUAAUUACUCGAUUUCGAACCGAAUUAACCAUUAACUGAAAUUUCAAAAAUCAUUUAACCGAUUUCGGACCAAACUAGAUUAGUUAACUGAUCAAUUAACCGAAUUAAAUUAAUCUGAUCAAUUAAUUUAAUUUUAACAGAAGCUUAAACACCAAAAACCAAGUCUUUGUGGAAUUAAAGUUUUGUUGUUAAGACUCACUGGAUUUUUCACAACCACUAUAAUUAGAUUAGAACUAUCUCUCCGCGUAUGCUCAAGUUUAAAAUUUUUUAAUUAAAUUUUAAUUAUCUAUUUUUUAAUUAUUAUAAUAUUAACAUAGAAAUUAAAAUUGUGAUUAUUGUUCAUAGUAGAAUAUAAAGUCUUAAAUUAUGAUGAUAACAUCAUGGAGAAAAUAUUUUAAUUUAAAAAAUGUAUAAAAUUUAUAUAUUAUCUCUUUUACAAUUAUAUAAAAAAUUAUAUUAAUAUAUAAAAAUAAUAAAUUAAAAAAAUUCUGUUUUAAUCGUUUGCCAUUAGAUAUCUAGUGAACUGAUGCCAUCCACUAAUUUGACUCUCAAAAAAUGGAAGUUUGGGAAAGCUAAAGGUUGUUAAAUUAGACAAAAAGAAACAAGAAGCCAUGCCAAUAAUUCCGUUAACAAUUUAACCGGACCAAAGUAGAACUAAACGAUAACAUUAAUGUUGAAAUUGAAAGUUUUUUGUAGUUCAAUGACAAAACAAAAAUACGCUAAUAAUUGAGCCACUCAUUGUGUAAUUUAGCAUUAAUUUAUUUUUGGAAGAAAUUGUAUUUAUGUGAUAAUAAUAAAUUUCAAAAAAAUAAAUUAUUUCUUUUGUCAAAAAUUUGUAAUUAUAAUAAUUUAAAUAUAUAUAUAAAAAAGUAUCCAACAAAUAUAUCAAAUUAUUGCAAUAAAAGGAUGAAGAAAUCAUAAUAUAACAAUACACCAAUUAGAAAUAACUUCAUUUCAAAUAUAAAUGAAAUUUAAUAAUGAAACAAAUUCUAUUAAAGACAAGGACUAAACUAAAAAAAUUAAAACCAAUUAUAGACUAAGAUAUGAAUAUAUAAAUAGUGAAAAGUGUAAUCAUAAACUUUUAAAAUAAAAAUAUUCUAGAAAGCAAUUAUUUCUAAAAAGUAAAAAUCAUUAACUCUUCCACCUUCCGCCCUCUUUUAUUUAUUAUAUUUUUAUAUUGAAUAUACUAUAUUUUUUUACUCUUAGUCUUUACUUGUUGAAAAGGUUACAAAGUUAUCAUAAAUUUCCUAAAAUCUUAUGGCACUUUUCCAAAGAUCCAAUACAGAUUGAUACAAUAGCUGAAUUAUACCAUUAAUUAUUAAAUUAUAGAUAAUCAAACAAGAUUAUAAUUUAGUCAUUAAUAUUUUCAAAAUUAUUUUUAUGGUCACCUGAUUAUUAAGUGGCACUUUUUUGGUUGGUAUGAUAACAAUUUUAUUCUUUGAUUUUUCUAUUAAUUUGGCCCUGGUGCUAAAUAAAAAUUAUAAAUAAAUAAAUAAAUAAUUUCGAAAACAGUAGUCAUCAAAUUGUAACAUUUUUAAUUUAAUGACUAAAACAAAAACUUACCUAUAAUUAAUUUAAUGACUAAUUUCAUAAUUUACCCUUUAUUUUUUGAAAGGAAAUCUUACUUAAAAAGAUACCACCACUUGACUUACACAUAAGUCAAGAAAGGAAAGCAAUAUUUGAUGUUUACUGUUGAUAUUGUUGUAUGAAUGCCAAAAUCCAUGUAUAGACUUAUUUCGAGUGUUUGAAUUUUCCACCAAAAACAAAGUCGCUGUUGAAUUAAAAUUUUGGUGCUAAGACCCAUUGUAUUUUUCACAACCACUAUAAUUAGACGAUAAUUAUCUCUUCACGUAUUCUCGAGUUUAAAAUUUUUUAAUUAAAUGUUAUUUAUUUUUUAUAAAAUAAAUAGUCAGAGAUAAUAAAGAACAAUGAAUAUGAGAGAACAAAAGAGAGUGUGUAUUUUAUUGAUCAAUCAGAAUAUCUACAAACUUUCUCCAAAAUCUGUAACACCUCAAACCUGGCCUAAACGUUAUGGCCGAAUCCGGAGAUGUCACAAAGAAUGGUUUUGAAAACGGAGUUGUCUCGCCAAAUCAUUCACAUUUCAUACUUCACACGCAUUCCCAAUUUUACUGAAAACAUCAUUUAAUUAGUUUGUUUGCUAAAAUGUAUUACAGCAGAAACCUGAAAACAAUCGUUAUGUUUUUAGAAAUGCAGCCGCAUUUUUAGGAAAACAUUUGUUUGCGUAAAAGCUGUCGUUUUCAAUAAAACAUUUCGUCAAAGCAUGCAUACCAUUAACAAUCAAAACCAAAGCCAAAGGUUAAAAAGUCCCAAACAGUCCAGAGAGUCCCAGAAUUUACAAACUCUCAAUGAAACCAAAAUUUAAUAUAAAAUCAUAAAUUAAUAUUUGAAAACAGUUUACGAACGACUGGUCACCACUGAGUCUCCUGCCGCACCGAUCCGCCUAAGUCUGUGGAUUACCUGACAUAAUAGACAAGUAGAUGUGAGUUUACGUAAACUCAGUGUGUAACCCAGCAGAAUUAAGCAUGCAAUCAUACAGAAUCAUAUACAUAAACAGAAACAAAUACAAUACAGAUUCGGGCCCAGGCCCAUUUCAGAUACAGUAAACAGAAUCAGAUAAUCAGAAUCCUAUCCCCAUCCUCUACACACCAUCUCCGACCAUCCCAACACACUAUGUGGGGUUAAAAACACCCACCCAUCCCUACACACUAGGUUGUUCCAUUACAACACGUAUCAGAUAUAGUGCAGCCAAGCUGCCAGAUAAUAGGCGAUGAUCGCCAAACAGAACACUUCCUCCAUCAAUACAAAACCCACCUCACAAUCAUAUACAGGACAAAUACAAAAUAACAUACUAGACAUGCUCAACAUGUUAUGUACGGAUAUCAGAAUAAUCAGAUAUGCAUGAUAUUAUCAUACUCAGAACAAAUCAUCAGUCCAUCAAAUCUACAGUUUUAGGGUUAGGCUAGCCCUUACUGACCCUACGGUAGGCCCACAGUUGAUUGAGACGACCCGUGCAACCCUAGGAUAAAUUUUAAAAAUUUGGGUCCACAUGCCCGUGUGGCUUGCCCGUGUAGGCCUACACGCCCAGAUUGGCCCUUACUAUAUGGCUUGCCUGUGUGGCCCACACGACCACACUCGAGCCACCGCACGGUCGUGUUCUCGCACAUGGCCUACCACACGCUCGUGUGGCGUCGAUAGAACUAUUUUUUGGCUUUUGUUCAAACCUCUUUUUUUGCAUUUCGGGUAUACACCUAGGAUCGAUUUGGUGCAAAAUCACACUCGAGCCUUCCAGAACCUAAAAUCAAAAUUUCCAAAUUUUGAAUUUAGUAACACCAACAAAUCUCCACCAAGACAAUUUCACAACGAAACCUUACAACAUUAAUCAACGCACGCGAAUACUUACCGCUAACAAACAACAACCUUGAAAACUUAAAUCGUCGCAGGAACCCCAACCGAUCCUUGACCUUCGCCUAAAUUGAGAGUAACAAAACAAAUCCUUUCGUUAAACACUUAGCCAAAAAACGUUAAGAUUCUAACAAUACAAAACUUACAAAAAGAAUGCAGUCAAACGUUGCACAAAAAAAACGAGACCGAUUCAGAAAAGAAAUAAAACAGAAGUGGGAAAUAGAGAGACAAUUUUUCUACAAAGAGGAGAACAAAAAGAAUGUCAGUUUUUUUUGGAAAUCGAAAAUUUUGAAAAAAAAAUAAAAUAGAAUUAUCCCAAAUCCCCCCCUUUUUCUCUUGCUAACCCACUAACAUCCAACAUCCUCAGACAUGCAGUUCAACCGAAACUCCCUCCGACAACCGAGCAAAAAUUAAUUACCCAUGCUAACGCAAAAAUUUGAACACAAGACCUCAAACACACCACUCCCUUACCACCUGAACCAACAAGCUCAAUCUAAUUUAAAUUUACAGGCAAUAAAAUAUAUGCCCCCUUACCAAGGAUAAGGCUUAGAUUCAAAAAUAACCAAAAUUUGCUAAAGGUAAGGCUUGAACUUGAGACCUCUCACACAUACCUAGAACACUUAACCACUAAAGCAAACAAAUAUUUGUCAAAAACUUACAAAAACAGAAAUAAGAAAAUCAGGGCAUUACAAAAUCUCUAUUUAUAGGUAUAAAAAGUAUAAAUGAAGUAGAGAUCUCCUAAUGACUAUUAGAAUUUAAAGUACAUCAAAACUUAUCUUGAUCUUAAUGGACAUCCAUAUAAUAAUAUAUUCAUAACAUUUAUUUAUUUUUAAAAAUUAUUAUAAUAUUAACAUAGAAAUUAAAUUUGUGAUUAUUGUUUAUAAUAUAAUAUAAAUGAUAACAUCAUGGAGAAAAAUAUUUUAAUUUAAAAAUUGUAUAAAAUUUAUAUAUUAUCUCUUCAAUAAUUUAAAUUAUAAUGAUAAUUUUUAUAUAUUAAAUUUAAUAUAUUUAAUCUUCCUUUAAAAGAAAUAAAUUACUUGUUAAGUUAUUGCAUUUAUUCUAUGAAUUAAUUUUAAAUUUUAUUUGUCAAUCUUCACAAAAUUAUUAGAUACUUUGAGCAAUUUAGAAAAUCAUUUAAAAAUAGAAAAAUUCCAUUGAAGAAUGAUACUUUUGAUUAUUGAAAGUAUCUGCUGAUUAUCGGACGCAUGAUGUCGAAACCAUUUUUUGGAAUCGACUUUUAUUUUAAAAAAUGAAAAAUGGGAGUCGCCACCAAUCCUUUUUUUAUGAGGUGUAAUCGGGUCACAUCGUAAUUUAAUCGUUUUAAUAAAGGGUUUAAUUUAUUAAAACAACGAUUUUUUGGUCUAGAAACUUUGAGAAAUGAGUUCGGGAGUCGGUUACGCACGAGGAAGGAUUAACACCCUCACAACGCCCAAAAUUGGUACCUAGUUGAUUAAUUAAUGUCUUAAUGUCGAAAAUUGAAAACUUGAAAAGAGUUUAAAAUACAAUCCCUCUUUGUAUUAAUAUCAUGAUUACUUAAAAAAUCUUAAAUAAAUCGAAAAGUAUGUUAAAGACCCUCUCAUCUCGAGGUAACAAAAUGUCACAUCCCGUAAAUUAGGACACGACACUUCAAAUUUUUGAGAAUGAAUUUGCCUUUAUUUUUUAUUUGAAUCUCACAUGUUUUAAUUUUAAAAAGAUAUUAGGUUAUUUAGACCCAACGAGAAAAAAAUCGAAACCCUGUAAGUUAGGGCACGACUUUCUCAAGUUUCCAAAUACAGAAUAUUGUAUUAUUUUAAAAAUUUUGAAUAAUAACAAGUGUAAUAUUUAAACGAUGUGUAUUUUUUAUUUGGAUACAAUACAUCAAUGGACAGACAUAUCUAAACUUAAUGUAUAGUAGUGAUACAUGAAAUAAUAUAAAAUGACUAUAUUGAUAGAAUAUUGGAAUGAUAAAUAAUAGGUAAAUAAAUGAAUACUAUAACAAUAAUAGUAUAACCUUAAUAAUAAUAAUAAUAAUAAUAUUAACAAUCAGAUCAUAGUGAUAAUAAAUAAAAUAAUUUAAAAUAAAUAAGAACAUGGAAGAUGCAUGUUAGAAACUAAAGGUGCGUUUGGUUCGUUGUAUUGGAUUAGAGGUGUAUUGGAUUAGAGGUGUAAUAGCAAACCAACUGUUUGGUUGAAUGUAAUGGAAUAGAGGCGUAAUAGUAAUCUUGUGUUUGGUUGAAUGGAAUAGAGGUGUAAUAGCAUAAUGGAAAAAACUAAAAUGACUAGAAUACCCUUAGCAUAAAUUUGUUUUGGUAAAUGAUUAUUGUUAUUGUUAUUUAAAUUUUAAUAAGAUUAUUAUUAUCAGUAAUAAAUAUUUUAAUCAUAUUUAAACAUAAUUAUUAUUAAAUAUAUUUUAAUUAAAAUAUAUAAUUUAAUAAAAUUCUUAUAAUUAGCAGAUAUUUGUUUUGGUAAAUUAUUAUUGUUAUUGUUAUUGUUAUUUAAAUUUUAAUAAGAUUAUUAUUAUCAAUAAUAAAUAAUUUAAUCAUAUUUAAACAUAAUUAUUAUUAAAUAUAUUAUAAUUAAAAUAUAUAAUUUAAUAAAAUUCUUAAUAAUUAAUAUUCUUAUAUGAAUUUACUCAAAUCAUAAUAUAUGAUACUGUAAAAAUAUAAAUUAACAUAAUUAUUAUUAAAUAUAUUAUAAUUAAAAUAUAUAAUUUAAUAAAAUUCUUAAUAAUUAAUAUUCUUAUAUGAAUUUACUCAAAUCAUAAUAUAUGAUACUGUAAAAUAUAAAUUAACAUAAUUAUUAUUAAAUAUAUUAUAAUUAAAAUAUAUAAUUUAAUAAAAUUCUUAAUAAUUAAUAUUCUUAUAUGAAUUUACUCAAAUCAUAAUAUAUGAUACUGUAAAAUAUAAAUUAACAUAAUUAUUAUUAAAUAUAUUAUAAUUAAAAUAUAUAAUUUAAUAAAAUUCUUAAUAAUUAAUAUUCUUAUAUGAAUUUACUCAAAUCAUAAUAUAUGAUACUAUAAAUGAAAAUUUGAAAUAAUUAAUAUUAAAUAUAUUUUAAUUAAAAUAUAUGAUUUAAAAUAAUUUAAAAUAAUUAUAACUAAUAAAUUAUAUUUUAUGAAUUUGUAUAAUUUAAAAUAAUAAUUAUUACAUAUAAUUUAAUAAUUAAUAUUAAAUUUCAUAAAAUUCUUGAUAAUAAAUUUUCUUAUAUGAAUUUAUACAAUUUAAAAUAAUUAAUAUUAAAUAUAAUUUAAUAGUCAUAUAUAGUUUCAUAAAAUUCUUAAUAAUAAAAUGUUCUUAUAUGAAUUUACUAAAAUCAAUAUAUAACUUGAGAAUUAUAUUCUGCAUAAACAUAAUUAACUUAUAUUAAGAAAAAGUUAGAUGAAAAUGAAAUUGUACAUCAUAAUCCAUAUGUUAUAUAGUUUUACAACAUCAAAAAGUUUGAACAUUGAUAUUUAAUGGUGAGAAAGAAAUCUUCUGACCCAUUCCAAUCGGGCAACAGAAGGUAAACUAAAGAAAACGAUCAUUUGAGUUGGAUGAUCGGGAAUUUUACUCUAAGCAUCAUACCGCUGAUCGUCGGUUAAACCUUCAAUUGACCAUAAGGCUGAAUAUAAAUUUGAAGCUUUCUUUUCCAUCUUUUGAUGUUCUUCUGACUUCUGCUGAACUACCACCUCGGAUGCAAUACUCCUACUGAUUUGAUCGCCAACGGCCUGAAUUUUUCCCCCCAACAAAAUGGCAGCCUCCUCAAAUGAAGAAUACACAUUAUCACGAGCAUCAGAUUUCUUCUUUCUCUUGUUUGAAGAUGAGGAACCCCCUUGGUCUCUAUCUCCUCGCGGAUCCGUACCAGAAACAUCCAUGUGGUCUAAAGAGACGUCAGCUUCGCAGUCAUAGAAUGUGUUUCUCUCUUCAUUCAUAUCUGUAGUACGUUCAUCCUCAGCAUGUAUUUCUUCAAGAACAUCAGCAGCUGUUUGAGCGUCUUUCCCAGUCGCCCGAUCUCUUGCGUAUAUGGCAGUAAGCUGGUUGUAGUAAGGGAAAGAACGAUGUCUGAACUGAGAGGCUUCUUUGUGACUCUAAAAAAAACAAGGAAAUCAUAUUAGUUAUAAGUUUUGUAAAAAAACAAAUAAAUACUUGAAAUACAUUUUACCUUAACAUAGGAUUCCCAAACUGCAUCUUCAGCAACAACGAGCUGCCUAUGCUCGUCCCAACCAAAGCCGCUGUUGUUUUGACCAUUAAGCAUGUCGUAGACGACUGACCAUUCCCUUUUUAGGCACCUAAUCCGAGAUUCAAUAUUUGGUCUCGCCUUCAACAUUGCUCUUGGUAAAGCCUUUUCUAGCAUUUUCUCUAGCUCGUUCAAAUAACCGACUUUGAACCCGGUAUCAGCAUUAAAUGUUCCUACAUUGUGCAAAUCCACCAUGCAAGAAACCAAGGCUGCAUCCUCUUCUGGAACCCAUUUUAUUUUGCUUCCUCGAGAAGCUUGAGAAGAAGCACCCGUUGGUGGAACACCUGACAUAUUGUUCUUAAGAAAAAAAAAACAAAUUAACAUUAUUUACUAUUUUGAAUAUCAUGAAUCAAAAGGUGAACAAUUUAUAAUAUUAUAUCGGUAGUUCAAUACUAAAUUUAAAUUUAUAACACAUGCUGAAUGAAAAGAUAAUUAAAUUAUAAUUCAACAAAGUUUAGUACAAUACAGAAUUUUAAUCAAAGACCACCAAAGUUUCAUAAACUAGAUACAUAAAAUAACAUCAACAAAUCAAUUCAAACUCAAUUUGUCCCUAAACCUAACUAAUUUCUAGAUGCUUGCCAUUCAUCGAACAUUUGGUUGGCUAGUUCCAUCCUCCAAGUUGCCCAAGCAUCCGAUGGAUGAAUAUUUGUGAUAUUCAGCUCAUCGUCAUCCACAACAUUAGUAGGUAAUCCUUCUCCCACCUCCGCUUCAAUGGGAUCAAUACUCAUAUGGGUUCGAAUAAAAUUAUGGAGCAAACAACAUGCAAUAAUAAUUCUAUUGUUAGAAUACUAAUUUAAUUCUAAGUCAACUAAAUGUUGUACAAUCUAUAUAUAAAACUCAGUCUAAUACCUUAAACCAUUUCCACCUUGUGUCAGAAGAAUCGGCUGUAAUUGGCUCCGGCUUUUUAAAUAAGACAUCUUGUAAGCGUAUGACAGCAUUUAAAACACUAUGAAAUGCUCUGCUUGCAGUUUCCCUGGACCUUCUAAAGUGAUGCUUGAUAACUCGAUUUUUAAGGUGAUGGGAGAUGAUAUGUAAAAACAUUGCUACUUGCUCAUCAAGAAGCAUGAACCUCGACGACUUCAAUCCCCCUAUCGAUUCUAACAUCUCACAUAGUUUAAAAAAUGCAGUUCUAUUCAUCCUAACUUGUUCAAUACAAGUCUCGUCACUAGCAUAUACAAGCCUCUUCACAUAAUCCCGUUGUGCAUAAAAAUCUACGGUAUAGGACCUAAUCCUUGGUCUAUAAGUAUGUAGGCUAAGGCUGGCACCCAUUCUAAAUAAGAACCAAAUCGCGAUUCUACAGAUUUCCAACCAAAUUGUCAAUGCAGCACCGAUUCUUUUACGCCUCACACUUUGUGCAAUUAAGGGCAGACGAGCCAUUACUGCACCAUAUUAAAAUUAGAACUCAGUAUCAAUCGCCUCACACUUUAGAGAUGCAAAUUUAUUAAAAUAAAUAUCGUAUAAGAUAUCUUUUUCAAUUAAUAAAAUAGAUAAUUCAUUCAAUUUUUGUUGAGAUAUUGUUAAUCUUCAGUAAGAUUUUAUCAAUUUUAAUUUUUAGAGCAUUUUCUCCGUUGAUGCAACAAAAACAUGAGUUAUUAACAUUAUACGCAUUUGAAAAAGGAAUAAACUCUUUAUGAAUAAUUAUGUCAAUUGAGUGUCAUUUUAUAAUUUGAUAAUUUAUUUGAAAAUAAUAUUAUAAUAAUUUGAAUUAAAUAAGGAAUUUGAAUAUUAUUAAUUUAAUAACAAUUAUAUAAGCAUCGAAAUUGGAACUUGAUUGAUUGUUUAUAUAAGUACCGAAUUAUAUUUUAAUUAAAAUAUGCAGAUUUAAUCUUAAAUUUGGAUAUUAUAUAAGCAUCGAAAUUGGAACUUGAUUGAUUGUUUAUAUAAGUACCGAAUUAUAUUUUAAUUAAAAUAUGCCAAAUAUAUAUUAUUAUCAUUACCAAAUUUCUACUUGGGACUUGGGUGAUUACUUUUCUUUACAAUUAACUCUCUUCAACUUUUCAAUCUUUUAUUUUAUUUUAUUUUAUUUUAUUUUAUUAACAUUGUAGCCUUAAAACAACUACCUAUUUUAUAAUCGCUUUAAUCAACACGUAGUUGAGGUUCGGGAUUCGAGUUUUGAUUUAUUUUAACACAUGGGUUCUUCUUAAGGGUAAGCAGGAAAAUUCGAAAAACCAAAAAUUAACUUGAACUAAUGUGUUUGGACGGUUUAUGAAAUGCUAGUUUUAAAAUGUGAAACCCAAAUCAUUUCUAUUUUUAUUUAUUAUAUAAUUAAUUUUAAUAUUUUAUGAUAUAAAAAUAAAAUUAUUAUAUUUACAGUAGUGAAAAUAAUUUAAAAGUUUUUGAAAGAUUAUUAUUUUCUAGAAACAUUUAUGAAAAUGUUUUUGAAAUUUUGUCAAAUAAUAUUCAAAAAGCCAUAAAUAAAGCUCUUUUUGUUAAAAUAAAUCUAAAAGCUCAAAACAAAAAUAUUAUAAGUAAUAUAAUAGAUAGUUGAAAAAAUUCAAAAGACUCAAUUAAAUCAAACCAAUAGAACCCUAAUUUUCCCCAAAUUUAUUAUAAGUAAUCAGUAAUCGAGUUAUUUUGCAUUGAAGUUGAUUUAAAAAAACUAUGAAAAUUUUAAAAAAUAAAAACUUUUUUAAAGAAACAUAAUACAAUCUUAAUUACAAUACAAAAUAAUACACGUUAGAAGCAUUAGCCUUUCAAAUUUUCAAAAAUACAGAAUACAUUCAAAAUUAUUAAUAAAUGGUCGGGUAUUACGUUCCUAAUGGAAAGACUCAAAUUUAAACUUUAGAGACGACAUUAUUAAAAGAGAAAAGCACAAACUCUAAACAUAAAAAAAUAUAUAUAAUACAUUUAAAACUUAAACCGAAAUAAAUAUUAACUAAAAAUUCGCACAUGAAUGACAUAGGAUGAGACUCUAACAUAAAAUUUUAAAGAUUUUUAAAACUUCAACCAUACAAGAUACUGUUUAAUUUAAAGAAUUUAAAAAUAACAGUUGAAAGAAAAAGAUUACAUGUUUUUCCCAUCCCGUCAAAUCAAAUUAACUUUUUUUUUCUAUAAUUUUAUAGUAGUAGCAUAAUUUAUUGAAUCCACUCAUGAACAAGCAUGAUAAAAGAAUGCGAAAAAUUCAGCAAAAUCAUGCAAAUAACAUCAUUACGCAACUACCUUUAGAUUCAAGUAAAUUGGACAUUCAUGAUGACUUGGAUAAUAAAAUUACUAUAAUGAGAAAGGGCAAUGCUCAGAAAGCCUUCAAAGUCGAUACAUAUAUGAGAUGGAGAGUAGGUUAAAGAGUUACAUGCAAAUAAGACAUUACCAGAAUUAUAUUCUAUCCAAUAAUUGAAGCGGAGUGGGUUGAAGGAUGUUUUAUUAGAUGGGGCUAUCAAAGUAGGCUUUCUUAUUUCUUCUAAGGGAGCUUAUAAUGUUAGAACCAUGGAAGAAUGAUCGAAAUGACAAUAGGUAAUUAUUUUGGUAACUUGGAGUGCUGCUGGUUUUAUGUUCUAGUAAUGUAAUUUUUUAUGGUAGAGUUAACAAUCUUGCCAGUAUCAUAUUAGAGAGAAUUAAGUUAAAAGGCUCAUAGUUCUUCAAUACUAAUCUCAGUAACAGUAAAAAAAAUCAAAUAAUUUAAUUGCAAAAAAACUUACAGUGACUCAGUGAAUACAAGAGGCUUAGUUAUGGGUGGAGCAAGCAAGCCAAGGGACUAAGGGAGUAGUGCUAGUGGCCGGAGGCGAAGCAAGCAAGGGAGGUUGGGACUGAGAGGUGAAAAUAAAAAUACAAAUUCAAUAAUAAAAAAAGAAGAAGAAAAAGUAAAGCAAUAUGUUUGAAGAAGUAAAACAACAUGCCUAUAACAUAACGAAUAAGAAACACAUAAAUAACAUAACCCAACAAAGAAGAAAAAGCUAAAUAGGAAUAUUUCAUGAUGUGUAAUAGGAGAUGACUAGCACUUCGAAUUUAAAGGAAUUUAUGUUAUUUGGUUUCAUAGUUUAGGGAUUCAUCAGCUGACAGUUGGUCUAGAUCAUUGGUCCAGAUACAACUUCACGAAUGAGUUUCUAUUUGGUUUCAAUGAUUUUUAACUCGUCUUCAUUGUCUUGCUCUGCUUAGCUUUGUUACGGAAAAAAGGUUUCAUUUAACUAGAAACUCAUGGUGUCAGGGUUUAUUCCAAGAAAUCCACUAAUUACUUCUUCAACUAUGUUUAGAAAAAAUUAUAAAUAAGGACAUACAUUCUUAGUAAAAAUACAAUUUACUUAUCCAGUUCAGCUAGUAAUAUACACAUGACUAGAAAGCAAGAGGGCAAAGAAAUUAAGUAAAUUAACCUCAAAAAAUGUACUCUUACAGGAAUCGUAGCUUUUGAAGCUUGCCCAGAGUAGAUGGAAUGUGUCCGGUUAAAGUAUUCAAGUAAAGAUCCAAGCUCACUAAGUUGGUCAAAUUUCCAAGAUCCUCUGGGAUUAUACCAGAUAUGUUAUUACUAUAAAGCUCCCUGUCAUAAAAAAAUGGUAAUCUUCAGCAAAAGAAGUUUAAUAGAAGCACAUAAACCAUGCAUGUAUCUAUGAAAAUGCAACCAAAUCCAAUGGAAAGAUGACAACAGAUGCAAACCAUUGUGUAAUGACAAAAGCAUAGAACAUCAUUGUUUACAACUAUUUCUACUAGUAUACCUGAAUAACUCAGACAUUCUGGUCAGUUUUGGUUACUAGGAUGACAAAAGCAUGCUGGUGUUUUGUUUUUCCUUUAUGUAUGUCUCAAUAUUCUAACAAUGAGAGGUAGCAUGUAAGAAAUGAGUUAUCUAUUUUGGGGUCAACCAAAAAUAGACUAGGCCUACACUAUUGACUUACAAAUUCUGCAAAGCCGGAAGCUGUCCAAGCUGUGGAACCAAAUGACCAAACAGAUUUGCAUUCCCGAGGUCCCUAAAUUGAGAAGGAAGAAAGCGUUUACUAAAUGCUUAUCAGGAAUGAGUUUCUAUUUGGUUUCAAUGAUUUUUAACUUGUUUUCAUUGUCUUGCUCUGCUUUGCUUUGUUACGGAAAAAAGGUUGCAUUUAACUAGAAACUCAUGGUGUCAUGGUUUAUUCCAAGAAAUCCACUAAUUACUUCUUCAACUAUGUUUGUAGGUACCACUGAAAACACAUGAAAAGAAGUCUAUCUUAAAGUUUUUCUCAACAAUGAAAGUUAAAAAGGAACAAGAAUCAAACAUGGAACAAAGUGUGUGCGAUGAAUAUGUCAAAAAAAAUUUGCUGAAUAACUUAAAGGAGGAACCUAAAAGUACAGAUGAUAGACUUGCAUCCUUAACAGAUAAAAUCGUUCACCUCUUUUAGUAAGCAAUUCACCAUUCAAGUGCUUUCUUUUACACAACAAAUCAAUAAGAACAACAGAAGAACACAUGCAACCCCAAAUCCCCCUUAAAAACGCUUCUUUUCCUUUGAUUAAUUAAUGCUUUUAACAAUUUAAACCCAAAAUGAAACAACUUCCAAUUCCCUGUUAGAACGAACCAACAAAGCCUAUAUACUUAAUCAUGAAGUAAAGAAAAAAAAAAGAAAUCACCCACUAAUAAAAAACAUAAAGGUCUUUUUUUUAAAUGGUGCAAUACAAAACCAAAAGAGCUAAAAACCUCAGUAAAUGAAUGAUAUUAAGUUAUUAACAUACAAGGAAAAUGAUCAUAGUUUAUAUGAAGAAAAAAUACCUGAAACUAGGUUAAAACUUCUGGGUCUGUUACAGAAAACAAAGAAAGAAAGGAGAAGCCUUUGUAAAUUUUUACUUAGAAAGAGAAAAACAGAAGCAGCUCUCUUCUUACCUUUCUCUAUGGCAUGCUCGAGAAGAAUUUGGGGCUACUGGCCGAAGGCGAAGCAAGCAAUGAAGGAGAUAAAGGAGAGACAAACCCAGGAAACAGAGGGCAAAUUAGGGCGUGAAAACUAAAACGGAUGUAAACUGAAGAGAAGGCAAGGAUUAGAAAACAGAGAAUUCUGAGGAUUAGGGGCGUAACGUAUUAGGGGUGUAUUAGGCAAUACAUUGAACCAAACACCUACUUAAGAGGGGCUUAAGUGGGGCCCACGGAUUAGGGGUGUUUUGGCUAAUCCAAUACACCAAACCAAACAUAGUGUAAAUGACAUGAAAAUGCCAAAAAUAAUAAAAGAAAAAAUGAAGCAAUAAGAGCACACCAAAAAGUAAAAAUAAGAUAACAAUGACGAUAAUAAAUUAAAAAUGUGACAAUAAAAGCAUGUGUACAAUCCAAUUUACGAGUAUGUGUAAAAAAUAAUAAUAAUAAUAAAUAUAUGAUAAAUAUAUGGGUACUAAUAAUAAUAAUAAAUAAAAUAAUAAUCAUGAUAACAAAUGCACAAAAAGAAAAUAAAAAAUAAAAAAGCUAAAAGAAAAAAGAAAAAAAUCACGAUAAAGGAAAAUAAAAUAAAAAACAGUUUUAAAUAUUAAAAAAUGGUAAAAAAAACUAAUAAAUAAGUAAAUAAGCAAGUAAAUAAAUAAAUAAAGGACUCAAUCGCAACUUAAAUAGAAUUAAAAGUAUAAAUCAAGAAAAAUACAUAAAUAAAAUACCAAAAUGAAAAGCGUGAAAACAAACGAGGACCAAAUGAGAAAUUAUCCCAAUCCUCUGAACAUGCGUCCCUUCUCCAUGAGAUUAGCGAGCCAGGGACUAAAUUGAAAUGCGUGAAAACUUCAGUGGCCAAAUCUAUAAAAAAAAGAAGUAAAAAAGGGACUAUAUUGAAACGUGAUGUAAAAGCGGAAGGAUUGACUACGCAAAUAUGCCAAUUUUCAAAAACAAGCGGAUCCCAAGGGUUAAUGGAUCGGGAAAUUGGGUCGGCCCAAAACGACGACGUUUUGGGCAUCAGAAGCCAAUCCCAAAGCGACGUCGUUUUGGGGGGGCUUAUUUAAGUUAAUUUUUUUCAAAAAAUUUCAUUUCUCUCUUGCUUUAUAAAAAACUGCUUUCAACUCUUUUUUUUUCUCUGAAAUUUCCCUAGGGCCGGCCAUCCGGUCCAGUGGCCUCUCGUCGACCACCGGUCACCGGUGACAAUGCCGCCGUCCAUGGUGGUCGAAACCCCUAAAAAAUCCCUUUUUGGCCCUUUGUUUAAAAAAAACUUAGGUUUUAGAUCUAAAGGCAAAUGCCUAAAAAAUAGAAAAAAAGAACAAAAAGAAAUUCGGCCUCUGCCCUUUUUUUGCCUAUUUGCCCUAUCGUGUUCCCUUCUUGACGAAGGCCGAACGGUGCCCUAAGGACCUACGACAAGCGUGACGCGAGUAGACAGGUAAUAGAUUUUAUUUUUUUUAUUAUUUUCCUAUUUUAAGAAUAAAAAAAAAAGUGAGUCACCCAUUUUUUAAUCUGAUUUUCUUUUUCAAAAAAAGUCCCUUGAUACAAUCUGUUUUAUGGCUUUUAUAGCCAUCACAUACAUUUUUCUAUAUUUUUACUGAUUCUACUAUUCUUGCUUGGUUGUCUUUCGUCCUUUUUCACUUUUUUUACAGGCAUCGACGCGCGGUCAACAAUGGGGAGAAAAUGGCGCCCUUGCUAUUUUUUUGAAAUGGCAGCAGGGGCAUCAGACCUCGGGACGAGGUGCCUCGAGCGGCGUGCAUACGAAAGGGGGUGCGAGCUAGAGGCUAGGGUUUUUGUUUUUUUUCUAAAAUAGUUUAGGCUAUUGGGUCUAGGGCCAUAGGGUUUUUUUUAAUUUUGGGCCAUUUGGGCUUGUAACAUAUUGGGUUAUAUUUGUUGUAAAUGAACAGUUUUUUAUUUUGGACUUUAUUAUUUUUGGUUUAAAUUUUUGUAAUUUGGGCCUAGGCAAAAUUGGGUCAUUACAACUGCCCCUUUUUGCUCGUUGACAUGUAACGUGAAUAGAGCAAAGGCCUUAAAAGGGUCAACUUUGCCUGGUCUUGCCGAAUCUCAACUUCUUUGGUACUUCUCUUUUUUAAGUGGUUUCAUCCUAUCCCACAGCAACUUCAGGGGUAUAGGAAUUGUAGUUUCAAUAUACUCCACUACAACGUCAAGGAGAUAAGAUUUGUAGCUUGUAGCUUUAGUCUAUUCCACUGCAACUUCAGAGAGAUAAGACCUGCUAUGGUAGAUUUAAUCUGACCCACUGCAACUUCAGAGGUAUAGGACUUAUCGUUUCAAUCUACUCCACUGCAACUUCAGGGAGAUAAGAUUAGUAGCUUCAAUCUGCUCCACUGCAACUUCAGGGAGAUAAGAUUUGUAGCUUCAAUAUGCUCUACUGCAAUUUCAGAGAGAUAAGAUUUGCUAUCUUCGAUCCACUCCGCUGGAAUUUCAGAGAGAUAAGAUUUGUAGCUUGUAGUUUUAGUUUAUUCUACUACAACUUCAGGGAGAUAAGACCUACUAUGGUAGAUUUAAUCUGACCCACUACAACUUCAGAGGUAUCGGACUUAUCAUUUCAAUCUACUCCACUGCAACUUCAGGGAGAUAAGAUUAUUAGCUUCAAUCUGCUCUACUGCAACUUUAGAGAGAUAAGAUUUGCUAUUUUCAAUCCACUCCACUGCAAUUUCAAGGAGAUAAGAUCUGUAACUUCAAUCUGCUCCACUACAACUUCAGGGAGAUAAGAUUUGUAAUUUGUAGCUUUAAUCAAUUCCAUUGCAACUUCAGGGAAAUAAGAUUCGCUAUCUUCAGUCUGCUCCACUGCAACUUUAGGGAGAUAAGAUUUGUGGCUUUAAUCUGCUCCACUACAACUUCAGAGAGAUAAGAUUCACCAUGAUGACUUCAAUCCAUCCCACUGUAACUUCAGGGGUAUAAGAUUUGUGGCUUUAAUCUGCUCCACUGCAACUUCAGAGAGAUAAGAUUUGCCAUGAUAACUUCAAUUCAUUUCACUACAACUUCAGGGGUAUAGGAUUUGCGGCUUUAAUCUACUCCACUACAACUUCAGGAAGAUAAAAUUCACCAUGAUAACUUCAAUCCGUCCUACUGCAACUUCAGGGGUAUAGGAUUUGUGAUUUCACUGAUCUAUUACACCGUUCUCUAGGGAACAUAACCUGUAGAAUCCAUUUCAAGGGCCUAUAUUUAUGCCAAGUAAUUAGGAUGUUAUGGUCAGAAUGAAUCAAAUGCUCCUAACUAGAUGUGUAUGAAUGAUAUUUGCAUGAGUGCAGAAUGUUAUUUUUCGAGAAUGAUCCCCUUUUAAUGCUUAGGUUGUCAUUGCGCGUUGUUCAUCAAGGUUCUAUCACUGAUGUGUUUCCAUGCCUUCUUGUUUAGCUGGUAUCUUUGACAGAAAAUCCGAAGAAAUAGUCACAAUUUAGACUAUUCUUUCUCAAAUGUUUCCAACCCUUAAGUUUGGUUAGUUCUAACUAGUAGUCCUAUUUCAAGUUCCUGUACUAUUUAGAAGCCUUUCAGAGAAAUAUGCAAAACUCAUUUUACUUGAAUAUUAUUAGUCCAUUAAUCGUUAUUUCAAUGUAAAAAUGCUUGAAAAAGAUUGUAACAAUAGACAAGAUUGAAAUUUAUUGGGAGCAAGGUUCGAAAUGAAUGGAUUAACCAAAAUAGCAAACGUUGCUAAAAUACAAAAUAAGUAAGAUGAAAUUAGGUACCCCAAAUAUCGCAGCAUGAGCUUCUUUGCACAAACUUCUUGAGAACCAUUUUGAGCUUGAUAUGUGUUUAGGAGAUCCAGAGUACUUUGUUGAUGCCCCAAUACGUAACGUUCCUCCUCCUUGUUAAUUUUGAGAGGACAAGACUACCGCAUGCCCCAUCUUCGAUCAAAAUUUGAGCUGUCCUUUUUCGGGUUUUCAACUCAAAACCUCUUUGGUCUCAAGGUGCCUUUUGUGGGUUUUAGCCUUGGCCUCUCCUAUUUGUUUCUUUCUUUUUUUUUAGGUGAAAUACCUCUUGAUUGAAUCUGACUUCACAGGGUUAGGCAGGUUUUUUGCCAUCCAUUUCGGUCAGAAUCAGCGCUCCUCCAGAAAAUGUCUUUUUUUACCACAUAAGGUCAUUCCCAACUUGGCAUCCACUUUCCUCUGAAGUCCUUUUGUAUGGGAAGGAUCUUUUUCAAUACUAAGUCUCCCUCAUGGAAUUCUCUGGGGUGAACAUUUUUGUUGUAAGCUCGCAUCAUUCGUUUUUGGUACAUCUGAUCAUGACGGAUAGCUUUCAACCUCUUAAGUUCAACUGAUCAUAUCGAGAUUGGACUCAUUCUGCUUCAUCUAACUUCAACUCUGAUAAAACUCGGAGGGAAGGAAUCUCGACUUCAAUCGGGUCGGCCCAAAACGAUGCCGUUUUGGGCGUCAGAAGCUAAGCCCAAAACAACGUCGUUUUGGGGAGCUUAUUUAAGUUUUUUUUUUUUCAAAAAAUUUCAUUUCUCUCUUACUUUUAAAAAACUACUUUCAACUCUUUUUUUUCUCUAAAAUUUCCCUAGGACCGGCCAUAGGGUUCGGUGACCUCCCGUUGUCGACCACCAGUCGUUGGCGACGGUGCAGCAGUCCACUGUGGCAGGAACCCCAAAAAAUCCCUUUUUGGCCCUUUUUUUUAAAAAAAAAAACCCUAGGUUUUAGAUCUAAAGGCAAAAGCCUAAAAAAUAGAAAAAAAAAAAGAAUGAAAAGAAAUUCGGCCUCUACCCUUUUUCUGCUUAUUUGCCCUCUCAUGUUCCCUCCUUGACGAAGCCCGAACAGUGCCCUAAGGACCUACGACAGGCGUGGCGCGAGUAGACAGGUAAUGGAUUUUAUUUUUUAUUAUUUUCCUAUUUUACGAAUAAAAAAUAAAAAAAAGUGAGUCGCCCUUUUUUUUAAUCUGAUUUUCUUUUUCAAAAAAAGUCCAUUGAUGCAAUCUGUUUUAUGGUUUUUAUAGCCAUCACAUACAUUUUUUUAUAUUUUUACUGCUUCUACUGUUCUUGCUUGGCUGUCUCUCGUCCUUUUUCACUCUUUUUGCAGGCAUCGACGCGCGGUCAACAGCGAGGAGAGAAGGGCGCCCUUGCCAUUUUGGUGAAAUGGCGACAGGGGCGUCAGACCUUGGGACGAGGUGCAUUGGGCGACGUGCACACGAAAGGGGGGUGCGAGCUGGAGGCUAGGCUUUCUGUUUCUUUCUGAAACAGUUUAGGCUAUUGGGUCUAGGGCCAUUAGGGUUUUUUUAAAUUUUGUGUCAUUAGGGCAUACGAAAUGGAUAGUUUUUUAUUUUGGACUUUAUUAUUUUUGGUUUAAAUUUUUGUAAUUUGGGUCCAGGAAAAAUUAGAUCAUUACACAUGAUAUUUUAAAAACUUCUCUUAAAAGAGUCUGACCCCUCAACAAUGUUAUAGAGCAAUAAUUUGAAAUAGUCAAGAAACUUGUAGGAAGGGUAUAGCAAGAGGGUUGGAGGGUUGACGCCAGAAGUCAAGAGAUAUCUCCAUAAUGGUCACUUGUGUUGAGUGGUCUGCUUUUCUUCUAAGGGGUGAUUGAAUUUUCUACAUUGAAAACGAAGGUAGAGGACAAUUGCUUUUUUGUCACUAUUGCUACAAAUGCCAUUGAAUUUCCACAAGAAAUUUAUCCCAUAUUUAGUUAAGGGAACCUCACUUGACUUGACGCACAAGUCAAGAUAUAUCUCUGAAAUGUAAGUAUUAUACACUUUUAUUUUUCCUAUUAUAUCAAAUAAUUUUUUUUAUAUUUAUGUCAUGUAAUUAUAUUAUGCGGUAAAACGUAAAAUUCUAAUGAAUAAUGACUUUCGAUAUUGCCUAACGUGUCAUCAUGUCUAUGCUAUUUUUGUAUUAUCCUUGUUUUCAAGGCAAUAUAUAUUUAUAUAAAUUUUUUAAAUUUUGUUUUAGGUAGAUUUUUACAUGUUUUUUAUUCAUGUCAUGUUCAUUUUUUUAAUUUUUUUCAUAUUUUAUUUAUUGAAUGUUGGGCUUAAAAUAUUAUAAACGUUCCUAAUUAUAUAUUAAUUUUACAUUAAGUUUUAACAGAUAAAUUUAGCAUUAUUAUAUUAUAUUAUACUAAAUUUCUUAGGUCAAAAUUAUCUUUGAUUUUUUAUCCAAUUAGAUAUUCCUACACAUUUUUUUAUUUCUAAUAACAAAUUUAAAAUUAUCUAUAUCUAUCUAUAGUACAAACUAGCUCUUAAGAGAGUUUUAAGAGUAAAUGAGUUGAUAAUAGUGUUUUUCAAUUUUAUCUAUAUAUUAAUAUUUUUAGCUCUUAAAAAUCUAAAUUAUAUUUAAUAUUUAUUUACAACUCUAAAUAUCAAAGCUUGAUUAGAUAUAGGUUAUUUGAACUUUUCAUUUUAAAUAAAUUUGAGGAAAUUAAAAAUGGAAAUUUUAAUUAAUUUUUUUAAAAAAAUAACAUGAUUUUGAUUCAUUUCAAUGUAUAAUAAUUUUAAACUAACGUUUUUUCUUCAGUAAAUUUCACUUUAAUCCCUUUCUUUACUUCUUUUAAAGUUAUUUUUAUUUUUUGCCCUUUAUUUUUCUUCUCAUUUAUAAAGUCUUUAAUCUUAUAUGUUUCGAGUAUCAAAGUGUAAAUAAAUAUAAAUAUUAAAAAAAUACCUAAAUUUUAAAAUAAAAAUAAUUAAUAAUAAAUAUUUAGCUUUUGUAGUACAGAUGUAUAAUUCAGACAAUUUUAAUAUAACAAAUAAUCAAGUAACUGGGAUUUAAUAUUUAAUUAAAAAUAUUCAUCCAAAAAUUGUAAAUCGCAUAACAUUAAAACUCUUUAAAUAAUAUGUCACAUACAUGAUCCCUUUUUUUUUUUUUGUAAAUAUACAUGAUCUGUUUUUAUUUAUAAAACUUCCUUUUACCUCAUUUUUCUUCAUUAAUGUCUAGAAAUUUGAAGGGAGUCCUGUACCGAUUACAUUUGAAACCUAUCAAGAAUGAGCUUUUGAUUGUUAUAUUAGAUGUUUUCCUAUUAGUUUAAGAUCCCCAAUAAUUAAGCAUGCUUUCUUAAUAAUUGGAAAAUAUUUAUUUAAAAUAUUACUUUUGAAAGUAUUUCUGUGAAGUGUGUCUCAUAUUUUCGGUCAAACUAAAUGGCAAAGCAGGGGCAGCGUCGCGACAUUCGAAACUAAAUCGAAGCAGGGCCGAUGUCAUGAUGAGGGGACCUACGAUGUCGCGACGAUGCGACGAGACAACCACGUCUCUUGACAACUCUAUGGAUUUUCUUUCUUCCCGUUGAACUUUGAUUCUCGGUUCUCUUUUCCUAAUUUAACUCUAACUAUUCUAGGGAUAUUUUUGUAAUACCCUAUAUGUUACACCCUUAACCAGUCUCUAUCGUCAGAUUAAGGUUACAAAUAUUACCAAGCAAAACAGAACAUUUAACUUCACAACAGAAACAAUUAUAUUAAUUAAAUGUAAUCAUGGUAAAAAUACAAUUAUAGGUCUUAACUCGAGUUUACAGGACCCAAAAAACAGUUUGGGAACAUUUAGAGAUCAAUUCGAAACAAAUCAAAAAAAUUUGAAAAAACAUGAAAAUUUUAGAAACAGGGAUCACACGAUCGUGUGACAUAGCCCAAAUUGUGUGGACAUUCGAAUUCUGAACACACAGUCGUUUCCCAACCCGUAUGAGUAUUCGGAAUAAGGCUACACCAACAUGUUACAAUUAAGUCCUGUGUCAAACCAUGUGUGCAUUCGAUACUUUUGUCACACGACCUGUGAUGAAAACAAUAAUUAUACACGGAUGUGUAGGGUGACCGAAAAUUCAUAUACAGACUUAUUUUGAAUGUUGUAAUUUUCCACCAAAAACAAAGUCGCUGUGGAAUUAAAAUUUUGGUCCUAAGGCCCGCUGGAUUUUUCACAACCACUACUAUUAGACUAGAAUUAUGUCUCCACGUAUGAUCGGGUUUAAAAAAAUUAUUAAAAAAAUUAUUUAUUUCUAAAAUUAUUAUAAUAUUAACAUAGAAACUAAUUUUGUGAUUAUUGUUUAUAAAGAAUAUAAAGUAUUAAAUUAUAAUGAUAUCAUCAUGAAGAAAAAUAUUUUAAUUUAUAAAAAGUAUAAAAUUUAUAUAUUAUCUUUUGAAUAAUUUAAAUUAGAGAUAAAUCUCGAAAUUAUACAUGAACUUUGAUUUAAUGUGAAAUUGUAUACAUAAACUUUAAUUUGAUUUAAUAAUUUACAAGAAUUUGAUCAAAAUAAAAUUUCAUGUAUAAAAUUGUAUAAAAUCAAAGUUCAUAUAUACAAUUGCACAUUAAACCAUAGUUCAUGUAUAGUUUUAAGAUUUAUCCAUUUAAAUCAUAAUGAUAAGUUUUAUAUAUUAAAUUAAUAUAUUUAAUCUUCCUUUAAACGGAACAUGCUACUUGUUGAGUUAUUAUAUUUAUUCUGCGAUUUAAUUUUAAAUUUUAUUUGUCAAUCUUCAUAUAAUUAUUAGAAGAAGGAAUUUAUGACCAUAAAAAAUAAAGAUAUAUUUAUCAACUAAAUAAUAAAAAAAUAUUAAAAAAAUAAAAAAAUUCCUACAGAAGGACAAUAUCUUUAGUUAUUAAAGGGAUCUGUUGAUAAUCAAAGGAUAUUUUAAAAACUUUUCUUAAAAGAGUGGGAUCAUCAAAUGCUGAUAGAGCAAUAAUUUGAAGCAGUCAAUAAACUUGUAGAAAGGGUAUAGCAAGAGGUUUGAAGCAGGCAAUAAACUUGUAGAAAGGGUAUAGCAAGAGGAUGGAAGCUUGACGCCAAAAGUUGUGUUGAGUGUUCUGGGGUGAUUGAAUUUUCUACAUUGAAAACGAAGCUAGAGGACAAUUGUUUUCUUGUCAAUAUUGCUACAAAUGCCAUUGAAUUUCCCACAACAAAUUUUCUACAAAUGCUUUUCAAUUUUGAAUCAAGUUGGUUUAUGAUUGGAAUUACUUGCUGCAAUAAGUUAGUUAUUUCAUUUUUUUAUUUAAUACCAAAAUUAAAUAAGUUUUUAUUAUUAUUCUCAUUAAAAACCCGUUAAAGUUUCAGUUUUUCUAUUUAAUAUUGCAACUUUAAUUCUAUUGAAUGUUUAGGUUACUCUUUGUUUUUCAUUAAUACUUUUGGUUUUUUUUUUAAAUAUAAAAAGCUAUUAUAUAUUAGUUAUUACUUAUUAAGAUAUCAACAUUGUUAGAGCAAAAAAAAUCUGUGUGAUGGUAAAAAAAUAUAUACAUAUUCUUUUUGGUGAAUUAUAAUAACAAAGUAAAAUCUGAACAACUAACGCAACUAGUGCGACUUGAAUCCAGGUCAUAUAUGAGGUGUAGUUAAAUGAGAAAGACAUUGUAUAUAAUAAAAUAGAUGUGAAAAAAAAAUUGUUUCAUUAAUUAUUAAUAAAAUAAAAAUAUGAUUCAUUUGCAUUUGGUAAAAUUUAAUUAAACAAUAAAAUGUUUUUUUUAUUCUCAUAGAAGUAUAUUUCAUUGAAUAAUUUAAUUGCUUUUAUUGAAAUUAUCGUGGUAUAUACGAAUGUUGCUUAGAAUUUUUUUUUUGUAACAAAUAUUUUUCAUUGUCAUAUAUUGCAUAUGAUAUAAAGGCAAUAUUUGAAUGGAGCAUUGGUUAGUUUUUCACAGUGAAUCCUCCACAAUAUUCCUUUGUUUGAAGUUGCGGAAACAUGUCUCGUGUUUUUAUAAGAUACAUGCAUUUAAUUGGUUUCAAACAAUUCUCCUUCAGUAUUACAAAAAAUUAUGGAUAAAAGUAACUCUUUUAUAAAAUAGCUGCCGAUGUUGACGGAGAACUUCAUACUCCAAUUGCAAUGCAAAAGGCAAAGGUAAUGAGAAUUGUAAGCUACCAACCCGCCUAAACCUUAGAUUCGAAUUCGAAAGAUUAUAUUGGCUACUAAAAUGACUCAAUAAGGUAGCGGAAUUUAUAAAAUAGUCGUUUUAAAACAUUUGUUUAUCUUUAGAGGAAGUUUUGUCUAUUUUCAAAAAAAAAACUUAGCGUUUUAUUUCCCUUCUUACGAAAUAAUAAAGUUAAUCCAAAACUAAUUGAUUUAUAAAUUAGCUACUCGUUUAAAAAUUCAUUUUCCAACAAUGCAGCAGAAAAGUGAUACUAACAUAGUUUUAAUGAAAACCAUGUUUUAUGCAUUAUAAAAUAAAAUAAAAACUCAAGUUUUAAUAGCCUAAAAAUACCAUGCAUGCCCUAAAUAAACUCAAAACUAACUCUUGUGCCACAGUUUAAAAGUUCUCAAAAAAUAGGAACUAUAUUAAAUAAUAUUAGGUAAAAAAAUAUUUAUAUAUCUUUAAUCCAAGACUAGCCCUCCGAUUUCCCGAUUUUACUUCCUAACCUGAUGGAUUAUCUGUAAAUAUGUAAAUUAAAAAGGAGUGAGCUAUGAAGCUCAGUGUGAGUUCAGUCAUAAGAAAACUGGAACAAAACUGUAGGCAAAGCACAUCGGUUAGCAAUUCUGAGAAUAAUCACAAUCAUAAAGCAUUUCAAAUUAACAGUUUUUCAUAUCAUCACUUCACUAUUUCAUAAAUCACAAUUUUAUAUGCACAUGCUAAUGAAUGACAAUAUAAUUUCAAUUUGUUUGAAAAUAUCACUCUAGGUUGCGGAUGAACCAUCGUUGAUUUGCAGAUAAACUGCCACUUGUUUCUGGAUACGCGAUGUAAUUGCAGAAGCCUUUUUCAAUCAAUGAGAACAAAGCCCCGGGUCCGGAUGGCUUUAAUUUAUGCUUUUUUUUUUAAAUGUUGGGAGGUUCUUCGAGAGGAUUUGUUUGAGAUGAUGGCAAAGUUCUUUAAAUCUGGAAAAUUGGAGAAAAAGUAUAAACUCGUAUUUUAUUGCAUUAAUUCCCAAGAACGAUAAUCCGCAUGAUAUUUCCAAAUUCAGACCAAUCUGUUUGGUGAGCUCGCUGUACAAAAUUAUUGCUAAGGUUCUAUUGAGAAGAUUACGAAUUUUAUUGGGGAUGUGGUCAGUGAUACGCAAUGUGCCUUCAUUUGAGGUAGACAUAUUUUCGAUGGAAUUUUAAUCGCAAAUGAAUUGAUACAUUCGGUCAAGAAAAAGGAUGGCUCCGGGGUUAUUUGUUUUUUAAGUUGGAUUUUUCUAAGGCAUACAUUUGUGUGAAGUGGGAUUUCUUAGAAUUGAUAUUGUUGAAGAUGGGUUUCGGCUAGGAUGGACGGGAUGGAUGGUGGAGUGUGUGUCAACAACGAGGGCUGCAGUGCUAAUUAAUGGUGCAGUUACAAAUGAGAUCAGAAUAUUCAGAGGUCUCCGGAAAGGGGAUUCUUUAUCUUCAUUUUUAUUCAUUCUUGUGACGGAAGUUCUGCAUCUGAUGUUGGUGGAAGCGGAGUAGUUGAGGGUAAUUGAACGGAUAAAAGACGUUAUUCAUGGGCAGUCUGUUUCACAUCUUCAAUUUGUAGAUGACACCAUUUUAUUUUUGAGGGCUGAUGUAACAGCUCAAUUUUCAGUAGUGUUAGAACAGUGAUUUGAGAUCACUAAAUUCGAUGAAAAAGUUAGAAAAAUUGAUUAAUUAAUAAUUAUAAGUUAAGUGUGAUUUUAGAAAUAUUUUUAAAUUAGUGAAUUUUGUGAUUUAAAAGAAAUUAUUAGGUAAAUUGGGUCAAAAACGAGGUAUCGAGACCUCGAUAUUAUAAACUGAGCUGUAAAUAUUUUUAUAAAUAUUUACGGAGUGUCAUUAGGGUAGUAUUAAAGUUUCGUUAAGAAAUUUUAACGUUUCGAUGGUUAAUUGAUUAAAAAGAACAAAAUUGAAAAAAAAAUGUAUUCCCGAGACUCCGUUUCGUAACUCGAAUUCAUAAAUAUUUAUUAUAAAUGUUGACACCAUUUUUUUAUCGAAAACGGGGUCGACUUGGGUUUUGAAAAAAAUGAAAAUGGGAGUCGCCACCGAUCCUUUUUGAUGAGGUGUGAUCGAGUCAUCUUAAAAAAAAGGGUUGUUUUUAAUAAAUAAUUUGAUUUUAUUAAAACAACGGUUUUGGUCCACGAAAUUUAGAAAACGGGUUCGGGAGUCGGUUACGUACAAGGAAGGAUUAGCACCCUCGUAACGCCCAGAAAUUGGUACCUAGUUGAUUAACUAAUGUCUUGAUAUCGAAAAUUGAAAACUUGAAAAAAUUAAAAAUAUGAUCCUUGUAUUAAAAUGAUUUUUUUUUAAAAAAAGGGGCAUAUUUCACGUUUAAUCGAGAAAGAAAGCAUCAUAUCCAGUAAGUUAGGACACAAUGUCUCGAAUUCCCGACACGUAAAAAUGCCAAAAUUUUACUCAUUUAAAAGACAUUUUAGCCAUCUUGAGUUUAAAAAUAAGAUCACGACCAGUAAGUUAGGACGUGUCUCUUUUUUAAAUCCCGAGAUAGUUUGAAAUUUGAGUUCGAAAAUUUUGUGCAUUUAGAUUUAUUGUAAAAAUCGAAACCCAGUAAGUUAGGGUACGAUUUUCUCAAAUCUAAACACGAAAUGCCAUUUUUUUAAAACAAAACUUUCUAUAUCGGGUAAAAUAAAACACGUAAUUGUAGCAAGGAAUAUGAAAGCAAGUUACAUUUUAUUAUGCAUAGCAAAACCAUAAUGAAUAUGAAAGUAUAAAAAAUAUAAAAAUAUGAGCAAUAGCAACGAUAUAAAAGGCCAAAUUUACAACAUAAACAAUAGCAAAGCAUAAAAACGAAUAAAACUAAAACAUUCAUUCAAAAUAAUAAUGAAAAUGAAAUAAAUAAAGAGUAAAUACAAUAAAAAAAACAAAGAGAUAUAUAUAUGUGUAUAUAGGUAUGUAGAUAGUUUUAAGCUAUAAAGUAUAAAAAUAUGUGCAUAUGUGAAUUAUAAAAUAUAUAAAGACCAUAUAUAGGACACGUAUUUAAAAAUAUAAAGAAUAUGUAAGUGUAUAUAUAUUUAUGAAACAAGAUAUGUAUAUAGAUAUAUAGAUAUGUAUAUAAAUUCAAAUAUAAAGAUAUAAAUCUAUUUAUAAAAAUACAUACAUAGAUAUGUAUAAUAAUAUGAAGAUACAUAUGUAGGUAUAAGUAAAAUAUAUAUGUAAAAAAAAGGAAAUAUAAUAUAUACACAUAAAAAUAUACACGUUUUAAUAUGAAAAAUAUAUAUGAAUAGGUAUAUAAAUAUUCGUGAAAGUAAUAUUAAUACUAACAAUAAUAGUAAUAAUAACCAUAAUAAAAAUAAUAGUAAACUAAUAAUAAUAUUUAAAAUAAUAAUAAUAAUAAAUUGCUAAAAUAUGGGCUAAAUCAAAAUAAAAAUAAAAUGUAGGGCGAAAUUGAAAGAAAAAUAAAAUAAAAGGGACCAAAUCAAAAAGCGCGCCAAAAGGGAAGGGUCAAAUGGGUAAAUAACCCAACCGCCUCAAAACGCGGCGUAGCAGUUGGCCAGAUUGAAAUAAAAUUAAAAUUAUAGGGCUAGAUUAAAAAUAAAAGGAAAUAGCGAAAAGGACCGAAUUGAAACACGCGAAUCCUUUGGGUCGGGUCGGGUCGACGCGUGGAUUCCCCAUUACUCAAAACGGCGCCGUUUCAAAAUUAAUAUAAAUACUAAAAAAAACAGUCUUAAAAUCAUUUUUCAAAAAAAAAACAGAGAGAAACUCUCUCUCAUUUUCUCCCUCAGGCUCCGGUGCCGGUCAUCGGCCGAUCUAGGCCUCCGACGUGCCUCCGCCUUAGCACCGCCACAUGCGGUGGCCGGCGAUUCCAAAAUCGGAUCUUUUUUAUCCUCUUUUGAAGCCAGGCGUGUCCUCGGCACAAAUCUAGGGCCAAACCUCAAAAAGGAGUCCGAAGCCUGAAAAACGAGGGGAGACCGCUCGUCUUCUCCCUUCCGGCGCGGCGCAGGUAAGUUUUUUGUUCUUUUUGCUUGUUAUUUUGUGUAGAAGAUAAAAAUAAAAAACAAAGAAUAAAAAAAGGAAUAGAUUUGGACACCAAAAGAGUCACAUUUUUCUCUUGUUUUUGUUUUUUUUUUUUUUUUUGCUAAUCUCUGUUUUGUUACAAAAAUCGCUAGAAGAGCAAACAAAGUUACAUUUUUGGUUGGCUUUUAUAGCCGAUUUUCUACUACCUGCGUUCUUUGUUUGCUUGUUCUCUUCUUUGCAGGUAAUGGCGCAAGUGGGGGUGGCGACGUGACCGGGGCGGUGGCGACGUGACGUGGCUGCAGUGGCAGAAGACCAAAAGUCAGAGGGGGGCAGUGCCUAGGUGCGACGCUAGGGUUUCCUUUCUAAAACCCUAGGCAAAUUUUUUUAUUAUUGGGCCUCGGGUUAGUGGGUUGUUGGGUCUAGUUUAGUUGGGUAUUGGGUUGCUGCUUUGGGCUUUGGUUUGUAAUUGGGUUAGGCUGUUGGGUUUAUUUUUGGGUUUGUUAUUGGGCUAUUCAGGUUUGGGUUGGUUAUUGGGCUGAGGUUUGCUGGGUUAUAAUUGUUUUUGUUUAGUUUAGGGUUAAUUGGGUUUUGGGCUAAAAAUUGGGCUUGUACAAUAAAUAUUUAUGAAGUUAGUUGUGUAGUUAAUUAGGUUUUAAUUAAGUGAAUUUGUCUAAAUUGAGGUUAAUUAUGAAAAAGGAUUAAAUUACAAUAGAGAUAAAAGUUUAAUUAUAGAUUAAAGAAAAGUUAAAAGGACCAAAUAGGCAAUUAUACCUUUUUCUAAAGUUGAGUCUAGGGGUGGGCAAAACUCGAUUCAACUCGAAAAAAUCAAAAAAAAAUUCGAAUUUAGAAAUAAAUGAAUCGAGUUAUUCGAAUCAACUCGAAUUUUUUUUUCAAAUUUUGAGUUCCAAUCGAGUUGAGUUUUCGAAUUCGAAUAACUCGAAUAAUUCGAAUAAUUCGAAUAUCAAACUAUAAUAUUUUAUAUUUUUACCCCAAACUCCCAAACCUUUUUACUUUUCCCUCAAACUUUUACUCCUUCCCACUUUCCCCCCAAAACUUUUACUCCCCUCCCCUCCCAACCCCCCAAUCUACCCAAAAUCCAUUUCCCACCAAAAUUUUACUCUCCCAUUUACUUUUUCUCAAAAUUUUACUCCCAAAAACCCUCAAGACCUUUUAUUUUCCCCCAAAAUUUUUACUCCCUCCCACUUUUCCCCUAAAACUUUUAUUUCCUUCCCAUCCCACCUCCCACCUCCCAUCUACCCCAAACCCUACCCCCUCCAAUUUUUUUUUUAAUAUUUUCCCUCCAAAAUUUUACUCCCCCUAUUUACUUUCCCUCAAACUUUUAUUCCCCAAAACUUUUUAUUUUCCCCCUAAACUUUUACUUCUGACACUUUACUCUCAAAUAAAAAAUCAAAAUUAUCUAAAAAAAAUCACUAAAUAUAAAUAGUAAUAAUUUUAUUUAUAUCUACUAUUUAUAUUAUUAAAUUAAAUUUCACAUUUUAUAUUAUUUAUAUUAUUGAAUUGUUUAGUCAUAUUGAAUAUUUAUAUUAAAAUUGAAUUAUUAAUUAUACCAUAAAAUAUUCGUGUUAAAAUUUUAUAUUGGUAUCAAUUUCACAUUUUAUUUUUAAAAUAACUUUUAUUAAAAAAUCAUAUUUUUACAUUGAAUAUAUUUUUUAAUUCCAAAAUACAUAGUGAUAAGAAUCUGAAGAUAAUUGAAACAACUAAGUAAGCAAAGAAGCUAACCAAUAUAUAAAAAAUUAAUAAAUAAAUUAUGAGGUGAUGAAAGUUAAUAAAAAAUUUGAUUAAGGUGGACAAAUUUUAUUACGAUGGGCGACAGGGGUUACAAGAACCCAAAAUUAUUUUUUAAAAUUUAACUCGAACAAAUAUAUUCGAUUUGAUUCGAUUCGAAUUCCAUCUCACUUGACUCGAUUCGAGAAAAUUUCAAAUAAAGUUAGGAUGGUAAAAUGAGAUUUCAAAUUUUGAUUAACUCGAAAAUUUUUUAUUCGAUUCGAUUCGAUCGAAUCCCACCCCUAGUUGAGUCAGCACAUGCAUGACAAAAAUCUUAGAUUUUUUUUAAAGUAUGUUAUUAUUUUAUUAUAUUGUAAAUUAUAUUAAUUAUAUUAUAUUAUUAUAUUUUAAAUAAACAAAUUUGUUGACAAAUGUAUGGUGCAUAUGAUGACAUGUGGAAAAAUGAAAUACAUAUAUUAGUAAUUAUUACAUAUUUACUUAUUAUUUAAGUAAAUAAUUUUAUAUUAUUAUUUUAUUUUUAUUAUAUUAAACUAAUUAAAUAAAAGAAAUAAAAGAUAGAAAAGAGAAUAGAAACAGAAUAGGCAAACGAAACAGAGAAGGAAAGAAGGAAAGAAAAAAAAGAAAGAAAGAAAAGGGAAAAUUGAGGUUUUGAGGUUCCAAGCUCAAUUGGUAAGUCAAAUUAAGUCUUUUUCUUAUACUUUUUGAGUUUUUUAGAGUUCUAGAACAAAAUAUUUCAUGGUUUAUGUUGAAAUUUUGGAAGUUAUUAUAUUUCUAGACAUUGAUUAUAUUGAAUAAAUGAAAGCAUUAGGGGUUAAAUUGAUUGAAAUUCAAGUUAGAAGUUAGUAAAUGAUUUAAUUGUAAAAUAAAGUGUAAGUUUUGAAUAGUAGGGACUAAAUUGAAAGAAUCCCGAAAUUAGGGAUUUAUGGUGAAAUUGAAGAGCUAAAUUGAAUUAUAGUAAGAAUUAAGAGAGAAUAUGGAGUUAGAAUGGGAAAAUAAAAUUAGUAUUGAUAAGGGAUUAAAUUAGAAUUUGGGUAAAGUUUAGGUAUAAAUGGAAAUAUUUUAAUGAAAUUGUGUAUUAAUGAUUUUUAAUUGUUUAAUUAUGUAGCUAAUGUCGUGCAAGAGUCAUUGUCCGAGAAAGGAAAGGAGAAGGUGGACAGUGAUUGACUCGAGAGAAAUUUCGGUUAGUAUUACCAUAAUUCGAAUUUAAUUAUUAAUUGAUAAAAUUUAAAUUAAUAUACAUGAUAAGCAAAUUGGGGUAAGUAUCACGAUUGAAUUGAAUGAUAAAUACAUAUUGGUAUUGAAUUUAUUAAUAGUAAUUGUUGAAUUUUGAAUAUGUUUAGUAAAUAAAAAAAUAAGGUGAAUAUCGAUAUUGAAUUGUAUGUGAAUUGAAUGGAAAUUACUAGUGAUAUGAUUUGAAUUAAAAGAAUUAAUGUGGUAUUGAAAUGUAUAUUGAAUGAAAAAUAAUUAGGGAUUUGAAUUUGAUUGGAAAAUGAAUUAAAAUAUGAAUUGAACAAAAGUGAAUUAAAUUAUGAUUAUGUGUGAAUAUGUGUAUUGUGAAUUGAUAUGUGAAUUGGAAAUCGAGAUAUGAGAUUUGAAGAUAUGUGAAUAUGUGAAUAGUGUAUUGAUUGAAAAGUGGUUUGAAUGAAAUUAGAUUGAAUUGUGAUUAUAUGUGAGUAAUUGAGAUGAAUAUUGAAUUAAGAAAGUGAAAUUGAAAUGUGAUUAUUGAAUAGAAAAUGAAAUGGUUUGAAUUGAAUUAUUGAAUUGAACUGGAAUAUUGAAAUUGGUGAUUGAUAUGGAUUUUAUUAGAAUUGAAUUGAGAAAAUGGAAAUUAAUAUGUGAGACUGAUACUGAAUUGAAUUAUGGAAUACUAAAGUAAUGAAUUACUGCAAUACUGUGAAACUGAUUGAAAUAAGGAAUUUUAAUUGAUACUGAACUAAGAUGGAAAUUGUACUAAAAAGUAAAUUAAAUACCCUAUUAACUAGUCGGGCUAGUCGGAUAUAGUUGGCAUGCCAUAGGAUAUGAAAGAGUACGGGUUUUUGCCGGCUUACUGAUCAGGCACUUAUUUGCCGACUACUGUUACUGUUACUGAUUCGAUACUUUGUGUGUCGAAUAUUGUUACCGUUACUGUUACAGAUUCAGCACUUUGUGUGUUGAAUACUAUUACUGUUACUGUCACUGUUACCGCUACCGUUAUUGUUUACUGAUUAGGUACUCUGUACUGUUUUAGGCACUAUGUGAUGUAUUGGUGUGCUGGUUGGAAUCCGUGUAUCCGCCAAAGUCCAAGUCAAGUUAAUAGGGGUAAAUGAAUAAUUUUGUUAAUAUAAAUUUUAUUAAAUGAUCUUGAAUAUGAAUCGAAAAGAGAUAUUAAAUUGAGAUAUAGAAAAUGAAAUGUAUGAACCAUAGGUUCAAGAAAUAGAUAAUGAUAUAGUUCAUGAAAUGGUUUUGGUAGUAUGAGAUGAUGUAAAAAUAUAAGUAAAGAAAAGUAAACUGAAAUAGCUAUUGUUGAGAAAUGAGAAGUGAAAAUAAAAUGAUUUGAAAUAGUGAAAUUAUAUGUGAAUUUAAUUGAAUACAAGUUAUUGAAAUUUAUUUAUGGAUUUAAUGUAUAAAUUGAUUGUUAAAAGAUUAUAAGUAUAAAAUUGAUUAUAACUGAACGAAUCGAAUUGAAAGAUAGUUAUAAUUAGUUAUUAUUAUUGAAACAUGUUGGUCUAAAUUUUAAUUUGAUUAUUAAAAUAUUGAAAGUAUAAAUUGAAUGUAUACAAUUUAUCGAUUAAUGUUAUUAAUUUGAAUUAUGGUAAUACCACUGAGUAUUCCCAUACUCAGCGUACAGUUGUUUCCGCGCGCAGGUUAGUAGAAAACCAGUGUUUGGUCCAGCAUCCAGAGCAAUCCCGACCUCAAAGAAAUUUUAGUGAUGUACCUUUGUUUUGAUAAUGUGGCAUGGACCUAGGUGAUGUAUAGGUUAAGUAUAAGAGUUUUGUGAUUACGGUUGUAGAAUGAUGUUUAAAUUGGUUAUAAGUAUGAAAUGGAACUAAUAUGACAUAUUUGAUACAAGUAUGUUAUAUCUGUUAUUUAUUUGUGAACUAGUUAUAAGUUAUCCGAUAUAUUCGGUAAUGCUUUGUAACCCUAUUCCGGUGAUGAUUUAGGGUUAAGGGGUGUUACAGCAGAUGAGGUUGUGGUAAGAAUUUCUAAGUACAUUCUUCGCUGUUUUGAAAUUUUUUCUGGAUUAAGUAUAAAUUUUCGGGAGUCUUGCAUAGUGGGUUUUGGUACUGAAUAGGAGUUUUUGUUCUAAAUGGCUGCUAUUUGUAAAUGCAAGAUAGGGAAAUUAUCAUUCAAUUUUUUGGGUAUAUCUUUAGAUGCUGAUCCAAGGAAGAUAUCUUCUUUGAAUGGUUUUGUGGAAAGAGUAGAGAGGAAAUUAUCGGGCUGGAAAAGUAAGUCUCUCUCUUGGGCAGGCAAAACUGUGCUUAUUAAUGCUGUGUUAUCCUCUCUACCUAUCUAUUUUAUGUCAAUUUUUUAAACACCUAUUGCAGUGAUUAAUAAGAUAGACAAAUUUAGACAAAAUUUUUUAUGGGGAAGUUCUUAGAACAAAAUGGCAGCAAACAUGAGCAAACACAAACAGCAAGCAAAAGAAAAGAAAACUGAUGAGCAAAAUUAUAACUGAAAGAAGAAGUUAUCCAUUUCAUUCACAAAUUUGAAAAUAUAUUAAAGUUACAGACUAAUUAGUCAAUUACCUAAACUUGUAACUGCUCCCACUAAUUUGUCUAAUUGAUAACUUAAGUAAUACAAAAGCAAAACUGAAAAAAGUCAGCUAUUACAUCCAUUAGUUUCAAAUCAAAAAUUUACCAACUUUAGAUAUCAAGUUACAUGCUAACUUGAUCACAUUACAAAAGAACAAAAUCAAACAAAGGAAGUAGACUGCUUCUGGUUCUGUCUCGAUGCUGGCAUGCUAGCUGAUUUGCUGCUGCUACUGCUCUUGGUUACUCGUUGCAUUGCAGUCCAUUGCUUAACACUCCUCCUUGGACUAUAGGCAACAAACACCAAUUGAAUCUCUCAAGAUUUUGAACCUUGCUGCACCAAGAGGUUUUGUCAAAAUGUCAGCCAAUUGAUCUUGUGAGCUGCAAUGAAUGAGACCAACUUCUUUGGAUUGUACAGCCUCUCGAACAAAAUGAAACUUAAGUUUAAAAUGUUUGGUUUUGCCAUGAAAAACUAGAUUCUUGGCUAUGGCAACUACUGAUUAGUUAUCCACCAUGAUUUCAGUAGGUUCAAGUUGUUCUUCAUUUAAAUCACAUAGCAACUUUCUAAGCAAAAUGGCUUGGCUUACUGCUGCUGUAGCUGCUAUGUAUUCAACCUCAGCUGUUGGCUGAGCAACUGUUUGCUGCUUCUUCGAGCUCCAGCAGAAAACUCCUGAGCCAAGUGUAAAGAAAUAGCCCGAGGUACUUCUCAUAUCAUCAACAGAUCCAGCCCAAUCACUAUCUGAGUAACCAAUCAGCUUAAGCUUACUUUCUUUCUUGAACAUAACCCCAAACUUCAAAGUUCCUUUGACAUACCUGAGUAUCCUCUUAGCUGCCUUGAAAUGAGUUGUAUUGCAGCAGUGCAUGAAUCUCGACAAUAGACUAACUGCAUGCAUAAGGUCAGGUCUGGUUGCUGUUAGGUUGAGCAAGCAACCAAUUAAGCUUAUGUACUCCCUUUCAUCAACUCUUUCUUGACUUCCAAAGCUAAUCAGUUUCUCCCCUUGAGCCAAUGGUGUGCUCACUGAUUUACAGUUUGUCAUAUGAAAAUUGUUGAGAAUUUUUAAGGCAAAGGCAUGCUGGCUGAUAAAAAUGCCUUGAUCAGACUGGCUUACUUCCAUACCAAGGAAGUAUGUCAUGAUUCCUAAAUCAGUUAUAUCAAAUACUUCUUGCAUUCUUACUUUGAACUCUUGAAUCAAAUCAACCUUGCUUCCAGUCACUAACAGAUCAUCUACAUAGAUUGAAACAAUCAGUAAAGUUUCAUCUUGACACUUUUUCACAUAAAGUGUAGGCUCACUCAAACUUUUCUAAAAAUUGAGCCUAAACAGGUAAGAAUUAAUCCUGUCAUACCAGUCUCGAGGUGGCUGUUUCAGCCCAUAAAGUGCUUUCUUCAACCUACAAACUUUGGCCACAUUACAUCUUUGUCCUAUUUUCCUUGGACCUUAAAACCAUCAUGUUGUUCAACAUAUAUCUCUUCUUUAAGAAGUCCAUUCAAGAAGGCUGACUUAACAUCAAGCUGAUGCAUUCUCCAUUGCUUCUGUGUAACCAAGGCAAACAGAAGCUUAAUGGUGUCUAGCCUUGCUACUGGAGCACAUGUCUCCGCAAAAUCUAUGCCAAACUGCUAGAUAUACCCUUUCACCACAAUCAUUGCCUUGUGUUUGUUUAAAGAGUCAUCAGCAUUGAAUUUAGCUCUAAAAACCCACUUGACACCUUGAUCUUCUUCUGGUCAGGUCUAUCCACCAGAUCCCAAGUGUCAUUUUUGUGGAUCAUAUCAAUCUCAGCUUCCAUGGCUUGCUUCCAAUGCUUAUUUCUUACAGCUUCUUCAAAGCUAGAAGGCUCAACUAUGGCCACAUUACAUCUUUGAUAGAUGUCAGCAAUGGACCUGGUCCCUCUUACAGGAGAAUCAUCUACAUUUGCAUUACUGGACUCAUUUUCUGUUAAUUCCAAACUGCUGUCAAUCUGAUCUUCUUCAAACUGACUUGUGUCUGAACCAUCCAAGCUCCAAAAUUUAUCUUCAUUAAAUUUGACAUCCCUACUCAUCAAAAUUUUCUUGGUUGAGGGAUCAAAUAUUCUGUAGCCCUUUUUGGUCCCACUGUAGCCAACAAAUAUCCCUAGAACUGAUCUUUUCUCAAGCUUAGUUCUUCUUUCAGCAGGUACAAGGACAUAACACACACAUCCAAACACCUUUAAAUGGGAAACAGUUGGUUUAAGACCAUACCAUACUUUAAAAAGAGUUUUAUCCUUCACAGCAUGUGUUGGCAGCCUAUUAAACAGGUACACAGAGGUGUUGACACCUUCAACCCAAAAUGUGCUUGGAAGUUUGCUUUGAAAUAGCAAACACCUAACCAUGUCCAUCACUGCUCUAUUCUUCCUCUCACACACCCCAUUUUGCUGAGAAGUAUACACAGUGGUCAAUUAAUGAUGGAUCCCAGCUUGCUCACAUAGCUUCUGAAAUCUUUCAAACAAAUAUUUAGUUCCAUUAUCUGUCCUCAAAACUUUAAUCCUGCAGCCUGUUUGAUUCUCUACCAAAGCUUUGAAUUUUGCAAAAGCUUCAAAUGCCUCAUACUUGUGCUUUAUGAAAUAAACCUAGGAAAAUCUGGUCAAAUCAUCUAUAAACAAUAUAAAAUACUUACCGCCAUUUAAUGAAGGGGUCUUCAUUGGUCCACAGACAUCAGAGUACACUAAUUCAAGCUUUUCUCGAGCCCUCCAUGCUUGGUUUACUAGAAAAGGCAGUCUAGCCUGCUUACCAAGCUGGCACACUUCACAAACAGACUCUUUUGAAUCAACCGUGGUCAUGUCCUCUGCCAAAUUCAACUUGUGCAGCAAAUCGAGUGACCUGAAAUUUACAUGGCCUAAUCUUCUAUGCCAUAGGCUAGUAUUGUCAGUUAAGCUUGUAUAAGCUUUUCUCUCAAGCUAACUUACAUCAAGCAUAAAACACUUGUCUGCCAUUGGUGCUGAGACAAUUUCUAUACCAUGAACAUCAUUAAUAACACAAGAACCAUUCUUGAAAACUAGUGAGUAGCCUUUUUCAACCAACUGACCUACACUAAGUAGGUUCUGAUCUAUAUCAGGUACAUAAAGCACAUCUGAGAUAACUUUGUUACCUGAAUCAGUGUUGAUCACCACAUCACCUCUGCCUUUGGCUUCAAUCAGAUUCCCAUUGCCUAUCCUGACCUUCGAGGUAAAACUUCUGUCAAGGCCUUUGAACAAACUUCCAUCAGCUGCCAUGUGAUGUGAGCAGCCACUGUCAACAAGCCAACUAGAUUUUACAUUGCUUGUGGUUGCAAAUCAUGAGGCAGUAAAAACAUGCUCCUCCUGAGCUUAAAGAUCCUCAGCAGUUUUAGCUUGUACUUACUGCUGAGCAUGAGCCUUCUCUUUGCCUUUGCAAAUUUUCUCAUGAUGGUCAUACUAUUUGCAACUCUUGCACUGAAUAUCUAGUCUAUUCCAGCAGUACUUUUCCAAAUGGUUUGUUUUCUUACAGUGAAUGCAUGGUGGAAACCUCCUUCUCCCUGCAUCUUUUCUUGAUUUCUCCCUUCUUUCAAAUCAAGGCUUCUUUGCUUUCUGACUUGAGUUAGAGCCUUCUUUGACUUUUGCUUGAAAGGCUCCUUCAGGAUGCUCUUCCUGCCUACUAGCCCUUCUCUGCUCAAGUGCAUAAAGUGAGUUUACCAACUCAGCCAAAGAAAUGGUUGUGAGGUCCGUAAUAUCCCGAAAAUUACUAUUGUAAUACCCCGAAAAUUACUACAGUAAGAAAGUAGGUAUCAUUGAUAGUAAAAUAAGGAAAUAAAGUGACAAAAAGGGAAAUUUUGAGUUAUAGCAACAUUGGGAAUUAUAUUAUGACAUAUUAAUUCAAGAAAGGAUUAAAUCGCAAAAGUGAGAAAAGUUUUGUUGCCCAAGAGUAAAUACUCAAAAUUUGAGGGAUUAAAGUGUAAAUAUGAAAAAGUUGAAGGACCAGUAGUGUAAAUAUUUUAAGAGUGGAAUAAUCUAGAAACUAAAGAAAAUGGAUGAAUUAGGACCAAAUUAAAAAGGUGAAGAACUUUGAGGGACUAAAUUACAAUUUUACCAAAUUAAAUGAUGACUCAAUGAUGGAAUUUCAAAAGAUUAUAAAGGGCAAAAUGGUCAAAUAUAUAUAGAGAGAGAGAGAGAAUUCUAGAAGGUAAUAAUAAUGUUUGUGAUAUUUUUAAUUAAUUAAUUAAUUAAAUGUUAUUUAAUUAAUAUUUUAUUAAGAUUUUUAGUAUUAUUUUAUUGUUAAAUGAUUAAUAUAAAAGGGAGGAAAGAUGAUGAAAAAAAAUCAUCAUCUUUCCAUGCACCCAACGUUAGAAGAGAAGAGAAGAAAGAAAGUUUUACUUUCUUUACAAUUUGGUCCUUUCACCAAAAAUUUACUAUUUUCACCUAGAAAUCAAAAGAAUUUCCAUAGCUUCCAAGAGAGAAAAAUAAUAAGGAGACAAUGGGGAGCUAGAAUGUCAAGUUAGAUUCAAGAAAUAGAAGCUGGAGGAGAGAGAAAAUCAAGUUAAAGAUUGAAAUCAAUAGCACAAGGUAAGAACAUCAAGAUUUCAAUAUAUUUUUAAGUUUGUUAUUAUUGAAAAAAGCAUGGAAAUGAUGUUAUAGUAGAUUUUUCUUAAAUAAAGUCUUAUGUUCUUGAUAUAUUAGUGAAGGGAAAUAAGUAAAAAUGAUGGGAAAUAUUAUAGAGAAAGGGAAUUAUGGAGUUAUAAACUUAGUAAUCAACAUCUUGCACUAAAACAGUUUUGGAUAGCAGCAGUAGGUUAAAUUUGAAAAAUUACCAUAAAUUAUGGAAAUCGAAUUAGAGGAUGAAAAAACAUGGAAUUAAAUCUUAUUAAGUAUAGUUUCUCAUAGAAGAAAUGUUGUGAGACAAGGUCAGAAUGAAUUAGGGUUCCCCUAUUCUGACUUUGGAAAAUCAUCAAAAAUUGAAUAAAAAUAAUUAGAGGCUUAAAUUUAUAUUUUUAAAAUCCUUAAUGAGUCUAUUUUCAAGAGAAACAAAUGGUAACAUCAUCUGAAUCCUGUACAAGGAGAUAAUUAAUUUUUAGUGAAGAAUGGUCGGAACUGUCAGACAGCAGAAUAGGGAUGACUUUAAAGAAUAAACUGUACUUAUUGGCUAAACCAAAAAUUCUGAAAAUAUUAUGGUAAGAAUAUAUGUGAGUCUAAUUUUAUAUAAAUUUAGCAGGUCUUAAUUUGGAGUUCCGUAGUUUAAGAUAUAAAUGAUUUAGUGACUAUGACUCAAGUGGACAGCUUUGAAUGAAAAAUAAAUAAAUAGUGAAAUUAUAGAUAAUGUUACAUAUAAGCAUGUUAUAUACAUUAAGGAUGUGGAAUGGAGAGGAGGAGGAGGAAAAUAAAUGAUUAUUCAACUAGCAUGAGUUCUCAUUAAAAAUGGUCAAUUUGCAUGUUUUAGGUUCAAGGACUAAAUUGAAUAAAAGUAAUAUUUUAAGGGUAAAUUAGUAAAGAUGUCAAAAAGUAAUUAAAUAGCAUGAAAUGAAUUGUUUUAUUAUUUAAAUUAAUAAAUUGAAUGAAAUAUUAAUUUAUAUCAAGAUUGCGUGGAAAUUCGAGAAAAAUGAAAAAUUACCAAAAUGUCCUUGAAUUUUGGUAUUUCUGUAAUUUAGCCUGGUAAGUUCGUGUAACUUGAAUUUUAUUCUUAGAUGAUUGAAAUAUAUAUAUUGGAUUGAGAAAUUGAUUUGAAUUGUGAACAAGAGAAAUUGUGAAUUGAAUGAAAUAGAAAUGAAUCUUUGAAUUACAUGAGUAAAUAUUGGGUCUCGUAGGCCCUGUUUAUUAAGAAUAUAAAAUUUUGAGGAUACGUUGUAAAGAAUUAUAAAAGCACGUUAAUAAUUUGAGAGUUUUAAUUCGAAUAAAAUUUUGUAACUCGGUUUAAUACGUAUGCAAAUUUAUGUCUUCUAGUAAUGCCUCGUACCCUAUUCCAAUGUCGAAUACGGGUAAGAGGUGUUACAAUGUGACAUCGCCAAAUUCGACCAUAACGUUUAGACCGGGUUUGGGGUGUUACACCUCGAGUCCUCUAAUGAGGAGAUUUUUUACUCAAACCUCUCAGGGAGAGUGGUAAUAACUUUCUCAACAACCCUGCUGUCACUAAAAUCUUCUCCAAUGAGUCUGAUAUUGUUAAUAGUAGCCAUGAUCCUAUCAGAAUAUUGCUUGAUAGUCUCUGACUCCUUCAUUUUCAAAUUCUCAAAUUCCCUUCUAAAGUUGAUUACUUGUUGCUAUCUUGUCUUGUCUGAUCCCAAGAACUCCUUUUUCAGCCUAUCCCAUGCUUGUUUGGGUGAAUCACAGGCCAUAAUCCGAGUGAAGAUCACAUCAGACACCCCAUUCUGCAGGCAAGCCAUGGCUUUGUGCUUCUUGGCUCGCUCCUCACUAUGCUGCCUCAUCUGUGCAAUAGUUGGAUUUGCCCUCAAUGGAGGUGGUUCAACAUCACUUUCAACUACACUCCACAAAUCAUGUGCUUGGAGGUAAGUUUUCAUUUUAACUACCCAAAUGUGGUAGUUCUCUCCAGCAAACACUGGUGGUGGAGGAGGUGUAAAGCUCAUGUUGCUAAAACAAGUUUGACAAAAUUGAUUUCUUUUUAAGUUUGUUUUAAACAGAAAGGCUUAAACAACAACAGAGGUCCUCAAAGACAAUAGGCUCUGAUUACCAUUUGUUAGAACAAAAUGGCAGCAAACAUGAGCAAACACAAUCAACGAGUAAAAAAAAAGAAAACUGAUGAGCGAAAUUAUAACUGAAAGAAAAAGUUAUCCAUUUCAUUCAUAAAUUUGAAAAUAUAUUGAAGUUACAAACUGAUUAGUCAGUUACCUAAACUUGUAACUGCUCCCACUAAUUUGUCUAAUUGAUAACUUAAGUAAUACAAAAGCAAAGCUAAAAAAAGUCAGCUAUUACAAAUCUAAAAUUUACCAACUUUAGAUAUCAAGUUACAUGCUAACUUGAUCACAUUACAAAAGAACAAAAUCAAACAAAGGAAGUAGACUACUUCUAGUUCUGUCUCGAUGCUGGCAUGCUAGCUGAUCUGCUGCUGCUACUGCUCUUGGUUACUUGUUGCAUUGCAGUCCAUUGCUUAACAGAAGUGUAGGUGGUCAGAGGAAAAUGGUGAAGGUAAAAUGGAAACAGAUUUGUUUACCAAAGGAUAAGGGGGCGCGAGAGUGAUGGAUAUCAGGGCUAAAAAUAAGUCUAUCAUGACCAAAUGGUGUUAGAGAUUCACGGUGGAUAGAGAAGCUUUGUGGAUAAAAAUUAUUGUUGUAAAGUAUGGUUCCCCUGUGCAACAUUGGCAUUUUAGAACGAGCAAUUUGAAAGAUAUGUCGGUAGUUUGGAGGGGUAUUGUGGAGAAUGCGGAAGAUUUAAAAGUGACUAAAUGGAUGGGGAAUGAGUCUUUUCGUUGGUUUGUGGGGAAUGGCAAUUCGAUAUUAUUUUGGGACGAUAUUUCGUAUGGUGAUAGUCCUCUGAGAGUGUAAUUUCCAAGGCUGUUUUGUUUAGUCUUGAAUAAGAAAGGACUAGUAAAAGAUUUUUUUGAUGUCGAAUGGGUUUAACGAGGUUAAUUGGGCUGAUUUCUUUUCUCGUCCGUUAAUGGAUAGGGAGAUUAAUAUGAUUACUCGUUUAAAGAAAGCUGUUAGCAGUAUUGUUUUGUUACCUGAGGAGGAAGAUCGAUUAAUCUGGAUUCAUGAUAACAAAUGGGUGUUUUCGAUGAGGAAAUUAAUAGAAUUAUUGAUCAGUGAAUGUGUGGUAGACAUAAGUUUCACUUUUGAUAAAAUCUGAAAGUUAAAAGAUGCCUCCUAGAGUGAGAAAUUUCCUUUGGGUGGUUUCAAUUGAUCGUCUUCCUACUAAGGACUUCCUCAUUAGAAGAGGUGUGAAGAUUAGUCAAAUGGAGAUUGGUUGCCCUUAGUGCUACAGUGAACCGGAGACAGCAGUGCACCUUUUCUUCCAUUGUAAAUUCAUUGUGGGUUUUUGGAGAAAAUUUUUGAAUGGUGGGAGGUGAAAUGGAGGCCAAUUGAUGGAUUCUCUACUUUUUUUUCUCAUUUUGUAAUAAUGUCUCUUAUACAGGAGUGGUUAAAAGUUUAUGGAUGAUCUCAGUGUCAGCGGCUUGCUGGUCGAUGCGGUUAGUGAGGAAUGAGUUGGUGUUCGUUAGAAAGUAGCCUACAAUGUCUAGCUUGGUUUUUCUUUCAAAGAUUCGGGCUUUGAUGUGGAUCAGAUCGGUGCAUGAAGAAUUAAAAGUGGAUGAGAAAAUUUAGUGGGUCUGUCCAUAUAGAAGCUGGAGUGAUAUUAAAAAAUCUAGAUUGAAUGGUAGGUUUUGGUGCCCUCCGAGUCUUGGUUGGGUAAAAUUUAAUGUUUGUAGUGUGGAGAUUGAGGAUGAAGUUGGGUGUGGAGGGGUGUUAAGAGAUUCAGACGGGAUGGCAAGGGCAUUAUCUUCUGGUCUGUUUGCAGCGAAAGACUCCCUUACUGUGGAGGUGGGGGCGAUUAGCUUGGCUUUGGAUGUGUUCUUAGCAAUGGGGUGGAAAGGUAAAUGCUCUUUAAUCAUCGAGGUUGGAUCCAUUGAGGUGUUUAAUUGGGUAGAAAACAAAGGUUUGAGACUGUGGUUGUUGUUUUCUUUCUUUAAAAAAGUUGAAAUUAGGUUGUCUAGAAUUGGAAAUAUUUCCUUUUUGAAAGCAGAUAAGCACGGCAAUAAGAUGGCAUUUGUGCUGGCGGUUUCUAGUCUGAAAAGGCCGGGAAUGUUUAAGGCAUGAUGGUGAUUUUAGGUGUGAUGUUGUUGUGUGUUUAUAGGUGUAUUUGUAAAUUGUUUAGUGGUUUAAUGGGGUGUUUUGUGUAGGUUUUAUUCUGGUUUGAGGAUUGUUUAACAGAUGGGGUUUGUUUGGGUUUUUGUAGGUUUGCUUGCUGUAAUCUGUCUGUGUUUGGAUUAUUGUUUCUUGGGUUUGGGUCUUCUUGUAUCUGUUGUAUGUUUAGCUUUUUUAUAGCUUUGAAAGCUGUUGCACCUUGAUUAUGCGAAAAAAAAAUAGCAGACCAAAUGAUAGAGUGACCUCAUUUUUCUUCCUUUAUGUCUUAUAUUGUGUAUGAUAUAAAGUCAAUAUUUGAAUGGAGCAUUGGUUAGUUUUUCGCAAUGAAUCCUGGACAAUAUUCCUUUGUUUGAAGUUGUGGAAAUACAUAUAUAUUGUAAGCUUUUGGUUUGUGGGAAUGCCGCCACUUUGUUGUCAAGAUUUGCUGCCCAACUUUCGCAUUUUGUAUGUGUGAUAGUGGGUUUUUUUAUCUAAAUAAUACAAAAAAUAAAAUUAAUAACUGAAAUGGUAUGCUCAUAAGAUUAUUUACUAAAAUGGUAUGGUUUUACUAGUGUCUGCUUGUCAAAUUGGCGGCACUAGACUGAAAUGUAAUGAUCUGAAGUAUUUAAGGACUUGAUAUGCAAAUUUUUCAUUUUGAGUGGCUGCUAAAAAAGGUGAAGGGUGCCACCUAACAGUGUGGCAGCACCAAACCUUAAAUGUGGCUAAUUGUCUUGUAAGCCCUCCUUAUUUAUUAUUUUAUUUUUAUUCCCCUUCAACUCACUAUAUUGUAUUUAAACAAGCCCUUAACCUAAUUUUGUAGUUAAAUAAGCCCUUAACUUAUUAUUUUUACUCAUAAAAUCCCUUUAUUUUAAUGUUAAAGUAAAUAUAUUUUACCCAAAGUAAAGCUAUUUAAAAAAAUAUAAACUAAUUCACAUUUUAUGUUGAUGUGAAUUUUAUGAUAAUAGAUUAUUAAAAUAAAAAAAUAAAAUUUUAAAAUUUCUUAAGAGUGCUUAUAUACAUGAUAUUCUUAACUACUGUUUGAAAUUUUUUAUUAUUUUUUAGAUUUUAUGUUGAUGUUAAAGUGUAUAUAAUUUUUAUUGCAUCAACAAAAAAUUAAGAUAAGAGCUUGAAAUUUAAAAUAUAUUUACUUUAAUAUUAAAAUGAAGGGCUGAGUAAAAAUUAUUUUUCCAAUAAGAUGAUGGGUAGAGAUAUUGUCAAUAUUAUUGGAUUAAAAAUUAAAUGAGGAUGUGAGAAUAAAGUAAAAGAUACAAAUUAGACGAAAAGUUAUUUGUUUACAUUUUUAAUUAAAAUAAUAUUAAUAUGUCAUGGACCAACGUGUCGAAUAUGCCUCAAUUGAGCAAUAAUAGAUAAUACAAAACUAACGAAAUAAAUAAAUAUAUCUACCUAAAUUACAUUUGAAGUUUUAUUCCAAAUAUUGUUUAGGUAAAAAUAUUUUUAAAUGAUUUUUUGAGAAAUCUCUUAAAUUUCUAUAUAAUUAAAAGUGAAAUAAAAGUAAAAAAAUUAAAAUUAAAAUAUUUUUUUUCAGAACAUGAAUAUUAAAUCAUAUCUAAUUACCUAAAUGAGAAAAUUAUAAAUUCAUUUAUUUCAAAUAAAUAAUUUUAAAAAAUCAAAUUUAUGAAAAAUUAAACCAAAAUUUCUUAUAUAAAUCAUUUACUUUAUUUUUUUUAAUAAUUCUCAUAUAAAUAAAAAUACAAGGAAAUAACUUACAUUAGAAUUAUCUUAAAAACUAAAGUUUUUAGGCACCAAUAAAAUUUUGCCACAUCAUUAAAUUUUUAAGACAUAAAAUUAUUAUUGUUAUUAUACACUCAUCCAUAGAAAAAUUAUUUUAUGGACCAUUCCCACUACAUUAUUUAUGGCCCAUUUCGAAUUAUUUAAUAACAUUUCAUCAAUUUUUCCAUGUGGUUAACACAUAAUAUUUGUAAUUUUUUUACCUUUGAACCCCAAACCUAAAACUAUGAUCAUUAAAUCUAGAAUCUCAAACUUUAAAUCUAAAAUCUUAAAUCCAAAAUCCUAAACUUGAACACUGAACUCGUAACCCCAAACCUUGAACACUAAAUCUAAACUUGAAUCCAAACCCUUAACCCUUAACCCUUGAACCAAAAUCUCGAACCUCAAAUCCGUAACUUUGAACCCUUAAACCUUGAGCCUAUCUUGAAACCCAAACCCGAACCUUAAACCUUAAAUCUUGAAUCUAAACCUUGAACCUUGGGGUUCAGGGUUUAAAAUUUAAGGUUCACGAUUUGGGUUCAAGGCUCGAAAUUCAUGGUAAAAUAAUUACCAAAACUAUGUGUCAAUAACAUAGAAAAAUUGCACAAAAUUACUAUUUUUAAAAAAAAUUGGCUGCAAAAAAUAAAAAAAUAUAUUAACUUAUGGAAAAAAGCAAAAUGAUUAAAUUUUGAAAAAGAAAAAAAUGAUUGUUUAUAAUUUAAAAAAUUAUUUAUUUUAAGUAAUUUAAUUAAAGUUAAAUUAAGUUUGAGAAGAUAUUAGAUAUAGAUGACUGUAUAAUAAUACUUUAUUAUCUUUAAAAUUUAAUGACGUGAUACUAAUUUAUUUGUGCCUAAAAAUAAUACUUUUUAAGAUAAUCUUAAUAUAAGUUAUUCCCAAAAUACAACUCCUAUUCCUAUACAAUAAUUAUGUGGUUACCAUAAUUAGGGAGAAAAAUCAAUGCAGUGGGGCCUAACUUUUGGAGUAAGAGAGGAUUUCAAGUUGUGUAUAAAUUCCAAGGCUUUGGUUGAUUGAAAUGCAGGAAGAUAUCAAGUGAGUGGUUUGUUGAUUUAGAGAAGAUGGAGGCUAAAUCGUUGUGGGUAUUACUCACUACACUUCUGUUCAUCAUACAAGGGUGGCGACAGACUGAGGGUUGCUUGGAGCAGGAGAGAAUUGCUCUCUUCCAACUCAAAUCCUUCUUCAAUCGCCUUUACAAAUUGGAAAACUGGGCGGAUGUGAAGGGUUCAAAUUGUUGCCAAUGGGAAAGAGUUGAGUGCAACAUCACUAGUAAACGAGUAACAGGCCUUGAUCUUUAUUUCACACGUUAUUGGGAUAACCGUGAAAGAAGAUCAGAUUUAUCUGGGUAUCUCAAUGUCUCUUUAUUUCUUCCAUUUGAGGAAUUGAAGAGCCUUAAUUUGAGUGAAAAUAAUAUCGCAGAUCUUGUAGAUAACCAAGGUUCGUUGCUUUUCUCUCUCUCUCAUUUCCGAUUAAUCCUUGAAAUUUAAUUUAACGUUUAAUAAUUAAUUUGUUUCUUUUAUUUUUCUAAACUAAGACACUCAUGACCAAUAACUUUCUCUUGCAUGCAGUAUCUUUAUCAUCUGUUUUCAACAACUUAGAAAUCCUUGUCUUAUCCGGCAAUAACUUCAAUGACAGUGUGUUAUCAAGUAAGCUUCCAUCUCUCAAUUUCUAUCUAUAUCUAGCAAUUAAUUGUAAGCUUAUACAAAAAAAAAAUGAAAUGAAAGUGAUAGGGUUCGAUCAUACCAACUUACAAUUGAUUGCUACAUUCUCUAUUAAUUUAUUUUAAAUUUCUUUUAAUUAACAGACAACAGGUUGAAAUAAACAAAUUGUUUCCCUUAUUUGCAUACAUUUAAACAAGUUAAAGCAUGUAUGUACUUAUUAUAAAACUUGCAAUUACUUGUCUCUAAUAUUUAAAGAUUACAGAUUUUUUAUAUAAUUAAUAGGAAUAACUUACAUAUGGUCCUAAAAAUUAAAGUUUUUAGGCACCAAUAAAAUUUUGUCACCAUUAAAUUUUAAAUGUAUGAAAUUAUUAUUAUACACUUAUCCAUAGAGAAAUUAUUUUAUGAACCUUUCUCACUUCAACAAUUUUUUUCAUGCUAUUGACACAUAAUUUUGAUAAUUUUUUUACCCUAAACUUUAAACCUAAAACCCGUAACCCUGAAUCUUUAAACCAUGAAUCUCAAACUCAUAACCUGUAUCCUUCGCUAUUUGAAGGACUGGGUGAAUGGGAAAGAGUUGAAUGCAACAUCACUAGUGAAAGAGAAAUAGGGCUCCGUCUUUUUUCCAUAUGGGUAUCUCAAUAUCUCUUUUUUUCUUCCAUUUGAGAAAUUGAGAAGUCUUGAUUUGAGUGGAAAUAAAAUUACAGGCUCGUUACUUUUCAUCUUUUCAAUCACCAAUUAAUUCCUGAAAUUUUAUUUAACGUUUUAUAGUAACUCGUUUAUUUAUUUUUCUAAAUUAAGACACUCAUGAUCAUUAAUUUUCUCUUACAUGCUGUAUAUUGAAAGUUGGAAAUAUAUUCUUCUUUUAAAAUUAAAUAUCCUACAUUACUUUUUUUUAAUGUGAAUAAGCCUCCAUAUGUGUUGAUAUAUUUCAUUGCUCUUUGAUAGAAUUGAAGAGUUUGACAAAGUUGAAGACAUUAGAUUUAAGCGACAAUAGAAUCAUAAGCCUCCGCCACUUUGAAGGUAUAUCUGAAUUUGAUAUUCUAUAUGCAUUCAAUUAAGUUUUAAGGCGUUAGACUUAUAAAGGCCUUCAUCUGUGUUGAUAUAUUCCGUUGCUUUUGAAUAGAAUUGAAGAGUUUGACAAACUUGAAAACGUUAGAUUUAAGUUAGAAUAGAACCGAAAGCCUCGAGCACUUUCAAGAUAUAUUUAAAUUUGAUCUUCUUUAUACAAUCAAUAAACCUUCAAACCGUUAACCCAAAUAAAUUGUCCUUUGAAUUGCAUGACAUAAAUCUUUUACAGGUGAGAAAGUGCAACCGAUGAUGAAUUUAGAAGUGCUUGAUUUGUCUGGUAAUCUCUUGAAGAACAAUGAUCUAACAUAUCUAAAGGGGUUAUCAAGUUUAAAGUCCUUGAACAUUGGAGGAAACCAAUUGGAAGGGUCAAUAGAUAUUAGAGGUAUGUAAAAUUUCAUAAAAUAAAAAUAAUAAGCUAUAUGUAAAUUACAAUUUCAUCAACUUUUUUAACUGUUAAAAAAAAUUAUAUCCAAAUGUAUUGGUUCAUGUGGGAUUUAACUUUUUAGGUAGUAAAAUGAAAGUAUAUUUUAGCCCUCAAUUUAAUUUUUCGUCACUUUUAAUCUUUAAAUUUGUAUUUUUUGUCAAAUCACCUAAAAUAGAUGGAAAAGUUAGACAUUUGUUAAUUUUGCUAAUGUGGCAUACAUGUGGAUUGCCACAUAGAUGACACAUCAAUAUUUAAUUUAUUUUUUAAAAUUUAAGUAUUUUUUAUUUUAUUCUAUUUUUUAUUUUUUAUUUUUAAAAUAUUUUUUGAAAUUUUAAAUUUAAAAAAUUAAUUAAAUAUUGAUGUGUCAUCUACAUAACAAUUCACCUGCAUGCAAAAGUAAAAAAUUAAAUAGAGUUCUAAAAUAACAUUUUUUAUAAAGUUGUAGAGUCAAAUGAAUUAUUAUUUUUAAAAUGUAUUUGAUGACAUUUUUAAUCGAGGAAACUAGUUGAAUUUCAUGAACCAAAAUUAUUGAUUUUUGUGAUAUGACUUAAUUUGACUAACAAAAGAGAUAUUUGAUUGAUUUGAAUAGUAUUGAAUAAUCUGACAAAGCUAAAGCUGUUGGAUUUGAGUGACAAUAAAAUUGAGAGCCUCCAAUCUUCCCAUGGUAUGUGUUGAUAUGUUUUACUUUAUCAUAUUCUUAUAUAUAAAUACCAAUAUCUCAUUUAAUAUUCCAUUAGUAAUAAAUUUGUUUAUCUCAAUGCUUUGUAGAUGGUGAGAGGCCACUUAAUUUGUCCAAUUUUGAAGAGCUUUAUUUGGAUUCCAACUCCUUCACAAAUAGUUUAUUGGCACAGCUUAAUGGUUUUUCUAAUCUAAAGUCAUUGAGUAUACGCGGUAACCAGCUUAACGGAUCAAUAAAUAUUAAAGGUAGAAUUACUUAAUAUAUUUAAUCUUCUUUUAAACGAGACAAAUUACUUGUUGAGUUAUUGCAUUCAUUCUAUGUGAUUUAAUUUUAAAUUUUAUUUAUCAAUCUUCAUAGAAUUAUUAGAUGCAUUGAGCAACUUAGAGCCAUUGAGAAAAAUAUUUUAAUUUUAAAAAAUGUAUAAAUUUUAUAUAUUAUCUCUUAAAUCAUUUAAAUUAUAAUGAUAAUUUUUAUAUAUUAAAAUUAAUAUAUUAUCUCUUUUAAAAUUAUAUUAAUAUAUUAAAAAUAAUUUAUAAAAUAAAAAAUUGUCUAUUUAAUAUAUAAAGUAAAAUAUAUAUACCAAAAUAAUAGUAUUUCAAUUUCAAAUUUUUUUUGUUAUCAAUUCUUUUAAGAUUUUUUUAGUAUUAAAUUAAAAAGUUGUAUUUUAAUCAAUACAUACAAUCAACCUAAGGGAAAGAAACUAGUUAAUAUAUAUGACCAGCUUUGUAGAUGUGAGAAUUAAUUAUUUCUAAUAGUAACAUCUAUAAAUUAUAUAGUACAAUCUUUACUAAAUUAGUAAUUAAUUCUAUUUUCUAAGUGAAAUAAUAAAUAACAAAUUUUAGUUAAUACAUUAUUGUAAUAAUUUUAUAUAAAAUAUAUUAAUCAUAUUUUAUUAAAAGAAAAUAUUUUUUAAUAAAUGAAUUUCGUUAAAGAUACAAUCUGAAUCUCGUUAAUUAAUAUUUUUAUUAAUAUAUUAUAAUUUUUUAAUUUAAAAUUUUUUAAAAAUUCAAAUAUGAUUUAAAUAUUAAAUCUUGUUAUAAAUAUAUCACAAUCACUUAUCUAUAACAUUCAAUAUUUUGACAGACGAAUGGAGUUGUUAUAUGGAAGUUGAAUAUAACUAAAUUUCUGUGAUGAUUACUUUAUUCGACUGACAAAAAAUGCAUUGGAUUGAUUUGGAUAGUAUUGAAUAAUCUGACAAGGCUAAAGACGUUGGAUUUGAGUGACAAUAAAAUUGAGAGCCUUCAAUCUCCCCAUGGUAUGUGUUGAUAUGUUUUACUUUAUCAUAUUCUUAUAUAUAAAUACCAAUAUCUCAUUUAAUAUUCCAUUAGUAAUAAAUGUGUUUAUCUAAAUGCUUUGUAGAUGGUGAGAGGCCACUUAAUUUGACCAAUUUAGAAGAGCUUUAUUUGGAUUCCAACUCCUUCGCAAACAGUUUAUUGGCACAGCUUAGUGGAUUUUCUAAUCUAAAGUCAUUGAAUAUAAGGAAUAAUCAACUUAAAGGAUCAAUAAAUAUUAAAGGUGAAAUUUCUUAAUAUAUUUAAACUUCUUUUAAAUGAAACAAAUUACUUGUUGAGUUAUUACAUUUAUUUUGUGUGAUUUAAUUAAAUUCUAUUUGUCAAUCUUCACAGACCUAAAUGCUUUGAGCAACUUAGAGAAGCUAGACAUGAGCAAUAAUGAGGUGAAAGAAUUUGUGCCCACAAAGAAUAAAGGUAUAUGUAUCAACUAAAGAAAAUCUUAAUAAUUAUUUGUCGUUAGAUAUCUAGUGAAUUGAUGCCAACCACUAAUUUGACUCUCAGAAAAUGAAAGUUUGGAGAAGCUAAAGGUUGCUACAUUAAACAAUGUGUUCAUCAAUGGGACUGUUUCUCUAAUGCAACUUCUGGAGACAUUCUCAUCUGUUAAUACCUUAUAUUUGAGAGACAAUCACUUCAAUGACACCAUAUCUACUCAAGGUAUAAUAUAUAUGUGCGUGAAUAUAUAGUUUUAAAAAUAUUAUUUACUUAACAUCAAUCAUCUAAAUAACUCUUAUAAAUUUGUAAAGAUCAAUUGCAUGUGUCGAGCAAAAUAGAGGAAUUGGUGUUGGAUGGUUCAUAUAUCAACAACAACAUUCUUCAAGGCAUUGGUGUAUUGGCGUCUCUUAAAAUUUUAUCUUUGCGUGGUUGUGGGUUGUCUGGGACAUUAUCUACUCAAGGUAAAUUAAUAAUUAUGACAUAAUUAUUUAGGCAAUCUCUUGAUUAGUUAUUUUUUAUCCUCUUAGAUAACUAGAAUAACUUGCACAAAUUUUUUUUAAAGGGUGGUGCGAUUUAUGGAAGCUUGAGGUGUUGGAUCUUGGUGAAAAUGCUAUUGAGGGAACACUCCCUCCAUGUUUGGCUAACUUGUCAUCUCUUGAUUAUUUGGAUAUUUCUGAUAAUCAAUUCACCGGGAAAGGUGCCUCCACUGCUCUAGCCAAUCUCACUUUGCUUAGAUUCAUUUCUCUUUCACAAAACCUAUUCGAAGUUCCAUCAAUUUUCAUAUCAUUUGCCAACCACUCACACCUCAAAUUCCUCUUUAGUGAUCAAAACAAGUUAGUCAAAGAACCUACCAUUCAAACAUGGGUCCCAAAGUUCCAACUAAAAGUCUUCCGUUUGUGGAAUUGUGCAACAAAGGAACUCCACAUUGAAAUUCCAAAAUUCCUCUAUUACCAAAAUGACUUGAGUUUUAUUGAUCUUUCAGAUAAUAAUUUUGGAGGGAAUCCUUUUUGGUUGUUAGAGAACAAUACAAGAAUGGGAGCAUUUUUAAUGAAGGGUAACUCUUUUAUGGGCCAUUUCAAUAUCCCAUCUCAUCUGAAUCCAAACAUGUCCAUUGUUGAUAUAUCUGACAACAAAAUACAAGGUCCAAUUCCAGCAAACAUUUGUUCAGUCUUUCCACAACUAGCUAGGUUAAACCUAUCAAGCAAUUUCCUUCAAGGUAAUAUUCCUCCUUGUUUGGGUAAUUUGAAGACUAUGUUGAUGAUAGAUCUGUCACAUAAUCAGCUAUAUGGAGGAAUACCAGAAAUGUCAGCUCAAAGUGACUCAUUGAUGUUUCUUAGGCUAUCAAAUAAUCAUCUAAGUGGGAAGAUAAGCCCAACGAUCUUUUGUUCAUCUUCAUUACAAUUCUUAUAUUUAGAUGGCAAUAAAUUUGAUGGAAAUAUACCUAGCAUUGAUAUCUCAACUUUCCCUUAUUACUCCCUUAUUGAUAUAGAUUUAAGUAACAACAAUUUGUCUGGAGAGCUACCAAGAUGGAUAUGGAAUGUGUCAAAUUUACAAACAUUGGCAGUAUCCAACAACCAGCUCAAAGGUCUCAUUCCGAUGGAAUUGUGCUAUUUGGUUUCUCUUGAAUUUUUGGACCUUUCAAAAAAUAAUUUUUUUGGGCCAAUACCAUCUUGCUUCCAUGCACAAUCUAUCAAACAUCUCCAUUUGAGCAGAAAUAGAUUAAGUGGUACCUUGACAAAUGCAUUCUUUAAUAGCUCUUCCUUGGUUACUUUAGAUCUUAGUGAAAACCAGUUGACUGGUGAAAUUCCAUACAAGAUUGGAACUCUUUCGGCUUUGAGUGUUCUCCUUCUAAAAGCCAAUUAUUUUGUCGGAGAAAUUCCCAUUGACAUAUGUAAAUUGUAUUCAUUAAAUAUCAUUGAUCUUUCUCAAAACAAGCUUUCUGGUCUGAUACCUUCUUGUUUGAGUCAUUUAACUUUUGAGCCAAGUGGUGGAAAAUCUUUUACAUUGGAUUCUACAGAAGUAUUAGGUUUAGUAGGAAUUGUGGAUUUUGGAGAUUUCUUGAGGGGAGCUAAUUACUUUGGAAUUACUGAAUUUGAAUUAUUCAAUUUUAGAGUUGAAGAACCAUUCAAUCUACAUGCCUCUAUUCAUGAACAACGGGAAGAAAAGGUGGAUUAUACAACAAAGAGAGUAUCUUACACAUACAAAGGAAACAUUCUUGAGUACAUGUCUGGAAUUGAUUUAUCAUGUAAUAGAUUAACAGGUGAAAUUCCCAGGGAGAUUGGAAAUUUGAGUGAAAUCCGAUCACUGAACUUGUCACACAAUAAUUUGACUGGACAUAUACCGUCAACGUUCUCAAAGCUCAAGCAAAUUGAGAGUUUGGACCUGUCUCACAACAACUUAAUUGGAAGAAUCCCUGUUCUAUUGAUGGAGUUGUACGCCUUAGCAGUCUUCAAUGUGUCAUACAACAACUUGUCAGGGAGUAUUCCGUCUCCGAAAGCUCAAUUUGGAACCUUCGACGAAAGCAGUUACGUGGCGAAUCCUUUCCUCUGCGGGUCUCCCCUACAUAAAAAUUGUAAUGACCUUGAUUCACCCCCAACAGCAGCACCAAAUAGCUCAAACAAGGAAGAAGAAAGUGGUUUGAUGGACAAGUAUGUUUUCUGGGUGACCUUUUUUGUUUCUUACGUAAUUGUGUUACUAGUUAUUGUUCUUAUCCUGUACAUAAAUCCUUAUUGGCGGCAAGCAUGGUUUUCUUUUGUUGAACAUUUCAUCAAGACCUGCCA
rnacentral:lncRNA from 1 species